rnacentral:lncRNA from 1 species
AAAAUUCCUCUCAAUUUCUUCAAACAAACCGAAGGCCUCAAAGCCUUAGAUUUGGUCGGAAUGCAGUUUCCAUCCCUCCCUGAAUCAAUUAUUCACCUUGCAGACCUUCGCAUGUUGUGUCUGAAAGAAUGUGCAGUUGAUGACAUAACCAUCCUUGGAGAGCUCAAGAGUUUACAAGUACUCAACCUUUCUCUGUAAGGUAUGAAAGAACUACCUAAGGAGAUGGCACAAUUGACUCAAUUAAGGUUGUUAGAUUUGCGUGGGUGUAGAGAACUCAAAAUCAUCCCAUCGAAUGUCUUAUCAGGUUUGUCUAAAUUAGAAGAAAUAUAUAUGAGUGGGAGCUUUGUUGAAUGGGAAAAGGGAGGAGUAGUUGAAAAUGAGAGGAAAAAUGCAAGCCUUGAUGAAUUAAACAAUUUGCCUUGUCUAACUACUUUAUAUGUUCAUAUUCUUGAUGUCCAAAUGAUACCAAAACACCGGUUUGUUGAAACAUUGGACAGAUUCAGGAUUUUCGUAGGUAAUUAUGGAAUAUAUGAUUGUUGCCAUAAUUAUGAAUCUCCGAAAGCAUUGAAGCUCAUGUUAUAUACAAACAUUGAUUUGGACAAUGGGAUGAAAAUGUUGUUGAUAAAGACAGAAGAUUUGUGCCUAGAGGGACUUGAAGGCGUCAAGAAUGUACUUGUGGAGUUAAAUAAUGGGAAAGAUCUUCCCAAUUUAAAGAGACUUCAUGUCAGAAAUGGUAGGCAUGUCCAAUAUAUUAAAACAAACAAAAUUGGAUUUUCUGAAUUAUGCUUCAUCAAACUUGAAAAUCUACCGCAACUUGUUAGCUUUUGCUCUUCAGACGAAAGGUGUUCCACUAAGCCCUUACUUCUUUUCAAUAAACAGGUAUUUGUUUGGCUUUACUUAUAUUUUCUUAUACAAUUUUAUUUAUAUGCCCAUUAAUACUUCUAAUAAUAGAAAUAAAUAAUAUUGUGUAAUUGUUUUUUCGGAGCUCAAAAAUAAAUUUCAAAUCCAAAACAAAUGAAAAAUUAAUUUUUAAUUCAAACCGAUUGAAAGUACAAAGUCAAUUCAAUAAUCUAAAUUUAAACCCAACAAUUUUUUUUAAUUCUAAAAAUGAAAUUUGAGCCCACAAAUCGAACUAAAAUUAUCUUUAAAAUCGAAAAUCAUAUUUCCAAAUUAUGUUACAUACUAUCUUUCCCUAUCGAAAAAGAAUUGUGUAAAUAUGUGCAAUUUAUUUUCCCUCACUUGGAAAGCUUGUAAUUGUGUUCCAUUAACACCAAAAUAAUAUGGCACAACCAGACAUGUCAUUGGGUUACGAAUUUGAGGAGCUUGAUCAUCAAAGGAUGCGGCAAGUUGGAGCAUCUGUUAUCACCCUCUCUCGCUAGAAGUCUGGUGCAGCUCCAAUGCUUUGAGAUAGAGGAUUGCAAUUGCUUAAGGGACAUCAUACUUACAGAGGAAAUUGAAGAAGAAAGGAAAGAUGUGAUUUGUUUCCCUCGAUUAAACUCCCUGCAUAUAGUGGGUCUUACAAACCUCAUCUUCUUCAACUCAGGAAACCACAAUAUUGAGUUCCCACUGUUGAAAGUGCUAAAGAUUGAGCGUUGCCCCAAGUUAAUAGAAUUCAUUAGUCAGAAUAGUAAUCAGUCCGGCAUGCACGCUCUCUUCAGUGAGAAGGUGAUUUAUUUCAUUAGUCUAACACUCUUGCAUAAAUCUGUUGAUUUGUCCUUGUUUUUUUUUCUGCCUUCAUUAUUUGAGCUAACCUUAUUAUGGGCAUUGAUUAUAUAUAUAUAUAUAUAUGAAUAGGUUGCAGUUCCUAGCUUGGAAGACAUGAAUAUCUGGGACUUGAGUAAUGUGAAGAUGAUAUUUUAUAAUGAGCUAGCACCAGGUUCCUUUAAAAAUCUACGAAAAAUAAGUGUUGUGGAAUGUGGGAGUUUGAAAAAUCUAUUUCCAGUAUCAAUAGCCAAAGAUCUUCCACAACUUGAACAUUUACGCAUCACUAAUUGUGGAGUUGAGGAGAUUGUAUCGAAAGGGGUUGGAGUGGAGGAGCAGCCUGUGAGGUUUGAGUUUCCGCAAGUAUCUUACCUUGAGGUUACAUGGGUAGAAAAGCUCAAAUGUUUCUACGAAGAGCAACAUGCAUUAGUCUGGCCGAUGUUGAAAAAAUUGAGAACAGAUAGUUCUGCUUUGCUAAAGAUAGUGGCAUCGGAACAUCUUAGAUUAACCCAAGGAAAUGAGCAGCCAGUUUUGUUGGUUGAAGAGGUAUGUAUAUCAUUACAACUAUAUUUCUUUUUAUGCCACGAUAAUACAUUUCUUAUUAUUAUAGUUUGUUUGAUUUUAAUUUUUUUGUUACAUUUAUAAUUAUUUUUUCAAUUUUUGAAAACAAGAUUGAAUAAACAUAAUAGGUAAAUAUUGAGUAUUAAUCUUGACUUUUUAGAUUAUCGUUCAAUUUGAUAAAAUUUAUAAAUGUUGAAAGUUAAAUUUAUAAAUGCUACAUUAGCAUCCUGUUAGGUGCUUUACAGCAUAGCAAUUAAGAUAUUCAAUUUCUCUAACAACAGUGAUUAAAUUGAAAUUUUAUUUGUUUUUAAGUAACCAAAAUAAAAAUAUUUUAACACUAAGUGACUAUAUAUGUAAUUUACCCUGCAUUUAAGUAGUGGGUCGAAAUUAAAUAGAACGUUUAAUUUGCUAAAAAAAAUUGCCACUCAAUAAAAAAUCAAAACUUUAAAAGUUAAUUACACUAGACAUCUCAAACUAUGACCUUCAUUUUAAAUUAGUCCUAAAAUUUAAAAUAUUAUAAUUACAUUCUUAAACUAUUGAGGUUAUAUCAAUUAAGUCUUUCUGUUAUUAAAUUCAUUAAUUUAACCAUCAAAUUAAAUCAGUGUAAUAUUUAUCUAUUUUAAUCUAGAUUUGCUACUCUUCUUUCGGCUUUCAUGUUGUGUAAUUUUUAUCAGUUUUUAUUCUCAAGGUAUUGUGUUUUCUUAAAACAAAAAAUUCAUCUAUUCUGGAUUCGUUUAAUUUAUAUUGAUUUUGUUGGGAUUUAAUCAUCAAAAUCAAACACUAAAGUUGUAUUUAUUUAAUUGAUUUUGUUUGUUUUUUUAAGGCAUAUACAUCAACAUUGAGCCUAACUUGUAUAUAUUUAAUUGGUUUCCAAGGUCAUUCCCAAAUUAGAGGAACUUGAGUUAGGAACUUUUGGAGAUAUGGACCAAUUUCCACCAGACUUGUUUCAACAUAUUAAAGUUUUUGCAGUGAGUGGUGGCUCUCCAUUUUCUUUAUUUCCUUUCGUCCGAAGAUUCUACAAUCUGGAAAGACUUGAGUUCUCUUGUUUUGAUUUCGAACAUGUAGUCCCUUGUAAAGGAGACGCCGGGACACUCCCACCAAUUAGAAAUCUGAAAUUGUUUUCUGCCAGAAAUCUUAACCAUAUUUGGAGGAAAGAUUCGGAGCUUGACCAUAUUCUUUCUAAUCUUCAAACACUCACAGUUCAGCAUUGUGAUGAUUGGAUAAAUAUUAGAGUCUUCUCAUCAUCUUUACAAAAUCUCACAAUUUUGAAUGUGUCAUUUUGUAAUAUGAUGACAAACUUAGUCACACCCUCAGUACUUAAGAAUCUUGUGCAAUUAACGACAAUAAAGGUAGAAGACUGCACUAAAAUGACAGAAAUAGUGGGAAACGAGGGAGACUGUCAUCAGACAAUAGUUGUUAGUAAAUUGAAAUGUUUACAACUAUGCAAUUUGAAGAGCCUCACAAGCUUUUCUCCACGGUAUUACAACUUCGAGUUUCCUUGUUUGGAAGAAUUAGUUGUGGAAGAUUGUCCUAGGUUAAAGAUCUUUUCUGAGGGAGUUUUAAGCACCCCACAAUUACAGAGAAUAAAAAAGUCGCGUUACGGUGAGAAAUGGAGUUGGACAAGUGACCUUAAUACCACCAUACAACAGCUCUACACAGAAAAGGUACAAAGUUAAUAAGUUCAUAAUGCUAGCUAGAUUCGUCGCGUCCUAAUACAAUUAAUUUUAUUACUACUUCAAUAACCAUUGAAGAGUGUUAAUCGUUAUUUUGUUAUUGUCUGCAUUUUCUAUUUAUGAUUGCUAUCUAGUGGAAUAAUAUCAGAUUAAUUUUUAGGAUGGACUCUAUUACCCAUAUCAUUUCAACAUCUCUGACACAUUUCCGGAGUCGAUAGAAAUAUGGACUAGAAACCCUCAAGAAAUUUUUGGCUUCAAAAACCUUGGCAGCCUGCAGUUUUAUAAAUGUAGCAGCUUGAAGUACAUAUUUACUCCGUCUAUGCUUUUGAGCCUCAAUCGACUACGAAGGAUAGAAGUGGAAGAAUGCAGUUCAAUGGAACAAGUAGUUAGGGAGGAGGAGGAAGCAAUGACACAUAAAUUUGCAUUUCUUUCGCUACGCUCCGUAACAAUUGAGUCGUGUUCCAACUUGACAAAUUUCCAUUGGGGAAGUCAAGCUCUUGAAUUUCCAGAGCUGAGUAAUAUCACGAUAGCUGAGUGUCCAAAAAUGACUGCAUUUUCUUCCUCAGUUUCAAGAGAGAGUGGUGAUGCAAGUGAAAGCGUGGUUGGCGAAGAGGGCAUCUAUGAUAACACUGCAACUUUUUUCAGCAAUAAGGUAAGUUUGGUAUUCAAUAUUUAUCUGCACAACUUAUUUCACAUUUUAUUUUGAUUUGAUCAACAUGAGUGUGUCUGGUCUAUAUAUACGUACUAGUGCUACACCUUGUCAAAAUUGAAUAUAAUAAAAUCCAUAAAAAUAUUAAUAAAUAAGAUAAUAUUUAAAAAAAAUUGGAGUUUAAAGUAUAAAUAAAUAUAUAAAAUACGAAUUGAAAGGAAAACUUAAAGUGAAAUACUAAAAAACACUAAGAAUUUAAGAGAAGUUUUAAAUUAAAAUAAUAAUAGAAAAAAGAAAACUAAUCUUCCUUUAUUUUAAUUUGUGGGUGUAUAAGAAGGAGAUGAUUGUGGAAGACCUUCACAAAGGUCAUUUGAGAUCAAAGGAGAAGAAGCAAGAAAACAAAAGAUGAGAAGUUUGAAGAAGAAAGAACCAAAUAUAUAGAGGAGAAUUGAAGUGAGAGAGAGGAUGCAUAUGGGUUUUAUUUAAAGAUUUAAUGCUUUUUUUUUUAAUUUCAUAUAUAAAAAAAUCAUUGAAAGAAAAAAAAUUCAAUAUAAUUAUUUCAAUUUACUUGUCAGGUUUUUAUAAAAGUAACUCAAAUUUUUGAUUAAUUAUGAAAAUGACUCAAUUUAAAAUUAUGCACAUAAAUUAUUCGAUUUCUAUAGUGUUUAUUGGUGCCGCUAGACACAAUGGCGCCACCGACCUACCAUCAUCGACCAAUGAUUGUAUUUUAUUUAAAAAAAUAAUAGUUUUUUAGAAUUGGCGAUAUCAAACUGAAGUGUGAUUAUAUAAAAUGUUUAUGGACUUAACGAAGUAAUUACCUUUUUUAAUUAGCGGAAAAAGGGGUCUUCACGUGAAUAUGGGGCACCAAAUUAAAUGAUUUUCAUCUUUUGGUCUAUUUGCAUGUUAGGUCUAUCCCUUUUAGAAAUUAAAUUUAAAUAACCCUUAAGAAAUAUAAGAAUAACAAAAACAAAUCAUUCUCAUUUAUUUUAUUUUAUUUUAAAAAAAUAAACUUAAAAAAUUAUAUAAAAUUCCUAUUUAAAUUACCCAAAUAUAUCCCUCACACAAUUUCCUCAAGUUUAUCUAAAUUCAAGCAUUUUCAAUUCAUUCCCUAGCAUAUUUAAAUUUAGAUAAACUUAAGGAAAUUUUUUAAGGAAUAUAUUUGGGUAAUUUGAAUUAGAAGUUUAUAUAAUUUUUUAAGUAUUUUUUCAAAAAAAUGGUUUAAUUUUGUUAUUCUUAUAUUUUUUAAGUGCUAUUUAAAUCUAAUUUCAAAAGAGGACAAACGUAACAUGCAAAUAGGUCAAAAGUUGAAAAACAUUUGGUUUAGAUACCAACAACACCCCUUUUUCAACCAAUCUAAAAACGUUAACCGCUUGAAAGGAUCCCUACACAUUUUAUAUAACCAUAUUCAAUCUGGUGCCGUCAAUUUAUUAGGCAACACUACUACAAUUUUUUUAAAAAAGCAAUUAUUGGUUUAUGAUAGGGGCCGAUGCAGUAAGCACUAUAGAAAUCAAGUCAUUUACGUACAUGAUUUUUAAGUUGGAUCAUUUUCGUAAUUAACCAAAAAAAUUUAGUUACUUUUAACUGUCUAGUUGAUGUGUGAAUAUUAACCUUUAGAUCAGUUUAUAAAUCAUCAUACUCAUCUACUCAUUUUGAUUGUCUUUCAAAGUAAAGAAGGAAGAGUGAUACUAUCUUAUAAUGAUAUUUAUGUCAACAGGUUGUCAUUCCUAGUUUGCAGCGUCUGGAUUUGUCCUCCAUCAACAUUCAUAAGAUAUGGCACCACUCAUCCUCCCCAUCUAUUGGAUACCUAAAUUUCUUGCAGGUGAAGAGGUGUCACAAUUUGAAAUACUUGUUCCCAUCUUUCUUAGCAAAAGAUCUUGUGCAACUCCGACGCCUUCAAAUUUCGGACUGUAAUAUGAUGGAACAAGUAAUAUUCACAGAUGGAUUGGUUGAGGAACAUCAAGGGAGGAAUCAGAUGUUUUUCUUUAAUCUACUUUCGCUGUGGCUAAUAGACCUUCCCAAACUCACAAGUUUGUGCUUUGAAAAUUACUUUGAAUUUCACUGUUUGGCAUAUUUAGAACUAAGAGAUUGUCCAUUGCUAAAAACAUUCAUCUCUAAAUGUGUACCCGGAGAUGAACCUCAAAUUGGCCAACAUGUACAAGCAAGUAACUUGGAGGUUCAUAACUCAUCUCUCCUCAAUGAAAAGGUCAUUUCUUCAAGGAUCCUCCUUUUAAUUUAUGUUACUUCGAUUGAUUUUAUUCAUUUCAAGUUCUUUCUUUUUCUUACAUAUUUCAGUUAUUAACCUAAUGAAAUGAUUUAUUAGGUUGUUUUCCCUAGUUUGAAGAACUUGUGGAUUCAGAAUUGUGAUUCGUUAGAAGAAAUUAUUGAGCUACAAGGACUCAUUCCAGAUGAAUCACAGUCAACAUCAGCUGCUCAAUCUAUUGUGGCUGAAACAGUGACAACCAAGUUUGUAUUUCCCAAACUAAUAAACCUUGGAUUGGAUAAGGUGCCAAGAUUGAAAAGUUUCUGCUCUAGGAUGCAUACCACCCUGUGGCCUUCAUUGAAACAAAUGAGCGUUAUUGAAUGCCCCAAAGUACAGAUAUUUACUCGACAAAGUCCUGAGAGUCAGGUUGGAAUCUCAAACCAACAACCCUUGUUUUGCGUCAACGAGGUAAGCUCACUAGCAGUUUCAUAUUCCAUGUUCAUUACUGGAGGUUACUUAUAAAAUGCCUUUUAAAUUUAUGAGAAAGAAAAUGGAAAUUAUAUUCAUUUUGUAGUCUAGUUCUCACGAAUUGAAAACUCUUUGAUCGAUGUUUAAUAUAUUCGUUGCCAUCCAGGACACUUUCCCUGUAUUAGAAAAACUAACACUGAAGACGAAUGAUAUGGUGAAGGGGAUAUGUGAUGGACAACUCUCAUUGCAGUGUUUCCAAAACCUUAAGCAUCUUAACCUCCAGUUCUUUCCUGAGACAUCCACUACUCUUCCGUAUUCCUUCAUUCGUUUGCUACCAAAGCUUCAGAAGCUUGUUAUAAAUAAUGCUUCCAUUUUUGAAAUAGUCCGGUCUGAAGGACUUAGCGAAGAGGAAAGGCACACAUCGGUAUUCUAUCAGUUAAAGGACUUAAGGUUGUCUCAACUUCCAGAGUUGACGUUAAAGACUUUUAACCCGUCUUUGCUAUCUUUCAAAAAUCUAACAACACUGAAAGUUUCAAGAUGCCAUGGGUUCAUCAAUUUAAUUGCAUGCUCAACAGCUAAGUGCCUGACGCUACUAGAAAGAUUGAGCAUAGAUGAUUGUGAGAUGAUAGAGGAAAUCAUAGCGUGUGAGGCUGAAGAAAUACAAGGCAGCAUUGUAUUUCCCAAACUGAAGUAUUUGCAACUAAGCUGUCUGCCAUGUCUAGCAAGCUUUUCCUUGGCCCAUCACUCGUUGGAAUUCCCAGUCUUGCUAAUGGUGAAGGUGACAAAGUGUCCCAAAAUGAGGAAUUUCUGCCAAGGAGAUUUAAGCACACCAAGGCUGGAACAAAUACACUUGACAAGAGAUGAGGAAGGUGAACUGCAGUGGGAAGGCGACCUUAACACUACCAUAAAACAUUUGUUCGAUGAAAUGGUACAAAUCAUUUAAAGGAUUUAAAUUCAUGUGUUUUACAUACAUACAUACAUACAUACAUACAUACAUAGUUAAUUGAACAAUUCUUGGUUUGUUAUGAUCAUGCACAGAAUGUGCAAAAUUCUGAGGUGACGGAGGUUACUGAUCAGUUGCCCAAGCUGGAAUAAGGAAAUAUUUUUGGGUGCUUAUGCGAAAAGCUCAAUUUCGUUUGAAUUCAAAACAAUUGGUAAUUGACUCUUCUAUUUUCAUCAUGGCUUAACCAAUGCUUUAUAAAGUGACCAUAGCGAUGCCCUUUUCAUUGUAGGUUGAGUUGCUCUACUGAAGUACGAGGCUGCAACUUUUGGUAAAAUGUGAAAGGUUAUUUCAGUUUUUGUAAAACUACUAUUUGAACUGUUACAUUUCACAUUAUACCUUCAAAAUUGAAGUUCAAGUGCAUCAUGCAUGGCAUUGGGCUACAAACAUGUAAACUUUUACUAGUAAGUUUGACCCCUGUUUGAAGGAUUUUCCAACUUUUGAUGGUUACCAUAUCAAUGUCAGCUUAAAGCUAUCAAGUAUCUUUAAUGAGGGAUAAAAGUAGGCAGCUAUCUAUUAAUGAUACGGCUGAUUCUGAAAAGACGGCUGAAAUUGAAUCAAUGGUUUUUUGGUAUUUGCCUGAUGGAAGAACAGGACCUAAUGUUACGUGGAUUGUAACACCCUUAACCCGUAUCCGUCGCCGAAGUAGGGUUACGAGGCAUUACUGAACAAACACAACCAUUUUUAAAAUCAAACUGAUCACAAAUAUGAAAAUUAAAUUACUUUUGCAUAGCUAUUUAUAAUUUACAAUCAAAAUAUAAUCAACAUCGUACUCAAACCUAUACAUGCCAUAAGAUUGAGUUCAAAUAUUUAACAAAAUACCAAAAGUAGUCGAUAGUGUGAUAAACUAUGCUGAUAAUCCCCGAGCUCGUAACGCGUCUCUAAAAUCUAUAAAAACAAAUGGGCAAAAACAAACAAAGUAAGCUUUUAUAGCUUAGUAAGUCUAUAGCAUACCUAAAAUACAUAUAAAAGAAUCAUAUAAUUCCUUAAGAAAAUUCAUUGAAAUCACAAUUAACAAUUAUAAUUACUAAUCAAACAUUUGUUUAAAUUUUAAAAGGAUGUAUAUUUAUCUAAUACACCCAAACAGACAAAUGUAUAUACAUUUUAUGCAUAUAAUCUACAACCAUGAAUCGCCGAAUGCAUAUAUACAUAUAUGCAUGACAAAUAUUAGAACCAAAUGUAUAUACACUUUAAACAUAUUAGCCGAGUGCACAUAUACAUAAGCUUAACAAAUAUUAUAACCAAAUGUGUACAUGUAUUUACCACAUACAUUUAUCCAAAGUCAUAUAUGUACUUAUCAUGCACAUACAAUCGAAUAUAUAUAUAACUUUAUCAAUCACAUUUCAUAUCUCAUUAUACAUGUAUAUAUAUAUAUCGAUCAUAAACUUUUAACCUAACUCAUAUUUAUGCCUAUAACCGAAUACAUUCGCAUUCAACUUUUACUUAUAAACAAAUAUUUACACAUAUAUGUAUUAGCAAUUGCACAUAAGAUUACUCAUCAGUUUCUUAUACCAAAUGCACCCAUAAAAAUAUAUAUAUAUCAACCACCUAUGUCGAGUUUAUGCACAACAUCUUCAAACACAUAAAUCUGAACAAUUCACACAAUUUUAACAGAUUCACCGGCACUUAGUCUGCUAGGCUUAAAACCUGAUUCAAUACACUGGCAAUUAGCCUGCUAGACGUAAAGUCUGAAAUAUUUCACCGGCGUCAAGCCUGCUAGACGUAUAGUCUGAAACAUUUCACCAGCAUCAAGCCUGCUAGACGUAAAGUCUGAAUUAUCUCAUUGACAAUAAUCAUUUUAGGCCCCCAAGCUCAAACACUCAAUUCACCCAAAUAUUACUCAUUUUCGAACUAUAUAGGUAUAUAAAUUCCAUGCUUAAAUAUUCAGCUCGAAACUCAAAAUUUAUAUCAUAGAAACACAUGAAUAUAUAUAUAAAACUCAACCACCAAAUCCAUUUUGACAAUUCAAUAAAUCAACUGAACAUAUUUAUGCAUAACCUUGCAUAACCUUACACUUCAAAUCCUACUACAAAUAUAAUACUAUUUAACUAAAAAUAUUCUUGAAUAAUAUACGCUUUACAUUCCAACAUAUUAAAAUUUUACACACAUAUAUAUACAUGAUCAAAACUAACAUAUGCAAAUAUCAUCUAAUAACAAAUUUCAAAACUAAAUCUUAUACAUGCAUACAUAUACACUCAAACCGCUUAUACUUUUAUAAUGACACAUCUUAAUUCGAUUCAAAAGUCUAUAUAUACAUGUAUAUUUACAUGUUUAAUAAUAAAACUCUUAUAUCUAUGUAUAUUUACGAAUCUCUAAGUACAGAUAUACAUAUACAUAUCUUUGAUUAAAUCAAUAAUUUAUACAUGUAUAUACGUGUAUGAAUUCGAACCCUGUAUAUAUAUAAAACUCUUAUACUUCAACUAGAUUCAUUAACAUUUAUGUAUAUACUUAUUUACCUUUGCACUUUAGCUAAAUUCAAUUACCUAUAUAAGUAUAAACCUCUAGGUUCGAAUAUAAAAGAAAAUACAUAUAAGCCAAUCAUACUUUUAAUUUAUUCAACCGAUAUACUUUAAAUUAUAAUUCAUCAAAAAUAAAUACAUAUACAUACUUAUAUAUUGUUUUUAUGACAUUAAAUAGCUAAUAGACUUACCUCGGAAGAUGGAAAAUCGAAGUCGGACGAUUAUUCGACUAAUUUGGCUUUUCCCCGAUCUAACUCCGUUUUCUUUGGUUCUCGAUCUAAAUAUAUUCAAAAUAAGAUAAUUUAUUUAUUAACACAUUAAAUUUAAUCCAAAAACACUUAAUUUGGCAAAUUACUAUUUUGCCCCUAAUAUUUAUACUUUUUGCUAUUUAGUCCUUUUUGCACAAAACACAAAAUACACAAAAUUUUCCCUCACUAAGCUAGGGCCGAAUGUUCCUUGUCUUCAUACUAGUCCACACAUUUCAUUUAUUUCACAUUUUAGUCCCCCAAAAAUUUAAUUUCACAAUUUAGCCCUAUUUACUCAAUUUCACUAAAAAUCCCAAUACAAAACAUAUUAAUCUAUCACAUAUCUUUCAUUUUUCAUCAUCAGCUAUCACAAAGUCCAACCAUUCAUCAAUGGCACAUUUCAAAAUCAUCAACAAUUCACAAAAUUAAAACAUGGGUUUUGAAGAACACAAAGCAACGAUCUCAAAAACGUAAAAAUUAUUAAAAAUUAAAACCUAAACAUACCUUAAUCAAGCCAAAAUAAGUGCCGAACCUAGCUUGCUAUUUUUUUCUUCUUUUUCUUUUGUAUAUUCGGCAAUGAGAAAGAUAACAUGCAUGGCUUUGUUUAUUUUAAGUUUUAUUAUUUUCAAUAUAUUAUACCAUUAUUAUUUUACUUUUAUAUUUAAUAUAUAUAUAAUAUAUAAUAGCCAUCAUUGCCGUCCACUACCAUUAAUAUUGGCUAAAUUUCAACAUGAAACCUCCAAAUUAUAAAGACAAAAAUAAUUAAGCACUUUCAUAUUUAGCCAUCAAAUUUUUAUUUUAUGCGAUUUAGCCAUUUUCUCAAAUUAAGCACACAACACUAAAAUUAAUUCAUGAAACUUUCACACAAGUAAAUUCACACAUAAUAAACACGUAAAAUAAUAUUAAAAUAUUUUUUAGACUCGAAUUUGUGGUCCCGAAACCACUGUUCCGAUUAGGGUCAAAACCGGGUUGUUACAUGGAUUUUGAUCAAGUUUUAAAAUUUCAGUUGUAGGCAUUACUGAUUGUUGCCAUUUGGUUAUUAAUACUCUGAUUUUACGGUUGACUGUCUUGCUUAUACAUUGCAAGGUUGGCGGGUUUCAAGUAUGAAUUUCCAAGUCGGCUUUCAUCCAUUAUUAACUAAGUGUUUCAAUCCAUGGAGUUUAUGGUUUAUGGAGUUUAUGGACAAUUUGUAACACCCCAAACCCGUAUUCGACGCCAAAAUAGGGUAUGAGGCAUUACCAAAACACAUACAUUUAUAAACGUAUUAAACUGAGUUAUAAAAUUUCAUACAGAUUAAAACUUUUAAAUUAUUAUCUUCGAAUCGCUAAUUGGGGCUUACAAGCCCAAUAUAUAUACUCAUUUGAUCCAAGCCUUAUAGCUAUCUCCAUUUGUUCAUUUCAUAGCCAUAUAUGAACUUAUAAUCCUUCACUUUCUCGUCAUAUGAAUUUAUCAAUUAUUACUUGCUUCUUGCGAGUACCUGAAUUGAUCCAUAUCAUUUCAUAUUCUCAUAUCGUCAUAUUUUUCCUAUUAAACCAUUGUAAUAUAUUAAAUAUUCAAUAUCUUGUAAAGAUUCACUAAUCUAUCCCAUAUACUUUCACACAGAUUAAUUUACAAUUCACAAGUCUUAUCAUUUCAAAGCUUAUAAGACACAUGUACAUGUCUACUAAUUCGUAUGAGUCUCAUACUCAUUCAUAUGCUCAAUAAAUUCGUUAAAUCAUUUCAACAUCAAAGAAUCCACAUUAUGUCAGAAACAAUACUAAUAACAAUCAUAAAUCUUUUCAUAUUAAUUUCAUAUAUCGCUUACUGAACUUCAAAUAUCAUUUCAUAAAUAUGUAAUUCACUAACACAUCUUGCCAUAUAUAGUAUCCAAUUGGUGAAAUCACUUAAUUGAAUUCAACUUCAACAAUCACAAUAAAUCUAUCACUUGAAUAUGAGUCCAUGUAACACUUACCAACUUUGUCAAAUUAGUGACCGUCUUACGGAAUUGAGUACUUAUUUUCUCGAUGUCAUAGUCCAACUAUGGUCUUACACAUAAUCACAUAACAUAUACCGAUGUCAUAGCCCAGCUAUGGUCUUACACAGAAUUACAUAUCACUUAUUGUCAUGGUCCAUCCAUGGUAUUUCCCAUCAAUUCGUCUUCAUCACUGAACGAAAGUACUCAACCCUGCAUUCUACUCAAUUUGAACUUAUAAUUCAAUUUUCGUUCUUUUACAAUUUUCACAAUUCAAUAGCAAACAUAUGAAUUAACAUAUUAUAUCAUUCCUAAAAUUAUCAAAUAAUCAUUAAAAUUUAACCAUAAAACACACCUUUAACAUAAACUAACAUCAAGAUCAAAUUUGCAUUAUGCCAUUUAUAACUCUUUUCCUGAAUCACAUAACAAAAUAUCACAAAUAUAUAUAUGAAUUCUGUAACUAUGUAUCAAACUUACCAACAUGAGUUAAUUCAUAAACCAUUCAUGACAUUACUUCAUGCCAAAUCAUAUUCCAAAUAUACCACACAUAUAAGCUAUGAAACUUUAUUUCCUCACAUGAGCUUAAACCAUAACCAAUUAUGCAUAAAACAUUCAUAUAUUUUAUUUUCCUCCUCCUCCUCUCCAUUCCACAUCCUUAAUGUACAUAACACUCUUAUAAAUAACGUUUUCUAUAAUUUUACUAUUCACUCACAUGUAUAUUCAAAGCUGUCUAUCCACAGAGUCACUAAAUUAUUUUUAUCCGGAGAUACAGAGCUCCAAAUUAAGAUCCGUUAAUUUUUCCUGAAACUAGAUUCACAUAUCUUCUUACCAUAAAAUUUUCAAAAUUUUUGGCUUAGCCAAUAAGUACAGUUUAUUCUUUAAAGUUCCCCUGUUUCACUACUCGACAAUUCUGACCUCUCUUCACUAAAAAUUAAUUAUCUCACUGUACAGAACUCAGAUGGUUACGUUUAUUUCACUUGAAAAUAGACUCAUUCAGGGUUCUAAACAUAUGAAUUUUAGCCUGUAAUUAUUUUUGUACAAUUUUUAACAAUUUUCCAAAAUCAAAAUAGGGGAUUCCAAACUCAUUCUGACCCUAUCUCACUAAACUUAAGAUAUCUCAAAAUAUAUAAGUCUUUUCUUGCUAUGUUUCUUUUAUGUAAAAAUAGACUCAUUAAACUUUCAUUUCAUAUCUUAUUCACUCUCCAAUUCAAUUUCCACCAUUUUUGGUGAUUUUUCAAAGUCACACAACUGUUUCUGUCCAAAACUAUUUUGUUGCUAACUCUACUAUUUCAUAAUUUCACUUUUUCACUUUUGAUCACUAUUCAAUUCAAUUCCAGACAUAUAUUCAUCAUUCAAUUACACUUAAUUGUUACAUGAUCUCAUGUAUUUUCACUUAGUCAAUUUCUCGUUGAACACUCAGAAUAUACACGGAUACGUAGAGAAUUAGCACAUAAGUGCCGCACUGAUAUGUAGUCGAAGCUACCAUUGAUACGUAGUCGUAGCUAUCACUAAAAUGUAGCCGAAGCUACCACUAAUAUGUAGCCGUAGCUACCAUUGAAAUAUAGCCGAAGCUACCACUGAUCAAUAACACUAAAAAUGUCCACGGGCCGGCUCACACAAGCUGUUAGGUGUCUGCAACACAUGCUAGAUCACCCAGCACCCGGGACUCACUGUAACACUGGUCUCUAGUGACAUGUCACUAGUAUCCACUUCUAUUCCUAAGUUCAACUGGGAAUUUACACUUAACACUUUAUUUUAAACACUUUAACACUUGAAUAAUUCAUAAAAAAUUUUCCUUCCACAUUCAAUAAUAAUUCACAUAUCAAGUGUAAUUCACAAUUUAUAAAAAUAUAUUGCUAUUAUUUACACAUAACUUACUUUGGUGCAAUAAUAUAAAAAUUUAGCAAUUUAGUCUUUAAUCUUUUCUUUUCUCCGAUCAAGAUCAAUCCAACUUCUUUCUUGAUUUAUAAUAACACAUCUGAAUUAUUUAAUACUCACAUUUAUCAAAACAGAUCUUCACUCAAACUUUUAAAAAUUACAAUUUUGCCCCUAAACUUUUGCAUAUUUACACUUUUGCCCAAAUUCUCGUAAAUUAAACUUCAUCCCUUAUUCUUAUGUAUUAUGACAUGCUGAACAGUUUUCCCUUCUAUGGUAACAUCAAAUUCCCACUCUAACACUUUUAUAUGAACAUUAGGUAUUUUUACCGAUUAUGUCGUUUUACUCGUUUUCACUUAAAAUCACUUAGAAAAAGUUGUUUAACAUAAUUUCAAGCUUCAUAUUCUACCAUAAAACAUCAAAAUAAACACAUUUCACCUAUGAGUAUUUUUCCAAAUAUAAACCCUAGGUUAAAUUAUUGCUAGAAUAAGCUAAAUAAAGUUACCGGGACUCUAAAAACAUAAAGAACAUUAAAAACGGGGCUUGGAAUCACUUAUUAUGGAGCUUGGAAGCUUGAAAACCCUAAAUAUGGCUUCCCACUUACUAUUUUCGUUCACCAUGGAGAAGAUGAGCACAUUUUGCCAUCUUUUUCCCUUUUUAAUUCUUUUUAUUACUAAAUUACCAAAUUGUCCCUAACUUAAAAAUUUCCUAUUUCACUUAUCUCAUGUCCAUUUUUGUCUACCAACUUAACCAAUGGUCUAAUUACCAUAUAAGGACCUCCAAUUUAAAGUUUCAUAACAAUAUGACACCUCUAACAUGUAGAACUCAACUUUUGCACUUUUUACAAUUUAGUCCUUUUGACUAAAUUGAGUGCGCAAACGUCAAAAUUUUGGAACGAAAUUUUCACGAAAUCAUUUCGUGAAAUUGUAGGUCAUAAAAAUAUAAUAAAAAUAAAUUUUUUCUCGUCAAAUUUAUGGUCCCGAAAUCACUAUUCCGACUAGGCCCAAAAUCGGGCUGUUACACAAUUGUUGUCUAUGUUGCUCAUUGCUGCAAAAAAAAAACCAAACACAAUGCAUGCAUAAACCAUUAAAAAAAAAGAACAUAAGCAACUAAUAAUGAAAUAUAUUAAAAUGAAGAAUGGCAAUUAAUUUCAGAAUUACCAAAAUUUCGGUAAAUAUAUUAAAACAUCUGUCUCUAAUCUGUUUCAAUUUUGAUAUUGAAAAAAUUGGUAUUUCUAAAAAUAUCAGAGUGAUUAAAUUAUUUUUAUUUUUGAAAGUGAUAAAUUAAGGAUAAUUAAUCACAACGUUAAUGUUUUUCACCAAUUAUACAUAAUUUUCUUGGUAUAAUGAUAAAUUUAGCCCUCAAAAUUGACACAUUCUAUCAAUUUGUUAUUGAUUUAAUAAAUUUAACCCACAACAUUUACACAUUUCGUCAAUUUGAUCAUCAUUUAACGUAUUUAACCCAUAAUAAUUACACAUUCUAUCAGCAUUUACGCAAAAUAUAUAAUCAUCAAGGAUUAAAUUUAUUUUUAUACUAAUCAAAAUUAUGUAUAAUUAACAGAAACUAUUAGCGCUUGAUUAAUUGUUCGUGGUUACUUUCAAAAAAGAUAACGAUUAAUUUGUUCAAUAUCAAAAAGAUGUUUUUUAAUUUUUUUAAUUUCAUAGGUAAGAAAAUCUCAAAAAAGAAAAUCUUUGAAAUAAAAAAAAUAGUAUGUUUUUAAUAAUUAUUUAAAUUUACUCUCACAUUAUUUUUACCCAUUCAAAGCUAGCAAGUCUUUUAUGUACAAAAUGGUAUAGCUCUGCAAUUUGGAUUAACAUUUUGGUGACCUCCAUGUGAAGUGAAAGAAAAUUGACAAUGUCACACAAUUAUUAUUUUUCCCUCCAUACCCCUAUGCCGCCAAAGAAAGUUGAAUUAUUAAGGCACAAAAGUACUAAGGAGUAGGAGCUAGAAAAAGAGGGGCAUGAAAAUAAAGAGACUUACAUUUAUUAUUUGCAUAAUACAAAAUCAGUCUUUAAUAUUUACAUAUUUUAUUAAUUUGAUUUUUAUUUUUAUUUAGUUAAAUUUGACUUUAAACCCUUUAAAAAAAAGUUGAAUUUGAUCAUUAACCUUUUAAAAAGAGUCAAAUUAUUAUUUAACGGAAAUGUUAAAUUUUGAAAUACAUAUAACAAUUCGCGUGUAUUUCAUAUUAUUUUUUUAAAAAUUUUAUGAUUUUUUUUGAAAUUUUGAUUUUUGAAUAUUAUUAGAAAGUUAUUUGGUAUCCUGUUAGCGGAAUUUUUAAAGUCCACCAACAAAAUCAAUGGGUUAGCAUGUGUCUUACAAAUAUAUAAUAAAAUAUUAAAAAAUAAAUAUUUUUAAAAAAAAGAUAUAUGUCAAUUUUUUAAAGUUACUUAUGAAAUAAAAAUAAUAUAUUAUCCGCGUACCAGGUACUCACCUUUUUAAUUAAGAUUUAAAAAUAAAAAAAUCGUUAGUAAAAUGAAUGGAUUGCAAAUUGAGAAUUUUGAUAUUGGAUAUUAAAAUUUUCUUAAAAAGAAGACAUAGCAAGAUACGAAAGUUAGUAACUUAUUUGAUUUAAUUUUAAUUUUUAAAUUUAUGCAUUUUAUUAUGAAUUUUUAUUUUUUGUGUACUCUGUAAAAUUUGUCUGAAAUUUGCAAUUUUCAAUUUCUCACGUGAGUUUGAGAUAAAAAGAAAUUACUUUUAGGAUUGGUGAAACAAGGGUUAUAGUCCAUACAUGAGUUUCGUUAAAUAUUGUCUAUAUAUAUAUAAGUAUAUACUCUUCUCCAUGCUGCACAUUAUUGCAAAAAAAGAACACACACAAGGGACCAAUCUUAGAUCUUCACAAAGGUCAUCUGAGAUCAAAGGAGAAGAACAAGAAAAACAAAGGUGAGGGGUUUGAAGAAAGAGCCAAAUAUAUAAUAAAGGAAAAAUUAAAUGAGAGAGGAUGGGUUUCAUUUAAAGAUUAAAUGUUUCUUUUUUGGUAAAAACAUUUCUUUGGUCCCUCUCCAUUUUGAUGUUGAGCAAAUUGGCCCCUUUCUAAAAAUUUUGGAGAAAUUUGAUCAUUGUUAUUUUGAAAGUAAGCAACUAAGUACAAUUAAUCACAAGUUUUAUGUUUUCAUCAAUUCUACAAUUUUUUCUUGGUAUAAUAAAAAAAUAUAACCUUCAAAGUUUACACAUUUUAUCAAUUUGAUCUUGAUAUAACAAAUAUAACUCAUAACAUUUUCACAUUCCAUCAAAUUUGUCCUGAUUUAACAAAUUUAUCCCGCAAUAUUUACACAUUUUGUCAACAGUUACGCGGAAUAUAUAAACAUCAAUGGCUAAAUUUAUUAUUAUACCAAUUAAAAUUAUGUAUAAUUGAUGGAAAAUAUUAACGCUAUAAUUAAUUGUUCGUAAUUACUCACUUUCAAAAUUGAAUAUUUACAUCUUUUAUUAAUUUGAAUUUUUUAGUUAAAUUUAAUUUUAAAUCCUUUAAAAAAGUUGAAUUUGAUUAUCGACGUUUAAAAAAGAGUUGAAUUAUUAUCUUUUAAUAAAAAUAUUAAUCAAAAUGUUAAAUUUCAAAACAUGACAAUUCGUAUAACAAUUCAGGUGUAAUUCAUGCUUGUUUUUAUUUGAUUUUUUAUGAACUCUUUUUGUGAGAAAUUUUUAUUUUUUAAUAUUUUUUUAAUUUUAAAUUUAUUGGCGUGACAUAUAAGAUAAAUAAUACUAUGUCAACAUAAUGACAUGUGGACUGCCACAUGGUUGCUAUGCCAACUUCGUUAAAAAUUAAUAUUUUAGUCAAUAUUUUAAAAAAAACACGAUUUGACUCUUUUUUAAAGGUUAAUGGUCAAAUUUAAAUUAAGAAAUAAUAAUGAUCAAAUUGAAAAAAGAUGUAAAUAUUAAGUGUUGAAUUUAUUAUUAUACUUAUAUUAUUUUAAGUAAAAUUUUUCGGAUUUGAAUUUGAAUUAUUUCAUGUUUAGAUUACAUUGAGUUCAAGUCAGUUUAGACUCGAAUAUUUUGGGAAAUUUAAAUAGUUUUGAGCUCAGAACAUUUCAAGAGAAAAUUAGCAAGUCAAAUUACAAUUAUAAAAUAAUAUAUAUAAUUUAUAUGUGUAUGUAUAUAAGUUUAAAUUACAAAUUAAUUACUAAAAGUGAUUAGGGCAUUAGUAUUUGUGUUGUCGCAUGGGAGUUUAGGUUCAAUCUCUUGAUUGAAAUAAUAUUUUUAAAAUAUUUAUUUAAUAUUUCCAUAUACAUCAAAAUCCUUGUUAAAUUUUAAUUUUGUUUUUGUUAUUAGAAUACUUGAAUCAAUAAAUUUUUAAGGCACAUAUCAAACCCAACAAUCAAAAUUAAAUCACACCAAAAUAAGGCCAAGAAAUCCUGAACAGCUCACCAAGCAACACUCAAAUAUCAUAACUUAACCCCCUUGCAAAUAAUAAGAGCAUAGACGGAUAAGCACCAAAAAGACUUGCUGCAGAUAAAAGGUCCCAUGCCCAUUACAAACUCUGCCCAUCAGUUCCUGCCAGAGGAGCCAUGGCCAAGAAAACUAUUAGUCUUAAUGCAAUCCACAAAACGUGUGGGACAUUUCCUUAAGGUCAGCUCUUUUGAGCUCAAGUCCUUUUUGCUGGCAAAUUUGUUGAUAUAGGAGCAACAUUGGUCAUCACAAUCAACAAAGGUCUUGUGAAAAAAAUAGUAUGUCUAUAAUGAUAACAUAUCGCAAAGAAAAGAGAAAUAAAAAUAAAGAACACACAGGUUUUACGUGGAAACCCUUUCGGGAAAAAACCACAGGUAGAGGAGAAGAAAAUUCACUAUGUCGAAUUCGAAUGAUUACAAGAGGAGUUUCGACUACAUCGAUUUAUAGGUUGAAAAAAACCUAAUUAUAAUCAAAGUCGAAUAUAUUAUGCUAAUAAAUACUAAAUAUAUUAUACCCAUAAAUACUAAAUCUUCUAGAAAGAAGAUAUAUUUUGUUUAACUUGACUUGCAAGCAAUCUCUUAGAAUUUGGGUUACACAACUCUAACAAUCUCUACCUUGACACGAAUUCUCAAUGAACAAGUUCUUCAUCGCGAACUCUCAACAAACAAGUUCUCCACUCUUCCAUAAAACCCUUUAAGGGUUUAACUUCAACAAUGAACACCAAUCAAGUCUAAGCAAUGCUUAAACUUGGUUAUAGGAAGUGACUUAGUCAUCAUAUCUGUAGGAUAUUCAUGAGUACUAAUUUUACUCACAACAAUAUCUCCACGAGCAAUAGCAUCACGAACAAAAUAAUACCGAACAUCAAUGUGUUUUGUUCUCUCAUGAAACAUUUGAUAUUUUGUAAGGAAUAUGACACUCUGACUGUCACAAAAUACUGUACUGAUUUAAAGGUUUUCAUUGAGUUCACUAAAGAGUCCCUUCAACCAAAUAGCUUCUUUACAAGCCUCAGCAAUUGCCAUGUACUCAGCUUCAGUGGUAGACAAAGCGAUUGUAGUUUGCAAAGUGGCUUUCAACCUGAUUGCACAACCUAUGAUUGUAAAGACAUAACCUAUGAGAGAUCUUUUUCUAUCAAGGUCUCCAGCAAAAUCAGCACCAACAUACCCAAUGACUCCAUCUCUAGUUCUUCCAAACUGUAAGCAAACAUCAGUAGUACCUUGUAAGUAUAUUAAGGGUCUGUUUGAUUGAAGGAAUUGAUUUUCCGGAAAAUCAUUUCCAACUUUUCCAGCGUUUGAUUGGCGGAAAACAUUUUCAAUUUGGAAAAUGAACUCCAAAACAAGGGAAAAUGGGUUACAUUUUAAGGAAAAUGUCUUACCCUUUCAAUUUCCGUAAGACAUUUUCCGUGCUCUCCUCUCUAUCGCCUCCUUCAUUCCUUCCUUCAUUUCUGGUAGAAAAUUGCUUCUGUUUAUCGAUUUUCCAGUAACUUGUUUUUUUAAUUAUUCAAUACUUGUUUUUUUAACACAAUUACAAUUAAUUUAUUUGAUAUUAAUUUUUUUCAAUUUAUAACGAUUAAUAUUGUAACUUAAUAAUUGAGUAUUAUUAUAAAUAAAUCAUUGCAAUAUAUGUAAAAAUAAUUUAAAAUAUAAAAAUUUAUUAAUAUAUAUCAAUAUAUGUAAAAACAAUUUUUUCAAAAAAUAUUUCCAGGAAAUCUGCCAAAUAGCCGAAAAUAUUUUACACAGAUUCAAUCAAACACCAGAAAAUAUUUUCCAGUAAAUCAUUUUACAGAAAAGUAAAACAUUUUCCCGAAAUUAUUUUACGGAAAAUAUUUUACUGGCAAUCAAACAGACCCUAAAAUCCACUGAAUUACUUUAUAAUGUUCUUUACCAGGAUUCACCAUUUAUCUGCUAACUGUACUGACUGCAUAUGAUAAAUCUGGACGAGAACAAACCAUAGCAUACAUGAGAGAUCUCACUGCACUAGAGUAUAAAAAUGUGACAUGUACUCAAUCUCAUCAUCUGAUUGUGGAGACAAAGCCGAUGAAAGUCUGAAAUAGGCUGCUAAAGGAGUACUAACAGACUUAGCAUUUUGCAUAUUAAAUCUGCAAAGAACUUUCUCAUGCACCCUUUCUAACUUAGGUACAAUUUACUUGCUUUUCUAUUUCUGAGAAUCUUCAUACCAAGUAUCUUCUUCGCUGGUCCCAAAUCUUUUAUCUCAAAUUUUUCACUUAGUUGGACUUUGACCUUUCUUAUCUCUCCUUUAUCUUUCGCUGCUAUCAACAUGUCAUCAAUAUAAAGGAGUAGAUACACAAAAGAACCAUCACUGUUUUUCUUAAAGUAAACACAACUGUCAAAGAUACUUCUUUUUAAAUCAUGAGAAGUCAUAAAGGAAUCAAAUCUCUUGUACCACUGUCUUGGUGACUGUUUCAAACCGUAAAGGGACUUUUUCAGCAAGCAAACAUAGUCCUCUUUUUUUGAGUAUAAAACCCUCUGGUUGUUGCAUGUAAAUAUCCUCCUCAAGUUCUCCAUGUAAAAAAGUAGUUUUUACAUCUAACUGCUCAAGCUCCAAAUCAUGCAUGGCCACAAUACUAAGCAAAGCUCGAAUCGAACUAUGCUUCAAAACUGGAGAGAAUACAUCUGUGAAGUCUACUCCUGGAAUUUGACUGUAACUCUUUGUAAUAAGUCUUGCUUUAUAUCUAGGUUCUUGAACUCCUUGAGUCCCCUCUUUCUUUUUAAACAUCCAUUUACAACGAACAACCUUUUUACCUUUAGGAAGUUUCACAAGAUCUCAUGUUUUAUUUUUGUGGAGUGAUUCCAUCUCCUCUUGCAUAGCAAACAUCCACUUUUCUAAGUCUUCCCGGUUAACUGCAUCAGAAUAAUUAGAUGGCUCUUGGUUUGCAUUUAUAUCUUUAGCCACAUUUAAAGCAUAAACAACUAGAUCAGCCUUGGCAUACUUCUUUAGAGGUUUAAUGUCUCUUCUAGUUCUAUUUUUGGCGAUAGAGUAUUGUGGUGGAGAAGCAACUCUAUUUUGAAUUUUUGUACUAACUUGAGGAGUCGACUCUGUUGUAGAUUCUGGAUUAAUCUGAUGCUCCACUUGCUUUUGAUUUUCUUUGUUGGAAGAGUCUUUAAGAGAUAAGUUAGGUAGCAUAACAGUUUCAUCAAAAACAACAUCUCUGCUAAUCACAACUUUUCUAUUUUCAGGACACCAUAACUUAUACCCUUUUACACCAGCUUUAUAACCAAGAAAAACACAUUUAAUGUAUCUCGGUUCCAAUUUUCCAUGAUCAAUAUGAGCAUACGCAGGUCACUCAAAAAUCUUUAAAUCAGAAUAGUCAGCAGGAUUACCAGACCAUACCUCUUGUGGAGUCUUUUUCUCAAUGGCGACGGAUAGAGAUCGGUUGAUCAAAAACAUGCAGUAGAGGCUGUUUCGGCCCAAAAUAACUAUGGUAAGUUGGCAUUUGACAACAUAUACCGAACCUUCUCCAUGAUCGUUCUGUUCAUUCGUUCUGCAACGCCGUUUUACUGUAGAGUAUAACGAACUGUCAAGUGUCUCACGAUUCCUUCUGACUUGCACAGUUUAUUAAACUCAUCAGAACAGAACUCUAAGCCAUUGUCUGUGCGGAGGUAUUUUAUUUGUUUUCCCGUCUAUUUUUCAAUCAUAGUUUUCCAAGAAGCUGCUUGCCACCAAUGCAGCUUAGUCGAAAUAUUUAGAGUUACGAGUGGAAAAUGCAGAGCAGAAGGCCAAGGAUGCUCAAAAGAAAAUAGUUGAGCUCGAAAGGUAGCUCAAGGCUUAGGUAAAGGAAGCUGCACAAGGGAGCAAUAAGCUUGAGGAGGUUGAUAAUGGACCAGAUGAUAAAAAUUCAGAAAACACUAGGAUCCUUUGACUCAACAGGUAUCAACUUUGAUAGAGCGAAGAUAUCUAAGGUUCGUUUUGUGUGCCUUUUUGAUACUAUGAUACUUCUAUAUCGAUUUUAGAUCAUUGAGAAUCGAUGAUAUGGCUGGACUAUGGAUUAAGCGGGAAGAGGAACUUCAAAAUAGGAUAAUUUAACUGGAGAAAGAAUUAUCUCGAAAACAAGCAUUGGACUCGGAAGUUGAGCGUCUAAGCGGAUCAUUGGAUGUAAUUGGCAAAAUGGAAGAUGGAGAUUACGUAAAUGUUCUAAGAAAGCUGGAGGAAUACCUUAAGGAUGUAGAGACAUUGAAUCGAUAUCUUAUUGCAAGAGAAUAACGGAGCAACGAUCAGGUGCAGGAAGUUUAAGAAAGAUUGAUCAGUGUAAGCUAUUUUUCUUCACUUACUAAAAUGUUUUCCACUCGAAUUUCAUUGCAAGAACCCCGAAGUUCUUCAAACAUUUGACCUUAUAUGUUAAUAGAUGGUAAUUGCUUUGCAAACUAAUGGUUUCUGCUGUUGUCAUGGUGUAGUAUAUUAUGGAAUCUGAAUCAACCAUUGGAAUCAAAAGAAUGGGAGAGCUUAAUCUAGAACCUUUUUUAGACAAAUACAAGAAGAAAUUUAUUAUUGACGGUGUUUGAAGUCCGAACAAUUAUCCUCGUUGUGGCAACAACAUAUUAGAAAUCCACUGUGGCUUCCUUUCAAGAGCAUUCAUACAUCAUAUCUUGAUUAUCUUUUUUGUACUUUAUAUAUGAAAGUCUGCACAUUAUAGACUACUCAUCUUGUGGUAAUGAUAUUCAAAUGAGAAAUCGUUCUUCAUUAAACCGUAAAUCCUUAUCCUUUACGCAUCAUUGCAGUAAGUGUUGCAGAACCACUUUAAAACACAUCAGGUUUUUAUCGACGAAAACACUUAUGGAAUGAUCUUCUGAGGUUUGGGUUCAUAGGCAACUUUCAACAUGGACACAUUAGUAACCAAUGUAGUUUUACUUUAUUUUUAUGUGUGAAUCAGUUAAUAGUUGAUGAAGAUAAUGAAGGAUUGAAGGAAUUGAGAAAUGAAUGGGGUGAAACGAUCUACAUGGCCGUAAUUGUUGCAUUACUGGAAAUGGAAGAGUACAAUCUAAGUGGGAGAUACAUAGUUUUUGAACUUUGGAAUUUCAAAGAUGAUGAAAAGCCAGCUUAAAAGAAGCUAUUGAGAUCUUCAUCCACCAUUUACAGAACAAACUGAGUCGAUCCCUGUACUUCUCGAACUGAUGGUAAGCUGAGUUGUUCCUGGUACUAGACUAUCAACAAGCCAAGCUAAUCCCAGUAUUUUGCGUAACAUUUCCAUGUAGUUAAUCUUAUUUUGCUAAUAUAUAAUCAAAUGACCAGUAUUUUGUUUAACCCUCAAACAUCCUGCGUGGAAGCAAGUUAUUCAUAUGAAUUGCUUGAAUUGCUCAUAUGUCCAAUGAAUUAUAAAGGAAUGCUGCUGAAUUCCCAUCGAUACAUACAUGCAUACGUAUUAGUGAAGUAUAUUCCAAUAUAAGAUCAAUAUUGGGAUUUACGUUUUAUAGAGCAGCAUUAAUGAUUGGUAAUAUACAUUGGUUCCAAGGCAAACCCAAAUAUUUUAACCUACAACUGUGGCAAAUCAAAUUUUACAGUAACCUAAUUAUAAUGUGAAGUCAAAUAUGAAAGUAACAUUGGUUUAUAUAUAUAUUUUUUUUUCUCAAAAUUCUAAUAAUCAAGUUGGUAUAAGUGAUAAACACUGAGCUUGCCACGUGUGUUAAACCACGUUUUUGUUAUGUGCCACUCCGAAGACAUCGGGCCUCUAUUCAGGCUGGCAUAGUCAGGACGUGGUAGCAUACUUCAGGGCCCUGGUUAGAAAAUAUCCCACAUCCGAUAAAAUUGGAACGAUACAGAGAAGAUUGCAAUCUUCUUUUUUUUCCCCUGGGUUUGGUGUUCAUAUUCAUGGGUUUUUGUGCACUUAAGAUUGCAAUUAGAGUUUUCUUUCUUUCUUUUACUGGGUUCGGUCUGUUUUACUCUCUUGAACUGUGAAUUUGAUUUCUUUUUUUUGCCAUUUUUUCAGCUUUGUUGCUUUUUUCCCCCUGGGUUUAGUUUUCAUGUUCAUGGGUUCCGCGCACUUGAGAUUGCAUUGGAGUUUUUUUUUUCUUUUCUUUUUACUGGGUUUUGGCCAGUUUUACUCUGUUGAACCGUGAAUACCUCAAGUUUUCUGGGAAUAAAUUGUUGCUUAUAUAUCUGCUGGUCAACAGUGCUAAUUUUCUGAUAUAUUGGCCAGAAUUGAAGGAAGAAGGUCCAAUUUUGCUUUUGAUCCUUCUACUACUAUCUUAAGAUUUAAAAGAAAUUCAAUUAAACAAUUUCUUCCAAUAAAAUUAAACAAGAAGGGACCUGCACACUUAGACAUGUUUCUCUUUGAAAAAAAUUCAAACAGGGUUUUAAAUUUUGCAAUGUGUUUUAUGUAAAUCAAAUGAUAUCCUGAAUUUUGCUAAGGGUGUUUCAUAUCCUUGAAUCCUUCUUUUGCUUGGCAAGUGAUUCAUUGAGUUUUUGUGAUCAAAUUUCAUGUUUCUUUUUUUAGUAUGGGAAUUUGUGGGAAAAUGCUUGGCAAUAUGGAAAUGAAACCAAUUUCCAUUUCCAAAGGCAACAGCAAAGUGGUGAAGCUUAUUGUUGAAAAAUUCUUCAAUAAUGUCAAUAAUGAAAAAGUAGAAAAUGGAAAAACAGAGAAUAAUUUUGGUUCUUCGUCCUAUUUGUAGUUAUAGUGAAUGGAUUUCUUUGAUUUUAGUAACUAAUAUUAUGAUUCCAACAUUUGGGGUUUUAAUCUCAAUAUAUGAACUUGGCUUUGCUUCUUAGUGUUAUUGUUGAACUUUUUAGGAUACCUCUAUCUUAAUCCAUUUAUGUGAUUUGAUAAUGAUAUUUGCAGGCACUUAAAUCUUCCAUUGAAAUGGAGAACACCAACUACGAGGAGGAGCUGAAGAAUGAUCGCAGGCUUGUUUGCAGUCUCAUAUACGAGAUUAAUUGCAGAAAAGAACAGUUGUCCCAAAUGGAACGUGAAUAUAACGAGAUGACCUCAACUCUUCGAGGACUCAUCAAUGGCCUCAUAGCAAAAAUUAACUCCAAGGACAGUAAUCUGUGGGGUUGGGAGCUUCAAUAUAAUGUAACCGUGAGACAGUUGAAGGGCAAGAAUGCUGCGUUGCGCCUUGCAUUUGCUGAAGGUACUUUAGAUUAUAUGUGUAUGUAAUGAGCAGAAUACUAUGUGUUAAUUGAAUCGUCUGGUACCCAUUGAUUGAUCUAUAUAAAUGUCAGGAUUUGAACCCCAAACUUAGCUUUUAUUACGGGAACCGGAUCAAUUUAGGCUCGGAUAAGCUUAAUGUGUUCAUAAACAGAUAAGAACAUAAUAUAUGGGAACACUUUGGCCAUACGAGGCUAAUGCUUAUAUGAUUCGCAUUACAGACUACAUGCUCCUAGUGAUAACUCUUCUGUAAGUACUAUUAGUCGAAUAGCUUUAUGAUGUAUUAAUCUAUCAAAUCUGGGUGUCAUAUUAUGAGUUCCAUUGCUAUGUUAAUCUAUGUACUAACAAUAUUAUGAAGUAAGGCAAUUUUGUGUACAUUAUAUUGGGAUGCAAGCUGAAUUCCCAUUAAUCAGUUUCAACCAUACAUACAUAUACAUAGAUAUAUAUAUGAAGUUAAGAACGUAAGUGCUGUUAAAUGGUACAUUACUCAGAUUGGUAAUAUAUUGGUGCCGAAUGUUCUAAAAUUUAACCAGCAUUACUGGUAAUAUAUUAGUGCCAAAUUUGACUAUUAUUGUUGAUAUAUCUUCAAAAAUUUCAGAUUUGAUAAAUAUAAAAGGGCAAUAAUGAAUAAAAAUACUGACUUUUUGAGAUCUUAUUUAAUGAAGGGAAGUUGAAUGUGGAAACUAAAUCGACCUAAGGGAAAUAAAAGCAAAAUAUGGAAAAGUUUUCUCGGGAAAACAAGUGUUAUCCUUCAUUUAUCUUGAUGAUUCUCUAACGCCGCCAAUUUUCCCCCCUAAGUUUACAGCAAGAAGACAAACGGCAACGUUAAGCCAUAUUCAUCCCAGGUUAAUUUUUUUUGUAAAUUAAACAUUUUUUGUAUACAUUUUGUUACCUAUUUAUUUUAUGUUUUUGAAGUUUCCAUUGCCAUUUCUACCUUUCCAAAAUGGUGUCUUUUUACUUGUUUUUUACUGGGUUAUUGACAUUUGUUCCAUAGAAUAAAUUUCUUUGAUUUUAGGGUUCUAUAUGUAUUUUUUUUAUGAAUUUGAACUUCAGUUAUCCAUAAAAAUUCUACCUUUAAUCUCAAUAUAUUUAUAGUCUAUAAGUUUUGACUUUUCUUCCAAUAAUAUAUCUCCAAAAUUCUAACUUAACCUUUUUAAACUUUGUCAUGUCAUUAUUAUUAUAGUUAAUUGCACCAAAUAUCUCCAAACUAUGGCCCUUAUUCUAAAAUAGUCCUCAAACUCAAAAUACGAGUAAUAUUUGGCCAUAAAAUGUAUAUAUUCAUUCCCUCUAAGCCAGUCGGUUAAGCCUCACAAUCCAACGUAACUGUAAAUCUUUCUUGGCAGCCAUGAAAUCAGUUCUAAAAUCCCUUGCAAACUCAAUCUUCCUUGUUCUUUUCAUCAUCUUUUCAUCUUCUACUCCACUUGUAUUGGCUCAAUGUGAAGCAGAGACCAGGACUAAUGGAUGCCAUAACUACAGAGAAUCCAUGAAGCUAAAAAUCAUUGCCAUUGUCGCAAUUUUACUAUCCAGCAUGAUUGGCGUGUGUCUGCCAUUGUUUUCUGGUCAGGUUCCGUCACUUAAACCCGACAGGGACUUGUUCACCAUUGUCAAGGCAUUUUCCUCCGGUGUUAUUCUAGCGACUGGGUACAUGCACGUGCUACCGGAUUCUUUUAACGACCUUAUGUCCGGGUGUUUGCCUGAAAACCCAUGGAGAAAGUUCCCUUUCACAACCUUCGUCGCAAUGCUGUCGGCUGUGUUGACCCUUAUGGUGGAUUCAUUUGCAAUGAGUGUAUACAAGAAACGUUGCGGUAAAGCUUUAAUGGCGGAUGCUAACAAUGGUGGUGGAUUGGAAAAUACGAACGUUGUACAAAUCGAUAAUUUUGAACACGGCCAUAGCCAUUCACUUGAGAUGAAUGACGACGUAUCAUCACAAUUGUUAAGGCAUCGAGUUAUUGCUCAGGUAUAUAUACAUGUUUGAAUCCUCAAAAUCGAUGGUUUUGCUUUUCAAGUCUUUACAUUAUGUAUUUCCUAAAUGUAGGUAUUAGAGUUGGGAAUUGUAGUUCAUUCAGUGGUGAUUGGCCUUGCAAUGGGAGCCUCUGGCAACCAAUGCACCAUUCGAUCACUCAUUGCUGCCCUUUGCUUCCAUCAAAUGUUUGAGGGGAUGGGACUUGGUGGAUGCAUACUGCAGGUAACCCCCAACAUUGCACUAUAUAUUUUCUCAUUCAAAUAUCCAUUUAGUGUACAAUAUUGAUUAACAUUAUGUUUGAUAUGUGCAGGCUGAAUAUGAGAUAAAAAUGAAAGCAAUCAUGGUAUUCUUCUUUUCAGCCACAACGCCACUUGGAAUAGUUCUGGGAAUUGGUUUGUCCAAGGUUUACAGUGAGACGAGUCCAACUUCACUUAUGGUGGUGGGACUACUUAAUGCUUGCUCAGCAGGGUUGCUGAAUUACAUGGCACUGGUUGAUCUACUUGCAGCUGAUUUUCUGGGCCCUAAGCUUCAAACAAAUAUGAAGCUCCAGGCUUGGUCAUAUGUUGCAGUUUUACUUGGUGCUGGAUUUAUGUCUUUGAUGGCAAAAUGGGCUUAGUCAUUUCAACAUAUACAUGUCUUUUUGUAAUCUUCUUUUUUUUUUCUUUUUUCUUUUUGCUUCAACAGAUAAGUUUAUAGUGGAUCAACACUUAUUCAAUCAAUUAUAAAAUUUAGGCAAAGAAUUGAGGCAACAAGGCUUGAACAUUGAUCUUUAAGAUCGUUUACUCCAUAUUGCAGGGCUCAUCACAAAGUAUAUAUAUCAGAAAAGUAUGCAAACUUCAAUUUUGUGUCAAUAUCAUUAUAAUUUAAACUGUUUAAUGUUACAUCAGAUGUAGAUGUCUUUAAGCCAAUGCUUAUAGCCACAAAGUCUCUUUGGUGCAAGCUAUAAGGACAGAGUUAUGUUAUAAAUAAACAAAUUAAAUAAUUUGUAUUUAAAAUAUCAAAUACUAAAAACCAAUAAAUAAGAUUAGAAAACCAAAAAUCGGAUAAAGAAUCAAAUUUUACUAGAUGUUGGGACUUGUUUUGCACAGUUUCCUUAAGAUAAAUUUGUCCGCUCCUACUGUACUUGGUGAAAUGUUGGGAGACUGUCUAAUAGGAUACAACAACACAAUGACCGAAAUAGUAGCAUCUCUACAGAGACCAAUGAACAACCUUGCCUUUUUCUAUCAUCAGAACAUUGGAAAAUAUAGAGAGAAAAAGAGAAGAAUUUUCGAGAGCAAAAUAAACUUGGUUUUAGAGAGUUUUUUAGUGUAAAAAAUUUUGAAGAAUUCUUAAGCAUUCAAGAUGGAGGAAUUUUUGAAAUAUCCAUAAUUAAAUAUACAAAAUCUGUAUUAAAUGAGCAAUUAAAUCAUAAUAUAUGUCCUUUUUAAAUUAGAUUAUAUAUAUUUGUUGAGAAAAAUAAAUUUUGUGUUGGGCUUAAAAUAUCCAUAGGCCCAACUGACCGGUCUAGACAUUUCACAUCGCCCAUGUAGUGCGAGUGCGCUUCAACCCCAAUGGGUUCGGAUCUACACCCCCUGCGCGUGAGACAAAGUUUCAAACUUAGUCAUUCAAUCAUCUUUCAAGUGGGUUCUCAUAUAUAAACGCAUCUCACAUUUGGUAUUUAAUCAAUGUGAGAUCUAAGCUUUUCUUUUCCUCAACAAAUAUUCACAAGUAACUUACUUUGAGUAUUAAUUUCUCGCUCAUCACUCAACCAUUUUGAGCAUACGAUAUACUGUUUUAAAGGUAUCAUGGAGUAGAAUAUAAAAUCAUAAUUUUAUGAUUCAAUUCUCCACUUAUACCAAUUGAGAAUAUGCUUCAAAGUUUCUAAAAAUUACAAUUUUUUUCAACAUUUUAUACAUCUAGUUUAAAGGUAUAAUCGAGUCCAGUAGAGCCCGAAUAAUGGCAAGCUUGAACUUGACUCAAACAUCACUUUUUAAGCUCAAUCUUGAUUCAAAACAUGAUUGAGCUGAUUAAGCUCGUUUAUCAAUUUUUAUAAUCAAACUCAUUUAUAAUUAAGCUCUUUUUAUAUAUCAAAGAUAAAAAUGUAAUUUUAUAAGUAAAAAUAUAUUUAAAUGGAAUGCUUAAUUAGGUUUGUGGGCUACUUGAAUCAAGUAUUACAAUAUUUAAAUUCAGCUUAAUCAAUAGCUCGAGCUCUACUCAAUAAUUUUCGAUAAAAUAUUAAGAUUUUUUGAAUCCAAUUCGAAUAGCUUGCAAAUAUAAUGUAUCACUUGUACUCUUAAUUUUGAGUUUGCAUUUUUAAUUCUUAAAAUAAUAUUAAAAAGUUCUUUCUUUCUAAAAAGAAACACCCAAUCAAUUGAAGGCUUUUUAGAAAGUGGUGGCAAAGUGCAUCCUUUACUUUAAGUCUCACUAUAUCUAAAAAGAAAUUAAUGCGAACUGUAGAAAGUGGUAGGAAUGUGCAUCAUUAUUGCUUUAAAAGAAUUUCAAUCUUUAAACGGAUAGAAUUAAAUUUUCAUAAUUUGGAAGAGUUAAAGUGUAAUUUUUUUUAUUAAUUUAAAAUUUUAAAAUUUUUUAAAGAGUUCAAAUAAUAAUUUUUUAUUUUAAGAGAGCCGGGCUCCUGUCAACUCCUGGAUUUGCCUCCAUAAUUUUCAAAAUUUUAAAUUAUGUUAUUUUGAAUAAAAAGUUAAUUGAUAAAGAAAUUCCUUUAGUUUCAAAAAUUCAAUUUUUUUGUUUUAAAAAAUAUUAAAAUUUAAAAAUUAAAAGAUUAAAGUAAUAAAAUUUCUCCCAAUAUUAAUGUCUUUUUGAUACAUGCACGAAUGGAGUGAAAUUUAUUAGAUUCCAAUCAUCAAAACUGCCAAUUUUUAGGCUUGGGAAAUUAGCACACUUGCGAUGACUUUGUGGAUGGGAUUCUGGCAUUUUUUGGGUUGAGAUGUCUCAUGGCAUUUGAAGAUCAAUCUCUUAGCUUCGAAACACAUUUCGAAUCACUCGAUUUUGAGUUCGGAAGCUCAAGUUAUGACUGUUUUAGUGAAGACUGCGCGAGCAGAAUUUUUGAACGAGAUUAUGACGGGAGUUACAAAUUUUGGGCUUUUAAUUCAUGUUUAAAUUAUAUUGGGUUCAGGUUUUAGACUUACUUUUUUUAUUAUAUAUGAGCCUAAUAUUAUAGUUGUUAGAUCUUAUUAUUUUAUUAUUAUUUUAUUCUAAAUUUUUUAUAAUUAUUAAGUAUUUUAAGUUAUUUAGGAGUUUUAUAUUAACAAGAAAAUUCAAUUUAAAACUACUUCUUAUUUAGAUUAAAUUAGAAUUCUAGUAUACUUAAAAGUUUUAUUUAGAUUUAUUUAGCUAGCCUAUAUGUAGGCAUUAUUCAUUAUUAUUCUAUUUAUCUUUUGAGUUAAUAAAUUCUCUCUGGGGUUUUUUUUUUCAAGAAUUUUUCUUGAGUUUCUUUUAGAAGAGUUUUAACAAUCAUUUUAGAUUGUGGGGAUCAUUUUCAAACUUUUUAUUGCCAAGGUUUCUAUCUUGAAGGGGAAAUUAGAGCCGCUUGAAGGGGAUUGUGAAUUCUUCGUGUUUCCAAGGCUUAUUAGGACUUCUACACACCACAUUCUAUCUUUUCAUUUAUCUUCUUUAUUUGCUUCCUUAUCUUUAAUUUAUUAUUUUAUUUUAGUUAUUUAUUUUAAUUGUUUUAUCUGACUUGGAUUCAAUUUCGUUUCAGAUUGUGUCAAAAUCCAAUUUCUUUCCGAACGUUUAGAACCCUAAGUCAAAUCCAUAAUUUUGACAAACUUUAUGAUCCACUUUCGCGUUCAUCCUUCUCAUCCUUUUGUACUGGCUUGAGGAGUCGACUCUGUUGUAGAUUCUAGAUUAAUCUGAUGCUCCACCUGCUUUUGAUUUUCUUUAUUGGAAGAGUCUUUAAGAGAUAUGUUAAGUAGCAUAACAGUUUCAUCAAAAACAACAUUUCUGUUAAUCACAACUUUUCUAUUUUCAGGAUACCAUAACUUAUACACUUUUACACUAGCUUUAUAACCAAGAAAAACACAUUUAAUGGUACACAAUUUUAAUUUUCCAUUAUCAGCAUGAGUAUACGCAAAACACCCAAAAAUCUUUAAAUCAGAAUCGUCAGCAGGAUUACUAAACCAUACUUCUUAUGGAGUCUUUUUCUCAAUAGCAACGAAUAGAGACCGAUUGAUCAAAAACAUAUAGUUGACAUUGCUUUGGCCCAAAAUAACUUUGAUAAGUUGCCAUUUGACAACAUACAUCGAACAUUCUCCAUGAUCGUUCUAUUCAUUCGUUCUACAAUACCUUUUUUAAAAUGUUCAUGUUCUAAAAUGAAAAACAAUAUGAAUUGCAUGAAUUGCUUAUAUGUCCUAUGAAUUAUAAAGGAAUGCGGUUGAAAUAUUCCCAUCGAUACAUACAUACAUAUUCGUGAAGUAUGUUCCAAUAUAAUAUCAAUAUUGGGAUUUACGUUUUAUAAAGCAACAUUAUUGAUUGGUAAUAUACAUUAAUUCCAAGGCAAACCCAAAUAUUUUAAAAUUUAACCUACAACUGUGGUAAAUCAAACUUAAUAGUAACUCGAUUGUAAUGUGAAGUCAAAUAUGAAAGUAACAUUGGUUUAUAUAUAUAUUUUUCUCUAAAUUCUAAUAAUCAAGUUGGGAUAAGUGAUAAACACUGAGCUUGCCACGUGUGUUAACCACGUUUUCAUCAUGUGCCACUCCAAAGACAUCAGGCCUCUAUUCAAGCUGGCAUGGUCAGGACGUGGUAGCAUACUUCAGGGAUCUGGUUAGAAAAUAUCCCAUAUCGCUAAAGAACUAUAACACAGGAGCGUUUAUAUAAGCGAAAGAAGCAUCAGAUGGUUGUCCCUUCGGGGACAUCCGAUAAAAUUGGAACGAUACAGAGAAGAUUAGCAUGGCCCCUGCGCAAGGAUGACACGCACAAAUCGAGAAAUGGUCCAAAUUUUUUUCCCUUUUUUUUCCCACAUUUUUACAGCUCUGUUUCUUUUUUUUUUCCUGGGUUUGGUGUUCAUAUUCAUGGGUUUUUGUGCACUUAAGAUUGCAAUUAGAGUUUUCUUUCUUUCUUUUACUCUCUUGAACUGUGAAUUUGAUUUUUUUUUCCAUUUUUUCAGCUUUGUUUCUUUUUUCCCCCUGGGUUUAGUUUUCAUGUUCAUGGGUUCCGCGCACUUAAGAUUGCAUUAGAGUUUUUUUUUUUUCCUUUUUACUGGGUUUUGGCCAGUUGUACUCUGUUGAACCGUGAAUACCUCAAGUUUUCUGGGAAUAAAUUGUUGCUUAUAUAUUUGCUGGUUAACAGUGGUAAUUUUCUGAUAUAUUGGCCAGAAUUGAAGGAUGAAGGUCCAACUUUGCUUUUGGUCCUUCUACUACUAUCUUAAGAUUUAAAAGAAAUUCAAUUAAACAAUUUCUUCCAAUAAAAUUAAAUAAGAAGGCCCAGAAAUUGACCUGCACACUUAGACAUGUUUCUCUUUGAAAAAAAUUCAAACAGGAUUUUAAAAUUUGCAAUGUGUUUUAUGUAAAUCAAAUGAUAUCCUGAAUUUUGCUAAGGGUGCUUCAUAUCCUUGAAUCCUUUUUUUGCUUGGCAAGUGAUUCAUUGAGUUUUUGUGAUCAAAUUUCAUGUUUCCUUUUUUAGUACGGGAAUUUGUGGGAAAAUGCUUGGCAAUAUGGAAAUGAAACCAAUUUCCAUUUACGAAGGCACCAGCAAAGUGGUGAAGCUUAUUGUUGAAAAAUUCUUCAAUAAUGUCAAUAAUGAAAAAGUAGAAAAUGGAAAAACAGAGAAUAAUUUUGGUUCUUCAUCCUAUUUGUAGUUAUAGUGAACGGAUUUCUUUGAUUUUAGUAACUAAUAUUAUGAUUCCAACAUUUGGGGUUUUAAUCUCACUACAUGAACUUGGCUUUGCUUCUUAGUGUUAUUGUUGAACUUUUUAGGAUACCUCUAUCUUAAUCCAUUUAUGUGAUUUGAUAAUGAUAUUUGCAGGCACUUAAAUCUUCCAUUGAAAUGGAGAACACCAACUACGAGGAGGAGCUGAAGAAUGAUUGCAGGCUUGUUUGCAGUCUCAUAUACGAUAUUAAUUGCAGAAAAGAACAGUUGUCCCAAAUGGAACGUGAAUAUAACGAGAUGACCGCAACUCUUCAAGGACUCAUCAAUGGCCUCAUGGCAAAAAUUAACUCCCAAGGACUGUAAUCUGUGGGGUUGGGAGCUUCAAUAUAAUGUAACCGUGAGACAGUUGAAGGGCAAGAAUGCUGCGUUGCGCCUUGCGUUUGCUGAAGGUACUUUAGAUUAUAUAUGUGUAUGUAGUGAGCAGAAUACUAUGUGUUAAUUGAAUCGUUUGGUACCCAUUGAUUGAUCUAUAUAAAUGUCAGGAUUUGAACCCCAAACUUAGCUUUUAUUACGGGAACCGGAUCAAUUUAGGCUCGGAUAAGCUUAAUGUGUUCAGAACCAGAUAAGAACAUAAUAUAUGGGAACACUUUGGCCAUACGAGGCUAAUGCUUAUAUGAUUCGCAUUACAGACUACAUGCACUGUUAGUUGAAUAGCUUUAUGAUGUAUUAAUCUAUAAAAUCUGGGUGUCAUAUUAUGAGUUCCAUUGCUAUGUUAAUCUAUGUACUAACAAUAUUAUGAAGUAAGGCAAUUUUGUGUACAUUAUAUUGGGAUGCAAGCUGAAUUCCUAUUAAUCAGCUUCAACCAUACAUACAUACAUACAUACAUACAUACAUACAUAUAUAUAUGAAGUUAAGAACGUAAGUGCUGUUAAAUGGUACAUUACUCAGAUUGGUAAUAUAUUGGUGCCGAAUGUUCUAAAAUUUUACCAGCAUUACUGGUAAUAUAUUAAUGCCAAAUUUGACUAAUUAUUGUUUAUAUAUAUUCAAAAAUUUCAGAUUUGAUAAAGAUAAAAUGGCAAUAAUGAAUAAAAAUACUAACUUUUUGAGAUCUUAUUUAAUGAAGGGAAGUUGAAUAUGGAAACUAAAUCGACCUAAGGGAAAUAAAAGCAAAAUAUGGAAAAUAUUUCUCGGGAAAACAAGUGUUAUCCUUCAUAUAUCUUGAUGAUUCUCUAACGCCGCCAGUUUUCCCCCCUAAGUUUACAGCAAGAAGAAGAAGAAAAAGAAGACAAACGGCAACGUUAAGCCAUUUUCAUCCCAGGUUAAUUUUAUUGUAAAUUAAACAUUUUUUGUAUACAUUUUGUUACCUAUUUAUUUUAUGGUUAUGAUUUGCCGAGUGGACAUUUUCAACAAUGUGGAUUGUAUCUGAUACAGCCGAAAGAGAAUGUGCCUUGUCGAGAUCUUGUUGAACUCGUGAAAACUACGAGCGAUCAGAUUGCUGCUCUAAAGGAACAAUUGGAGGAAACAUCAGAGGCGUUGAAAGAUAUGGAAAGCCGAUACAGUUGUCUUACGGUGAAACAAAUCUUAAUUAAUCGAGAACUGCAAGAUGCUCGAAAAGAAUCAGUAAGUGUAUUUCCUCGUUUUCCUUUGUUUUCUUGGAUGUUUUAUUUCUUUAGGUGCAAGAAAUACCUCUUCGGAAUCAGGUAUGAAAGUGUUAAACCGAAGACUUCUCUGGUUCUUGAUAUGCAGGGUCUAAAUGAUGUAUUGACAAGCCGAACAACUCUUGUAGUAAAAAAAAUGGGAGAGAUUGAUCGAAAAGCUUUUGAAGUUGCUAGCUCUGGGAAGUUCCCGAACAAAGAUUGGCAAGAAACAUGUGCUAAAUUAUGUUCAUUAUGGCAACAAAACGUGCAGGAUCCGAAAUGGCACCCGUUUAAGAUGAUCAAUAUCCGAGGCAACUUGCAGGUAUGGUGCAUACACCAACUAUUCUGUUAUCCGGUUAUCGAAAAUCCGUUUUUUUACUAAAUGUGCUAAACAUAUAUGUCAGAAUCGAGCCAGUUUAUUACUCAAACUUAUAUAUAUUAAGGGGAUAGCUACUCGGUAGUGUAGGAAAUAGUAGACGAAGACGACGAGAAGCUGAAGGAGUUGAGAAAUGAAUACGGUGAUGUCGUGUACGAGGCUGUUAGCACCGCAUUGAUGGAAAUGAACGAAUAUAAUGGGAGCGGAAGGUAUGCAGUCAUUUAAGCUAGUUGAGUGACCCGCAAUCUAGUUUAUCAUUUUUAAAAUAUUUAUAGUCUAUGAAUUUUGACUUUUCUUCCAAUAAUAUAUCUCCAAAAUUCUAACUUAACCUUUUUAAACUUUGUCAUGUAAUUAUUAUUAGAGUUAAUUGCACCAAAUAUCUCCAAACUAUGGCCCUUAUUCUAAAAUAGUCCUCAAACACAAAAUAUUGUAAAUUAUAUUUCCAAAUUAUCAAUAUUAUAUCAAUAAUGUUCUUCUGUUGUUAAAAUCAUUAAAUGAGACGUCAAAUGAGACAUAAUUUAAAAUAAAAAACUUAAAGAAAAAUAAAUAUAUUGUAAAAUAUUGAUUUCAAGGUUUUCGAAGCUAUUACAAAAACUAUCAUUCAUUUUCUCUUUUACUUUAUUUUUAAUUUUUAUUUUUAAAAGUUGUAUCAACAACAUUUUACUUUUCUUUAAAAAUAUCAUUUUAAAUUAAUAGUGUCAAUAAUAAAAGGAUGAGAUAAAUAGUUUAAAAUAUUUUAAAGUUGGGAGAAUAAUUUAAAAUAAAGAUUCAAUAUUGUUAAUCUAGUACUAUUUCAUAAUAUCAUUUUAUCGUAUCAACUUUUAAAGAUGACUUUUUUUUUUGAAAUAUUUUAAAGACAACAUUUAAAGAUUGAUUAUAAUAAUAUUGUUGCAUGGAAAAAGAAUUUCCACGUUAGCAGAAAGGCUUACGCCUGACGUGUGCUUAGUAUUAUUAGUAAAGUCAAAGGUCGAGAAAGUCUAAGGCGGGUCACACAUAUCACACGCCAUGCACAGGUUUCCUUAUUUCGAGGCUAAAAUACCAAAAUACCAUCACAUUUCUUGUUAAAUUUAUCACUUAAUCAACGAUCCUCUAAAACGAAGUAAGGACAUAUUAGAAAUUUUAAUUGCAAUAAUAUCACCAAAUCUGAAAAAUUACAAAUGAGGCAAAAAAAAAUACGAGUAAUAUUUGGCCAUAAAGUGCAUAUAUUCAUUCCCUCUAAACCAGUCGGUUAAGCCUCACAAUCCAACGUAACCGUAAAUCUUUCUUGGCAGCCAUGAAAUCAGUUCUAAAAUCCCUUGCAAACUCAAUCUUCCUUGUUCUUUUCAUCGUCUUUUCAUCUUCUACUCCACUUGUAUUGGCUCAAUGUGAAGCAGAGACCAAGACUAAUGGAUGCCAUAACUACAGAGAAUCCAUGAAGCUAAAAAUCAUUGCCAUUGUCGCAAUUUUACUAUCCAGCAUGAUUGGCGUGUGUCUACCAUUGUUUUCUGGUCAGGUUCCGUCACUUAAACCCGACAGAAACUUGUUCACCAUUGUCAAGGCAUUUUCCUCCGGUGUUAUUCUAGCGACUGGGUACAUGCACGUGCUACCGGAUUCUUUCAACGACCUUAUGUCCGGGUGUUUGCCUGAAAACCCAUGGAGGAAGUUCCCUUUCACAACCUUCGUCGCAAUGCUGUCGGCUGUGUUGACCCUUAUGGUGGAUUCAUUUGCAAUGAGUGUAUACAAGAAACGUUGCGGUAAAGCUUUAAUGGCGGAUGCUAACAAUGGUGGUGGAUUGGAAAAUACGAACGUUGUACAAAUCGAUAAUUUUGAACACGGCCAUAGCCAUUCACUUGAGAUGAAUGACGACGUAUCAUCACAAUUGUUAAGGCAUCGAGUUAUUGCUCAGGUAUAUAUACAUGUUUGAAUCCUCAAAAUCGAUGGUUUUGCUUUUCAAGUCUUUACAUUAUGUAUUUCCUAAAUGUAGGUAUUAGAGUUGGGAAUUGUAGUUCAUUCAGUGGUGAUUGGUCUUGCAAUGGGAGCCUCUGGCAAUCAAUGCACCAUUCGAUCACUCAUUGCUGCCCUUUGCUUCCAUCAAAUGUUUGAGGGGAUGGGACUUGGUGGAUGCAUACUGCAGGUAACCCCCUACAUUGCACUAUUUUCUCAUUCAAACAUCCAUUUAGUGUACAAUAUUGAUUAACAUUAUGUUUGAUAUGUGCAGGCUGAAUAUGAGAUAAAAAUGAAAGCAAUCAUGGUAUUCUUCUUUUCAGCCACAACGCCACUUGGAAUAGUUCUGGGAAUUGGUUUGUCCAAGGUUUACAGUGAGACGAGUCCAACUUCACUUAUGGUGGUGGGACUACUUAAUGCUUGCUCAGCAGGGUUGCUGAAUUACAUGGCACUGGUUGAUCUCCUUGCAGCUGAUUUUCUGGGCCCUAAGCUUCAAACAAAUAUGAAGCUCCAGGCUUGGUCAUAUGUUGCAGUUUUACUUGGUGCUGGAUUUAUGUCUUUGAUGGCAAAAUGGGCUUAGUCAUUUCAACAUAUACAUGUCUUUUUGUAGUUUUUUAAUCUUUUUUUUUUUAUGCUUCAACUGAUGAGUUUAUAGUGAAUCAACACUUAUUCAAUCAAUUAUAAAAAUUAGGCAAAGAAUUUAGGCAACAAGGCUUGAAUAUUGAUCUUUAAGAUCGUUUACUCCAGAUUGCAGGGCUCAUCACAAAGUAUAUAUAUCAGAAAAGUAUGCAAACUUCAAUUUUGUGUCAAUAUCAUUAUAAUUUAAACUGUUUAAUAUUACAUCAGAUGUAGAUGUCUUUAAGCCAAUGCUUAUAGCCACAAAGUCUCUUUGGUGCAAGCUAUAAGGACAGAGUUAUGCUAUAAAUAAACAAAUAAAUGUUGUAUAAAACCCUUCUCAAAUAAAUGUUGUAUAUAUAUAUUAUUGAGAAGAUCACUAGUUAAACUAAAAGUUUAGUUCUUUAAUGCACCUAAAAAACUUUGUAGUAUCCACAUUGUUAGUGGAUUAAGACUUUAACCAAGUUAAGGUCAGCGCAGAAAAACAAGCAUGCGAGUCAGUAAUAUUCUAAUGCCACCAUCCACCAUUAUUAAACAAACAAAAUAUUUGUCAUUGACAACAAGGCAAUGUGUGUAGGUUUUGAAAAAUAUCAGUAAAGGGAAAAAAAUAAAAACUGAUGAAAUUGAAACUUGUUUUUUAAUAAGGAACGAUGGUGAUGAGCUUAUCUUGUUUGAACCAAUAAUUGCCAAAUGUGAGGACCACAAGAAAGAAAUCAAAAGGGAAAAAAAAAAAAAAAGGUAGGGCUGUUUAAGUGGGGGGAUGCACAUUUGGUACUGGUAAUGGUAGCAAAGUUUUGCAGUAUGGUACCCUUGUGUGGUCACAGAAUUUCCAAGAGACCCCCCUAACAUUACUAUAAGUAACCAAUUGUUGCGGCCAAUAAAAUUUUUACAGUCUGUACUAUAAAAACAAUGCAUACCUUAACUGUUUUUUAAUCCCCCCCAGCCCCCCGCAAUGCAUGAAUACCGAUGAUUGUUUACCAUUAUGAAAGUACAAAUGCAGACACUCCUGUUGUUGGAAAAAAUGCAUUUUAAUGGGAACUUUAAGACAUAUUCUAUAUAGGUAAAAGUGGAGAGUUGAGAUAUUGUUGAGUAAAAAUAAAGGCUUGGAUCCAUAUUGGUUAAAUACCCAAGUGUGAGAUGAGUUUAUAUAUGCGAACCCUCUUAAAAGAUAAUUGAAUGAUUAAGUUUGUAACUUUGUCUCAUGCGUAGAAAGUAUAGGUCUAAAACUGAAAGGGUUGGGGCGCACCCGCACGACGUGGGCAACGUGAAAUGUUUGGACCGGUCAGGCUUAAUUGGGCUUACGGAUAUUUUAAGCAAGCCCAAUACAAAUUUAUUUUUCCUCAGCAGACAUAAUCUGCUUAUAUAUAGACAAUAUUUAAUUUGAUUUAAUUUUUAAACCAAAUUGAUUUUUAUGUUUAUUUCCUUAAUUUUUAAAUCUAAUUUGACUUUUCCUUAAUCGCAGAUUUUAUGUUUAUUUCCAAAUUUUUUUAUUAUCCUAAAUGCCUAUAAAAUGUUGUGUAUUCUGGAGGAUUACACACACAUUCAAAUAAUUUCUUAUACCGAAAUUCUGUUCAUUUCAAAACUCUUCUUUUGCGUCUCUGUAUUUUUACAAUAUUCCAGUGAUAGAAAAAGAAAAAGUUCGUUUGUUCGAUCGUUGUAGAGGUGCUACUACUUUGAUCAUUGUUGUUGUUGUAUCCUGGGAAACAUUCGACCAACAUUUCUCCAAGUACCAUAGGAGCAACCGAAUUUGCCUCAAGGAAACUGUGUUUCACAGGCCUCGACUUUUCGUAAAAUCUCGAUUCUACUUUAUUUCAAAUUUUUAUUUGAUUUUUGUAUUUGAUAAAUUAAUUAUAAAUCAUUCUAUUUAUAUUUUAUUUCAUAUGUGUUUAUUUAUAAUUAAUUAUUUUGUUCGCUAACAUGUUUUGUCCAACACCUAUUACAAUUUUUAUGGUUCGAUUCCUUUUGAUGAAGAUUUCCCCAGGAUAAUACUUACUUCAUAAAACUUCCUAGCUGUGAAACAUGGUACUUAUCUUAUAACAAGACUUUGCUAGGAGAACCGCAAAAUAUGUUCUUAUUAACAUAUGUAACGUAUUAAUCCUUAGUUUCAUCAUGAAUUUGGAUACAAAUGUGUUAAUGGAUAUAGCCACAUAUCUGCAGAUACAGGCACAAGUGAGCAAUAAGAGAGAGCGGUAGAGAGAGAGAGUUGAUAUAUUGGGGUUGAAUUGACGGGUUGUGCAAUUGGAUGCAAGAAAGGUGCAGCAGGCACCUAAGGUCACUAGUAUAAAGGACCCACUUGAGCACAAGUUUGUGUUUCAAUUCAAAUGUUGCUCUCUCAGAUGAUGUUUGGCACCAAAUGGGUUAGGUGUUAAUCCAGUCCCCCUCCGUACAUAGCACUGCUUUCGCAUUUGUAGUGCCCCUUUCGGCCCUUUUCCUUCUGCAUACUAGCUAUGCCUAUAGCAACAUAACUAGGCUAGGCAUGUAUGGGGGUAAAGAACGGCCAUUAGUGAUCCCCUUUUAUUCUUCUUUUACUUUUCAGAUUUGGAACAGAAAGGAAGGAAGGAAAGCCACCAUGAAAGAAAUCAUUCAGUACGUAAUCGGGCAACUGAAGAUUCAUAAGCGUAAAUGAAAGCGAAUUCCGUGAUCUCGAUCUGACUAUUUUCAUGGUAAGCUUACCUAUCCUUUACUAUCAAUCACUAAUCAUUUUACGGUUUAUAGUCGUUUUUUACAUAUCAUGAAAACUAAUCAUUUCGAGAUUUGUGGUUGUCAUUCCCAAUAAUUUUGUUUUCAAUACUUUUUAAUAUUAUUUUAGAUUUUAAAAUUCUUUUCCAAUUUAAAUACUAAUAUAUAUAUAUAUAUAUUAUAGCCCAAUGUUAUUCAACCUUUAAAUUAAUAUAAACAACUUAUACUGUUAUGAGUUUUUUUCCCCAUUUUUAUCUUCAAAAAUUGUGAAUCAAAGGCAAUUAGAUCUGUGAUUUUUGGCUUUGAAAACCUUAUCAACUUGAGCACAAAUCUUUGAUCAAAUAAACUCGAUAUGAUCUUAUUAGAAAAUUUAAACUUCAAAUAAUUUCAAACUUAAAUUUGAAACUGAUUUGGAUGAAAUGAUCUGAAAAUUUCUAAUUUUGAAUUAUUCUAUUAUAGAUCUAGCUAUAGCCCAAGACCCAUCACAAAUCUAUGUAUUUGGAUAAUUACCUUCUUCCUAAAAGAUAUGUUGCAGUGCACUCGAUUAUUUAUUUAGGAUUUUUUUCCCGAUGUGGGAUUAAUGACUUUGAUUAUGUAUUGAUAAAUUUUAAUUUUUAAAGUAAAAAUAGAGAAAUUAAGUUUCAAAUGUACGAACUGUGUAAGAACUUCGAGAAUAUUUUAAUCUUCAAAUUUUUUACUUUAUAAUUUAAUACAAAUAAAUAAUCAAUACAAUGCAAAACAAUGAGAGGCUAAUCUUUUUAACAACAUGCCUACAUCCUCAUUUAAUAAAUGAUUUUAAUUUUUAUAUAAUUCUCAUUCGGCUUAAUGUUGUAUCUAAGUUGAUUAUUAGUAGUGAAGUCAAAAAAAUAUUUUGAGGGUUGAAAUUAAAUUGAAUAUUUUUACGAUAGUAAAAAUAUAAUUUUACCAUUUUAAUAGUCUAUAUAUAAUUUACAAUUAUUAAUUUAAAAUUUUAUAAUUUAUAAAGGAGCCUAAAUGAAAAUUUUUUUCAUUUUAAGGAAACUGGCAUUGGUGAUUAUAAUAAGAAUCAAAUUCUGACCUAUAAGGUUAUACAUUAUUUUUCAGUAAUUGCUUUUUUUUUUCGUUUUGGGUAACAUUUUCCCUAUGUAUUCAUUUAGUUGCCUUACAAAUAAUGUACAUUAUUGUAAAGAGAGUCGAUGUAUUAUUCUUCAAUACUUACCUCGUUUUUUCUAACCCUUUAUUUGCUAAUAAAACACAACGUUUACAUUGGGACCAUAAUUUCAUGCAGAAAGGGAAAAGACUUUGCCAUUCCCUAAUAUCCUUUUCUAAGCAAAGGAUCAUCUAUGUACUAGUGACAAAUGGGUUCAUAUCGGUCUCUCUUCGGAUUAAGAUUACCACCUAUUUGAACCGGUUUAAGUUUGACUAUUUAGAAUUUGAAUACUUUUGAGUUUAGAUUGUCUCAAUUUAAAAUAAGUAUUUAGACUAGUUGAUCCACGAACCGGUUGAACAAACGACCGAUUUGAUUUUUUAAAAUAUAUAUUUUUUAAUUUUUAAUAGUUUAUUCAAUUAAACCAAUUGGAUUGAUUAAAUUGAGUAGAGGUGGUUUCUAUUGCACACAAUCUAAUGAAAGACACAAAAAUGUACAGAAAUGUUUUAAAGUUUAGGUAAAUAAUUUAAUGAAAAAUAGACAUGAUUAGUGGCGAAGUCCUGGUUCUCUAAAAUAGAAUAUUUUCCAUUUAGUCUUUUAUAAUUUUUAAAUUUUUAAAUUAGUAAUGGUAAAAUUACACUUUCCUCGCCUAAAAUUGAUAAAAAAUUGAUUUACCCUUUUAAAAAUUAUAAAGAUAUAAACUAUUAAAAUGGUAAAAUUGUAUUUUUAUUAUCGUAAAAAUAUACAAUUUAAUUUUGUCCCAAAAAUUUUUUUGACUUCGCCCUACAUAUCAUUAUCUUAAUAAAAAAGGUAAAAAUAUUGAGUAUACAAUAAUUAGGUUGAACAAUUUUUGUUGGGAAUAUAUGUUAAAAAAAUAUAGAUUAGCUAUUAAAUGUAAAAUGGCAAAAGAAUAAAUUAUAAAGUGUACACAUAAGGUUGAUUUCGUAAAACUAAAAAUUACCAAUUUUUCACAACUUUGUCAACUAUUAUAUACUUGAGAUGGCAAGAGCCUUUUUUACUUUAAUCGGUGGUUAAUGGUUCGAUCAUUGUCCUGGAUAUGGAGUAACUUUAAAACUCGUGACCAACAUCUAUCCGUUAAUGGGCCUAUAGAAUGUGGAGGGUUAGUUACUAGGUUCGCUCUAAUAGAUACAUUGAUAAAUUAAAAAAAUGGAAUAAAAAAUGUUAGUAAAUUUGACAUUUGAAGUUGUUUAAAGUUAUAAAUUAAAUUGGUAAUAUAUAAGAGAUAUUUUUAUUUGUGUUUAUAUAGAAUUGAAGGAAUAAAAUUUUAAUAUUAACCAUAAAUUAGCAAAUAAUAUCUUCAAAUUUUAAAGUUAUAAAAGUGAAAUAAUAUCAAACAUGAAAUCAAUUACUUUAUUUUAUUUUUUAAUUUUUAUUAUAUAUAGUCAACAUUAUAUUUGAAAAUCAAUAUUACAUAUUGAGAAUUAAUUAUUAUGAACACUUUAUUGUGGGGUUCUUUUACAUUAAUAAUAUAAAAUAAAUAAAUAAAUGCUAGAAUAGGAUAAAGGGAAUAAUAUUUACAAGAAUAGGUAAUGAAAUAGUGAAAUAUCGGUGUUGUCUGACCAAUCGGCGACACCAGACUAAAAUGUGAUGAUCUAAAAGGAUAAAUUGUACCCUAAGUCCCCCUUAUUUAUUAUUUAUUAUUUUUCUUUAACACCAAAAAAUAGAUUGGCCUUUUAUAAAUUAGUCUAGUUUUUUUUUACCAAAAAAUAUUUUUGUAAGUAAACCGUUUCUAUUUAGAAAUAAAUUUUAUUUAUUUUAAAAUAAUAUUUAUAAUUUUAUUAUCCAUUUGAUUUACGUACACAGUAUAAAAUUAUAAUUAUAAAAGCUUUAGAAAAAAUCUUAUUAUGUAUAAAUUAUAAUUAUUAGUUAAAUUUAUAGUUUCCAAAUAUAAUGAGAGAAAAAGAAAACUACUAUAAAUACAGUUAAUUGUAAUGUCAAACAUAAUGUGAUUUUUUUUUAAAAUAAAUAAAAUUUAUUUCGAGUUGGAAUCGACUUACUUGAAAAAAAUACUUUUUAGUAAAAAAAAAUUAGACUAAUUGAUAAGAGGUCAAUUUAUUUUUGGUGUUAAAAGAUAAUAAAAUUUAAUAAUAAAUAGGGGUUUAGGGUGCAAUUUACCCUUUUAAAUUUGGUGCUGUCAUACUGUUAGGCGGCACCCAUGAAGAUUUUUUCGACUGUCAAUUAAAACGGAAAAUUUACAGAUAAGGUCCCUAGAAUUUUUAGAUCAUCACAUUUUAGCCUGGUGCGGCCGAGUGCUCAAGCUGCACCUGAAUUUUUUUAAACUAGAAUUUUUAGAUCAUCACAUUUUAGCCUGGUGCGGCCGAGUGCUCAAGCUGCACCUGAAUUUUUUUAAAUAAAGUGAUGCCGUUGAUUGGUUAGGCGGCACCGGUAUUUCACUAUUUCAUUUGACUAUUCUCAUAAAUAUUAAUCUCUUUAUCCUAUCCUGUAUUUAUUUAUUUAUUUAUUUUAUAUUAUUAACGUAAAAAAUCCUUUAUUGUGACCUGCGGAAACGUGGAAUGAAAACCAAAUAGGUUUUUUUUUUAGUUUUUCUUGAAUUAAAAUGCAACCAAUAAGAAUAAUUGAUAUUUUAAUUUAAUAAAAAUAAAAUUAAUUAAUGUUUGAGUAUUUAAUUUUAAAAAUGAUCAAGAUGUAAUUACAACAAUUAAUUUUAAAAGUUAUUAAAGAUAUUUAUAUAUGUCAAUUUUUUAUAAUUAUUAAUGACAUACAUAUAAAUUAAUUAAUAGCGUAUCUCUCAAAGAUGAUAUUGACAGUGGCGGAGUCAAAAAAUAUUUUUGAGAUAUCGGAAUUAAUGUAAAAAUGUACAAUUUAAUUAAUUUAAUAGUUUUUAUAAUAUUUAAAGAAUUAAAUCAAAAUUUUUAUCAUUUUAAAGAAGAACAAAGUAUAAUUUUACUUUUAUUAAUUUAAAAUGUUAUAAAUUAUAAAUAUUAUACAUGAAUUUUUUUUCAUUUUAGGGACCGGAUACUGUCAGCUCCUAUGACUAUGUAAGCCUUGAAAACAUCCUUUAUUAUUGCAUUUCUUUUUCUACGUUGGCAGUGGUGUGCUUUCGUAGAUUCUAGCCACUCCUUUUUAGAUAAAAUUUCCAAAAGGAAUAGAUAUUAUAUGAGGAAUACUUGGUUGAAGAAAGAAAAAGCAAAAAAACAAAAAAAAAAAUUGGAAAAUGACCUUACAUGAAACUACUCAUGCAAUUGGAUCAACUCAUUCACUCAACCUUUCAAGAGCUUUAUUUACUACUUGGAUACUUAAUAAUUCAUUUAUUUAAUAACUUAUUAUAGGGACCGAACAUGUCUUUUUCAUUUCACCGAAAAUCAAUUUUACAAUAUAAACUCCUAUGACCUUCCCUCUAUGUCUUGCAGUAAUGAUUCCUCUAACAAUUUCUCAAUUCAAUAAAAGAAAAAAAGAAAAGAGGUGAAUAAGAUCUUAAAUAAUAAGAGAUAUGUAAAAAGGAGGCCCGAUUAUGCCCAACCUAAACCUAAAUGGAAUGUAACGACGUAUGGAUCUAUAUGUAGUAUUCUAUAUUAAUAUAGUAAUAUAAUAUUACUAAUAGUAUCGACUCCUUUUUUAUUUUCUAGUUUAUUUUCUAUUUUAGUAUAUUUUACAUCUAAAUUAUAUAGAAUUUUUUAUAUAGAUAUAAAUUAUAUUUAAUCAAUCAAUUGAAUAGAUAUAAUUUAUUUUAUUUAGUUUAGAGUUGUAAAUAGAGAUAAUUAGAGUAAAAAAUCAUUUAUAUGUUUUAUGAUUGCCAACAUUUCUGUCAAAAACAAGUAUAUAUUUGCACCAAUUCAUCCGAGUUAGUGCAAACAUAUGAAAUAUUUAUAUGUCCAUAAAAUAUAUAUAAAUUGGGGUGUUAAGAAAACCAUGAAAUAUUUAUAUGUCCAACGAAAUAAAUCAUUCAGUACGUAAUCGGGCAACUGAAGAUUCAUAAGCGUAAACGAAAGCGAAUUCCGUGAUCUCGAUCCGACUAUUUUCAUGGUAAGCUUACCUAUCCUUUACUGUCAUUCACUAAUCAUUUUACUGUUUAUAUUCGCUUUUUACAUAUCAUGAAAACUAAUCAUUUCAAGAUUUGUAGUUGUCAUUUUCAAUAACUUUGUUUUCAAUACUUUUUAAUAUCAUUUUAAAUUUUAAAGUUCUUUUCCAAGUUAAAUACUAAUAUAUAUAUAUUAUAGCCCCAUGUUAUUCAACCUUUAAAUUAAUAUAAACAAGUACUUAUACUGUUAUGAGUUUUUUUUUCCCUUUUUUAUCUUCAAAAAUUGUGAAUCAAAGGCAAUUAGAUCUGUGAUUUUUGGAUUUGAAAACCUUAUCAACUUGAACAUAAAUCUUUGAUCAAAUAAACUCGAUAUGAUCUUAUUAGAAAAUUUAAACUUCAAAUAAUUUCAAAUUUAAAUUUUAAACUGAUUUGGAUGAAAUUAUCUGAAAAUUUCUAAUUUUGAAUUAUUCUAUUAUAGAUCUAGCUAUAACCCAAGACCCAUCACAAAUGUAUAUAUGUAUUUGGAUAAUUAGCUUCUUCCUAAAAGAUAUGUUGCAGUGCACUCGAUUAUUUAUUUAGGAUUCUUUUUCUUUCUGAUGUGGAAUUAACGACUUUGAUUAUGUAUUGAUAAAUUUUAAUUUUGAAAGUAAAAAUAGAGAAACUAAGUUUCAAAUGUACGAAGUGUGUAAAAACUUCGAGUAUAUUUUAAUCUUUAAAUCUUUUACUUUAUAAUUUAAUACAAAUAAAUAAUCAAUCCAAUGCAAAAUAAUGAGGGGCUAAUCUUUUUAACAACAUGCCUACAUCCUCAUUUAAUAAAUGAUUUUAAUUUUUAUAUAAUUCUCAUUCAGCUUAAUGUAGUAACUAAGUUGAUUAUUAGUAGUGAAGUCAAAAAAAUAUUAAUUUUGAGGGUUGAAAUUAAAUUGAAUAUUUUUACGAUAGUAAAAAUGUAAUUUUACCAUUUUCAUAGUCUAUAUAUAAUUUUACAAUUAUUAAUUUAAAAUUUUAUAAUUUAUAAGGGAGCCUAAAUGAAACUGGCAUUGGUGAUUAUAAUAAGAAUCAAAUUUUGACCUAUGAGGUUGUACAUUAUUUUUCAGUAAUUGAUUUUAUUUUUUUCGUUUUGGGUAACAUUUUCCCUAUGUAUUCAUUUAGUUGCCUUACAAAUAAUGUACAUUAUUGUAAAGAGAGUCGAUGUAUUAUUCUUCAAUACUUACCUUGUUUUUUCUAACCCUUUAUUUGCUAAUAAAACACAACGUACAUUGGGACCAUAAUUUCAUGCAGAAAGGGAAAAGACUUUGCCAUUCCCUAAUAUCCUUCUCUAAGCAAAGGAUCGUCUAUGUACUAGUGACAAAUGGGUUCAUAUCGGUCUCUCUUCGGAUUAGGAUUACCUCCUAUUUGAACCGGUUUAAGUUUGAGUAUUUAGAAUUUGGAUAAUUUUGAGUUUAGAUUGUCUCAAUUUAAAAUAAGUAUUUAGACUAGUUGAUUCACGAACCGGUUGAAUAAACGACCGAGUUGAUUUUUUAAAAUAUAUAAUUUUUAAUUUUUAAUAGUUUAUUCAAUUAAACCAAUUGGACUGAUUAAAUUGAGUAGAGGUGGUUUCUAUUGCACACAAUCUAAUGAAAGACACAAAAAUUUACAGAAAUGUUUUAAAGUUUAGGUAAAUAAUUUAAUGAAAAAUAGACAUGAUUAGUGGCGAAGCCCUAGUCCUCUAAAAUAGAAUAUUUUCCAUUUAAGUCUUUUAUAAUUUAUAAAAUUUUAAAUUAGUAAUGGUAAAAUUGCACUUUCCUCCCCUAAAAUUGAUAAAAAAUUGAUUUAUCCUUUUAAAAAUUAUAAAGAUAUAAACUAUUAAAAUGGUAAACUUGUAUAUACAAUUUAAUUUUGUCCCAAAAAUUUUUUUGACUUCGCCCUACAUAUCAUUAUCUUAAUAAAAAAGGUAAAAAUAUUGAGUAUACAAUAAUUAGGUUGAACAAUUUUUGUUGGGAAUAUAUGUUAAAUAAAAUAUAGGUUAGCUAUUAAAUGUAAAAUGGCAAAAGAAUAAAUUAUAAAGUGUACACAAGGUUGAUUUCGUAAAACUAAAAAUUACCAAUUUUUCACGUCUUUGUCAACUAUUAUACACUUGAGAUGGCAAGAGCCUUUUCUACUUUAAUCGGUGGUUAAUGGUUCGAUUAUUGUCCUGGAUAUGGAGUAACUUUAAAACUCGUUACCAACAUCUAUCCCGUUAAUGGGCCUAUAGAAUGUGGAGGGUUAGUUAUUAGGUUCGCUCUAAUAGAUACAUUGAUAAAUUAAAAAUAUGGAAUAAAAAAUGUUAGUAAAUUUGACAUUUGAAGUUGUUUAAAGUUAUAAAUUAAAUUGGUGAUAUAUAAGAGAUAUUUUUAUUUGUGUUUAUAGAGAAUUGAAGGAAUAAAAUUUUAAUAUUAACCAUAAAUUAGCAAAUAAUAUCUUCAAAAUUUAAAGUUAUAAAAGUGAAAUAAUAUCAAACAUGAAAUCAAUCACAUUAUUUUAUUUUUUAAUUUUUAUUAAAUAUAGUCAACAUUAUAUUUGAAAAUCAAUAUUACAUAUUGAGAAUUAAUUAUUAUGAACAUUUUAUUGUGGGGUUUUUUUACAUUAAUAAUAUAAAAUAAAUAAAUAAAUAAAUACUAGAAUAGGUUAAAGGGAAUAAUAUUUACAAGAAUAGGUAAAUGAAAUAGUGAAAUAUCGGUGUUGUCUGACCAAUCGGCGACACCAGACUAAAAUGUGAUGAUCUAAAAGGAUAAAUUGCACCCUAAAUCCCCCUUAUUUAUUAUUAUUUAGUAUUUUUCUUUAACACCAAAAAAUAGAUUGGCCUUUUAUAAAUUAGUCUAAAUUUUUUUUACCAAAAAAUAUUUUUGUAAGUAAACCGUUUCCAUUUAGAAAUAAAUUUUAUUUAUUUUAAAUAUAUAUUUUUAUUUUUAUUAUCCAUUUGAUUUACGUACACAGUAUAAAAUUAUAAUUAUAAAAGCUUUAGAAAAAAUCUUAUUAUGUAUAAAUUAUAAUUAUUAGUUAAAUUUAUAGUUUCCAAAUAUAAUGAGAGAAAAAGAAAACUACUAUAAAUACAGUUAAUUGUAAUGUCAAACAUAAUGUGAUUUUUUUAAAAAAAUAAAUAAAAUUUACUUCGAGUUGGAAUCAACUUACUUGAAAAAAAUACUUUUUAGUAAAAAAAAAAUUUAGACUAAUUGAUAAGAGGCCAAUUUCUUUUUGGUGUUAAAAGAGAAUAAAAUUUAAUAAUAAAUAGGGGGUUUAGGGUGGAAUUUACCCUUUUUAAUUUGGUGCUGUCAUACUGUCAGGAGGCACCCAUGAAGAUUUUUCGACUGUCAAUUAAAACGGAAAAUUUACAGAUAAAGUCCCUGGAAUUUUUAAAUCAUCACAUUUUAGCCUGGUGAGGCCGAGUGCUCAAGCUACACCCAAAUUUUUUUAAAUAAAGUGAUGCCGUUGAUUGGUUAGCCGGCACCGGUAUUUCACUAUUUCAUUUGACUAUUCUCAUAAAUAUUAAUCUUUUUAUCCUAUCCUGUAUUUAUUUAUUUAUUUAUUUUAUAUUAUUAAUGAAAAAAAUCCUUUAUUGUGACUUGCGGAAACGUGGAAUGAAAACCAAAUAGGUUUUUUUUUUUUUAGUUUUUCUUGAAUUAAAAUGCAACCAAUAAGAAUAAUUGAUAUUUUAAUUUAAUAAAAAUAAAAUUAAUUAAUAUUUGAGUAUUUAAUUUUAAAAAUGAUCAAGAUGUAAUUACAACAAUUAAUUUUAAAAGUUAUUAAAGAUAUUUAUAUAUGUCAAUUUUUUAUAAUUAUUAAUGACAUACAUAUAAAUUAAUUAAUAGCGUAUCUCUCAAAGAUGAUAUUGACAGUGGCGGAGUCAAAAAAUAUUUUUGAGAUAUCGGAAUUAAUGUAAAAAUGUACAAUUUAAUUAAUUUAAUAGUUUUUAUAAUAUUUAAAGAAUUAAAUCAAAAUUUUUAUCAUUUUAAAGAAGAACAAAGUAUAAUUUUACUUUUAUUAAUUUAAAAUGUUAUAAAUUAUAAAUAUUAUACAUGAAUUUUUUUUCAUUUUAGGGACCGGAUACUGUCAGCUCCUAUGACUAUGUAAGCCUUGAAAACAUCCUUUAUUAUUGCAUUUCUUUUUCUACGUUGGCAGUGGUGUGCUUUCGUAGAUUCUAGCCACUCCUUUUUAGAUAAAAUUUCCAAAAGGAAUAGAUAUUAUAUGAGGAAUACUUGGUUGAAGAAAGAAAAAGCAAAAAAACAAAAAAAAAUUGGAAAAUGACCUUACAUGAAACUACUCAUGCAAUUGGAUCAACUCAUUCACUCAACCUUUCAAGAGCUUUAUUUACUACUUGGAUACUUAAUAAUUCAUUUAUUUAAUAACUUAUUAUAGGGACCGAACAUGUCUUUUUCAUUUCACCGAAAAUCAAUUUUACAAUAUAAACUCCUAUGACCUUCCCUCUAUGUCUUGCAGUAAUGAUUCCUCUAACAAUUUCUCAAUUCAAUAAAAAAAAAAAAGAAAAGAGGUGAAUAAGAUCUUAAAUAAUAAGAGAUAUGUAAAAAGGAGGCCCGAUUAUGCCCAACCUAAACCUAAAUGGAAUGUAACGACGUAUGGAUCUAUAUGUAGUAUUCUAUAUUAAUAUAGUAAUAUAAUAUUACUAAUAGUAUCGACUCCUUUUUUAUUUUCUAGUUUAUUUUCUAUUUUAGUAUAUUUUACAUCUAAAUUAUAUAGAAUUUUUUUAUAUAGAUAUAAAUUAUAUUUAAUCAAUCAAUUGAAUAGAUAUAAUUUAUUUUAUUUAGUUUAGAGUUGUAAAUAGAGAUAAUUAGAGUAAAAAAUCAUUUAUAUGUUUUAUGAUUGCCAACAUUUCUGUCAAAAACAAGUAUAUAUUUGCACCAAUUCAUCCGAGUUAGUGCAAACAUAUGAAAUAUUUAUAUGUCCAUAAAAUAUAUAUAAAUUGGGGUGUUAAGAAAACCAUGAAAUUAAUAAUGAUGUAAUUGUCAUUUACUAAUCCUAUAAUUAAACUUAAUCUCAUUUUCUUUCCAUCUCAAAACUAAAAAUGGAAAAUACCACUUUGCUUAGUUGGUAGAAGCGAAUAUUUUCCCAUUAAAAUAUGUUUUGGUAUACGACAUUUUAUGGUGGUUGGCUAGUCAUUACUCAGCUGUUUCCACGAGACUUCCUUUCUUUUAAAGUAAGAUGAAGUCAUCUUUCUCAAAUCAUUACUUUCUGCCUUUGCUCUGUUAAGAAGGGGGAAAAUUAUCAGUUAUUGAUCAUAGCCAAAAGGUACGCCAUCUGCUUUGCUCUUACUCUUUUGAAAUACUUGUCCGUAUAAAUAAGCUUAGGCAGGCAGAUUUAACCCUGAAAAUGGACUUCUUUUAUGCUUUAAAUCUAUUUAGCUUUAAGAUUUUGAGUCCUGUACUUUUUGGAUUUAAAAUCUUCAUCUUUCCCUUCAAAUUUACACUUAGUGUUGUUGACCUGACAAAUAUAAAAAGAUCAAAUAAAUUUUUUAGCCUUAAUUUGAUCUUUACUUUUUAAAGUUACAUAAAAAUUCAGAAUUAAGAAGAAAACAUAUUUUCAGUAAAAAUCCAUUAAAAAGAUUGUGGAAAACACUCUUUAAAGUUCGUAGAAAAAAGGUUGUGAUCUAUCAACAACUUGUGCCUUCCACAUACUGGAAUAUGGUUAUUAAGAGGUUGAGUACUGCUUUAUCUCGUAGAAGAAGGAUUUGUACUAGAUGAUCAUAGGUUGGGUCAAUGUAAAAAUUUUAAAUUUGUUUUUCAGGUCCGGACUUGGCUCAACUAAACAAAUGCGCCUAAAAUUUUAUUUAAGUUCAACCUAGAUAAAAAAUACUAAAUCUGGACCCGUAUUAAAUUUUUUAGAUUUUUUUAUAUAAAAAUAAAUUUAAAAAAUAUAAUACAUUAAAUACUCUAAACACAUUAAAAUGAAUGUUUCUCAACAAAUUGAAAAUAUAUUAAAAAAAUUCUUUAUAUUUAAAUAACACUAACAUAGUUAUAACUUAGCAAACAAACAUUUCUAAAAUAAUAGCAAAAUUAAAAAUAAAAUAAGAGUUAUACAAUAUCUAAAUAAUAGUAGUAAAAUAGUAAUAAUAUAAUAGUGAAACAGUAGCAAAAUAACAACAUAAAAGCAGUAAACAGCAGCAAAAUAAUAAUUAAAUUCGAGUUAGGUUCAAACUAAAAAAAUCUUAUCAGAGGCUCAGCCCAUUUAAAACUCAAAUCUUAUUUUUUUCGAAGUUUAUUUUUUGGGUUUAUAUUAUUGCCUAAACUCUUUAUGUUUUGAAUGGACUUUUUAAAUUCGACUCAUAAUCAAGUCUACUUUAUAAUAAACGCUAUAUAUGGUUGGAAAGAUGGUUUGAUAGGGUACUAAAAUUAAAUGAAAAAUCAUUUAAAAAACAAAUUAAAUAUUCAAACAUUAAAUAUAUAUUUUAUAUAUAAUUGGUUUGAACUAAAUUAACAAAAUACUUUGAUAGUUUUCAGAAAAUUCCUGUAACGAGAGAAUUAGUCACUGUUGCUAGCGGCUAAUAUAUUUAAUUUCAAUAAAAAAUUACCAAAAUACUUUUUGAAUAUGAUUUAGUGCAAGUUGCACAGGUAGUUUAAAAUUUGAAGAUAUUAUUACUAUUUAAGGAGUAAAUAUAUUUUUUAAAUUGAAACAUUUAAUAUGAUUUAUUAUUUUCUAUUUUUUAAAAAAUUAACUAAAUUAAAAAAUGUGCAACAAAUUAAAUAGUUAGAAGUUUUAAAUUUAAAUCAAAAUUGAAAUUUAUGAUCUACAUGAAUAUAACAUAUAAUAUAAUGAUUGUAUCAUUAAAAUAUUAAUAAUAUAAAUAAUUACGGAAGUGUGUAAAAUUACUUUAAUUUUUUACAUUGCGUAAGUAGAUCAUUCCCCUUAAUAUUAAUAAAUUUUCAUAAAGUAAAAUUACUUUACUUUAAUUGUCAUAAAGUAAAACAUUAAUCUCAUAUUUAUAUUUUUAAGAUUAUGCAAAUGUGUUCUUUUUAAAAACUAUAUAAGAUAAUUCAAGUUUUGGUCUUUAUCGUCGCUGUGGUUAUUCAGUUUGCUCUCUUACUUGUUUGUUUACAGAAGCUCUACUUUUUACUCAUUUUUACUUGUAAUUUUUUCUUCUUGUUUUGUUUUGAUUUCUGUUGCGGCUGUGGUUUUUCAGUUUACUUGCUGUUUGCUCUCUCAAUGGAGUUCGUUAUUGGCAUCGUUAGCUCUAUUUUCACUAAAGCUGCAGAGUAUACGAUUUCUCCUAUCAUAAACCAUGUCAAAUACCUUUCCAAUCAUCAGCAAAAUGUUGAGACCCUCAAGGACCAAGCUGAGAAGCUGAAAGAUGCAAGGGACAGAGUGCAGCAUUCUGUUGAUGCAGCUCAACGAAACGGCAAAGAGAUCGAACGUGAUGUUAACAACUGGAUGUCGGCAGUGGACAGGAAGAUCCCUGAACAAGUAGAGAAAGUGAUGCAAGAUGAAGAAAAGGCAAAGAAAAAGUGUUUCAUUGGUUUGUGUCCUAAUUUUUGGACUCGUUACAAGCAUAGCCUGAAAGCUGCAGCGGAGGCGAAGGCUGUUGCCGAGCUACUUGAACAGGGCAAGUUUGGCGGUGUUUCUUAUCCUGUACCUUCACAGAGUAUCACUGUCCCACCGGGUAAAGGUUAUGAGGAAUUCGAGUCAAGAACGUUGAUUUUGAACGGAAUAAUGGAGGCACUAAAAGAUGAUAGCAUCAUCAUUGUUGGGGUGCAUGGUGCGGGUGGGAUUGGAAAAACAACGCUGGUCAAAGAAAUCGCUAGAAAGGUCAAGGGCAAGUUGUUUGAUUCAGUUGUCAUAGCAACUGUAACUCAAGCCAAGGAUAUUAAGAGGAUUCAGAACGAAAUUGCAGACUUCUUGGACUUGAAAUUUGAGAAACAGAGUAUGGUUGGAAAGGCAAUUCAACUAAGACAAAGAUUGAAGAAAGAGGAGAGGAUUCUGGUUAUCUUGGAUGACAUUUGGCAAGAGUUUGAUAUUGAGGAAGUAGGGAUUCCUUUGGGAGAUGAACACAAGGGCUGCAAAUUACUAUUAACUUCUAGAUACCUCAAUGUUUUAUCAAAUGGGAUGGAGUGUCCUCAGAUUAUAGCUAACCUUCCUAAGGAGAUGGAGUGUUCAGGACUUUCCUUUUUCCAUAUGGCCUAUGAUGGCACGGAUAAAAUUCCUCUCAAUUUCUUCAAACAAACCGAAGGCCUGAAAGCCUUAGAUUUGGUCGGAAUUCAGUUUCAAUCCCUCCGUGAAUCAAUUAUUCACCUUGCAGACCUUCGCAUGUUGUGUCUGAAAAAAUGUGCAGUUGAUGACAUAACCAUCCUUGGAGAGCUCAAGAGUUUACAAGUACUCAACCUUUCUCAGUCCGGUAUCAAAGAACUACCCAAGGAGAUGGCACAAUUGACUCAAUUAAGGUUGUUAGAUUUGCGUGGGUGUAGAGAACUCAAAAUCAUCCCACCGAAUGUCUUAUCAGGUUUGUCUAAAUUAGAAGAAUUAUAUAUGAGUGGGAGCUUUGUUGAAUGGGAAAAGGGAGGAGUAGUUGAAAAUGAGAGGAAAAAUGCAAGCCUUGAUGAAUUAAACAAUUUGCGUUAUCUAACUACUUUAUAUGUUCGUAUUCUUGAUGUCCAAAUGAUACCAAAACACCAGUUUGUUGAAAAAUUGGACAGAUUCAGGAUUUUUGUAGGUAAUUAUGGAAUAUAUGAUUGUUGCCAUAAUUAUGAAUCUCCGAAAGCAUUGAAGCUCAUGUUAUAUACAAACAUUGAUUUGGACAAUGGAAUGAAAAUGUUGUUGAAAAAGACAGAAGAUUUGUGCCUAGAGGGACUUGAAGGCGUCAAGAAUGUACUUGUGGAGUUAAAUAAUGGGAAAGAUCUUCCAAAUUUAAAGAGACUUCAUGUCAAAAAUGGUAGGCAUGUCCAACAUAUUAAAACGAACAAAAUUGGAUUUUCUGAAUUAUGUUUCAUCACACUUGAAAAUCUACCGCAACUCGUUAGCUUUUGCUCUCCAGACGAAAGGUGUUCCACUAAGCCCUUACUACUUUCCAAUAAACAGGUAUUUGUUUGGCUGUACUUAUAUUUUCUUAUACAACUUUUAUUUAUAUGCCCAUUAAUACUUCUAAUAAUAGAAAUAUAUAAUAUUGUGUAAUGGUUUUUCCGGAGCUCAAAAAUAAAUUUCAAAUCUAAAAUAAAUGAAAAUUUAAUUUUUAAUUCAAACCGAUUGAAAGUACAGAGUCAAUUCAAUAAUCUAAAUUUAAACCGAAAUUUUUUUUUAAUUCUGAAAAUAAAAUUUGAGCCCACAAAUCGAACUAAAAUUAUCUUUAAAAUUGAAAAUCAUAUUUUCAAAUUAUGUUACAUACUAUCUUUCCCUAUCGAAAAAGAAUUGUGUGUAAAUAUGUGCAAUUUAUUUUCCCUCACUUGGAAAGCUUGUAAUUGUGUUCCAUUAACACCAAAAUUAUAUGGCACAACCAGACAUGUCAUUGGGUUACGAAUUUGAGGAGCUUGAUCAUCAAAGGAUGCGGCAAGUUGGAGCAUCUGUUAUCACCCUCUCUCGCUAGAAGUCUGGUGCAGCUCCAAUGCUUUGAGAUAGAGGAUUGCAAUUGCUUAAGGGACAUAAUACUUACAGAGGAAAUUGAUGAAGAAAGGAAAGAUGUGAUUUGUUUCCCUCGAUUAAACUCCCUGUAUAUAGAUGGUCUUCCAAACCUCAUCUUCUUCAACUCAGGAAACCACAAUAUUGAGUUCCCAUUGUUGAAAGAGCUAAGGAUUAGGCGUUGCCCCAAGUUAAUAGAAUUCAUUAGUCAGAAUAGUAAUCAGUCCGGCAUGCACGCUCUCUUCAGUGAGAAGGUGAUUUAUUUCAUUAGUCUUACACUCUUGCAUAAAUCUGUUGAUUUGUCCUUGUUUUUUUUUUCUACCUUCAUUAUUUGAGCUAACCUUAUUAUGGGCAUGGAUUAUAUAUAUAUAUGAAUAGGUUGCAGUUCCUAGCUUGGAAGACAUGCAUAUCAGUGACUUGAGUAAUGUGAAGAUGAUAUUUUAUAAUUGUUGGAGCUAAGUGCAACAAAUAGCAAGGUUCAACAAAAAGCUUGCCGAGCAAGAAUCGAGACUUGCGGCAGAAACAAAGAAGAAAAAUGAAAUAAAUUUUAAGCAAAGCUAAAAUAGAGAGUAUAUGGAUGAAAUCUUGAUUGAAUUCAUUCAUUUUUUUUAAAAUGGCAUAAAGCCUAUUUAUACAAGCUUACAACUUGACAACUUAGUUGGAAUACAACUAAGUUUCAUUAUUACAUCCACUUAAAAUAAAUCACCACCUACUACCACUAACAAACUUAGUUGGAAUACAACUAAGUUUCAUCAUUAUAUCCACUUAAAAUAAAUCACCACCUACUACCACUAACAAACUUAGUUGGAAUACAACUAAGUUACAUCAUUACAUCCAAAUAAUAAUAAUAAUAAUAAUAAUAAUAAUAAUAAUAAAACAUGUGAUUGCUACAUGCUAACCAUUGCUUCAAUACUCCUCCUUGGUUUGCAUGGAGCAAACACCUAGCUUCCUUCUUAGACAUUCGAACCUUGUGACAUUAAGGGCUUUAGUCAAAAUGUCUGCAAGUUGAUCCUCAGAAUUACAAUGGAUCAGCUUCACUUCCUGAGCUUGCUCCAUUUCUCGAACAACAUGCAACUUGAUGCUGAAAUGCUUUGUUCUUUCAUGGAACACUGGAUUUUUAGCAAUUGCAACUGAAGAUUGGUUGUCACAGAAGAUCUCAGUAGCUUCCUUUUGAUGCACUUUCAAAUCAGCUAAGAUUUUCCUUAGCCAAAUGACUUGGUUGACAGCACUUGCAGCUGCCACAUAUUCUGCUUCAGUAGUAGAUUGAGCCACCAGACUUUGCUUCUUCGAGCUCCAGCAAAACAUGGCUGAACCAAGGUUGAAAGCAUACCCUGAGGUGCUUUUCAUGUCAUCUAUCGAGCCAGCCCAGUCACUAUCAGUGUAGCCAACCAGCUUCAGAUUUCCUUCCUUGCUGUACCUUAAACCAUAGCUCAAAGUGCCUUUGACAUAUCUAAGCACUCUCUUAGCAGCUUGUAAAUGCUUUUUAUUGCAACAAUGCAAGAACCUUGAGAGCAAUCUUACAGCAUACAUUAUGUCUGGUCUAGUGGCAGUUAAAUAUAACAGACAACCAACUAGACUUCUGUAGGUUGUUUCACAAACCUUCUCAAAAUCACCUUGGCUCGAUAGUUUUUCUCCAACAGCAACAGGUGUUUUAGUUGCUUUACUGUUUUGCAUGGAGAACUUGGUCAGAAUCUUUGUGGCAAAGUUUCUCUGACUUAGAAAUAUCCCAUUUUGUGCUUGAGUCACCUUCAUUCCAAGGAAAUAAGACAUUUCCCCUAGAUCAGACAUUUCAAAUACUUCUUGCAUCUUGGUCUUGAAAUCGACCAGCACUGCUCGAUCUCCUCCUGUCACCAACAGGUCAUCAACAUAUAGGGAUACGAUGAGCUGUGUUUGUGUCCCUUGCUUCUUGACAUACAGUGUUGGCUCACUCUUGCUUCGAUCGAAUCCCAAAUUAGUCAAGUAGCCAUCGAUUCUGCUGUACCAGGCCCUUGGAGCCUGUUUUAAGCCAUAUAGGGCCUUCUUCAGUUUGUAGACCAUAUGCUCUCUGCCAGCUAUCUCAAACCCUUGUGGUUGUUCAACAUAGAUCUCUUCAUCUAAGAAACCAUUCAGAAAGGCUGAUUUCACAUCGAGUUGAUGGAUCUUCCACUCGAGCUGUGCUGCUAAGGCAAUCAGUAAUCUGAUGGUGUCUAGCCUGGCCACUGGUGCAAAGGUCUCCAGGUAGUCCAGGCCAUACCUCUGACUGAACCCCUUGACAACUAGCCUUGCUUUCAGUUUGUUCAAGGUACCAUCAGCAUUUUGCUUGGCUUUGUACACCCAUUUCACCCCAAUUAUCUUCCUUUUGACUGGCCUUUCAACUAAUUCCCAGGUCUGGUUCUUCUCAAUCAUGCUAAUCUCCUCAGCCAUUGCCUGCUUCCACUCUUGCUGAGCUUCAGCCUUUUCAAAAUUGCUUGGUUCAACUAUGACUACAUGAGCUCUUUCAUAAAUCUCAGUCAAUGGUCUUGUUCCUCUAACUGGUUCAUCAUCAAUGUCCAUUUCAGGAACAUUUUGAUCUGGCUCAGCUUGAUCUGCUGCAAGUCCUUCUGAAACUUCCUCAGGUUCAUGUUUUUCCCAGUUCCAACAUGACUUUUCAUCAAAUACCACAUCCCUACUGACUGACACUUUCUUUGUUGAAGGAUCCAAGAUCCUAUAAUCCUUCUUAACAGUGCUGUAGCCCACCAAAAUACCAGGUCGAGCCCUUUCAGACAAUUUGUCCCUUUUGACAGCAGGUACAUGAGCAUAACAGAUGCAUCCAAAGACCUUCAGAUGAGCCAGUGAUGGCUUGAAUCCAAACCAGGCUUCGAAUGGAGUCUUCUGAUCCAAGACCUUGGUUGGAAGCCUAUUUUGAAUGUAGUUUGCAGUGUUAACUGCCUCUGCCCAUAGUGCUUUAGGCAGAUUCUUCUGAAUCAUCAAGCACCUGGCCAUAUCCAUCAAACUCCUAUUCUUCCUUUCACUUACACCAUUUUGCUGAGGUGUAUAUGUGUUGGUAAGUUGAUGUUUGAUGCCUGCCUUAUCACAGAAGGCUUGGAACUGAGCUGAGGUGUACUCAGUCCCAUUAUCAGACCUUAUAGACUUCAGCUUGCAACCUGUUUCAGUCUCAGCAGCAGUCUUGAACUUCCAAAAUACUGAGGCCGCCUCUGAUUUCUGUUUUAGGAAGUAAAGCCAACAAUAUCUUGAAAAAUCAUCAAUGAACAGUAUGAAGUACCUGUUUCCACUUAAUGACUCAGUCCUCAUAGGGCCACACACAUCAGUGUGCACCAGUUGGAGUUUUUCAGAGGCUCUCCAGGCUUGAUUCGAGGGAAAUGGGAGUCUGGCCUGCUUUCCUAGCUGACAUACUUCACACACAUCAUCAUGAUCCACUGAGUUGAUGAAGUUUUCAGCCAAGUCCUCUCUGACCAUUCGAGCCAUCGAUCUGAAGUUGGCAUGUCCCAGUCUUUGAUGCCAAAGCUUAGAUUCAUCUGAUGUGACUGUGUAGGCAAUGUCUGACUCCCUGGUCCAGUCAACUACAAAGCUCUUAUUAGCCAUAGGAACUGCCAUCAGCUUGGAUCCACUUGGAUCAUUGAUUUGGCAUUGGUUGUCUUUGAACACAACAGAAUAACCUUUCUCCAGCAACUGAGCUAUGCUGAGCAGGUUUCUGUCAAUUUUAGGCACCAAAAGCACAUUUGAAAUCACUUUGGCACCUGUGGGGGUGCAUAUCAGCACAUCACCCUUGCCUUCAGCUUGAAUAAAAUGUCCAUUUCCUAUCUUGACUUUAGUUCUGCAGCUUCUGUCUAAAGACUUGAAGAUUGCAGCAUCAGGUGUCAUGUGGUUGGUGCAUCCACUGUCUAGAAGCCAACCAGAUGAGAACCUUUCUUGAGCAGCUGAGCAUAACACAGCAAAGACUUGCUCCUCUUGGUCACCGUCCUCCUUAGCUACUCGAGCCUCAGCUUUCUUCUGUUGAAACUGACUCUGCCUUGAUUUGGCCUUGCUCUUGCAGACUUUCUCAACAUGACCCUUCUUUUUACAAUGCUGACAUACAUCAUCUGGAUUGAACCAGCAUUUUUCUUUUGGAUGACCAGCCCUUCUGCAGUGCUUGCAAGUCUGACCCUCUUUUCUUGCAACAUCAGUCCUUGGCUUGUCUCUCUAGGCCUUCUUGCCUUUGUAGGCAGUGUUUGUUCUUGCCUGAAAGGCACCUUCUUGAUGCUCCUCCAGUCUGCUUGCUCUUCUUUGCUCUUGAGCAUAUAAAGCAUUGAUAAACUCUGUCAGGGAGAUGGUGUACAGGUCCCUUGAGUCCUCGAGAGAUGAGAUUUUUGCCUCAUACCUCUCGGGCAGAGUUGCAAUAACCUUCUCCACUAUCCUAGCUUCCUUGAGCUGCUCUCCAAGGAGCCUUAUGCUGUUAACCACAGCCAUAAUCCUGUCAGAGUACUGCUUGAUAGUUUCUUCUUCCUUCAUCUUCAAAUUCUCAAAAUCUCUCCUUAAGUUCAGCAACUAUUGCUGCCUUGUCCUCUCUGUCCCUUGAAACUCCUCUUGCAACUUGUCCCAGGCUUGUUUUGGUGAUUCACAGGCCAUAAUCCUUGUGAAAAUCACAUCUAACACUGAGUUCUGGAUGCAAGACAUGGCUUUGUGCCUCUUAGUCCUCUCAUCAGCAUGCUGCCUGAUUUGAGCCACUAUUGGAUUGCCUCUAAGUGGCUCUGGUUCAACAUCUGAGUUGACUACCUCCCACAGAUCGAAAGCUUGUAGGUAGGUCUUCAUUUUAACCACCCAUAUGUGGUAGCCUUCUCCAUUGAAGACUUGAGGUGCAGUUGGUGAAAAGCUUGAUGAAGCCAUGAAUUUGUAUAACAGAUCCCUUAAGAAAUAGGCUCUUGAUACCAAUUGUUGGAGCUAAGUGCAACAAAUAGCAAGGUUCAACAAAAAGCUUGCCGAGCAAGAAUCGAGACUUGCGGCAGAAACAAAGAAGAAAAAUGAAAUAAAUUUUAAGCAAAGCUAAAAUAGAGAGUAUAUGGAUGAAAUCUUGAUUGAAUUCAUUCAUUUUUUUUUAAAAUGGCAUAAAGCCUAUUUAUACAAGCUUACAACUUGACAACUUAGUUGGAAUACAACUAAGUUUCAUCAUUACAUCCACUUAAAAUAAAUCACCACCUACUACCACUAACAAACUUAGUUGGAAUACAACUAAGUUUCAUCAUUACAUCCACUUAAAAUAAAUCACCACCUACUACCAUGUAAUAGCCCGAUUUUAGGCUUAGUCGGAACAGUGGUUUCGGGACCACAAAUCCGACGAAAAAAAAAAUGUAAUGGCUUGAAUUUUCAGAGGUGUCAGAACGGUGAUUCGAGAUCACUAAAUUCGACAAAUGGGUAGAAAAUAUUAUUAAUUUAGUAAGUAUAAGUUAAAUAUGAAGUUAGGAAAAUUUUUGAAAUAGUGAAUAGUGCACUAGAAAUAAAUAUUAAAAUAAUUAGAAUCGAAAUGAGGUAUCAAGACCUCGGGGAUUUUAAACUGAGCCAUAAAUAUUUUUAUAAAUAUUUAUGGAGUGUUAAAAAGUUAGUAUUAAAGUUUCGUUAAGAAAUUUUAAAGUUCCGAUAAUUAAUUGAACAAAAAGGACUAAAUUGUAACAAAUGCAAAAUUUUGGAAAAUGAUUAAAUAACUUAAAUGAUAAAAGGAAGAGGGCUUAAAAGGCAAAUAGACCCAAGGUCUAUUUGGGCUGGACGGCAGAGGCAUGAAAUCAGCAAAAAAGUAAGGAGAAUUAAGGGCAAAAUUGGAAAAUUGCAAAAUUUGCUUAAUAAAGUUAGGACCCAAGUGGAAUUAUCUAGAUUUCUCUUCAUUUUUCUGAAUUCUCAUCAGCUAAAACACCAUGGAAGGGCUUCUUCAAGCUGGUUCUUCAUAUUUUUAUUACAAGUAAGUUCAAUUCUUGACUAUUUCUUGAAAUUUUUGUAUUUUUAUGACUUUUACAACUAGGCCCACUUGUUAAAUCCAUUAGUUUUUGAUUUUAUGAAAGAAUUUGAAAGUUGAUAUGAAUAUGUGCUGGAAGUAUAUGAUGAUUUAGCAUGAAAUUAGAGAUUUAAAUUGUUCAUAUGCUGAUUUUAUUGAAAGAAUUGAAUAGAAAGUGAAUGUUUGGGACCUAAUAGUAAAAGAGUUUGAAGAUAGAGUUAUAUGUGGAAAUUCUGAAUUUCAAUAGUUGUGUAACAACUUAUAAUGUCUAGUAAAGUACUAAUUGAGAAAAUUAGAUUAAUUGAGGGGUUAAUUGAGAAAGGACCGAAUUGUAUAAACUGUGAAAUUUGGGGCAAAAUGGAAAUCAACAUUUUGCACUAAAGCAGUUUUGGACAGCAGCAGUAGUGUAACUUUGAAAAAUCACCAAAAAUUGUAGAGAUUGAAUUAGAGGAUGAAUAAAAUAUGAAACUAAAGCUUAUUGAGUCUAGUUUCUUAUAAAAGAAAUGAUGUGAGCAAUGGAAUUGUAAAUCAUGAGAUAUAAUAGAUUUUGUGAGACAAGGUCAGAAUGAAUUCGGGUUCCCCUGUUCUGACUUUGGAAAAAUCAUUAAAAAUUGUACAAAAAUGAUUAUGAGUUAUAGUUUAUAUGGUUAGAAUCCUUAAUGAGUCUAUUUUUAGAAGAAACAAGCUAAAACAUCAUCCGAAUUCUGUACAAUGAGAUAAUUAAUUUUUAGUGAAGAGUGGUCGGAACUGUCAGACAGCGAAACAGGGGAAACUUUAAAGAAUAAACUGUACUAUUUGGCUGAACCAAAAAUUAUGAAAAUUUUAUGGUAUGAAGAUAUGUGAGUCUAGUUUCAGGGAAAAUUAACGGAUCUUAAUUUGGAGCUCUGUAUCUCCGGAUAAAAAUAUUUUAGUGACUCUGACUCGGAUAAACAGCUUUGAAUAUACAUGUUAGUAAAUAUUGAAAUUAUGGUUAAUGUUGUUUAAGUGUGUUAUACACAUUAAGGAUGUGGAAUGGAGAGGAGGAGGAGGAAAAUUGGGAAAUAUAUGAAUGAUUCGUGUAUAAAUGGUCAUAUGUUUGAUUAUAACUCAUAAACGAUGAAAUAUGAAUGAUGCUUAUUUUUGUGCAUUAUUGGUCAUGGUUUAAGCUCAUGUGUGAAAAUAAAGUUUCAUAGUAUGUGUGUAUGGUAUAUUCAGUAUAUGAUUUGGCAUGAAAUAAUACCAUGAAUGGUUUAUGAAUUAACACAUGUUGGUAAGCCUGAUAUAUGAAUAAAUGAUCAAAUUGAGCGGAACGCCGGAUUUGAGUACUUCUGAUCAAGUGACAAAGUGAUAAGUGGUAGCUUUAGCUACACUUAUCUGAUCAAGUGACAAGUGGAAAGUGAUAAGUAAUAGCUUCGGCUAUACUUAUCUGAUCAAGUGACAAAGUGAUAAGUGAUAGCUUCGGCUACACUUAUCUGAUCAAGUGACAAGUGAAAAGUGAUAAGUGAUAGCUUCGGCUAUACUUAUCUGAUCAAGAGACAAAGUGAUAAGUGAUAGCUUUAGCUACACUUAUCUGAUCAAGAGACAAAGUGAUAAGUGGCUACACUUAUCUGAUCAAGAAACAAAGUGAUAAGUGGCUACACUUAUCUGAUCAAGAAACAAAGUGAUAGGUGGCUACACUUAUCUGAUCAGGGACAAGUGAUAAGUGAUCAUACGUAAGACCAUAGUUAUCCUAUGGCAAAGUGAAAGUGAAGUACUCAAUUUUCCGUGACCGUUCCCUAAUUUGAUUAAGGAUGGUAAGUGACAAAUGGGCCCAAAAGAAUUAAAGUAAAUGGAUAAGUGGUAGUGUAUUUAUAUCAGGACGAUGUUGUUAUUCAAACUAAAGUGAUAUUUUCAUUGCUAAAUUGAGAAUUUCAUAAAUGUGUUAUUGAAUGGUAUAAUCAAUAAACAUUGAGUUAAAUGGUAAAUACGUAUUAGUUUUGAAUUUGAUGUCAUUGAAUUGUACGUGAAUUAAAUGAAAAUUGCUAGUGAUAUGAUUUAAAUUAUGAGCAUGAGAAAUUGCGAAUUGAAUGAAAUGGAAAUGAAGCAUUAAAUUGCAUGAGUAUGUAUCGGGUCUCGCAGGCCCUAAUUAUUAUGAUUAUAAUAUUUUGAGGAUAUAUUGUGAAAAGUUAUAGAAACAUGUUAAUUAUUUUGAAAGUUUUAAUUUUGAUGAAAUUUUAUAACUCGGUUAAAUACGUUUACAAGUGUAUGUGUUUUGGUAAUGCCUCGUACCCUAUUCCGGUGUUGGAUACGGGUAAGGGGUGUUACAUACCACCAACUAAGUUUCAUCAUUACAUCCACUUAAAAUAAAUCACCACCUACUACCACUAACAAACUUUGUUGGAAUACAACUAAGUUACAUCAUUACAUCCAAAUAAUAAUAAUAAUAAUAAUAAUAAAACAUGUGAUUGCUACAUGCUAACCAUUGCUUCAAUAAUAAUGACCUACCACCAGGUUCCUUUAAAAAUAUACGAAAAGUAAGUGUUUGGGGAUGUGGGAGUUUGAAAAAUCUAUUUCCAGUAUCAAUAGCCAAAGAUCUUCCACAACUUGAACAUUUAAGCAUCACUGGUUGUGGAGUUGAGGAGAUUGUAUCGAAAGGGGAUGGAGUGGAGGAGCAGCCUGUGAGGUUUGAGUUUCCGCAAGUGUCUUACCUUGACGUUUCAUUGGUAGAAAACCUCAAAUGUUUCUAUGAAGGGCAACAUACAAUAGUCUGGCCGAUGUUGAAGAAAUUGACAACAGAUAGGUCUGCUUUGCCAAAGAUAGUGGCAUCGGAACAUCUUAGAUUAAUCCAAGGAAAUGAGGAGCCAGUUUUGUUGGGUGAAGAGGUAUGUAUAUCAUUACAACUAUAUUUCUUUUUAUGAUUUAAACCACUGCCACAAGCAUCUCAAGUUGAAAUAUGCCACGAUCAUGCAUUUCUAAUUAUUAUAUUUUGUUUGGUUUGGAUUUUUUUUUUCGUAUUUUUGAAUUUUCACUAUAUAUAUAUUUUAAAUUUUUUGUUACAUUUAUAAUUAUUUUUUCAAUUUUUUUAAAAACAAGACUGAAUAAACAUAAUAGGUAAAUAUUGAGUGAAUACAGUUCAAUUUGAUAAAAUGUAUAAAUAUUGAGGGUUAAAUUUAUUAUUAUGUUAAAAAGAUGCUAAAAAAAAUAAAAAUAUUUUAUUUGUUUUUAAGUAACCAAAAUAAAAAUAUUUUAACACUAAGUGACUAUAUAUGUAAUUUACCCUGCAUUUAAGUAGUGGAUCGAAACUAAAUAGGAUCUUUAAUUUGCUUUAAAAAAUUGCCACUCAAUAAAAAAUCAAAACUUUAAAAGUUAAUUACACUAGACAUCUCAAACUAGGACCUUCAUUUUAAAUUAGUCCUAAAAUUUAAAACUAUUGAGGUUAUAUCAAUUACGUCUUUCUGUUAUUAAAUUCGUUAAUUUAACCAUCAAAUUAAAUCAGUGUAAUAUUUUAAAACAUUGGUGUUUUAUCUCCACUGUUCUGCUUAUACUUUUUAUCAUAGAAAAAUAUAUAUAACAAUGGUUGUUUAUCUAUUUUAAUUUAGAUUUGCUACUCUUCUUUCGGCUUUCAUGUUCUGUAAUUUUUAUCAGUUUUAAUUCUCAAGGUAUUGUGUUUUCUUAAAACAAAAAAUUCAUCUAUUCUGGAUUCGUUUGAUUUAAUAUUGAUUUUGUUGGGAUUUAAUCAUCAAAAUCAAACACUAAAAUUGUAAAUCUUCUUUCUUUCUUUUUUAAAGCAUAUACAUCAACAUUGAGCCUAACUUGCUUAUAUUUGAUUGGUUUCCAAGGUCAUUCCCAAAUUAGAGGAACUUGAGUUACAAAAUUUUGGUGAUAUGGACCAAUUUCCACCAGACUUGUUUCAACAUAUUAAAGUUUUUGCACUGAGUGGUGGCUCUCCAUUUUCUUUAUUUCCUUUCGUCCGAAGAUUCUACAAUAUGGAAAGACUUAAGUUCUCUUUUUUAGAUUUCAAACAUGUAGUCCCUUGUAAAGGAGACGCCGGGACUCUCCCACCAAUUAGAAAUCUGGAAUUGUUUUCUGCCAGAAAUCUUAAUCAUAUUUGGAGGAAAGGUUCGGAGCUUUACCAUAUUCUUUCUAAUCUUCAAACACUCACAGUUCUGCGUUGUGAUGAUUGGAUAAAUAUUAGAGCCUUCUCAUCAUCUUUACAAAAUCUUACAAUUUUGAAUGUGUCAUUAUGUAAAAUGACGACAAACUUAGUCACACCCUCAGUACUUAAGAAUCUUGUGCAAUUAACGACAAUAAAGGUAGAAGACUGCACUAAAAUGACAGAAAUAGUGGGCAACGAGGGAGACUGUCAUCAGACAAUAGUUGUUAGUAAAUUGAAAUGUUUACAACUAUGCAAUUUGAAGAGCCACCGGGUAAAGAUCUUUUGUUCACAAGCUUUUGUCCACGGUAUUACAACUUCGAGUUUCCUUGUUUGGAAGAAUUAGUUGUGGAACGUUGUCCUUGGUUAAAGAUCUUUUCUGAGGGAGUUUUAAGCACCCCACAAUUACAGAGAAUAAAACAGUCGCGUUACUUUGAGGAAUGGAGUUGGACAAGUGACCUUAAUACCACCAUACAACAGCUCUACACAGAAAAGGUACAAAGUUAAUAAGUUCAUAAUGCUAGUUAGAUUCCUCGUGUCCUAAUACAAUUAAUUUUAUUACUACUUCAAUAACCAUUGAAGAGUGUUAAUCGUUAUUUUGUUAUUGUCUGCAUUUUCUAUUUAUGAUUGCUAUCUAGUGGAAUAAUAUCAGAUUAAUUUUUAGGGUGGACUCUAUGGCCAAUGUGAUUUCAACAUCUCUGACACAUUUCCGGAGUCGAUAGAAAUAUGGACUAGAAACACUCAAGAAAAUUUGGGCAUCAAAAACCUUAGGAGCCUGCACUUUUAUAAAUGUAGCAGCUUGAAGUACAUAUUUACUCCGUCUAUGCUUUUGGGCCUCAAUCUACUACAAAGGAUAAAAGUGAGAGAAUGCAGUUCAAUGGAACAAGUAGUUAGGGAGGAGGAGGAAGCAAUGACACAUAAAUUUACAUUUCUUUCGCUACGCUCCGUAACAAUUGAGUCGUGUUCCAACUUGACAAAUUUCCAUUUGGGAAGUCAAGCUCUUGAAUUUCCACAGCUGAGUGAUAUCAGGAUAGCUGAGUGUCCAAAAAUGACUGCAUUUUCUUCCUCAGUUUCAAGAGAGAGUGGUGAUGCAAGUGAAAACGUGGUUGGCAAAGGGGGCAUCUAUGAUAACACUGCAACUUUUUUCAGCAAUAAGGUAAGUUUGGUAUUCAAUAUAUAUCUGCACAACUUAUUUCACAUUUUCUUUUGAUUUGAUCAACAUGAGUGUGUCUGGUCUACAUAUCCAUACUAGUGCUACACCUUGUCAAAAUUUAAUAUAAUAAAAUCCAUAAAAAUAUUAAUAAAUAAGAUGAUGUUAAAAAAAAAUUGGAGUUUAAAGUAUAAAUAAAUAUAUAAAAUAAGAUUUGAAGGAAAAACUUAAAGUGAAAUACUAAAAAACAAAAAGAAUUUAAGAGAAGUUUAAAAUUAAAUAGUAAUAGACAAUAAAUAAUAAAAUAAUAAUAGAAAAAAGAAAACAAAUCUUCCUUCAUUUUAAUUUGUUGAUGACCUUCACAAAGGUCAUUUGAGAUCAAAGGAGAAGAAGCCUGAAAACAAAAGGUGAGGAGUUUGAAGAAGAAAGAACCAAAUAUAUAGAGGAGAAUUGAAGUGAGAGAGUGGAUGGGUUUUAUUUAAAGAUUUAAUGCUUUUUUUUUUAAUUUCAUAUAUAGAAAAAAUCAUUGAAAGAAAAAAAAGUUUAAUAUAAUUAUUUAAAUUUACUUGUCGGGUUUUUAUAAAAGUAACUCAAAUUUUUUAUUAAUUAUGAAAAUGACUCAAUUUAAAAAUUAUGUACAUAAAUUAUUCGAUUUCUAUAGUGUUUGUCGGUGCCGCUAGACACAAUGGUGGCAUCGACCUACCAUCAUUGACUAAUGAUUGUAUUUUAUUUAAAAAAUAAUAGUUUUCUAGUAGUAUCGUUGGAAAAAUUAGUGAUAUCAAACUAAAGUGUGAUUAUAUAAAAUGUUUGUGGACUUGACAAAGUAAUUAUCCUUUUGAAAUUAAAUUUAAAUAACCCUUAAGAAAUAUAAGAAUAACAAAAAUAAACCAUUCUCAUUUUUUUUUAAAAAUAAACUUAAAAAAUUAUAUAAAAUUCUUAUUUAAAUUACCCAAAUAUAUCCCUCGCACAGCUUCCUCAAGUUUAUCUAAAUUCAAGCAUUUUCAAUUCAUUCCCUAGCAUAUUUAAAUUUAGAUAAACUUAAGGAAAUUUUUUGAGGAAUAUGUUUGGGUUAUUUGAAUAAGAAUUUUAAAUAAUUUUUUAAGUAUUUUUUCAAAAAAUGAAAAUGGUCUAAUUUCAAAAGAAGACAAACAUAACAUGCAAACAGGUCAAAUGUUGAAAAACAUUUAAUUUGGUUCAGAUACCAACGACACCCCUUUUUCAAACAAUCUAAAAACGUUAACCGCUUCAAAAGAUCCCUGCAUGUUUUAUAUAAUCACAUUCAGUCUGGUGCCGUCAAUUUAUUAGACAAAACCACUACAAAUUUUUUUAAAAAGCAAUCAUUGGCUGAUGAUGGAGGCUAAUGCAGUAAGCACUAUAGAAAUCAAGUCAUUUACGUACAUUAUUUUUAAGUUGGAUCAUUUUCGUAAUUAACCAAAAAAUUUUGGUUACUUUUAACUGUCUAGUUGAUGUGUGAAUAUUAACCUUUAGAUCAGUUUAUAAAUCUUCAUACUCAUCUACUCAUUUUGAUUGUCUUUCAAAGUAAAGAAGGAAGAGUGAUACUAUCUUAUAAUAAUAUUUAUGUCAACAGGUUGUCAUUCCUCGUUUGGAGCGUCUGGAUUUGUCCUCCAUCAACAUUCAUAAGAUAUGGCACCACUCAUCCUCCCCAUCUAUCGGAUACCUAAAUUUCUUGCGGGUGAAGAGGUGUCACAAUUUGAAAUACCUGUUCCCGUUUUUCUUAGCAAAAGAUCUUGAGCAACUCCGAUUCCUUGGAAUUUUGGACUGUAAUAUGAUGGAACAAGUAAUAUUCACGGAUGGAUUGGUUGAGGAACAUCAAGGGAGGAAUCAGAUGUUUUUCUUUAAUCAACGUUCGCUGUGGCUAAACGACCUUCCCAAACUCACAAGUUCGUGCUUUGAAAAUUACUUUGAAUUUCACUGUUUAGCAGAUUUAACACUAAGAAAUUGUCCAUUGCUAAAAACAUUCAUCUCUAAAUGUGUACCCGGAGAUGAACCUCAAAUUGGCCAACAUGUACAGGCAAGUAACUUGGAGGUUCAUAACUCAUCUCUCCUCAAUGAAAAGGUCAUUUCUUCACGGAUUCUCCUUUUAAUUUAUUUUACUUCGAUUUAUCUUAUUCAUUUGAAGUUCUUUCUUUUUCAUACAUAUUUCAGUAUUAACCUAAUGAUAUGAUUUAUUAGGUUGUUUUCCCUAGUUUGAAGAGGCUGCAAAUUCAAAAUUGUGAUUUGUUAGAAGAAAUUAUCGAGCUGCAAGGAGUCAUUGCUGAUGAGUCACAGUCAACAUCAGCUGCUCAAUCUAUUGUGGCUGAAACAGUGACGACCAAGUUUGUAUUUCCCAAACUAAUAAACCUGGGAUUGGAUAAGGUGCCAAGAUUGAAAAGUUUCUACUCUAGGAUGCAUACCACCCACUGGCCUUCAUUGAAAAAAAUGGACAUUAUUGAAUGCCCCAAAGUACAGAUAUUUACUCCACAAUGUCCCGGGAGUCAGGUUGGAAUCUCAAACCAACAACCCUUGUUUUGCGUCAAUGAGGUAAGCUCGCGAACAGUUUCAUAUUCCAUGAUCAUUACUUGAGAUUACCUAUAAAAUGCUUUUUGAAAAAACUAAUAUUCUCUCCUCUUUUAAUUUUAUGAGAGUCUAGUUCUUACUAAUUUAAAACUCUUUCAUCGAUGUCUAAUAUAUUCUUUGCCAUCCAGGACACUUUCCCUGUAUUAGAAGAACUAACUCUGAAGACGAAUGAUAUGGGGAAGGGGAUAUGUGAUGGACAACUCUCAUUGCAGUGUUUCCAAAACCUUAAGCAUCUUAACCUCCAAUUCUUUCCCGAGACAUCCACUACUCUUCCGUAUUCCUUCAUUCGGUCACUACCAGUGCUUCAUAAGCUUGUUAUAGACAAUGCUUCCAUUUGUCAAAUAGUACAAUCUGAAGGACUCAGCGACUAGGAAUGGCAUACAUCAGCAUUCUAUCAGCUAAAGGAAUUAAGUUUGUCUCAACUUCCAGAGUUGACGUUAAAGACUUUUGAACCAUCUUUGCUGUCUUUCAAAAAUCUAACAACACUGAAAGUUUCAAGAUGCCAUGGGUUCAUCAAUUUAAUCGCAUGCUCAACAGCUAAGUGCCUGACGCUACUGGAAAGAUUGAUCAUAGAUGAUUGUGAGAUGAUAGAGGAAAUCAUAGCGUGUGAGGCUGAAGAAAUACAAGGCGGCAUUGUAUUUCCCAAACUGAAGUAUUUGCAACUAAGUUGUCUGCCAUGUCUAGCAAUCUUUUCCUUGGCCCAUCACUUGUUGGAAUUCCCAGUCUUGCUAAUGUUGAUGGUGACAAAGUGCCCCCAAAUGAGGAAUUUCUGCCAAGGAGAUUUAAGCACGCCAAGGCUGGAACAAAUGCACUUAACAAGAGAUGAGGAAGGUGAACUGAAGUGGGAAGGCGACCUUAACACUACCAUAAAACAUAUGUUCGAUGAAAUGGUACAAAUCAUUUAAAGGAUUUAAAUUCAUGUGUUUUUACAUACAUACAUACAUAGUUAAUUGAACAAUUCCUGGUUUGUUAUGAUCAUGCACAGAAUGUGCAAAAUUCUGAGGUGACGGAGGUUACUGAUCAGUUGCCCAAUCUGGAAUAAGGAAAUAUGUUUGGGUGCUUAUGCGAAAAGCUCAAUUUCGUUUGAAUUCAAAACAAACGGUAAUUGACUCCUCUAUUUUCAUCAUGGCUUAACUAAUGCUUUAUAAAGUGACCAUAGAGACGCCCUUUUCAUUGUAGGUUGAGUUGCUCUACUGAAGUACGAGGCUGCAACUUUUGGUAAAAUGUGAAAGGUUAUUUCAGUUUUUGUAAAACUACCAUUUGAACUGUUCCAUUUCACAUUAUACCCUCAAAAUUGAACUUCAAGUGCAUCAUGCUUGGCAUUGGGCUACAAACAUGUAAACUUUUACUAGUAAGGUUGACCCCUGUUUUAAGGAUUUGCCAACUUUUGAUGGUUACCAUAUCAAUGUCAGCUUAAAGCUAUCAAGUAUCUUUACAAAUAUAAUAUAUAUAUAUUAUUCCUUAAUGAAGGAUAAAAGUAGGCAGCUAUCUAUUAAUGGUACGGCUGAUUCUGAAAAGACGGCUGAAAUUGAAUCAAUGGGUUGUUGGUAAUUGCCUGAUGGAAGAACAGGGCCUAAUGUUACGUGGAUCCUGAUCAAGUUUUAAAUUUUCAGUUGUAGGCAUUACUGAUUAUUGCCAUUUGGUUGUUGAUCCUCUGAUUUUACGGUUGACUGUCUUGCUUAUACGUUGCAAGGUUGGCGGGUCUCAAGUAUGAAUUUCCAAGCCGGCUGUCAUCCAUAAUUAACUAAGUGUUCCAAUCUGUUGAAAGGUGGUUAGCAUGCAGCAUUGAAGACCACCAUGCAGAAGCAGCAGUUUGCACGAGAAAGCAAGGAUGUUUAGUUUCAUUUGAAUUUUUUUUUUUGUUUAUGUAAUGUAAUCUAGUUCAUUUUGAACUAUGAUAAGAUGAUAUUUGAUGUAAACUUGAUGGUGAUUGAGCUGUUUACCAGCUUUAUUCAUUUGCACAAGUUAUCAUUCCAAUUUACUAGGAAACUUAGUGGUAGUAGGUAUAGUUUUGGUUAACCUACUGUCUUGACAAGCUAGAAGCUUGAUUUAUGUAUUGGCAUUAAGCCUUUUUUUGAUGAAUGAAUUUAAUCAAGUUUUCAUUCAAAAACUCUCACCAUUCUCCUUGCUUUAUUCUUUUUAGUUUUCUGCUUGUUUCUGCUGCAAGUCACGACACUUGCUGCUCAAGCAAUAGGCUGAAACUUGUUGUUAGUUGCUCUCAGCUCCAACAGAAUCCAUGGAGUUUAUGGUUUAUUAGUGUAACUGUCCAUUUGGUUGUGGAUUGGUUCUUAAGGUGUUUUGAUGCUUGUAUGUUACAGUGCCUGCUCCAAGCAACACCCUUUAAUUUCUAAUGAAUUUUAUUUGUUGAGGAAAAAAAUAUGAGGAUUAAUCUGAUAUUUUAUGUUUGGGUUUAUGAAGAUUUUUGUACCUUUAAUGAAAAAAGCAAAUAAAAUAGAGAGGUACAAGAUCACAUCCAUAGAUCAACAAAGGGGUUUAAUAUUUCUAUAAAAAAAGUUGUCCCAAAAAGGCCUUCUAAUGGGAAUUGAAAAAAAAGCUUGUAAAAAUUUACAAAAGGAAUUGAUGAGAAUCUGAUACAGCCAUCACAUGCGACAGCUUUCCCUUAAAAGCAUUCGUGGCUGAGUCUAGUCUUAAUUUUUAUUUGUAUCUUUUAUAUCCGUUUUAUAAUUCAUAUUUAAGAUUUGUAUUAUGCGCUUAAUAUUUCAUUAUUUGUUGUCUAUGAUGCUCAUUCUUGAAAAAAAAAACAAACAAACAAAUGCAAUGCAUGCAUAAACCAUAAAAAAAAUAAAGAACAUAAGCAACUAAUAAUGAAAUAUAUUAAAAUGAAGACCGGUAAUUGAUUUAAGAAUUACCCUAAUUUCGGUAAAUAUAUUAAAACAUGUGUCCCUAAUCUUUUUCAAUUUUGAUAUUGAAAAAAUUGGUAUUCUUAAAAUUAUGAGAGUUAUUCAAUUAUUUUCAUUUUUGAAAUUGAUAAAUUAAGGACAAUUAAUCACAACGUUAAUGUUUUUAUCAAUUAUAUAUGAUUUUCUUGAUAUAAUGAUAAAUUUAGUCCUCAAAGUUUACACAUUCUAUCAAUUUGUUAUUGAUUUAACAAAUUUAACCCACAAUAUUUACACAUUUCGUCAAUUUGAUCAUGAUUUAACAUAUUUAACCCGUAAUAAUUAUACAUUCUAUCAACAUUUACGCAAAAUAUAUAAUCAUCAAGGAUUAAAUUUGUUUUUAUACUAAUCAAAAUUAUGUAUAAUUAACAGAAACUAUUAGCGCUUGAUUAAUUGUUCGUGGUUACUUUCAAAAAAGAUAAGGAUUAAUUUGUUCAAUAUCAAAAAGAUGUUUUUUAUUUUUAUUUUUUAAUUUCAUAGGUAAGAAAAUCUCAAAAAAAAGAAAAUCUUUGAAAUAAAAAAUAGAAUGUUUUAUAUAAUUAUUUGAAGUUACUCUCACGUUAUUUUUACCCAUUCAAAGCUAGCAAGUCUUUAUGUACAAAAUGGUAUAGCUCUGCAAUUUGGAUUAACAUUUUGGUGACCUCCAUGUGAAGUGAAAGAAAAUUGAGAAUGUCACACAAUUAUUAUUUUUGCCUCCAUACCCCUAUGCCACCAAAGAAAGUUGAAUUAUUAAGGCACAAAAGUACUAAGGAGUAGGAGCUAGAAAAAGAGGGGCAUGAAAAUAAAGAGACUUACAUUUAUUAUUUGCAUAAUACAAAAUCAGUCUUUAAUAUUUACAUAUUUUAUUAAUUUGAAUUUUAUUUUUAUUUAGUUAAAUUUAACUUUAAACCCUUUAAAAAAAGUUAAAUUUGAUCAUCAACAUUUUAAAAAGAGUCAAAUUAUUAUUUAACGGAAAUGUUAAAUUUUGAAAUACAUAUAACAAUUCGCGUGUAUUUCAUAUUAUUUUUUUAAAUUUUUUAUAUUUUUUUGAAAUUUUUAUUUUUGAAUAUUGUUAGAAAAAUAUUUGGAACAUUGUUAGUGGAGUUUUUAACCUCCACCAACAAAAUUAAUGGGUUAAUAAGUGUCUUACAGGGAUAUAAUAAAAUAUUAAUAUAUAUAUAUUAAAAUAUAUAUAUAUAUGUUAAUUUUUUUAAAGUUGUGGAAUAAAAAUAAUAUAUUAUUGGCAUACCAAAUACUCACCUUUUUAAUUAAGAUUUAAAAAUAAAAAAUAGUUAGUAAAAUGAAUGGAUUGCAAAUUGAGAAAUUUGAUAUUGAAUAUUAAAAUUUUCUUAAAAAGAAGACAUAUAGCAAGAUAAGAAAGUUAGUGAUUUAUUUGAUUUAAUUUUAAUUUUUAAAUUGAUGCAUUUUAUUAUGAAUUUUUAUUCUUUGUGUAUUUUGUAUAAUUUGUUUGAAAUUUUCAAUUUUCAAUUUCUCACAUGAGUUUGAGAUAUAAAAAAAAUUACUCUUAGGAUUGGUGAAACAGUGGAUACAAGAGUUCAGCUUAUCAUAUAUUGAUGAUUUUGUUCUUCGAAAUAUUGUCUACAGAUAGGAUAUCAGAGUUCUAUUAAUUAGAGUUCCGUUAAAAAGUCGAAAUUUCUAUUUUAGCCUAGGACUCUAGGAGUUCUGUUAUCGAUAUUCUAAUUAUGAUCAUGAUCUAUAAAAAAUAUGAGUAACAUGUGAUACGUAAAUGAAAAUUUUUAUGAUAUGAUAAGUCAUAAAUUAAGUGAAAAUGUAUGAAAGUGUAUGAUUAUAUGAAAGACAAAAAUAAUUAAUUUAAUUUAAUGAUCUGUAAAAUUGAAAAAUGAAAUACAUGAAUUAUAUAAGAGAAUGUUGACGAUCAAUAUGUGGUAUGUAAAUGAGAAGGAAAAAAUUAUAUGACCAAAUACUAAAAUAAAUGAAUAAUGAAAUUAACUAAAUACUUUGUAAGUUCAAUAAUUUAAAAAAUUGUUAUUUUUCCCAUUCAAAGUUGAAAAGUCUUUUAUGUGAAAAAUAGUGUAGCUCUUCAAUUUGGGUAUAACAUUUUGGUCUUCUCCAUGUGAUGUGGAGGAAAAUUGACAACAUCACACAAUCAAAUCCAUUUUUUCUGCCAUACCCUUGUGCCUCCGAAGAAAGUUAAAUUAUUAAGGCACAAAAGUACCAAGGAGUAGAAGCUACCAAAAGAGGAGCAUGAAAAUAAAGAGAGAUACAUAUAUUACUGGCAUGAAAUAUUUACAUUUUUUAUUAAUUUGGAACUUCUUGCCUUUUACUACUAGCUUGAUUUGUAUCAUCGCUCUCACCUUUUUGAGCUUGUAUCUGAUAGUGAAACCAAAGAUUAGUGAAAGCCUUCGCACCAAAACUGAGUUCUAGGAACUGCAAUAGGAUCAAUUUCAACAACUCUAAUGGGAUAUUAAACAUUCCCAACUCUUAAGAUCACCAUCUCAUCAAUUUUACACAAUUAAAAUGAAUGUUUCCCUUCACAAAAGGUUUAGGAUGAGCAGCACCAUCGUCCACACUAAUAAAACUUCCCCAGUGAUUGGCGAUGUUUUUAAAUGUAGAGAUCGGACAAGCAUGGAUCGGAACCCCUAAAGUUGUUCUAUAAUUAACCAAAAUGUUUUCAGACCAUGACUCAACUUUUGUGAACCACCUCAUCGAAAUUUCAAUAAACUCUUUUAUAACCUUCUCCACCGUUAAACUCCAUUAGCAACUUGGAGGCCACCCUCUUCUAACCGCAGAGCAAGGUUCUCAAGAGUACAUAAAUCUCUACACCAUCCCAUAAUACAAAUUGUAGCUUAGAAAGUUUUUCUUCCUCGAUAAUCCCAUCUAUAGGAAUUGACUCUAUCUCUUUCUUACCUGUAGCCACCUCCUCCAUGAAACAAUUCUUGUUUAUAGCUUUUUCACCUCCGAGGGUUCCACUCGUAUCUAGAGAAUCCUUUGAUACCUCCAGAGCCUUUGAAGCGUGCAAAGUUGACCCAUAUUCUAUGUCCAAAUAAAUGGAACCGUUCAGACGAAGCGUCGCCCUUCUUGCAUCAGUAAAGUUUGCGAAUCUCACAAAACCAAAUCUUUCUCCUUUUUAUGAAGACAUCCAUAACCCUGCCGUGAUACUCGAAUAUCUUCCAAAGACCUGUCCAUUGCAUUCGUGGAGGACGAUUCACUACAAAAACAGUAACACAACUCUGUCCAGUGUCCACCACCCAACCCAUUACUCAUUAAUAAAACUCCUACUUCAUCACUUAACUAAAGCUUUCUUUUUGAUAUUUUUAUAUAUUUUAAUUUUGUUUUGUAUUCAAAUAAUUUGAUAAUUAACUUUUAACAAUUAUCCCAUAGUUUUUACUAUAAAUUUAAGGAAGACAAUCUUGAUAAAAUUAGUUUGAGGUAGGAACAGUUUAUUGGAACAGCGUAGUCUUUUAUAGGAUUAAAAAUAUUAAUGCAAGAAAUAAAAAACAAGUGAUUAAAGGUUUAGAACAAGCAAUCAAACUUAUUUUAUGUUAAAAUUUUCGAACAAUAUGAAAAUAUAUAAUUUUAAUUGUUCUUUUACCAAUUAAAUUGAUUUUUGACAGGUUUAACUAUUGACUUAAAAAAGAGUGUUAAUUUGAAUGGUUAAAUGUAAUGAUGCAUGGUUUGUCUGACAUCGUCACAUGGAAAAUGGGAUUAAAAAUGGAAAUUAAGCAAAGGCAAAAUGAAUAUAUUUAUUGUUUUCUAAUUUGGUGUAGGGUGCCAUAUUUGUUGAUAGCCACUCACUAAUACAUUAUAAAUGGAAUAAUUGCCUAUUUUACCUUUUUCAUGAAAUUUAUUGACAUCACCAGCUCAUUUUUCAACCACAUUACUCAAAUGAUUGACAGAGAGAGGUAAAAGUAAUUUAUAAAUGUAUUUCUUUUUUUUCGAGUAUAAUUUGUAUUUAUUUCUAGCCAUUUUUAUAAAGUUAUUGUUUAAAAAAGGGGUAAUUAUCAAAUUCAUAUAUGAUUUGGAUCCAAUGUACAAUUUGAUACAAACUACAAUUUGGUGUAAUUAUACACAUAAACUUGAAUUGUGAUUCAUAUGAGCACAUGAAACUUUGAUUUUGAUUCAAUUGUAUGCAUUUAAUGAAUGUAUACGUUUAAAAAAAAUGAAUAUUUACAUUUAUUUUCAUAUUUGAUUAUAUACAGGGGCGAAACCAGAAAAUUCUUUUAGGGGGCUGAAAUUAAAUUGUAAUUUUUACGAUAGCAAAAAUGUAAUUUCACCAUUUUAAUGGCCUAUAUCUUUAUAAUUUUUAAAUGAUUAAAUCAAAUUUUAUAUUUUUAGCGGAGCAAAGUACAAUUUUACCUUUACUAAUUUAAAAUUUUAAAAGGCCUAAAUAGAAAAUUCACCAUUUCAAGGGGACUGAGACUAGAGGUGAUCAUGGGUUGGGCCCACCCGAAAAAUAGGAGGGUCCAAGUAAAAAUAUAGACCCAAAAUAUGGGUUUCGGCAAAAAAAGAAGCCCGUUUAAAAAACGGGCCGGGCUCGGGUAAAAAUUUUUUGGCCUAGGCCCAACCCGACCCGGCCCGAAUUAUAUAUUAAAUAUAUAUAGUUUUUAUUUUUAAUCAAAUAUGUAUUAAAUAUAUACUUUUUUGGUGUUGUACAAUUUGAUAUGGGUUGGGCUCGGGCUUAGCAAUUUUCUUUUGGGCCGAGCUUGGAUAAAUUUUUAGGCCCAUAUUUUGGGCCCAGCCAAGCCCGAGCCUAAAAAAUGGGCCUAAAAUUUUGUCUGGGCCCUGCUCAGCCCAUGAUCACCUCUAACUGGAACCCCUGUCAGCCCCUUAGUUUCGCCCCAAAUUAUAUAAUAGUUUGUAUAUGCAAUAUAUCAACGUAAAAUUGUGCUAAUUCAAUAAUAUUGUUAGUGAUUUCUGAAAAUUGAAUCAAAUCAAUAUUUCAUAUAUAAAAUUGUACAAAAUCAAAGUUCAUAUACAACAUAAAUAAAUAAAUAAAAAGUUCAUAUAGAACAAUAUACAUUAAAUCAAAAUUUAUAUAUAAUUUUGAUAUUUAUCUCAUUCUUUAUUAAUUAUAACGUGUGAACGAGGUGAAUCCAAAUUUUGUCAUUUAUUUUCCUACCAUCUUUGCGAAAUAAAUUUCAACUUAAGAAGGAAAAAAUAAUUAACAUUUUCAAAUUCUAUCAAGAUAGACAUGUUCAUAGGUCAGACUCUCGGCUUAGGUUCAAAAGUUCACUAAAAUUUUGGGAGGGUUUGGAUAAAAAUAUCAUACCCAAAGAAUGGACUCGAGCAAAAAAAAAAGACCUGUUUAAAAUAUGGGUCGGGCUCGGGCUUGAAUAUUUAAGGCUAGACCCGUUUUAAGUUUAUAAUUUUUUAUAUUAUGUUAUUUUUUAUAUAUUAUGUAAUUUAGAACACAAUAAAAAAUAAACAUAUAGUAAAUAUAUAAUAUAACUCUAAUGUAAACAUUAAAAUAAUAUUAAAAUGACUAUAUAAAAAAUUUCAAUAAAUAAAAAUGUAUAAAUAUUAAAAUAAUAUAAUAUAAAUACUUUUUAAAAAAAUUAAAAAAUAAUAUAAGCGAACCUAAAAUGGGUUUAGAUUAGUUUUUUGUAAAUAUGGGAGUGUUUUGACAAAAUUUUAGGCCUAAAUUUCAAACCGGACCGAACUUAAACAAAUAUAAAAUAUCUUAAUAUCAUGCUUAAACCAACCUAUGAACACUUCUACAUAAAAAUAAUAUAGACGAAUUGAUGUCGUUUAGUUCCACAAGGUCAAACUUCAAAUUAAUACGAGUGUAUUAUUAAAAGUUUUCGUCCUCGCAUUACUUGUAAUUAGUUUAUGUCUUUUAAUUCAUUGAGAAGUAACAAGCAUGUAUGGAUGUCCAUUGUACAGGCCCAUUUUGACCUAAUCCAUUACAACCCAUAACCCAAGCAAAAACAAAACCUACCCAGGCCCAACUAAGCCUAACCCACCAAAACCAAAGCCCAAAUCAGCAACCCAAUUCAGCCCAAUCUACCUAACCCUAGCCAAUUUGUAGAAAAAAGAAACAGCAGCCACCCUAGGUGCGCCGCACCUAGGGCCUUCGUCCACCUACCCCCUGCCACCGCCUCUGACCAGCGCCGCACCUGCUCUCUGCCAUCGCCCAACUGCACCUGCAAGAAGAGAAACCAACACGCAACAACAAAUAGUAGACAUAGAUAAAAAAAAUGUUAAAAUCGGCUAUAAAAGCCGAAACCAGAGGAAUGUAAAGGGUUCGGCCCCUCUUUGACGAUUAAAAGAAAUAAAAGUUUUUUGAAAAUCUUAAAGGUGACUACUACCUUUUUAGAUCUGUUUUUUUUUGUUCUUUUAAAUAUUAUUUUUGUUUUUAAAUACAAACAAAUUAAAAAUAAGAAUAAAGGAGAAGGCUUUUUACCUUACCUGCGCCGCGACGGAGGUGGAGGAAGGCGAACGGUUUCGCCCCAUUUUUUGGGUCUUCGGCUUUCUAUUCAGGAGAUUCAGCCCCGGAUCUGUGGCCUGGAGGCCAUGGACUUCAAAAAAGGACGAAAAAGGUCCGAUUUUGAACCUCCGGCGGCCACACACGGUGGCUCUGCGGCGGAGACUCGUCGGAAAUCUCGAGCCGGACCAUGGCCGGACCUGAGAGAAAAAGAGAGAGUUUUCUCUCUGUUUUUUUAAAAAGAAGAUGAAACUGUUUCUUUUAGCUUUUUUUAGUAUUUAUAUUAAACGUGAAACGACGCCGUUUUAGCAAAAGGAUCCGCGCGUCGACCCGACCCGACCCGGAGGAUCCGCGUGUUUUCAGUUUUUGGGAUAUUUCGCGUGCAGUCCCCCUGAUUUUGCAGCGUAUUACAAUUUUAUCCUUUUGUUAUUUUCUCUUAUUUUUAAUUUAGCCCCUGCAAUUUUAUUUUUAUUUCGACUUGGUCCAUUUCAACGCUGCGUUUUGGGGCUGUGGUUUAUUUGCAGUUUUGGCCCUUUCCUUUUCAGCGCGCGUUGCAAUUCGGUCCUUCUUGUUUUUUUAUUUCAAAUUUGCCUAGUAUAUUUGUUUUUAUUUUGAUUUAGUCCCUUUUUAGCAAUCUUAUUUAUUUUGAUUAAUUAUUUUAAUGUAUUAUCAUUUAUUAUUAUUAUUGUUGCAUUUAUUAUUCUGAUUAUCAUUUACCCAUUCGCAUCGUUUUUGGAUUUGGUUAUACAUACAUACUUAUAUAUAUUUUUAUAUUUUAUAACUUAUAUACAUAUAUCUAUAUUUAUAUUCUUUACCUUCACAAAUAUAUGUAUACGUACCUAUAUAUAUAUAUUAUUUUAUAUAUAUACAUCCUUUUACAUUUUUAGGUUUUUAUAUUUUGUUCAUUAUUUAUUUAUUUAUUUACAAUUUUGUUAUUAUUUUAAAAGAAUGCUUUAACUUUAUUUGCUUAUAUAUUCAUUUUGUAUGCUAUUGAUUUGUCUUUUUUUAUUUAUCUUAUCUUUGAUGCUAUUGCUCGUGUUAUUUUACUUGCAUUAUCAUCAUCAUUUCAUUAUACCCAUUUUUAUUUAGAUUUCGAAAAAGAAAUUUUAGAAAUAAGUAAUAUUCGGUAUUUUGGAUCUUCGAGAGAAUCGAGCCCUAACGUAUUGGGUUCCGACUUUCUUCGUUGAACUUAAAUAAUUGAGAUUAUUCUUUUAAAAAUGAUAAAAAGCUCGUUACCGAGAAUUCAAUAUGUUGUGUCCUAACGCAUUGGAUGUGACACGUUAUUUUUUCGAAACGAGAAUUUUUCUAAAUAAAUGUAAUAUUCAAUGUUUAAUAUUUUGAGAAAUUGUGCCCUAACGUAUUGGGUUGCGAUUUCUUCAUUUGAUUUAAACAAUUGAAUAUUCUUUUAAACUUUAUUACACGAAUUUUUUCAAACUCAAGUUAAACGAUAUCGGGAAUUAAAAAAAGGAUCGUGUCCUAACUUACUGGUCGCGAUAUCUUUUUUUAAUCCAAGAUAGUUAAAUAUCUUUUAAAUAAGCAUUUUUCAUUCGCGUAUCGGGAAUUCGAGACAUUGUGUCCUAACUUAUUAGAUAUGAUUCUCUUUCUCGAAUAGCGUGAAAUAUGCCCCUUUUUCAGAAAUUUUUCAACGUUUUAAUACAAGGAUCGUAUUUUUAAAAUUCUUCAAAGUUCUCAAUUUUCGACAUUAAGACAUUAAGUAGUCAAUUAGGUACCAAUUUUGGGCGUAUCGAGGGUGCUAAUCCUUCCUCGUGCGUAACCGACUCCCGAACCCGUUUUUCUGAAUUUCGUGGACCAAACUUGUUGUUUUAAUAAAAUCAAACCGUUUAUUAAAAACAACUAAUUUUAAGGUGAUCCAAUCACACCUCAUAAAAAAGGAUUGGUAGCGACUCCCGUUUCUUUUUUCAAAACCCAAGUCGACCCCGUUUUCCAUCCAAAAAAUGGUGUCAACAUCCAUCUUCUACCAUAGUUGUCUUCUAAAGAACUUUAUAAAGGGAAGCUAUGCCACUCUAUUUAAGGGUUGGUUUUGGAGAUUAAAGUGUAAUUUUAUCAUCAUAUUAACUUAAGUUUUUUUUUUAAAUUUAAAAACGUGUAAAUGGUAAAUUUACUAUUUUUGGAAGGUCAAGGCUAUUGCUUCCCCUUAUCUUUGCCCUGCUAGUAGUUGACUAACACGGUCUCAUACAGUAAUACUCUUAUCGAAUAUAAAGCCUUGUUUAAAUGGAGAUAUUUAUAAGAGGAAAAAUACUAAAUAAUGCAAGCUCGCCCAUGCCUGGUCACUGUGAGCCCCUUUGUGAGGAAGCACCUGAUCUUCUCUCGAAGUUACGAGGUUAUUUUGUCAAGUUCUUUAGAGAGAGUUGUCUCACACCCCUAGGUAUUCUCUACCUACCCACUUGUGUCGGUUUUGGGUACACGUACCCUUUUGAUGAAGGUCGUUCAAGCUUUUCCUGGAAGUAUAAUUUUUACUUCCACUUACAAUUUCAUAAAAUAAUAAUUUAUCAAAUCAAAAUUAUUCAAAUACAAAUUCAAAAUAUUUGAAUCAAAAUUAAAUUGGAGCUCCUCACUCAGGCUUCUACUUUUGUGCAUUGAUAAUUCAGUGGCAGCACUUCCCCCUUGCCUUAAUUGUUGAAAAUUGAAUAAAAAUUGUACCUUUCAUUUCCUUCCCUCAGACAAGUUGUUCAUUGUUGCUCCCACUCUUCAGUCUUCUCUAAAAUAAUGUAGGAAUCCCAAGUCACUAUAAUUAGGUGAUGAGGAUGGUACUUACUUUUUUUCCAAUAUCAGGGUAUUUAUCGUUAAUAAUAGUGAUUGAUUUUUUUUGUUGCGAAUUUGUACAAGAGCUUAUGUAAGAGUUUAAUAUAGUUCAAUGAUUAUUUUAUAAUUUUUUAAAGUUAAAUAAUCAAAAUAGAAAUUAAUUAACAAUUUAGCUAGAGAGCUUACACGUAGUUUACCCAAAAACAUAUCGACAUGAUCCCCCAUUGGAGUCCGAAGCCAAAGCUCACAAAUUGGGUUAACAUUUGACAUUUGGGGUUUCAAAUUGAGAAUUAAUUGAAAUAGAUAACAAUUAGCAAUUAAUUGAGAAUAAACAAAUUAUAUUCCAUAUAGUGUAGUAUUGAAUAUAUGUUUACUUCAUUAAAGGUCUCUUUUUUAUUCAAUUAAUUUCUCCAACUCAAAUUUAGCAACUUAUUAUGGUACUAUGAGAUUAUAAGAAUGGUUUUUGGAAGUAAAUCAGUGAGUGAAGUUGUAAAAUUACUGAUUUUCGAUUUAAUUACUUUAAUCAUUGGUCUAGUUUCAAUUAAAAAAUUUAUUCAUGAUUUAGCCUAUAAAUUAUAUAUAUUCUCUCACUUUAGUCUAGUUUAGACUUGCCUAUGGCCCUGCUCGAAUGUCCACCUGAAAAGCGAGAUGAUUUAGGUAAAUAUAUAUGCCCAAAAAGUUGGUCUGGAUAAAAAAAUAAUGCUCGUUUUCUAAACGGAUUGGGUCUCAGGUAAGCUUUUCUUGCUCAACCUGGCCCGAAUUUGCAAAAAAAAAAACUAUUGUUGUUUUUUUUACUAUUUUAUCAUUGUUUUUCUAUCAUUUCGUUAUUAUAUUGCUACUAUUUUAUUAUUAUUGUUUGAAUAAUGCAUAACUCUUGUUUUAUUACUAAUUUUGCUACUAUUUUAGGGAUAUUUACUUUUUAAGUUACACUUAUCUCAGUGUUAUAUAUUUAAGUAUUUUUUUUUAAUUUUCAUUUGUUCGGAAACAUUUAUUUCAAAUUUUUUAGUGUAUUUGAUGAAUUAUUUUUUAAAAUUUAUUUUUAUAUUAAAAAUAUAAAAAAUUAAUAUGGGCAGACUAGGCUUUUAACAUUUUAAUCUAAGUUGGGCUUGGAUAAAAUUUUAAGCCUAUUUUUCGAGCUGAACCGAGCUCAGGCCUAGAAAUUAGGCCUAAAUUUUUUACUUGGCCCUAUCAACCCAUGGACAACCCCAGUCUAGUUUCAGUUGGGAAUGAGAAUUACUACUAUUUUGUUGUUAUUAAAUUGUUAAACCAUUGUUUUUUUUUUUUGGUGCCACUUCAAAAAGCCAUUGGGCCUUAGUCAAGACGAGGUAACAUAGAAUAGUUCAGGGUCCUAACUGGAAAAUAUCCCACAUUGAUUAUUGUGAUGUAGAAAGUGGAAAAUAUGUAACGAGCGUCAUUGGAAAGAUGUAUGUCAAACUAGUGGAGCCAUAAAUUGGUAGUUUUCUAAGGUUGGUUUCAAAAUGAAGGGGGAGCUCCCAAGUCAAAAUAAAAUUGUUUAGUAUUUUUUAGUGUUUCCCUUUUAGACAGGUUAAAUUGUGUAUUUAUAUGUAGGGGUGUUCAUUCGGUUAACCGAUCGGUUAAUCGAAUCGAACUUUUUUAAAAAAAAUUAACCGAACGAAAUUUUUUCGGUUAAUUCGGUCGGUUAAUCGAAAAUUAUAUGUUUUUUUAUUUUUGGUUAAAAAUUAACCGAAUUAACCGAAUUAACCGAAUUCCCGAAUUACCCGAAUUAACCUAAUUGAAUCAUACAUAAUUAAAUUAUUUUUAGACUUUAAUACUUUAGUUUUAGUUUUAGUUUUAGAAUUUGUUUUUAUUUAUUAAAUUAUUUGUAAAUUUUAUGAUUGGGUUGGUUUGGGUAAUUGGGUUGGAUUGAAUACUUGGAUUUGGAUUGGGUUUAGGUGAAUAGUGGACCUAUUUAUAUAUUAAUAAUUUUAUUUAUUAAUUUUUUCGGUUAACCGACCGGUUUCGAACCGAAUUAACCGUUAACUGAAAAUUCAUAAAAAAAUUAACCGACCCCCGACCGAAAAAAUUCGGUUAACCGACCGAUUACCGAAUUUUUUCGGUUUUACCCGAAUUAUGCACACCCCUAUUUAUAUGAUAUGAUUACUGUUCACAGAUAUGAUAUCGUAGGUAGGUUCCCAUGCAAAUCAACGUAUACCCUACUUUAGGUUAACAUGUAUUUAUAUGAGGUGGAUUUACAUAGUGCAAACCCACAUCAUGCUGUCUCGUAGAAGGUUGCAAACACCUUACAUGCGAACUCAAAGUGCGAACUGUAAUGGAUCAGUAAUAGUGAAUAUCAUAACAAAAGUAAAUUAAAAUAUUUAAUUCCUUCCAAAUAUUAAUUUCAAUAAUUAUUCAACUCCUAUUAUUUUAUCCUUUUGUAUAUUGAAUUCCUCUAAGCAAAGAAAAUAUCCAAAUUAAAAUUUUUAAUUUUUUUAGACAUAAUAUCAAAUUUAACCUUCAACGUUUACAUUUUUUUGUCAAUUUGGCAAUUAUUCUUUUUUGAGCUAAAUUUGACCCUUAAUCUUUCAAAAAAGAGUCAAAUAUUUUUUUAUGAAAUCUUUUUUUAAUGAAAACAUUAAUAAAAACAUUAAUUUUUUUAACAAUAAUGGUGUGGCAACCCGCAUGGUAGUCCACGUAUACUUCCAUACUAGUAUGACACUAUUUGUAUUAUAUGUCAUGUCAACAAAUAAUUUUAAAAAAGUAUUUAAAAUUCAAAAAAUUAUAAAAAGCUCAUAAUAUGUAAAAUAAAAAAGCAUGAAGUACAUAUAGAUUGUCAUUCAAACUAUCAUAUUUGAAAAUUUAAUGUUAUAAUCGAAAUUUUUUUUAAAAAAAUAACAAUUUAACUCUUUUAAAAUAUUAAUGGUUAAAUUUAACUUUUUAAAAAAAAUUGAAAGUCAAAUUUAGCUCAAAAAAUAAAGAUUAAACUGACAAAAAAUAUAAAUGUUAAAAGGUUAAAUUUCAAAUUAUAUCAUUAUUUUAUUAAACAAACCUUAUUAAAAAUGUAUUUAAAUUUUAUAAAUCUUAUUAAAAUAAUAUUAAUAAUUAUUCAACUCCUCCACACAAAGAAGCAUCCAAAUUAAAAAUAUAUAUUUAAUUCCUUUCAAAUAUUAAUUUGUUCAACUUCUUAAAUUAAGUAAUUAAUCAAUUUUCGUUUUAAACAAAAAACCGGAUAGGAAAACCAUCAUUUUCUCGGGAAACAAACAGAGAAAGCUGCAAACUUUCCAAAUAUAUACCUUACUCGAAAAUCUGCCACGUCUUAUCCUUGAUAUGAUGGUUUCUAACAUUGCCACUUGGCAAGUUAUUCAGUAACAAUGCCAAUCUGCCACCAUUAUGCUUUUCCUUGCAGUACAAAAUUCCAGGAUGCCUUUACUUCUUUUGCCUCUUGGAUCAGCAUUUACUAUCACCAAAAUCAAAAUCCCAACUUUGAAAAAAAAAAAGUUUAAUUUUUAUCCUUUUUUUAAAAAAAUUUAACAAUUUUUUAUUUUCCAUUGUCAACCUUGUAAAAUUCUUUUAUAUUUUUAUGUUUUUAGUGGGAUUUUUACAUUUGUUCCAAAUUAUCAGUUUGUCAAGUUCUUCAUGCUUUCCAUGUCCCAAAGGAUCACAUUUUAUUUAAGAAAUAGAAAAAGACAUUAUUUUUGUUCUUCAUGCAACUUAUAAGUUAUAGAGAAUGAAUUUCUUUGAUUUUAGCAACUAAUAUUAUGAUUCCAACAUUUAGGGUUUUAUAUGUUUUUUUUUCUGUAUGAAUUUGAACUUGAGUUAGCCAUAAAAACCCCACCUUUAAUCUCAAUAUAUGAACUUGGCUUUGCUUCUUAUGGUUAUUAUUGUUUAAUUUAAUUAAUGUCUUGAAAGGGUAUUCUAGUUUAAUUUAAUUAACUAGUCCAUUUAUUUUGAUUGAUAAUGAUGUUGCAGGUGCUUAAUCUUUCCAUUGAAAUGGAGAAAAUCAACUACCAGGACGAGCUGAAGAAAGAGCGUAGGCUUGUUCGGAGUCUCGUAUACGAGAUCGGUUACAGGAAGGAACAGGUGUCCGAAAUGGAACAUAAAUAUGACAAGACAACCACGGCUUUUCAAGAACUCGUUGAUGGCCUUGUAGCGAAAAUUGACUCCAAGGACAGUAGUUUGCGGGAUUGGGAGCUUCGAUAUAAGGAAAUGGGGAAAUGGUACAUAAAUAUGAUGAGACGACCGCAGCUCUUCAAGGACUCGUCGAUGGCCUUGUAGAGAAAAUUGACUCCAAGGACAGUAGUUUACGGGAUUGGGAGCUUCGAUAUAACGAAACCGUGAGACAAUUGAAGGGCGAGAACGCGGUGUUUCACCUUGUGUUUGCUAAAGGUAUACUUUAGAUUAUAUAUUGCAUACAUAGCGAGCAGAAGACUAUGCAUUAAUCCAAUCGUGUACGAUGAACAACAUGUCGUUUUCGAAGUUCCAAGGUUUGCAUUUAGAGCUUUGAUUGAUCUUUAGGCUAUUUUACACAUCUAGUUGCUUAGUAUUAGAUUCGGUGAAGAAGUUGCAACUUUAGGAUAGUGAAGGAGACAUAAAUGUCAGGAUUCGAACCCCAAACUCUGCUUUUAUAUCUGUUAUCACGGGAACCGGAUGAACUUAUGGAAACGAGGCUUGGAACCUAAAAGGAAGCAUAUAUAUUUGAGAUAUUCCGAUUUUCUUCCUGUUGCUAAUGCUUCUAUCAUACACAUUAGGAUUAUGUGAUCUUAUAUAUAUACACACGCAUAUAUACGAGAUACUGAUGAAUUUCUGCCUCCUGUUAUUGCUUAUAUCAUAUGCUUUAUGGACUGUUGCUUUACAUUUUUUAUGCAGAAAUUCAGAAGGAAAGGGAUGAAAAUCUUAAGCUGAAGUGCCAACCUGGCUUUCGAACCAAGUUGGUCGAAGAUUAUAUAUCUCGUAAUGAUAACGAUAUGGAACGAAGUAGCUUGUUGAAUGAAAUGGAAGGGGUUAGCAUACUCAUCUUAAUUUUGGUUUUCGAUAUAUGAACUAUCUUUUGUCGAGUUUGUACCUUUGUGUAAAUGAAUCCUGUUAUCAUGUUUAGGUUCAACGUUUUUAAUGGUUAUGAUUUGCCGAGUAGACUUUUAACAAUUCGGAUUAUAUCUGAUAUAGCCGAAAGAGAAUGUGGCUUGCCAAAAUCUUAUUGAACUCGAGAAAACUACAAGCGAGCAGAUUACUGCUCUAAAGAAAGAGUUGGAGGAAAAAUCAGAAGCGUUGAAAGAUAUGGAAAACCGAAACAGUUGUCUAACGGUGAAACAAGUCCUAACUAAUCAAGAGCUGCAAGAUGUUCGAAAAGAAUCCAUACGUGUAUUUUUCAUGUUUUCCUUUGCUUCCUCCUAUGUUUCCUCUUCGAAAUCGGGUUUAAACUUGAAAGUGUUAAACCCAAGACUUCUCUGGUUUUUGAUGUGCAGGGUUUGAACGAUUUUCUGAAUAACCAGACUAAUCUUAAGAGUGAAAAGAACGGGAGAGAUUGAUCAAAAAGCAUUCAAAGUUGCUUGCUCGUUGAAGUUCCAGGACGAAGAUUGGCGAGAACCGUGUGCUAAAACAUGUUCAUUAUGUUGUUCCAAUAGGGUCGGAAGCGUGUAAAUUAUUGUACUAAAAAAUCACAAAAAGUUCAAUUCCCAGGGAAGAGAGGUGGAUCACAUGGAUCUCUUAAAUACCAAGUCUUUUCUUAGACAGAAUAUCCCUUCUAUAGUAAUUUAAUAGCACAAUUAAAUACUACUAUUAUACCCUCAAAUAUUGAAAGAAAAAUAGGACAAGAAAGAACACAAGAGAUUUAACGAGGUUCGGUAAAUUAUACCUACGUCCUCGGGCACUAACACCAGAUGAUAACUUUACUAUCCCCAAAGUAUUACAAACAAAUAGAAUUCCUUAAGAAUUCUCAAAUGGGAGAAGAGAGAAAACUAAGAGAGAAAGAUUGGUUGGGAUGAAUUGAAAUGAGAAAUGAGAAGGCCUAUUUAUAGUUGAGGUUCAAGGACCAAACAAUAAAUAGCACAUUAUCUCAAGGACCAAAAAAAAAUUAUCCCUUGCCACUUUUCCAAAGUUGGUGGUUGUCAUUAUUGAUUGUCUCCCAUUAAUGUUAAUGGCAACCAUUAUUAAUUGUCUAUCAUUAAUGUUAACAAUCUCCACCUUGAAGAUUUGAUUAGGAUAAUCACAUCUUCACACACUUCCUUCAACUCCCUAAAUUCGAUAAAGCUAUCUUUUGUAGUGCCUACAAAUGCGCUCUCGAGCGCCAUACACCUGAAGGUGCUCAAAUUCUCAGGAUGUUAAUCAAGUUCAAACAAUGAUUAAACUUGAUUGUUGUUACCACCUUGGUCAUCAUAUCUGCGGGAUUAUCUGCUGUCGGAAUCUUCUAAAGUAGAAUUUUUCCUUUUUCAAAGACUUCUCGCACAAAGUGAUAUCUUACGUCAAUAUGCUUGGUUCUUGAAUGAUAGACUUGAUUUUUCGCUAAAUGAAUAGCGCUCUGACUGUCACAAUAUAAACUUAUGUGACUUUGAACAACUCCUAAGUCUUUCAACAAUCCAUUAAGCCAAAUAGCCUCCUUAACAGCUUCUGUAACUGCCAUAUAUUCUGCCUCUAUAGUAGAUACAGCUACUGUAGACUGUAAGGUAGACUUCCAACUCACUGGGGCUUUCGCAAGAGUAAACAAAUACCCCGUAGUUGAACGACGUUUAUCUAAAUCACCAGCAAAGUCGGAAUCAACAUAUCCAACUACAAACUGACCAAGUGCUUCAUCCUGUUCAAAAAUUAAACCAACAUCUACGAUUUUUCAAAGAUACCGUAGAAUCCAUUUCACAGCUUGCCAAUGUCCUUUUCUAGGAUCAUGCAUAUACCUGCUCACAACUCCAACAGCUUGUGAAAUGUCAGGCCUCGUACACACCAUCACAUACAUCAAACUCCCAACUGCAUUAGUAUAUGGGACUUUCGCCAUAUAUUCUCUUUCUUCUUCAGUUUUCAGAGAUAAUUGAGCACUAAGUUUCAAAUGAGAAGCAAGUGGGGUACUUACAUGUUUUGUGUUUUCAUUUACACCAAAACAUUGUAAUACCUUUUUCAGAUAUUGCUUCUGAUUCAAACAAAGCUUGCCUCUCUGUCUAUCUCUACUUAUCUCCAUGCCGAGAAUCUUCUUGGCCUCACUUAGAUCUUUCAUCUCGAACUCUUGAUUCAACUGAGCCUUCAGCUUAUCUAUCUCUUUUUGGCUCUUCGAAGCGAUUAACAUAUCAUCAACAUACAAGAGUAGAUAAAUGAAAGAUCCGUCAUGCAGCUUCUGCAAAUACACACAAUUGUCAUAUUUGCUUCUUGUGUAUUUCUGCCUUCUCAUAAAGCUAUCAAAUCGCUUGUACCACUGCCUCGGGGAUUGCUUCAAUCCAUAUAGCGAUUUGUUAAGCUUACAAACCCAAUUUCUACCACCAGCAUCUGUGUAUCCUUCUGGCUGAGUCAUAUAGAUCUCCUCUUCUAACUCACCAUGCAAGAAAGUCGUCUUAACAUCAAGUUGAGCUAGCUCUAAAUUCAACUGUGCUACCAAGGCCAACAAAAUUCUAAUGGAGGAAUGCUUCACAACAGGGGAAAAUACAUCAUUGUAGUCAAUUCCCUCCUUCUGAGCGUAGCCUUUAGCUACCAAUCUUACCUUGUAGCGAAUAUCCUUCUUGCUAGGAGAUCCAUCUUUCUUUGCGAAUACCCACUUGCAUCCGAUUUCCCUUUUACCUUUCGGUAAUUGCGCCAACUCCCAAGUAUUGUUCUUCCGGAGAGACUGCAUUUCUUCAUCCAUGGCGCUUUUCCAUUUAUCACUUUCUAAGCUUUGCAUUGCUUCUUGAUAAGUGAUAGGAAUAUCAUCAACAACGGGAAGGGCGUAGGCCACCAUAUCAGUAAAUCGAGCAGGUUUACGAAUUUCUCUCCAUGGCCUUGCAACUGCAACUGGUUCUGGUGUACUUAGUGGUUCUUGGGUCAGAACCUCUUCAACCUCUAAUUCCUCCAUUGUGGCUGGAGAAUUAGACUUAUUAACUGGGCAAAUCCCCAUCUGCUCAAACUCCACCUAUUUUGGAGUACACUCCACCUGCUGUGGAGUAUUGCUCGUCUGAAUAUCUUUAUCUGCUACCUUUUUCAAUGUGGCAGAUUCAUCAAAGGUAACAUCUCUGCUACAGAUCAUUUUCUUUGUGCUUAAGCACCAAAGACGAAAUCCCUUCACUCCAGAAGUGAUUCCCAUAAAGAGAGCUUUUUUUGCCCUCGGAUCUAACUUUGACUCCUUCACAUGGUAAUAUGCAGUGGUUCCAAACACAUGUAAGGAAUCAUAAUCUGUAGCCGGUUUUCCAGACCAUACCUCCAUAGGAGUUUUUCUUUCUAAUGCAGAUGAUGGCAAACGAUUAACAAGAUGGCCAGUGUAUGUCACAGCCUCAACCCAAAAUUGCUUGCCCAACCCAGCAUUGGACAACAUACAUCAAACUUUCUCCAGCAAUGUUCGAUUCAUACGCUCUGCCACUCCAUUCUGUUGUGGUGUAUCCCUAACUGUGAAGUGUUGAACAAUACCAUACUCUUGGCACACAUCGAAGAACGGAUCACUUUUAUAUUCCCCUCCAUUGUCCGUCCUAAGCCGCUUGAUUUUCUUGCCAGUCUGGUUUUCGAUCAUAGUUUUCCAUUUAAGAAAAACUCCAAGCACUUCAUCUUUAGUUUUCAUGGUAUACACCCAAACUCUUCUGGAAAAGUCAUCAACAAAAGUAACAAAGUAGUGUUUUCCUCCCAACGAAGGUGUUUUGGAAGGCCCCCACACAUCUGAGUGAAUAUAUUCCAAAAUACCUUUUGUAUUAUGGAUAGCAGUGCCGAAUUUCACUCUCUUUUGCUUUCCCAGAACACAGUGCUCACAAAAUUUUAAUUUGCAAGCCUUUGCACCUUUCAACAAUCCUUGUUUUGCCAGAAUUUGUAAGGAUUUUUCGCUGGCAUGUCCCAACUUCAUAUGCCACAACUGCAUUGAGUCCAAGUCUUUGUUACCGGAAGCUGCAGCGACUGCUCCAAUAACUGUACUACCUUGGUAGUAAUACAAGUUAUUUUUCCUGAUGCCCUUCAAUAUCACAAGUGCGCCAGAUGUCACUUUCAAAACCCCAUCUCUCAUAGUAACAACUGAACCAUUGGAUUCCAAGGCUCCCAAUGAGAUGAGAUUUUUCUUCAAACUGGGCACGUACUGAACAUCAGUCAGAACUCUGGUUGAUCCAUCUUUAUUCUUUAAUUGGAUUGAACCUAUCCCAACAAUUUUACAGGCAUUGUCAUUGCUCAUAUAAACAACUCCUCCAUUUAGUUCUACUAAAUCAGAGAACCACUCCCGGUUAGGGGACAUAUGAUAGGUACAACCCGAAUCCAAUAUCCACUCAUCUGAAUGGAACGACGAUGAUGAUGCAACCAGUGAUAGUUCAGAGUCACUAGUAUCAUGCUUAGCAACACAAGCAUCUACAGCAGCUUUUCCCUUAUUCUUCAGCUUUGGACAAUUUUUCUUCCAGUGGCCUUUCUCAUGACAAAAAGCACAUUCAUCUUUCCCGAGUCUGGACUUUGACUUUGAUAUCCCCUUUUGAGUUUUCUUCCGAGUGUAUGAACGACCUCGGACUACUAAAGCUUCUGUAUCUCUGAUUGAGUUUUUCUGUUUGUCCUUCUUUCUCUGUUCAUAACUGUAUAAGGCCGCACAGACUUCGCUCAGAGAUAUAUCACUCCUGCCAUGAAGUAGAGUAGUUUCUAGGAACUCAAACUCCUCAGGAAGUGACCCCAACAGCAUCAAAGCCAAAUCUUCAUCUUUGAAUGUCUCAUCCAUAUUCAGCAAAUCAGUGACUAACUGAUUAAAUUUGGUGAUGUGAUCAUUCAUUGUGGUACUUACGUAUGUGAAGCGAAACAGUCUUUUCUUCAAGUGGAGCUUAUUUUGACUGUUUUUCUUCAAAAAAAUUUCUUCAAGUGCCACCCACAACUUAUUUGCAGAAGUCUCCUUUGAAAAAGCAUACAUCUGCUCUCGAGAAAGGCAUGAUCGAAUUGUGCCACAUGCCAACCGAUUGAUCGCCUUCCAAUCUUUCUCCUGUACAUCAUCUGGUUUCUCUUCAUCAAUGGCAAUGUCUAGACCCUGCUGAAAAAGGGCAUCUAGAACCUCACUUUGCCACAUACCAAAAUGGCCCGUGCCAUCAAAGAUUUCCACGGCCAAUCUUGCAUUUGCAAUUGUCGGUCUUGUCCACAUGGACGAUGUUGAAGCUCCUACACCGACCGUUUUCUCCAUAAUCUUUCAAUAUAUCUAAGGAAAUCUUUUCUGAUGUGGAAGAUCAGUUUAAACUGCAACCACAGAGCAUACUACGAUUAACCUUCGGCUCUUGAUACCACUUGUUGUUCCAAUAGGGUCGGAAGCGUGUAAAUUAUUGUACUAAAAAAUCACACAAAGUUCAAUUCCCAGGGAAGAGAGGUGGAUCACAUGGAUCUCUUAAAUACCAAGUCUUUCCUUAGACAGAAUAUCCCUUCUAUAGUAAUUUAAUAGCACAAUUAAAUACUACUAUUAUACCCUCAAAUAUUGAAAGAAAAAUAGGACAAAAAAGAACACAAGAGAUUUAACGAGGUUCGGUAAAUUAUACCUACGUCCUCGGGCACUAACACCAGAUGAUAACUUUACUAUCUCCAAAGUAUUACAAACAAAUAGAAUUUCUUAAGAAUUCUCAAAUGGGAGAAGAGAGAAAACUAAGAGAGAAAGAUUGGUUGGGAUGAAUUGAAAUGAGAAAUGAGAAGGCCUAUUUAUAGUUGAGGUUCAAGGACCAAACAAUAAAUAGCCCAUUAUCUCAAGGACCAAAAAAAAUUAUCCCUUGCCACUUUUCCAAAGUUGGUGGUUGUCAUUAUUGAUUGUCUCCCAUUAAUGUUAAUGGCAACCAUUAUUAAUUGUCUUCCAUUAAUGUUAACACAUUAUGGCAACAUAAUGUGCAGGAUCCGAAUUGGCACCCGUAUAAGAUGAUCAACAUCCGAGGCAACUUGCAUACACCGAUUGCUCAGAAAACCGUACUGUUAUCAAACAUCUGUUGUUCUACGAAAUGCGAGCUGGUUCAUUACUCAAAACUUACAUAUUAAUGGGAUGCCUUCUCGGUAAUGCAGGAAAUAAUAGACAAGGAUGAUGAGAAGCUGAAGGAGUUGAGAAAUGAAUAUAGUGACACAGCGUACGAGGCUGUCAGCACCGCACUGAUGGAAAUGAACGAAUAUAAUGCCAGCGGAAGGUAUGCGAUCCCGGAAGUUUGGAACAGAAAGGAGGGAAGGAGCGCUACCAUGAAAGAAAUCGUUCAGUACGUCGAGCAACUGAAGAUUCACAAGCGUAAGCGAUUUUCUUAAUGCUGAGCUUAGCAGUCCAUUGCUUUCAUGGAAAAUAAGUAGAAUUAUACACAAUCCUUAGGUAGGUAUUAAAUUUUAGAAUUAUAUUUGACAUUAAAAAGAGCUAUUUGUUCAUUCCAGCAUGAGCUCCAAAAUUAGGCUCCAUAUUUACAAACCUAAAUUAAACUUACUCCAUAUUUACAAACAGAAAUUAAACCUACCUACGAUAGUUGCAUAAAAAAAUAUUAUCAAUUUAAAAAAAAAAGUAAUUAAGUUGUUGGUAUUUUUCAUUUAAUUAAAUACUUCACUUUUUAAAAUGUAUCAAAAACUUUCUUUAAAUUUUAAAAAAUAAUAAUUAAAUCUUUGUUUUUCUUUUACAUACUCAAUGGCUACUUCAACUAUCAAAAAAAAAAAAAAAAGAAAAGACUUUUUGACAAUUAAAAGUAACUGCUUUAAUUUUUUUAGUUAAAGUCAUUCAGCGUCACAACCAUACAGGCGUGAUGUGUAAUAAAAAAUUAUAAAAAAUAAAAAUUAAUAAAAUUAUUAAAUUCUAAUAAAAAAUAUAAAAAUAUUUAAAAUUUAUUUAAAAUGUCAUAAAUGUAUAAAUAAAAUAUAUUAAAAAUGUUAUUUAACCACUAACUUUAAUUGUUGACUAGUAAAGUCCAUAAUUUUUUUUUCAAUUAAAGCCAUCAUGUGUCGCAAUGCAAUGUGACCUGUGAUGAAAAAUUAUAAAAAUAAAAAUCAAUAAAAGUUACAGAAAAAUUAAAAAAUAUUUCUUUUGGUACAAUAAUUUUUAUAAUUUUUUUAUAAAUUUUAUAUUUUUAAAUUUUUAUAAUUUUCUUACUAUUUUAUAAAAUUUUAUAACUUUUGCAUUUUUUUAUAAUUUUAAAUAUUUUAUAAUUUUUAAAUUGUUUAUAAAUUUUAACUCUUUUUUAUUAAAAUUUAAUAAUUUUUUAACUUUGAUUUAUUUUUAUUUUUUUUAUAUUUUUUUACAUGUCACACUAUAAUUGUGACCUUUAGUGUUUUACCAAAAUAUUAGGAGUGGUUAAUUUUAACAUUCAACCGCUAAAAUUAACAAUCACAAGACUUUUAACAGUUCAAAUAUUCAAUUGGAUAAAAAAAUUUAUUAUUUAAUAAAAUAUAUUAAAAUAAGGGUUUCGACUCAAAUCAUGAUGAAUUGAGCCAUCGAACUUGAGAAAUUAAAAUGUGAACAGAAAUGGGCUCUUCAAAAACCCUUACCCGAGCCCAAGAAGAUCCCCCAAAAACCUUCAACUUAUAACCCUAAUUUGCCUCUCAACUACACUAUAAAUCCUAUCUUCAACAAGACUCAUUCAGCAUUUAUAUCUUCUAAAAAACCCUUCGUUCGUCUAAGGUUUCUCUUUAGAAAUUUUCUCUUCGCAGAGAGUAAUUUUUGCCUUCAUUUUUUUUUCUCUUUAUUUUCCCAUUUUCAAUCUGGGGUUUUUUCCAAAAUGAGUUAAAAAUCCAAUCUUUACACUAGAUGUGAACCCUAAUCACAUUUAUUUUAUCUGGGUUUUGAAUAAAAUCUACACUUGUUUGUAUACUUAUGAAAUAAAAGAACCAUUUUUAAUGCUUUGUUUCUUAACAAGAGUGCAGAAAUAAAAAGCUUGAUUUUUUGCUUCUUUUAAAACAAAGAAACCAAGGAUUAAGCAGCGGCCAGACAACCGUAGCGAUGAUAUCCACAGAUGAAGGGCUAAUUUCUUCUUUAAUCCCUUUUUUGUCUACUGAUUCCAUCUCACAUUUCGUUUUUUAAGUUUUUAGGGUUCAUCACUUUUGAAUUGAUUGAAAAAGCUCUAAUCAAAGUUGAAACUUGGUUAAAAAAUGGGUUUUUUUAUAUGAUUUUACCAUUUUCAAUGCUUUUUUUUUAUGUUUUUUCAAUUUGUAAAAUCAAAUGAGAAACAAUCUCAAAAAAGAAAAAACGACAUUAAUCUAUCAAUCAAUCAAACUGAUUUUGAUUUGAUCAGAUAAAAAAUCAUUAAAUAUCAUAUUCAUGGGAAUUGCAGAGGUUUACUGUUGUAAUUCUUACGAUAUUUUAUCAGAUAUAUUUUACAUCUUAAUAUAUCAUUAAUAUAAAGUCAAAUUUUUUUAACAGGUUAUAUUUUGAUAUUAGUCCCUAUAUUUUGUUGAAGUUAUGAAUUUAGUCUCUAUAUUUUUUAAAUUUUAAUAUUUUAGUCUUUAUUAAAUGAUAAUUGUUAAAAGUUAAAGUUUUGUUAUUUUUAAAAUCUAUUGCAUCAAACAUAUUAUCACAUGCUCAAUGUCAUGUCAACUUGUUAUUUUCAUGUAUUCUUUACUAAAAAUUUAAGGGUAAAUUAUCAAAAUAGUCACUUUUGUUUGACUCAGGUUACAUUUUAGUUACUUACGUUUGAAAUGUUACGUUUUAGUCACUUAUGUUAUCACGUUGUAACAUUUUAGUCACUGAGCCGUUAGUUUUUGUUAACGGUGCAACAGUAAACUGAUGUGGCACGUUAAAUCAUCAUUUCAAACAAAAAUUCUAGGUUAACUUAUACAAUCGGUCCUCAUAUUUUUUCGUUUUGAGCAAUUUAAUUUUUUUCUUUUAUGUUUUUUUUAACUUUCUUUCUUUUCCAUUCUCUUAUGCUUCUCUCUUUGUUUUCCUCCCUUCUCCAUUUCUUUCAACGUAGUUUUUCUAUGUUUUAUUUUUUUGAACAAUUUAAUUUUUUCGAGUGAGGCGAGCUUGUGGACUAGUUACAAAUGGAAAGCAUAGAAAAACUAUGUUAAAAGAAAUAAAGAAGGGAGGAAAAUAGAGGGAGAAGAAUAAGAGAAUGGGAAAAAAAGUUAGAAGAACAAAAAAGAAAAUUUUUAAAUUGUUGAAAAUGAAAAAAUAUAGGAACCAAUUGUAGAAUUUAACCUAAAAUUUUCGUUUGAAAUGAUGAUUUAAUGUGCCACAUCAACUUAUCGUCCAUUGUCGACAAUUAACGACUCAGUGACUAAAAUGUUACAACACGAUAACGUAAGUGACUAAAAUGUAACAUUUCAAACAUAAGUGACUAAAAUGUAACCUGAGUCAAACAAAAGUGACUAUUUUGGUAGUUUACCUAAAAUUUAAUUAAUAGAUUAACAACUGUUAUUUGAGUCGAAACUAAAAUAUAAAAAAUUACGACUUAAACUGAUCCAAUUAAAACAUAUGGACUAAAUCUACAACUGUGCUUACAAUACAUAAUUAGCAAUUGAAUUUAAACAAUUAGAUUUAACAAUAACUAUUUGUGUUAAAAGACUAAAAUUUAAAAAAGUACAGAGAGUAAAUUUGAAAUUUUGACCAAUUUGAAAAGUACAGAGACUAAAACUAACUAAAUUAAAGUACAAUGACUAAAUCCAUAAUUUUUAUAAAGUACAAGGAUUAAUAGAAAAUUGUAACCUUUUUAAUAAAGUAAUUUUGAUUUUUAUUAAUUUAUUUAUAUCUUUUGCUUUUGUAAAUAUAAUAUUUUUAAAUAUUAUUUUGAUUUUUUAUUAUUUUUCAAAAGUUUUUACUUUUAGAAUGAAUGGUCUAAUUUAACCUUCAGUCCAAUUCUUACAAAAUUGAUAAACACUAACAAUGCAUAAUUUAAUAAAACUUUUCAAGUAAUUUAUAAAAAAACACUCAAAUUAAGUAAAUUAAACACACAUUUCAUUUUAAAUUAAAAUUAUAAAUAUUUAUGUGUUAAAAAAUAAAAAUAAAGUAUCAUCGAAGCUGCGGGCUGCAAUCUUCCCAAGCAACUUCAGCCCCCAUUACUUCCCCACUCUUUUUUUUCUCUUUUUACCAACACUCAGAAAAUCAAAAUUUUACCACACUUUCCCUCAUUUUCCCGGAAAAUAAAAUAAAGAUAUUAAAACCAAACAAAAAUCCAAAAAAGGAACUCGGUGAAGAUUUAGAUUUAGACCCUGAAAUUUUUGCCAGUGAAAGUUUGACCAAAUUGCCAAUGAGAAGGGACAAUGUUCCACGAAGUAGAGGUCCGAUGGUCGCUGCCGGUGACCCUAGACGACAGAGAUUGGCCGACUAAAACGGCGUUGGAUUGCCAGUUUUGGCCUCAGUUUCGGCUCAUGCUCAUCCACUCCGUUUUCGACCCUUUAAUGCUUGCUUUCACGAUAUCGCCGGCGCCGGCCACGUUUGUGAUUAGGACCAAGUUGAAGUAUCGGAAACCGUUGAUUGUGAAUCUGAUUCCUCCUCGUUUCUGGCAUGGCACCCUGAAGAAUCAUACGAAAAAGGAAAUGAAGAUUGGGUCAAAUCUAUUGACACUAAUUGUUGAAGUUCGAAAAUCGGUCUAAUAUUUAAGAAGGUAAAAGCGUUUGAACGGGAUGAGAUCAUCUCAACAUAUUGGUUAGACCGCGAAUCGAUUAAAAUAUCGGAGAAAGUAACUUGAUCAAUUAACUCGAAACUAAUACAAAUCAAGAAAAUUACUAGACAAGUUAACUCGGGAUUUGAUACAUCUAAGUUUGAUUUUUAUUAUAUAUAAUUUUAAUUUCGGUUUUAAAAAUAAAAAGCUAAGGGAAUAUACCUUCUAAAAUAGAGAAUAAAAGGGGCGCAACUGGCUAAUCCUUUGUUCUAUUGGCUAUUGCUAAUGCCUUGGAAGUUGAAAGUGUACCUUACUUUGAUUAGUGAAUGGCCGAAUAUGCUUACAAGAAUAAAUUAAGAAAUUCAACGUGGCUUAACAUACAUUUGUAUUUACUGUCACAUGAAUUUGGAUAACAACGAUUGAGAUGGAGAGAAAAAUCAUAUCCAAUUAUGUUUAACACUAGCAUUACGUACAUAAGCUCACACCGACUGAAGAAAACUUUACAUAUACAAGUAGAAGAAAUUUCCGAAUGAACAAAGUCAGUCUUCGCAUCCUAGUUGUUGUUCCAUUCAAUCUCUGUAUGCCCAAAAGAAAAUGAGAGAAAACAAUUACUACGACUAAUGACAUUGUUGAUAACAGGAAAUAUCAUUGUCAGAGAAUUCAAGACUCAAGAGGGAGCAUAUAUAAUUAAUCUAUACUAUAUUACCAUACAUAUGCCCUCAAAUAUUUUUAAAAUUAAUCGUUCAAAUCUAAAUAUAUAUUUGAAAAGAGUAUACGAUAUUAUAAAGGAUCGUAAAAAUCGAAAUAAUAUUUAAUUCUAUAUCGUCUUCUAGAAAGAACAUGAGCUAUGGUGAUAAAAUAUUCGAAUUAUUCCUCUAAUCUCAUUUAUAUCAUAAUUUAAAUUUGAAGAACUUACGAGUAUCGAUGAGAAAACCCACAGGGUCUUUAAUGAGGGAGUUGUUUUAAUUUCUUGACUUAAAUUCAUUGAUUCUAAGGAAGCCUUUACAAACAGACAUAAUUAUUAAUUGAUCCAAUUUCAACAGCAUAAAGUAGGAUCAUAGGAUAAGGGCUUAGACAGAAACAACUUUAUUCUUUUUCUUUUAUGAGCGAAUCCAAAAAUUUUAUGUUGGGAGUUGUUUUUCCGCAAGUGGUGGGAACGGGCAUCAAUUAUUGCUUAAAAGUUAAGCUUGUAAUUUACAAUCAAGGCAUCCAUCAUUUUCUUCAUCCUGGUUAAUGAUAAUUCGAGAUAAAUGUUCCAUUUCCAGUUAAAAUAAAAAUUUUCUCAAGUUAAUUGUUUGAGGAGUAAAUUUAAAAAUAAUAAUAAGAUUGUUUUCUAAAUUAUAAAAAUAAAGAUACAUCAAAAUUAAAAUUUUAAAAAUAUAAAAAUUUUAAAAAUUAACAUAGAAUACACAUAGAUUGCUAUGUAGGUUGUCGUGUUUAAAAAUUUAACAUUUUAAUUAGUAUUCUAGUUUUUUUUUAAAAAAAACAUCAUUUCAGCUCUUUUUCAAAACUAAUAAAUAAGAUUAGAAAACUAAAAAUCGAAUAAAGAAUCGAAUUUAACUAGAUGUUGAGGCUUGUUUUACACAGUUUCCUUAACACAAAUUUGUCCGCUUCUACGGUACUUGGAGAAACAUUGGUCGACUGUCUCCCAUGAUACAAUAACACGAUGACUGAAAUAGCAUCACCUUUACAUGAAAUUGGCUGAUAUUAUGACGAUACUAGGUAGCAUAGAUAUCAUUAUGGGAGAAGUGGAUCGUUGAAAUGAUAAUUUAUACGACAGAAGUAGAAUAUAUCAAUUCCUUUUACACAUUGGAAUCUUUAAAAGAGGUCUAUGGGAUCAUAUGGAUGUUGGUCCCUAUUUUGACUCUUGUUUUGGGAAUCACAAUAGGUGUACUAGUAAUUGUAUGGUUAGAAAGAGAAAUAUCUGCAGCAAUACAACAACGUAUUGGGCCUGAAUACGCCGGUCCUUUGGGCAUUCUUCAAGCGCUAGCAGAUGGAACAAAACUGCUUUUCAAAGAAAAUAUUUUUCCAUCUAGAGGCAAUACUCGUUUAUUUAGUAUUGGACCGGCUAUAGCAGUCAUAAGAGACCAAUGAACAAACCUUGCAUUUUUCUGUCACCGGAACGUUGGAAAAUAUAGAGAGGAAAAGAGAAGAAUUUUCGAGAGCAAAAUAAACUUGGUUUUAGAGAGUCUUUUAGUGUAAAAAAUUUGAAGAAUUCUUAAGCAUUCAAGAUGGAGGAAUUUUGGAAAUAUCCAUAAUUAAAUAUAUAAAAUUUGUAUUAAAUGAGCAAUUAAAUCAUAAUAUAUGUCUUUUUUAAAUUAGAUUUUAUAUAUAUUUGCUGAGAAAAAUAAAUUUUGUGUUGGGCUUAAAAUAUCUAUCCCUUUUUGGGCCUGACCAGUUUAGACAUUUCACGUUGCCUACGUCGUGCGAGUGCGCUCCAACCCCGAUGGGUUUGGAUCUACACCCCUGCGCGUGAGACAAAGUUUCAAACUUAGUCAUUCAAUCAUCCUUCAAGUGGGUUCUCAUAUAUAGAGACAUCUCACACUUGGUAUUCAAUCAAUGUGAGAUCUAAGCUUUUCUUUUCCUCAACAAAUAUUCACAAGUAACUUACUUUGAGCAUUAAUUUCUCACUUAUCACUCAACCAUUUUGAGCAUACGAUAUACUGUUGUAAAGAUAUCAUUGAGUAGAAUAUAAAAUCAUAAUUUUAUGAUUCAAUUCUCCACCUUUACCAAUUGAGAAUAUGCUUUAAAGUUUCCAAAAAUUACAAUUUUUUCAACAUUUUAUACAUCUAUUUUAAAGGCAUAAUUGAGCCAAGUAGAGCCCGAAUAAUGACAAGUUGAACUUGACUCGAACAUCACUUUUUAAGGUCAAUCUUGAUUUAGAACAUAAUUGAGUUGAUUAAGCUCGUUUAUCAAUUUUUAUAAUCAAACCCAUUCAUAAUUAAGCUCUUUCUAUAUAUCAAGGAUAAAAAUGUAACUUCAUAAAUAAAAAUAUAUUUAAAUGGAAUGCUUAAUUAGGUUUGUGGCCUACUUGAAUCAAGUAUUACAAUAUUUAAAUUCGACUCAACCAAUAGCUCGAGCUCUACUCAAUAAUUUUCAAUAAAAUUUUGAGAUUUUUUGAAUCCAACUCGAAUUGCUUGCAAAUAUUAAUGUAUCACUUAUGCUUUUAAUUUUAAAUUUACAUUUUUAAUUCUUAAAAUAUUAUUAAAACCCAAUCAAUUGAAGGCUUUGUAGAAAGUGGUGGCAAAGUGCAUCCUUUACUUUAGGUCUCACUAUAUCUAAAAAGAAAUUAAUGCGAACCGUAGAAAGUGGUAGGAAUGUGCAUCAUUAUUGCUUUAAAAGAAUUUAAAUCUUUAAACGGAUAGAAUUAAAUUUUCAUAAUUUGGAGGAGUUAAAGUGUACUUCUUUUUACUAUUUUAAAAUUUUAAAAUUUUAAAAUUUUUUAAAGAGUUAAAAUAACAUUUUUUAUUUUAAGAGGGCCGAGCUCCCUGUCAACCUCUAGAUUUACCUCCGUAAAUUUCAAAAUUCAGUUAAAUUAUGUUAUUUUGAAUAAAACGUUAAUUGAUAAAGAAAUUCUUUUAGUUUCAAAAAUUCAAUUUUUCUGUUUUAAAAAAAUAUAUAUUAAAAUUUAAAAUUUAAAAUAUUAAAGUAAUAAAAUUUAAAUAUAUCAAUGUCUUUUUGAUACAUGCAUGAAUGGGGUGAAACUUAUUAGAUUCCAAUCAUCAAAACUGCCAAUUUUCAGGCUCGGAAAAUCAGCAGACUUGCGGCGACUGGAUCCUGGUAUUUUUGGGUUGAGAUGUCUCAUGGCGUUUAAAGAUCUAUCUCUUAGCUUUGAAACGCAUUUUGAAUAACUCGAUUUUGAGUUCGGGAGCUCAAGUUAUGACCGUUUUAGUGAAGACUACGCGAGAAGAAUUUCUGAACGGGAUUAUGACGGGAAUUACAAAUUUCGGGCUUUUAAUUCGAGUUUAAAUCAUAUUGGAUUCGGGUUUUAGACUUAAUUUUUAUUAUAUAUGAGCCCAAUAUUAUAUUUGUCAGAUCUUAUUAUUUUAUUAUUAUUUUAUUCUAAUUUUUUUUAUAAUUAUUAAGUAUUUUAAGUUAUUAGAGUUCUAGUAUUUUAAGCUAUAAAGGCCAGAAAAAUGUAUUCUUGGGGGUGAUUUUUGAAGGUAAAAAAGCAACAGAAAAUCAAUACAAAAUAAUCAAAAAUUUCAAACAAAAAAAGAGAGAUUUAGAAGGUAGUUUUUUUUUCUCUGUUUUUGUUUGUUUUAUUUAUUAUUUUUUCUUUCUUUUUCUAAACAGAAACACAGAAAAUAAAACGGGACCGAAAACUCACCUUUUUAGAGGGAGGGCUGAGAGAGAGUUGAGCAAGAAGAGAAGGAUUUUUUUUUUAAAAAAAUGAGGUUACCAAUGAUUUUUUAAAGUUUUUUUAAAUUAUAUAAACACCCCAAAACGACGUCGUUUUGAGUUUGGCUUCUGACACUUAAAACGGCGUCGUUUCACCCUUGACCCGCGUGCGACCUGACUCGCUCCAUGGGGAUCCUCGUGUUUUCAAUUUUUAGGCUAUUUACGCCUCUGGUCAUCCCGCGUUUUCCGGUUGUUUUAAUUUAGUCCCUUUUUUACUUUUUUUCUCUUUAUAUAUUUGGCCAUUGAUUUUGUGGCGUGUUUUAAUUUAGUCUCUGGCUCGCUAAAAAGGACGCGUGUCAAGGAGAUCGGGUUAUUUUCCCAUUUGGUUCUCGUUUGUUUUCGGGCCUUUCGAAUUAGUCCUUUGUUCUUUUUUUAUCUUAAUUUAUCCUGCUAAUUUAAUUUGAGUAGCAAUCGGGUCCUUUAUUCAUUUAUUUUUGUGUAUCUUUAUUGUGUAUCUUUAUUUAUUUUGCUUUAUUAUUUUUACUUUAUUACUCCUUUUUAUAUAUUUGUUUAAAAUUGGAUUGUGUAUAUGUUUAUUAGUUUUUUUUUUCUUUUGGUUAUCAUUCUUUUACUUUUUAAAUAUUUAAAUCUAAUAUUAUGAACAUUUACUUUAUCUAUUUACUUAUUUAUUUAUUAUUCUUUUACUUUUCAAACGCUUAAAUUUAAUAUUAUUUACAUUUGUUUUAUCUAUUAUUCACUUAUUUUUUCUUUUACUUCUAAAGAAAUUUUAAAUUCGAUAUUAUUCGUAUUUGUUUUAUUAAUUUAUUUUUUAUAUUUCAAUUUAAUGAUAUUUGUUUUAUCUAUCCAUCAAUUUAUUAUAUAUAUAUAUAAUUAGAUACCACUUAUAUUCAUUAAGCAACUUUCAUUUUCAUUUAUAUUUUGAAUUAUUUUAUUUAUUGUGUUGUGGUGUUAUAAAUUGAUUUUUUUAUUAUUGCUAUAUUCACUGUUAUUGCCAUAGUAUUUGGUCAUUUAGUUGUCAUUUAGUAUCCUAAUAUAAAUCGUACUCAUAGUCAUAUCACAUUAUUUCAUUACCAUUGUAUUAUACACUAGGUUCACACAUAUUUAUCCAUUUUUUUAUAGACGAUGCCCGAAUUAAACAUGUAUGCCUUGUAAGUGUUACAUUAAUAUUUUAUUCGGUGCACAAAAAGAAAAUUAUUUUAAAUAAGUAAUAUUUCGUAUUUUAGAAUUCGUAAAUUCGUUCCUUAACUUACGGAGUUUCGAUCUUCUCGAUAAAUCUAAAUAAAUGAACCUUUUUUAAAAACAUAAGUUUUUAAAUAAUCUCAGGAAUUAAGAAGAGAUCGUGUUCUAACUUAAUGGAUAUGGUUUCAUUCUAAAACUGAGAUAAUCGAAUAUCUUUUAAAAUAAAUAAAUUUUCGGUGUUUAUUCUCGUUUCGAGGAUUUAAGGUAUUGCGUCCUAACUUACGGGAAGUAAUCCUUUUUCUCGAUUAACGUAAAAUAUUUUUUUGUAAAAAUUCAAUUAAGCGAUAUUGUAACAAAGGAUGGUAUUUUAAAUCUCUUUAAAGUUUUUAAUUUUCGACAUUAAAACAUUAAUUCAUCAAUUAGGUACCAAUUUUUGGCGAGACGAGUGUGCUAAUCUUUCUUCGCACAUAACCGACUCCCGAACCCGUUUUUCUUAAAUUUCAUAGACCAAAAUCAUUAUUUAAGUAAAAUCGAAACGUUUUAUUAAAAUGAUUAAAUUACAAGGUGAUCCGAUCACAUCUCGAAAAAAUAUCGGUGGCAACUCCAGUUUUUUCAUUUUCAUUUUUAAAAUAAAAGUAGACCCCUUUUGUUUCAAAAAUGGAGAAAGUGUGUUCCUAUCUUUUGUCAGCUUUACCAAAAGGGAAAAUAAUUGGCGAUAGAAUGUUGCUUUCUUUUGUCAACUUUUUAGCUGUAUCCACUAAAUGAUAAGAACUGCAUUCUCAAGUAUUUGUGUUUCUUUAGGAUUCUAUUGUUUACAUCUCAAUUUUUUUUUUACAUUGAGUUGCACUUUGUCAAAUUACUUCUCGCAUUACUCUGUUAAGAAAAUUAUCUUUUCGCUCGUUCGUAACUACGAGAACUAAUCGCUGAAUCCUUCUCUUAUUCGUUGGAAAGGUACGCCAUCUGCUUUCAUUUUGGUUGAUUUGGUCUUACUUCUUGGUUUACAGAAGCUUUACUUUUUGCUCAUUUGAUUUGUAACUUUUUCUUCUGAUUUUGUUUUAAUCUUUGUUGUCGCUGUGGUUAUUCAGUUUACUUCUUGUUUGACCUCUCAAUGGAGUCUGUUACUACCCUAGUUGGCUCUAUUGUCACUAAAGCUGUAGAGUAUACGAUCUCUCCUAUCAAAAACCAUGUCAAAUACCUUUCCAAUCAUCAGCAAUAUGUUGAGACCCUCAAGGACCGAGCUGAGAGGCUGAAAGAUGCAAGGGACAGAGUGCAGCAUUCUGUUGAUGCAGCUCAACGAAACGGUGAAGAGAUCGAAGGGGAUGUUGGCAAAUGGUUGUCUGCAGUCGACAAAAAGAUUCUUGAACAAGCAGAGAAAGUGAUGCAAGAUGAAGAAAAAGCAAAGAAAAAGUGUUUCAUUGGUUUGUGUCCUAAUUUCAGGACUCGUUACAAGCUUAGCCUGAAAGCCGAAGAGGAGGCAAAGGCUGUUGCCGAGCUACUUGAACAUGGCAAGUUUGAAAGGGUUUCCUAUCGUGCAGCUCCGCAAGGUAUCGUGGUUGCACCAGUUAAAGGUUAUGAGGAAUUCGAGUCAAGAACGUCCAUUUUCAAUGGAAUAAUGGAGGCACUAAAAGAUGAUAGCGUCAGCGUUGUUGGGGUGCAUGGUAUAGGUGGGAUUGGAAAAACAACGCUGGUCAAAGAAAUUGCUAGAAAGGUCAAGGACAAGUUGUUUGAUUCGGUUGUCAUAGCAACCGUAACUCAAGCCAUCGAUAUUGAGAAGAUUCAGAACCAAAUUGCAGACUUCUUGGGCUUGAAAUUUGAGGAACAGAGUAUGGUUGGAAAGGCAUUUCGACUACGAGAAAGAUUGAAGAAAGAGGAGAGGAUUCUGGUUGUCUUGGAUGACAUUUGGGGAAAGGUUGAUAUUGAGGAAGUAGGGAUUCCUUUGGGAGAUGAACACAAGGGCUGCAAAUUACUAUUAACUUCUAGAGAGCUCAAUGUUUUAUCAAAUGGGACGGAUGCUCAGAAAAAUUUUCCCAUUGGGUUUUUAAAUGAAAAGGAAGCCUGGGACCUGUUCAAGAAGAAGGCUGGCGACUGUGAUGAAAGUUGCGAUUUGAAGCCUAUAGCUAUGGGGGUAGCCAAAAAAUGUGCAGGACUGCCGAUAGCUAUUGCGACAGUUGCAGGGGCUUUGAGAAACAAAAGAUUGUUUGAAUGGAAGAAUGCUUUACGAGAACUGGAGAGGCCUUCGUCAAGCAACUUCACGGGGAUAACUGCGGCAUAUUCAGCUAUAGAGUGGAGUUUUAAUUAUUUAGAAAGCGAGGAAGUUAAGCGGACUUUCUUGCUUUGCAGUGUAAUAGGCCAUAAUGGUCUCGUUGAGGACUUGGUAAGAUACACUCUAGGUUUGGGUUUAUUUGAUGGUGUCAACACUAUGGAAGAAGCUAGAAAUAAAGUAUUGACGGUUGCGGCUAAUCUCAAAGCGUCUGCCUUGUUGCUUGAUAGUUAUAAUGAUAAGCGCUUUGAUAUCCAUGAUGUUGUUUGGGAUGCUGCUAUAGCUAUUGCAUUGAAGGACUACCGUAUGCUUGUUUUGAGAGAUCAUGCUCCAAAGGAGUGGUCCGAUAAGGAGAAAAUGAAGACGUGGAGUGUGAUCAGCUUACGUUGUCCUCAGAUUAUAGCUAACCUUCCUAAGGAGAUGGAGUGCUCAGGACUUUCCUUUUUCCACAUGGCCUAUAAUGGCGCGGUUAAAAUUCCUCUCAAUUUCUUCAAACAAACCGUAGGCCUGAAAGCCUUAGAUUUGGUCGGAAUGCAGUUUCCAUCCCUCCCUGAAUCAAUUAUUCACCUUGCAGAGCUUCACAUGUUGUGUCUAAAAGGAUAUGCAGUUGAUGACAUAACCAUCCUUGGAGAGCUCAAGAGUUUAGAAGUACCCAACCUUUCUCGCUUAGGUAUCAAAGAACUACCUAAGGAGAUGGCACAAUCGACUCAAUUAAGGUUGUUAGAUUUGCGUGGGUGUAGAGAACUCAAAAUCAUCCCACCGAAUGUCUUAUCAGGUUUGUCUAAAUUAGAAGAAUUAUAUAUGAGUAGGAGCUUUGUUGAAUGGGAAAAGGGAGGAGUAGUUGAAAAUGAGAGGAAAAAUGCAAGCCUUGAUGAAUUAAACAAUUUGCCUUGUCUAACUACUUUAUAUGUUGAUAUUCUUGAUGUCCAAAUGAUACCAAAACACCGGUUUGUAGAAACAUUGGACAGAUUCAGGAUUUUCGUAGGUAAUUAUGGAGGAUAUAAUUGUUGCCAGAAUUAUGAAUCUCCGAAAGCAUUGAAGCUCAAGUUAUAUACAAACAUUGAUUUGGACAAUGGGAUGAAAAUGUUGUUGAUAAAGACAGAAGAUUUGUGCCUAGAGGGACUUGAAGGCGUCAAGAAUGUACUUGUGGAGUUAAAUAAUGGGAAAGAUCUUUCAAAUUUAAAGAGAUUUCAUGUCAAAAAUGGUAGGCACGUCCAACAUAUCAAAAUGAACAAAAUUGGAUUUUCUGAAUUAUGCUUCGUUAAACUUGAAAAUCUACCGCAACUCGUUAGCUUUUGCUCUCCAGACGAAAGGUGUUCCACUAAGCCCUUAUUACUUUUCAAUAAACAGGUAUUUGUUUGGCUUUACUUAUAUUUUCUUAUACUACUUUUAUUUAUAUGCCCAUUAAUACUUCUAAUAGUAGAAAUAAAUAAUAUUGUGUAAUGGUUUCUCCGGAGCUCAAAAAUAAAUUUCAAAUCCAAAACAAAUUAAAAUUUAAUUUUUAAUCCAAACCGAUUCAAAAUCAAUUCAAUAAUCUAAAUUUAAAUCCAACAAUUUUUUUUAAUUCUGAGAAUAAAAUUUGAGCCCACAAAUCGAACUAAAAUUAUCUUUAAAAUAAAAAAUCAUAUUUUCAAAUUAUGUUACAUACUAUCUUUCCCUAUGGAAAAAGAAUUGUGUAAAUAUGUGCAAUUUAUUUUCCCUCACUUGGAAAGCUUGUAAUUGUGUUCCAUUAACACGAAAAGAAUAUGGCACAACCAGACAUGUCAUUGGGUUACGAAUUUGAGGAGCUUGAUCAUCAAAGGAUGCGGCAAGUUGGAGCAUCUGUUAUCACCCUCUCUCGCUAGAAGUCUGGUGCAGCUCCAAUGCUUUGAGAUAGAGGAUUGCAAUUGCUUAAGGGACAUAAUACUUACAGAGGAAAUUGAAGAAGCAAGGAAAGAUGUGAUUUGUUUCCCUCGAUUAAACUCCCUGCAUAUAGAUCGUCUUCCAAACCUCAUCUUCUUCAACUCAGGAAACCACAAUAUUGAGUUCCCAUUGUUGAAAGUGCUAAAGAUUCAGCGUUGCCCCAAGUUAAUAGAAUUCAUUAGUCAGAAUAGUAAUCAGUCCGGCAUGCACGCUCUCUUCAGUGAGAAGGUGAUUUAUUUCAUUAGUCUUACAUUCUUGCAUAAAUCUGUUGAUUUGUCCUUGUUUUUUUUUCUGCCUUCAUUAUUUGAGCUAACCUUAUCAUGGGCAUGGAUUAUAUAUAUAUAUAUAUAUGAAUAUAUAUGAAUAGGUUGCAGUUCCUAGCUUGGAAGACAUCAAUAUCUGGGACUUGAGUAAUGUGAAGAUGAUAUUUUAUAAUGACCUAGCACCAGGUUCCUUUAAAAAUAUACGAAAAAUAAAUGUUUGGGGAUGUGGGAGUUUGAAAAAUCUAUUUCCAGUAUCAAUAGCCAAAGAUCUUCCACAACUUGAACAUUUAAGCAUCACUGAUUGUGGAGUUGAGGAGAUUGUAUCGAAAGGGGAUGGAGUGGAGGAGCAGCCUGUGAGGUUUGAGUUUCCGCAAGUAUCUUUCCUUGAGGUUACAUGGGUAGAAAAGCUCAAAUGUUUCUAUGAAGGGCAACAUACAAUAGUCUGGCCGAUGUUGAAAAAAUUGAGAACAGAUAGUUCUGCUUUGCUAAAGAUAGUGGCAUCGGAACAUCUUAGAUUAAUCCAAGGAAAUAAGCAGCCAGUUUUGUUGGGUGAAGAGGUAUGUAUAUCAUUACAACUAUAUUUCAUUUUAUGAUUUAAACCACUGCCACAAGCAUCUCAAGUUGAAAUAUGCCACGAUAAUGCAUUUCUAAUUUUUAUAUUUUGUUUUAUUUGGAUUUUUUUUUCGUAUUUUUGAAUUUUCAAUAUAUAUUUUAAAUUUUUUGUUACAUUUAUAAUUAUUUUUUCAUUUUUUUUAAAAACAAGACUGAAUAAACAUAAUAAGUAAAUAUUGAGUGAAUGCAAUUCAAUUUAAUAAAAUGUAUAAAUAUUGAGAGUUAAAUUUAUUAUUAUGUAAAAAAAAAGCUUAAAAAAAUGAAAAUAUUUUAUUUGUUUUUAAGUAUCCAAAAUGAAAAUAUUUUAACACUAAGUGACUGUAUAUGUAAUUUACCCUGCAUUUAAGUAGUGGGUCAAAACUAAAUAGAACGUUUAAUUUGCUAAAAACAAUUGCCACUCAAUAAAAAAUCAAAACUUUAAAAGUUAAUUACACUAGACAUCUCAAACUAUGACCUUCAUUUUAAAUUAGUCUUAAAAUUUAAAAUAUUCUAAUUACAUUCUUAAACUAUUGAGGUUAUAUCAAUUACGUCUUUCUCUUAUUAAAUUCGUUAAUUUAACCAUCAAAUUAAAUCAAUGUAAUAUUUUAAAACCUUGGUGUUUUAUCUCCACUAUUCUGCUUAUAUUUUUUGUCAUAGAAAAAUAUAUAUAUAUAACAAUGGUUGUUUAUCUAUUUUAAUCUAGAUUUGCUACUCUUCUUUCGGCUUUCAUGUUCUGUAAUUUUUAUCAGUUUUUAUUCUCAAGGUAUUGUGUUUUCUUAAAACAAAAAAUUCAUCUACUCUGGAUUCAUUUGAUUUAAUAUUGAUUUUGUUGGGAUUUAAUCAUCAAAAUCAAACACUAAAAUUGUAAAUCUCUUUUUUUUGUUUGUUUGUUUUUUUAAAGCAUAUACAUCAACAUUGAGCCUAACUUGUAUAUGUUUAAUUGGUUUCCAAGGUCAUUCCCAAAUUAGAGGAACUUGAGUUACGAAAUUUUGGUGAUAUGGACCAAUUUCCACCAGACUUGUUUCAACAUAUUAAAGUUUUUGCACUGAGUGGUGGCUCUCCAUUUUCUUUGUUUCCUUUCGUCCGAAGAUUCUACAAUCUGAAAAGACUUGAGGUUUCUAAUUUUGAUUUCAAACAUGUAGUCCCUUGUAAAGGAGACGUCGGGACUCUCCCAUCAAUUAGAAAUCUGAAAUUGGUUUCUGCCAGAAAUCUUAAGCGUAUUUGGAGGAAAGAUUCGGAGCUUGACCAUAUUCUUUCUGAUCUUCAAACACUCACAAUUCACAAUUGUGAUGAUUGGAUAAACAUUAGAGUCUUCUCAUCAUCUUUACAAAAUCUCACAAUUUUGAAUGUGUCACUUUGUAAAAUGAUGACAAACUUAGUUACACCCUCAGUACUUCAGAAUCUUGUGCAAUUAACGACAAUGAUCGUAAGAGGGUGCACUAAAAUGACAGAAAUAGUGGGAAACGAGGGAGACUGUCAUCAGACAAUAGUUGUUAGUAAAUUGAAAUGUUUACAACUAUGCAAUUUGAAGAGCCUCACAAGCUUUUGUCCAUGGUAUUACAACUUCGAGUUUCCUUGUUUGGAAGAAUUAGUUGUGGAACAUUGUCCUUGGUUAAAGAUCUUUUCUGAGGGAGUUUUAAGCACCCCACAAUUACAGAGAAUAAAACAGUCGCAUUACGGUGAGAAAUGGAGUUGCAAGUGAGAGUGGUGAUGCAAGUGAAAGCGUGGUUGGCGAAGGGGGCAUCUAUGAUAACACUGCAACUUUUUUCAGCAAUAAGGUAAGUUUGGUAUUCAAUAUUUAUCUGCACAACUUAUUUCACAUUUUCUUUUGAUUUGAUCAACAUGAGUGUGUCUGGUCUAUAUAUACAUACUAGUGCUACACCUUGUCAAAAUUGAAUAUAAUAAAAUCCAUAAAAAUAUUAAUAAAUAAGACAAUAUUUAAAAGAAAAACUGGAGUUUAAAAGUAUAAAUAAAUAUAUAAAAUAAGAAUUGAAGGAAAAACUUAAAGUGAAAUACUAAAAAACAAUAAGAAUUUAAGAGAAGUUUAAAAUUAAAUAGUAAUAGACAAUAAAUAAUAAAAUAACAAUAGAAAAAAGAAAACUAAUCUUCCUUUAUUUUAAUUUGUGGGUGUAUAAGAAGGAGAUAAUUGUGGAAGACCUUCACAAAGGUCAUUUGAGAUCAAAGGAGAAGAAGCAUGAAAACAAAAGGUGAGGAGUUUGAAGAAGAAAGAACCAAAUAUAUGGGUUUGAUUUAAAGAUUUAAUGUUUUUUUUUUAAUUUCAUAUAUAGAAAAAAUCAUUGAAAGAAAAAAAAAGUUCAAUAUAAUUACUUAAAUUUACCUGUCGGUUUUUAUAAAAGUAACUUAAAUUUUUGAUUAAUUAUGAAAAUGACUCAAUUUAAAAAUUAUGUACAUAAAUUAUUCGAUUUCUAUAGUGUUUGUCGGUGCCCCCAGACACAAUGGCGAUAUCAGACUGAAGUGUGAUUAUAUAAAAUGAUUGUAUUUAUGUACAUAAUUUUUAGUAGUGUUGUUGGAAAAAUUGGCGAUAUCAGACUGAAGUGUGAUUAUAUAAAAUGUUCAUGGACUUAACGAAGUAAUUACCCUUUUUUAAUUAGCGGAAAAAGGGGUCUUCCGGUGAAUAUGGGGCACCAAAUUAAAUGAUUUUCAUCUUUUGGUCUAUUUGCAUGUUUCCCUUUUUGAAAUUAAAUUUAGAUAACCCUUAAGAAAUAUAAGAAUAACAAAAAGAAAUCAUUCUCAUUUAUUUUAUUUUAUUUUUAAAAAAUAAACUUAAAAAAUUAUAUAAAAUGCUUAUUUAAAUUACCCAAAUAUAUCCCUCACACAACUUCCUCAAGUUUAUCUAAAUUCAAGCAUUUUCAAUUCAUUCCCUAGAAUAUUUAAAUUUAGAUAAACUUAAGGAAAUUUUUUGAGGAAUAUAUUUGGGUAAUUUGAAUAAGAAUUUUAUAUAAUUUUUUAAGUAUUUUUUUUCAAAAAAAAUGAAAAUGUUAUAGUUUUGUUAUUAUUAUAUUUUUAAGUGCUAUUUAAAUCUAACUUCAAAAGAGGACAAACGUAACAUGCAAAUAGGUCAAAUGUUGAAAAACAUUUAAUUUGGUUCAGAUACCAACGACACCCCUUUUUCAACCAAUCUAAAACCGUUAACCGCUUCAAAAGAUCCCUGCACGUUUUAUAUAAUCACAUUCAGUCUGGUGCCGUCAAUUUAUUAGGCAAAACCACUACAAUCUUUUUUAAAAAGCAAUCAUUGGCUGAUGAUGGAGGUCAAUGCAAUAAGCACGAUAGAUAUCAAGUCAUUUACGUAUAUGAUUUUUAAGUUGGAUCAUUUUCGUAAUUAACCAAAAAAUUUUGGUUACUUUUAACUGCCUAGUUGAUAUGUGAAUAUUAACCUUUAGAUCAGUUUAUAAAUCUUCAUACUCAUCUACUCAUUUUGAUUGUCUUUCAAAGUACAGAAGGAAGACUGAUACUAUCUUAUAAUAAUAUUUAUGUCAACAGGUUGUCGUUCCUCGUUUGGAGCGUCUGGAUUUGUCCUCGAUCAACAUUCAUAAGAUAUGGCACCACUCAUCCUCCCCAUCUAUCGGAUACCUAAAUUUCUUGCGGGUGAAGAGGUGUCACAAUUUGAAAUACCUGUUCCCGUUUUUCUUAGCAAAAGAUCUUGAGCAACUCCGAUUCCUUGGAAUUUUGGACUGUAAUAUGAUGGAACAAGUAAUAUUCACGGAUGGAUUGGUUGAGGAACAUCAAGGGAGGAAUCAGAUGUUUUUCUUUAAUCUACAUUCGCUGUGGCUAAACGACCUUCCCAAAACUCACAAGUUUGUGCUUUGAAAAUUACUUUGAAUUUCACUGUUUAGCAGAUUUAACACUAAGAAAUUGUCCAUUGCUAAAAACAUUCAUCUCUAAAUGUGUACCCGGAGAUGAACCUCAAAUUGGCCAACAUGUACAGGCAAGUAACUUGGAGGUUCAUAACUCAUCUCUCCUCAAUGAAAAGGUAAUUUCUUCAAGGAUCCUCCUUUUAAUUUAUGUUACUUCGAUUGAUUUUAUUCAUUUGAAGUUCUUUCUUUUUCAUACAUAUUUCAGUUAUUAGCCUAAUGAAAUGAUUUAUUAGAUUGUUUUCUCUAGUUUGAAGUACUUGUCGAUUCAGAAUUGUGAUUCGUUAGAAGAAAUUAUUGAGCUGGAAGGACUCAUUGCUGAUGAGUCACAGUCAACAUCAGCUGCUCAAUCUACUGUGGCUGAAACAGUGACGACCAAGUUUGUAUUUCCCAAACUAAUAAACCUUGGAUUGGAUAAGGUGCCAAGAUUGAAAAGUUUCUACUCUAGGAUGCAUACCACCCAGUGGCCUUCAUUGAAACGAAUGAGCAUUAUUGAAUGCCCCAAAGUACAGAUAUUUACUCGACAAUGUCCUGUGAGUCAGGUUGGAAUCUCAAACCAACAACCCUUGUUUUGCGUCAAUAAGGUAAGCUCACGAACAGUUUCAUAUUCCAUGAUCAUUACUUGAGAUUACCUAUAAAAUGCUUUUUGAAAAAACUAAUAUUCUCUCCUCUUUUAAUUUUAUGAGAGUCUAGUUCUUACUAAUUUAAAACUCUUUCAUCGAUGUCUAAUAUAUUCGUUGCCAUCCAGGACACUUUCCCUGUAUUAGAAGAACUAACACUGAAGACGAAUGAUAUGGGGAAGGGGAUAUGUGAUGGACAACUCUCAUUGCAGUGUUUCCAAAACCUUAAGCAUCUUAACCUCCAAUUCUUUCCUGAGACAUCCACUACUCUUCCGUAUUCCUUCAUUCGGUCACUACCAAUGCUUCAUAAGCUUGUUAUAGACAAUGCUUCCAUUUGUCAAAUAGUACAAUCUGAAGGACUCAGCGACCAGGAAUGGCAUACAGCAGCAUUCUAUCAGCUAAAGGAAUUAAGUUUGUCUCAACUUCCAGAGUUGACGUUAAAGACUUUUGAACCAUCAUUGCUGUCUUUCAAAAAUCUAACAACACUGAAAGUUUCAAGAUGCCAUGGGUUCAUCAAUUUAAUCGCAUGCUCAACAGCUAAGUGCCUGAGGCUACUGGAAAGUUUGAGCAUAGAUGAUUGUGAGAUGAUAGAGGAAAUCUUAGCGUGUGAGGCUGAAGAAAUACAAGGCGGCAUUGUAUUUCCCAAACUGAAGUAUUUGCAACUAAGCUGUCUGCCAUGUCUAGCAAGCUUUUCCUCGGCCCAUCACUCGUUGGAAUUCCCAGUCUUGCUAAUGGUGAAGGUGACAAAGUGCCCCAAAAUGAGGAAUUUCUGCCAAGGAGAUUUAAGCACACCAAGGCUGGAACAAAUGCACUUAACAAGAGAUGAGGAAGGUGAGCUGCAGUGGGAAGGCGACCUUAACACUACCAUAAAACAUAUGUUCGAUGAAAUGGUACAAAUCAUUUAAAGGAUUUAAAUUCAUGGGUUUUUACAUACAUACAUACAUACAUACAUAGUUAAUUGAACAAUUCUUGGUUUGUUAUGAUCAUGCACAGAAUGUGCAAAAUUCUGAGGUGACGGAGGUUACUGAUCAAUUGCCCAAGCUGGAAUAAGGAAAUAUGUAUGGGUGCUUAUGCGAAAAGCUCAAUUUCGUUUGAAUUCAAAACAAAUGGUAAUUGACUCUUCUAUUUUCAUCAUGGCUUAACUAAUGCUUUAUAAAGUGACCAUAGAGACGCCCUUUUCAUUGUAGGUUGAGUUGCUCUACUGAAGUACGAGGCUGCAACUUUUGGUAAAAUGUGAAAGGUUAUUUCAGUUUUGGUAAAACUACUAUUUGAACUGUUCCAUUUCACAUUAUACCCUCAAAAUUGAACUUCAUUGGGCUACAAACAUGUAAACUUUUACUAGUAAGGUUGAGCCCUGUUUUAAGUAUUUGCCAACUUUUGAUGGUUGCCAUAUCAAUGUCAGCUUAAAGCUAUCAAGUAUCUUUACAAAUAUAAGAUAUAUAUAUAUUAUUCCUUAAUGAGGGAUAAAAGUAGGCAGCUAUGUACUAAUGAUACGGUUGAUUCUGAAAAGACGGCCGAAAUUGAAUCAAUGGGUUGUUGGUAUUUGCCUGAUGGAAGAACAGGGCCUAAUGUUGCGUGGAUUCUGGUCAAGUUUUAAAUUUUCAGUUGUGGGCAUUACUGAUUGUUGUCAUUUGGUUGUUGAUCCUCUGAUUUUACGAUUGACUGUCUUGCUUAUUCGUUGCAAGGUUGGCGGGUCUCAAGUAUGAAUUUCCAAACCGGCUUUCAUCCAUAAUUAACUAAGUGUUCCAAUCCAUGGAGUUUAUGGUUUAUUAGCGUAACUGUCCAUUUUAUUUGUUGAGGAAAAAAAAUAUGAGGAUUAAUCUGAUAUUUAAUGUUUGGGUUUUUGAAUAUUUUUGUGCCUUUAAUGAAAGAAAGCAAAUAAAAUAGAGACGUACAAGAUCACAUCCAUAGAUCAACAAAAGGGUUUAAUAUUUCUAUAAAAAAUUGUCCCAAAAAGGCCUUAUGGGAAUUGAUCAUAUAAACUAAUGAAGGCCAUUGAAAAUAAAGCUUGUAAAAGUUUACAGAAGGAAUUGAUGAGAAUCUGAUACACUAUUCAUUUUGUUGCGAUAAGAGUUUAUGGCCUUGUAGGAGCCUCUCCCCAAAUUGCUAGCAAAAGAAACAAAAGGAUUAAUGCACGUCGAUAAUGGCAGAUUUAUAUUUGCUACAAAAGGUGAAGAGCCCAAGACCCUCCAACCUCCUCGGAACAGUUUGAAAUCGUUCCAAAAUAUGCUCUAGCAAAUGUUCCAAGCCAUCUCAUGCGACAGUUUUCCCUUAAAAGCAUUAGUGGCUGAGUCUAGUCUUAAUUUUUAUUUGUAUCUUUUAUAUCCGUUUUAUAAUUCAUAUUUAGGAUUUGUAUUAUUUAAAAAAGGAAAAUCUUUGAAAUAAAAAAAAACAGUAUGUUUUAUAUAAUUAUUUAAAGUUACUCUCACAUUAUUUUUACCCAUUCAAAGCUAGCAAGUCUUUUAUGUACAAAAUCGUAUAGCUCUGCAAUUUGGAAUAACAUUUUGGUCACCUCCAUGUGAAGUGAGAGAAAAUUGAGAAUGUCACACAAUUAUUAUUUUUCCCUCCAUACCCCUAUGCCACCAAAGAAACUUGAAUUAUUAAGGCACAAAAGCACUAAGGAGUAGGAGCUAGAAAAAGAGGGGCAUGAAAAUAAAGAGAGUUACAUUUAUUAUUUGCAUAAUACAAAAUUAGUCUUUAAUAUUUACACAUUUUAUUAUUUUUAUUUUUUAUUAAUUAAAUUUGGCUUUAAACUCUUUAAAAAGAGUUGAAUUUGAACAUCAACCUUUUAAAAAGAGUUAUAUUAUUAUUUAACGGAAAUGUUAAAUUUUGAAAUACAUAUAAGAAUAUAAUUUUAUUAAAUUAUAUAUUUUUAUUAAAUUAUAUUAAAUUAUAUUUAAUAAUAAUUAUUUUAAAUUAUAUUUUAUAGUAUUAUAUAUUAUGAUUUUAGUAAAUUCAUAUAUUUUAUUAAAUUAUAUAUUUUUAUUAAAUUAUAUUUAAUAAUAAUUAUGUUAAAAUAUGAUUAAAUUAUUUAUUAUUUAUAUUAAUAACCUUAUUAAAAUUUAAUAACAAUAACAAUAAUCAUCGACCUAAAAAAAAUUCUACUAAGGGUAUUCUCGUCAUUUUAGCUUUUUUCCUUAUGCUAUUACACCAUCAUUCCCUUCAACCAAACACAAGAAUAUUAUUACGCCUCUAUUCCAUUCCAUUCAACCAAACAAAAGGAUUACCUAUUACGCCUUUAUUCCAUUACGCCUCUAUUCCAUUACGCCUCUAUUCCAUUACAGCGAACCAAACGUGCCCUAAAGGUUCAAAGAUUUCUGCUUAAAUUUGGACUUCACUCCUUAAGCUUCAAGUUCAAGUUUUUUGGUAUAUAAAUUUUGGACCUUAAUUUGGUAUGUAUUUAAGCUUAUUAGUAAUAAUGUGAAUUAUGUACGAAAGAUAAUGUUUUGUGUUAUAAAGUAUCUCGGUUAUAAUGAAAUAAGAAUAAAUUGAAGUGAUGAGUUUAGUGUUAAAUGUAGCAUCUCUUACUCAAAUUUGUUAUCGAAUCGGGUGAGAGGUGUUACUACUAGAAUAUAAAUUACCCUUUCUUUUUUCUUAAGAUAAAUGUAUUUUUUUUAAUUAAAUUCGUACAUAAAAUGAUAUUUUUACUAAAAUAUUAAAUUCGAAAAAGAAAUUUAAGACAAAAACAUUUUAGCCAACAACAUAUUCAUUGUAGGAUCAAAAACAUUAAUGCAAGAAACUUAAAACAAGGAAUCAAAAGUCUAGAACAAGCAAUCAAACUUAUUUUAUAUGAUCCACCAUUAAAAUUUUAGAAUAUGAUAAACAAGCAAUCAAAUAUUAAGUGCACAAUUUUAGAUUCACUAUACAAGAGCUGAGAACGAGAAAGCUAUCACAUCAGAUGGCUUGGUACAAUUAAUUAGACCGUGUUGCAGUACCUCUCUGGCAUCAACUUCGCUUGUAAAUUUCUAUAAGCUGUCACUUCAAUGGCCUUCAUCAACUUGCAGCUCUAAUCUAAAUUGUACAAAACCAAUUGAUAACAAAUUCACAAUCCACAGAUUGUGGGCUCAUAAUGCUAAUGACAAAUCAAUGUCUCGUUAUGAUUCAAGUAAUCCAUACACCGUUGGAUAGGUGCAAGGAUUGUUUGGAUCAUAAGAGAGCAUUGGUUUGUUCUUAGAAUUAUGUGUCCAUAUACCAUGGAUCUUGAACUCAUUAAGGAUUGGUGGUGUACAACUCAGACUAAAGCUAUAGGCUAAUAAAGGCCAUUGAAGAAAAAGCUUACGAAAAUUACAAGCGAAGUUGAUGCCGGUAGGGGUGCUGCAAAUGCUGCUCAAAAUGAAAAGAGAAGAACAAGAGGAGUACUCUCUCUCUCUCUCUAUAUAUAUAAGUAUAUACUCUUCUCCAUGCUGCACAUUAUUGCAAAAAAAGAAAACACACAAGGGACCAAUCUUAGAUCUUCACAAAGGUCAUUUGAGAUCAAAGGAGAAGAACAAGAAAAACAAAGGUGAGGGGUUUGAAGAAAGAGCCAAAUAUAUAAAGGAAAAAUUAAGUGAGAGAGAGGAUGGGUUUAAUUUAAAGAUUAAAUGUUUCUUUUUUGGUAAACACAUUUCUUUGGUCCCUCUCAAUUUUGAUGUUGAGCAAAUUAGCCCAUUUCUAAAAAUUUUGGAGAAAUUUGAUCAUUGUUGAUUUUGAAAGUGAGCAACUAAAUACAAUUAAUCAUAACGUUUAUGUUUUUCAUCAGUUCUACAAUUUUUUUCUUGGUAUAAUAAAAAAUAUAACUUUCAAAGUUUACACAUUUUGUCAAUUUGAUCUUGAUAUAACAAAUAUAACUCAUAACAUUUUCACAAUAUUCCAUCAAUUUGGUCCUAAUUUAACAAAUUUAGCCCGUAAUAUUUACACUUUUUGUCAAUAGUUACGCAGAAUAUAUAAACAUCAAUGGCUAAAUUUAUUAUUAUACCAAUCAAAAUUAUGUAGAAUCGAUGGAAAACAUUAAAGCUAUAAUUAAUUGUCCGUAGUUACUCACAUUUAAAAUUGACAGGAAUUAAAUUGUUCUGAUUUUUUAAAAAGAUCGAUUUACUUAAUAUCAAAAUUGAGAGAAAUCAUAAAGAUAAUUUUACUUUUCUUAAUUUAAUAGGUAAGAAAAUUUAAAAUCAUUGAAAAAAAAAAGUAAGUUGUAUAGAUUUAUUUAAAGUCACACUCACAUUAUUAUUUUUCCCAUUCAAAGUUGAAAAGUCUUUUAUGUAAAAAAUAGUAUAGCUCUUCAAUUUGGGUUAACAUUUUGGUCCCCGCCAUGUGAUGUGAAGGAAAAUUGACAACAUCACAACAAUCAAAUCUAUUUUUUCUGCCAUACCCCUGUGCCUCCGAAGAAAGUUAAAUUAUUAAGGCACAAAAGUACCAAGGAGUAGAAGCUACCAAAAGAGGAGCAUGAAAAUAAAGAGAGAUACAUAUAUUACUGGCAUGGAAUAUUUACAUCUUUUAUUAAUUUAGAUUUUUUUAGUUAAUUUUAAUUUUAAAUCCUUUAAAAAAAAGUUGAAUUUGAUCAUCAACGUUUAAAAAGAGUUGAAUUAUUAUUUUUUAAUAAAAAUAUUAACCAAAAUGUUAAAUUUUGAAACAUGGCAAUCCGUAAAACAAUCCAAGUGUAGUUCAUGCUUGUUUUUAUUUGAUUUUUUAUGAACUCUUUUUGUGGGAAAUUUUUAUUUUUUUAAUAUUUUUAUAAUUUUUAAUUUAUUGGCGUGACAUAUAAGAUAAAUAAUACUAUGUCAACAUAAAUGACAUGUAGACUGCCACAUGGGUUGCCAUGCCAACUUCGUUAAAAAUUAAUAUUUUAGUCAACAUUUAAAAAAACACGAUUUGACUCUUUUUUAAAGGUUAAUUGUCAAAUUUAAAUUAAGAAAUAAUAAUAAUCAAAUUGACAAAAGAUGUAAAUAUUAAGUGUUGAAUUUAUUAUUAUACUUUUAAGUAAAAUUUUUGGAUUUGAAUUUGAAUUAUUUUGGGAAAUUUAAAUAGUUUUGAGCUCAGAACAUUUCAAGAGAAAAUUAGCAAGUCAAAUUACAAUUAUAAAAUAAUAUAUGUCAUUUAUAUGUUUGUCUAUAUAAGUUUAAAUUACAAAUUAAUUACUAAAAGUGAUUAGGGCAUUAGUAUUUGUGUUGUCACAUGGGAGUUUAGGUUCAAUCUCUUGAUUGAAAUAAUAUUUUUAAAAUAUUUAUUUAAUAUUUCUAUAUACAUCAAAAUCCUUGUUAAAUUUUAAUUUUGUUUUUGUUAUUAGAAUACUUGAAUCAAUAAAAUUUUAAGGCACAUAUCAAACCCAACAAUCAAAAUUAAAUCACACCAAAAUAAGGCCAAGAAAUUCUUAAACAGCUCACCAAGCAACAUUCAAAUAUCAUAACUUAACCCCCUUGCAAAUAAUAAGAGCAUAGACGCUUGCUGCAGACAAAAGGUCCCAUGCCCAUUACAAGCUCUGCCCAUCAGUUCCUGCCAGAGGAGCCAUGGCCAAGAAAACUAUUAGUCUUAAUGCAAUCCACAAAACGUGUGGGACUUUUCCUUAAGGUCAGCUCUUUUGAGUUCAAGUCCUUUUCGCUGGCAAAUUUGUUGAUAUAGGAGCAACAUUGGUCAUCACAAUCAACAAAGGUCUUGUGAAAAAAAAUAGAAUGUCGGUAAUGAUAAUAUACCGCAAAGAAAAGAGAAAUAAAAAUAAAGAACAUAGAUUUUACGUGGAAACCCUUUCGGGAAAAAACCACGGGUAGAGGAGAAGUAAAUUCACUAUGUCGAAUUCGAAUGAUUACAAGAGGAGCUUCGACUACAUCUAUUUAUAGGUUGAAAAAAACCUAAUUCUAAUCAAAGUCGAAUAUAUUAUGCUAAUAAAUGCUAAAUAUAUUAUACUCAUAAAUACUAAAUAUUCUAGAAAGAAGAUAUAUUUUGUUCAACUUGACUUGCAAGCAAUCUCUUAGAAUUUGGGUUACACAACUCUAACAAUCUCCACCUUGACACAAAUUCUCAAUGAAUAAGUUCUUCAUCGCGAACUCUCAACGAACAAGUUCUCUAGCUCUUCCAUAAAACCCCUUAAGGGUUUAACUUCAACAAUGAACACCAAUCAAGUCUAAGAAAUGCUUAAACUUGGUUAUAGGAAGUGACUUAGUCAUCAUAUCUGCAGGAUAUUCAUGAGUACUAAUUUUACUCACAACAAUAUCUCCACGGGCAAUAGUAUCACGAACAAAAUAAUACCGAACAUCAAUGUGUUUUGUUUUCUCAUGAAACAUUUGAUAUUUUGUAAGGAAGAUGACACUCUGACUGUCACAAAUACUGUACUGAUUUGAAGGUUUUCAUUGAGUUCACUAAAGAGUCCCUUCAACCAAAUAGCUUCUUUACAAGCCUCAGUAAUUACCAUGUACUCAGCUUCAGUGGUAGACAAAUCGAUUGUAGUUUGCAAAGUGGCUUUCCAACUUAUUGCACAACCUCUGAUUGUAAAGACAUAACCUAUGAGAGAUCUUCUUCUAUCAAGGUCUCCAGCAAAAUCAGCACCAACAUACCCAAUGACUCUAUCUCUAGUUCUUUCAAACUGUAAGCAAACAUCAGUAGUACCUUGUAAGUAUCUUAAAAUCCACUGAAUUGCUUUAUAAUGUUCUUUACCGGGAUUCGCCAUGUAUCUGCUAACUGCACUGACUGUAUAUGAUAAAUUUGAACGAGAACAAACCAUAGCAUACAUAAAAGAUCCCACUGCACUAGAGUAUGAAGCAUGUGACAUGUACUCAAUCUCAUCAUCUGAUUGUGGAGACAAAGCUGAUGAAAGUCUGAAAUAGGCUGCUAAAAGAGUACUAACAGACUUAGCAUUCUGCAUAUUAAAUCUGCAAAGAACUUUCUCAUGUACCCUUUCUGACUUAGGUACAAUUUACUUGCUUUUCUAUCUCUGAGAAUCUUCAUACUUUUUUGCUGGUCCCAAAUAUUUUAUCUCAAAUUUUUCACUUAGUUAGGCUUUGACCUUUCUCAUCUCUCCUUUAUCUUUCGCUGCUAUCAACAUGUCAUCAACAUAAAGGAGUAGAUACAUAAAAGAACCAUCAUUGUUUUUCUUAAAGUAAACACAACUGUCAAAACUACUUCGUUUAAAAUCAUGAGAAGUUAUAAAGGAAUCAAAUCUCUUGUACCACUAUCUUGGUGACUAUUUCAAACCGUAAAUGGACUUUUUCAACAAGCAAACAUAGUCCUCUUUUUCUGAAACUAUAAAAUCCUCUGGUUGUUGCAUGUAAAUAUCCUCCUCAAGUUCUCCAUGUAAAAAAGCAGCUUUUACAUCUAACUGCUCAAGCUCCAAAUCAUGCAUGGCCACAAUACCAAGCAAAGCUCGAAUCGAGGUAUGCUUCACAGCUAGGGAGAAUACAUAUGUGAAGUCUACUCUUGGAAUUUGACUGUAACCCUUUGCAAUAAGCCUUACUUUAUAUCUAGGUUAUUGAACUCCUUGAGUCCCCUCUUUCUUUUUAAACAUCCAUUUACAACGAACAACCUUUUUACCUUUAGAAAGUUUCACAAGAUCCCAUAUUUUAUUUUUGUGGAGUGAUUCCAUCUCCUCUUGCAUAGCAAACAUCCACUUUUCUAAGUCUUCAUGGUUAACUGCAUCAGAAUAAUUAGAUGGCUCUUGGUUUGCAUUUAUAUCUUCAGCCACGUUUAAAGCAUAAGCAACUAGAUCAGCCUUGGCAUACUUCUUUAGAGGUUUAAUUUCUCUUGUAGUUCUGUUUUUGGCGAUAGAGUAUUGUGGUGAAGAAGCAACUCUAUUUUGAAUUUUUGUACUGGCUUGAGGAGUUGACUCCAUUGUAGAUUCUGGAUUAAUCUGAUGCUCUACUUGCUUUUGAUUUUUCUUUAUUAGAAGAGUCUUUAAGAUAUAAGUUAGGUAGCAUAACAAUUUCAUCAAAAACAACAUCUCUUCUAAUCACAACUUUUCUAAUUUCAGGACACCAUAACUUAUACCCUUUUACACCAGCUUUAUAACCAAGAAAAACACAUUUAAUGUAUCUCGGUUCCAAUUUUCAUGAUCAAUAUGAGCAUACGCAGGUCACUCAAAAAUCUUUAAAUCAGAAUAGUCAACAGGAUUACCAGACCAUACCUCUUGUGGAGUCUUUUUCUCAAUGGCAAUGGAUAGAGAUCGGUUGAUUAAAAACAUGCAGUAGAGGCUGUUUCGGCCAAAAUAACUUUGGUAAGUUGGCAUUUGACAACAUACAUCGAACCUUCUCCAUGAUCGUUCUGUUCAUUCGUUCUACAACGCCGUUUUACUGUGGAGUAUGACGAACUGUCAAGUGUCUCACGAUUCCUUCUGACUUGCACAGUUUAUUAAACUCAUCAGAACAGAAAUCUAAGCCAUUGUCUGUACGGAGAUAUUUUAUUUGUUUUCCCGUCUAUUUUUCAAUCAUAGUUUUCCAAGAAGCUGCUUGCCACCAAUGCAGCUCAGUUGAAAUAUUUAGAGUCACGAGCGGAAAAUGUAGAGCAGAAGGCCAAGGAUGCUGAAAAAAAAAUAGUUGAACUCGAAAGGUAGCUUAAGGCUAAGGUAAAGGAAGCUACACAAUGGAGCAAUAAGCUUGAGGAGGUUGGUAACUCAUUGAUGGACUAGAUGAUAAAAAUUCAGAAAACACUAGGAUCCUUUGACUCAACAGGUAUCAACUUUGAUAGAGCAAAGAUAUCUAAGGCUUGUUCUGUGUGCCUUUUUGAUACUAUGAUACUUCUAUAUUGGUUUUAGAUCGUUGAGAAUCGAAAAUAUGGCUGGGCUAUGGAUUACGCAGGAAGAGGAACUUCAAGGUAAGAUAAUGAAGGAUUGAAGGAAUUGAGAAAUGAAUGGGGUGAAAUGAUCUACAGGGCCGUUGUUGUUGCAUUACUGGAAAUGGAAGAGUACAAUCCAAGUGGGAGAUACAUAGUUUUUGAACUUUGGAAUUUCAAAGAUGAUGAAAAGCCAGCUUAAAAGAAGCUAUUGAGAUCUUCAUCUACCAUUUACAGAACAAAUUGAGUCAAUCCCUGUACUCAUUGAACUGAUGGUAAGCUGAGUUGUUCCUGGUACUAGACUAUGUAACAGCCCGAUUCUGGGCCUAGUCGGAAUAGUGGUUUCGGGACCACAAAUCCGACGAGAGAAAAUAUUAUUAUCAUUAUAUUUUUAUGGUCUACAAUUUCACGGAAUGAUUUCGUGAAAAUUUCGUUCGAAAAUUUCAACGUUUGAGCACUCAAUUUAGUCAAAAAGGACUAAAUUGUAAAAAGUGCAAAAGUUGAGUUCUAGAAGCUAGAGGUGUUAAAUUGCUAUGAAAUUUUAAAUUGGAGGUCCUUAAAUGGUAAUUAAACCAUUAGUUAUUUAUGGACAAAAAUAGACAUGGUUAGUAAGUAAGCUAUUUAAGGGCAUUUUGAUAAAAUGCCUUAAUUAAUGAAUAAAGACAAAAUAACAUGAAAUAAGUUAUCAUCUUCUUCAAUUCUUUUCUCCAUGGCCGAAUGUAGCAAGGAAAUACCAUGGCUAGGGUUUUUUCAUCUUCCAAGCUUCAUGGUAAGUCCGUUCUAGCCCCAUUUUUCUUGUUAUUUAUAUUUUUAGAAUCCCGGUAACUUGCUUAAUCUAAUUCUACUAUUAAUUUGAGCUAGAAUUUAUGUUUGAAAAAUUACCCAUAGGUGAAAAGUGUGAACUUUGAUGUUUCAUGAUAGAAUAUGAAGCUUAGAAUUAUGUUAAACGAUUUUUGCUAAUCGAUUUUCAGUAAAAACGAGUAAAACGACAUAAUCAGUAAAAAUAUCUAAUGUUCAUAAGUAAGUGUUGAGUGGGAAUUUGAUGUUUCCAUAGAAGAGAAAAAUGUUCAGAAUGUCAUAAAAAAUAAGAAUAAGAGAUGAAAUUUAAUUUCCGAGCUUUGGGGCAAAAGUGUAAAUAUGCAAAAGUUUAGGGGCAAAAAUGUAAUUUUGUAAAAAUAUGAUUUUUGGACUGAAUUGAAUAAUGUGAGUGUUAAAUAAGUUAAAUGUGUUAUUAUAAGUCAAGAAAGACAAGGAAUUGACUUUGAUUAGUAAAAAAAUGAGAAAAAGUGAGAAAUUUCUCGAUUGAACAUUCAGAAUAAAAAGGGAUACGAAUGAAAUGACAGAAAUGAUCACAUAUGUGGCAUGGACUGUGUGUAGGCCACUAUGUGAAAGUGAAAGUGAUGGUCACAUGUGUAGUACUAUGUGAAGGCUACUACGUGUACCAGAAUGAUAGGUCGCAUGUGUAGUACUAUGUACAGGCUACUAUGCGUAUCGGAUAGCUUCGAUCACGUGUGUAGUACUAUGUGCAGGCUACUACGUGUAUCGGAUAGUGAUGGUCACAUGUGUAGUACUAUGUGCAGGCUACUAUGUGAACCCAUAUCAUUGAUUAUAAGGUGGUUGCUAAGUGCUGAUUCCACCAUAUCUUAAAUGUGAAAGGGGUUGCUAAGUGCUGAUUCCCCGAAUCACUGGUGGUUGCUAAGUGCUGAUUCCACUGUAUCCUUGAUUGUGAAAGGGGUUGCUAUGUGCUGAUUCCCCGUAUCAUUGAUUAUAAGGUGGUUGCUAAGUGAUGAUUCCACCGGGAUCCUUUGAACAUGAGGUGGUUGCUAAGUGCUGAUUCCACCAUGUAACGGUUAAUAUUCCGAAGUGUUCAUCGGGGAAAUUGGAUAAGUGAAAAUAUAUGUGAAUCGAAUAAGGUUACGGGAUGAAUAUUGGAUUCGAUAUUUAAUCGACCCUUGAGUAAGAUGAAAAGAAGUAAUGAAAUUGUGAAAAAGAAAAAUGUGCAACAAAACAGUUUUGGACAGUAACAAUAAUGUGACUUUGAAAAAUCACCAAAAAUGGUGGAAAUUGAAUUAGAGAGUUAAUAAGAUAUUAAAUGAAAGCUUAAGGAGUCUAUUUUUAUGUAAAAGAAACAGAGCAAGUAAAAGAGUUAGACAUUCUGAGAUAUUUGAAUUUUAGUGAGGCAGGGUAGGAUUGAUUUCGGAAUCCCCUGUUCUGAAUUUGGAAAAUAAUUAAAAAUUGUAAAAAAAUAAUUACUAGAUAUAAUUUAUACGAUUAGAAUCCUUAAUGAGUCUAUUUUUAAGGGAAACAAACAGAAAAAUCAUCCAAAUUCUGUACAAUGAGAUAAUUCAUUUUUAGUGAAGAGAGGUCAGAGAUGUUGAGCAGUGAAACAGGGGUGACUUUAAAGAAUAAACUGUACUAAUUGGAAAAGUCAAAAAUUCUGAAAAUUUUAUGGUAAGAAGAUAUGUGAGUCUAGAUUCGGGGAAAAUUAACGGAUCUUAAUUUGGAGCUCUGUAGCUUUGGAUAAAUAUAAUUUAGUGACUCUGACUCGAAUAGACAGCUUUGGAUAUACAUGUGAAUGAAUAGUGAAAUUAUGUAUAAUGCUAUUUAAGCAUGUUUUAUACAUAAAGGAUGUGGAAUGGAGAGGGGGAGGAGGAAAAUUAAUUAUAUAUAUGAAUGAUUUGUGUAUAAAUGGUUAUAUGCUCAAUUAUAAUCGAUAAACGUUAAAAUAGAAAUGAUGCUUACAUUUGCGUAUUAUUGAUCAUGGUUUAAGCUCAUAUGGGAAAAUAAAGUUUCAUAGUAUGUGAGUGUGGUUUAUUUGAUAUAUGGGUUGGUAUGAAGUAAGGCCAUGAAUGGUUUAUGGAUUAAUUCAUGUUGGUAGGUUUGGUACAUGAAUAAAUGUUGAACUUGGCCAUACUUAUAAUGCUUAUGCUAUAUGUUUAUUUGGCUAACAUGUGUAGUGUACAUGCUUAAGCUUUGGCCAAUUGGUGGCUGAAUUAUGCCACGUUAAAUUUAUAAGUUAUGCAUUGAAAUGGUAAGUGCCUAGAUGGGAAUAUGCUUAUGAUCAUGGAAAGGGUGGUAACGUUUAAAUUAUGUAAACUUACUUGGAAUGGUUUAUCAUGUGGUUAAUUCCAAAAAAGAAUUAUGUUUAAUGUACUAGCUUGUGACUAUGGUUGAAUGAUAUGUUAUUGUUUUGUGUGAUAUUUGUAGGAAAUGGGUGUGGAAAGGAAAUGAAAUACUAAGUUCAUACUUGAAGAAUAAAAUGACGAAAAAGGGAAUGAUGAGUUGAUUUGAUGUUGUUAUUUAAGCUUAAGUGAUGUUUUCAUUGUAAUACUAAGAAUUUUAUAAAUGUGUUAAUGAAUGGUAUAAUUGAUAAACGUUGAGUUAAAUGAUGAACACGUAUUAGUAUUGAACUUAACAAUAUUGAAUUGUACAUGAAUUAAAUGGAAGUUUUUAGUGAUAUGAUUUGAAUUAAAAGAAUUGUUGUGGUAUUGAAAUAUAUAUAUUGGAUUGAGAAAUUGAUUUGAAUUGUGAACAUGAAAGAUUUUGAAAUGAAUAAAAUAGAAAUGAAGCAUUGAAUUACAUGAGUAAGUAUCGGGUCUUGUAGGCCCAAUUUGUUAUGAAUAUAAUAUUUCAAGGAUAUGUUAUAAAGAAUUAUAAAAUCAUGUUAAAAAUUUGAAAAGUUUAAAUUUGAAUGAAAUUUUGUAACUCGGUUUAAUACGUUUACAUGUGUAAGUGUUCUAGUAAUGCCUCAUUCCCUAUUCCGGAGUUGAAUACGGGUAAGGGGUGUUACAGACUAUCAACAAGCCAAGUUAAUCCCAGUAUUCUGCGUAACAUUUCCAUGUAGUUAAUCUUAUUUUGCUAAUAUAUAAUCAAAUGACCAGUAUUUUGUUUAACCCUCAAACAUCCUGCGUGGAAGCAAGUUAUUCAUAUGAAUUGCUUGAAUUGCUCAUAUGUCCAAUGAAUUAUAAAGGAAUGCUGUUGAAUUCCCAUCGAUACAUACAUGCAUACAUAUUAGUGAAGUAUAUUCCAAUAUAAUAUCAAUAUUGGGAUUUACGUUUUAUAGAGCAGCAUUAAUGAUUGGUAAUAUACAUUCGUUCCAAGGCAAACCCAAAUAUUGUAACCUACAACUGUGGCAAAUCAAAUUUUACAGUAACCCAAUUAUAAUGUGAAGUCAAAUAUGAAAGUAACAUUGGUUUAUAUUUUUUUUUCUCAAAAUUCUAAUAAUCAAGUUGGGAUAAGUGAUAAACACUGAGCUUGCCACGUGUGUUAAACCACAUUUUUGUUAUGUGCCACUCCAAAGAUAUCGGGCCUCUAUUCAGGCUGGCAUAGUCAGGACGUGGUAGCAUACUUCAGGACCCUGGUUAGAAAAUAUCCCACAUCCGAUAAAAUUGGAACGAUACAGAGAAGAUUAGCAUGGCCCUGCGCAAGGAUGACAUGCACAAAUCGAGAAGUCCAAUUUUUUUCCCUUUUUUUCCCCACAUUUUAACAGCUCUGCUUCUUCUUCUUUUUUUCCCCUGGGUUUGAUGUUCAUAUUCAUGGGUUUUUGUGCACUUAAGAUUGCAAUUAGAGUUUUCUUUCUUUCUUUUACUGGGUUCGGUCUGUUUUACUCUCUUGAACUGUGAAUUUGAUUUUUUUUUCCAUUUUUUCAGCUUUGUUGCUUUUUUCCCCCUGGGUUUAGUUUUCAUGUUCAUGGGUUCCGCCCACUUAAGAUUGCAUUGGAGUUUUUUUUUUCCUUUUUACUGGGUUUUGGCCAGUUUUACUCUGUUGAACCGUGAAUACCUCUGGGAAAAAAAUUGUUGCUUAUAUAUUUGCUAGUCAACAGUGCUAAUUUUCUGAUAUAUUGGCCAGAAUUGAGGGAAGAAGGUCCAAUUUUGCUUUUGAUUCUUCUACUACUAUCUUAAGAUUUAAAAGAAAUUCAAUUAAACAAUUUCUUCCAAUAAAAUUAAACAAGAAGGGACCUGCACACUUAGACAUGUUUCUCUUUGAAAAAAAUUCAAACAGGGUUUUAAAAUUUGCAAUGUGUUUUAUGUAAAUCAAAUGAUACCCUGAAUUUUGCUAAGGGUGUUUCAUAUCCUUGAAUCCUUUUUUUGCUUGGCAAGUGAUUCAUUGAGUUUUUGUGAUAAAUUUCAUGUUUCUUUUUUUAGUAUGGGAAUUUGUGGGAAAAUGCUUGGCAAUAUGGAAAUGAAACCAGUUUCCAUUUCCAAAGGCAACAGCAAAGUGGUGAAGCUUAUUGUUGAAAAAUUCUUCAAUAAUGUCAAUAAUGAAAAAGUAGAAAAUGGAAAAACUGAUAAGUACAUGCCUUUCUUGAAUAAAGGAAUGUGAAUCUGUGUGAACUUCCAUUUCCCUUGAAUUAUGCCUAAGUAAACCUUGACUAAGGAAACAAAUAAGCAGAGACCUUACAAGAAGAAAUUUGUGUUUAAUUCAGUCACACACAAUUUUCAAAGAAUCUUACUUCAUUUUCUUCAUAAAUUGUUGCGUAAGAUACUAACACUUGAAAAACUAAUAACAUUAGACCCAACCAUUUUAAACAGGAUGUAAUAGCACCAUACAAAUACAAAACCAAAAUGAAACAACGACCAACACUAUAUAAAUAUACACCAUUGAUCAAAAUAUACACUAACAACAAUUAUGAUAAGAUAACAUAGAUGAACAUGAUACAAUUUGUUAAAUCUAAGGUACUGACCAAUCAUUUUAUUGGAGCAUUACUUAAUGUAUAAGGCUCAAUCCCCCCCCGAUGCUAGAUACUGAUACACUCAAACGAAUAUGAUUUUCUUCCAUUCAUUUCAAUAUGGUAAUGUUGUUUUUACCCUAAGUUAAAAUCCUUUUUUUUUACUGCACAGAAAUCUGAAUUCACCAACCCUGAUGGAAGGCUUGUGAUUGUGACCAACUUUACAGGCAAAAAUGAAAAAGGAUCUACAACCUUUGUUAACUGUUUUGUAAAAUACAAGAAAAUCCCAUACCCAAGCAUGAUUUUAUAUACACCCUGCUACAAAAACACGUUUUUUCCUGCAAAAACAUCAUUCAUGGCAAGAUGUCAAGAGAUUGGUGAAAAAGAAAAACAUCCAACAUUUGGGGUUUUAAUCUCAAUAUAUGAACUUGGCUUUAUUUCUUAGUGUUAUUGUUGAACUUUUUAGGAUGCCUCUGUCUUAAUCCAUUUAUGUGAUUUGAUAAUGAUAUUUGCAGGCACUUAAAUCUGUUGGAACAAUGGCAGCAGCAAACAUCAAACAAAGUUACAACACAGUGUUUGCAAGACUGAAGCAAGAAGAAUCGAAGCAAAGAAAGAGCAAAGCAAAGCAAAAAUUUGAUCAAAUUGAAUACUCAGCAAAGUUGUAACUGAAUAUUACAUUUUUCAUUCAAGAUUAGAAUAUAUAAAAGUACUACAAUUUUGGUUCAUUUGACAGAUACCUAAUGACAUAACUACUCCCACUUAAACUAAACUAAUACAAGCUUAAGUCAAAUACAAAUAAGCUGACAUAUCAACUUUUACAUCACCAAUCCAAUCACAAACUUAAUCCAACUAACUAUUAAAGCUAGUUACAAUCAAACUGAACUAAGUUACAUCAAAACAAAACAGCAAUAUCAGUUGCUUCAUUUGGUCUGAAAACCAUUCGUGCACACCAAGCAAAAUGAGCUGAGCUCGAUAGCUGCUGGUCUCGAUAGUAGCAUGCUUCCGGCUCCAUGUUGCAUUGCAGUCCAUCUUUCAACACUCCUCCUUGGACUGUAUGCAACACAUUCCAAUUGCACUUCUCAAAGAUUCAAAUCGAACAGCCCCUAAGGGCUUUGUCAUUAUGUCAGCCAAUUGAGCUCUUGAGCUGCAAUGCACAAGGCUGACUUACUUUGCUUGUUCAGCUUUUCUAACAAAAUGCAGUUUGAUUUUAAAAUGCUUAGUCUUACCAUGGAACACAGGGUUCUUGGCUAUUGCAACUGCAGACUGAUUAUCUACCCAAAUUUUAGUUGCUUCAUCUUGAGUUUCAUUAAGGUCAUAAAGCAGCUUCCUUAGCCAAAUGGCCUGAUUAACUGCUCCUGCUGCAGCAAUGUACUCUGCUUCAGCUGUGGAUUGAGCAACAGUUUGUUGCUUCUUUGAACUCCAGCAAAACAUGCCCGAUCCAAGUGUGAAGAAGUAUCCAGAGGUACUCUUCAUGUCAUCGAGAGAUCCUGCCCAGUCACUGUCAGAGUAGCCUUCUAGUUUCAGUUGAUUCCUACUUUCAAACAUUACACCAAAACUAGCAGUGCCCUUGAUGUAUCUAAGGAUCCUCUUUCCUGCCUUCAAAUGUGCCUCACUACAACAAUGCAUAAAUCUCGAUAACAGGCUGACACCAAACAUGAUGCCUGGCCUGGUUGCUGUUAGAUACAACAGACAACCAACUAGGCUUCGAUAGUGCCUCUCAUCAACCCUCUGCUGAUCACCACUGCUAGUCAGCUUUUCUCCUUGGGCCACAGGUGUGCUGACUGCUUUACAGUUAUGCAUGCAGAAUUUGUCUAGGAUCUUCAAAGCAAAUGAGUGUUGGCUGAUGAAGAUACCUCGAUUAGACUGGUGCACUUCCAUGCCAAGGAAGUAAGUCAUGAUCCCCAAAUCUGUCAUCUCAAACACUUGCUGCAUUUGGACCUUGAACUGAUCAAUGAGCUCAAUUUUGCUCCCUGUCACAAGCAAAUCAUCCACAUACAAGGAGACAAUCAGCAAGGUUUCAUGUUCUGACCUUUUAACAUACAGAGUAGGCUCACUAAGGCUCUUUACAAAUCCAAGUUUGGUCAGGUAAGCAUCAACUCUGUCAUACCAGGCCCUUGGUGCUUGUUUCAGGCCAUAGAGGGCCUUUCUCAACUUAUACACUUUGUCUUCAUGUCCAACAACUUCAAAACCUUCAGGUUGCUCGAUAAAGAUCUCCUCCUUGAGAAAACCAUUUAGGAAUGCUGAUUUGACAUCCAAUUGGUGAACUCUCCACUGCUUCUGAGCUGCUAAAGCAAAUAGCAGCUUAAUUGUAUCCAGUCUUGCCACUGGAGCAAAAGUUUCUAGGUAGUCAACACCAUACUGCUGACUGUAGCCCUUCACCACAAGCCUGGCCUUGUGCUUGUUCAGUGAGCCAUCAGCAUUGUACUUGGCUCGGUACACCCAUUUAACUCCUAUGACCCUCUUAUGUUCUGGUCUGCUCACCAACUCCCAAGUCUGAUUUUUGUUGAUCAUUUCCAACUCAGCUUCCAUAGCUUUCAUCCAGCUUCUGUUCUUAGCAGCCUCUUCAAAGUCUGAGGGCUCAAUCACAGCAACAUUGCACCUCUGAUAGACAUCAGCCAAAGUUCUGGUCCCCCUCACUGGUAUAUCAUCGACAGCAUCAUUACUUGGUCCUUCUUCUGCAGGUUCAGCAACCAAGUCUAACUGGUCCAAUUCAGACAAGUCAGCCUCAACACCAUUCCAAUUCCACACAUUUUCCUCAUUAAACUUUACAUCCCUGCUGACUAAAACUUUCUUUGCUGUAGGAUCAUACACUCUAUAGCCCUUCUUGUUGCUGCUGUAGCCAACAAAGAUUCCUGGAGUUGCUCUACUCUCAAGCUUGGUCCUUUUCUCUACUGGAAUAAGUGCAUAACAUACACAGCCAAACACUUUUAAGUGUGUUACCAUAGGUUUGACUCCAUGCCAAGCCUCAAAAGGAGUCUUAUCCUUGACUGCUCUAGUUGGCAGUCUGUUGAGCAGAUACACUGAGGUGUUGACUGCCUCAGCCCAAAACUAACUUGGAAGCUUGCCUUGAAACAAGAGGCACCUGGCCAUGUUCAGUACAGUCCUAUUCUUUCUCUCACAGACUCCAUUCUGUUGAGGAGUAUAGACUGUUGUGAGCUGAUGGUGAAUCCCAGCACUGUCACAAAGCUUCUGAAAUCUCUCAGACACAUAUUCAGAGCCAUUAUCAGUCCUCAAGGCUCUAAUUUUACAGCCUGACUGAUUUUCAGCAUAAGCCUUGAAUUUGCAGAAGGCUUCAAACACUUCUGACUUUUGCUUCAAGAAGUAGACCCAGCACAACCUUGUUAAAUCAUCUAUAAACAGGGCAAAGUACCUGUUCUCACUGAUUGAAGGUGUUCUCAUAGGGCCACAAACAUCAGAGUGCACCAAUUCGAGCUUGUUUUGAGCUCUCCAAGCACUGUCAGCAGGAAAAGGCAGUCUAGCCUGCUUACCAAGCUGACAAACCUCACAAACAUUCCCACUAACUUCAAUUUUUGAAAUGUCAUCAACCAAAUUCAGCCUAUGUAACUGAUCGAUGGAUCUAAAAUUUGCAUGGCCUAGUCUCCUAUGCCACAAGUCAGUGCUUUCAACAAGGCUGGUGUAUGCCUUUCUUUCUAUUUGGCUAACAUCCAGCAUGAAGCACCUAUCAGUCAUAGAGACUGUGACUAACUCCAGACCAUUCAUGUCUUGAACAAUACAGCAACCAUCCUUAAAAACCAAUGUAUAGCCCUUUUCAACUAAUUGGCCUACACUAAGCAAAUUCUGGUCUAAGUCAGGUACAAAAAACACAUCUGAGAUCAGCUUGUUACCUGAACCAGUGCUAAUCAACACACUGCCCUUGCCUUUAGCCUCAAUCAGCCUACCAUCUCCAAUUCUAAUCUUCGAGUGGAAGCUUCUGUCUAGACCUUUGAACAGCUUCUCAUCUGCUGCCAUAUGGUGUGAGCAGCCACUAUCUAGUAGCCAAUCAUUGCUGGCCUUGGUUGUGCCAGCAAAACAAGUUGCUGUGAACACUUGCUCCUUCUGAGCUUGGAUGUCCUCAGCAGGUCUAGCUUGUUGUAGAGCAGCCUCCCUUGGUUUGCCCUUGCACACCUUCUCCACAUGGCCAAACUGCUUGCAUUUUCUACACUGAAUAUCUGGCCUAAACCAGCAAUACUUUUCUGAAUGUGUUAUCUUCUUGCAAUGAACACAUGGUGCGAACACCCUUUUUGCAUCAUCUCUUCCUGACUUGACCCUUCUAUUGUGCCAAGGCUUCUUGCCUUUUGCACUCACACUCGAGCCUUCACUGGCUUUAGCCUGGAAAGUAGCUUCAGGAUUCUCCUCCUGCCUAUUUGCCCUCCUUUGCUCAAGUGCAUACAGGGAGUUUAUCAGCUCAGACAAUGAAAUGGCUGAUAAGUCCCUCGAGUCCUCAAGUGAAGAGAUUUUAGACUCAAAUUUCUCAGGGAGAGUUGUAAUAACCUUUUCAACAACUCUGCUCUCUGUGAAGUCCACUCUCAGAAGCCUAAUGCUGUUGACAAUGGCCAUUAUCCUGUCUGAGUACUGCUUGAUGGUCUCAGACUUCUUCAUCCUCAAAUUUUCAAAGUCUCUCCUGAGGUUGAUCACUUGCUGUUGCCUUGUCUUAUCAGUCCCCAUGAACUCCUCCUUCAGCUUCUCCCAAGCCUGCUUUGGUGAGUCACAGGCCAUGAUGCGAGUAAAUAUCACAUCAGAGACUCCAUUUUGUAAGCAGGCCAUAGCCUUAUGCUUCUUGGCUCGCUCCUCAGUAUGUUGCCUCAUCUGUGCAAUGGUGGGAUUGGCUCUCAAUGGAGGUGGUUCAGCAUCAUUCUCGAUCACACUCCAAAGAUCAUGUGCCUGGAGAUAAGUCUUCAUUUUAACUAUCCAAAUGUGAUAGUUUUCUCCAGUGAACACUGGUGGAGGUGGUGGAGUGAAACUCAUUCUGCUAAACUGAUUUUAAGUGCUUCAAUCUUACCAAAUUUUGAACUUGCUGUUGGUUUUGAUUCGAACACAACAGAUUGCAUACAAAGGCCCCUCAAAGACUCGGGCUCAUGAUACCAUUUGUUGGAACAAUGGCAGCAGCAAACAUCAAACAAAGUUACAACACAGUGUUUGCAAGACUGAAGCAAGAAGAAUCGAAGCAAAGAAAGAGCAAAGCAAAGCAAAAAUUUGAUCAAGUUGAAUACUCAGCAAAGUUGUAACUGAAUAUUACAUUUUUCAUUCAAGAUUAGAAUAUAUAAAAGUACUACAAUUUUGGUUCAUUUGACAGAUACCUAAUGACAUAACUACUCCCACUUAAACUAAACUAAUACAAGCUUAAGUCAAAUACAAAAUAAGCUGACAUAUCAGCUCUUACAUCACCAAUCCAAUCACAAACUUAAUCCAACUAACUAUUAAAGCUAGUUACAAUCAAACUGAACUAAGUUACAUCAAAACAAAACAGCAAUAUCAGUUGCUUCAUUUGGUCUGAAAACCAUUCGUGCACACCAAGCAAAAUGAGCUGAGCUCGAUAGCUGCUGGUCUCGAUAGUAGCAUGCUUCUGGCUCCAUGUUGCAUUACAGUCCAUCUUUCAACAAAAUCUUCCAUUGAAAUGGAGAACACCAACUACGAGGAGGAGCUGAAGAAUGAUCGCAGGCUUGUUUGCAGUCUCAUAUACGAGAUUAAUUGCAAAAAAGAACAGUUGUCCCAAAUGGAACGUGAAUAUAACGAGAUGACCGCAACUCUUCGAGGACUCAUCAAUGGCCUCAUAGCAAAAAUUAACUCCAAGGACAGUAAUCUGUGGGGUUGGGUGCUUCAAUAUAAUGUAACCGUGAGCAGUUGAAUGGCAAGAAUGCUGCGUUGCGCCUUGCGUUUGCUCAAGGUACUUUAGAUUAUAUAUGCGUAUGUAGUGAGCAGAAUACUAUGUGCUAAUUGAAUCGUUUGGUACCCUUUGAUUGAUCUUAGGGAAGGGGAUAUAAAUGUCAGGAUUUGAACCCCAAACUUAGCUUUUAUUACGGGAACUGGAUCAAUUUAGGCUCGGAUAAGCUUAAUGUGUUCAGAACCAGAUAAGAACAUAAUAUAUGGGAACACUUUGGCCAUACGAGGCUAAUGCUUAUAUGAUUCGCAUUAAAGACUACAUGCUCCUAGUGAUAACUCUUCUGUAAGUACUAUUAGUUGAAUAGCUUUAUGAUGUAUUAAUCUAUAAAAUCUGGGUGUCAUAUUAUGAGUUCCAUUGCUAUGUUAAUCUAUGUACUAACAAUAUUAUGAAGUAAGGCAAUUUUGUGUACAUUAUAUAUAUAUAUAUGAAGUUAAGAACGUAAGUGCUGUUAAAUGGUACAUUACUCAGAUUGGUAAUAUAUUGGUGCCGAAUGUUCUAAAAUUUAACCAGCAUUACUGGUAAUAUAUUAGUGCCAAAUUUGACUAAUUAUUGUUGAUAUAUCUUCAAAAUUUUCAGAUUUGAUAAAGAUAAAAUGGCAAUAAUGAAUAAAAAUACUGACUUUUUAAGAUCGUAUUUAAUGAAGGGAAGUUGAAUGUAGAAACUAAAACGACCUAAGGGAAAUAAAAGCAAAAUAUGGAGAAGUUUUCUCGGGAAAACAAGUGUUAUCCUUCAUUUAUCUUGAUGAUUCUCUAACGCCGCCAAUUUCCCCCCUAAGUUUACAGCAAGAAGAAGAAAAAAAAGAAGACAAACGGCAACGUUAAGCCAUUUUGUUACCUAUUUAUUUUAUGUUUUUGUAAAUUAAACAUUUUUUGUAUACAUUUUGUUACCUAUUUAUUUUAUGUUUUUGAAGUUUCCAUUGCCAUUUCUACCUUUCCAAAAUGGUGUCUUUUUACUUGUUUUUUACUGGGUUAUUUCUUUGAUUUUAGGGUUCUAUAUGUAUUUUUUUUAUGAAUUUGAACUUGAGUUAGCCAUAAAAAUUCCACCUUUAAUCUCAAUAUAUGAACUUGGCUUUGCUUCUUAUGGUUAUUAUUUGUUUAAUUUUUUAAGAUAACUUCUUGAGAUCUGAUUAUUUAAUCCAUUUAUGUGAUUGAUAAUGAUAUUUUCAGGCACUUAAUCUUCCAUUAAAAUGGAGAAAGCCAACUACGAGCUGGAGCUGAAGAACGAGCGAAGGCGUGUUUGCAGUCUCUUAUACGAGAUUGAUUGUAGAAAACAACAGUCGUUCGAAAUGGAACGUAAAUAUUGUUGGAUUGCUGGCACCCCUACGGCGCAGCGGAAAAAAAUAAAAUCGGCGACCCUAACCAUGGAUCCAUGUGUGAGGAACGAAUCGGGGUGAUCAAGGUUACGAAAUUACCUAAUGUUUAUUCAGAGUAGACAGCAACACCUCUACAACGAAUAGUCUGAUCUGCUGUCGAACCAAGCCGCAAUCAAUCGUGAUCCCGGCCUCUACGUAAUCCACCCAGUUGACUACGAACGAAAGGAAUCCCCAAAAUAGUUUUGAGAGUUAUUUUUCUUUGACGGUUGCUAGACCAAAAAUAAAGAAAAACGGGAUUCUUAUAUCCUAUUAUUAUAGGGUUUUUAGGAAUUAAAUAAAUAUAAUAAUAUUUUAAAUCGAAAAUUAUAAUUACAAUAAUUAUAAUAUAAUUUCGGUAAACCAUAUAUUUAUUUGAAUUCAUAUGCUAACCAAAUUCAUGUCCUCAUUAUGCGUACAACAAACUUGUACAUAAUGUGUUGGAAAUUUGAUUACCGAGCGAAACCCAAAAAUAAUACCAACUAUGGUUUAUUCCGUUCAUUUCAACUAUAGGGUGUGACCCUGUAGGUUCUUGUAACGUUAGCAGUAAUACUAGAACGAUUCCAAUGUUACAAACAAUGAGUGACAUCUAGCAAUGCAUCAUUGCUACCUAAGUCACAAGAGAUCAUGAUUCGACACAACCUUUUAUGAUUAACCUUUUAUGCAAUAAUCCUUAAGUCCUUUAUCUCUGGAUUGGACACAAGUCAUGGAAUAGUCACACUUGUAUAGUCCAUUCCAUGUUCCUUGAUAUUUUAAGUAGACUACGAUAUACAAAUAAGUAUGACAUCUCAUAUCAACUUAUUUGAGCAUGCAUGGCCAUGCAUUUCUAGUCUCACUUAAUCAAGUGGCCUAAGCUAUUACUCCUAUUAUGUAGGAGGGACUUAUUCUAUAUCGACCAACCAUAUCCCUCUACAUCGAUUGUGGUAUAUCCAACACCAGCCUUUAUAGAACAACCAGUUACGGUGUACGUUUGACUGUAUCAAAAUAUACUACUCACGAUGUUGGGAUUAUGAUGAUCUCAAGUCUGAGGAUCAUAUACAUAUUAAUCACUAUGAGUAAUGUCGUGACAAUUACAUAAUAAUCCAAGAAACAUACUCAUAAUGGGUCAGUCCAAUAUGUUGUUCUCUAACACACAUAUUCAUGCGUCGAUUCUGAUAUUCCAUAUCAAUGAUAACUCUUUAUCAUCACUCAACUACAUGUUAGUUUUAAUGCAUUAUCGUUGUCCUAUCCAACAAUAAUACUUGACUAAGGAUCUUUUAAGAAUAAUCAUAUUAUUCUUAGGACAUUAUUAGAAAACAGUUUAUUUAUACACACAGAAAAGAAACUGAAAUAAUAAUGGUAAUGCCUUAUAUUAAUAAACAUGAUAAAUCAAGUAUGUUAUUACAACCAUCUCAUGAUUGAUCUUUGGGCAUACUCUAACAAAUAUAACAAGACGACAGCGACUCUUCAAGGACUCGUUGAUGGCCUCAUAGCGAAAAUUAACUCCAAGGACAGUUGUUUGUGGGAUUGGGAGCUUCGAUAUAACGAAACCGUGAGACAGUUGAAGAGCGAGAACGCGGUGUUGCGCUGUGUGUUUGCCGAAGGUACUUUAGAUUAUAUAUGCAUACAGUAGUGAGCAUAAUACUAUGUAUUAAUCGAAUCAGGUGGUACAAUGAACGACUUCUUGUCUUUUGAUGUUACACGAUUUGCAUCUAGAGCUUUGAUUGAUCUUAGGGUCGUUCUUUCGGUACGAAAGAAGUCACGGAUUAAGGAUUGGGAAGGGGAUACAAUUUUCGGGAUUCGAAUCCCAAACUUAGCUUUUAUUACUGGAACUAGAUAAAUUUAGGCUUGGAUAAGCUUUAAUGUGUUCGGCACCUUUCCAACUUGUUUUCUUUUAUGCAGAAAAUCGAAAGGAAAAGGCUGAAAACUUUAAGCUGAGGUGUGAACUUAGACGGCGAACCAAGGAACUCGAAGAUUAUAAAUCUCGGGAUGAUAACAAUAUGGAACGAAGAAGCUUGUUGAAUGAAAUUGAAGCGGUUAGCAUACUCAGUCUUAAUUUUCGUUUUUGAUAUAUGAACUAUCUUUUAUCGAGAUUCGCUGGGAAAACCUGCAGUUAAAUUGUUGAUGGUUAUGAUCUACCGAGUGGACAUUUAACAAUGGGAUUGUAUCUGAUACAGCCGAAGGAGAAUGUGCCUUGUCGAGAUCUUGUUGAACUCGAGAAAACUACAAGCGAUUAGAUUGCUGCUCUAAAGGAACAAUUGGAGGAAACAUUAGAGGCACUGAAAGAUAUGGAAAGCCGAUACAGUUGUACGGUGAAACAAAUCUUAACUAAUCAAGAACUUUAAGAUGCUUGAAAAGAAUCGAUAAUUGUAUUUCCUCGUUUUCCUUUGUUUUCUUGGAUGUUUUAUUUCUUUAGGUGCAAGAAACACCUCUUCGAAAUCAGGUAUGAAAGUGUUAAACCGAAGACUUCUCUAGUUCUUGAUAUGAAGGGUCUAAAUGAUGUAUUGACAAGCCAAACAACUCUUGUAGUAAAAAGAAUGGGAGAGAUCGAUCAAAAAGCUUUUGAAGUUGCUAGCUCUGGGAAGUUCCCGAACGAAGAUUGGCAAGAAACAUGUGCUAAAUUAUGUUCAUUAUGGCAACAAAACGUGCAGGAUCCGAAAUGGCACCCGUUUAAAAUGAUCAAUAUCCGAGGCAACUUGCAGGUAUAGUGCAUACACCAACUAUUCUGUUAUCCGGUUAUCGAAAAUCCGUUUUUUUACUAAACGUGCUAAACAUGUAUGUCAGAAUUGAGCCAGUUUAUUACUCAAACUUACAUAUAUUAAAGGGAUGGCUACUCGGUAGUGUAGGAAAUAGUAGACGAAGACGACGAGAAGCUGAAGGAGUUGAGAAAUGAAUACGGUGAUGUCAUGUACGAGGCUGUUAGCACCGCAUUGAUGGAAAUGAACGAAUAUAAUGUGAGCGGAAGGUAUGCAGUCAUUUAAGCUAGUUGAGUGACCUGCAAUCUAGUUUAUCAUUUUUUAAAUAUUUAUAGUCUAUGAAUUUUGACUUUUCUUCCAAUAAUAUAUCUCCAAAAUUCUAACUUAACCUUUUUAAACUUUCUCAUGUCAUUAUUGUUAGAGUUAAUUGCACCAAAUAUCUCCAAACUAUAGCCCUUAUUCUAAAAUAGUCCUCAAACUCAAAAUAUUGUAAGUUACAUUUCCAAAUUAUCAAUAAUAUUCUUCUGAUGCUAAAAUCAUUAAAUGAGACGUCAAAUCUUAUGAGACAUAAUUUAAAAUAAAAAACUUAAAAGAAAAAUGAAUAUUAUAAAAAUAUUGAUUUCAAGGUUGAAGUUAUUACAAAAACUAUCAUUCAUUUUCUCUUUUACUUUAUUUUUAAUUUUUAUUUUUAAAAGUUGUAUCAACUACAUUUUACUUUUCUUUAAAAAUAUCAUUUUAAAUUAUUAGUGUCAAUAAUAAAAGGAUGAGAUAAAUAGUUUAAAAUAUUUUAAAGUUGGGAGAAUAAUUUAAAAUAAAGAUGCAAUAUUGUUAAUCUAGUACUAUUUCAUAAUAUCAUUUUAUCGUUUCAACUUUUGAAGACAACAUUUUUAUUUUUGAAAUAUUUUAAAGACAACAUUUAAAGAUUGAUUAUAAUAAUAUUGUUGCAUGGAAAAAGAAUUUCCACGUCAGCGAAAAGGCUUACGUCUGACGUGUGCUUAAUGUUAUUCGAAAAGUCAAAGGUCGAGAAAGUUUAGGGCGGGUCACACAUAUCACACGCCAUGCACAGGUUUUCUUAUUUCGAGGCUAAAAUACCAAAAUACCAUCACAUUUCUCGUUAAACUUACCACUUAAUCAACGAUCCUCUAAAACGAUGUAAGGACAUAUUAGAAAUUUUAAUCACAAUAAUAUCACCAAAUCUGAAAAGUUACAAAUGAGGCAAAAAAAAAUACGAGUAAUAUUUGGCCAUAAAAUGUAUAUAUUCAUUCCCUCUAAACCAGUCGGUUAAGCCUCACAAUCCAACGUAACUGUAAAUCUUUCUUGGCAGCCAUGAAAUCAGUUCUAAAAUCCCUUGCAAACUCAAUCUUCCUUGUUCUUUUCAUCAUCUUUUCAUCUUCUACUCCACUUGUAUUGGCUCAAUGUGAAGCAGAGACCAAGACUAAUGGAUGCCAUAACUACAGAGAAUCCAUGAAGCUAAAAAUCAUUGCCAUUGUCGCAAUUUUACUAUCCAGCAUGAUUGGCUUGUGUGUACCAUUGUUUUCUGGUCAGGUUCCGUUACUUAAACCCGACAGGGACUUGUUCACCAUUGUCAAGGCAUUUUCCUCCGGUGUUAUUCUAGCGACUGGGUACAUGCACGUGCUACCGAAUUCUUUCAACGACCUUAUGUCCGGGUGUUUGCCUAAAAACCCAUGGAGGAAGUUCCCUUUCACAACCUUCAUCGCAAUACUGUCGGCUGUGUGGACCCUUAUGGUGGAUUCAUUUGCAAUGAGUGUAUACAAGAAACGUUGCGGUAAAGCUUUAAUGGCGGAUGCUAACAAUGGUGGUGGAUUGGAAAAUACGAACGUUGUACCAAUCGAUAAUUUUGAACACGGCCAUAGCCAUUCACUUGAGAUGAAUGACGACGUAUCAUCACAAUUGUUAAGGCAUCGAGUUAUAGCUCAGGAAUAUAUACAUGUUUGAAUCCUCAAAUUCGAUGAUUUUGCUUUUCAAGUCUUUACAUUAUAUAUUUCCUAAAUGUAGGUAUUAGAGUUGGGAAUUGUAGUUCAUUCAGUGGUGAUUGGUCUUGCAAUGGGAGCCUCUGGCAACCAAUGCACCAUUCGAUCACUCAUUGCUGCCCUUUGCUUCCAUCAAAUGUUUGAGGGGAUGGGACUUGGUGGAUGCAUACUGCAGGUAACCCCCAACAUUGCACUAUUUUCUCAUUCAAACAUCCAUUUAGUGUACACUAUUGAUUAACAUUAUGUUUGAUAUGUGCAGGCUGAAUAUGAUAUAAAAAUGAAAGCAAUCAUGGUAUUCUUCUUUUCAGCCACAACACCACUUGGAAUAGUUCUGGGAAUUGGUUUGUCCAAGGUUUACAGUGAGACGAGUCCAACUUCACUUACGGUGGUGGGACUACUUAAUGCUUGCUUAGCAGGGUUGCUGAAUUACAUGGCACUGGUUGAUCUCCUUGCAGCUGAUUUUCUGGGCCCUAAGCUUCAAACAAAUAUGAAGCUCCAGGCUUGGUCAUAUGUUGCAGUUUUACUUGGUGCUGGAUUUAUGUCUUUGAUGGCAAAAUGGGCUUAGUCAUUUCAACAUAUACAUGUCUUUUUGUAGUUUUUUAAUCUUUUUUUUUUUUUGCUUCAACAGAUGAGUUUAUAGUGAAUCAACAGUUAUUCAAUCAAUUAUAAAAUUUAGGCAAAGAAUUUAGGCAACAAGGCUUGAACAUUGACCUUUAAGAUCGUUUACUCCAUAUUGCAGGGCUCAUCACAAAGUAUAUAACUAUAUAUAUCAGAGAAGUAUGCAAACUUCAAUUUUGUGUCAGUAUCAUUAUAAUUUAAACUGUUUAAUGUUAAAUCAGAUGUAGAUGUCUUUAAGCCAAUGCUUAUAGCCACAAAGUCUCUUUGGUGCAAGCUAUAAGGACAGAGUUAUGCUAUAAAUAAACAAAUAAAUGUUGUAUAAAACCCUUCUCCUCAAAAACAAAACGAUAGCGACAGCCUGCUUUCGGUAGAUGGAAGAUUUUCUAUUUCCUCCAUUUACCAUCUCUGGUUUGCUUAUCUGCCUUGUUGCCCUAUGUUGGUUGGGCCAAACAAAUAGCUUGAAAUCUUUAAGUAGCACUUUCAUCCCUCCAGUUAUAUAUGCAAUUUUAUAUGUUGAACCAUCAUACCAUGCCAAUUCACUGCACAUUAAUUGACUAGUACCUAACAGGAUUAAUUUACAGCUUACUAGAAUCAUCCACAAGACUUUGAGGGAUUAAUUGGGGGUCAAAAGACAGUUUUAAAUAUCAAAAAGGCUUCUACUGUUUCUGUUUUUUUCCAGAAGUUUCAAAUGGAUCAAUAGUUAAAGUUGAUCAUAUAGGAUGAGCAAGUGACUGUGUUACGUUCUCACAAUAUAAGAAAUAAAAAUACCAAUAGAACAGUAAUUUUGGGAAGAAAAUGGACUGGUAUUUGAUGGAAUUAUAACGAAUUACAAGGAAAAUUUGCAGAAAAGAGAUGAGAGAAGAAAGUUACAGACUUAGGGGAUGAGAAAAGAACAGAAACAUAUUGCUGCAAUGAUGAUAUUUUUCUGGUAUUUUUCCUCCUUAAAACCAGGAUAGCUGCAUAGAGGAGUGUGAACCGUUAUUCCCUUCCACGUGCAACUAGCUGAGGUGUCACUUGACAAAAUCCUUCAGCCAUUUGGAAGCCAUUCUGGGCCGAGUGCUCCCUCUAGUAGCCUGUGUAGUGGCUAUUCCAGUAGCCUUCUGCGGCCUUGGUGGGUCGUUCACAACAUUACCCCCCACAUCGAGACACACCUUGUCCUCAAGGUUGAGAUCAGGAAAUAACUUCAACAUGUGAGCCUUAUCUUCCCAAGUUGCUUCAUCAAUAGAUGAACCGUCCCAUUGUACCAGCCAUUGCUCAAUCAAUGAAUUAGCCCGCUGAAUAGACCUCAUCUCCAGUAUAGCAGUUGGUUGCAAUAUAAGGGCAGACGUAGAAUCAGCGAGGUAGAGAGGUGUUACCUGUUGAUCUGGUUGUCCGAGGCAUUUCUUGAGCAAGGAAACAUGAAAUACAGGAUGGAUAUGCGCGAAUUCCAGCAGCUCCAAUCUGUAAGCAACCUCGCCAACACGGCCAAUUACCUUAUGAGGACCAAAAUAACGUCUACUCAGCUUGUGGUGGCGUUGCAAACGAAUAGAAUGUUGGCGAAACGGUUGGAGCUUGACAUAGACCCAAUCUCCCUCGACAAAAGUCACCUCACGACGGCUCCUAUCAGCUAGUAACUUCAUCUGAUUCUGUGCUCGCUGUAAAUUCUCCUUUAGCACCCGAAGAACUUGAUCACGUUCCACGAGCUGAGCUUCCACCAAAGCAUUACCAGAAGUAUCUCGCACAUAACGAGCAACAGUAGGAGGAGGACGACCAUAUAGAACCUCAAAGGGUGUCAUUUUGGCAGCCGUUUGAUAAGCCGUAUUAUACCAAAAUUCAGCCCAUGGCAACAUGUUUGUCCAAGUCGAGGGAUGAUUCGAAGUAUAGCAUCGAAGAUACAUUUCAACGCAUUUAUUCAAUGCCUCAGUUUGGCCGUCGGAUUGUGGAUGGUAGGUAGUACUCAUACUCAGAGUUGUACCCUGCAAAUGAUGGAUUUCCUUCCAAAAGUCACUGAGAAAUCGAGGAUCGCGGUCUGAAACAAUCUCUACUGGUACGCCAUGGAAACGAAUAAUCUCCUGAACGAAAACAGCAGCCACUAAAAUGCUAGUAAAAUUAGUGGGCAAUCCGAUGAAAUGGCCGUAUUUGGAUAAUCUAUCAAUGACAACGAAGAUAACGGUUUUGCCUUUGGAAGAAGGUAAUGCCGUGAUAAAAUCCAUAGAGAUGCUCUCAAAAACCAAAUUGGGAAUCGGUAAUGGCUACAGCAAACCACUAGGACUUAAGGAUGAGGCUUUCAUUUGCUGACAAAUUUGGCACUCUUUGACAUAUUGCUUAACAUCCCGACGCAUAGAAGUCCAAAAGAAAUUUGAUGAAAGACGAUGAAAGGUGCGUGUAAUACCAGAAUGGCCACCGAUAGGAGAUGCGUGAAACUCAUGAAUAAGCUGUAAACGGAUAGGAGAAUCAGCUAGAAUCAUUAGGCGACCCCGAAAUAGUAACAGCCCCUCAUGGAAACUAAAGUCGGGAAAUUGUGCUGGGUCAGCGCACACUCGUUGCUGCAUACUCAAAAGUUAAGGGUGUUGUAAGUUGGCUGCACGAAGAUCAGCAAUAAGAUCAAAUUGCACAGUAGAUAAAGCAAGCAAUUAAGAGGAAGGGAUGCGAGAAAGAGAGUCAGCAGCAGCAUUCAACUUCCCAGGGCGAUAGAUAAUGUCAAAGUCAUAACCAAUAAGCUUGCUCAACCAUUUCUGUUGCUCGGGGGUUUGUAUAACUUGUUGCAUGAGAUUCUUAAGUGGCUGUUGAUCAGUGAUAAUUGUAAAUCUCCUCCCCAACAAAUAUUGCCGCCAUUUCGAAACAGCUUGGGUGACCGCAUACAUUUCACGUUGGUACGUUGAGGAUUGUUGCAUGCGAAGACUCAGUUGCUGGCUGAAAAAUGCUAUUGGAUGCUUAUCUUGGGACAAAACGGCUCCGACCCCGGUACCGGAAGCAUCUGUUUCAACUGUAAAUGAUUUCGUGAAGUCCGGCAAAGCUAAGACAGUGGCUGAACUCAAAACUUCUUUCAACUUGAUAAAAACAUUGGUAGCAGAUUCAGUCCAAAGAAAGUUAUCUUUGCGAAGAAGAUUAGUAAGGGGUCCUGCAAUAGAGGCAAAAUGUUGAACAAAGCGUUGAUAGUAUCCCGCGAUACCAAGAAAUCCGCGAAUCUCCUUAAUUGAACGUGGCAAUGACCAUUUUUGAAUUGCAACAAUUUUAUCAGGAUCGACGGAUACACCUUGGCUAGAGAUGAUAUGCCCCAAAUAUCCAAUAGAAGUUUGGCCAAAAAUACAUUUGGAUUGCUUUGCCACUAAUUGAUGGUGUCGUAAAACCGAGAGCACAAGAAGAAUGUGCUCCAAGUGAGUCUCCCAAGAAGGGCUGUAAAUUAAGAUAUCGUCGAAGAAAACGAGUACAAAAUCCCGCAAGUAAGGUUGAAAAAUGUUGUUCAUGAGACUUUGAAAGGAGGAUGGCGCAUUGGACAAGCCAAAUGGCAUUACGAGGAAUUCGUAAUGCCCCUCAUGAGUUCGAAAGGCAGUUUUGUACUCAUCGCCAAUACGAAUUCGCAGUUGAUGAUAGCCGGCCAACAAAUCCAAUUUAGAAAAAUACACCGCACCAUGUAACUCAUCAAAAAGUUCAUCAAUGGAUGGAAUAGGAAAUCGAUCCUUAAUGGUAAUGGCAUUUAGGGUGCGAUAGUCAACACAAAAUCGCCACGUACCAUCCUUCUUGCUCAUAAGUAGUACUGGAGAAGAGAAAGGGCUAGUGCUUGGUCGAAUAAUUCCAUCCCGAAGCAUUUCAGCAACUAGUUUUUCAAUCUCAUACUUCUGAAAAUAUGGAUAACGGUAAGGUUUAACAUUGAUUGGCUCAUGGUCAGGCAACAAAUGUAUCGCAUGAUCACAAGCGCGAAUAGGAGGGAGACCUUGCGGUUUGAGGAACACAUCAGAAAAUGAAGCAAGUAGCUGUUCUAAUUCCAAGGGGAGGGGCGUGGAAUUAACAGGAUGAGAGGAAACCAAUUCCAAAUGAAAAUAUUCUGCAAUAGCAUUGAUUUGUUGAAGGCGGCGUAACCAAUUAAAUUGUACCGAUUGAACCGAGGAUGAGGCUUCUCCUGUCCAUCGAAUAGACUGACCGUGAUGCUUGAACUCAAAAACAGAUGACCCAUAAUCCAUCAUAACUGGUCCGAGGGUGGAUAACCAAGUAACACCAAGGACCAUGUCCCAUCCCUUUAAUGGUAAGACAUAAAAAUCAAUGCAUAUUUCACAGCCUUGAAUUACCAAUGGUACUUGUUUGACAAUGCCAGUGCCAAUUAAACGCUCUCUACUGCCGACCAAUACAGAGAAACUAGGAGAGGCAGUUAUUGGAAGAUUCAAAUACUUGGCCACACGGGUUUGCACAAAGUAAUGUGUGCUCCCACCAUCGAGUAACACCCGGACUUGUUUGCCAUAAACUGUACCCUCAAAUUGAAGAGUAGAAGAAGAGCAACCUUCAGCAAGGGCAUUAUAAGAAAUCGAAGAAUGGAGCUGUAACGUGGUGUCAGGUGUGGUGGAAUCAGGAACAGCAGGUGAAGAUGGCGAUAAAAAUUCAGGCGCGAGAGCAUCAGGUGGCUCGGACUCUUCUUUCAAGAGUAACAGGUGGGAUUUUGCUUUGCAUUUGUGACCCCACUCAUACUUCUCAUUACAAUGAUAACAGAGGCCUUGUGAACGGCGGUGAGCAGCCUCAGUAGGAGUAAGGCGGCGAAACGAAACACGGUUACCUCCGGGCAAGGUUGCGCUUGCUGUUGGGAUGGAAGGAGAAAAUACUGAAGUACCAGGAGAUUGUUUGGGAGUUGGUAACAAUGGUUUAGAACCACUCAGGCUGGGCUUAAGUACCCCACGUUCCAGCUGAAUGCGUUGUUCAUGGAGCUGGGCUAGAUGCAUGGCUUCGGACAAGGUGGCUGGUUUGUGAACCAAAACGGAGUGUUUAAUGUCAGCGUAGAGCCCUGAAAUAAAGCAAUGAGUCAAGAACUGAGUCAGAAGAUGCACCGUGUGAUUUGUAAUGGCUUCAAACUCAGAGCGAUAAUGAGCCACGGUAGAGUUCUGCUGCAACUUUGCCAAAAUUCCCUCGGGUUCCUCCAGGUCAUGAGAACGAAAUCGCUGCAAUACAGCAGCUGUGAACGCUGGCCAGCCCGUAAGUUGCCUGUUUCUAUGCAUCCAGUCAUACCAAUCUGAAGCGGCACCAUCAAAAUAAAACGAAGAAAUAGUUACCCGAUCGUCUAGUUUGAUUUGAUAAAAAUCAAAGUAACGCUCUGCCUGCAUUACCCAACGUUUAGGAUGAUCGCUGGCAAAUCGAGCCAUCUGUACCGGAGCGGGUUUAUGACGGCCCAAAGGAGUGAAACUGAUGAAGUUGGUUCAGCAUGCAGCAAACUCGACAGCAUGCAGGCCAUGAAGACCAAGUCAUGCAGGAGCUGCUGAUGCAAGCUUAUUUUGUUUAUUUUGUAAUUCCUAGUCAAUGAAAUGUAAUCUUAGUUCAUUUCUAACUAAGUUAGAUUGUUGACUGAUGUAAUUAGCUUAUGUAUAAGCUGUAAACACAACUUUGUGUAAGUUUACAAGCCAAAAUUUCAAGUUUCCAUGUCAUUAAUGGAGGUAGGUGAUGUUUAGGUAAUUACUUACUGUUUUUGACAAGCUUAGUGCCUGUUUUAUGUAUUGGCAUUGUGCCAUUAUGCAUUUUAUGAAUGAAGUUUAGUUUGUUCAUCAAUUUCUCUAUUCAUUUUUCUUAGCUUUUCUUCCUUUCUCUUGCUCGAAUUCUCUUGUUUGCUCAGCAAGUCUCGAGACUUGCUUAACAAGUCUGCACUGAAUCUGUUAGUUUUAGUUACAGCACCAACAAUUAGUAUCUAGAGCCUAUUUCUUAAGGGAUCUGUUACACAAAUCCAUGGCUUCAUCAAGCUUUUCACCAGUUGCACCUCAAGUCUUCAAUGGAGAAGGCUAUCACAUAUGAGUGGUCAAAAUGAAGACCUACCUGCAGGCUUUCGAUCUGUGGGAGGUGGUCAACUCUGAUGUUGAACCAGAGCCACUUAGAGCUAAUCCAACAGUGGCUCAGAUCAGGCAGCAUGCUGAUGAAAGGACCAAGAGGCACAAGGCUAUGUCUUGCAUCCAAAACUCAGUGUCUGAUGUGAUUUUCACAAGGAUUAUGGCCUGUGAAUCACCAAAACAGGCCUGGGACAAGUUGCAGGAAGAGUUUCAAGGGACAGAGAGGACAAGGCAGCAACAGUUGUUAAACUUGAGGAGAGAUUUUGAGAAUUUGAAGAUAAAGGAAGAAGAAACUGUCAAGCAAUAUUCUGACAGGAUUAUGGUUGUGGUUAACAGCAUCAGGCUCCUUGGAGAGCAGUUCAAUGAAGCUAGGAUAGUGGAGAAGGUUAUAGCAACUCUGCCUGAGAGGUAUGAGGAAAAAAUCUCAUCUCUCGAGGACUCAAGGGACCUGUCCACCAUCUUCCUGACAGAGUUGAUCAAUGCUCUAUAUGCUCAAGAGCAUAUGAGAGCAAGCAGACUGGAGGAGCACCAAGAAUGUGCCUUUCAGGCAAGAACAAAUACUGCCUACAAAGGCAAGAAGGCCUGGAGAGACAAGCCAAAGAAUGAUGCUGCAAGGAAAGAAGGUCAGACUUGCAAGCACUGCAGAAAGGCUGGUCAUUCAGAAGAAAAAUGCUGGUUCAAUCCAGAUGCUGUGUGUCAGCAUUGUAAGAAGAAAGGUCAUGUUGAGAGAGUCUGUAAGAGCAAGGCCAAAUCAAUGCACAAUCAGUUUCAACAGAUGAAAGCUGAGGCUCGAGUAGCUAAGGAGGACAGUGACCAAGAGGAGCAAGUUUUUGCUGUGUCAUGCUCAGCUGCUCAGGAAAGGUCCUCAUCUGGUUGGCUCCUAGACAGUGGAUGCACCAACCACAUGACACCGGAUGCUGCAAUCUUCAAGUCUUUAGACAGAAGCUGCAGAACUAAAGUCAAGAUAGGAAAUAGUCAUUUUAUUCAAGCUGAAGGCAAGGGUGAUGUGCUGAUAUGCACCCUUACAGGUACCAAAGUGAUUUCAAAUGUGCUGUUGGUGCCUGAAAUUGACAGAAACCUGCUCAGCAUAGCUCAGUUGCUGGAAAAAGGUUAUUCAGUUGUGUUUAAAGACCACCAGUGCCAAAUCAGUGAUCCAAGUGGAUCCAAACUGAUGGCAGUCCCUAUGGCUGAUAAGAGCUUUGUGGUUGACUGGACAAAGAAGUCAGACAUUGCCUACACAACCACUUCAGAUGAAUCCAAGCUGUGGCAUCAAAGACUGGGACAUGCCAACUUCAUAUCGAUGGCCCGAAUGAUCAGAGAAGACCUGGCUGAAAACUUCAUCAACUCAGUGGACCAUGAUGAUGUAUGUGAAGUAUGUCAGCUAGGAAAGCAGGCCAGACUCCCAUUUCCCUCGAAUCAAGCCUGGAGAGCCUCUGAAAAACUCUAACUGGUGCAUACUGAUGUGUGUGGCCCUAUGAAGACUGAGUCAUUAAGUGGAAACAGAUAUUUCAUACUGUUCAUUGAUGAUUUCUCGAGAUAUUGCUGGAUUUACUUCUUAAAACAGAAAUCAGAGGUGGCCACUGUGUUUUGGAAGUUCAAAACUUCUGCUGAGACUGAAACAGGCUGCAAGGUGAAGACCAUAAGGUCUGAUAAUGGGACUAAGUACACCUCAGCUCAGUUCCAAGCCUUCUGUGAUAAGGCAGGCAUCAAACAUCAACUUACCAACACAUAUACACCUCAGCAGAAUAGGGUAAGUGAAAGGAAGAAUAGGAGUUUGAUGGAUAUGGCCAGGUGCUUGAUGAUUCAGAAGAAUCUGCCUAAAGCACUAUGGGCAGAAGCAGUUAACACUGCAACAUACAUUCAAAAUAGACUUCCAACCAAGGCUUUGGAUCAAAAGACCCCAUUCGAGGCCUGGUUUAGCUUCAAGCCAUCACUGGCUCAUCUGAAGGUCUUUGGAUGCAUCUGUUAUGCACAUGUACCUGCUGUUAAAAGGGACAAAUUGUCUGAAAGGGCUCGACCUGGUGUUUUGGUGGGCUAUAGCACUGUUAAGAAGGGCUAUAAGAUUUUAGAUCCUUCAACAAACAAAGUGUCAAUAAGCAGAGAUGUGGUAUUUGAUGAGAGGUCAUGUUGGAACUGAGAAAGACAUGAACCUGAAGAAGUUUCUGAAGAACUUGCAACAGACCAAGCUGAGCCAGACCAAAAUGUCCCUGAAAUGGAUAUUGAUGAUGAACCAGUCAGAGGAACAAGGCCAUUGGCUGAAAUUUAUGAAAGGGCUCAUGUAGCCAUAGCUGAACCAAGCAACUUUGAAGAGGCUGAGGCUCAGUAAGGGUGGAAGCAGGCAAUGGCUGAGGAGAUCAGCAUGAUUGAGAAGAACCAGACCUGGGAAUUGGUUGAAAGGCCAGUCAAAAGAAAGGUGAUUGGGGUGAAAUGGGUGUACAAAGCCAAGCAGAAUGCUGAUGGUACCUUGAACAAGCUGAAAGCAAGGCUAGUUGUCAAGGGGUUCAGUCAGAGGUAUGGCUUGGACUACCUGGAGACCUUUGCACCAGUGGCCAGGCUCGACACCAUCAGACUGCUGAUUGCCUUAGCAGCACAUCUUGAAUGGAAGAUCCAUCAACUUGAUGUGAAAUCAGCCUUUCUGAAUGGUUUCUUAGAUGAAGACAUCUAUGUUGAACAACCAAAAGGGUUUGAAAUAGCUGGCAGAGAGCAUAUGGUCUACAAACUGAAGAAGGCCCUAUAUGGAUUAAAACAGGCUCCAAGGGCUUGGUAUAGCAGAAUCGAUGGCUACUUGACUGAUCUGGGAUUCGAUCGAAGCAAGAGUGAGCCAACACUGUAUGUCAAGAAACAAGGGACACAAAUACAACUUAUUGUGUCCCUGUAUGUUGAUGAUCUUCUGGUGACAGGAGGAGAUCGAGUAGUGCUGGCUGAUUUCAAGACCAAGAUGCAGGAAGUGUUUGAUAUGUCUGAUCUUGGGGAGAUGUCAUACUUUCUUGGAAUGGAAGUGUCUCAAGUACAGAAUGAGAUAUUUCUAAGCCAGAGAAGCUUUGCCACAAAGAUUCUGACCAAGUUCUCCAUGCAAAACAGCAAGGCAACUAAAACACCUGUUGCUGUUGGAGAAAAACUAUCGAGCCAAGGUGAUUUUAAGAAAGUUUGUGAAACAACCUACAGGAGUCUAGUUGGUUGCUUGCUAUACUUGACUGCCACUAGACCAGACAUCAUGUAUGCUGUAGGAUUACUCUCAAGGUUCUUGCAUUGCUGCAAUGAGAAGCAUUUCCAAGCUGCAAAGGGAGUGCUGAGAUAUGUCAAAGGCACUUUAAACUAUGGUUUGAAGUACAGCAAAGAAGGAAAUCUGAAGCUGGUUGGCUACACUGAUAGUGACUGGGCUGGCUCGAUAGAUGACAUGAAAAGCACCUCAGGGUAUGCUUUUAACCUUGGUUCAGCCAUGUUUUGCUGGAGCUCAAAGAAGCAAAGCCUAGUAGCUCAAUCUACUGCUGAAGCAGAGUAUGUGGCAACAGCAAGUGCUGUCAACCAAGCCAUAUGGCUAAGGAAAAUAUUGGCUGACUUGAAUGUGCAUCAAGAGGAAGCUACUGAGAUCUUCUGUGACAACCAAUCUGCAGUAGCAAUUGCUAAAAAUCCAGUGUUCCAUGGAAGAACAAAACAUUUCAGCAUCAAGUUGCAUGUUGUUCGAGAAAUGGAGCAAGCUCAGGAAGUAAAGCUGAUCCACUGUAAUUCAGAGGAUCAACUUGCAGACAUUUUAACCAAAGCCCUUAGUGUCACAAGGUUCGAAUGUCUAAGAAAGAAGCUAGGUGUUUGCUCCAUGCAAACCAAGGAGGAGUAAUGAAGUUGGUUCAGCAUGCAGCAAACUCGACAGCAUGCAGGCCAUGAAGACCAAGUCAUGCAGGAGCUGCUGAUGCAAGCUUAUUUUGUUUAUUUUGUAAUUCCUAGUCAAUGAAAUGUAAUCUUAGUUCAUUUCUAACUAAGUUAGAUUGUUGACUGAUGUAAUUAGCUUAUGUAUGAGUUGUAAACACAACUUUGUGUAAGUUUACAAGCCAAAAUUUCAAGUUUCCAUGUCAUUAGUGGAGGUAGGUGAUGUUUAGGUAAUUGCUUACUGUUUUUGACAAGCUUAGUGCCUGUUUUAUGUAUUGGCAUUGUGCCAUUAUGCAUUUUAUGAAUGAAGUUUAGUUUGUUCAUCAAUUUCUCUAUUCAUUUUUCUUAGCUUUUCUUCCUUUCUCUUGCUCGAAUUCUCUUGUUUGCUCAGCAAGUCUCGAGACUUGCUUAACAAGUCUGCACUGAAUCUGUUAGUUUCAGUUACAGCACCAACAGAAACCAACAAAAUCCGUCGAAGGAGAAGCUCCUGGAGAAUCCACAAUGGAUGUCCCCUUGAGUUUAGCCAAAACCUCCUGAAGAAGACGCCUCUGAUCUUCCACUGAAGAAGCUAACAGGUCAAAAUCACGACGCAUUGUUGCUUGAGAAUCGGCAAUUGCCUUGGUGGGUCGUUCACAACAGACUGACAUUAAUAGUGACCACAUAUCAAAAGAAAUAUAAAGAAAGAAGGAAGAGCAGAAUUAUUGAAAAAGUUUGAUCAUGUGGCUAUACUAUAUAUAUUUCAAUGUGCAAGAAAGGAGAUAUAUGAGUCAAAUAAUUUUGUCCUAUUCAAAUAAAAAAAAUGGGGAGGCCACAAUAGACCAAAGUGUCCCCUCAUGCAAUAAAAGGCUUUUUGUGAGUGGCUUUGGUAUAGUAUUCCAUGUGAAUGAGCACUUAUUUGCCUCCACACUCUUUUAUAGGCCCUAUGAGGAUUUAGCUAUAUCGCAGAAGUGAGGUUAAUUUUAAUGAGACUAAUGAUAAAAUGAAACAAUAUUUUGAGGGUUAAAUUAAAUUGAAUAUUUUUAUGAUAGCGAAAAUGUAAUUUUACCAUUUUAAUAGUCUAUAUAUAAAAAGAUCAAAUAAAUUUUUUAGCCUUAAUUUGAUCUUUACUUUUUAAAAUUACAUAAAAGUUCAGAAUUAAAAAGAACACAUAUUUUCAGUAAAAUCCAUUAAAAAAUUGUGGAAAACACUCUUUAAAGUUCGUGGAAAAAAGGGAUAAGAAGGGGUGACUAUUAGGAAAGCUGCAUAAGCACUUUUGUUUGUGAUCUAUCAACAACUUGUGGCUUCAUAUUGUGAAGUUAUAAAAUAUAAAGUUAUAAACAUUCAAGAAAUUAAUUUCACUAAAUAGAUUCAAAUUAUAGCAGCGACCAAAUUGGUGUCCACGCAUUUCUUUGUAAAAGCGUGUUCUCACUGACCUAUAUGAUUCCACACGUAAUGAAUUAAUUGGCCAACAACCUCAAAGUUUCUAUUUAUGAUCUAUCAUGUAAACAUAGGGGAAGACUUAACAAGAAAAAUUUGUCAAGUCGCCAGAAAAGGAAAAGAACUGAAAUGGCGGAGAUAGCUGUGGGUAUAGUUAUUGAUAGAUUAAUUUCAUUCCUUGGUGCGGAGGUGAAACUAUUUGGACGGCUUAAGAAAGAAGUUGAAGACAUCCGGAUCGAGCUCGACUACAUUGCUUGUUUCCUUAGACAAGCAGAUCCAAUGGUAGACAAAGAGGAUUCCAAUGGUGGCUUCAAACUAUGGGUGCAACAUGUAAGGGAGGUGGCUUUCCAGAUAGAAGAUGUUAUGGAUGAAUACAAGCUUUAUCAUGUUCCAGUUGCACAACAUCAGCAGCAGCAAGGUUUAAUGGCUUCCCUGAGCAGAAUAGCUCAUAUGGUCCAGACCGUGAAAAGGCAUCUCCAGGCAGCAUCAAAGAUCAGAGAUAUCAAAACAUCUGUUAAUGAAAUCAAGGAAAGAAGUGAAAGAUACAGGUUCAACACCCUGCAACAUGUUCCAGGUGAGAACUGUAACGAGCCGAUUGACCCUCGAAUGGGACUUCAUUUUGUCAACAGUGAAGCACUCGUGGGCAUUGAUUCUUCUCGACAAGAGUUGGCCCGUAGAUUGGCAGAUGCAGAGCUGAAACGCACAAUUGUUUCAGUGGUGGGGAUGGGAGGGGUUGGGAAGACGACCCUUGUUAAGAAAGCUUUUGAUGAUGAAAUCAUGGCAGGACACUUCGACUGCCAUGCUUGGAUCACCGUCUCUCAAUCAUACAGGGUGGAGGUGUUGCUAAGGACCAUGAUGAAGCAGAUGUAUGAGUCUCGAAAGCAGUCCCCACCUGUUAGGGUCGACGCAAUGGAUGGUGUAGAAUUGAUAAGCAUAUGCAGAGACUAUAUAUAUGAUAAAAGUUACAUCGUGGUGUUUGAUGAUGUAUGGAAGGAAGAUUUUUGGCGACAUAUAGAACAUGCUUUAUUGGAUAACAACAAAGGAAGCAGAAUUUUAAUGACAACAAGAAGUAUGAAUACUGCUGAGUUUUGCAAGAAAUCUUCACUAGUUCAUGUCCAUAAUUUGGAACCUCUUCCACUAGAACAGGCACAGGAGCUCUUACGCAGAACUGCUUUUCAGUAUGAUGAAGAUAAACAAUGCCCUGAAGAGUUGAAUGGUUUAACUUUUGAAUUAGUCAAAAGAUGUGAAGGACUUCCCCUUGCAGUUGUGGCCAUUGCUGGACUUUUGGCAACCAAAGGCAAGGAUGUUGGUCAAUGGAAACGCUUACUUGAUAGCCUUAGUGCUGAGCUAGACAGUAGUCCACAUCUUUCAUAUGUAAAACAGAUACUUUCUUUUAGUUAUUAUGAUCUGCCUUACCAUCUCAAGGGUUGUUUCUUGUUCAUGGGCAUGUUUCCUGAAGAUUAUCCCAUAAGUUGCAAGAGACUGAUUCGGCUGUGGAUCGCAGAGGGGUUCGUAAAAGGGAAACACAAUAUGACCUUAGAAGAAGUUGCGAUGACGUACCUAUCCGAAUUGAUUAACAGAAGCUUGGUUCAAGUAUCAGUGAUUGAUUCUAUUGGCAAUGUCAGAAACUGCCAGCUCCAUGAUUUGAUGCGCGAAGUUGUUGUUUCCAAGUCCAAAGAACUGAGUUUCAUUCAAACAUGUCCAGAAAAUUUGUCCAACCAUUAUCGUGUAGCUCGACAUCUUUCCAUCUGCAACAAAUCAAACAAUUUCCCAAUGGUUGUUGGUAAUUAUCAAACUCAUUCAGCAAUUUUCUUUGACAUAGAAGAGUUACCUAAAUCAUUCUGCUUCUUACAGUUCACAAAGUCCAAAUUGUUGAAAGAACUGGACUUUGAAGGAGCCCCAUUGACUUAUAUUCCAGAGGAACUGGGAAAUCUGUUCAAUUUGAAAUACUUGAGCAUAAGGGACACAAAGGUGAAAAAGCUCCCAAGAUCUAUAGGUAAAUUGCAUAAGCUUCAAACUUUGGAUCUAAAACGUUCUUUUGUAAGCGAGUUACCAGUUGAAAUCAACAUGCUCUUCAAUCUUCAAUAUCUUGUAGCUUACUACAAAGAUAAACAAAGCAUCUACAGUAUCAAUACUCGAAGAGGGAUGAAGUUAUAUUCCAACUUUGGGAGCUUAGAGUCCUUAGAAAAGCUGUAUGAGGUGGACUUGGAGGCCUACAGUGGUGGUAACUUCUUUCGCGAGUUAGCAAGAUUGAAGCGGUUGAGAAAACUAUGCAUCACUAAACUAAAAUCAGAAAGUGUGAAUGCUUUAUGUGAUGCAAUACAGCAGAUGAUCCACCUUCAGUCAUUGAGAAUUUCUUCUAUAAAAGAGGAAGAGCUUCUUCACCUACAUAAAAUGUCAUCCCCUCCGGUUUUUCUCCGUUGCCUCAGGCUACGAGGAAGAUUAAUGAAGUUACCUGGUUGGAUUUAUGAACUGAGGAACCUCACAAAACUUACCUUAGAAUGGUCAAGAAUAUCAGAUGAUUCACUUCAAAUCCUUGGUGUUCUACCAAAUUUACUCUUCUUUUGGAUUUUUGAGGGAUACAGUGGAGCUCAACUGCAUUUUCACAAGAAUCACUUUAAGAAACUCAAGGACUUGAGGCUUUGCUGGUUAAAUGAUUUAAAGAGACUGAUAAUAGAUGAAGGAUCAUUAACACUUGUAGAACAUCUAGAACUUGGACCUAGCCCCCAAUUGGAGGAGUUGCCUGCUACCAUUUCUCAUCUAAAAUGUCUGAAGACUCUUUCAUUUAACAAUAUGCCCAUGGAGUCGGUUCGAAAAUUGUUGCCUGAUGGAGGCUCUGAUCAUUGGAAAGUCAGGCAUAUUCCAAAUAUCUAUUUCCUUUACUUCACGGUUAAAGGAACACAGCAUGAAACCUACAAGCUUGGUGAUUCACGCUUGUUAGAACUCCUUAGUUGAAGCACUUGGAUGGAUCUCCUUCCAUGUCUUAAAAUUCCGAUGUUGGUACUGUGUCAGACACAGUUGAGUGGCCAAUAAAGAGGUAUGUUCAAUCUUUUUCUAAGUCUUAACAUGCAUUUGAGUGGUCCUUAGAGGAUCAUAUCUCCAUAACCAUAUUAUUUCAAGAAAAAAGAGCGAGAGCAACAUAGAUUUUACAUUGUUCUGGUUUGCUAUUUCUUUUAUUUUAUGUUUUUUGGAUGAUUUUACUUGUAGGACAGGGCAGGGACUCAAUGGUUUUCAGAUGGAUCAAUUCAACUGAAUGUAGAAUAACCAUAUAGGAAGAGACUAAAUUUGAAUCUACCAGUCUAACUGGUUAUAAUUACUUACCAGAUCAAUGUGGUUGAUUGAUGUAUGUUUCCUUCCCGGCCCCCAAUCUCAUAAAUAGCUCCUUGUACCUUAUGUCGUUUUUGCUUGUUAUAUUAUACUCAUUGUUUCACUUCACGUCAAUAGCUUCCACCUCAAAACCUAGAAAAUAUCAUCUUACAUGCAAUGGUAAAUUACAGGUUGCGUACAUGGAAGACAGUUUUCCAAAUAAAAAGGUAAUAAGUUAAGCAACGAAGUAUAUAAAAAAGGACUAAAUGAGAGGAAAUAAAUAAAUGAACUAAAGAGGGUUAAGCCUUUAAAAUACAAUGAACUACAAGAAGUACAUUCAGAAGUUGCAAUCAACAAAGCUAUGUUACCUGGACUCUUUAAUUUCCUAAAGUACUUAUUUGGACAUAGGAACGUGGUAUGAUCCUCCAAACAUAUUAAAGUCUUCAAAAAAAAAAAAGAAGAAAAAGCAUACUCAUAUCAUACACAUACAAUACUCAAGCCAAAUUUAGGUAACAGAGCUCCACAGGAAGAAAGUGUGGAGUUUCUUAAUCUAUUAUACAAACAGGGGCAACUGAAGCAACUUGAAAUUCCAAUAAACCAAAUACAUAGAGCAACUAAAACAUCAAGUUCCAAUGAACCAAACAUCCAUAUACGCAAGAAAAUGCAUAGCCAACAAAAGAGGGAGAAUCCAUAUAAAACUUCAUGCAAACUGAUAAAACAAAAGAUAAAAAAUAUCAAAUUUACAAUGAAAGCGCAUAAAGAGAGGACUGUGAAAGAGUUAAUAGCCAAAAAGUUGAGAGAAAGUGAUUCAAGGCAGAAAAAUUGAAACUCAAAGCUACUGCCUCAGCCAGUAUCAUACAUCUACAGCUUAAUUGAAGUUGAUUUCAGCUUCCAUUAUUACCCAUUUUAUUCUUUCCAUAAGAGAUUGAAGCAGAAAAAGGCUUAAACCAGAGUCAGCAAAUUUCAACAUCUCACCUUUGAUUUUAUUAAACUAUUGAUCCCGAAAAGAAACAUUGUUCAGGAACUGAUAACAAAAAGCAUUGAAGUUUGUAGCAAUGCAUUCAUAACUCCAAUAAAUAGAAGAGCUACAAUAUUAAAACUAACAAAAAGGGAGAGUAGGCUAUAGUUUAACUGGUGAUCAUUGUGCCAGCGCCCUCAUCGGUCAUAAUCUCAUGAAGCAACGAGUGCUCAACACGACCGUCAAUAAUGCUAGCAGUGGUAACCCCUUGAGCAAGCGAUCGAAUACAACAAUUCACUUUGGGAAUCAUCCCACCGCCUACCUUCCCUUCCUCAACCAUUUUCUUCACUCCCUUUAUAUCAAUCUCUUUCACCAAGCUUCCAGGGUCCUCUCGGUUUCUCAGAAUCCCUGCGACGUCGGUCAACAGAAUCAGUUUCUCACCCCCCAAUGCCGCCGCCACCUCACCAGCUACCGUGUCUGCAUUGAUGUUGUAAGGCUGACCAUACUCAUCCGCCGCCACUGAAGCAAUCACCGGGAUGCUUCCGUUGUCCACGAUCGUUUGGAGGACUGUGGGGUCCACUCUCGCAACCUCUCCGACAAACCCCAACUGUGCAGCGUUUGGGCUGGGCCUGGCAACUAAAAGGCGGCCGUCCAUGCCAGAAAGGCCCACGGCGGUGGCUCCAGCGUAAUUGAUACGAGAAACCAGGUCUUUGUUAACUUUUCCAACAAGGACCAUAGAAACAACUUCCAUGGUCCUGGCGUCGGUUACACGGAGCCCAUCGCGGAACUGAGCGGGGAUAUUGAGCUGAUUGAGAAGGACGUUGAUUUCAGGACCACCGCCAUGGACGAGGACGGGACGGAGGCCAACGCAGGAGAGGAGGACGAGGUCCCUGACAACAGAGGCCUUGAGCUCCGCAGAUUUCAUGGCGGCGCCUCCGUAUUUGACGACAAUGGUUUUUCCCCUAAAUUUCUGAAUGUAGGGGAGUGAUUCAGAGAGGAUUCGAACUCGAAGUUGAAGAUCGGAAUUGGUGAGAGAGGGAAGAGGCGGGUCAUUGAGGGCGGUGGAGGAGGGUGAAGAAGCUCUAAUGGAAAGACGAAGGCGACGAGAAUUGGGGGUUUGGAGAAUCUGAAGUUGAGGUUUAGGGUUUCUGCUUUUGAUUUUGUCUUUGUUAGGGAGAGAAAUGAAAGGGGGUCCUGUGAAGAGCAAAAAUGGAGAGAUUUGCCGGUGGCUGUUGCGCCCAUUUUUCUAUCUUCCUCUCCUCUUCUCUGCUGCUUUGGCUCUGGCUUAGAAGGAGCUAAUGGUGCACCCACUCAUUCACGACCCAGGAGUGUAAGCAAAUUAUUACAUUCUAUUUUCAAAAGAAUUUAUAAUAAUUAAAAAGAUAAAAUAAGAAACUAAAAUGAAAUUUUAUUAAAAUCCAACAGUGUGAUAUUAUCCUUCAUCCUUAUUAUUAUAUUAAAAAAAUUAUAAAAAAAAGUAUGUAAAAACAGGAUAAUAUCAUUUGUUUUGGACGAAAGACUUCAAUUUAACUUUAUUUUCGAUCUCAACCAUAUUGACACAAUUAUCUCCUUUUCUUUCUUAUCAAACAAUUGAAAAGGUCACAUUAAUUAUAUAUAUUAUUGACAUCUAAGUAAUAUUUAAAUUAUUAUGAGAAAAUAUUGUUUUAAUAUAAAAUUUAAUAAAUUAUGAUCUGUCAUGUCAAAUAAUCAAUAACAAGACUAUGUAUAGAAGUGUAUCUGAAUCCAUUGUUGAAGAUUGCGAAAGUUUUGAUCUUUCAAGAAAAUAGUUUUUCUUCUAGUAUAUCUCUGAAAUGGGGAUGGAAAAGAUAUAUGAGAUAACUCUAUUUCUUGGGAAUAAUUGAUUAUUAAAUUAGUUUUGAGUAUUUAUAAUUUGACCCCUCAUCAAGUUAUAAAUACAACUUACAACUUAUGAUAUCUACAUAUUAUUUUCAUGACACUUUGAUACCUAUGACACUUAUAACAUAAUUGGUCACUUAAUUUUGAUCAUAUUUUAUAAUAGCAUUAUACAUUAUAUAUAUGUGUCCAUAAUUGGGGAUUUUAAUCCAACAAUCUCCCACUUGGGCAACAUAUAUUUCCUGAUAAAUGUACAACUUUAUGGGCUCAAAAUUUUCUAUAAUAUAACAAGUAUUCUAUAACAGUCUUGUCCAUCAACUAUAUCCAUAUAGGAUCAAAUUAGUCUUUGUCAUAUUAAUCAUGACUAAACUCAUCAAUAGUCAGAUAUACAAAUAUAGUCAAAUGAUAUGGAUCAAUCAUAGAUGUGUAGCAUGGAAAUUACAUGCAAUGUGAACCAAACAUGCAUAUUUCCAACUGGUCAUCCUUAAACUUAAGCGAUGUCAAUAUCAAACAGAGUGAAUAAAUUAAAUAUUUCAUUUCUGAUCAGAAAAUAACCAAAUACAUAAAUGUCUGAAAACAAACAUAAAACAAAUAAAGCACAAACCCUCACUAAACCAUGAUGCCCUCAAAUAAUAUAACAUGCUGGGGAAUGUGCCCAUCUUGUAUUAAACAUGUAACUGUUUUCUAUUUAUUUGAACGAUGAAUAAAUAAAUAAAGUUAAUUUCACAUUCCACUAUUAUGUCAUUGUAUUUUCUGUUUUUUAUAUUUUGCAUGCAUAGCGAAAUUAUGACAAACAAAUAUUAGCUCAUUGAUUGUCUAAAGUUCAAAUUGAAGAUAAGUGACAUUGUAAAUAACGUUUACAUUGCGAGAAAGAAAACUUACUUCAGUAGAUAAUCUAAAUGAGUUUGUAAUUUUGUAAAAUAAUCAAAGUGAGCAUUUGAUUCAAAUACUGAGAAGGAUUAUUAUGUCGUCUACAAUUCCAAUUGGGGAGAUGACUAGUCUUGGCUAUUGGAGCAGUUGACUCCACAGGUAGAAACAUAGAUGUAUUCAUUGGUAGAAUGAUAUAUUGGACUAGACUCAAGAUGAAUUAAUUCUGAAUUUGUUUGUGAAUUAAUUCACUUGUGACGUUCAUGGUGUGAUUUACCUAAAUCCUAAGUUAGUCACUGACCAUGCGUAUGUAACUCAUGUGCUUUAAUAUAAUUGGAGGCUUAUGCUAUAAAGAUGAUCGAGCCCAUAGCCGAUAUGUUGGGUACAUGAUUUGUGUAUGGCAUGGCUUUACUAGAAAUAGUGGAAUUCAUAACUCAAUUAAAGAAUUAAUGAUAUCCUAUUAUUGGCAUUGUUUGGAUUGAUAAAUAUGGAACGUGGUGACGGAUCGCUAGUUCUCGAAUGAGUAAUUUAUCAUAAUCAUUUGUUGACAGUGACCAUAUUAAUCAUUAAGAAGACACAAUGGUGACAAUGAGAUAAAAUAUGAUUGUAUUAAGUGAACGGAUUUAACUCAAAGGAAUCAAAGAUAUCAUAUGAGGAUAACAACACUUGAUGAGGUCAUUGGACAAAGUAGUUGAAUGAAUUGCUUUCACAAACAGUAUACAAUAAGGAGUUUUCAAUCAUGGUAUUUCUUGUGGACUGACUCUAUGAUUAAGUAAUUGUGAAUUAUCGAAACGAUGCUUCUGGACAUAAUUGCAAUCAUUAGAGAAUAAUUGUAUAUGUUUGAUUGGUCCCUCCGUUAGCUCAACAAAAGCUUGAUCGAACUGCAUUUGAAUCAAAAAUAAAUUCUACGACUUUGGGAAUAAUUUAAUUGAGUUAAUUUAUUCAAUGUGGAAAUAAAUUAGGUGGUCGUAAGAAAUAUUCAACUAGAGAAUUUGAUUAAAGAAUUAUCUUGAAAAAUUAAUUUGGAAAAUCUAAGUGAUUUUUGGAAAAAUUAAUUUUGAUCAAGUAAAAUUAAAUUAAUCAAAUCAAUUAAAAUUAAUUUGAUAUUAUUGGAAAUUAAUUUUCAAGUUAGACAAUUGGACCAAUGAGUAAUUGAACUUGAAAAUUAGACCUGAGAUCGUAAAUUGGGCCUGGGAGCCCAAAAUCGAGACCAAGACCCAAAAACUGGUCAAAUCGAGCCCAAUAUGUUAAACCGGGCUGACAAUCCAACAAGUGGCUAGAUUGGACCGGUCGGGUCGUCAUUGACCUGGACCGAAUCGACAGUAGUCGAACUGGCUCAGGGUGCCAUAUGGAUGUCUGUAAUGACCCAAAUUCAAAGUUAUCGGAACAGUGGUUUUGAGACCACAAAUCCGAUGAGGAAAAAUUUAUUUUUCUUAUAUUUUUAUGGUCUACGAUUUUAUAAAAUGAUUUGGUGAAAAUUUCGUUCAAAAAUUUCAACGUUUGGGCACUUAAUUUAGUUAAAAUGACUAAAUUGUAAAAAGUGCAAAAGUUGAGUUCUACAUGUUAGAGGUGCCCAAUUGUUAUGAAACUUUAAAUUGGAGGUCCUUAUAUGGUAAUUAGACCCUUGGUUAAGUUGGUAGACAAAAAUAGACAUGAGAUAAGUGAAAUAUAAUAUUUUUAAGUUAGGGGUAAUUUGGUAAUCUAGUAAUUAAAAUGAAUUAAAAGGGAAAAAGAUGGCAAAUUGUGCUCAUCUUCUUCAUUUGGACGAAAUCAGCAAGGGGGGAAGCCAUAGUUAGGGUUUUGAAGCUUCCAAGCUCCAUAGUAAGUGAUCCCAAGCCCCGUUUUUAAUGUUCUAUUCGUUUUUGAGAUCCCGGUAGCUUAAUUUAGCUUAUUCUAGCAAUAAUUUAACCUAGGGUUUAUAUUUGGAAAAAUACCUGUACAGCCCAAUUAUUGCCCGGGCCCAAUUAACAGAGCCCAAACACCAACCCACAAGCCCAAUUACAACCCAAACCUGAGGCCCAAAUUCGGAGCCCAAUUCCCCCCAAAAAUCCAACUAGGGUUUCAGAAAAAUGAAACCCUAGCCAAACCUAGCGCCGCACCCAUCCCUCUGCCCUUCGCCUUGUCCCAUCGUCACCCACCGUGCCUAGCUUCAUCAACACCUGCAAAAUGGCAGAAAAAGCCGGAGCACGCAACAGAUAGUGCAAAGCAAUAGAAUACAACCAAAAAAUACAAUGUAAAUUGGCUAUAAAAGCCAAACAAUAUCUCUGUACAUUUUUUAGAGACAGCAUUUUGAAUUCAAGAAAAAGAAAAAGCAAAUCAAAAAAGGUUGACUCUAGUUAUUUCUACUCUGUUCUCGUGUUCUUAUUCAUUUUAUUUCUUUUAUUUUUGUUUAUUUUUCUGCAAUCGUUUAAUAAAUAAAGCGGGACUAAAAGGGAAAGGGGAAGAUACCUUACUGCUUCGGUGGGCUGGUGUCGGAACUCCGCCUUUGCCGUCGUCGGAGCCGAGCAAAAAGGGGCGUUUCAUCCCUUUUCCUUUUGGUCUCGCGGUUGAGAAGGCAUAGCCUUCGGGGACGCCGCAAAAGGGGGAGGCCUAGGGGCCGUUCUCGUGCAGCUCCGGCCACUGGCCAUGGAGGCGGAGAUGGUGGCCUGAGCUUUAAGGCCGAGGGGGGCGCAGAGAGGAGAGCAUUCGAGCUCUCUGUUCUCUUUUCCUGUUUCUUUUUUUUUAUUUUUUUUAUUUUUUCUCUUUUCAUUAGAAAAUGAAAUGGAGGCUACCAGAUUAGGGUUCUUUUUGGCCCUUACAUGAUGUGUGAAACGAUGCCGUUUGGAGUCUGAUCAGUGGCUCCAAAACGGCGUCGUAUUGAGCUCUGACCCGCGCGGUGACCCGACCCAAGGGAAGGAUCCGCGUGUUUUUUUCUUUAAAUGGGAUAUUUGUGCGCGUAGUCCCUCCGACUUUGUAGCGCGUUGCAAUUUGGUCCUGUUUCGCUAUUUCCUAUUUUUCAAUUUCGCCCCAGAAUUCUGUUUUUGUUCUAUUUUGACCUUCUGCUGCACUGCGUUUUGGGGCUUCGGGGUAUUUAUGAUUUUGGUCCCCCCCUUUUUCGCGCAUAUUACAUUUUGAUCCUUUAUUCCAUUUUAUUUUUUAUUUCAGCCCUGAGAUUUCGUUCCCGUUUUGAAUUAGUCCUAUUAUUAUUAUUAUUAUUAUUAUUAUUAUUAUUACCUAUUUAUUUAUAUUAAUUUUAUUUAAACUUGUGGUACAUAUAUAUAUUUAUAUAUUUUACAACUUAUGUACCUAUCUAUAUAUCUAUAUACAUAUUUUCAUUUUCAUAAAUACAUACAUAUUUAUAUAUAAUCUUUAUAGUCUAAAAUACACCUUUUUUAUAUUUUUUUAAAUCCGCAUAUACAUACACAUUUUCAAUAUAUUUUUAGUAUGUAUAUAAAUUAACGUAUUUAUUUGUAUACAUAUGUAUAUUUUCAUUAGUUUUAAACUUUAGUUUGUACAUAUAUACUUUUUCUUUUAUUUUACAAUAUAUAUAUACACUUACUUUUUAUAUGUAUUUCUUUAUCUUCGUAUUCCAUAGUUUUAUACACCUAUAUAUGUACAUAUUUUUUUAUACAUACGCGUAUUUAUUUAUUUUAUAUAAAAUAUACUUUAUAUAUUUUGUUAAUUCAUGUAUACACAUAUUUUAGUUCAUGUCUAUAUAUAUCUUUUUAUACUUAAUUGUAUUUGCUAUUUAUUUAUUUCAUUUUGUUAUUAUUUUGAAUGAAUGAUUUAACUUUAUUCGUUUUUUUUUAUUUUGUUAUUUUGUAUGUUGUAAGUUUGAUCGUUCAUAUUGAUUGCUAUAGCUUGCAUCGUUUUUAUAUUUUCAUGUUCAUUAUGAUUUUGCCAUGCAUAAAUAAUGUAAUUUGCUUUCACUAUAAUUUUUUGCUUUAUUUUUACUCGAUAUAACAAAAUUUAUUUUUUUAAAAAUGGCAUUUCGUGUUUGGAUUCGAGAAAAUCGUGCCCUAACUUACUGGGUUUCGAUUUUCUCGAUAAAUCUAAAUGUACGAAUCUUUCUAAACUCAAAUUUUAGAUGACCUCGGGAUUAAAAAAAUCACGUCCUAACUUACUGGUCGUGAUCUCAUUUUUAAAUCCGAGAUGGCUAAAAUAUCUUUUAAAUAAGCAUUUUUCAUUCGCGUAUCGAGAAUUUGAGAUAUUGUAUUCUAACUUACUGGAUAUGAUUCUCUUCCUCGAUUAACGUGAAAUAUAUUUCUUUUUCCAAAAAUUUUCAUUUUAAUACAAGGAUCGUAUUUUUAAUUCUUUCAAGUUCUCAAUUUUCGACAUCGAGACAUUAGAUAAUCAACUAGGUACCAAUUUCUGGGCGUUACGAGGGUGCUAAUCCUUCCUCGUACGUAACCGACUCCCGAACCCAUUUUCUAAAUUUCGUAGACCAAAACCGUUGUUUUAAUAAAAUCAAAUUAUUUAUUAAAAACAACCUUUUUCCAAGGUGACCCAAUCACACCUCAAAAAGGAUUGGUGGCGACUCCCUUUUUCAUUUUCAAAACCCAAGUCGACCCCGUUUUUCAAUAAAAAAAAUGGUGUCAACAGCUUGGCGACUCCGCUGGGGACUCAAAAAAUUGAGAGUCAAGCCACGAGUUGAUUAUCUCUUGUCCUUUUGUCAAAAGUUGAAAAUUUGAGUUAAAUAUCCGAUCCUCUCAUUGCAUUUUAUUUUGAGUUAUAGUUUUUAUCAUGUUUGGUAUUUUAAGUUUUUAUAUACCUCUGCACAUUGCAUUGCAAGACCGUUGGUCACACCUCUUAAGUGGGAGUGAGAAGCUACGCCUUCGUGAGGUUUUCACCUCCGCAUGGGAUAGUGAAUCGCUUCCGGGAUACAUCCGUACCUAUGUCUUCGUGAGAUUUUCAUCUCCGCAUGGCCACAGGGAAAUGUAUUCCCCUGAACUGAACUCGGUUCGUAUGACCCUAUAAUGGGUGAGGAUUGAGGAAUCUGCUGGUUCAGGUACCCUGCUUAGAACCAAACCACAUGUAAUGACCCAUAAGAACCGACCUAGGUAGAGCUACGCCAAACCUCAGUGCUUACCUAAAUGGAUGUUAUAUUUAUCGUCAUUUACGUUAAAUCUUGUUCUGCGUAAUAUUAUCUUUGCUUUAUUUGAUUGUAUAGCAUUGUCAUUCUAAAAGAGGUGUCGAUUCAUGUUCAGUGUCUAAAACGAAAGCUUAUCAUGGAAAAGGGAUUUCUUGAUAAAGUAGAAGAUAAUGCGGCUGUGCGAGUUUGGGCUGAAACGACACAACGGGAGAAAGGCGAUAGUCUUACCGAGGGGCACGUGUCAGAAUUAUGGGAUUUCACCCGUAUCAGUGUAAUCCAGAAUGACCUUCGAGAAAUGAAAGAAGUCUGGGAUCAGUGGGAUGUCAGGACCAAGCAGCUGUUCUAUUGUAACUACGGUGACCUACCUUAUCUACUCAGUGUCAAAGUGGACAAGUAUUUAUUCCGAGCCCUUGCUCAAUUUUGGAAUCCUGCCUACAGUUGUUUCACUUUUGGGAAAGUCGAUUUGACGCCUACUGUGGAGGAGUAUACGACCUUGCUGCGGUGCCCAAAGUUUCAAGUCGAUAGAGUUUAUUCUAGAGCUGCUUGUGUCCCUUCAUUGUUAAGGAAAUUAAUGAACAUUACCGGGAUGAGCGAGCAGUGGGUCGCUGCUCGAAUCCAACAGAAGGGCGACAGUAAAUGUGUCCCUUGGAAAAGCUUACGAGAUUUGGUGCUUGUACAUCCUGACGUAAAGAAAAGGGUCGAUGUCUUCGCUUUAGGUAUCUACGGGCUAGUGGUCUUCCCCAAGGCUUUAGGGCACAUCGACGAUGCUGUAUCUGAUUUGUUUGAUCGGCUUAGUAAAGGGGUUACACCGGUUCUGGCAAUACUGGCGGAAACUUUCAGAUCCCUGAGUGCAUGUCGGAAAACAGGUGAGGGAAGGUUUAUUGGAUGCGCACAACUUUUAUUGGCAUGGUUUCAUAGUCAUUUCUGGAAAAUGGAAAAGGUCUCUUAUCGAGUGUUCUCUAACGGUUACUCCCCUCUAGAGGAAUUGGUGGCCACACCAAGACGGGAUGAUCUUUCAGAAGAAAGAUGGAGGGAGAUACUCCAGAAUCUCCAGGAUGAAGAUAUUGAAUGAAGGGCUCCUUGGUUAAUUCCUGAUGAGAUAUUGUACCGGUGUGGAGAUUUCGACUAGGUUCCUCUGCUCGGGAUGUGGGGAGCUAUCGGAUAUGCUCCCCUACUCGUAUCUAGACAGUAUAGAUCACGACAAUUCGUACCAGCAACGCUGGGGUUGGCCUAUUCUGAUUUUUCUUAUAGGGAGGACAAUUACAAGAAAAAGGUUCGAGAGGUGUCUAAUGCCUGGAACCAAACUCGCCGAAUGAGAAUUUUAGCCGUGGGUCCGACGAUGACCCCCGAGUAUAGCCAGUGGCGUGAUCAAAGGGUCAACGAUAAUAUCCCGGCGUCUAAUCCAGAAACUGCUCGAUCUUUAGAGGAACACCUACAGGUACUGCCCUCUGAGAUAGAGAUUAUCAAGCAAGAAUUUGAAAAGAGGAGUUUGGAGAUAGGAAAGAAAGUAGAGAAGUUAGAGGAAGAGAAAAUGUAGUUAGGACUAGAUUUGGACAUUCAAAGAUUAGAGGCCGACAAAUUAAGGAAAGGGAAGAACAAGGCAGAAGAAGAUUUAGACAGCCUGAAGACUGAUUACAAGAAGUUGCGCAGGUCGAUAAGAACUGUUGGCUUGGGUAAAACGUCAGAACAAUGGCGGCAGGAAAUUCAGAAGGAAAGAAUGAAAGCUAAUCAGUGGGAAAAGAAAUUUCAGGAUGCUCAAACUCGAGAGUUACUUUGGGAGAAAGUCUGCUAGUCUGCCAAAAUGAGAAGACGAAGUUGAAUGCCCGAAUAACUGAACUGGAAAGGCUACUUCACCAAUACCGUAGUCGUAAUUCUGUGAUUGAAUUAAAGGCAGGCUUGAAAAAAAUUGAAGAAUUAAAGGGACAAGUAAGAGAGCUCGAGGACGCAUUGCAAAGCAGCGAAUUCCGAAUAGAGCUUCUGGAAAGAAGUAGUGAGCAGUGGCAAGGGCGAUUCCAGCGGUCUCAAGAUCAGAUUAGAGACAGAGAUUAUGUUAUGGGUGAGGCAGUGGUUCAAGUACGCGAGGUAGCUGAUCACCUGCAAACCUUAGCGGUUCAAGCUGAUCUAUUAAGUUUAAAGUUUGAGGUGGAAUCGGACCGGGGCCGAGAAUUAGCUUGGCUCCUUAAAAAGGUUAAGGCUUUGGGCAUAAGGGCAAAGCCGUAUAUGUAAUCUAUUUUAUGUAAAGAAAUUUCUUCUCUAGUAAAGCUCUCUAAUGAAGUUGAAUUAGAAUCAGUGCCUCUUUUUUGCAUUCAUGCAUUUACAUAUCAUCAUAUGCAUUAAGUUUUAAAAAGGGAGCCUAAUUAAUUUAAAAUUAUGACAGAACUACCCUGGAAACUAACAAAAAUUCGCCAAUCGUUUAUCACUACGGUACCCGUCGCAAAACAAAAGCCAUGGAUCAAAGACUCGAAAGACUCGAACAGCUCCAAAGGGAGAUACAAGAACAAAUGCAAGAGCGGUUAGAGAAGAUUCAACAAGAUAUGAAGAACGAAAUGAUAGAGUCUCAAAAAAGCAUGAUAGCUGAAUUAACGCAAUUGUUCAAAGGGGGAAGCGACAAAGGAAAAGACCCCGUGGUUAAUACAGAAGAAGAAAAUAAUGAUAGCCCUCUCUAUCCCCCAGGUUUCACUCCUCCUCAUGCGCAAACCCAAGCUGAGGUGCAACCACGCAGAUCAUCUAUUACUAUCAGGCCUCAGCAAUUUCAAAUUGGUGCCUCAAUACCAGUAAAUUUCCAAACUGGAAUAGGUUCUCAUCUCGGAGAAGCCCCUACUAAUCCCAUAGUACCCGAUUUUGACGAAAUGAUGGGAAAAGAGAAAACAAAGGAAGAACUACCGAGUCGAUUGGAGGAAAGAUGUAAAUGGCUCGAAGAGAAAUUCAAAGCCAUGGAAAGUAGAGAGAAUUAUCAUGGGAUGGAUGCUAAAGAUCUAAGCUUGGUACCAAAUUUGGUCCUUCCUCCUAAAUUUAAGAUACCGGAGUUUGAAAAAUAUGACGGGACAAGUUGUCCUCAGGCUCAUAUCACUAUGUUUUACCGAAGAAUGACCGGGUACAUCAACAAUGAGCAACUGUUGGUUUACUAUUUUCAGGAUAGUUUGAUCGGGUCAGCAGCUAGAUGGUACAAUCAAUUGAGUCGAACCGAAAUCCACUCCUGGAAAGAUUUGGCGCAGGCCUUUAUAAAGCAGUAUAGACAUGUGAUGGAUAUAGCACCCGAUCGAAUUGUAUUGCAAAACAUGGAAAAGAAAACUAAUGAGAACUUUCGCCAGUAUGCUCGGAGAUGGAGGGAGGUAGCAGCACAAGUUCAACCACCACUUUUAGAGAAAGAGAUAACCAUGCUUUUUAUCAAUACCUUGAAAGCUCCAUUUCUCAAUCACAUGUUGGGCAGUGCCACUAAAAGCUUUCCAGACAUAGUGAUGUCUGGAGAAAUGGUAGAGAACGCCAUAAGAUGUGGCAAGAUAGAAGCAGGAGAAAGUAAUAAAAGGUCGGCUCCAAGGAAAAAGGAACAUGAGAUAAAUAAUACAAGCACGUUUAAUAAGGACCAUUCUAAAUCAAUCACGGUGGGGCAAGCCAGAGCAGUAACCGCUAAUCUGCAAAUUUUUUCGACACAGGAAUCCAAUCCAAGGCCAAAGGUAGAGAAACUUCAAUUCACACCCAUCCCAGUGACGUAUAGGGAAUUGUACCAGAACUUAUUCGAUGCACGUGUGAUAUCUCUAUUUUACCUCAAACCUAUGCAACCUCCAUACCCUAUGUGGUAUGACGCAAGCGUUCAAUGCGAGUAUCACGCGGGGACCAAGGGGCACUCAAUUGAAAACUGCACUGCAUUCAAUAAGUUAGUUGAAAGACUUAUCAAUUUGGGGAUCGUAAAGAUAGGCGACUCAUCAGGACCGAAUGUAGCAGAGAAUCCGUUGCCCAACCAUGAUAAUAAAGGGGUGAAUGCGAUAAUUGAAUAUGGAGGAAGGAGAGUCAAAGCCAACAUAGCAGAGAUAAAGACCCCCCUUGAAUGGGUUUGGAAACAAAUGAUGAAAAGAGGUCUCAUCAAGCAAGUUUCAAUAGAAAGGCCUGAAGGAACAAGGAAAUUUUGCGAGUUCCAUGCAGAAGAAAGCCAUGACAUCCAAGAUUGCACCGAGUUCAGAACCAUGAUGCAAAACUUAAUGGAUAGCAAAGAGUUGGAGUUUUAUGAAGAGAUUAAGGGAUUAGAAGGAGGAGAGGUUUAUGCUGCAGAAGAAGGAUCCACGGGGAAAGCCCAAAAGGCUAAUUACCCGGUGGUGAUUAUUGCAAAACCAAUGAGCAGAGAAUCUGGAAUACAAAUAGCACCAAAGGUCGUAAUCCAAAAACCUGUAUCCUUUCCCUACAAGGAUAGCAAAAAGGUUCCUUGGAAUUACAACUGCAAUGUAACAAUCCCAGGAGAGGAGAGCUUGAUAAAUGCUUCAGGAGAGGAUGAAGGAUUCUAUACACGAAGUGGAAAACGCUAUGAUCCGGCAAACGCAAGAGUGGAGUCUGGAAAAGGAAAAGCCUUAGCGGUUGAAUUGGGAAAAGUAAAGACAGACAAAAUCGAGCCGCGCAUCAAUCAGCUGGUAACUGAAAAUGAGGCUAGUGAAUUUCUAAAAUUUUUAAAACAUAGCGAGUACAGCGUGGUAAAGCAAUUACAUAAGCAACCGGCUCGUAUCUCGAUGCUUGAAUUGCUUCUAAGUUCAGAGAUACAUCGUAAUGCGCUGAUUAAGGUGCUAAAUGAAACUUACGUCGCUGAUGAUAUCUCAGUGAAUAAGUUGGACCGUUUGGUUAAUAAUAUCAGUGCUGACAAUUUUAUCUUCUUUAAUGAUGAUGAAAUACCACCCAGGGGAAGAGGAACCACCAAAGCCUUACAUGUUUCUACUUACUGCGGGAAACAUAUGUUGUCAAGAGUGCUAAUUGAUAAUGGAUCAGCCUUGAAUGUUUUACCCCUAUCCACCUUAAAUAGGUUACCGGUGGACAGCUCUCACAUGAAAUCAUGCCAGAACAUAGUGAGAACAUUUGAUGGUACCGAAAGAAAGGUGAUGGGAAGAAUAGAAAUACCUCUCUUGAUUGGCCCAAAUACGUACGAAGUGGAUUUCUUAGUGAUGGAUAUCAAGCCUUCGUAUAAUUGCUUACUGGGGAGACCAUGGAUUCAUUCAGUAGGGGUGGUGCCUUCAUCAUUGCACCAGAAGUUGAAAUUAGUGACAGAAGGCCGGUUAAUUACGAUUGACGCUGAGGAAGACAUCAUUGCAUCGGUAACCAGCGACGCACCAUAUUUGGGAGUAGAUGACGAUGCGGUCAAAUGUUCUUUUCGAUCCUUAGAGUUAGUAAAUGCAACUUUUGUCACUGAAGGAAAGAAAAUCCCAAUGCCCAGCAUAUCUAGAGCCACAAGGAUGGGACUACAAAUGACAGUUGGGAAAGGAGCUGUGCCUGGAAGAGGACUGGGAAGAUGCCUUCAAGGAAAGAUUGAGGCACCAGUGGUGAAAGACAAACAGGACCAUUUUGGUUUAGGAUUUAAACCAAAUGCCAAGCAGAGAAAGAAAGAGUUAGAGAAAAGACAAGACAGGAGGAAAGCGCGUUUGAACGGAAAAGAAGUUGAUUGGGAACCUAUGGCUUUCCCCCACAUAUCCAGGACAUUCAUAUCAGGAGGAACCAUGUAUUCUGGACUGAGGACUCCAAGAAAGAAGACCGCAGAGGAAAUGUUAGGAAACUUAAGCAUCAAUGCCAUAUUUGAAGAAGAAUCUGAAGAGGGAAGUACAUCAGGCAUCUAUCCCGUUGAACCUGGGAGUGUUGUAAACAAUUGGACUGCAGAAGAAAUGCCUGAAGUUUUUAGAGCUUUUCCAGAGUAAUAUUCAAAACAUAUUAAUUGUUCUAAGCCUAGAGAAAAUAAAAACUUUUGUGAACUAAAAUAGGCUUAUAUGUGGACAUUGUGAUUUCAAUGAAAUAUAUCUUCGCAUUUUGAGUAUAUAUAUUCUUUUAAAACUCUUUCCAUUCUUUCAUACGAAUAGUCAUCCCGAAUGCUUUUAUUCUGAAUCAUUCUUUUAUUCAUGGUCAUACUAAAUAAGAAUCCUUAAAUUCAUACGUUCCCUGUACAUUCUUUGAUACCUAUAACAGGUCCCAAGAUAUCAAUGAUAUGAGUGACUCUACUAUGGACUUAGAAAAUCCUUUUGAACGAGAUAUGUGUUUAGAGGAAUCUCAAGAUUUUGAAGAUAACACGGAUUACAACCUACCUCCGGACUUGUUGAGGAUGGUAGAGCAGGAAGAGAAACAGGUUCUUCCUCACGAGGAGACGAUAGAGACAGUGAUCCUGGAGGAGGGAAAGAUGGUAAAGAUUGGCACGUGCAUAGCUGAUGAAGUGAAAUGAAACCUCGUUAAAUUGCUUCGAGAGUUCAAAGAUGUCUUCGCAUGGUCAUACCAAGAUAUGCCGGGGUUAAGUACUGACAUCGUAGUUCACCGACUUCCUAUAAAGGAAGAUUACAAACCAGUUCGGCAAAAGCUCCGAAGGAUGAGGCCUGAUGUUGUGUUAAAAAUAAAAGAGGAGGUACAAAAACAAUUCGACGCUGGAUUCCUGCAGGUGGUCAAAUACUCCGAGUGGGUAGCCAAUAUCGUUCCUGUCCCUAAAAAAGAUGGGAAGGUCCGAAUGUGUGUAGAUUAUAGAAAUUUAAAUAAGGCCAGCCCCAAAGAUAACUUUCCCUUGCCGCACAUCGAUGCCUUGGUGGACAACACAGCAGGACAUUCGCUGUUUUCUUUCGUGGAUGGUUUCUCUGGAUAUAACCAAAUUAAGAUGCAUCCUGAGGAUAUGAAGAAAACUACAUUCAUAACCCUAUGGGGAACCUUUUGUUAUAAGGUGAUGCCAUUUGGGUUGAAAAACGCAGGGGCAACGUAUCAGAGGGCCAUGGUAACAUUGUUCCAUGAUAUGAUGCAUAAUGAGUUAGAGGUCUAUGUUGAUGACAUGAUUGCAAAAUCUAAAACAGAAGAGGACCACGUGCAGGUCCUUAAGAAAUUAUUUAUGAGGUUGAGAAAAUUUCAGCUAAAGCUAAAUCCAGUAAAAUGCACAUUUGGGGUCAGAUCAGGAAAAUUGCUUGGGUUCAUGGUCAGUGAGAAAGGAAUUGAGAUUGAUCCUGACAAAGUAAGAGCAAUACAAGAAUUACCCCCGCCGCGUACUCAAAAGGAGGUUCGAGGUUUUCUAGGAAGGCUGAACUAUAUUGCUCGGUUCAUCUCACAGCUAACUGAGAAAUGCGACCCCAUUUUUUGCCUCCUCAAGAAACAUAAUCCUGGUGUAUGGGAUGAGGAAUGUCAAAAAACUUUUGAAAAAGUCAAACAUUACUUAUCCAACGCCCCAGUGCUGAUGCCACCCUGCCCAGACAAACCACUCAUACUGUAUUUGGCAGUAUUUGGAAAUUCCAUGGGAUGCGUGCUUGGUCAACAUGAUGAAUCAGGACGAAAGGAAAGAGCAAUCUACUAUCUCAGUAAGAAGUUCACUGAAUGCAAAACAAGAUAUUCGCCAAUCGAGAAAUUAUGUUGUGCCCUAAUCUGGACCACUCGGAGACUGAGACAGUACAUGUUGUACCAUACGACCUGGUUAAUCUCCAAAUUAGACCCUUUGAAAUACUUAAUGGAGUCAACCGCUCUGAAUGGAAGAAUGGCCCGAUGGCAAAUUCUUCUAUCUGAAUUUGACAUAGUCUAUGUAAACCAGAAAGCGGUCAAAGGAAGUGCAAUAGCGGAAUUCCUAGCAAGUAGGGCUCUGGAUGAUUAUGAGCCAUUGAACUUCGAUUUCCCAAAUGAAGAUUUGAUGUAUAUCGCAACUGUAGAGAAAGAUUUCUAAGAAGGUGGUUCUUGGAAGUUGAGUUUUGACGGAGCUUAAAAUGCUAUAGGCAACGGAAUUGGGGCAGUACUCGUGUCUCCCAGUGGAGACUAUUAUCCUUUCACUAGCAAAUUAGACUUCGACUGCACAAAUAAUAUGGCUGAGUAUGAAGCUUGCAUUAUGGGCAUCCGGGCAGCCAUAGAGCGGAAAAUUAAGGUGCUAGAAGUAUACAGGGACUCUGCAUUAGUAAUUUAUCAGCUCAAAGGGGAAUGGGAAACAAGAGACCCGAAGUUGGUCCGCUAUCGAAAAUUGGCUAUGGAAUUGAUUGAGGAAUUUGAUAGUGUCACCUUUAGUUACCUCCCGCGAGAUGAAAACCAGAUGGCAGAUGUUUUGGCCACUUUAGCCUCCAUGUUUAAAGUGAACAAAUUAGAAGAUAUGAAGCCUAUCUAGAUCAGCAUCUACGAGGCUCCAGCUCAUUGUUGCAACAUUGACAGUGAAGAGGGAAAGGAUGAUCACCCUUGGUACCAUGACAUAUUGCAAUAUGUGAAGAGUCGUGAAUACCCUGACCAUGCGACAGAAAAUGAUAAGAAGACAUUAAGGAGAUUAGCCAUUGACUAUGUCCUAGAUGGGGAAAUUUUGUAUAAAAAGGGAAAAGAUCAAGUAUUGUUGAGGUGUGUGGAUGCUGUCGAGGCAAAAGAAAUUUUGGAAGAAGUGCAUGAAGGUAUCUGUGGAAUGCAUGCCAACGGCUUCACGAUGGCCAGACAAAUUAUGAGAUUUGGGUACUAUUGGUCCACCAUGGAAGGGGAUUGCAUUAAUUAUGCCAAAAGGUGCUAUAAGUGUCAAAUCUACAGUAACAAAAUGCACGCACCACCUUCACCCCUUCAUGUUAUGGUUUCUCCAUGGCCUUUCUCCAUGUGGGGAAUGGACGUUAUCGGGCCAAUAUCUCCAAAAGCUUCUAAUGGGCAUCGUUUUAUCUUUGUGGUUAUUGAUUACUUCACUAAAUGGGUGGAGGCUGCUUCAUAUGCAAAUAUCACGAAGUCGGCAGUUAGCAAGUUUCUGAAAAAGGAGAUCAUAUGUCGAUACGGGAUGCCUGAAAGGAUCAUAUCCGAUAAUGCGAUGAACUUAAACAACAACUUAAUAGCGGAAGUUUGUAGUCAGUUCAAGAUCAGACACCACAAUUCGUCACCGUAUCGUCCAAAAAUGAAUGGUGCCGUGGAAGCAGCUAACAAAAACAUCAAGAAAAUUGUAGGAAAAAUGACUGAAACCUACAAAGACUAGCACGAGAAAUUAUCUUUUGCUCUCCUGGCAUAUCGCACUUCCGUUAGAACCUCUAUUGGGGCAACACCGUUUUCUUUAGUCUAUGGGAUGGAAGCAGUUUUACCCAUAGAAGUUGAAAUUCCUUCCCUCCGAGUAUUAGCUGAACUAAAGUUGGAUGAGGCUGAAUGGAUUCAAUCUCGAUAUGACCAGCUAAACUUGGUAGAAGAAAAGAGGUUAAAAGCUAUUCGUCAUGGUCAGAUGUAUCAGAAACGAAUGACGCGAGCCUAUAACAAAAAAGUUCGUCCCAGAGAAUUUUACGAGGGGGACUUGGUUUUGAAAAAGAUUCUUCCUCUACAAAAGGAUUUUAGAGGAAAAUGGAUGCCAAAUUGGGAAGGUCUUUAUGUGGUAAAAAAGGCCUUUUCAGGAGGAGCUUUGAUCUUGAGCGAGAUGGAUGGUAAAAGCUUGCCAAAUCCUGUGAACUCAGAUUCAGUCAAGAAAUACUUCACCUGAAGGAGGAGGACCAAAGUGAAAACCCGUAAAGGGAAUUCAAAAAAAAAAAAGGGAGAGGCCAAGGUGAAAACCCGUAAAGGGCGCAUUGAGACCAAAGGGGAUUUGAGUUGAAAACCUGAAAAGGCGGCUCAAAUUUUGAAGAAGCGUGAGGUGAACGAAACAGCUCAAAUUUUGAUCAGGAUCUGAGGCAUGUGGUGGUCUUACUAUACCUGAAUCACAAGAAGGAAUAGGUGACAUCUUGGGGUAUCGACAGAAUACUGUAGAUUCCCUAAACACAUAUUAAAUGGUCUUUAGAAAACUUAUGCAGAGAAGCUCGUGCUGCGAUAUCUGGGGCACCUGUCGUUAUCUUAUAUUUUGAAUCUUGGCAAAAUUUGUUGUCUUGAUUAAUGUAUUCAUUUCAAGCUUUGCUCCCCAGUAAAAUUUCAUUUUGUCUAUUGUCUUAUUUCAUUUUUAUCUUGGCAAAAUUUGCUAUCUUGAUUAACUCAUUCAUUUCGAGAUUUGUUCUCAAUAACAUUUGUUUGAUCGUUGUGGUAAUCUUUUCGAAAAACAUUUAGAAUAACUAUUAAUGAACUGAAUGUUCAAGCAAAUUGAGUUUUGCAUAUUACUCUAGAAAUUUCUAAAUAAUGAAGGAACCUGAAACAGGACUGUUGUUUAGAGCACACUAAAUUCAAAGUGUCUAAAAGGGAAAAGUCCAAGUCAGGACUAUCUUUUCAAAUUUUGUUCUCCAAACAUUGAACAAAAUGACAAGAUGUCGUGUUAGUGGCAAAGCUUCAAUGAACAAACAAGUGAUGUUCACCAAGCAAUAAGAAAAUGUCUUCUGGGAGAAGAAAACUCUUCAUUGUGCAUGAGCAUUUGGUAUGACACCUUGGGAAUGGGGUAAAGGACCAAAGAGCUUCACAUUCUGUAUCAUUGAAUUGUGAUAGCAGAGGAUCGAGAAAAGGCCAGAUCUUCCUACCUUUGGGUUACAGCGGGAGAAAGAUGGUUCAAAUUUUGCAUCCAGUGGAUUGAACCUGGAGGUUUACAGUGGGGGGCAGUCUGGUUAAAUUUUUCUUUGGAUUUGCCAGUCGAGCAAGAAGGCGUUGUAGCACGUCAACGAUAAACCUUAAUAAGCUUUUGCGUGAUGAUAACCUAAGCAUCAAGAAAUCACUUUCAUAACAUUUCGACAUUCAUUCAAAUGUCAUUCAUACACGUCUAGUUAGGACCAUUUGAUUCAUUCUGGUCAUCCUAAUUACUAGACAUAAAUAGGUCCAUCAAAUGGAUUAUACAGGUCAUGUUCCCCAGAGAACAGAUCAAUGAAGAUAGCAGAUCUUGCCUUCCUGUAUUGACAGCGAAGCAGAUCGAAUAAACCAUAGUUUGCAAUUUAAAAGAUCAAAGCCACAACGGCGAAUCUUACUUCCAGGCGAUGCAGUGGAACAGAUUGAAGCUACAACAGCGAAUCUCACUUCCCCGACAUUGCAAUUUAAAAGAUCGAAGCCACAACGGCGAAUCUUACUUCCAGGCGAUGCAGUGGAACAGAUUGAAGCUACAACAGCGAAUCUCACUUCCCCGACAUUGCAAUUUAAAAGAUUGAAGCCACAACGGCGAAUCUUACUUCCAGGCGAUGCAGCGGAGCAGAUUGAAGCUACAACAGCGAAUCUCAUUUCCCCGACAUUGCAAUUUAAAAGAUCGAAGCCACAACAGUGAAUCUUACUUCUGGCAAUGCAGUGGAACAGAUUGAAGCUACAACGGUGAAUCUCACUUCCCCGACAUUGCAAUUUAAAAGAUCGAAGCCACAACGGCGAAUCUUACUUCCAGGCGAUGCAGCGGAGCAGAUUGAAGCUACAACAGCGAAUCUUAUUUCCCCGACAUUGUAAUUUAAAAGAUCGAAGCCACAACAGUGAAUCUUACUUCUGGCAAUGCAGUGGAACAGAUUGAAGCUACAACAGCGAAUCUCACUUCUCCGACAUUGCAAUUUAAAAGAUCGAAGCCACAACGGCGAAUCUUAUUUCCUCGGCAAGACUGGGCAAAAAUUGGUCUUUCUUAGUCUUUGCUCUGUUAUCGUUACACGACAACGAGCAAAGAGGGGCAGCUGUACAGCCCAAUUAUUGCCCGGGCCCAAUUAACAGAGCCCAAACACCAACCCACAAGCCCAAUUACAACCUAAACCCGAGGCCCAAAUUCGGAGCCCAAUUCCCCCCAAAAAUCCAACUAGGGUUUCAAAAAAAUGAAACCCUAGCCAAACCUAGCGCCGCACCCAUCCCUCUGUCGUUUGCCUUGUCCCAUCGCCACCCACCGUGCCUAGCUUCAUCAACACCUGCAAAAUGGCAGAAAAAGCCAGAGCACGCAACAGAUAGUGCAAAGCAAUAGAAUACAACCAAAAAAUACAAUGUAAAUUGGCUAUAAAAGCCAAACAAUAUCUCUGUACAUUUUUUAGAGACAACAUUUUGAAUUCAAGAAAAAGAAAAAGCAAAUCAAAAAAGGUUGACUCCAGUUAUUUCUACUCUGUUCUCGUGUUCUUAUUCAUUUUAUUUCUUUUAUUUUUGUUUAUUUUUCUGCAAUCGUUUAAUAAAUAAAGCGGGACUAAAAGGGAAAGGGGAAGAUACCUUACUGCUUCGGUGGGCUGGUGUCGGAACUCCGCCUUUGCCGUCGUCGGAGCCGAGCAAAAAGGGGCGUUUCAUCCCUUUUCCUUUUGGUCUCGCGGUUGAGAAGGCAUAGCCUUCGGGGACGCAGCAAAAGGGGGAGGCCUAGGGGCCGUUCUCGCGCAGCUCCGGCCACUGGCCAUGGAGGCGGAGAUGGUGGCCUGAGCUUUAAGGCCGAGAGGGGCGCAGAGAGGAGAGCAUUCGAGCUCUCUGUUCUCUUUUCCUGUUUCUUUUUUUUUUUAUUUUUUUUAUUUUUUCUCUUUUCAUUAGAAAAUGAAAUGGAGGCUACCAGAUUAGGGUUCUUUUUGGCCCUUACAUGAUGUGUGAAACGACGCCGUUUGGAGUCUGAUCAGUGGCUCCAAAACGGCGUCGUAUUGAGCUCUGACCCGCGCGGUGACCCGACCCAGGGGAAGGAUCCGCGUGUUUUUUUCUUUAAAUGGGAUAUUUGUGCGCGUAGUCCCUCCGACUUUGUAGCGCGUUGCAAUUUGGUCCUGUUUCGCUAUUUCCUAUUUUUCAAUUUCGCCCCAGAAUUCUGUUUUUGUUCUAUUUUGACCCUCUGCUGCACUGCGUUUUGGGGCUUCGGGGUAUUUAUGAUUUUGGUCCCCCCCUUUUUCGCGCAUAUUACAUUUUGAUCCUUUAUUCCGUUUUAUUUUUUAUUUCAGCCCUGAGAUUUCGUUCCCGUUUUGAAUUAGUCCUAUUAUUAUUAUUAUUAUUAUUAUUACUACUACUAUUAUUAUUAUUACCUAUUUAUUUAUAUUAAUUUUAUUUAAACUUCUGGUACAUAUAUAUAUUUAUAUAUUUUACAACUUAUGUACCUAUCUAUAUAUCUAUAUACAUAUUUUCAUUUUCAUAAAUACAUACAUAUUUAUAUAUAAUCUUUAUAGUCUAAAAUACACCUUUUUUUAUAUUUUUUUAAAUCCGCAUAUACAUACACAUUUUCAAUAUAUUUUUAGUAUGUAUAUAAAUUAACGUAUUUAUUUGUAUACAUAUGUAUAUUUUCAUUAGUUUUAAACUUUAGUUUGUACAUAUAUACUUUUUCUUUUAUUUUACAAUAUAUAUAUACACUUACUUUUUAUAUGUAUUUCUUUAUCUUCGUAUUCCAUAGUUUUAUACACCUAUAUAUGUACAUAUUUUUUUAUACAUACGCGUAUUUAUUUAUUUUAUAUAAAAUAUACUUUAUAUAUUUUGUUAAUUCAUGUAUACACAUAUUUUAGUUCAUGUCUAUAUAUAUCUUUUUAUACUUAAUUGUAUUUGCUAUUUAUUUAUUUCAUUUUGUUAUUAUUUUGAAUGAAUGAUUUAACUUUAUUCGUUUUUUUUAUUUUGUUAUUUUGUAUGUUGUAAGUUUGAUCGUUCAUAUUGAUUGCUAUAGCUUGCAUCGUUUUUAUAUUUUCAUGUUCAUUAUGAUUUUGCCAUGCAUAAAUAAUGUAAUUUGCUUUCACUAUAAUUUUGUGCUUUAUUUUUACUCGAUAUAACAAAAUUUAUUUUUUUAAAAAUGGCAUUUCGUGUUUGGAUUCGAGAAAAUCGUGCCCUAACUUACUGGGUUUCGAUUUUCUCGAUAAAUCUAAAUGUACGAAUCUUUCUAAACUCAAAUUUUAGAUGACCUCGGGAUUGAAAAAAUCACGUUCUAACUUACUGGUCGUGAUCUCAUUUUUAAAUCCGAGAUGGCUAAAAUAUCUUUUAAAUAAGCAUUUUUCAUUCGCGUAUCGAGAAUUUGAGAUAUUGUAUUCUAACUUACUGGAUAUGAUUCUCUUCCUCGAUUAACGUGAAAUAUAUUUCUUUUUCCAAAAAUUUUCAUUUUAAUACAAGGAUCGUAUUUUUAAUUCUUUCAAGUUCUCAAUUUUCGACAUCGAGACAUUAGAUAAUCAACUAGGUACCAAUUUCUGGGCGUUACGAGGGUGCUAAUCCUUCCUCGUACGUAACCGACUCUCGAACCCAUUUUCUAAAUUUCGUAGACCAAAACCGUUGUUUUAAUAAAAUCAAAUUAUUUAUUAAAAACAACCUUUUUCCAAGGUGACCCAAUCACACCUCAAAAAGGAUUGGUGGCGACUCCCUUUUUCAUUUUCAAAACCCAAGUCGACCCCGUUUUUCAAUCAAAAAAAAUGGUGUCAACAAUACCCAUAGGUGAAAUGUAUUUAUUUUGAUGUUUUAUGGUAGAAUAUGAAGCUAGAAAUUAUGAUAAACAACUUUUGCUAGGUGAUUUUAAUUGAAAACGAGUAAAUUGACAUAAUCGGUAAAAAUACCUAAUGUUCAUAAGUACAUGUUAGAGUGAGAAUUUGAUGUUGUCAUAGAAGGGAAAAAUGUUCAGCAUGUUAUAAAACAUAAGAAUAAGAGAUGAAGUUUAAUUUUCGAGCCUUGGGGCAAAAAUGUAAUUAUGCAAAAGUUUAGGGGCAAAAUCAUAAUUUUGACAAAGUUAGACUCGAGGGCUGUUUUGAUAAAUGUGAGUAUUAAAUGAGUUAAAUUUUCUAAUUUAGAUCAAGAAGAACGGAACUCGAGGUUAGACAAAGGGAAGAAUAAAGUUGAAGGCUAAGUUGGUGAAUUUGGCUAUAAUUGGUAUCGAGGUAAGUUUACAGUAAAUAAAUGCAAUAUUUCAAUAAUUAUUAUUAAUGCUGCUAUUUUCCAGCAACUAUGAAUUUAUUUCAUGAAUUUAUUUGAUGAUGAUCCGAGCAUGAAAUGAUAAAGAAUUAAUAUUAAAAAGUCCCGUUGAUACAUAAGGAUGGUACUGGAUACGAAUGUCAUGACAUUUGGGUAAAGAGGUCCCAUGUAAGACCAUGUCUGGGACAUGGCAUUGGCACUGAGAUGAGAGGUCUCAUGUAAGACCAUGUUUGAGACAUGGCAUUGGCACCGAGACCAUGUCUGAGACAUGGCAUUGGCAUCGAGAUGAGAGGUCCCAUGUAAGACCAUGUCUGGGACAUGGCAUUGGCACUGAGAUGAGAGGUCCCCCGUAAGACCAUCUCUGGGACAUGGCAUGGGCACCGACAUGAGUACAUCCCAUGUAAGACCAUGUUUGGGAUAUGGCUUUGGCAUGUUAUUAUCAGAAGAGACCCGAGUAUCCUUAUUAUUCCAAUGUAGCUCAACGGGUUAGUAAACAACUCAUGUUCAUGAAAGUUCAGUUAUAAGCAUAAGUGGCAAGCUCAGGUAAGUUAUAAGAGUUAAGAACUUAUGAUAUUAUCAAUUAAUACUCAACGUUUCAGCAAGGGAAGAGUAAGUUAUAAUCACAAGGUAACUAAGUAGACAAGCAAGAGAAUGAGAAUGAGAUUAAUUAAAGAGUAAAUUAGAGAUCUUGACAUUUGAGUAUAAUCAUUUGUGUUAAAUGUUGUUAUUUAUUUGCUAGUAAACUUACUAAGCUUAAUGCUUACUUCUUUUAUUUUUCUUUCUCUUAUAGUAUUGCCAAGCUACUUCAAGGAUCCUAAAGAAGUCGGAGAUCGUCCACACUAUCAACCACAACUGCUCGGUAUUUUAUGAUGAAACACGUUUGAGUUAUGGCAUGUAUAGGGAUUUAGUUAUUUUGUAUGUUUGUAAUUAUGAUUUUGCUAUAGAAUGAUGCAUAAGUAUUUGAUGAUGAAUGGUUGUUUAAAUGGCCAAGGAGGAAGAUGUUUGUUGUUAUAAAAGUCUAGGUGAUAAAUUAUGCAUGGAAAUUAUGAAAGGGUAAAAUUUUGCAAAGAAACAGAAUUCAGGCAGCAACAGUGACGUGAAUUUGAAAAAUCACCUAGGAUGGUAUAAAAUGAAUUAGAGGGUGAAUGAUAUAUGGAGUUAAAGCUUGUUGAGUCUAUUUUCAAAUAAAAAUAACGGUUUAACAAAAUUAAUUUUAUAUUUUGAUAUAUGUGUAUUUUAGUGAGAAAGGGUCAGAUCUAUUUUUUUGACUCCCCUGUUAAGAGUUUAGAAAAUCAUUAAAAAUUGUAAAAAAAUGGUUAAGAGUUAUAGUUUAUAUGUAUAGAUUCCUUAUUGAGUCUAUUUUAUGUAGAAACAAGUAAGGACUUUAUAUGAAAAUCCUACAGUGAGAAAAAUUAUUUUUAGUGGCAAGAGGUCAGAACAGUCAGGUGGUGAAACAGGGGAGACUUUAACUAAUAAACUGUACUAAUUGGCUGAACCAAAAAUUCUAAAAAUUUUAUGGUAAGUAGAAAUGUGAGUCUAGUUUCAGGUAAAAUUUACAUAAUUAAAUUUUGAGUUUUUUAGCUCGAGUUAUACUUAAUUUAGUAACUGCUGCGCGAUUGGACAGAUUUGCUGUAAAUAGUGAAAUAAAUUUUCAAACCAAGUUUUUAUGCUCCGAAUUAGAAAGAUAAGCUAAGUAAUGCCUCGUGCUCGAUUCCGGCAACGGUCUUGGGUAACGGGUCUUACAAUGUCGCACUUGCAUCACCAGACACGGUGGUGCCGGUGGCUGCGACAGCGGCGUCUCAGUGGGCGAUGGCGAGUGGUUGUCGGUAGUUGAGCAGUGGAAGAGUUACACUCCUAUUGGGACUCUACCAGAGAAUUUAAUUUCAGAUUAACUAUUUUAAAAAUAAAAUUAUUUUAAUAGUUUAAUAUUUAAUUUAAUUUAAUACCUAUCUUAAUAGUAAUUUUUUUAAUUUAAUAUUAAAGUGAUUAAGUUUAAUCAUAGUUGAACUCUCUAAACUCUUCCUAUAUAAAGAGAGCCAUGGGUUAUUAUUUUCACAUACUUGAAUUUAAGGGAAAGUUGUAGAGAGAAAAUUCUCUGAAGAUAUUAUUCUAGAAAAUUUGUAGAGAGAAAUUUAUUUUUCGCUGCAUUUUCUAAACUCGUUUUUCCAACAUAACACUAAUAUAAGCAAUGUGCUUAUGAAAGAGCUUGGGUGGUAAACCUUUUGUGAGCGGAUCCUCUAUUAUAGAGUUUGUCUCAAUGCGUUCUAUGGAUAUUUGUCCACUUUGCACUCUCUCUUUCACAACUUAGAAAUUUAUGUCAAUUGACUUAGUUGAGCUCCUGUUGUUGUUGGAAUAUAGCACCCCUAACUUAUUGUCACAAAAUAAUUUGAGUGGUGUUUCUACAUUCUCCAAAAUGCACAGCUUAGUGACAAAGUUUUGCAACCAUAUUCCAUGGUUUGAUACCUCAUAACAUUCUACAAUUUGCUACCAUAAUGGAAGAAGCUACAAGUGUCUAUUUGACAUUUUUCCAAUAUAUAGCUCCUCCAGCUAACAGGUAAAUAUAGUCUGAUAUAGAUUUCUUGCUAUCUUAACACCCAACAAAAUUAGAACCAAAAUACCCUACGACCUCCAAAUGAUUUGAUCUCUUGUAAGUGAGCAUGUAAUCUUUUAUUCUCUAAAGAUACCUCAUAACCCUCUUGGUUGUUAUCCAAUGGUCCAUACCAAGGUUGCUUAAAUGUCUACCUAACAUCCUAACAAUGUACACAAUAUCUAGACGCGUACAUACUUGAGCAUACAUUAAACUCCCAACAACUAAUGCAUAGGGCAUCUUUUGCAUUUCCUUAAUUUCAAGGUUACUUUGUCUCUUUUAGCAACAUUGGUGUCAUUUGGUCUACAACCGUACAUGUCAAACCUUUUGAGUACUUUAUCAAUAUAGAUCUUUUGUGACAAUCCAAAAAUAGCACAAGAUCCGUCUCAAUGUAUUUGAAUUCUUAAAAUAAAAGAGGCGUCCCAGUAUCUUUCAUCUCAAAAUGCUUAGAUAAAAAACCUUUUGGUUCCAUGCAAUAAGCCUAUAUCAUUAGUGGCAAGCAAAAUGUCAUCGACAUAUAGAACCAGAAAUAUAUAAAUAUAUACUUACUCCCACUGAAUUUGUUAUACACAUAAUCAUCAACAAUAUUCAUUUCAAAACCAAACAAGACAAUUACUUGAUUAAACUUGUGGUACCCUUGACGGGAAGCUUGUUUGAGUCCAUAGAUGGAUUUUGUUAAUUUGCAAACCAUAUUCUUUGGGUCUCUCAACUCAAAGUUUUCUGGUUGCACCGUAUAAAUUGUUUCUUCAAUGUCGUCAUUGAGAAACGUAGUCUUAACAUAUAUCUGAUGUAAUUAUUUGUACUUCUGAAAUCUUCCCCCUACCACUAUUAAGCAUUCAUGUUUAAUUCUUACCUUUACUACCCUUCUUUCUUUCCCUUUUUAUACUUUUGAGAUACCUAUCACCCAUUCUGCAUUUAUCUGCCAACCUGAACUUAUCCACAAUACAUAAACUAUUUAUAACAUAAAGGACUAAGCCAGACAAAAGUAUCAUGCAUAUGGGGGCUAUUUCUCAAUUUUCAAUGUCUAUAGGACCAACUAAACUGUACUCUGAUACCACUAAAUUGAAACCCCUUACCUAACCAGUUCGCCGGGUCCAGUACUAGAUGUCACAAUUAAACCCAUCCAAUAUACACUACAAUAAACUUAACUAGCCAAGUUUUAUUUGAUAGAUAAAUAAAUUUUUUUUACUAUAUAAACACAUCAAAUAAAGAAACAUUUACAAAUACUUCAAUGUAAUUAUCUAUUAAAAAUAAUCCAAUAGUCACCAUAUGAGUUGUUGCUUAAUUGCUCACUAUAAAGAUUUACUUCAACUUUACUAUAUAACAAUUUAAUUAUACAUGACAUAUAUCAACUCAAGUUCUAUUAAUAUUUCAAACCCUCAAGCAGAACCUAUAAGGAUGCCCCCUAUAUGCACGACACCAUAACCUGCAUAUCCUCUUAGACUCCACAAGGUCCGACUUGGUCUCUUCCAUGCUUUCUAUGCAUUCCUUGGUCUUGCAUCCAAGGCAGGUGAUAACACUCUAGAAUAAUAUAUUUUUAUGUAUUAAUUAUGUAUUUAUUCUGAGUAUGAUCCUGCUAAUUUGAGCUAUUUAUGAUCUUUUAUCUCAUAGGGACUAAAUUUGAGGCAAAAGUGAAAUUAAGGGCCAAAAGCGUGAAUUUAGAGAUAAAAUUGGUCAAUGUGCGACACAAGGAAAAGUUGAUGCCAAAAGUGCAAGCAUGGAGGACACAAGGGUUGAAAUGCAAAAAGAAGAGAUUUUAUUCUAUUAAACUCUAUUAAUUAUAUUAGGAUAAUUAAUGUUGAGAUAAUUAUUAAAGAUUAUUUUUAGGAUUUUAUUUUAUCUUUAUUUAUCUUCAAUUAAAUGUAUUUUUCUUUUAGGAAUUUAAGUAGGAUUAGAAUAUCUCCCCUAGCACUAUAAAUAGGGGGUAAAGUGACUCAAAAGGGGAUUCAUCUUUUCUUCUUCUGUAAACACUCUGUCCCCAAAAGUCUAGGCUUUUGUUCUUUUCAUAUUUCCUUUCAAUAAAAUCUUUAUUUUUAUUUUAUUUAUUUUCUUUUCUACCACAACCAUGAGCCACUAAACCCAUCUAGCUGAAGGUUGUCAAAAAUCCCCAAAAGGGUUCAUGAGGCUUAGAAUCCGUACUUAGCCUCCUCGCUGAGUAUUCAUCGUUUCUCCGCACUACGGGGCUGACGCUUCCGUCCAAGUCCCUUAAGAAGUAAGUUUUUCAACGUACGCAAAGGCGGCCGCUUUGUAUGUUUUGGGAAGGUUGCACAGUCGGUUCGUUAGCUUACUGCGUCAGAGGUUGGCGAGCCCAAGAGACAAAAUGGCGUGGGAUUCGCCAUUGAGAAGCGUUGAUUUAGCAUAAGACGAUCCCAUAGAAGCGAUUGUUGGCUAGAGUCAGGUUCCACUAAAUUGUAAGUCUAAAUCCUUGGAGCUGGUGGUCGUAGGCGUCCUCUUCCACUAUAAUUGGCUUAUUAGGUUUGGGAAGGAUCAUUUAAAAGCCGAGGAUUGAACCCAAGGCGGAACGAGACAACUGGAGGCUGGAAUCUCCCAUAAGAAUUUUCUUUCUCUUAACUCUAUUUUUAAUUUCUCAAAUUUUCAAUUCAAUAUUCUUAAUUCUGUUUUUAUUUUAUUUUUCGUUUCUAAAUCCCAUAAUUUAAUUCUUCUAUUAUUUUUCUUUUUUUUAGGAACGCAGGUUGUCUUGGGCAAGACUCUGCUUGGGAUUUCACGGAACAAGAUAUUUUGCGAGUCCAGUCCCUGAGGAUUUGACCCUACUUCCAUUUUACUAUUAUUUUUCAUUAUUUAUUAGGGAUAGGAUAUUUUUGGUGCUUUCAACGACCGCAUCAGCAGGCCACUUAUAAGUUCAUGCGAACUUAGUGAGGUUCCAUAUGUUCAUCACUACAUAAAAGAAUCAAUAAAAAGAAUUCAUGUAUAUAAUUAAAACUCUCUAUUUUUCAUUUAGACUUUAGCAUCUGCUGUUGUGUUUGAUGUUUAUAUGUUUUCCCUUUACAACUUCUAACAGACACUUUACAACAAUACAACUUCUUAAUAGAUACUCCUUAGCGACUCAUACCAUAGUCUCAAGCUUCAUCUCAGAUUUUCCAUUCUUCUUGCUUGAUAUUCUAUUGGACAUUUCAUCUUUUGGAUGGAUGUUUAUAUAUUUACCCACCUAGAUAACUUGACGAAUUAUUAUAUAUUACAUUGAGAGUGCAAAUUUUUUUCAUCAUCUUUACCUUCAUGAAGAUCUUGAUGUAGGUAUACGAUCUUGUUAUCUUUUCACUUGUUUAUUGCCCCUUUGGAAAAUUUAGUGCAGUUGAAAAAUCCCAUGAAUGCUUGACCUUAUCAGUAGGCAGUUUAAGCCUAAAAUCUGGUAGACCAUCGAUAAUAAACCCCUUUUAUAGAUAGUCAUAUGAGAUAGUCCUUAUGGCAUUACAAUUCCGAGAUAAUCCUAGCAAACUUCAUUUUACUUCAAUAAUACACGACAGAGUUUUAGAACAGAUAGUCCUUAUGGACAUCCCACAAGAUAAUCCAUGGUGGACUUCUUUUUACUUUGAUAAUACACGACAGACUUCUAGAACAAAUAGUCCCUAUAACCGUCCCACAAGAUAGUCCAUGGCAGACUUUCCAGAUAUGAUAAUCUUGACAAAUAUUCCAAACUACUAGAUAGUCCAUCUGGACCUUUCCACCUAAACUAGGUUCUGAUAGAACUUUAAUUCAUUUAGUAGUUCUCGUGAACAGUCCUGUCUUUUGGCAAAUCUUUGACUAACUUUACCAAAUAAGAUAGUCCCCAACUAACCUUCCAUUUAAGAUAGUCCUUUUUGGUGAACCCUGAAUGGUGGAUACCUAGUUACAAAUACUCUAUAAAGAAAAACCCUCCUCCAUACAUAUCCACGUAUGCAACACUUUCAUAUAUCUUUCUUACCUUCAUAACUUGGCGAAGCCUUAUCUCAGCAAUUUCACCAAUGCUUCUAUAUUUGACAUAAUUAUCCUAACUAAUUUCCUUGUUCGUUGUCCUGAUGGACUUUAUAAUCACGCGAAUCAUUUCAUAGUUCUCCUGUAUAUGUCAUGUUUUCUAUCCUAGCGGACUUUAUAUGUUGUCACAGCCCAGCUAUGGUUUUACACUAUAUGAUGCCAUAAUUUAGCAAUGGUCUUACACUAUUACAGGCUUAAAGCCUCCGAUCGAUGCCAUGGCCUUACACAUCAUUAUUGUUGUCACCCAUCCAUUCCCCCUCAAAUCCUCCUUGUUAAUUCGAACACCUAAAUAUUCACUUACAAGGCCAGGAAAUCACCUAUUUCAGUUGCAACACAUGCCAAAACGAAUUACGAAAAAACUAACAAAAAUUCUAUUUCCUAAUCCAUUCGUUCAUUCCUCCACAAUGACAAUUCCUACUCCAACUAACCCGGCAAUCAAUUUGCUCCGUACUCCAUAAUUCAUGAACACACAUAACACACAACAAUACAUUCAAAAUAUAAUAUGGAAUACACCACACCCAUUUCACAGAUACAACACAUAACAUAUUCUUAGAAAACAUAUUUUCAUCCUUCAUGUAGUCAAAAAACUAACACAUACAUAACACAUCCAAUCAACAGAAAUCCUAUAUCAUCACUGAACUCAACAUAGAAUCACAUCAGUCAUACAACAUCCAGACCAACACCCAAAUAUGGAGUAUGGAAACCCACCUGAUGUCUCUCUACUUUGCCAACUUAGCUUUUGCAAAUGCCAAAACCUCCUUUCUCUUGGUAGCUACGUAUGACAACCAAAAACACAAAUUAAAUCGAAGCAUUUAUGCUUCCAAAACCCAGAAACCAAAAUUCUCAGAAUUCUUUCAAAAGUUAUAGAAAUCUAUAUAUUCUCUUUUUCUCAAAUCCACAAGCACAGGAAGACUAAGAGGCUUACCAGUACACUAGAUUAUCUAUUUUUCUGACUCAAAUCCCAUGACUAUCACUGCAUGCAGAGUUUUCUUUAGCUUUCUCUUCUUCAGUGUAACCGAAGAAGUUGAAGAAAAAAAAAAUAGAACGGAAGAACAAGAAGCAGAAUAGAGAAAAUCCUCCUCUACAGAACAACCCUUCUCACUAUAUAUAUAACCACUACAUGCUCGAUCACCAACUCCCAUAGACACCAUACAUUGGCAAUCUUUUGUCUCCCACUAAGUAACAAAUCGGUUUUGUUGCAACCAAACUAGAACUAGAACCAACUGCUUGCUAACCAACCACUGGAAUUUCCAAAUUCUCACAAUUGAGUCUGCUGAACUAGUAGUUUCUUACAGUUAACUCUCACAUUGUCCCAAUUCAGACCUUAAUAAAGACCGGGUGUGACAUGUUGGGGAGAGCUUAGUCACAAUACUGUAGUGGAAUGACUUCAUGACUAAAUAAGUUUAUAAUUAAUAGGCGAAAAGUUGGAACUUAAUUAUAAAUCACUUAAUCCUCAAUCGCAUAUGUCCAAUUGCUCCAUAUUUUAGCUCGUUGAAACUAGAAAUGAAUUGUAUGUUAAAUCAAAUUAAAAAGAGGAAUAAAAAUGGUGAAAAUGGAGAAAUGAGAAAUCAUUUGAAAAUGAAAAUAGAGAAAUUGAAACAUUUGGAAAUGAUUAUGGUUUUCUCCAAAAUGAAAAUGAAAAUGAAAAUGGAGAAAUAAAAUCAUUUAGAAAUUAAUGUGGUUUUCUCCAAAAUGAAAAUGAAAAAUUAAAAUGACCUGAAAAAUGAAUUUAUGUUUUUUGAAUUAAAUGAAGUUUGAAAAUAAAAAAUAAAUCAUUUGGUCAUAGUGAAUUGUUGAAUAUAAAAAAUUAAAUACAUUUUCUCAUAGAUUCUUUUACGGUAAAAUCGUCAUGAUUUUAAUAGAAUUAGAAUUAGGUUGAGAAGAUUAUUUAAUUGGAAAUAUAUUGAGAAGUUUAUUUUGGAAAAUAAAAAAAUAUCGGGUUGGAUCAAAUUAUAAAGUAUUGGGUUAAAAGUCCGGAAAGUACUUAUAAUUGGAUCCGAUAUGGGAGUGGCUUAAAAGCCCCUCAUGUUAAAGGGGUGGACACUAACUAGGGCUGUCGCCUCUUAUACUUCUAGUUAUACUAGGAGUUCAUUUUUCUAGUUGAAAUAAACUUUUACAAUUCAACAAGGGUUCUACCUUCUCUUUUUAUAAAGAGAUGACACUGGCAGGACUAUUGACACAACUUAAAAGUAUUAUUACUCUAUUCGAAAAUAGAGAGAAUUUAUUCUAAACUAUUAAAUCUAUUUUCUGGAUUAACAAUUAUGUCGGUCUCUAUUUGAGAAGAGAUUUUUUUUUGUUUUUACACUAAAAAAAAAAGAAAAUUGUUUUUAGUUUUGUGUUUGAUUCAAUUUGUCCAAGCCCACAUUCGAAGCAGUUCGUGGUACGAAAAUAGCAGAGAAUAUCGUUUGGUUGAAAGUCGAGAACGAAAAGAAUUCGUCUAUUCAAAAACACAAGUGCGAAUUCGGUCUAGGGUUUAUUGUUAUAAAUAUCACAAACCUGGUCGAUUUUCAAAAUUUUUAUUUUUCGCUGUGUGAAAAUCGUUUUUGAACCGGAUAUUUUCCAACACAGACUAUGAUGGGAAAUGAUGGGUUGAACGCUGCCACCUUUCAUCUGAUCAUCGAAGCAGUUCGUGGUACUAAAAUAGCGAAGAAUAUCGUUUGGUUGAAAAUCGGGAACGAAAAGAAUUCGUCUAUCUGAAAACACAAGUGCGAAUUCGGUCUAGGGUUUAUUGUUAUAAAUAUCACAAACCUGGUCGGUUUUCAAAAUUUUUAUUUUUCGUCGUGCAAGAAAACCGUUUUUGAAUCAGAUAUUUUCCAACACAGACUAUGAUGGGAAACGAUGGGUUGAACCAACCUUUCAUCUAAUCAUGAUCGUGUUGAAGAAGAAGAAGAUGGAGGAGGCAUGUCAAGUGGCAGAUUUCAUGAGAGUCGCCGGAGUUUUGCCCAAUGUGAUGGCAUAUAAUUUUUUUACUGACGGCGUGCUGUUAUGAGUGUAAGUUGAUGGAGGCGAGCACGGUGGAGAAAUAAAAGUUUGGGGGUUGGGUUUUUGUUUUAAAUUUACACAAAUUUUUAAAAAUUAAAUAUUUUCAUUCUGUAAAUGUUGAGGGUUAAAUUUUUUGAUUUUUUUAGAAUUUGAACUACAAUGACAAAUUUUGUAAACAUUGAGGGUUAAAUUUGUUGAAUUUUUAUUUUUAGGCUCAAAUUAAUAGAAUGUGUAAGCAUUAUAGGGCUAAAUUUGUUAUUAGACCAAUAAAAAAACCCACUUUAGCACUUCUGUCAAAUUUCAAACGAAUGCUAACGUUUAGUGACCAAAAAAAUUGAUUUCAAAUAGUUUAGUGACUAAAUAGAAAAAAUUAAAAGCUUAAAUAGUUUAGUGACUAAAUCGAAAAAAUUAAAAGCUUAGUAACCAAAAUAGAACACGACCAAUAGUUUAGUGACCAUUUCUAUACUUUACCUAUUUAAUUAAUCGUAAGGAUUUUCUUUGCUUUUAGCUUAGCAUGGAAGAUUCUAAGAUCAUAUAAUAAAAAAAUUGUGUUUCAUAGAUAAUUAAUAAAGAUGAGUUAUUUGAGUUGAUUAUAUUUUGGAAAUAUAAAAUAAAAUUUAAAAUUUUAGAAGAAAAUUAAAUAAAUUAUUUUUAAUAUUAUAGUAACAAAUUGGUUAACACUAUCAAGUGAUGAAUUUUUUUCAAUAAUUUAUUAAAUUGAUUUUGAUGUCUUGAAAUUUAAAAUUUCAAUAAAAAAGUUAGAACUUUCGACAAUAGGGUAAACAUGUGCAAUUUGAAAGCGGCCUAGAAGUUGGGUGAUCAAAAUGAAAGUGUAAACAUAAUGUGACAUGUACAAUUAAUCGUUGUUAGAAAUUUAACACUUAGAUGACUAAAAUGAAAGCAAUUUAAAAGUGGGGUGAUAAAAUUACAAAAAGUUUAUUUUUGAUGACCAAAAUUAAAACACCCUAAAAGUUGGGUGACUAACUAGAUAGCUUACCAACUCAAGGCAUUAUUCUUAUUAAAUUUUCUACAUCUCUCCAUACUAUUAUUUAAGUUCAUGACUGAGUUGGUGACGCGGUUGGUGUCACCCUCAACCGGGUCACCAACUCGGUUAGAGAAAUUACGGACAUGCUUUUUUGUAAUUAAAAUAAAUUAUACUACUUGGGGUAUUUUAAUAUUUUUAAUUUUAAAAAAACAAUAAAAAUAAGCAUAUUAAGGGGUUUGAACCCAAACCAAUUGUAUUAGUAAAACUUUAAUUUAUCAUGCAACUAGAGCAUUAUGUUAAUAUUUUUAUACAUUUUAAUUUUAUUAUGCACUAUUCAUUACUUCCAUCAUUUGUAUAUAUUAAUAAUGUAUUUAAUUGAGUUGGUGUUACAAGUUAACUCGACACUGACUCAAGAUUAAAGACAACACAAUGAUAAAUAAUUUAAUUUAAUUUUUUUAAUUUUAAUACUGUACAUAUUUCAAUAUGUGUUAUUAUUACUUAGUUAAAAAUCAUGCAUUAUAUUAUUUAUUACACAUUAUUUUUAAACAUACAUUUAUAGUUUCCACGCAUAACUGCGUAUGAUAAACUUUAUAAGAAAACAUAAUGUUUCUCCAUUUAAACAAAUUCACCAAGUUAUUACUUAAAAAAUGAUGAUAUUAUUAUCAUAUUUUUUUAAUAACUAAUACCAAGUUAGGUUUAAGUAAAAGAAACUCUUUUAAAAUUCAAGUAUUACUCUUUAAACACCUCUGAUCUUAGUGGCCUUUUUUCCUUUCUUUGCCUUGCCUUGGUAUAUAUAUAUAUAUUUUUUUUACAAAAGAGAGAUUAACUCUAAUUAAUAAAAAACGAAAUUACAUUACAUCAGGUAGAUCAUCAUGUAAAGACUGAAGGAUUUCAUCCGGGGGUUGCAUGAAUGUAACCUUGCCAAAAGGUGUUGAGAAAGCCAUUUGUGCCAAACCGUCCACUACCUUGUUGCCUUCUCUGAAAGCAUGUAUUAAGUGAAUUGUCGAAUUACGUUGGAGAAGCUCUUUGAUGUUACGGAUCACAAAAGAAUCAUAUUGCUCUUUUCCAUAUUCUUGAAUUUCUUGAAUUGCUUCUUUACUGUCUGUCUCAAGCACCAUUUUCUUCAACCCGAGACUCCACGCUAUUUGGAGCUCAUCAAGUAUACCUCAGAGCUCAGCCAUGAGUACCGAGCAACUCCCGAGAUUUCUUGUGAAGCUUGCAACCCAUACUCCAACCUGGUUACGGAUUAAUCCACCCACAGUAGCAGUCCCUGAAAGUUGACACAUAACACCAUAAGUAUUCACCUUCUUCCAUCUAGUGGUUUACGUCUUAUGGCUUUACAAGAAUCAGCAUUUAUACGCCUCAAUGUCUGGUUCAACCCAUGGUUUGCAUUAAGAAAAAUGUCUUUCAUCCAACAACUUUUUCCCAAAAACACUAUCGGUUUCCAUAAACUCAGCAUGAAAUACAUAAUUAUUUCUCCUAAUCCAAAGUUGCCAACAGAUACUACCAAACAGUGUUACCCAACCGCUAGGAAUACAGGCAAAAUAUUCACGAUCAGAUAGAUUUUUAACAAACCAUUCUUCCAAGCUGAGACUCAUGUCUCGUUUCCACCUUAGUAACAGAAAGCCAAGUUUCCACAGCUGGGGUACAAAAUCGCAGUACAUGGUCAGUAUUUUCCAACGCGCUUCCACAAACCAUAUAACUUGCAUCAGUAAUCAUUUUUCUUCUCACUCUGUUCUCAUUGGUUAGAAUUCUAUCUAAAAAAUGAAAACACACGCCUUUUGAGGAACUCGAAUGUGCCAAAUCCGAUGCCAAAUCCCAUCGUAUCUGCUCCUUUCCACCCCCACAAUUAGUAGCGUAGACAGAUCACACUGAAAACAAAUUCUUUUUAUCGUGAACCCAACUUGUAGAGUCAUCAACGUCGUGAUCUGAUGGAGGCUUAUAAGUUGAGAUGUUUAGGAUGACUGGACGUGGCAGAACCGAGUUAAGAAUAGACCAAUUCCAAUCCCCACUCGGCGUAACAAGCUCCUUCAUAGAGACAUGCUUCUUAGGAAUGCCUUCGGGUUGUGUACAACUGUUUACUAGGGAACCUUGUAUAACUUUAAUUAACUUUUAGAUAAAUACAAUUCUUUUAACAUCUACAGUAAAAAUUAAAUUUCCAGCUAAUAUCAUAUAGUUUGGUAAAUACAUCCAACAAAUAAAAAAUUAAUAUGGUGGAUGCGAAUAAUAUUAUAGUAAGAGGAUUUGGAGAGAGAUUUAAAAUUAUAUAAAGAAAAUUAAGACUAAACUUAGAUGAAGCUGAAUAUACCCUAAACGCUAAGCAAAUUAUAUAAAAACCAAGCCAUACAUUGUGUAAGUGAACAUGUCCGUGAUGCUCUUGAUCUCUGGGUUGUCCAUGAAGUGCAGCUGGCCACCUUUCGUCACUUUCAAUAAAUUUUAUUUGGAUCGACCCACUCUAUGUGAAGCAAUAUAGGAUAAUCUUCGAUUAAGGAUAUGAUGGAUCCAUAAUUUUACUUUGUUUAACAAAUAUUCUUAUUCUUGUUUCUUCCUCAUUUAUUUAUCCUAUAAUAUCACCCAUUCCAUGCACGGAUUUAAAAUUGUUGUUCCUCUUCCAUUUUCUUUCUUCUUUAAACAACCAAUGCAACUCUUACAAAUUACAUCCAUCAACAAAUAACAUAUUAUUCUAUUAGCAAUGUAUUUUGAAUUAUGAAUAAAUUAAUAAUUUUAACAACUUUAUUCUAUUAACAUAAAUGAUGCUUUUAACUAGAUUACAAAUAUUUAAUAUAUAUUAAAAAUAUUUGUCGAGAAAUUCUUUGAUUUGAAACUUUAAAGAGUACAAAUAUAUGCUAGUGUGAGUAAAGGCAUGGAGAAAGUCAAAAAUUAGUAUCAUUGAUGGGAAUGAAGGAUUUCCAUUAGAAAAGUAAAUGGAGAUACCAAACUUGGAUGGACUUGAAGUCCUCCAAAGACAAAUAUGGGGAUAAACUAGCAUAUGAUAGCACUAUAAAUAUACAUUUCAGAUGCAUCCAUUCUCCAUUUCAGUUUUCAUAGCUACCAACAUGAAGCUUGUAGCAGCCAUGGACGCCUUUGAUUCUUUCAUGCCAUACUUACUCCACUUGGUGCUUCUAUACGUCUCUGCCGGUCUCUUUUACUUUCUUUACAAAUACAAAUCUAGCGGCGGCGGCGGCCCCACCCCCAACCUCCCUCCUGGUAAAAAGGGUCUUCCAUACAUCGGUGAAACCUUGGAUUUUGUAUUGGCGUCCAGAAGGGGAACUCCAGAGAAAUUCGUGACUGAUAGAACUACCAAAUAUUCACCUGAUGUGUUUCGCACAUCACUGCUUGGAGAAGACAUGGCCGUCUUCUGUGGCUCCGCUGGUAAAAGUUCCUUUUCUCCGGCCAAAACAAAUAUGUCACUUCAUGGUGGCCGGAUUCUAUUAAGAAAGCUUUGACGGACCCAUCUAGUGUUGACUGUUGACAAUUCUUCCAAAGAAGAAUCCACUAAACUUCGAGCUUAUCUGCCUCCUUUUCUCAAGCCUGAGUCCCUGCAACAUUUCAUACCAGUCAUGGAUAUAAUGGCCAAAGAGCACCUAAAUCAACAUUGGUCGCCGUAUAAUGAAGUCCAAGUUUUCCCACUCUCCAAGAAGUACACGUUCGCACUGGCUUGUCGUCUUUUCAUGAGCGUCACGGAUUACGACGAGAUAGAGAACUUCGCGAAGCCAUUUGCUCUUGCCACUGCGGGUCUCAUGUCGGUUCCCAUAGAUCUUCCAGGUACAACUUUCAAUCGGGCAGUGAAGGCCGGCAGACUGAUUCGACAACGGCUUUUAGCCCUCAUUACCCAGAAGAAAAAUGAGAUAUUGGAGAAAGGGAAAACAGUAGCCUCAGACUUGGUUGACAGCAUGCUGAUGGAUGGUAUGACUGAGGUUGAGAUCGGCAAUAAGAUUGUGGGCUUCUUUAUUGCCAGCCAUGACACAACAAGCACUGCCAUCACCUUCAUUGUUAGCUAUCUUUCGGAUUAUCCUGAAGUAUAUAACAGGGUCCUUGAAGGUACGUGAUUUAGCUUGAUUUUAAGCACCCAUGACAUUGGAAUGGGACUAUUCAUGAAUAAAGUAAUGUUUUCAACUAAUUGCUGGGAAUAUGCAGAACAAAUGGAAGUAUUAAGAUGCAAGGAGGCAGGGGAGCCGUUGAGAUGGGAAGAUAUACAGAAGAUGAAGUAUACUUGGUGCGUGGCAUGCGAAGAAAUGAGGUUGGCUCCGCCUGCUAAUGGAUCUUUCAGAGAGGCCAUAACCGACUUCACUUACGCAGGUUAUACAAUCCCAAAGGGAUGGAAGGUAACUAAUACCUAUUUUUUUUAAAAAUAAAAUAAUGCAACCAUAUAUAAUAAAUAUUGAUUUAAUUGUACUAAAAUGGUCAGGCGUUUUGGAUGGUGCAUACAACGCACAAGAAUCCGAAAUACUUUACGGAUCCAGAGAGAUUUGAUCCAUCAAGGUUUGAAGGGAAUGGUCCUGCACCCUACUCCUUUGUACCAUUUGGGGGAGGUCCUCGAAUGUGCCCUGGCAAGGAGUAUGCUCGACUCGAAAUCCUCACUUUCAUCCGCAAUCUGCUUACCACUUUCAAAUGGGUUAAACUCAAUCCCAAUGAGAAGAUUUCCUACAUUCCAUCACCCAUUCCUAAGGAGGGUCUUCCCGUCAAAAUGCAACCCCUUCUAAAUUAAUUGUUCCUAUUUAAUAACUUUUCCACAAGUGAGUUAAAUGUCUCACUCUUAUUUUUAAUUAUCGAUAGGGUUUCAAAACUCUAUAAAUGCUUGAUGUAAUAAUAUCUUUUAGGGUAAACUACACCCAUGGUCACUUUUGUUUACCUUAGGUUACAUUUCAGUCACUUAUGUUUGAAAUGUUACGUUUUAGUCACUUACGUUAUUGUGUUGUAACAUUUUAGUCACUGAGCCGUUAAUUGUCGUUAAUGGUGUAAUGGUAAGCUGACGUGGCACGUUAAAUUAUCAUUUCAAACAAAAACUUUAGGUUAAAUUAUACAAUUGGUCCCCAUAAUUUUUCGUUUUGAGCAAUUUAAUUCUUUUAUGUUCUUUUAACUUUCUUUCUUUCUUUUCUUUAUUUUCCAUUCUCUUUUGCUUCUUCCUCUGUUUUCCUACCUUCUUUUUUUUCUUUUAACAUACCAGGAAGUCGAAUUGGUAGUGAAGAAAGAAGCAUGGUAUGGGUUUAUGGAUUUUGGUUAUAGGCAAAUGAUGACAGUCGACUUCCUACUUAUUUUUUCACUGCCAAUUCGACUUCCUAAUAUGUUAAAAGAAAUGGGAAAGAUAUGAAAACAGAGGGAGAAACAAAAGAGAAUGGAAAAAAAGAAGAAAGUUUAAAAAACAUAAAAGAAAAAAAUUAAAUUACUUAAAACGAAAAAAAUAUGGGGAUCAAUUGUAUAAUUUAAACUAAAAUUUUGUUUGGAAUGAUGAUUUAACGUGCCACGUCAGCUUACCGUUACACCAUUAACGACGAUUAAUGGCUCAAUGACUAAAAUGUUACAACAUGAUAACAUAAAUGACUAAAACAUAACAUUUCAAACAUAAGUGACUAAAACGUAACCUAAGGUAAACAAAAGUGACUAUGGGUGUAAUUUAUCCUAUCUUUUAAAUAAAUUAUACAAUCAGAAAUAAAUGGCCAGUGCCUCGUUUGGGAAAACUAUGGGUUACUAAUUUGUCUCUAGUCAGCUUUCAUCCCUUUGGAAACCCACAGGUAAAAUCCAAUUUACAGGCUUAGGUCUUAACUACUUUAUUGUUUCCUUGCAUUAUAACUCUGAUUAGGAUUAUGUUAUGUUAUACAAAAUGGACCAUAGUUUAUUGGGGUCAUUUUCUUAUUGUGUGCAAAUGGGAGUCGAACCUUAGGGCAUCUACUGCUACAAUUUCCUAUGUUGCAGUUUGGUUAAAAUUAGGAGUGAGCAAAAUUUGAUUUGAUUCGAAAAGCUCGAUAAAAAAUUCAAAAUUUAAAUUAAAUAGUUUGAGUUAUUUGAAUUAAUCGAGUUAUUCGGAUCAACAUGAAUAAGAAAUCAAAUUUUUCGGCUUAACUCGAAUAGGAAUUACAUAAUUCGAGUUAUCUGAAAAUCUGAAUAAGAAAAGGAAAAACUACGUCGUUUUGAUAAAUGUUUACCUUUUCUAAAGUUAAAAGUCAAAACCAUUAAGUCAAAAGGCAAAACUACGUCAUUUUGAUAAAUGUUUACCUAUUAAGUUAAAAGCAAAACCAUUAUAUUUUUUAUAUAGUUAAAUAAUAUUGUACGUUGUCUACUAGUUAAAUAAUUGGUCCAUGUAAAUGCAACAUUGAGUAUAAUUAAUAGGAUUCGUUAACUUGAUUUGACUUGGCCCGAAAAUUUUUGACUCGAUUUGAUUUGAUUCGAAACGAUUUCAAAUUGAGUUCAAUUGCUAAAAUAGAAUUCGUCAACUCGACUAACUAGAAAUUUUUUGACUCGAUUGACUCAACUCGAUCGAAUGUUCACCCCUAGUUAAGAUCACCAGAAUUACCAGUUCAAUACUUUGAUGUGGAUAUUUUAAGAAAAUUGGUAGAGGUAUUGGAUCUCCCCUAAGAGUUGAUAGUCACACACUUGCUAAAGAAAAGGAUAGAUAUGGUCAUUUAUACGUUCAACUAAAUCUCCGUAAACUUCUUCCUCGUUUUGUUACUAGCGAAGGAUAUAAACAAGCUAUUUUUAUGAAGGUUUGAAUUCUCUCUUGUUGGAAGAUCAACCACUCUAUCGAAAAAUUUCAUGCUUCUACUUCUCCAUUUGUUAAUGCUAUUAACCAUUUAGAUCCAUCGCACUUGGAUGUUCAUACCACUAGUCCCUCUACUUUUGAUGGCUACGGUCCGUGGCUCAUUAUUCAAAGGAAAAACAAGCCAAAGCCGAAAGUAAUUGAUCUCAAGCCUACAACUAUUGAUCAAUUGUGAAGAAAAAUAUCUUGAAUAAAAAAGUGAAGGGCAAGGGAAAAAUUAUCUCAAACUCACCCAACUAUAAAUAUCCUUAAUCCCACUUUGCUUCCCCCAACAAAGCAAAAAGCUAUUAGCUUCCCCUAUGACACCAACAUCAAUUUUGAAUGGUCUAGUGGGAUACUACUGGCGAUUUGUUAAAGGAUUCUCGAUGAUAGCUCUCCCAUUGACUAAGUUACUACAGAAGAAUAUCAAUUUUGAAUGGUCCAAGAAAUGUCAGAAAUGUUUUGAGAAGUUGAAGACAAUGUUAACUAAGGCACCAAUACUAACACUGUAACAUCUCAUACCUGACCCGAUCAUUAGAUCCAAACUAUAGAAUGUCACAUUCGUUGUCGGAGUAAUUAUGAUUAAUCACAUGAAAAUUUCAACUUUAAAUGCCCAAAUGCUAAAAUUUCAACUUUAAACACGAAAACUAACCAUUUUUGGGUCAAAUAUGAGCUUAAGAAAGCUCAAUACCAUCCAUAGGUUGAACUAGGACCAAACUAAAAAGCUUUUAAAAUAUUUCAAGUGGGUGUUGCGACUUCCAAAGCUUGGUGUCACGUCAUUGAAGACAAUAGCCAAGCUUCCCAAUUUGAGGACCAAAUUACAAUUUUUUUAAAAUAAAACAGAGUCGACAUCGCGACCUCAAGCAGGAGCUGCUACGAUGAGAUGGCCUGAGGUUGCGGCAUUCAGGAUGUGAAGUUGCAACAUUGCAAGCAGACCACUAGGUUCCUGUUUCAAAUGUUUUCUACCUAGCAUGUUUAACAUCAUUUUGCAUCAAAGCCCUAAUUUCAUACUAUUAAAACAUGUACAAAAUAUGGUUAUCAAUCUAUUAACAUCACCUUCAUGCUUGACUAUAACCAAAAUCACAAAUCACAACCUUUAUACAAGUAUUUUGGACCAUUUCUAACAUUUGAUAAUAAUAAUAAAAACCCUAGGUACAUGUCAGUAGUAACAUAAUGAAAAAGGGCUAUAAAAACUUAGGUUGAGUUGAUUAGUGUCGCGUGGAUGCGGACUUCACUUUCCUGGGGAUUUGAGAAUACUUGAACUUGCAUACAGAAUAAAUAAAUCGUAUGCUGAGCAAUGGGGCUCAGUGGUACUUUCAUGAUUCAAGAUAACAAAAACAUUCAUAAAUUUUUAUAUAUAACACAUUUACAUAAUGUAUUCAAGUCUCAUCUAUCAAACCAAAUAAUUCACAUAUUUGAUACAAAUAAGAACAUAGAUAUGCCAAGUAACCAAUCCAUUCAUCAAUAUAUGCAUGACAAAUGAACUAUGCAUACCAUUUGACAAAUCACUUAUAUCUUUCUAGCUAUCCUUAUCAACUAUGUGGUCACAUAUAUCUAUAUGCAAUUUACAUUAUGGCAUUCAUGUUUCAUAGUACUAUUAUUUUCUUACCAUUCAAACUCAUUUAUGGAUUCUAUCAACUCAUUCGUACUCGUUUUGGCCCCCAAGGCUCGUUCUCAAAUAAUUUGCUCAAUAGCUUACAUGAUCUUUCUAUCACAUUCCACAUAGGAAUACAAGUGAAACGAUUUCAUCAUACAAUAUUACUUAUCAAGUUUGUCAUUUAUAAAUCUAUUAACAUGACUUAGACUCGGAAAUAUACACGGAUCGUCCAUCCAACACACCAAACUGGCACCAAAGUACAUCGGAUAAGCCAAAGUAAGGUAAACUGGCAUGUAAGGUGCAUAUUGGCACAUAAAGUGCAUCUUGGCGCACAAAUCGCAUACUGGCACAUGAAGUGCAUCCUAGAAAACAAAGUGUAUAUCUGGCAUACGAGGUGCAUCCUAGAGCAUAAGCGUAUAAUCUCAUACACAAACCAAUCCCAUGACAUGCCAAUUAUAUCCAACACAGCCCGAACAACUAAUAGGGUACCAACAUUUAAUCUAUUUUUAUGAUUUAAAUCAUAUAACAUUCCUUAAUCGUAAUCAUAAUCCAAAUCAUUAUCAUUAUCAAACCCAUACAUUUCAUAUUAUAUAACAUAUUCUAUUUCAAUUUCCAUAUCAAAUAAUAUAAUUCAUGUUUUUCAUUUCAUUUUCCAUUUUAUUCAUUUUAGUCCUCUAUCCUGAUAAUCCCUACCAAACUUGAUCAAAACAUGACAUACUAUCAACAUAUACUCACCUCAAUUAUUCACCAAUCAAUAAACAUGCAUACGCAAGCAAAUAUUUUUAUCUCAAAUCAUAAAAGUACAAAUCGUGGUCUCGUGUCACUCAUCGACUACUCUCGCUUUCCCUUUCUCUCUCAAAGUUUCUACGUCAACGUUAGCUAUGAAUAGUCAUGAAACAUAACACACUAUCAAUUUCCCACCAAUCCAUAACAAAAUAUCAAUGUAUGCAUAUUUUUUAAUUUAUUCAAUUUAGUCCCUACAACUGGAACAAGCAUAACUUUCAAUCUAAAGUUUCGGAUUAAAAUUCGAUUUCACAUACAUUCAUUAGGAACCCUCUACUUUCUAUUCCUACUAAAAUUUCAUAAUAAUUUUUCAUUUUAUUCAAUUUAUUCCUUAAUGUGCGAAACUAAUAAUUAAACUUUACAAUUUAUUAUUCAAUUUAUUCCUUAAUGUGCGAAACUAAUAAUUAAACUUUACAAUUUACUCAUUUUCUUAAUCUAAGCUUAAUUUUUUAACAAUUCCACACCUAAUUUAUUCAAUUCUCAAUAAUGGCAACUUAUCAAAAUUUAACCAAUUGGUCAAAGUGAUCCAUGGGUUAGCUUGGUCAAGCUUCCAUGACAAAAAAAAUCUAUAAAAACCAAAGAAAAAUUACUAAGGACUUACUUGUAAUAUUGAUCGAAUAUCAAACUAGGUUUUAAGCUUUCUUCCUUCUUCAAAAAUGGUGGAUGGUGGUUCUUGAAAAGAAGAUGAUAACUUAAUCAUCUUUUUCCCACUUAUUUAACUUAUAUAGCAUGAUUAAUUUUAGUUAAACUUAAUUAAUUUGCUUAAUCAUGAUUAAUUAAACCUUAAUCCUUAAUUAACUUAAGUUAAUGAAAUUUAACAUCACAUCCCACUAUGAUCCAUAUAAAAUAGGUCUGUUGGCCAUUUUAUUCUCUUGGAUAAUUACUAUUUAAGUCCUCAAGCCUUAUCCUAAUAAAAAUCUAUAGUGAUUAAAAUUUUACAAUUUAGUCACUAGGUCUUAAUUAACCCCAUUUUUUUUUGCUAAAUUACCUAAACAAAUUUCAAUUCAUCAAUAUACUAACUUCAUAAAUAUCACUAUUUAAUAUUUACAAACUCGAUUUACGAUAACGAGGUUCUGAAAUUGCAUUUUCCAACACCACUAGAAAUUAGGUUGCUACAAACAUAACCUGAAUUAGGAAAGGAUUUUGUAAUAUUCAGUAAUGCAUCUCAUAAUGGUUACCGAUCAUAGGAGUUUGACGAAUUUUUUAGUGUUCAAUGACGCGUCUCAUAAAGGAUGUGGAUUGAUGCAAUAAGGCAAAGUAAUUACAUACGUUUCUCAACAACUCAAACCUCACAAGAAGAAUUAUCCUACUCACAAAUCUGAACUUGUAGCCAUAGUUUCUGUUUUAAGGAGAAAAUACCUUUACGGUAAGAGAUGUCAUGCCUUUAUCGAUCAAAAAAGUUUAAAGAAUUUGUUCACGCAAAAAUUAUUGAAAUAUCUCUGUAAUUCAAACUUUUAAUCCAACUAUUCGGUUACUUAGAGAGCUCUCAAGAAUUCUUAACACAUUAUUGAGAAAGGUGUCCAAUGGAUUAUAAAAUAUGGUUCCCGAAUUAGUUUCUGGCAUGAUAAUUAAACGAGCAUGGGUCCUAUUCUUUUUUUUUCAUUACCCCUUUCUACCCAAGGAAGAUUGUUUCUUGGUGAAAAACUUUUAUGUUGGCUCUUAUAACUCUUCCUUUGCUAUUUCAAACAACAUCAAUGAUUGUAUUCUUAUGCACCCCACUUCUUUUUUUUUUAAAAGAUGGUUUUGAUGUUUUGUGUUGGAAAGCCACUUCUAAAAUACUCUUUUUCAUGAAAUUACCUUAUCAUAUUGCCUCCAACCUUAUCAAUGCUCUUCUUGAUUCUAGUAAUUGGUUAUUGUCAGGGGCGAAUUUAGGGGGGCUGGUAAGGGCCUUGCCCCCCUAAAUUUGUAAAAUUUCAAUUGUGCAACACCCUAGACCCGGCUUAGAUGUCCAGUCCAAGUUUAGAGAGUUACAUUAUAAAUACUCAAAUACUACUCAAGCCAUAAUAAUACCAAACCAUGAUUCACAUAAAAAUUCAACACAAAGAUUAGUUAAAUAUAUAAUCUUCCGAAGUCAUACACUAUUAUAGUUUAAUGAAAAUCCUAUCAAAAUAUUUUAAAGAAAGCUAAUAGUUCGACUAAGCUCCCACGGCACCAACCCAUUCAAGUCUGUGAACGACCUGAAAUUCAAGCAAUAACAGAAUAAGUUGUGAAAUCAGUGCGUAAAAGAAAUUUAUUCAAUUAAUGCUCAUUUAAAAAGUAGUUCCAAAUUCAGAGAUUCAGUUCGAUAUAGAAGUAAUUUCAGUUUAGAUUCAGAGCAAAUCAGCUACAAAUGUACAUAUAUGCAAUUACAGGUCAUACACGAUACAAAUCAGAUUCAGAUGCAAUAUUCUCAUCCUCGCCCACUGCACACCAUCUUCGGCCAUCCCAAUACACCAUUAAGGAUAUUCAAUGCUCAGCCAACCCUAUACACCUUAAACUGUUCGUUGACACUUUUACAGAAAUGCAGCUUAGCUAUUAAUUCAAUAUUCGACAAGCGCCAGAAUCAGAUUUAUACACAUUGUGGCGUAGCCACGAUUUAGAACAGAUUUCUUCCUCCUUCACAAUAUCCCAGCCCAUGUCGGUGCAGAACACAAAUACCCAUAUGAUGUAUUCAGUCAUUCUAAUUCAUUUCACAAUCAAAUAAGAUAGUUCAACAUCAAAAUAAGCAUUCCAGUGUACUUAUAACUAAGUUGUUCACAGAUCAAUCUCAGGGUAUCAGACAGUUCUAAUAUAAUUAAUUUCAAUCAUUCGUAAAUCGAAGAGGCCAGUAUCAGUGUUAAGUAACAUUUUUAGCCUCGAAAAUAGAUUUUGGGCCUCAAUAACAUGCCACACGACCAAGUGGCACACCCAUGUGCCUUGCUCGUUUAUUUUCGAAGCAUAAACAAUGAAUUACAUGGUCUGGACACACACCUGUGUCCCUGGCCGUGUGGCUUUGUACCCAACACAGUGAGUUACACUGCCUGGGCACACGUUCGUGUCCCUGGCUGUGUGGUUUUGUACCAGAAAUAGUAAGUUACACGGCCUGGGCACACGCCUGUGUCCCUGGCCGUGUGGUCUUGUACCACAAACAGUAAGUUACACGGCGUGAGCACACGCUCGUGUCUCUGGCAGUGUGAGCUCUGCACUAAUAUGGCCAUACACGCUCUAGACACACGACCGUGUGCCUUGUAAAAUUAAGGUUUUCGGUACACACCUAAUUUUGCUUUGACGGAGAAACAACACGAAGACUAUCCGGAACCUAAUUAAUCACUCAAUAAUCAAUUACACCAUCGAUUUCAAAAUUUUAGCAAAAUCAACCUACCGCCAAGAUUAUGUCGAAAGUUUUGAUGCAAUCCCAAGUCAAUUUGUAUACUCACCUCGCACGAAAUAGAGGAAAUCAGACUAACACGGCGAAAUAACGUCUCUUGUAAUAUUCUCGCCUAAAAAGAUAACCAAUCAAAUGAUUAAACAGAAUGUUCAAGCAACCGAGAAAAAUCCCAUUUCAAUAGAAUAUUGUUAACACCACAAAACUUGCAAAAUGAGAGAAAAUUGACGACGAAACUUGCUAAAUACUCGCACAAUCAACCUUACAAGUAACAAAGAACUUCCAAUUAAUGCAGAAUUGAAUAAUUUAAAAGGAAAAAUAAAAGAACAGAAGAACCAGAAAAGAAAACAACUUUUAAAAAACAAAGAAGAAGGUACGAUAGAAUUUCUUUAGACUAUCUUAAGUUAACCACCAUCCCACAUUCUUGCAUUUGCAAAAAAUAUUUCCUAAUGCAUAUGAUGGGAUUCGAACUCACAACCAAACAGAAUAUAGACAGAUGCUUAACCAGUGAACUAGCAGGCUCAUUCUUGAUACCGAUUUACCCAGAAUUGGACUUAACUACGAAACACAUGGAUGAAGGUUGUUUUAAAAAUAAUAACAAAACUUUUAACGAUGCUACUGAAACUUCAGACCUUAAACACAGAAGCAUAGCACAGAACCACAUAUACGAAAAUUUAAUUACUGUAAUUUCUCACAAUUAAAUUCUUAAAAAUUUGGGGCAUUACAACUCUCCCCCUAAAAGAAAUUUCGGCCUCAAAAUUUUACCUAAGUCAAACAGAUACGAAUACAGUCAUCGGAUUGAUUCUUUCGAUUCCCACGUGGCUUCCUCAGUACCAGGGUUCCAUCAUAGGAUUUUCACUAGAAGAAUAGUUUUCUUCCUUAGCAUCUGAACAUCACAUUCUAAGAUCUAGACAGGUUCCUCUUUGAAUGCUAAGUUCGGCCGCAAUUUAAUCUUGUCGACAGUAACAAUAUGUGACGGAUCCAACCGAUACCGUCUCAGCAUCGAGACAUGAAACACAUCGUCAAUCUAAUUUAGCUUCGACGAUAAUUCUAACUGGUAUGCAACAAGUCCGACACGCUUUAAGAUACGGUAAGGCCUAUUGAACCUCGGGUUUAAUUUGCCAUUAUGUCCGAAACAGAGGACCUUUUUCCACAGUAAUACUCUCAAGAAGACUUAAUCACCAACAGAAAACUCGAUGUCUUUUCUUUUUAAAUUAAUAUAGGACUUUUGCUGAUCAGAUGUGGCUUUCAAACGGUCCCGAAUUACUCUCACAGUGUUCUCAGUUUUAGAAACCAGCUUAUGACCCCAUAUCUGACGUUCAUUUAAUUCUAUUUAACAUAGCGAAGUACAACACUUACGACCAUAUAAGGCCUCGUAGGGUGCCAUCUGAAUACUAAACUGAAAGUUGUUAUUAUAUGCAAACUCCGCCAACGGUAGGUAGUCCUCCCAACUACCCCAGAAAUCUAUCACACAAUCUCGAAACAUAUCCUCCAAGAUCUGAAUAACUCGCUCCGACUAUCCAUCGGUCUAAGGGUGAUACGCAAUACUGAAUUUAAGUCAGGUGCCUAAGGCCUCAUGGAGUUUCUUCUAGAAUCGAGAUGUAAAUCGUGGAUCCCUGUCAAAGAUGAUUGAGAUCGAAAUUUUGUCUAAUCUCACAAUUUAGGUGAUAUAUAGUUUAACUAACUUCUGUUAGGAGUAAUCUGUCCGAAUGGGUAUGAAGUGGGCUGAUUUGGUCAAUCGAUCCACCAUGACCAAAACCGUUAGUAGGGAUUAGAGGCAACCCACUAACAAAAUCAAUCGUUAUCUUCUCCCACUUCCACUAAGGAAUUUUAACUGGUUGAACUAACCCGGAUGGCAGCUAAUGUUCCGCCUUAACCUUUUGGCAUGUCAGACAGUGGGACACAAAAGCGACUACCUCUCAUUUCAGUUCGGGCCACCAGUAGAAUUCUCGAAGAUCCUGAUACAUUUUGUUCCCAGUAAAAUGCAUAGCAUAUGGACUACUAUGCGCCUCCUGAAGGAUCGAAUGCCUCGACUCUUUGUCAUUAGGUACACAAAUCUGACCUUUAAAGCACAACACGUUAUCGCUAUUCAAGCCAAAAUCGAAAGUCUCAUUCGAAUCAACAUGCUGCAGACGCUGAACUAAGGACUCAUCGCUCAAAUGUUUUGCUCUAAUCUACUCUACCAAAUCGAUAUUACCUGUAAUUUAGCCAACAGCCCUCCAUCCUCGACCAAACUCAGACGAGCUAACAUUGCUCUCAGAUCAGUCACCUCUCUACGGCUAAGGGCGUUAGCUACCACAUUAGCCUUACCUGGAUAGUACUCUAUCGUGCAAUCGUAAUAUUUAAGUAACUCAACCCAUCGACGCUAUCGAAGAUUUAAUUCUUUUUGGGUUAGUAAAUAUUUAAGACUCUUGUGAUUGGUAUAAAUAAUACACGUUUCACAAUAUAGAUAGUGUCUACAGAUUUUUAGAGCAAAUACAACCACAGCUAGCUCAAGAUCAUGCGUAGGGUAAUUACCCUUGUGUGUCUUAAGCUAUUGCGACGCAUAAGCGACCACUUUACCAUCUUGCAUAAGCACACACCCAAACCUAACAUGUAAAGAAUCACUGUACACCAUAAACUCUCGGGCUGAUAUUCGGUUGAACUAAGUCAAAAGCUUGUGUCAAAACGGACUUGAGUUUAUCGAAACUAAACUGUUGUGCCUCAGACCACACGAAUGGAGUAUUCUUAUGCAGCAAUUUCGUCAGAGGUGACGCAAUUAGAGAAAAUCUUUCGACAAACCUUCAGUAGUAACCGGCUAAUCCCAGAAGCUACGAAGUUCAGAUAUAUUUUUUGGUCUUUCCACUCAACAAUAGCUUCUAUCUUCUUAGGAUCAACUAGGAUCCCUUCCACCAUUACUACAUGACCCAAAAAAGUGACUUCUUGCAACCAAAACUUGCACUUAUUAAACUUGGCAUACAACUAUUUUUCUUGGAGUAUCUGAAGUACAAUACGAAGAUGAUCAUCAUGCUCAGCUUCAAUUUUAGAUUAGAUCAGGAUAUCAUUGAUAAAAACCAUUACGAAUGGAUUCAAGUACGGUUGGAACACCAGAUUCAUUAAAUUCAUAAAUGCCAUCGGGGCAUUCAUUAAACUGAAAUGCAUUACCAGAAACUUGUAAUAUCCGUAAUGAGUCCUAAAGGCAGUUUUGUAAACAUCAGUCUCUUUGACCUUGAGCUGAUGGUAAUAAGAGAAUAAAUCGAUUUUGGAGAAAACGGAUGCUCCUCGAAACUGGUUGAACAAGUCGUUAAUCCUCGGUAGCGGGUACUUAUUUGUUAACUUGGUUAACAGCUACUAAUCUAUGCACAUCCUCUUUGACCCAUCUUUCUUCUUAACAAACAACACCGGCACCCCCCAUGAAGACACACUCGGCCGAAUAAAUCAUCUAUUAAGGAGUUUCUGAAGCCGUGCUUUUAACUUGGUCAGCUUUUUUGGACACUAGAGCAAUACUUGAUAACAAAUCAAUUCCAAACUCCACCUCUCUAUCUAGAGGUACUCCAGUCAAUUCCUCAAGAAAGAUGUCUGAAAACUCCCUCAUUGUGCGGAUAUCUCCCACUAAAAGUUUCGCGAGAACAUAAUCGGAUACGUAAACAAGGUAUACCUUGCACCCCUUUUGAACUAACUUGUCUGCUACAAGAGCGAAGAUUAAAUUAGAGAGGUAAUUUCGACACUCACCAACCAUGACCACCUCGUCAUUCUCAUUUGACCUCAAAGUAACUCUCUUGGUUGCACAAUCUAGACUGACCCGAUACUCAAUGAGCCAAUCCAUUCCCAAAAUUAGAUCAAACUUAUUAAAGGGUAAUUCCAUUAGAUCAACUGAGAAUACCAUACCCUAGAGCUCUAGGGGUACCCAUCUGUAUACUGUAUCAACUCAAAUUGACUGACCCAAAAGACUAAUCAUAGAAAACUCUUUAGCAGUAUUCUCAGCGGUUAAACCUAGAUUUACAGAAACAUCACUAGCUAUAUAUGAAUGAGUAGAGCCAAUAUUAAUGAGAGCAUAAUACGGAACAGAAUGAAUAAAGAAGGUACCUACUAUGACAUCAGCAUCAUCGCUCUCCUCGCAGUGUCUCGCUUCAUAAAUUAAUACUGAUUGACGAGCCUCAGCCUGACCUGCACCUCUACACAGUAUUCUCUGUCCUCUCCUAGAUCCAUUACCACCGAUACCAGUACCCAACCUCUGAAUGGUAAUUGAACCUCUCUCGGAAGCCAAACAAAAUUUGGCCCCGGAGUCUAUACCGCAGUUAGCACUGAAUCUGGUCGUCGAGGGCAAUCCCUAACUCGAUGCUCCAUUGACCCGCAAAGGAGGCAUGCUCUUAACUUCCUCCUGCACUUGCCCGGACGACGCUUCCCAUAACGACUACACAGCUGAAUCUCAGUCGCAACAGUUAGUGUCUCAACUCUCAGAGGUCUGUCAAACCUCAUCCGCUUCUUAGGGCAUUGACCCGAACUAGAUGAGCCUAAAUCCCUCUUAAUCUUAUUAUGAUCCUUCUCAUGAUCACGUCACUCGCACUCAGUACACUUCACUUCUUCCAAUACAUUUGCUUUGUCAAAUAAGACCGCAAAAACCCGCUCCUUCUAAGGAGCUACCAGAACUUGCGGAUCAUAUCUCAAUCCCUCCUCAAAUCGCACACACUUGUCGUAGUCGGACGCUACCAAAGUCCAUAUAUACGUACUCAGUUGCAGAAACUCGACUUCAUAUUUAGCCACAGAUCGGUCACCCUGAACUAGGCUCAUAAACUUACGUUGGUAGCUUCAACAUAAUUCCCCCACAUACUUACCCUAGAAGGCGUUCUUGAAAUAAUCCCCAUUAACAUGUUCAGGAUGAGUACCUUGUUCAACUGUCAACCACCACCAAUAGGCUUCAUCCUAGAGUAGAGACGCAGCACCCUCAAUAUCUAAGUGGGAGUACAGUCGAGAUCAGUUAUUAUACGCUCAGUAGCCUCGAGCCAAUAUUCAACAACAGUAGGAGCGACUCCUAUGACACUCUUUAAUAAUUUAGGCUCAUUCUACGGCAGUCGUUUAGUGAUCAACCCUCGACCUCUCGAUCUCGAAUGCGUCUCUGUAACCCUCUCUAAUGCUCGAAUCAUGGCCUGAGACAGUCUGUCAUCCCUAGCCAUUAGAGUAUGGGACUCCGUUUCAGUAGUAGGUGAACCAACCGUCUCGCUGGUCUCUAGAUUGGUCAUACUACCCAUAGAGGAUGACUCUACUCGAGCUCCUCCUCAAAAUCCUUAACGCUCCGGCAUACCACGUCCAUGACUACCACGCAAACUCAUUAUGGUAAUCUAGCUAGAAUAUCAGAAUACACAGAUCAAUUCACACAUCCAGCAGGAUGAUUUCACCAAUUCAUAUCAAAACAUUUUACCCAUAACAGUUUAAGUAUUAUAAUCUUUAUAACAGAAUGGAAAUACUUAUAGGGUCAGUGUCGGAAGCUCGGCCAUUCACUAAAAUGUCAGUGUUUCUAUAUUAGUUCAGAUACUAAAUUAUCACUAAGCUACUUUUCUCAUACAUUAUGAGCCCAAACACAAUUCGAGUGUUGACAUGUUGAUGCAGAACACAAAUACCCAAAUCAUGUAUUCAGUCAUUCUAAUUCAUUUCACAAUCAAAUAAGAUAGUUUAACAUCAGAAUAAGCAUUAUAGUGAACUUAUUAUAACUAAGUUGUUCACCAAUCAAUCUCAGAGUACCAAACAGUUCUAAUAUAAUCAAUUUCAAUCAUUUUUACUUCGAAAAGGCUAGUAUAAGUGUUAAGUAACAUUUUCAGCCUUAAAAAUAUAUUUUGGGCCCUAAUAACAUACCACAUGGCCAGGUCACAUGCCCAUGUACCUUGCCCGUGUGGUUCCAAAGCAUAAACAGUGAGUUACACGAUCUGGACACACGCCUGCAUCCCUACCCGUGUGACUCACACGGGCUGGGUACACGUCUGUGUAGCUUUGUACCCUAAACAGUAAGUUACACAGCUUGGGCACACGCUCGUGUCCCUGGUCGUAUUGUCUUGUACCACAAAUAGUGAGUUACACAGCUUAGGCACACGCUUGUGUCCCUAGCCGUAUGGUCUUGUACCACAACUAGUGAGUUACACGGCCUAGGCACACGCACGUGUGCCUAGAUGUAUGAACUUUGCACUAAUAUGGCCACACACGGCCUAGACACAUAAUGGUGUGCCUUGCCUAUGUGGCCCUAAAUCGAAUGAACAGUGAGUUAUAUGACCAACCACACGACCUGGGCACACGCCCUUAUGCCUGGCCGUGUAGCACCGACAACCACCAUUUUUGGUGACCUGAAACUUGCAAAAUUAAGGUUUCCGGUACGCACCUGAUUUUGCUUUGACGGAGAAACAACACGGAGACUACCCGAAACCUAAUUAAUCACUCAACAAUCAAUUACACCAUCGAUUUCAAUAUUUUAUCAAAAUCAACCUACCGCCAAGAUUAUGUCGAAAGUUUUGAUGUAAUCCCAACUUAAUUCACAUACUCACAUCACACGAAAUAGAGGGAAUCAGACUAACACAACAGAAUAACAUUUCUUACAAUAUCCUCACCUAAAAAGGUAACUAGUUGAAUGAUUAAACAGAACGUUCAAGCAACUGAGCAAAAUCUUGUUUCAAUAGAAUAUAGUUAACACCACGAAACUCACAAAACGAGAGAAAAAUAACGAUGAAACUUGCUUAAUACUAGCACAAUCGACCUUACAAGUAAAAAAGAACUUCCAAUUAACACAGAAUUGAAUACCAUAAAAGGAAAAAUAAAAGAACAGAAAGAGAACCGAAAAAGAAAAUAACUUUUGAAAAACAAAGAAGAUGGUACGAUAGGAUUUCUUCAGACUAUUUUAAGUUAACCACCAUCCCACUUUCUGGCAUUUGCAAAAAAAUAUUUCCUAACGCAUACGAUAGGAUUCAAACUUGGAAGCAAACAGAAUAUAGACAGAUGCUUAACCAGUGAACCAGCAAGCUCAUUUUUAAUACUGAUUUAUCCAGAAUUGGACUUAACUAUGAAACACAUAGAUGAAGGUUGUUUUAAAAACAAUAAUAAAACUUUCAACGAUGCCACUCAAACUCCAAACCUUAAACACAGAAGCAAAGCAUAGAACCACAAAUACGAAAAUUUAAUUACUACAAUUUCUCACAAUUAAAUUCUUAAAAAUUUGGGGCGUUACAAAUUGAGUCCUUUUGAAUUUCAAAAGAUUUUUUAUUUUGACCUUAUAACUAGUACUUAAAAUAAGAUAAAUUAUUUUGGCCCCCAAGUUUUUUCAUUGUUUCUUUUAAUUUGAUUUAUUUUAUAUAAUCUAUAAAUUUUUAUGAUAAAUUUAGUAACACUUUUAGUUUAAUUUGAUAAAUUAAUAUAAAGUAGUGUUUAAAUAUUUAUUUGCUAAAAUAGUCACAUAAUUUCAAUAUCUAAUCAUAAAAUAGUAUCUAAAUAUUAAUUAGGUAAAAAAAUAAACUUAAAUAAUUAUAAUAUUUCAUACAAAUUGAGUAUUUAACUUAAUUUGUUUUUUUCUAAAUGUUAAUUUUGGUGAUCAAGAUUAUCUAAAAUUUAAAAAUACAUUGUUUUAUGGGCCAAGCUUACUUUCAACAUGUCUAUUUUAUAUAAAUACUUCGCCUCCCUCAUUAUCAAUAUUUCUGGCUUCGCCCCUAGUUGUAGGUUUGGAACCUCAAACUUCCACUUACACUCUCCUUUUCUCAUUUUGGAAAUUGUGGCCCUCUUCUCCCAAUUUGAUCUUUUCUUUGUUUUAAAGGUCUUGACAUCUCUGUUGUAUGCACUUUCUGCAACUCUUACCCUGGGACAAUUGAACAUGUACUUCGAGAUUGUUCAUUCACUUAUCAUCUCUAGAGCCUUUUUUCCUUAUCCCCCUUCAACUAUAGGUAUGUUCUCCCUUCCUUUAAUGGAUUGGCUCAAUGCUAAUUUGACAUUUAAAUCCUCCUUUCCCCAUCAUCUCAUUCAUUAGCCAACCAUGUUUGCUUUCUUCCUUAAUGGGUUUUGGAUUGCUAGAAAUGCAAUCAUCUUUGACAAACCCAUAAGUGAAAAUGAUAUUCGAUCUAAAUUUAUCACUCUUGCUAUAGAGUACUUUGUUAUUUUACAUAAACCAAAUUUCGAGUAUAUUCUACCUCACUUCACGUCAAAUGGAACCUUCCUUUAAAUGGAUGGUUUAAAGUUAAUUAUGAUGGUUCCUCAUUAGGAAAUCCUGAAACUGUUGGUUUGGAGCCAUUAUUCGUGAUCAUAAUAGUAAUUGGAUUGUCGAUUUUCAUUGUUAUCCGAGCAUGACUACUAAUAUUAUGGCUUACCUUUGGGCUCUUAGUGAUGGCCUUGUGCUUGCUCACAAUGUAACAGCCCAAUUUCAGUAAUGUCGAAAAUGGUGGUUUUGAGACCACAACUCUGACAAGUGAGUUGUUAUUUUGAUAUAUAUUUAAUGUUUAUAGGGUUAGUUUAAGGUAUUAUUAAAUUUUUGUCAAGAAAUUUUGAAGAUUAAAUGGUUAAUUAAGUAAAAAGGACCAAAUUGUGAAAGACACAAAAGUUGGUCUUUAAUAGGUAAAUGGAUUAAAUGGCUUUUGAAAUGCAAAUUAAAGGACAUAGAUGGUAUUUAUACCAUAUGAAAGUUAAUAGACAAUUAUGGGUUUAUUUUUGUCAUUUUGUAAACUAAUAAACUAAGGAUAAAUUAAAUUAGUAAUUAAUAAACAAAUCUUAAACUAAAUUAAGCAAAUAGUGUCAUCUUCCUAAAAUUCUUCUCUUUCACCGAAAUUGAAGAAAUAAAACACCAUUUUUAUGGCUUUAAGGUUCGGCCAACAUAGGAGUAUUUCAUGGUAAGAUUUUGUGACUCGUUUUUAGUAAUUUUUAUAUUUUUGAGCUCGUUUCAACUUAAUCUACCUAGCCCAGGGGUUAAUUUGCAAAGUUGUUAAAUGUUGAGGAACCUGCAAAGUUGAUAGAUUAUUAAUUUUUAUUGUUAAAUUAACAUGAUUUGUUAAGUGAAUUUAGGAUUUAGCGAUUAAAUAGCUUAAAUGGUAAAUUCUAUGAAUUUUGAGUGAAAUGAGUAAAAAUGUGGAUUGAUAUAAGUAUAGGGAAGAAUCAGAUAACAUGUUUUGGGUUAGGAAAAUGGUGAAUUUUCAAGUUAUGGGCUUAAGGACUAAGUUAUAUAAAAGUUAAACUAUUAGGGGUAAUUUUGUAAUUUUAGAUUAAUAUGAAUUAUAGGUUGAAUUGAAUACUUGAGAUUAAUUGAAGUACUUAGUUGAAUUAAAUUAGUUAAUUGAAGUACUUAGUUGAAUUAAAUUAUCUUAGAUCAGGAUAAACAACAAUCGGACUUAAAUUGAGGAAAGGCAAAAGCUUUGGAUUAAUCUCCAACUCUACUUUUGUGACUAUGGUUAUCGAGGUAAGUUUGUAUGAACUAUAAUCUUAUUAAUGAUAGUUGAUUGAUUAUAUACUAUAUUAUGUUGGUUAUAAAUUGACUUGAAUAUAUAAAUAGAUUGACGUUUUGAGUAAUUGAUGGAUAAAUAAUAUCGUUUGAACCUUAAGAAUUCUUAAGAUACGAAUGACAUGUCAUUAGGGAUUUCAUGUUUCAAGUGUUGGUCUUAAAUGUCCUACUGAUGGUUGAGGUCCUGCAUUUGUUGCAGAUUCUCCACAGCUCGUGUGAGCAGCAUCGUGUAGCUAACAUUCUGACCUACAACUCGUGUGAGUACUAUUGAAAAGGAAAGGUUACGGUUAUAUGGAAAGGCACACUAUGUGUGAGCAUUCCCAAGUAUCCAAUGUAAUUCUAGAUGGUUCAAUGGGUAAGCAAAGGUUAAUGGCAAUGUAUGUAUACAAUUGUAUAAUGGUACAUAAUCUUAUGAAAAGGUUAAUGUAAUAAAUGGUGUGUACAUGUAAAUCUACUUAUGAUAUGGUUGAACUUAUAUAUAUCAUGUAUGAACUUACUAACUUGUAAAUUUGGUGGUGCUUAUAUAGGAUUUUACUAAGCUUAUGAACAUGGUAAUGUUGUUAUGUAUAAUUUACAAAUUGAGCUUAAGAAUGGUAAGUUAUGUUUGAGUUUAUACGAGCUUACUAAGGACUAGUUGUUUACGUAGUUAUUUUCCUUUGUUUCAUAUAUUAUCAGAAGCUCGAUCGAUUGGAAGCUUCUCAGAGAUUUAUCACACUAUCCAGCAAUCACUUUGGUAGUUUUUGAGUUAUUUUGGCUAAGGUUAUAAAUGGCAUGCAUAGGACCUUUUUAUAAUGAAUGUCUUUGAGUAUGUUAAUGAAAAUUUUGGUAUGAGUAUGUCUUUUAUGUAUUCACUUUGUUUGUGUGGACUUAUAAUGUUUUAGCAAAUUUUAUACCCUUAGGUAUUUUGUAAUAUAUGGUGUGGGUGGUUGUUUAUAUAUUAAAGCCAUAUGAUUAUGGUCAUUUUAGUAUGUUUUAAUGAAAGGUGAAUGGUUUGACAAUUGAUGUCAUUAGGUAGCUUAUUUGACUAUGUUUUUGUGUUUGAGGUAUGGUAUUAUAGCCUUUUUUUGAUUGAAGUUGUUUUUGUACAAAUGUGGUGCUUUUGAAUGGCAUAUUAGUUAGGUGAAAUAGGUUGAUUGAAUUUGUAACAACCCGAUUCUAGGCCUAGUCGGAACAGUGGUUUCGGGACCACAAAUCCGACAAGGGAAAAUAUGAUUAUUAUUAUAUUUUUAUGGUCUACAAUUUCACAGAAAAUUUUCGUAAAAAUUUCGUUCAAAAAUUUCGACGUUUGGGCACUUAAUUUAGUCAAAAGGACUAAAUUGUAAAAAGUGCAAAAGUUGAGUUCUACAUCUUAGAGGUGUCUAAUUGUUAUGAAAUUUUAAAUUGGAGGUCUUUAUAUGGUAAUUAGACCAUUAGUUAGUUGAUGGACAAAAAUGGGCAUAGAAUUAGUGAAAUAGAUUUUUUUUAAAGUAAGGGCAUUUUAGUCAUUUGGUUAUUAAAUAGAAUUAAAUGGGAAAAAGAUGGAAAAAUAUGCUCAUCUUCUUCAUGGUGAACGAAAUCAGCAAGGGGGAAGCCAUAUUUAGGGUUUUUAAGCUUUCAAGCUCCAUAGUAAGUGAUUCCAAGCCCCGUUUUUAAUGUUCUUUACGUUUUUAGAGUCUCUGUAACUUGGUUUAGCUUAUUCCACCAUUAAUUCGUGUUAGGGUUUAUAUUUGGAAAAAUACCCAUAGGUGAAAUGUGUUUAUUUUGAUGUUUAAUGGUAGAAUAUGAAGCUAAAAAUUAUGUUAAACAAUUUUUGCUAAGCGAUUUUAAACGAAAACUGGUAAAUUGACAUAAUCGGUAAAAAUACCUAAUGUUCAAAAGUGUGUGUUAGAGUGAGAAUUUGAUGUUGUCAUAGAAGGGAAAAAUGUUCAGCAUGUCAUAAAACAUAAGAAUAAGAGAUGAAUUUUAAUUUUCGAGCUUAGGGACAAAAGUGUAAAUAUGUAAAAGUUUGGGGGUAAAAUUUUAAUUUUUCAAAAAGUUGGGUGGAGGACUAUUUUAUUAAAUGUGAACAUUUAAUGAGUUAAAUUUGCUAUUAUAGAUCAAGAAAGACGAGAAGACUACCUCAAACGGGGAAAAAAGAAGAUAGUGGAGUAAAUUACAAAAUUACGAUAUUUUGCACCAAGGUAAGUAAACAUGUGAUUUAAUGCAUUAUUUUGACAUCAUUCAAUAUAUGUUGGGAUUUAAUAGAACAUAGAAUAAAUAUUCGGCAAGAUUCUAAAAAUGUGGUUAAGUUGGGAAAGGUGGUAAAAUGUUGAAAAUAUGGGUUCCGGUUGAACACUCGGAAUAAGCCGAAGUAUUUUAAAUGUGAAGGGGGUUGCUAAGUGCUGAUUCCCCCAACGGGUUGCUAAGUGCUGAUUCCCCGACUCAUUGGUGGUUGCUAAGUGCUGAUUCCACCGUAUCUUGAAUAUAAAGGGGGUUGCUAAGUGCUGAUCCCCCCAAGGGGUUGCUAUGUGAUGAUUCCCCGAAUCAUUGGUGGUUGCUAAGUGCUGAUUCCACCAUAUCUUUGAAUGUGAAAGGGGUUGCUAAGUGCUGAUUCCCCGAAUCACUGGUGGUUGCUAAGUGCUGAAUCCACCGAUAAUGGUUAAUAUUCCGAGUGUCCAACGAGUAAACUGGGAAGGUGAAUAUUUAUAUGUGGUGGACAAGCUUAUAGGAGGAAUAUUGGGUUUGAUACUUAAUCGACCAUGUAUAAGGUGGGAUGAAAUAUCAAAAAUACAACAGGAACAAUUUAAUUACAAAACUGUUUUGAACAACAGCAGUUGGGCAACUUUGAAAAAUCACCAUAAAUGGUGGAAAAUGAAUUAGAGGUUGAAUAAUAUAUGUAAUUGAAGCUGAAUGAGUCUAUUUUCAUACGAAAGAAACAUAGCAAGCAAAAGAGUUGUAUAUUUGGGGAUAUUUGAAUUUAUUUGAGACAGGGUUGGAUUGAUUCGAAAUCCCCUGUUCCAACUUUGGAAAAUCACUAAAAAUUGUAAAAAAAUAAUUUUGGCCUGAAAUUUAUAUGCCUGGAUUCUUUAAUGAGUCUAUUUUUAAUAUAAACAAACAAAAACAUUUUUCGAAUUUUUUACAGGGAGUUAAUUAAAGUUUAAUAAAGGGAUGUCAGAACCGUCAGGCAGUGAAACAUGAGAAUCUUUAAAGAAUAAACUGUACUAAUUGGAUAAAUAAAAAAUUCUGAAAAUUUUAUGGUGGAAAGGUAUAUGAGUCUAGUUUCGGGGAAAAUUUACGGAAUCCAAUUUGGAGCCCUGUAGCUGCAGAUAAAAAUAAAUUGGUGACUGUGACUCAGAAAAACAGCUUGCUGGAAAUUGAACAGUUGAUGAAAUUUAAGUGUGAUUAAAAUUAUGUUACUAUGUAAUCAUGUGAGGAAAUUAUUUAUUUGUCAUAUGUUUACUUACUAAGCUAUAUGCUUACUCGUUUUUAUUUUCCCUUGAUUAUAGUGACAUCAAUCAGCUCGGAACUUGAACGACGUCAGAUAAUCAUCCACACUAUCAUCAAUUUUUUGGGUGUUUUGCAACUAAUACUUUGGAAACAUGGCAUGUAUAGAUGACUUUAUGUAUUGCGGUUUAAAUAUGUAUAUAUAUAUAGUAUGGUUCGGUUUAAAAUGUUGGUGUUUGUUAAUGGAUAAAUUGUGUUUGAACAUACAACUGUAUUUGGUUGGAAUAUUGAAUAUGUUUGGGAUUGUGUUCGAAAAUUUGCAGGGGAUUUUAUGUAAAAAUAAGCAGAAAUGCUGCCGAAAAUUAAAAAAAAAAUAGUAAUAUCUCAUACUCAGUUCCGUUAAGGAAUACGGGUAAGGGGUGUUACAGAAUUGGUAUGUUUAUGUGUAUUUGAAAGAUGUUUUGGUCUAUUGAAUGUAUGCAUAAAUGGAGUGGGUGAUUGGGUAAAUUUUGGUCUUAAAAUGGCUUGUUUAGGGUCAAAUUAUGGAGCAUACUGCCUGGGACACGAGUUGUCACACAGCCUGGCUACGCGGUCGUGUGUCACUUAUUAUUUAAAUUCAAGACUCUGUUAAGCAUAUUCCUAAGUAGUCAGCUUCAACAUACCUACAAGGAGGGUACUUGUUGCACUAAUGCUUUGGCUAAUGCUAGAAUUCAUGUUAAUCCUAACCUUUUUGUCUCAUGUUAAUACCUCUAAUGACUUUUAUGUUGUGUAUUUUGAAAUCCCAGACUUUAUGCGUACUCUUGUGAAUGCCAACUUAGUUGGCACACCUUUAUAUCAUACUCUUUAUAACUAAAUAAAACUCUCCUUUUAUAACAAAAAAGAAAAGGACAGAAAGUGGAUAAAAAAAGAAAGAAAGGAAAAACGAAAAGGAGCGGAGAGGGUUGAGGAAAUAGCUGACUGAAUGUUGGUAGGCUUUUAUCUAGCAUGAUAAUCCAUUAUUCGAAAGGAGGGCAUUCAGGAGAGAGGGGAGGAGAUGAAAGAAAAAGAGAAUAAAAACGGGAUGAAGAGGGAGAAAAGAUGAGGAAGAGCUUAGCCAUCUACUAUCUAGUUGUCCUAAAGCAAAACUGCCACUUGUUUGUCUUAUCUAAUUGGGCUAUGGUUGAUUAUAGACUUGUCUAAUGACUAGGCCACUUAAAGGAAGAGGAAAAAAAACACUUUUUGUAAUAUUUGGAAAAACGAGUUUAGGGGGGGGAGAGAGAGAAUGUCCAUUUAGAAAAUGGUUUGAACUUGGAUUUCAAUAUUCAAUGCCCAAGCACAACCCAUUUUCUAACUUUAUAAUAUAAUAUAUUAACUUUAUUUUAUUGUUAUAUACUACGUAAUAAGAAUUAAAUAUAUAAUACUAUAAUGAAUAUAUAUUUUUAAAAGAAAAGUAAAAAAGAAUAGGUCUAAACAAGCUUGAAUUAGCUAUUUAUAAAUAUAAGUAAGUUUGGACAAAAUUUUAAGUUCAUAUUUCGGACCGAGUCAAACUUGUCCAAAUAUUUAUGAUAUUAUUAACAUGCAUAAAUUUGACUUGACUUAACCCAAGAGCACAUCUAAUUGAGCACAACCUCUCCUCCUUUCUUUUACUAUUUUUUUAUAGUUUAAAAUCUAAAAAAAAUCAUAAUAUUUUUUUAGCAAAAAAAUUAGAAUUUCUUUUUUUGAAUUCCUAUAUAAUUUUUUUAAAAAAAUUUCAAUAUACAUUAAACUUUUAAUAUUAUGCUUUUAAAUCUAUAAUAUUUUAUAACUUUACAAUAUGUUUGGGUAAAUAAUUAUAAAAUAUGUUUGAAUCUAUAUGUUUACUGCAAUAUGGUUAUUAAGAGGUUGAGUACUGCUUUAUCUCGUAGAAGAAGGAUUUGUACUAGAUGAUCAUAGGUUGGGUCAAUGUAAAAAUUUUAAAUUUGUUUUUCAGGUCCGGACUCGGCUUAACUAAACAAAUGGGCCUAAAAUUUUAUUUAAGUUCAACCCAGAUAAAAAAUACUAAAUCUGGACCCGUAUUAAAUUUUUUAGAUUUUUUAUAUAAAAAUAAAUUUAAAAAAUAUAAUACAUCAAAUACUCUAAACACAUUAAAAUAAAUAUUUCUCAACAAAUUGAAAAUAUAUUUUAAAAAAAUUCUUUAUAUUUAAAUAACACUAACAUAGUUAUAACUUAGCAAACAAAUGUUUCUAAAAUAAUUGAAAAAUUAAAAAUAAAAUAAGAGUUAUACAAUAUCUAAAUAAUAGUAGUAAAAUAGUAAUAAUAUAAUAGUGAAACAGUAGCAAAAUAACAACAUAACAGCAAAAAAAUAACAACAUAAAAUCAGUAAACAGCAGCAAAAAAAUAAUUAAAUUCGAGUAAGGUCCAAACUAAAAAAAAUCUUGUCUGAGGCUCAGCCCAUUUAAAACGCGAAUCUUAUUUUUUUCGAAGUUUAUUUUUUGGGUUUAUGUUAUUACCUAAACUCUUUGUGUUUUGAAUGGACUUUGUAAUUCGACUCAUGAUCAAGUCUACUUUAUAAUAAACGCUAUAUAUGAUUGGAAAGAUGGUUUGAUAGGGUACUAAAAUUAAAUGAAAAAUCAUUUAAAAACAAAUUAAAUAUUCAAACAUUAAAUAUAUAUUUUAUAUAUAAUUGGUUUGAACUAAAUUAACAAAUACUUUGAUAAUUUUCAGAAAAUUCCUGUAACGAGAGAAUUAGUCACUGUUGCUAGCGGUUAAUAUCUUUGAUUUCAAUUAAAAAAAUUAUCAAAAUACUUUUUUGAAUAUGAUUUAGUGCAAGUUGCACAAGUAGUUUAAAAUUUGAAGACAUUAUUACUAUUUAAGAUGUAAAUAUAUUUUUUAAAUUGAAACAUUUAAUAUACUUUAUUAUUUUCUAUUUUUUUUUUAAAAAUGAACUAAAUUAAAAAAUGUGCAACAAACUAAAUAGUUAGAAGUUUUAAAUUUAAAUCAAAUUUGAAAUAUAUGAUCUACAUGAAUAUACCAUAAAAUAUAAUGAUUGUAUCAUUAAAAUAUUAAUCAUAUAAAUAGUUACGGAAGUGUGUAAAAUUACUUUAAUUUUUACAUUGUGUAAGUAGAUCAUUCCCCUUAAUAUUAAUAAAUUUUCAUUUUGUUAUAACAUAAUAUUUAAAAUAUGAAUUAAGAUUAAAAAAUAAAUUAUAAAUAUGAAUAUAAAUAGGGUGAGGAAUUAAUACCUUUUUUUAUUCCACAAAUAACUUUAAAAAUUGACAUGUCUCUCUUUCCUUUAAAUAUUUUAUUAUACCAUUAUAAAACACUUGUCAAUCUCUUGGUACUGUUAGUGGAGUCUAAAAACUCCAUUGGCAGUGAACUAAAUGAUUUCUCAUAACUUAUUAUUGAAGUUAUUAAAUUCCACAAGUAAAGUCAAGAGGUUGAUAAAUACCUUUUAAAAGUAUAAUAAAAUAUUUUAAAAAUUAAAUAUUUUAAUAUUGCUUGUAGAAUAAAUAAAUAAAACAGUAUAAUUUUGAAUUAGUUGAAAAUAAUUUAAAUAAUAAUUAGAAAACUAUUUUUUAAAAGAUGUGUUGUAAAAUUUAUUCAAAGUGUAAAACACAAAUUAUUCCUUCAAUGCUUUGCAAAAAAAAAAAAAAAUUUCCUUCAAAAAAAGAUAAUUAUUAAAAAAUAUAGUUAGAUAUAUGUCUAUAUUAAUAAAAGAUUAUCUAUUAACAAAAUUACUUUACUUUAAUUGUCAUAAAGUAAAACAUUAAUCUCAUAUUUAUAUUUUUAAGAUUAUGCAAAUGAGUUCUUUUUAAAAAAAUAUAUAAGAUAAUUCAAGUUUUGGUCUUUGUUGUCGCUGUGGUUACUCAGUUUGCUCUCUCAAUGGAGUUUGUUAUUGCCAUCGUUGGCUCUAUUGUCGCUAAAGCUGUAGAGUAUACGAUCUCUCCUAUCAAAAACCAUGUCAAAUACCUUUCCAAUCAUCAGCAAUAUGUUGAGACCCUCAAGGACCGAGCUGAGAGGCUGAAAGAUGCAAGGGUCAGAGUGCAGCAUUCUGUUGAUGCAGCUAAACGAAACGGUGAGGAGAUCGAAGGUGAAGUUGACAAAUGGCUGUCUGCAGUCGACAACAAGAUCCUUGAACAAGUAGAGAAAGUGAUGCAAGAUGAAGAAAAAGCAAAGAAAAAGUGUUCCAUUGGUUUGUGUCCUAAUUUCAGGACUCGUUACAAGCUUAGCCUGAGAGCUGAAGAGGAGGCAAAGGCUGUUGCCGAGUUACUUGAACAUGGUAAGUUUGAAAGGGUUUCCUAUCGUGCAGCUCCGCAAGGUAUCGUGGUUGCACCAGUUAAAGGUUAUGAGGAAUUCGAGUCAAGAACGUCGAUUUUGAACGGAAUAAUGGAGGCACUAAAAGAUGAUAGCGUCAGCGUUGUUGGGGUGCAUGGUACGGGUGGGAUUGGAAAAACAACGCUGGUCAAAGAAAUCGCUAGAUAGUUCAAGGACAAGUUGUUUGAUUCGGUUGUCAUAGCAACCGUAACUCAAGUCAUCGAUGUUGAGAAGAUUCAGAACCAAAUUGCAGACUUCUUGGGCUUGAAAUUUGAGGAACAGAGUAUGGUUGGAAAGGCAAUUCGACUACGAGAAAGAUUGAAGAAAGAGAAGAGUAUUCUGGUUGUCUUGGAUGACAUUUGGGAAAAGGUUGAUAUUGAGGAAGUAGGGAUUCCUUUGGGAGAUGAACACAAGCGCUGCAAAUUACUAUUAACUUCUAGAGAGCUCAAUGUUUUAUCAAAUGAGAUGGAUGCUCAGAAAAUUUUCCCGUUGGGUUUUUAAAGGAAAAGGAAGCCUGGGACCUGUUCAAGAAGAUGGCUGGCAACUGUGAUGAACGUUGCGAUUUGAAGCCUAUAGCUAUGAAGGUGCAGGACUGCCGAUAGCCAUUGCGACAGUUGCAGGGGCUUUGAGAAACAAAAGAUUGUUUGAAUGGAAGAAUGCUUUACGAGAACUGGGGAGGCCUUCGUCAAGCAACUUCACGGGGAUAACUGCGGCAUAUUCAGCUAUAGAGUGGAGUUUUAAUUAUUUAGAAAGCAAGGAAGUUAAGCUGACUUUCUUGCUUUGCAGUGUAAUAGGCCAUAAUGGUCUCGUUGAGGACUUGGUAAGAUAUACUCUAGGUUUGGGUUUAUUUGAUGGUGUCCACACUAUGGAAGAAGCUAGAAAUAAAGUAUUGACGGUUGUGGCUAAUCUCAAAGCGUCUGCCUUGUUGCUUGAUGGUUAUAAUGAUAAGCGCUUUGAUAUCCAUGAUGUUGUUUGGGAUGCUGCUAUUGCUAUUGCAUUGAAGGACUACCGUAUGCUUGUUUUGAGAGAUCAUGCUCCAAAGGAGUGGUCCGAUAAGGAGAAAAUGAAGACGUGGAAUGUGAUCAGCUUACGUUGUCCUCAUAUUAUAGCUAACCUUCCUAAGGAGAUGGAGUGUUCAGGACUUUCCUUUUUCCAUAUGGCCUAUGAUGGCGCGGUUAAAAUUCCUCUCAAUUUCUUCAAACAAACCGAAGGCCUCAAAGCCUUAGAUUUGGUCGGAAUGCAGUUUCAAUCCCUCCGUAAAUCAAUUAUUCACCUUGCAGACCUUCGCAUGUUGUGUCUGAAAAAAUGUGCAGUUGAUGACAUAACCAUCCUUGGAGAGCUCAAGAGUUUACAAGUACUCAACCUUUCUCAGUCAGGUAUCAAAGAACUACCUAAGGAGAUGGCACAAUUGACUCAAUUAAGGUUGUUAGAUUUGAGUUGGUGUAGAGAACUCAAAAUCAUCCCACCGAAUGUCUUAUCAGGUUUGUCUAAAUUAGAAGAAUUAUAUAUGGAUGAAAGCUUUGUUGAAUGGGAAAAGGGAGGAGUAGUUGAAAAUGAGAGGAAAAAUGCAAGCCUUGAUGAAUUAGAACAAUUUGCCUUGUCUAACUACUUUAUAUGUUCAUAUUCUUGAUCUCCAAAUGAUACCAAAACACUGGUUUGUUGAAACAUUGGACAGAUUCAGGAUUUUCGUGGGUAAUUAUGGAAUAUUUGAUUGUUGCCUUAAUUAUGAAUCUCCGAAAGCAUUGAAGCUCAAGUUAUAUACAAACAUUGAUUUGGACAAUGGGAUGAAAAAGUUGUUGAUAAAGACAGAAGAUUUGUGCCUAGAGGGACUUAAAGGCGUCAAGAAUGUACUUGUGAAGUUAAAUAAUAGGAAAGAUCUUCUAAAUUUAAAGAGACUUCAUGUCAAAAAUGGUAGGCAUGUCCAAUAUAUUAAAACGAACAAAAUUGGAUUUUCUGAAUUAUGCUUCAUCACACUUGAAAAUCUACCGCAACUCGUUAGCUUUUGCUCUCCAGACGAAAGGUGUUCCACUAUGCCCUUCCUACUUUUCAAUAAACAGGUAUUUGUUUGGCUUUACUUAUAUUUCCUUAUACAACUUUUAUUUAUAUGCCCAUUAAUACUUCUAAUAAUAGAAAUAAAUAAUAUUGUCUAAUGGUUUUUCCGAGCUCAAAAAUAAAUUUCAAAUCCAAAACAAAUGAAAAUUUAAUUUUUAAUCCAAACCGAUUGAAAGUACAAAGUCAAUUCAAUAAUCUAAAUUUAAACCUAACAUUUUUUUUUAAUUCUGAAAAUGAAAUUUGAGCCCACAAAUCGAGCUAAAAUUAUCUUUAAAAUCGAAAAUCAUAUUUUCAAAUUAUGUUACAUACUAUCUUUCCCUAUCGAAAAAGAAUUGUGUGUAAAUAUGUGCAAUUUAUUUUCCCUCACUUGGAAAGCUUGUAAUUGUGUUCCAUUAACACCAAAAUAAUAUGGCACAACCAGACAUGUCAUUGGGUUACGAAUUUGAGGAGCUUGAUCAUCAAAGGAUGCGGCAAGUUGGAGCAUCUGUUAUCACUUUCUCUCGCUAGAAGUCUGGUGCAGCUCCAAUGCUUUGAGAUAAAGGAUUGCAACUGCUUAAGGGACAUAAUACUUACAGAGGAAAUUGAAGAAGAAAGGAAAGAUGUGAUUUGUUUCCCUCGAUUAAACUCCCUGCAUAUAGUGGGUCUUCCAAACCUCAUCUUCUUCAACUCAGGAAACCACAAUAUUGAGUUCCCAUUGUUGAAAGUGCUAAAGAUUGAGCGUUGCCCCAAUUUUAUAGAAUUCAUUAGUCAGAGUAGUAAUCAGUCUGGCAUGCACGCUCUCUUCAGUGAGAAGGUGAUUUAUUUCAGUAGUCUUACACUCUUGCAUAAAUCUGUUGAUUUGUCCUUGUUAUUUUGUCUGGCAUUAUAUGAGCUAACUUUUGUACUGGCACGAAUUUUAAAUAGGUUGCAUUUCCUAGGUUGGAAAAGAUGACAAUCAAAAAGUUGAGAAAUGUGAAAAUGAUGUUUCAUAAUAACUUUGCACCAGGUUCUUUUCAAAAUCUACGAGUAAUAAGAGUUGAGGGAUGUGGGAGUCUGAAAAAUCUAUUUCCAGUGUCAAUAGCCAAAGAUCUUCCACAACUUGAAGAUUUAUGCAUCACUAAUUGUGGAGUGGAGGAGAUUGUAUCGAAAGGGGAAGGAGUGGAGGAGCAGCCUGUGAGGUUUGAGUUUCCGCAAGUGUCUUCCCUUGAGGUUACAUCCCUAAAAGAGCUCAAAUGUUUCUAUGAAGGGCAACAUACAAUAGUCUGGCCCCUGUUGAAAAAAUUGAAAACAGAUUGUUCUGCUUUGCUAAAGAUAGUGGCUUCGGAACAUCUUAGAUUAAUCCAAGGAAAUGAGCAGCCAGUUUUGUUGGUUGAAGAGGUAUGUAUAUCAUUACAACUAUAUUUCUUUUUAUGAUUUAAGCCACCGUCACAUCCAUCUCUUGUUGAUAUAUAUAUUAUUUGAAACGGUGGUUGCUUAUCCAUUUUAAUUCGGAUUUUUUAUGCACUUCUUUCAGCUUAUUUUUAUCAUUUUUUUAUUUCUAAGGUAUUGUGCUUUCUUAAAACAAAAUAUUCAUCUAUUUUGGAUUGGUUUGAUUUAAUAUUGAUUUUGUUGAGAUUUAAUCAUCGAUAUCAAACACCAAAAUUGUAGAUCUUAUGUUCUUUUUAAGCAUAUAGAUCAACAUUGUGCCUAACUUGUUUAUGUUUAAAUGGUUUCAAGGUCAUUCCCAAUUUAGAGGAACUUGAGUUAUUAAAUUGGGUAAACUACACCCAUGAUCACUUUUGUUUACCUUAGGUUACGUUUUAGUCACUUUUGUUUGAAAUGUUACGUUUUAGUCAUUUACGUUAUCAUGUUGUAACAUUUUAGUCACUGAGCCAUUAAUCGUCGUUAAUGGUGUAACGGUAAGCUGACGUGGCACGUUAAAUCAUCAUUUCAAACAAAAUUUUAGGUUAAAUUAUACAAUUGAUCCCCAUAUUUUUUUCGUUUUAAGUAAUUUAAUUUUUUUUCUUUUAUGUUCUUUAAACUUUCCUCUUUUUUUCCAUUCUCUUUUGUUUCUCCCUCUGUUUUCAUACAUUUCUCAUUUCUUUUAACAUAUUAGGAAGUCGAAUUGGCAAUGAAAAAGAAGUAGGAAGUCGACUGUCAUUAUUUGCCUAUAACCAAAACCCAUAAACCCAUACAAUGCUUCUUUCUUUACUACCAAUUCGACUUCCUGGUAUGUUAAAAGAAAUAAAAAAGGUAGAAAAACAGAAGAAGAAGAAGAAGAGAAUGGAAAAGAAAAAAGAAAAAAAGAAAGAGAAAGUUAAAAGAACAUAAAAGAAUUAAAUUGCUCAAAAUGAAUAAUUAUGGGGACCAAUUGUAUAAUUUAACUUAAAGUUUUUGUUUGAAAUGAUGAUUUAACGUGCCACGUCAGCUUACCAUUACACCAUUAAUGACAAUUAACGGCUCAGUGACUAAAAUGUUACAACACGAUAACAUAAGUGACUAAAACGUAACAUUUCAAACAUAAAUGACUGAAAUGUAACUUAAGAUAAACAAAAGUGACCAUGGGUGUAGUUUACCCUAUUAAAUUUUGGUGAUAUGGACCAGUUUCCACCAGCCUUGUUUCAAGAUAUUAAAGUUUUUGUUGUGUGUGGUGGCUCUCGAUCUUCUAUAUUUCCUUUCGUCCGAAGAUUUUACAAUUUGGAUAGUUUUUGGCUUUUUGGUUUUGAUUUCAAAUACGUAGUCCCUUGUAAAGGAGACGUUGGGACUCUCACACCAAUUAGAAAUCUGAUGCUGGAUCGUGCAAUGAAUCUUUAUCAUAUAUGGAGGAAAGAUUUGGAGUUUGACCAUAUUCUUUCUAAUCUCCAAAAACUCGAAGUUUGGGAAUGUGAUGAUUUGAUAAAUAUUACAGUCUCCUCCUCAUCUUUGCAAAAUCUCACAACUUUGGAUGUGUCAUUUUGUCAAAUGAUGACAAACUUAGUUACACCCUUAGUGGUUAAGAAUCUUGUGCAAUUAACGAGAAUGAGUGUGGCGGGGUGCAGUAAAAUGACAGAAAUAGUGGGAAAUGGGGGAGACUGCCAUCAGACAAUAGUUGUGAGUAAAUUGAAAUGUUUAGAACUAAGCUAUUUAGAGAGCCUCACAAGCUUUUGUUCAAGGAAUUACACCUUCAACUUCCCUUGUUUGGAAGAAUUAGUUGUGGAACGCUGUCCUAGAUUAAAGACCUUUACUGAAGGAGUUUUAAGCACCCCACAGUUACAAAGAGUAAUACAGUCGCGUUACCCUGAGAAAUGGAGUUGGGCAAGUGACUUAAAUACCACCAUACAACAGCUCUACACGGAAAAGGUACUAAAUUAAUAAGUUCAUAAAACUAGUUAGCUUCUUCCUGUCCUAAUAAAAUUAAUUUUAUUAAUACUUCAUUAAUCAUUGAAGAGUGUUUAUCGUUAUUUUGUUAUUGUUUGCAUUUUCUAUUUGUGAUUGCUAUCUAGUGGAAUAAUAUUAUAAAUUUUUUUUUAGGAUGGAUUCUAUGACGGAUACAAUUUGGACAUCUCUGACACAAUUCCCAAGUCAAUAGAAAUAUGGAUUAGAAACCCUCAAGAAAUUUUGGGCUUCAAAAACCUUGUUUCGUUGCAUUUUUAUAAAUGUAGUAGCUUGAAGUACGUAUUUACUUCGUCUAUGCUUUUGAGCCUCAAUCAACUACAAUGGAUAAAAGUAAAAGAAUGCAGUUCAAUGGAACAAGUGAUUAGGGAGGAAGCAAUGACAGAUAAAUUCACAUUUCUUGCACUCUUCUCCAUAAGAAUUGAGUUGUGUUCCAACUUGACAAAUUUCUAUUUGGGAAGUCAAGCUCUUGAAUUUCCAGAGUUGUAUGAAAUCGCAAUAUUUGAGUGUCCAAAAAUGACUACAUUUUCUUCCUCGGUUUCAAGAGGAGGUGGUGAUGCAAGUGAAAACGUGGUUGGCGAGGGGGGCGUCUAUGAUAACCCUGCAAUUUUUUUCAGCAAUAAGGUAAGUUUAGUAUUCAAUAUUUAUCUGCACAACUUAUUUCACAUUUUCCUUUUAUUUGAUUAAUUUAUAUGAGUGUGUCUGGUCUAUAUAUAUAUAUAUAUAUUAGUGUUAAUGUCACGUGAUACGUGUUGAAAAAAAUUAAUAUAAUAAAAUCCAUAAAAAUAUUAAUAAAUAAGAUAAUGUUUUUUAAUUUGAAGUUUAAAGUAUAAAUAAAUAUAUAAAAUAAGAAUAAAGGAAAAACUUGAAAGUGAAAUACUAAUAAACAAUAAGAAUUUAAGAGAAGUUUUAAAGUUAAUACUAAUGGACAAUAAAUAAUAAAAUAAUAAUAGAAAAUAAAAUAAAAAACUAAUCUUCAUCUAUUUUAAUUUGAAGAAUAUUUGAUGUAUUGGUGGUACACAAGUUUCAUGUAUCAUCGGUGAAUAAAAACAUACAAUUAUCAUUAAAUACCACAAAAAUAUAGUAAAGGGUUAUAAAUAAAUACUAAUAAAUUUAUGUAAACAUAAUUAAAUAAAAAUUAAUUAUAAUUAAAUGUUAAAACCCUAAAUCCUAAACUUGAAAUUCUAAGCCCUUAAACAUAAGAUCUUAAAUCCGAAAGUUAUUAAUAUUUAUUUAUAAUAGCUACGACUAGUGUUAAAUAAAUUUUUCAUCUUUUUUAACUUUUGAACUUGCAUUUUUGUCAAAUCACCUUAAAAUGAAUGAAAAAGUUUAUGUUUGUUAACUUCGCUUAUGUGGCAAUCCAUGUGUAUGCAAAAUUAGCAAUUAAUUAAUUUUAAAAUAUUUUAUAUAUUUUUAAAUAUUUUUAUAAAAUUUUCAAAAUAAAAUAAAAAUUAAUUGUUGACAUGUCAUCUACGGGCAAUCCAAUGUAUAUAACAUCAGCAAAGUUAACAAAUGUCAAUUUUUUUUCUCUGCUUUGAAUGAUUUGACAAAUAACACAAGUUCAAAGGAUAAAAGAAAUAAAAAUUAAAAUAGAGAGCUAAAAUGAAAUUUUUUUAGAAAGUUGGAGGGUUAAAUAAAUUAUCUAUGCCUAACUCUUAAAAAAGGUAACUCAUUAAAUAACUUAAGUAAUUAAUGUAAAUCGUUAAUGGAAACUACAUAAAUAUGUGAGUCCAACUUAAUUAGAAACAAGCAUAUUCCCCUGUCGAAUUGCAUCAAUAAUAAUCAUUCAACAAUCAUUAUAGUAUAUAUGAAAGCUCUAAGUUGUAUAGAAAAAGGCUUCUUUCUUUAAAAAGAAAAAAAAACAAGUUUUGCUUUAGGUUAGAUUUAUGCUGCUGAACAUUUUAUCUAAAUAAAAAAGGUCCACGUCUGCUAGCUAUAUUUAUCAGUUUAUAAAUCUUCAUACUCAUCUACUCUUUUUGAUUGUGUUUGUAAGUAAAGAAGGAAGAGUUAUGGUGUUAUCUUAUAAUGAAAUUUAUGUCAACAGGUUGUCAUUCCUUGUUUGCAGCAUCUGGAAUUGUCCUUCGUUAACAUUCAUGAGAUAUGGCACCACCCAUCCUCCCCAUCCAUCAGAUUCCUAAAUUCCUUGCAAGUGAAGAGGUGUCACAAUUUGAAAUACCUGUUCCCAUCUUUCUUGGUAAAAGAUCUUGUGCAACUCCGACGCCUUGAAAUUUUGGACUGUAAUAUGAUGGAACAAGUAAUAUUCACGGAUGGAUUGGUUGAAGAACAUCAAGGGAGGAAUCAGAUGUUUUUCUCUGAACUAGAAUUGCUGUGGCUAAAAGACCUUCCCAAACUCACAAGUUUCUGCUUUGAGAAUUACUUUGAAUUCCAAUGUUUGACAGAUUUAGAACUAACAAAUUGUCCAUUGCUAAAAACAUUGAUCACUAAAUGUGUAUCCGAAGGUGAACCUGAAAUUGGCCAACAUGUACAAGCGAGUAACUUGGAGGUUCAUAACUCAUCUCUCCUCAAUGAAAAGGUCAUUUCUUUACGGGUUCUCCUUUUAAUUUAUGUUGCUUCGAUUGAUCUUAUUCAUUUGAAGUUCUUUCUUUUCCAUGCAUAUUUCAGUUAUUAACCUAAUGAAAUUGUAAUACCCAAUUUUAGCCCGGGCUCACAUAUGGAAACAUAAUUUUUGAGGAUAUGCAAUCUUAUAUAUGAUAUGCAAUCCUAGACAUUAUAUGCAAUCUUAGAUAUGAUGUAUAAUCUUUGAUAUGACAUGCAAUCUUAGAAGAUAUGAUUUUGUAAUCUUAGAGAUACCCUUUAAUUUCAGCCAUUGAUGUAAUUGAUCUGUACCGUUGGAUUUGGGGAGACUCAACUAUAAAUAGAGGCCUCUCCCUUCAUUGUAAAAGUGGGGGGAAGAGAAAAAAAGGGAAGAGAAAAAAAGAGGAAGAGGAAUAAAAAAGAGAAUGAUUGGCAGUUUUUAAAGGUGGCUUACUAUUUUUUUUCUUUCGAUUAUUUUUUUACUUAUUUACGAUUUUAAAAAGGAGAAGAAGGUGAUACCACUGUGAAUUUUAUUUAUUUAUUUUAUUUAGCCCCUCCGCCUUUUAAUGUUUUUGUAAUUAAGUUUUUUUUCUUAAUUUAUCCUUUUAUUUAUUUUUAUUUCAAUUGGGUCUAAGUUGAACGGCGUCGUUUUAGAGGAGAAGGGAAAAUUUCCCUUCCAGCCCCUCUAUGUAAUUCGCGUGUUCAAAUUAAUCCUUUUACUUUUAUUUAUUUGCGAAUUUACCCCAGUUUUUUUAUUGCAAUUCAAUUUAGUUUUUCUUUUCUUUCUUUUCAUUUAUUUUAUUAAUUAAUAACGUAAUCAUCUUUUUUAUUUUUAUUUUUUUAAAAUCUAUACAUGUAUAUUUUUAUGCACAUUUUUUUAAACUUAUAUUUUUCUCAGAUUUAUAUAUAUAUGUACGUAUAUAUAUUUUUUAAUGUACUCAUUAUUUAACUGUUUUUUAUCUAUAUAUAUUCCUUUUAUAUGUACGUGUAUAUAUUUAUUUUUAACGAAUAUUUUUCCUAUAUUUUUUUAAAUGAAUAUUUUCAUCUUUAUAUGUAUAUAUUUAUGAUUUUUUAAAAUGAUUAAAUACUCACUUUUCCUUUUAAAACACACCCUUUUUUAUUAUUUUAUAUAUGUACGUAUAAUUAUAUUUUUCUUUAUUUUCAUAAGUAUAUUAUGUAUUAUAUAUAUGUAUAAAUUCUAUAACCCAAAAUUUUAUUUGUAUAUUAUAUUUAUAUUUUUAAUCUUCAUAACUUUCAUGUGUAUAUUAUAUGUCUUCUAAUCUUUAUUUAUUUUGUUUGCUAUCCCAUCCAUUGUAUAAUUGUCUUUACAUUUAAUAUUUUGCAUGUCAUGGAUUACCUUUUUUUAUUUCGUUUAUUCAUUUGCUUAUAUUAUUUUUAUGUCGAUGAUGUAUUUAUUAUUAUUAUUAUUAUAGCAUUUGUAUGUAUAAAAUCACGUUACAUCAUUUUUUACUCAAAUUUAAAGAUAGAAAAUUUUUUAAAAUUGAGAUAAUGUUCGUAUUUGAGAUUUUCAAGGGAAUUGAGCCCUAACGUAUUGGGUUCUGAUUUUCUUCGUUAAAUCCGACAAUCGAGCAUUUCUCUUCAAUCAAGAAAAUAAUAAAAACUCAUUAUUGGGAAUUCAACACGUUGUGUCCUAACGUAUUGGAUGUGACGCAUUGAUUUCUCGAAAUGAAGAUUUUUUUUUAAAAUCAUGAAGGAAAUAUUCCGAGUUUGAGAUUCUAAAGGAAUUGUGCCCUAACGUAUUGGGUGUGAUUUCUUAAAUCUUGGAUAAGUGGAUGUUCUUUUAAAGUAAAGGAAAUAUUCCGAGUUUGGGAUUCUAAAGGGAUCGUGCCCUAACGUAUUGGGUGUGAUUUCUUAAAUCUUGGAUGAGUGGAUGUUCUUUUAAAGUUUUAUUGUAUAAGUAUUCUGACCUAAUUCAUUUUGGAGGAAAUUAGAAUGUUGUGCCCUAACGUAUUGGGUGUGGCAUUUUUGCUUCUCUGAAUUGAAAAGGGUCUUAAUAUGUAACGUUUUAAGUUUUUAAAGAUUAUAUUUUUAAAAUUUUCGACCUUAAGGCAUUAAUUAAUUAACUAGGUACCAAUUUUUGGGCGUAAUGAGGGUGCUAAUCCUUCCUCAUGCGUAACCGACUCCCGGACCCGUUCUUCUAAAAUUCGUAGACCAAAGUCGUUUUUAGGUGACCCAAUCACACCUUAAUAAAAGAUUGGUGGCGACUCCCAAUUUCAUUUUUUUUUAAGUCGACAACCUAAAAUUUUUGUUUUUCAAAAAUGGUUUCGACAGAAAUGAUUUAGCAGGUUGUUUUCCCUAGUUUGGAGAAGUUGCGGAUUCAGAAUUGUGAUUCGUUAGAACAAAUUAUUGAGCUGCAAGGAGUCAUUGCUGAUGAGUCACAGUCAACAUCAGCUACUCAGUCUAUUAUGGCUGAAACAGAGACGACCAAGUUUGUAUUUCCCAAACUAAUAAACCUCGGAUUGGAUAAGGUGCCGAGAUUGAAAAGUUUCUACUCUAGGAUGCAUACCACCCAGUGGCCUUCAUUGAAACAAAUGGACAUUAUUGAAUGUCCCAAAGUACAGAUAUUAACUCCACAAUGUCCUGAGUGUCAGGUUGGAAUCUCAAACCAACAACCCUUGUUUUGCGUCAACGAGGUGAGCUCACUAAUAGUUUCAUACUCCAUGUUCAUUACUUGAGAUUACCUAUAAAAUGCCUUUUGAAAUAACUAAUAUUCUCACCUUCCUUUUAAAUUUAUGAGAAAUAAAAUGGAAAUGAUAUCCAUUCUGUAGUCUAGUUCUUACCAAUUCAAAACUCUUUGAUCAAUGUUUAAUAUAUUCGUUGCCAUCCAGGACACUUUCCCUAUAUUAGAAGAACUGACACUAAAGACGAAUGAUAUGGUGAAGGGGAUAUGUGAUGGACAGCUCUCAUUGCAGUGUUUCCAAAACCUUAAACUUCUUAACCUCCAAUUGUUUCCUGAGGCAUCCACUACUCUUCCAUAUUCAUUCAUUCGGUCACUACCAAUGCUUCAUAAGCUUGUUAUAGACAAUGCUUCCAUUUGUCAAAUAGUACAAUCUGAAGGACUCAGCUACGACGAAAGGAAUACAUCAGUGUUCUAUCAGCUAAAGGAAUUAAGUUUGUGUCAACUUCCAGAGUUGACGUUAAAGACUUUUGAACCAUCUUUGCUGUCUUUCAAAAAUCUAACAACACUGGAAGUUUCAAGCUGCCAUGGGUUCAUCAAUUUAAUCGCAUGCUCAACAGCUAAGUGCCUGACGCUACUGGAAAGAUUGAGCAUAGAUGAUUGUGGGAUGAUUGAGGAAAUCAUAGCGUGUGAGGCUGAAGAAAUGCAAGGCGGCAUUGUAUUUCCCAAACUGCAGUAUUUGCAACUAAGCUGUCUGCCAUGUCUAGCAAGCUUUUCCUUGGCCCAUCACUUGUUGGAAUUCCCAGUCUUGCUAAUGGUGAAGGUGACAAAGUGCUCCAAAAUGAGGAAUUUCUGCCAAGGAGAUUUAAGCACACCAAGGCUGGAACAAAUGCACUUAACAAGAGAUGAGGAAGGUGAACUGCAGUGGGAAGGCGACCUUAACACUACCAUAAAACAUAUGUUCGAUGAAAUGGUACAAAUCAUUUAAAGGAUUUAAAUUCAUGUGUUUUUACAUACAUACAUAGUUAACUGAAUAAUUCUUGGUUUGUUAUGAUCAUGCACAGAAUGUGCAAAAUUUGGAGGUGACGGAGGUUACUGAUCAGUUGCCCAAGCUGGAAUAAGGAAAUAUGUUUGGGUGCUUAUGCGAAAAGCUCAGUUUCGUUUCAAAUAAAAACAAAUGGUAAUUGACUUCUAUUUCAUUAUGGCUUAACUAAUGCUUUAUAAAGUGACCAUAGAGACGCCCUUUCUAUUGUAGGUUGAGUUGCUCUACUGAAGCACAUGGCUGCAUCUGUUGGUAGAACGUGAAAGGUUAUUUCAGUUUUUGUAAAACUACAAUUUGAACUGUUCCAUUUCACAACAUAACCUCAAUAUUGAAUUUCAAGUGCAUCAUGCAUGACAUUGGGAACUACAAACAUGCAAACUUUUACUAGUAAGGUUGACCCCUGUUUUAAUAUUCGAAUUCUUCUUAAAGGUGGAUGGAUUUGCCAACUUUUGAUGGUUACCAUAUCAAUAUCAGCUUGGGGUUUAGACGAUGUGAUUAAGAUUGCUAUACAUACUGUGUUUGUGCUUGUGUCAUCUUUCUUGUUCUCUCUAUAAAGAUUAUUACGUACUUAUUUCUAUGCAAUCUCACAAUUUUCUGAUGAAAAAAGUUAAAGCUAAUAACUCCAUUCCCAAGUUUCCCAUAUUCAUCCUCACAAAAACAUAAAUGAUAAAAACCCCAUUUCUCUUUUAGUCAAUAGGAGAAACAAUCUAAAGUUAGAAUAAAACAAACCAAUGCCAUGUUUAUAUUGAAUUAAAUCGCAUGCAUACAUGUAUCAAUUGUUCUGUAGUGAACAGCAGUCACGUUAUAUUCAACUAUGGCAUCUCCAUCUUAUUAAACCAAGCUACAAUGUGAUUAUUCAAGUGCUAUCCAUGUGAUUAUUCUUAUAUUUAAAUAUAAUAAGUUCAUUUAAUAAUUUUUAUAAUAAAUAUAAUAAUUCAAUCAAUAUCAAUUAAGCGAAUUUUUAAUCAAUCAAUUGAAUUUAAUCUGAUUAUAAAAAGUCAAUAAUCCAAACUUAUUCAAUUCGGAUUCAAAUGAACUUGAAAGGGAUUUAUUGGAAAAUUCAAUCUUCAAACUCAAGUGAUUUGAAUUUUGUUAGGGAUUGACCCGGUUAAGCAACGAACAAGUAAAAAUAAGGAAAGAAAUUAAGAAAUUGAACACACAAAUUUAACAUGUUAAAACCCCUCCAAAGAGGAUAAAAAAUCACGAGUAAAGAUAAUUUUACUAUGAUGGCAAAAGAAUGAAGAGUAUAGAAGAUGAAGAUAAAAACUAAAUCCCAAAAACCAAAUUCAUAGGUCAAAUAAUAAUAAAAUAAUCUAGAUUAAUCAGAGUUUGAUUAAAAUAAAUAAAUACAAUCUAACUAUUGAUAACAAGUGCUAUCCAUGUGAUUAUUCUUAUAUUUAAAUAUAAUAAGUUCAUUUAAUAAUUUUUAUAAUAAAUAUAAUAAUUCAAUCAAUAUCAAUUAAGCGAAUUUUUAAUCAAUCAAUUGAAUUUAAUCUAAUUAUAAAAAGUCAACAAUCCAAACUUAUUCAAUUCGGAUUCAAAUGAACUUAAAAGGAAUUUAUUGGAAAAUUCAAUCUUCAAACUCAAGUGAUUUGAACUUUGUUAGGGAUUGACCCGGUUAAGCAAUGAACAAUUAAAAAUAGCAAAAGAAAUUAAGAAAUUGAACACACAAAUUUAACAUGUUAAAACUUCUCCAAAGAGGAUAAAAAAUUACAGGUAAAAAUAAUUUUACUAUGAUGGCAAAAGAAUGAAGAGUACAAAAGAUCAAUAUAAAAACUAAAUCCCAAAAAUCAUAUUGAUAGGUCAAAUAAUAAUAAAAUAAUCUAGAUUAAUAAGAAUUUGAUUAAAACAAAUAAACACAGUUUAACUAGAAUAUUAUUUCUCAAAUUUGACUGAAAUAGGAGUUAUACUCAACAAACUCAAACAUAAAAUUAUUACUUGGAUGUGAAUGAUUUGAAUUGAAAUGGUGUGAGGCCCCAUUAUGCUGUCAGCGAAAUCUAAAGAUUGGGGCCCCAAACCAUUCAAAUUCCAGGACUGUUGGAUGCAAGCUAAAGAGUUAGAUCGACUUAUUCAUGAUCGAUGGAAGGAAAUGGAGGUUCACGGCCAGGCAAAUCAGGCCUUGAGAAUGAAACUAAGUCCUUUAAAGUGUUCUCUGAAAAUGGAACAAAAAUUUCUUUUGGUAGUUUGGAUCAUAGAAUCCACUUGAUAGAAAAUGAAGUGGAGGAUGUUGAUAAAAGGGGCGAUAUUUCGGUCAUGACCGAGGAGGAUGUCAACCGUGGAAAAGAGACUACGGGUGAAUUAUGGAAACUUAAUCGUUCUCGAGAAAUCUUAUGGAGACAAAAAUCUAGAGUAAAGUGGAUUGGGGAAGGCGACCGUAAUGCAAGUUUCUUCCAGUGCAAAGCCAAAUUUAGAGCUAGGAGUAAUUGCAUUGAAGGUCUGUUUGCGAGCGGAUUUCUUGUCCGAACUUAGUCAAAAAUGCAAUUUGGGAAUACUUCCGAAAACAGUUCUGUGGCGUUCAUUGGGACAAACCUACUUUAAGGGGUUCGGAUUUUACGAUAUCUUUGCUUCUUCCCAAUGGUCUCAAAGCAUGUUUUGGUGUUUGAGUCUGAUUCAAUGGUUGCGUUGACAGGCCUGCCUCCUAUGUGGCUUGGCUGUUGUUUAUUGCACCUUUGUACUUCAAAAUAAUUUCAACUCUUUCAAUCCGAAUUAAAUUGAUUCGAACUUUAAAUAAUGAGUGAUAAACUUAAAAUUAUCUUAUUAGAAAAUUUAAACUUCAAAAUAAAUUGAGUGACUUAAACUUAAAUUUAACUUUAAUAUGAAACUGAUUUGAAUCCAAAUGAUUUUAAAAUUUCUAAUUUCGAAUUAAUCUAUCUAGAUCAAAAACCAACUCUAGUUAUAGCUUGACCCAUCACAAAAAUAUAAAAGAUAAUUUGAGAACAUAUGAGGCAACUUGUAGGUAUGGUGUAUAUGUAAUUGGAUAAUUACCCUCUCCCUAAAAAAUUAUGUCGCAGCGUACUCAAUUAUAUAUCUAGGGGUUUUUUUUCCCUUUUUGAUGUGGGAUUAAUGACUUUAAUCAUGUGUCCUUAAAUGACUCAGAGUUCGGAAUCACGAGUGAUAAAAGGCUCUGGUGUUUAACAAUCAACUAGACUCAACCAGAGCUCGGUAAUCAGCUGGACGAACAGAGUAAGCGAUAUCAAACAUUAAGCGCAUAAUUUCAGAUUCUUUGGACUCCAGCCGAGCUAAAGCUAACAUAAGCGAAAGCUAUCAUAUCAAACGGCUCGAUGCAUUUGCCGAAGUAUAAUUUGGAAAAUGUUUUGGACUGUUUUGAGGAGCUUGGGUGAUGUUGGCCAUUCAUAACAAAUAUAAAUUUCCCAUGGUUUAAGUGCAUUUGUCCUUUUGUUUCUAUAGCAUGCGAUCUAGGGAGAGGUCGUGUUGAUACAUUGAAUCAAUGGAUGUGAAGAUGGAAGGGAAUGAAUUCUAAGAAAACACACCAAAGUUAUUGAUUUGAUGAAAAAAUAAAAAAAAUGUUGUAUAAUUAUAUUAAAAAUAACCCGACUCGAAAUCUGACCUAGGAUCCGACCCUAUAUAAUAGAAUUCUACAAACAUCCCAUAAAAAAAGAAGAAUCUUCUUCUUUAUGGCUAGACAAGAAUUCUCUCUUCUCCAUCUCCACAUCCGUUGAUCUAAUGAAUCAACAAUCAGCAGUAUUUUAGACUGUAUAUUUGAUUUAUAAUGUAUUAAUUAGUUCAAAUGAUUAAUAUAAUUUGAAAGCAUAUUUUUAAAUCUAAAAAGUAGAAUGGCUAAAUUCUUGAAAAUAAAAAUAGAGUAACUAAGUUUUAAAGGUACGAAAUAAGACCUUCAAGUAUAUUUUAACCUUCAAUUUUUUACUUUAUAAUUUGAUACAAAUAAAUAACCAAUCCAAUGUGAAACAUAAAUGGAUUAUACUAAUUAUUGUAAUAAUUAAAUUUUUUUUAAUGUCGUUUGUGAAAUUAAAUAACAACGUUAAAAGGCUAAUCCUUUUCACAACAUGCCUAUAUCCUCAUUUAAUAAAUGAUUUUAAUUUUGGGUAAACUACAAAAAUAGUCACAUUUGUUUGUCUCAGAUUACAUUUUAGUCACUUAUGUUUGAAAUGUUACGUUUUAGUCACUUACGUUAUCGUUUUGUUACAAAGUGAUCACUCUAUUGUUAAGCUCCGUUACCUCCCUAACGGCGGUCCUACGUGGCAGUCCAAAUGAGUUUUAAUUGUCAACUUGGAUGUCCUAUGUGACAGUCCAAAUUGAAUUUUAUUUAAGUAAAAACCUAUUUUCAUCCCAACAACUAGACAUCCAAGUUGGCAUUUAAAACCCAUUUGGACUGCCACGUAGGACUUCUAUUAGGGAGGUAACGGAUUUUAACAGUAGUGUGACCGCUUCGUAACAAAACGAUAACAUAAGUGACUAAAAUGUAACAUUUUAAACAUAAGUGACUAAAAUGUAAUUUGAGGUAAACAAAAGUGACUAUUUUUGUGGUUUACCCUUUAAUUUUUAUAUAAUUCUUCAUUCAACUUAAUGUAGUUCAAAGUUGAUUAUAGAGGUGAAACUAGGAAUUUUUUUUUUGGAUCAGGGUUAAAUUGUACGAUAGUAAAAAUAUAAUUUUAUCAUUUUAAUAGUCUAUAUUUUUAUAAUUUUUAAAGGAUUAACCAAAAUUUUAUUAUUUGGGGGUUAAAAUAUAAUUUACUAUUAUUAGUUUAAAAAAUUUUAAAGGAUUAACCAAUGUUUGACAGAUUUAGAACUAACAAAUUGUCCAUUGCUAAAAACAUUCAUCACUAAAUGUGUAUCCGAAGAUGAACCUGAAAUUGGCCAACAUGUACAAGCGAGUAACUUGGAGGUUCAUAACUCAUCUCUCCUCAAUGAAAAGGUCAUUUCUUUAAGGGUUCUCCUUUUAAUUUAUGUUGCUUCGAUUGAUCUUAUUCAUUUGAAGUUCUUUCUUUUCCAUGCAUAUUUCAGUUAUUAACCUAAUGAAAUGAUUUAGCAAGUUGUUUUCCCUAGUUUGGAGAAGUUGUGGAUUCAGAAUUGUGAUUCGUUAGAACAAAUUAUUGAGCUGCAAGGAGUCAUUGCUGAUGAGUCACAGUCAACAUCAGCUGCUCAAUCGAUUAUGGCUGAAACAGAGACGACCAAGUUUGUAUUUCCCAAACUAAUAAACCUUGGAUUGGAUAAGGUGCCGAGAUUGAAAAGUUUCUACUCUAGGAUGCAUACCACCCAGUGGCCUUCAUUGAAACAAAUGGACAUUAUUGAAUGCCCCAAAGUACAGAUAUUUACUCCACAAUGUCUUGAGUGUCAGGUUGGAAUCUCAAACCAACAACCCUUGUUUUGCGUCAACGAGAUGAGCUCACUAACAGUUUCAUACUCCAUGUUCAUUAGUUGAGAUUACUUAUAAAAUGCCUUUUGAAAUAACUAAUAUUCUCACCUUCCUUUUAAAUUUAUGAGAAAGAAAAUGGAAAUUAUAUUCAUUUUGUAGUGUAGUUAUUACUAACUGAAAACUCUUUGAUCAAUGUUUAAUAUAUUCGUCGCCAUCCAGGACACUUUCCCUGUACUAGAAGAACUAAUACUGAAGAUGAAUGAUAUGGUGAAGGGGAUAUGUGAUGGACAACUCUCAUUGCAGUGUUUCCAAAACCUUAAGCAUCUUAACCUCCAGUUCUUUACUGAGACAUCCACUACUCUUCCGUAUUCCUUCAUUCGGUCUCUACGAAUGCUUAAUAAGCUUGUUAUAGACAAUGCUUUCAUUUGUCAAAUAGUACAAUAUGAAGGACUCAGCGACCAGGAGAGGCAUACAUCAGCAUUCUAUCAGCUAAAGGAAUUAAGUUUGUGUCAACUUCCAGAGUUGAUGUUAAAGACUUUUGAACCAUCUUUGUUGUCUUUCAAAAAUCUAACAACACUGGAAGUUUCAAGAUGCCAUGGGUUCAUCAAUUUAAUCGCAUGCUCAACUGUUGGAACAUUGGCAGCAGCAAAAAUUAAGCAAGCUUACACAACAAAAUUUGCAAAACUGAAGCAAGAAGAAUCGAAGCAAAAAGAAACAAAGCAAAGCAAAGCAGUGAACAAAGUUGAAUAUUCAACAGAAUUGUAACUGAACAUCAUUAUUUUUCAUUUAAAAUUUGAAAUAUAAAAGUGUUACAAUUUGGUUUAAUUUGACAGUUACCUAAUAAUCUAACUACCUCCACUAAUGUUUAACUAAUACAAGCUUAAGUCACAUACAAAAUAAAUUGACAUAUCAGCUUUUACAUCAUCAAUCUAAUCACUAGCUUAAUCCUACUUGCUUUGUAAGCUAGUUAGAAGAGAACUAAACUAAAUAACAUUAAAACAAAACAACAAAAACUGGUUGCUUCAUUCGGUCCAAAAACCAAGCUUGCGCACCAAGCAAAAUGAGCUGAGCUCGAUAGCUGCUGCUGGUCUCGACAGUAGCUCGCUGCUGGCUUUAUGUUGCACUGCAGUCCAGCUCUCAACACUCCUCCUUGGACUGUAUGCAACACAUUCCAAUUGCACCUCUCAAUGAUUCAAAUCGAGCAGCCCCUAAGGGCUUGGUCAGUAUAUCAGCCAAUUGUGACCCUGAGCUGCAAUGCACAAGGCUGACUUCCUUUGCUUGUUCAGCCUCUCGAACAAAAUGCAGUUUAAUUUUAAAAUGCUUGGUUUUACCAUGAAACACAGGGUUCUUGGCUAUGGCAACUGCUGAUUUGUUAUCCACCCAAAUUUCAGUUGCAUCAGCUUGUGUUUCAUUUAGAUCCUGAAGCAGCUUCCUAAGCCAAAUGGCCUGAUUGACUGCUGUUGAUGCAGUAAUGUAUUCAUCUUCAGCUGUGGACUGAGCAACUGUUUGUUGCUUCUUUGAACUCCAGCAAAACAUGCCCGAUCCAAGUGUGAAGAAGUAUCUAGAGGUACUCUUCAUGUCAUCGAGGGAUCCUGCCCAGUCACUAUCAGAGUAGCCUUCUAGUUUCAGUUUCUUCCCAUUUUCAAACAUCACACCAAGGCUAGCUGUGCCUUUGAUGUAUCUAAGAACCCUUUUUGCAGCCUUCAAAUGUGUCUCAUUACAGCAAUGCAUGAACCUCGAUAGCAGACUAACACCAAACAUGAUGUCUGGCCUGGUUGCUGUUAGAUACAACAGACAACCUACUAGGCUUCGAUAGUGUCUCUCAUCAACCCUUUGCUGAUCACCACUACUGGUCAACUUUUCUCCAUGAGCCACAGGUGUACUGACUACUUUACAGUUAUGCAUGCAAAAUUUGCCUAGAAUCUUCAAAGCAAAUGUGUGUUGGCUGAUGAAGAUACCUCGAUCAGACUGGUGAACUUCCAUGCCAAGGAAGUAGUCAUGAUCCCCAAAUCUGUCAUCUCAAACACUUGCUGUAUUUGAACCUUGAACUCAUUAAUGAGCUCAACUUGGCUCCCUGUCACUAACAAGUCAUCUACAUACAAGGAGACAAUCAGCAAGGUUUCAAAUUCUGACCUCUUAACAUAUAGAGUAGGUUCACUAAGGCUCUUUACAAAUCCAAUCUUGGUCAGGUAAGCAUCAACUCUGUCAUACCAGGCCCUUGGUGCCUGUUUCAGGCCAUAGAGGGCCUUUCUCAACUUGUACACUUUAUCUUCAUGUUCAGCAACUUCAAAACCUUCAGGUUGCUCGAUGAAGAUCUCCUCCUUAAGAAAGCCAUUUAGAAAUGCUGACUUUACAUCCAAUUGAUGAACCCUCCACUGCUUCUAAGCUGCUAAAGCAAGCAGUAGCUUGAUUGUGUCCAGUCUUGCCACUGGAGCAAAAGUCUCCAAGAAGUCCACACCAUACUGCUGACUGUAACCUUUCACUACAAGCCUGGCCUUGUGCUUGUUCAGUGAGCCAUCAGUAUUGUACUUGGUCCGAUACACCCAUUUAACCCUAAUAACCUUCUUAUGUUCUGGUCUGCUCACCAAUUCCCAUGUUUCAUUCUUAUUGAUCAUUUCCAGCUCAGCUUCCAUAGCUUUCAUCCAACUUCUGUCCUUGGCAGCCUCUUCAAAGUCUGAGGGCUCAAUCACAGCAACAUUACACCUCUGAUAGACAUCAGCCAAAGUCCUGGUGCCCCUCACUGGUGCAUUAUCAAUAGCAUCAUCACUUGGUCCUUCUUCUGCAGGUUCAGCAACCAAGUCUAACUGGUCCAUUUCAGACCAACACCAUUCCAAUUCCACACCUUUUCCUCAUCAAACUUUACAUCACUGCUGACUAAGACCUUCUUUGCUGUAGGAUCAUACACUCUAUAACCUUUCUUGUUGCUGCUAUAGCCAACAAAGAUUCCUGGAGUGGCCCUGCUCUCGAGCUUGCUUCUCUUUUCCACUGGUAUAAGUGCAAAACAUACACAACCAAACACUUUCAAGUGUGUUACCAUAGGUUUGACUCCAUGCCAAGCCUCAAAAAGAGUCUUAUCCUUAACUGCUCGAGUUGGCAGUCUGUUGAGCAGAUACACUGAGGUGUUGACUGCCUCAGCCCAAAACUAGCUUGGAAGCUUGCCUUGAAACAAGAGGCACCUGGCCAUGUUCAGCACAGUCCUAUUCUUUCUCUCACAGACUCCAUUCUGUUGAGGAGUAUAGACUGUUGUAAGCUGAUGGUGAAUCCCAGCACUGUCACAAAGCUUCUGGAAUCUCUCAGACAUAUAUUCAGAGCCAUUAUCAGUCCUCAAGGCUUUAAUUUUACAGCCUGACUGAUUUUCAGCAUAUGCCUUGAAUUUACAGAAGGCCUCAAACACAUCUGACUUCUGCUUCAAGAAGUAGACCCAGCACAACCUUGUCAAAUCAUCUAUAAACAGGACAAAGUACCUGUUCUCAUUGAUUGAAGGUGUUCUCAUAGGACCACAAACAUCAGAGUGCACCAAUUCGAGCUUAUUUUGAGCUCUCCAAGCAUUGUCAGCAGGAAAAGGCAGUCUAGCCUGCUUACCAAGCUGACAAACCUCAAAAACAUUCCCACUAACCUCAAUUUUUGAAAUGUCUUCAACUAAAUUCAGCCUAUGUAGCAGAUCAAGAGAUCUGAAAUUGGCAUGGCCUAGUCUCCUAUGCCACAAGUCAGUGCUGUCAGCAAGGCUGGUGUAUGCCUUUCUUUCUACUUGGCUAACAUCCAGCAUGAAGCAUCUAUCAGUCAUAGAGACUGAGAUUAACUCCAGACCGUUCAUGUCUUGAACAGUACAGCAACCAUCCUUAAAUAACAAUGUAUAGCCCUUUUCAACUAAUUGGCCUACACUAAGCAAAUUCUGGUCUAAAUCAGGUACAAAAAGCACGUCUGAGAUCAGCUUGUUACCUGAACCAGUGCUAACCAGCACACUGCCCUUACCCUUAGCCUCAAUCAGCUUACCAUCUCCAAUUCCAAUCCUCGAGUGAAAGCUUCUGUCUAGGCCCUUGAACAACUUCUCAUCUGCUACCAUAUGGUGUGAGCAGCCACUAUCUAGUAGCCAAUCAUUCCUGGCCUUUGUUGUGCCAAAAAAAUAGGUUACUGUGAACACAUGCUCCACUUGAGCUUGCAUGUCCUCAGCUGGUCUAGGUUGUUGCAGAACAGCCUCCCUUGGUUUGCCCUUGCACACCUUUUCCACAUGGCCAAACUGCUUGCACUUUCUGCAUUGUAUGUCUGGCCUAAACCAACAAUACUUUUCUGAAUGUGUUGUCUUCUUGCAGUGAACACAUGGUGGGAACACCCUUUUUGCUUCAUCUCUUCCUGACUUGACCCUUCUAUUGUGCCAAGGCUUCUUACCUUUUGCAUUCACACUCGAGCCUUCACUGGCUUUAGCCUGUAAAACAGCUUCAGAAUUCUCUUCCUGUCUAUUUGCCCUCCUUUGCUCAAGUGCAUACAGGGAGUUUAUCAGCUCAGACAAAGAAAUGGCUGAUAAGUCCCCCGAGUCCUCAAGUGAAGAGAUUUUUGACUUGAAUUUCUCAGGGAAAGUUGUGAUGACCUUUUCAACAACUCUACUCUCUGUGAAGUCCACUCCCAGGAGCCUUAUGCUGUUGACAAUGGCCAUUAUCCUGUCUGAGUACUACUUGAUGGUCUCAGACUCUUUCAUCCUCAAGUUCUCAAAGUCUCUCCUGAGGUUGAUCACCUACUGUUGCCUUGUUUUGUCAGUCCCCAUGAACUCCUCCUUCCGCUUGUCACAGGCCUGCUUAGGUGAGUCACAGGCCAUGAUGCGAGUGAAUAUCACAUCAGACACUCCAUUCUGCAGACAGGCCAUAGCCUUGUGCUUCUUGGCUCGCUCCUCAACAUGCUGCCUCAUCUGUGCAAUGGUGGGAUUGGCUCUCAAUGGAGGUGGCUCAGCAUCAUUCUCGAUCACACUCCAAAGAUCAUGUGCCUGGAGGUAAGUCUUCAUUUUAACUAUCCAAAUGUGAUAGUUCUCUCCAGUGAACACUGGUGAAGGUGGUUGAGUGAAACUCAUCCUGCUAAACUGAGUUUAAGUGCUUCGAUCCUUUUAGUCUUAGGCUUUGCUGUUGGUUUUGAUUUAAACACAAUAGAAUGCAGAGGCCCCUCAAAGAUUCUGGCUCAUGAUGCCAUUUGUUGGAACAUUGGCAGCAGCAAAAAUUAAGCAAGCUUACACAACAAAAUUUGCAAAACUGAAGCAAGAAGAAUCGAAGCAAAAAGAAACAAAGCAAAGCAAAGCAGUGAACAAAGUUGAAUAUUCAACAGAACUGUAACUGAACAUCAUUAUUUUUCAUUCAAAAUUUGAAAUAUAAAAGUGUUACAAUUUGGUUUAAUUUGACAGUUACCUAAUAAUCUAACUACCUCCACUAAUGCUUAACUAAUACAAGCUUAAGUCACAUACAAAAUAAAUUGACAUAUCAGCUUUUACAUCAUCAAUCUAAUCACUAGCUUAAUCCUACUUGCUUUGUAAGCUAGUUAGAAGAGAACUAAACUAAAUAACAUUAAAACAAAACAACAAAAACUGGUUGCUUCAUUCGGUCCAAAAACCAAGCUUGCGCACCAAGCAAAAUGAGCUGAGCUCGAUAGCUGCUGCUGGUCUCGACAGUAGCUCGCUGCUGGCUUUAUGUUGCACUGCAGUCCAGCUCUCAACAUCAACAGCUAAGUGCCUGAUGCUACUGGAAAGAUUGAGCAUAGAUGAUUGUGGGAUGAUAGAGGAAAUCAUAGCGUGUGAGGCUGAAGAAAUGCAGGGCGGCAUUGUAUUUCCCAAACUGCUCGUAUUUGCAACUAAGCUGUCUGCCACGUCUAGCAAGCUUUUCCUUGGCCCAUCACUCGUUGGAAUUCCUAGUCUUGCUAAUGGUGAAGGUGACAAAGAGUCCCAAAAUGAGGAAUUUCUGCCAAGGAGAUUUAAGCACACCAAGGCUGGAACAAAUGCACUUAACAAGAGAUGAGGAAGGUGAACUACAGUGGGAAGGCGACCUUAACACUACCAUAAAACAUAUGUUCGAUGAAAUGGUACAGAUCAUUUAAAGGAUUUAAAUUCAUGUGUUUUUACAUACAUACAUAGUUAACUGAAUAAUUCUUGGUUUGUUAUGAUCAUGCACAAAAUGUGCAAAAUUUGGAGGUGACGGAGGUUACUGAUCAGUUGCCCAAGCUGGAAUAAGGAAAUAUGUUUGGGUGCUUAUGCGAAAAGCUCAAUUUCGUUUCAAAUCAAAACGAAUGGUAAUUGACUCUUCUAUUUUCAUCAUGGCUUAACUAAAGAUUUAUAAAGUGACCAUAGAGACGCCCUUUUCAUUGUAGGUUGAGUUGCUCUACUGAAGCACAUGGCUGCAUCUGUUGGUAGAACGUGAAAGGUUAUUUCAGUUGUAAAACUACUAUUUGAACUGUUCCAUUUCACGUUAUAACCUCACAAUUGUAUUUCAAGUGCAUCAUGCAUGGCAUUGGGAACUACAAACAUGUAAACUUUUACUAGUAAGCAAAAUAAAUAAAAAAAAAUCAUAAAUUAGAGUAUGAAUGUAAACAUAUUAAAGCAUACUUUUUGGUUUCACAAUUUAAAUGAUUUGAGUUAAUUUGAAGCCAUAAAAUAAGAUAAAUUCAAUUAUAAAUUCUGAUGUUUGAAAAUUUUUCAAUAAUAAUAAGUAAAUGCUUAAUGUAGUAAUUAAGAUUAUAAGGCAACAAGCUUAAUUAAGAGGAGUAUUUGUAAAUAUUAGUAAAAUUUACUGUAAAUAUUGUAUGAAAUAAGCAAAUUUAUUUAUUAAUUAACCAAAUUUAUCUACGGUAAAUAUUGUAUGAAAUAAGCAAAUUUAUUUAUUAAUUAACCAAAUUUAUUUACGGUAAAUACUGUAUGAAAUAAGCAAAUUUAUUUAUUAAUUUAAAAGAAAAUUAAUUUCCUGAUAAAAAAUUUAUAUUUCAAAAAAAAAUUAGAAAGAUUUAAUUUUUAAAUAAUAGUUCAAAACAAAUUUUGAAAAAAUGUGUUGUAAAAAUAUUCAAAGUGUAAAAAGACAAUUUAUUCCUUCAAUGCUUAGGAAAAAAUAUUCCUUAAAAAAAGAUACUUAUUAGAAAAUAUCAUUAGAUAUAUGUUUAAUUGUUUAUAUUAAUAAAAAGUUAUCUAUUAACAAAAUAAAAGUAAAACAUUAAUCACAUAUUUAUAAUUUUAAAAUUUUAACUCUUCAAUGGUAGUUUAGAUUAUGCAAAUGAGUUUUCUUUUUUUUUUUCUUUUUUAAAUAUAAGAUAAUUCAAGUUUUGGUCUUUGUUGUCGCUGUGGUUAUUCAGUUUGCUCUCUCAAUGGAGAUUGUUAUUGCCAUCGUUGGCUCUAUUGUCGUUAAAGCUGUAGAGUAUACGAUCUAUCCUAACAAAAACAAUGUCAAAUACCUUUCCAAUCAUCAGAAAUAUGUUGAGACCCUCAAGAACCGAGCUAAUAGGCUGAAAGAUGCUAGGGACGGAGUGCAGCAUUUUGUUGAUGCAGCUAAACGAAACGGUGAAGAGAUCGAAGGUGAUGUUGACAAAUGGCUGUUGAAGUAAUGGUCAGCAUGCAGCAACCAAGACUGUCAAAGGCACUACAUGCAGAAGCUGCUGGUUCACCUAGUCAGCAAGCUGUUUAUGUUUCAUUUUGUAAUUUUAAGUUAGAGUAAUGUAACUUAGUUGCUUUAUAACUAUGUUAGGUUUAUGUUUGAUGUAAUUUUGAUGUUGACUGAGCUGAUAAAUCAGCUUUGUUUGUUUGUUCAAGCUAAUUAGCACAAGUUACUAUGUGUAUUAGUGGUAGUAGGUGAAGUUUAGGUCAACCUACUGUUUUGUCAAGAUUGUAAACUUGUUUUAUGUAUUGGCUUUGUGCCAUAUUUAGUUUAUGAAAUGAAUUCAACAAGUUAUCAUCCAUAUGCUCUUCAUUUUUAGUUUUGCUUAAAAAUCCAUUUGAGUUUUCUGCUUUGUUUCUCCUACAAGUCACGAGACUUGCUCGACAAGUAUCCUGUUGAAGCUUGCUGCUGCUGCCUCUUGAUCCAACAAUUGGUAUCUAGAGCCACAUUCUUAGAGGACCUGUUGUAGUUUAGUAUCAAAAUGAUGGCAUCAUCAGGUUUUUCACCAGCUUCACCACCUGUCUUCAAUGGAGAGGGCUUCAACAUUUGGGCAGUUAAGAUGAGGACUUACCUGCAGGCAUUCGACCUAUGGGAAGUUGUUAACUCAGAUGCUGAGCCAGCACCUCUUCGAGCUAAUCCAACAGUUGCUCAAAUAAGGCAACACACUGAUGAAAGAACAAAAAGGCACAAGGCCAUGUCAUGCAUACAGAAUUGUGUGACAGAUGUGAUCUUUAUGAGGAUCAUGGCCUGUGAAACACCAAAGGAGGCUUGGGACAAGCUGAAAGAAGAAUUUCAGGGGACUGAGAAAACAAGGCAACAACAGCUGCUCAACUUGAGAAGAGAUUUCGAAAAUCUAAAAAUGAAAGAGGAAGAAACAGUUAAGCAGUACUCAGAUCGGAUUAUGGCUGUUGUAAACAGCAUAAGGCUCCUAGGAGAGCAAUUCAGUGAAGCUAGAAUGGUUGAGAAAGUCAUGUCCACUCUACCAGAGAGGUAUGAAGCUAAAAUUUCAUCCCUCGAAGACUCAAGGGACUUGACAACUAUCUCCUUAACUGAGCUAAUCAAUGCCUUGUAUGCACAAGAGCAAAGAAGAGCCAGCAGACAAGAGGACCACCAGGAAGGUGCUUUUCAAGCCAAAGAAGCCUCGAGCAUCAAAACUCAUAAAGGCAAAAAGUUCUGGAAAAACAGGCCUAAGCCUGAUGCUGCUAGGAGCAGUGACCAACUCUGCAGACAUUGUAAAAGAGCUGGUCAUCCAGAAGAUAGAUGCUGGUUUAGACCAGAUGCAGUAUGCCAACACUGCAAGAAAAAAGGCCAUGUUGAAAAAGUUUGCAAGAAUAGAAGCAAACCAAGACAGAAUCAAUUUCAGCAACAAAAGGUAGAAGCUCGAGUAGCUGAAGAAAGCAGUGAUCAAGAAGAACAUGUUUUUGCUGUGUCAUGUGCAGCAAAUCAGAAGAAGGGUUCAAAGGGCUGGCUUCUAGACAGUGGGUGCACAAACCACAUGUCACCAGAUGCAACUAUCUUCAAAACCCUAGACAGAACCUGCAAAACCAAAGUAAAAAUUGGAAAUGGUCAGUUAAUCAAUGCUGAAGGAAGAGGAGAUGUGAUGAUUCAUACUUCUACAAGUGGCAAAAUCAUUUCAAAUGUACUUUUGGUACCUGAAAUCGAUAGGAACCUUCUCAGUAUAACUCAACUACUUGAGAAAGGUUACUCAGUUAUUUUCAAGGAGAAAGAAUGUCAAAUUUUUUAUCCAAGUGGAUCAAACCUUAUAACAGUCACCAUGACUGAUAAAUGUUUUGAAGUAGACUGGCCAAAUGACUCACAUUCAGCCUGCACAGCCUCCACUGAUGACUCAAGACUCUGGCAUCAGAGGCUUGGACAUGCAAACUACAAAUCCAUAGCCCGCAUGGUCAAUGAAGGUCUGGCAGAAAAUUUCAUCGACUCAGUGAAGAAUGAUGAGCUUUGUGAGAUAUGUCAGCAAGGAAAAUUGACAAGAUUGCCAUUUCCAACAAGCACAACAUGGAGAGCAUCAGAGAAGCUCCAGCUUGUGCAUACAGAUGUGUGUGGACCAAUGAAGACUGAGUCUCUCAAAGGAAGCAGGUACUUUAUUCUAUUUGUUGAAGUAAUGGUCAGCAUGCAGCAACCAAGACUGUCAAAGGCACUACAUGCAGAAGCUGCUGGUUCACCUAGUCAGCACGCUGUUUAUGUUUCAUUUUGUAAUUUUAAGUUAGAGUAAUGUAACUUAGUUGCUUUAUAACUAUGUUAGGUUUAUGUUUGAUGUAAUUUUGAUGUUGACUGAGCUGAUAAAUCAGCUUUGUUUGUUUGUUCAAGCUAAUUAGCACAAGUUACUAUGUGUAUUAGUGGUAGUAGGUGAAGUUUAGGUCAACCUACUGUUUUGUCAAGAUUGUAAACUUGUUUUAUGUAUUGGCUUUGUGCCAUAUUUAGUUUAUGAAAUGAAUUCAACAAGUUAUCAUCCAUAUGCUCUCCAUUUUUAGUUUUGCUUAAAAAUCCAUUUGAGUUUUCUGCUUUGUUUCUCCUACAAGUCACGAGACUUGCUCGACAAGUAUCCUGUUGAAGCUUGCUGCUGCUGCCUCUUGAUCCAACAAUUGGUAUCUAGAGCCACAUUCUUAGAGGACCUGUUGUAGUUUAGUAUCAAAACGAUGGCAUCAUCAGGUUUUUCACCAGCUUCACCACCUGUCUUCAAUGGAGAGGGCUUUAAUAUUUGGGCAGUUAAGAUGAGCACUUACCUGCAGGCAUUCGACCUAUGGGAAGUUGUUAACUCAGAUGCUGAGCCAGCACCUCUUCGAGCUAAUCCAACAGUUGCUCAAAUAAGGCAACACACUGAUGAAAGAACAAAAAGGCACAAGGCCAUGUCAUGCAUACAGAAUUGUGUGACAGAUGUGAUCUUUAUGAGGAUCAUGGCAUGUGAAACACCAAAGGAGGCUUGGGACAAGCUGAAAGAAGAAUUUCAGGGGACUGAGAAAACAAGGCAACAACAGCUGCUCAACUUGAGAAGAGAUUUCGAAAAUCUAAAAAUAAAAGAGGAAGAAACAGUUAAGCAGUACUCAGAUCGGAUUAUGGCUGUUGUAAACAGCAUAAGGCUCCUAGGAGAGCAAUUCAGUGAAGCUAGAAUGGUUGAGAAAGUCAUGUCCACUCUACCAGAGAGGUAUGAAGCUAAAAUUUCAUCCCUCGAAGACUCAAGGGACUUGACAACUAUCUCCUUAACUGAGCUAAUCAAUGCAUUGUAUGCACAAGAGCAAAGAAGAGCCAGCAGACAAGAGGACCACCAGGAAGGUGCUUUUCAAGCCAAAGAAGCCUCGAGCAUCAAAACUCAUAAAGGCAAAAAGUUCUGGAAAAACAGGCCUAAGCCUGAUGCUGCUAGGAGCAGUGACCAACUCUGCAGACAUUGUAAAAGAGCUGGUCAUCCAAAAGAUAGAUGCUGGUUUAGACUAGAUGCAGUAUGCCAACACUGCAAGAAAAAAGACCAUGUUGAAAAAGUUUGCAAGAAUAGAAGCAAACCAAGACAGAAUCAAUUUCAGCAACAAAAGGUAGAAGCUCGAGUAGCUGAAGAAAGCAGUGAUCAAGAAGAACAUGUUUUUGCUGUGUCAUGUGCAGCAAAUCAGAAGAAGGGUUCAAAGGGCUGGAUUCUAGACAGUGGGUGCACAAACCACAUGUCACCAGAUGCAACUAUCUUCAAAACCCUGGACAGAACCUGCAAAACCAAAGUAAAAAUUGGAAAUGGUCAGUUAAUCAAUGCUGAAGGAAGAGGAGAUGUGAUGAUUCAUACUUCUACAGGUGGCAAAAUCAUUUCAAAUGUACUUUUGGUACCUGAAAUCGAUAGGAACCUUCUCAGUAUAACUCAACUACUUGAUAAAGGUUACUCAGUUGUUUUCAAGGAGAAAGAAUGUCAAAUUUUUGAUCCAAGUGGAUCAAACCUUAUAACAGUCACCAUGACUGAUAAAUGUUUUGAAGUAGACUGGCCAAAUGACUCACAUUCAGCCUGCAUAGCCUCCACUGAUGACUCGAGACUCUGGCAUCAGAGGCUUGGACAUGCAAACUACAAAUCCAUAGCCCGCAUGGUCAAUGAAAGUCUGGCAAAAAAUUUCAUCGACUCAGUGAAGAAUGAUGAGCUUUGUGAAAUAUGUCAGCAAGGAAAAUUGGCAAGAUUGCCAUUUCCAACAAGCACAACAUGGAGAGCAUCAGAGAAGCUCCAACUUGUGCAUACAGAUGUGUGUGGACCAAUGAAGACUGAGUCUCUCAAAGGAAGCAGGUACUUUAUUCUAUUUAUUGAUGACUUAACAAGAUACUGCUGGAUUUAUUUUUUAAAACAGAAAUCAGAAGUUCCAUCUGUGUUCCUGAAGUAUAAAGCUGCUGUUGAAACUGAGUCUGGUUGCAAACUUAGAGCAAUGAGGUCAGAUAAUGGAACUGAGUACACCUCAGCUCAGUUCCAAGCCUACUGUGAAGAAGCAGGUAUCAAACACCAGUUGACUAAUGUAUAUACACCCCAACAGAAUGGGGUCAGUGAAAGGAAAAACAGAAGCUUGAUGAACAUGGCAAGAUGUCUUCUGUUUGAGAAGAAUUUGCCCAAAAGUCUGUGGGCUGAAGCUGUUAACACAGCAGUUUAUCUCCAAAAUAGGCUCCCAACCAAGGCUCUGGCUGAGAAGACUCCAUUUGAAGCCUGGUUUGGGUUUAAGCCAUCACUGGCUCAUCUCAGAACCUUUGGUUGUCUGUGCUACACACAAGUUCCAGCUGAGAAGAGAAGCAAGCUAGAUAAAAGAGCUCAAGCAGGGAUCCUGAUCGGCUAUAGCUUGGUUAAGAAGGGCUACAGAAUCCUAGAACCUGCUACAAACAAGAUAUUGGUUAGCAGGGAUGUUGUUUUCAAUGAAAAAGGACACUGGAAUUGGGAGAAGGCUGAACCAGAGGCAGUGGCUGAAGAUCUCGCAGUGGACCAAGUUGAAAAUGUUGAAAACACAUCUGAAAUGGAUGUAGAUGAUGUUCCAAUCAGAGGCACUCGAUCACUGGCUGAUGUUUAUGAAAGAGCACAAGUGGCUACUGUUGAACCAAGUUGCUUUGAAGAAGCAGAAAGCCAGGAGGACUGGAAGCAAGCAAUGAUUGAAGAAAUCAGAAUGAUUGAAAAGAAUCAGACCUGGAGUCUGGUUGAUAAACCAACAAACAGGAAGAUUAUUGGUGUCAAAUGGGUUUAUCGAGUAAAGAACAAUGCUGAUGGUAGCCUAAACAAGUUAAAGGCUAGAUUGGUUGUGAAAGGCUUCAGUCAAAGGUAUGGAUCAGACUACCUGGAAACCUUUGCACCAGUAGCCAGGCUAGACACUAUUAGACUGCUAGUUGCCUUAGCAGCACAAAAACAGUGGCUGAUACACCAACUUGAUGUAAAAUCAGCAUUUCUGAAUGGAUUCCUUGAAGAGGAGAUUUAUGUGGAGCAACCUCAAGGUUUCAAGGUGUCUGGCAAAGAAGAAAUGGUGUACAAGCUCAACAAAGCCUUGUAUGGCUUGAAACAGGCUCCAAGGGCCUGGUAUAGCAGAAUAGAUGGCUAUCUGAACCAGUCAAGGAUUUGAAAGAAGUCUCAGCGAGCCAACUCUGUAUGUUAAAUCAACUAGUGCUGAAACUCAGCUCAUUGUCUCAAUAUAUGUCGAUGACCUACUGGUGACAGGAGGAGAUCAUGAGAUGCUAAGCAACUUUAAAGUCAAAAUGCAACAGCACUUUGAAAUGUCAGACUUGGGAUUGAUGUCUUACUUCUUAAGCAUGGAAGUAACUCAAGCUAAGAAUGGGAUUUGGCUAAGUCAAAAGACCUUUGCUAUGAAGGUUCUCAACAAAUUCUCAAUGGAGAAUUGCAAAGCAACCAGCACACCAGUUGCUGUUGGAGAAAAACUCUCAAGCCAAGACAAGCAUGAAAAGGUUUGUGAAACAACCUAUCGAAGUCUAGUUGGAUGUUUGUUGUAUUUGACUGCUACUAGACCUAAUGUAUGCUGUGAGUCUACUCUCGAGGUUUAUGCAUUGUUCAAAUGAAAGUCAUUUUAGAGCUGCAAAAAGGGUUCUAAGAUACAUCAAAGGAACUUUGUCCUAUGGAAUGCAGUUUACCAAGGCUGAGAACUUGAAGCUAGUUGGAUAUUGUGACAGUGAUUGGGCUGGUUCCUUGGAUGACAUGAAGAGCACUACAGGCUAUGCAUUCAACAUAGGCUCUGCUAUGAUUUGCUGGAGCUCAAAGAAGCAGGGAGUAGUGGCUCAGUCGACUGCAGAAGCAGAAUAUGUGGCUGCUGCUGCAGCAGUCAAUCAAGCCAUAUGGCUUAGAAAAAUUUUGAAAGAUAUCAAUCAUGAGCAAAAGGAAGCAACUGAGAUAAUGUGUGACAACCAAUCAGCAGUUGCUAUUGCAAAGAAUCCUGUUUUUCAUGGAAGGACCAAGCACUUCAACAUCAAACUUCAUGCAAUUCGGGAAAUGGAACAAGCUCAUGUUGUUAAGCUGAUACAUUGCAGUUCUGAAGAGCAAAUUGCUGAUAUUUUAACAAAAGCACUAAGUGUUUCCAAGUUUCAACACCUGAGAGCUAAUAUGGGAGUUUGCAACAUGCUAACCAAGGAGGAGUGUUGAAGUAAUGGUCAGCAUGCAGCAACCAAGACUGUCAAAGGCACUACAUGCAGAAGCUGCUGGUUCACCUAGUCAGCAAGCUGUUUAUGUUUCAUUUUGUAAUUUUAAGUUAGAGUAAUGUAACUUAGUUGCUUUAUAACUAUGUUAGGUUUAUGUUUGAUGUAAUUUUGAUGUUGACUGAGCUGAUAAAUCAGCUUUGUUUGUUUGUUCAAGCUAAUUAGCACAAGUUACUAUGUGUAUUAGUGGUAGUAGGUGAAGUUUAGGUCAACCUACUGUUUUGUCAAGAUUGUAAACUUGUUUUAUGUAUUGGCUUUGUGCCAUAUUUAGUUUAUGAAAUGAAUUCAACAAGUUAUCAUCCAUAUGCUCUCCAUUUUUAGUUUUGCUUAAAAAUCCAUUUGAGUUUUCUGCUUUGUUUCUCCUACAAGUCACGAGACUUGCUCGACAAGUAUCCUGUUGAAGCUUGCUGCUGCUGCCUCUUGAUCCAACAAUGGCUGCCUGCAGUCGACAGAAAGAUCCUUGAACAAGUAGAGAAAGUGAUGCAAGACGAAGAAAAAGCAAAGAAAAAGUGUUUCAUUGGUUUGUGUCCUAAGUUCAGGACUCGUUACAAGCUUAGCCUGAAAGCUGAAGAGGAGUCAAGAAUGUACUUGUGGAGUUGAAUAAUGGGAAAGAUCUUCCAAAUUUGAAGAGACUUCUUGUCAAAAAUGGUAUGCAUGUCUAAUAUAUUAAAAUGAACAAAAUUGGAUUUUCUGAAUUAUGCUUCAUCACACUUGAAAAUCUAUCGCUACUCGUUAGCUUUUGCUCUCCAGACGAAAGGUGUUCCACUAAGCCCUUCCUACUUUUCAAUAAACAAGUAUUUGUUUGGCUUUACUUAUAUUUUCUUAUACAACUUUUAUUUAUAUGCCAAUUAAUACUUCUAAUAAUAGAAAUAAAUAAUAUUGUGUAAUGGUUUUUCCGGAGCUCAAAAAUAAAUUUUAAUUCCAAAACAAAUGAAAAUAUAAUUUUUAAUCCAAACCGAUUGACAGUACAAAGUCAAUUCAAUAAUUUAAAUUUAAACCCAAUAAUUAUUUUUUUAAUUUUGAAAAUGAAAUUUGAGCCCACAAAUUGAACUAAAAUUAUCUUUAAAAUCGAAAAUCAUAUUUUCAAAUAAUGUUGCAUACUAUCUUUCCCUAUCGAAAAAGAAUUGUGUGUAAAUAUGUGCAAUUUAUUUUCCCUCACUUGGAAAGCUUGUAAUUGUGUUCCAUUAACACCAGACAUGUCAUUGGAUUACGAAUUUGAGGAGCUUGAUCAUGAAAGGAUGCGGUAAGUGGGAGCAUCUGUUAUCACCCUCUCUCGCUAGAAGUCUGGUGUAGCUCCAAUGCUUUAAGAUAGAGGAUUGCAAGUGUUUAAGGGACAUAAUACUUACAGAGGAAAUUGAAGAAGAAAGGAAAGAUGUGAUUUGUUAAUUUCCCUCGAUUAAACUCCCUGCGUAUAGUGGGUCUUACAAACCUCAUCUUCUUCAGCUCAGGAAACCACAAUAUCGAGUUCCCAUUGUUGGAAGAGCUAUGGAUUGAGAAUUGCCCCAAUUUCAUAGAAUUCAUUAGUCAGAAUAGUAAUCAGUCCGGCAUGCACGCUCUCUUCAGUGAGAAGAUGAUUUAUUUCAGUAGUAUUACACUCUUGCAUAAAUCUGUUGAUUUGUCCUUGUUUUUUUCUUUUUUCUGCCUUCAUUAUUUGAGGUAACCUUAUUAUGGGCAUGGAUUAUAUAUAUAUAUAUAUAUAUAUGAAUAGGCUGCAGUUCCUAGCUUGGAAGACUUGAGUAAUGUGAAGAUGAUAUUUUAUAAUGAUCUAGCACCAGGUUCCUAUAAAAAUCUACGAAAAAUAAGUGUUGGGGGAUGUGGGAGUUUGAAAAAUCUAUUUCCAGUAUCAAUAGCCAAAGGUCUUCCACAACUUGAACAUUUACGCAUCACUAAAUGUGGAGUUGAGGAGAUUGUAUCGAAAGGGGAUGGAGUGGAGCAGCCUGUGAGGUUUGAGUUUCCGAAAGUGUCUUACCUUGAGGUUACAGGGGUAGUAAAGCUCAAAUGUUUCUAUGAAGGGCAAGAUACAAUAGUCUGGCCGAUGUUGAAAAAAUUGAAAACAGAUAGUUCUGCUUUGCUAAAGAUAGUGGCAUGGGAACAUCUUAGAUUAAUCCAAGGAAAUGAGGAGCCAGUUUUGUUGGGUGAAGAGGUAUGUAUAUCAUUACAACUAUAUUUCUUUUUAUGAUUUAAACCACUGCCACAAGCAUCUCAGGAUGAAAUAUGCCACGAUAAUGCAUUUCUAAUUAUUAUAUUUUCAUUGAUUUGAAUUUUUUUUUCCUAUUUUUGAAUUUUUAAUAUAUAUUUUUACAAUUUUUAAAAACAAGACUGAAUAAAUAUAAUAGGUAAAUAUUGAGUGUUAAUCUUAACUUUUUAGAAUGUAGUUCAAUUUGAUAAAAUGUAUAAAUGUUGAGGGUUAAAUUUAUUAUUAUGCAAAAAAAAAACUAUAACAUCCCGUUAGGGACUUUGAAGCAUAGCAAUUAAGAUAUUCAAUUUCUGUAACAACAUUGAUUAAAUUGAAAUUUUAUUUGUUUUUAAAUGGCCAAUGAAAAUAUUUUAACACUUAAGUGACUAUAUAUGUAAUUUACCCUGCAUUUAAGUAGUGGGUAGAAACUAAAUAGAAUGUUUAAUUUAUAAAAAGUCAAAAUUUUAAAAGUUAGUUACACUAGACAUCUCAAACUAUGACCUCCAUUUUAAAUUAGUCCCAAAAUUUAAAAUAUUCUAAGUACAUUCUUAAACUAUUGAUAUUAUAUCAAUUAGGUCUUUCUAUUAUUAAAUUCGUUAAUUUAACCAUCAAAUUAAAUCAGUGUAAUAUUUUAAAACCUUGGUGUUUUAUCUACACUGUUCUGCUUAUAUUUUUUAUCGUAGAAAUAUAUAUAUAUAUAACACAAUGGUUGUUUAUCUAUUUUAAUUUGCUACUCUUCUUUCGACUUUCAUGUUGUGUAAUUUUUCAGUUUUUAUUCUCAAGGUAUUGUGUUUUCUUAAAACAAAAAAUUCUAUCUAUUCUGAAUCCGUUUGAUUUAAUAUUGAUUUUGUUGGGAUUUAAUCAUCAAAAUCAAACACUAAAAUUAUAAAUCUUUUUUUUUUUGUUUGUUUUUUUAAAGCAUAUACAUCAACAUUGAGCCUAACUUGUAUAUAUUUAAUUGGUUUCCAAGGUCAUUCCCAAAUUAGAGGAACUUGAGUUACGAACUUUUGGUGAUAUGGACCAAUUUCCACCAGACUUGUUUCAACAUGUUAAAGUUAUUGCAGUGAGUGGUGGCUCUCCAUUUUCUUUAUUUCCUUUCGUCCGAAGAUUCUACAAUCUGGAAAGACUUGAGGUUUCUUAUUCUGAUUUCAAACAUGUAGUCCCUUGUAAAGGAGACGCCGGAACUCUCCCACCAAUUAGAAAUCUGAAAUUGGUUUCUGCCAGAAAUCUUGAGCAUAUUUGGAGGAAAGAUUCGGAGCUUUACCAUAUUCUUUCUAAUCUUCAAACACUCACAGUUGAGGAUUGUGAUGAUUGGAUAAAUAUUAGAGUCUCCUCAUCAUCUUUACAAAAUCUCACAAAUUUGAAUGUGUCAUUUUGUUAAGAAUCUUGUGCAAUUAACGACAAUAAAGGUAGAAUACGGCACUAAAAUGACAGAAGUAGUGGGAAACGAGGGAGACUGUCAUCAGACAAUAGUUGUUAGUAAAUUGAAAUGUUUACAACUAUGCAAUUUGAAGAGCCUCACAAGCUUUUCUCCACGGUAUUACAGCUUCGAGUUUCCUUGUUUGGAAGAAUUAGUUGUGGAACAUUGUCCUAAGUUAAAGAUCUUUUCUGAGGGAGUUUUAAGCACCCCACAAUUACAGAGAAUAAAACAGUCGAGUUACCGUGAGAAAUGGAGUUGGACAAGUGACCUUAAUACCACCAUAAAACAGCUAUACACAGAAAAGGUACAAAGUUAAUAAGUUCAUAAUGCUAGCUAGAUUCCUCGUGUCCUAAUACAAUUAAUUUUAUUACUACUUCAAUAACCAUUGAAGAGUGUUAAUCGUUACUUUGUUAUUGUCUGCAUUUUCUAUUUAUGAUUGCUAUCUAGUGGAAUAAUAUCAGAUUAAUUUUUAGGAUGGACUCUAUAACCCAUAUGAUUUCAACAUCUCUGACACAUUUCCGGAGUCGAUAGAAAUAUGGACUAGAAACCCUCAAGAAAUUUUGGGCUUCAAAAACCUUAGCAGCCUGCAGUUUUAUAAAUGUAGCAGCUUGAAGUACAUAUUUACUCCGUCUAUACUUUUGAGCCUCAAUCUACUGCAAAGGAUAGAAGUGCAAGAAUGCAGUUCAAUGGAACAAGUAGUUAGGGAGGAGGAGGAAGCAAUGACACAUAAAUUUACAUUUCUUUCGCUACUCUCCGUAACAAUUGAGUCGUGUUCCAGCUUGACAAAUUUCCAUUUGGGAAGUCAAGCUCUUGAAUUUCCACAGCUGAGGAAUAUCAGGAUAGCUGAGUGUCCAAAAAUGACUGCAUUUUCUUCCUCAGUUUCAAGAGAGAGUGGUGAUGCAAGUGAAAACGUGGUUGGCAAAGGGGGCAUCUAUGAUAACACUGCAACUUUUUUCAGCAAUAAGGUAAGUUUGGUAUUCAAUAUUUAUCUGCACAACUUAUUUCACAUUUUCUUUUGAUUUGAUCAACAUGAGUGUGUCUGGUCUAUAUAUACAUACUAGUGCUACACCUUGUCAAAACUGAAUAUAAUAAAAUCCAUAUAUAUAAAUAAAUAAGAUAAUAUUUAAAAAAAAACUGGAGUUUAAAGUGGAAAUUAAAUAAAUAUAUAAAAUAAGAAUUGAAAGGAAAACUUAAAGUGAAAUACUAAAAAACAAAAAGAAUUUAAGAGAAGUUUAAAAUUAAAUAGUAAUAGACAAUAAAUAAUAAAAUAAUAAUAGAAAAAAGAAAACUAAUCUUCCUUUAUUUUAAUUUGUGGGUGUAUAAGAAGGAGAUAAUUGUGGAAGACCUUCACAAAUGUCAUUUGAGAUCAAAAUAAGGAGAAGAAGCAAGAAAACAAAAGGUGAGGAGUUUGAAGAAGAAAGAACCAAAUAUAUGGAGGAGAAUUGAAGUGAGAGAGUGGAUGGGUUUUAUUUAAAGAUUUAAUGCUUUUUUUUUAAUUUCAUAUAUAGAAAAAAUCAUUGAAAGAAAAAUAAGUUCAAUAUAAUUAUUUAAAUUUACUUGUCGGGUUUUUAUAAAAUUAACUCAAAUUUUUGAUUAAUUAUGAAAAUAACUCAAUUUAAAAAUUAUGUACAUAAAUUAUUCGAUUUCUAUAGUGUCUGUCGGUGCCUCCAGACACAAUGGCAGCACUGACCUGCCAUCAUCAACCAAUGAUUGUAUUUUAUUUAAAAAAUAAUAGUUUUUUAGUAGUGUCAUUGGAAAAAUUGACGAUAUCAAACUGAAGUGUGAUAAUAUAAAAUGUUCAUGUACUUGACGAAGUAAUUACCCUUUUUUAAUUAGAGGAAAAAGGGAUUUGGUCUAUUUUCAUGUUAGGUCCAUCACCUUUUGAAAUUAAAUUUAAAUAACCCUUAAAAAUAUAAGAAUAACAAAAAUAAAUCAUUCUCAUUUAUAUUUAAAAAAUAACCUUUAAAAAUUAUAUUAAAUUCUUAUUUAAAUUAUCCAAAUAUAUCCCUCACAGAAUUUCCUCAAGUUUAUCUAAAUUCAAGCAUUUUCAAUUCAUUCCCUAGCAUAUUUAAAUUUAGAUAAAGUACUUAAGGAAAUUUUUUGAGGAAUAUAUUUGGGUAAUUUGAAUAAGAAUUUUAUAUAAUUUUUUAAGUAUUUUUUCAAAAAAAAUGAAAAUGGUUUAAUUUUGUUAUUAUUAUAUUUUUUUAACUGCUAUUUAAAUCUAAUUUUAAAAAAGGACAAACGUAACAUGCAAAUAGGUCAAAUGUUGAAAAACAUUUAAUUUGGUCCAGAUACCAACGACACCCCUUUUUCAACCAAUCUAAAAACGUUAACCGCUUCAAAGGAUCCCUGCACGUUUUAUAUAAUCACAUUCAUUCUGGUGCCGUCAAUUUAUUAGGCAACACCACUAUGAUUUUUUUAAAUAAGCAAUCAUUGGGUAAUGAUGUGCAGCGGUGCAGUAAGCACUAUAGAAAUCAGGUGGCCUUCAUUGAAACAUUUCUACUCUAGGAUUGUGUAAGGUGUAGUAACCUUAGAUUGUGUAAGGUGCCAAGAUUGAAAAAUUUCUACUCUAGGAUGCGUACCACCCAGUGGCCUUCAUUGAAACAAAUGGACAUUAUUGAAUGCCCCAAACUACAGAUAUUUACACGACAAUGUCCUGUAAGUCAGGUUGGAAUCUCAAACCAACAACCCUUGUUUUGCGUCAAUGAGGUAAGCUCACGAAAAGUUUCAUAUUCCAUGAUCAUUACUUGAGAUUACCUAUAAGAUGCUUUUUGAAAAACCUAAUAUUCUCUCCUCUUUUAAUUUUAUGAGAGUCUAGUUCUUACUAAUUUAAAACUCUUUCAUCGAUGUCUAAUAUAUUCUUUUUUUUUUUUUUGAAACAACGAUGUCUAAUAUAUUCAUUGCCAUCCAGGACGGUACUUUCCCUGUAUUAGAAGAACUAACACUGAACACGAAUGAUAUGGUGAAGGGGAUAUGUGAUGGACAGCUCUUAUUGCAGUGUUUCUAAAACCUUAAACUUCUUAACCUCCGAUUCUUUCCUGAGACAUCCGCUACUCUUCCAUAUUCCUUCAUUCGGUCGCUACCAAAGCUUCAGAAGCUUGUUAUAAACAAUGCUUCCAUUUCUGAAAUAGUCUGGUCUGAAGGACUUAGCAAAGAGGAAAGGCACACAUCGGUAUUCUAUCAGUUAAAGGACUUAAGGUUGUCUCAACUUCCAGAGUUGACGUUAAAGACUUUUAAACCAUCUUUGCUGUCUUUCAAAAAUCUAACAACACUAGAAGUUUCAAGAUGCCAUGGGUUCAUCAAUUUAAUCGCAUGCUCAACAGCUAAAUGCCUAACGCUACUGGAAAGAUUGAGCAUAGAUGAUUGUGAGAUGAUAGAGGAAAUCAUAGCGUGUGAGGCUGAAGAAAUACAAGGUGGCAUGGUAUUUCCCAAACUGAAGUAUUUGCAACUAAGUUGUCUGCCAUGUCUAGCAAGCUUUUCCUUGGCCCAUCACUCGUUGGAAUUCCCAGUCUUGCUAAUGGUGAUGGUGACAAAGUUCCCCCAAAUGAGGAAUUUCUGCCAAGGAGAUUUAAGCACACCAAGGCUGGAACAAAUGCACUUAACAAGAGAUGAGGAAGGUGAACUGCAGUGGGAAGGCGAUCUCAACACUACCAUAAAACAUAUGCUCGAUGAAAUGGUACAAAUCAUUUAAAGGAUUUAAAUUCAUGUGUUUUUACAUACAUUAAUUGAACAAUUCUUGGUUUGUUAUGAUCAUGCACAGAAUGGGCAAAAUUCGGAGGUGACGGAGGUUACUGAUCAGUUGCCCAAGCUGGAAUAAGGAAAUAAGUUUGGGUGCUUAUACGAAAAGCUCAAUUUCGUUUCAAAUCAAAACGAACGGUAAUUGACUCUUCUAUUUUCAUCAUGGCUUAACUAAUUCUAUUUUUCUUCACUGUAAGCUAUUUUUCUUCACUUACUAAAAUGCUUUCCACUCAAAUUUCAUUGCAAGAAACCUGAAGUUCUUCAAACAUUUGACCUUAUAUGUUAAUAGAUGGUAAUUGCGUUGCAAACUAAUGGUUUCUACUGUUGUCAUGGUGUAGUAUAUUAUGGAAUCUGAAUCAACCAUUGUAAUCAAAAGAAUGGGAGAACUUAAUCCAGAACCUUUUUUAGACGAAUGCAAGAAGAAAUUUGCUGUUUGACAACUGGUGUUUGAACUGUGAAUUUGAUUUUUUUUUUUGCCAUUUUUGCUGGUCAACAGUGCUAAUAUUCUGAUAUAUUGGCCAGAAUUGAAGGAAGAAGGUCCAAUUUUGCUUUUGAUCCUUCUACUAGUAUCUUAAGAUUUAAAAGAAAUUCAAUUAAACAAUUUCUUCCAAUAAAAUUAAACAAGAAGGCCCAGAAAUUGACCCGCACACUUAGACAUGUUUCUCUUUGAAAAAAUUCAAACAGGGUUUUAAAAUUUGCAAUGUGUUUUAUGUAAAUCAAAUGAUAUCCUGAAUUUUGCUAAGGGUGUUUCAUAUCCUUGAAUCCUUCUUUUGCUUGGCAAGUGAUUCAUUGAGCUUUUGUGAUCAAAUUUCAUGUUUCUUUUUUAGUAUGGGAAUUUGUGGGAAAAUACUUGACAACAAGCCUCAAUACUUGCUGUUGGGAGCUUCAAUAUAAUGUAACUGUUGGUGUUGAAAUCAAAGAACAGAUAAGCUCAGCUUGUAUCUUGUGCAACAAGCCUCGAUACUUGCUGAGUAAACAAUCAGAUUUGAAGCAAAAGAAAGAAGAAAAAAGCAAAGAAAAAUGAGAGAGUUUUGAUGGAUUUGAACUAGCUUUCAUUCAUACUCAAAAUAAUGGCAUAAUGCCAAUACAUAAACCAAGCAAUUUGCUUGUCAAAAAACAAUAAGCAGUCACCUAAACAAUACCUACCACCACUAAUUAUAUUGAAACUUGAAAAACAAAACUUGUAAGCAUGGACAAAGCUGAGUUUACAGCUCAUACACCAUCUAAUUACAUCAAUCAUAAGAUUAGCUUAGUUCAAAUUGAACUAAGGUACAUUACAUUAACUUAAAAAUACAAAAUGAACAAAAUAGGAACAGUUGAGCUUGUUCCAGCAGCACCUGCAUGGCACGAUCUUCAUGGCCUACUUGCUGUCUGCUUCUUGCUUCAUGCUGACCAACAUUCAUCACUCCUCCUUGGUUAGCAUGUUGCAAACUCCCAAUUUGUUUCUUAAGUGUUCGAAUCUUGUUGCAUUAAGGGCUUUGGUCAAAAUGUCAGCAAGUUGAUCCUCUGAAUUGCAAUGAAUCAGUUUUAGCUCCUGUGCCUGCUCCAUUUCUCGAACAACAUGAAGUUUAAUGCUGAAAUGCUUUGUUCUUCCAUGGAACACUGGAUUCUUUGCAAUUGCAAUAGUAGAUUGAUUGUCACAAAAGAUCUCUGUUGUUUCCCUUUGAUGCACAUUUAAAUCAGCCAUGAUUUUCCUUAGUCAAAUGGCUUGGUUGACAGCACUUGUUGCUGCAACAUAUUCUGCUUCAGCAGUAGAUUGAGCCACCAAAGUUUGUUUCUUAGAGCUCCAACAGAACAUGGCUGAACCAAGAUUGAAAGCAUACCCUGAUGUACUUUUCAUGUCAUCAAUCGAACCAGCCCAGUCAUUGUCUGUGUAGCCAACUAACUUCAGACUUUUAGCUUUGCUAUAAAUCAAGCCAUGGUUCAAGGUACCUUUGAUAUACCUGAGCACCCUCUUUGCUGCUUGAAAGUGCUUUUCAUUACUACAAUGCAAGAACCUUGAGAGCAAACUUACAGCAAACAUUAUAUCAAGUCUAGUGGCUAUUAAGUAUAGAAAACAACCAACUAAAAUUUUGUAGGUGGUUUCACAAGCCCUUUCAGAAUUAUCAUGGCUCGAUAACUUUUCUCCAGCAGCUAUUGGAGUCUUUGUUGCUUUACUAUUUUGCAUUGUGAAUUUGGUCAGGAUCUUGGAAGCAAAAACUUUCUGACUUAGGAACAUUCCCUGGUGUGUUUGUGUCACUUCCAUCCCAAAAAAGUAGCUCAUCCUUCCUAGAUCAGACAUCUCAAACAUCAGCUCCAUUUUGGUUUUAAAGUCAGUUAGCAUUGUUUGGUCUCCUUCUGUCACUAGCAGGUUAUCAACAUACAAAGAUACUAUGAGCUGAUUUAGUGUCCCUUCCUUUUUGACAAAUAAAGUUGGCUCACUCUUGCUUCUGUCAAAUCCCAAACCAGACAAGUAGUUAUCAAUCCUGCUAUACCAGGCCCUUGGAGCCUGUUUUAAGCCAUACAAGGCUUUCGUUAGCUUGUAGACCAUAUGCUCAUUACAAGCUGUCUCAAAGCCUUGUGGUUGUUCAACAUAAAUGUUUUCAUCAAGAAAUCCAUUUAGAAAGGCUGAAUUCACAUCGAGCUAAUGGAUUUUCCAUUCCAUUUAAGUUGUUAAGCCAAUCAGCAGUCUGAUGGUAUCGAGCCUGGCUACUGGUGCAAAGGUUCCAGAUAGUCCAGGCCAUAUUUCUGGCUAAAUCCCUUGACAACCAGCCUUGCUUUUAGCUUAUUCAAGCUUCCAUCAGCAUUGCACUUGGCUCGAUAAACCCAUUUCACCCCAAUGACCUUCCUUUUGGCUGGUCUUCCAACUAAUUCCCAAGUCUGGUUCUUCUCAAUCAUGCUAAUUUCAUCAGCUAUUGCUUGCUUCCACCCUUGCUGAGCUUCAGUUUCUUCAAAACAGCUUGGUUCUGCUAUAGCCAUAUGAGCCCUUUUAUAAAUCUCGGCCAAAGGUCUGGUGCCCCUGACUGGUUCAUCAUCAAUAUCUAUUUCAAGACCAUUUUGAUCUGGCUCAGCUUGAUUUGCUGCAAGAUCCUCUGAAACUGCCUGUGGCUUAUUCCUUUCCCAAUUCCAGCAUGACUUCUCAUCAAACACUACAUCUUUGCUUACUAACACUUUGUUCGUUGAAGGAUCUAAGAUCCUUUAGACCUUCUUGACUGAGCUAUACCCUACUAGUAUACCAGGUUUAGCUUUUCUGCCAAAUUUGUCUCUCUUCACUGCUGGUACAUGAGCAUAACAUAUGCAACCAAAGACCCUCAAGUAAGCCAGUGAAGGUUUGAACCCGAACCAGGCUUCAAAUGGAGUCUUAUGAGCCAGGGCCUUAGUUGGAAGCCUAUUCUGAAUGUACACAGCAGUAUUGACUACCUCUGCCCAUAUGGUUUUGGGCAGAUUCUUCUCAAACAGUAGGCACCUGGCCAUAUCCAUCAAGCUCCUGUUCUUCCUCUCACUUACUCCAUUUUGUUGAGGAGUAUAGGUGUUGGUGAGCUGAUGCUUGAUGCCAGCCUCAUUGCAAAAGACUUGGAACUAAGAUGAGGUGUACUCAGUCCCAUUGUCAGACCUUAUAGUCUUAAGUUUGCAGCCUGUUUCAGUUUUAGCAACAUUCUUGAACUUUUUAAACAUUGAGCCUACUUUUGAUUUUUGUUUUAAGAAAUAAAUCCAGCAAAACCUUGAGAAAUCAUCAAUAAACAGAAUGAAAUACCUACUUCCAUUCAAUGACUCAGUCUUUAUGGGGCCACACACAUCAGUGUGCACAAGCUGUAGUCUUUUAAAGGCUCUCCAGGCUUGAUUCGAGGGAAAUGGAAGUCUGGCCUGCUUUCCUAGCUGACAUACCUCACAAACCUCCUGUUUUUGAACUGAACUGAUGAAGUUUUCAGGCAAAUCAUCUCUGCAUAACUGAUCCAUUGAUCUGUGGUUGGCAUGACCAAGUUUUUGAUGCCAAAGCUUAGAUUCAUCAGUUGUAGCUGUAUAGGUAGUGUCUAAGUCCUUUGUCCAAUCAACUACAAAGCUUUUGUCAGCCAUAGUGACUGCCAUCAAUUUGGAUCCAUUUGGAUCACUAAUUUGGCACUGCUUGCCUUUGAACACUACAAAAUACCCUUUUUCUAGCAAUUGAGCUAUGUUGAGCAGGUUUCUGUCAAUCUUAGGCACCAAUAGCACAUUCGAGAUGACCUUGACACCUGUGGGAGUGCAUAUCAACACAUCACCCUUACCUUCUGCCUUUAUAAGGUGACUAUUACCAAUCUUAACUUUAGUUCUGUAGCUUCUGUCCAAGGACUUGAAGAUGGCAGCAUCUAGUGUCAUGUGGUUGGUGCAUCUACUGUCUAGGAGCCAACCAUUUGAAAGCCUCUCUUAAGCAGCUGAGCAUGACACAGCAAAAACUUGCUCCUCUUGAUCACUGUCUUCCUUGGCUACUCGAGCCUCAGCCUUUGACUGUUGAGGUUGAUUCUGCCUUGGUUUGCCUCUGUUUUUGCAGACCCUUUCAACAUAUCCCCUCUUCUUGCAGUGUUGACACAAUACAUCUAGUCUAAACCAACAUUUUUCUUCUGGAUGACCAGGCCUUUUACAAUGCCUGUAGGUUUGUUCUCAUUUUCUUACAGCAUCAAACUUUGGCUUGUCUUUCCAGAUCUUCUUGCCUUUGUAGGCAAUAUUAGUCUUUACUUGAAAGGCACCUUCUUGAUGCUCCUCCAGUCUGCUAGCUCUUCUCUGUUCUAGUGCAUAGAGAGCAUUAAUCAGCUCUGUUAGGGAGAUGCUGGUCAGUCCCUUGAGUCUUCGAGGGAUGAGAUUUUUGCCUCAUACCUCUCAAGCAAAGUUGAAAUAACCUUCUCCACUAUCCUUGCUUCAUUAAAAUUCUCACCAAUGAGCCUUAUUCUGUUUACCACAACCAUAAUCCUAUCUGAGUACUGUUUGACAGUUUCUUCUUCCUUCAUCUUCAAAUUCUCGAAGUCCCUUCUCAAGUUUAACAACUGUUGCUGCCUUGUCCUCUCUGUCCAUUGAAACUCAUCUUUCAACUUGUCCUAGGCCUGCUUUGGUAUUUCACAUGCCAUAAUCCUUAUGAAGAUCACAUCUGACACUGAGUUCUGGAUGCAAUACAUGACCUUGUGCCUCUUGGUCAUUUUAUCAGCAUGUUGCCUGAUUUAAGCUACUGUUGGAUUGGCUCUGAGUGGAUCUGGUUCAAAAUCAGAGUUGACCACCUCCCACAGAUCGAAAGCCUGCAGGUAGGUCUUCAUUUUGACCACCCAUAUGUGAUAGCCUUCUCCAUUGAAGACUUGUGGUACAGCUGGUGAGAAGUUUGAUGAGGCCAUCUUUUUAUACAACAGAUCCCUUAAGAUUAAGGCUCUAGAUACCAAUUGUUGGUGUUGAAAUCAAAGAACAGACAAGCUCAGCUAGUACCUUGUGCAACAAGCCUCGAUACUUGCUGAGUAAACAAUCAGAUUUGAAGCAAAAGAAAGAAGAAAAAAAGUAAAGAAAAAUGAGAGAGUUUUGAUGGAUUUGAACUAGCUUUCAUUCAUACUCAAAAUAAUGGCAUAAUGCCAAUACAUAAGCCAAGCAAUUUGCUUGUCAAAAAAUAGUAAGCAGUCACCUAAACAAUACCUACCACCACUAAUUAUAUUGAAACUUGAAAAACAAAACUUGUAAGCAUGGACAAAGCUGAGUUUACAGCUCAUACACCAUCUAAUUACAUCAAUCAUAAGAUUAACUUAGUUUAAAUUGAACUAAGUACAUUACAUUAACUUAAAAAUACAAAAUGAACAAAAUAGAAACAGUUGAGCUUGUUCCAGUAGCUCCUGCAUGGCACGAUAUUCAUGGCCUGCUUGUUGUCUGCUUCUUGCUUCAUGCUGACCAACAUUCAUCAGUAACUGUGAGACAGUUGAAGGGCAAGAAUGCUGCGUUGCGCCUUGCGUUUGCUAAAGGUACUUUAUAUUAUAUAUGUGUAUGUAGUGAGCAGAAUACUAUGUGUUAAUUGAAUCGUUUGGUACCCUUUGAUUGAUCUUAGGGAAGGGGAUAUAAAUGUCGGGAUUUGAACCCCAAACUUAGCUUUUAUUACAGGAAGAGGAUCAAUUUUGGCUCGGUUAAGCUUAAUGUGUUAAGAACCAGAUAAGAACAUAAUAUAUGGGAACACUUUGGCCAUACGAGGCUAAUGCUUAUAUGAUUCGCUUUACAGACUACAUGCUCCUAGGGAUAACUCUUCUGUAAGUACUAUUAGUUGAAUAGCUUUAUGAUGUAUUAAUCUAUAAAAUCUGGGUGUCAUAUUAUGAGUUCCAUUGCUAUGUUAAUCUAUGUACUAACAAUAUUAUGAAGUAAGGCAAUUUUGUGUACAUUACAUUGGGAUGCAAGCUGAAUUACCUUUAAUCAGCUUCAACCAUACAUACAUAUACAUAUAUAUAUAUGAAGUUAAGAACGUAAGUGCUGUUAAAUGGUACAUUACUCAGAUUGGUAAUAUAAUGGUGCCGAAUGUUCUAAAAUUUAACAAGUAUUACUGGUAAUAUAUUAAUGAAGAUAAAGAUAAAAGUUUUCUCGGGAAAACAAGUGUUAUCCUUCAUUUAUCUUGAUGAUUCUCUAACGCCGCCAAUUUCCCCCCUAAGUUUACAGCAAGAAGAAGAAGAAAAAGAAGACAAACGGCAACGUUAAGCCAUUUAAUUUCAUCCCAGGUUAAUUUUUUUUGUAAAUUAAACAUUUUUUGUAUACAUUUUGUUACCUAUUUAUUUUAUGUUUUUGAAGUUUCCAUUGCCAUUUCUACCUUUCCAAAAUGGUGUCUUUUUACUUGUUUUUUACUGGGUUAUUGACAUUUGUUCCAUAGAAUAAAUUUCUUUGAUUUUAGGGUUCUAUAUGUAUUUUUUUUAUUUAUGAAUUUGAACUUGAGUUAUCCAUAAAAAUUCGACCUUUAAUCUCAAUAUAUUUAUAGUCUAUAAAUUUUGACUUUUCUUCCAAUAAUAUAUCUCCAAAAUUCUAACUUAACCUUUUUAAACUUUGUCAUGUCAUUAUUAUUAGAGUUAAUUGCACCAAAUAUCUCCAAACUAUGGUUCUUCUUCUAAAAUAGUCCUCAAACUCAAAAUAUUGUAAAUUACAUUUCCAAAUUAUCAAUAUUAUAUCAAUAAUGUUCUUCUAUUGCUAAAAUCAUGAAAUGAGACGUCAAAUCUUAUCAGACAUAAUUUAAAAUAAAAAACUUAAAAAAAAUAAUUAUUGUAAAAAUAUUGAUUUCAAGGUUUUCGAAGUUAUUACAAAAACUAUCAUUCAUUUUCUCUUUCACUUUAUUUUUAAUUUUUAUUUUUAAAAGUUGUAUCAACAACAUUUUACUUUUCUCUAAAAAUAUCAUUUUUCAUUAAUAGUUUCAAUAAUAAAAGGAUGAGAUAAAUAGUUUAAAAUAUUUUAAAGUUGGGAGAAUAAUUUAAAAUAAAGAUGCAAUAUUGUUAAUCUAGUACUAUUUCAUAAUAUCAUUUUAUCGUUUCAAGUUUUAAAGACAACAUUUUUUUUUUGAAAUAUUUUAAAGACAACAUUUAAAGAUUGACUAUAAUAAUAUUGUUACAUGGAAAAAGAAUCCCACGUCAGCUAAAUGGCUUACGUCUGACGUGUGCUUAGUGUUAUUAAAAAAGUCAAAGGUUGAGAAAGUCUGAGGCGAGUCACACAUAUCACACGCCAUGCACAGGUUUCCUUAUUUCGAGGCUAAAAUACCAAAAUACCAUCACAUUUCUCGUUAAAUUUACCACUUAAUCAACGAUCCUCUAAAAAUGAUGUAAGGACAUAUUAGAAAUUUUAAUCACAAUAAUAUCACCAAAUCUGAAAAAUUACAAAUGAGGCAAAAAAAAAUACGAGUAAUAUUUAGCCAUAAAAUGUAUAUAUUCAUUCCCUCUAAACCAGGUGGUUAAGCCUCACAAUCCAACGUAACUGUAAACCUUUCUUGGCAGCCAUGAAAUCAGUUCUAAAAUCCCUUGCAAACUCAAUCUUCCUUGUUCUUUCCAUCAUCUUUUCAUCUUCUACUCCACUUGUAUUGGCUCAAUGUGAAGCAGAGACCAAGACUAAUGGAUGCCAUAACUACAGAGAAUCCAUGAAGCUAAAAAUCAUUGCCAUUGUCGCAAUUUUACUAUCCAGCAUGAUUGGCGUGAGUCUGCCAUUGUUUUCUGGUCAGGUUCCGUCACUUAAACCCGACAGGGACUUGUUCACCAUUGUCAAGGCAUUUUCCUCCGGUGUUAUUCUAGCGACUGGGUACAUGCACGUGCUACCGGAUUCUUUUAACGACCUUAUGUCCGGGUGUUUGCCUGAAAACCCAUGGAGGAAGUUCCCUUUCACAACCUUCGUCGCAAUGCUGUCGGCUGUGUUGACCCUUAUGUUGGAUUCAUUUGCAAUGAGUGUAUACAAGAAACGUUGCGGUAAAGCUCUAAUGGCGGAUGCUAACAAUGGUGGUGGAUUGGAAAAUACGAACGUUGUACAAAUCGAUAAUUUUGAACACGGCCAUAGCCAUUCACUUGAGAUGAAUGACGACGUAUCAUCACAAUUGUUAAGGCAUCGAGUUAUUGCUCAGGUAUAUAUACAUGUUUGAAUCCUCAAAUUCGAUGGUUUUGCUUUUCAAGUCUUUACAUUAUAUAUUUCCUAAAUGUAGGUAUUAGAGUUGGGAAUUGUAGUUCAUUCAGUGGUGAUUGGCCUUGCCAUGGGAGCCUCUGGCAACCAAUGCACCAUUCGAUCACUCAUUUCUGCCCUUUGCUUCCAUCAAAUGUUUGAGGGGAUGGGACUUGGUGGAUGCAUACUGCAGGUAACCCCCAACAUUGCACUAUUUUCUCAUUCAAACAUCCAUUUAGUGUACAAUAUUGAUUAACAUUAUGUUUGAUAUGUGCAGGCUGAAUAUGAGAUAAAAAUGAAAGCAAUCAUGGUAUUCUUCUUUUCAGCCACAACGCCACUUGGAAUAGUUCUGGGAAUUGGUUUGUCCAAGGUUUACAGUGAGACGAGUCCAACUUCACUUAUGGUGGUGGGACUACUUAAUGCUUGCUCAGCAGGGUUGCUGAAUUACAUGGCACUGGUUGAUCUCCUUGCAGCUGAUUUUCUGGGCCCUAAGCUUCAAACAAAUAUGAAGCUCCAGGCUUGGUCAUAUGUUGCAGUUUUACUUGGUGCUGGAUUUAUGUCUUUGAUGGUAAAAUGGGCUUAGUCAUGUCAACAUAUACAUGUCUUUUUGUAGUUUUUUAAUCUUAUUCUUCUUCUUCUUCUUUUUUUUUGUUUCAACAGAUGAGUUUAUAGUGAAUCAACACUUAUUCAAUCAAUUAUAAAAUUUAGGCAAAGAAUUUAGGCAACAAGGCUUGAACAUUGAUCUUUAAGAUCGUUUACUCCAUAUUGCAGGGCUCAUCACAAAGUAUAUAUAUCAGAAAAGUAUGCAAACUUCAAUUUUGUGUCAAUAUCAUUAUAAUUUAAACUGUUUAAUGUUACAUCAGAUGUAGAUGUCUUUAAGCCAAUGCUUAUAGCCACAAAGUCUCUUUGGUGCAAGCUAUAAGUACAGAGUUAUGCUAUAAAUAAACAAUUAAAUAAUUUGUAUUUAAAAUAUCAAAUACUAAAAACCAAUAAAUAAGAUUAGAAAACCAAAAAUCGGAUAAAGAAUCAAAUUUUUCUAGAUGUUGGGGCUUGUUUUACACAGUUUCCUUAAGAUAGAUUUGUCUACUCCUACUGUACUUGGUGAAAUGUUGGGAGACUAUCUAAUAGGAUACAACAAAACAAUGAUCGAAAUAAUAGCAUCUCUACAGAGACCAAUGAACAACCUUGCCUUUUUCUAUCACCAGAACAUUGGAAAAUAUAGAGAGAAAAAGAGAAGAAUUUUCGAGAGCAAAAUAAACUUGGUUUUAGAGAGUUUUUUAGUGUAAAAAAAUUUGAAGAAUUCUUAAGCAUUCAAGAUGGAGGAAUUUUGGAAAUAUCCAUAAUUAAAUAUACAAAAUCUGUAUUAAAUGAGCAAUUAAAUCAUAAUAUAUGUCCUUUUUAAAUUAGAUUUUAUAUAUAUUUGUUGAGAAAAUUAAAUUUUGUGUUGGGCUUAAAAUAUCCACAGGCCCAAUUGACUGGUCUAGACAUUUCACAUCGCCCAUGUAGUGCGAGUGCGCUUCAACCCCGAUGGGUUCGGAUCUACACCCCCCUCGCGUGGGACAAAGUUUCAAACUUAGUCAUUCAAUUAUCCUUCAAGUGGGUUCUCAUAUAUAAACACAUCUCACAUUUGGUAUUUAAUCAAUGUGAGAUCUAAGCUUUUCUUUUCCUCAACAAAUAUUCACAACUUACUUUGAGCAUUAAUUUCUCGCUCAUCACUCAACCAUUUUGAGCAUACGAUAUACUAUUGUAAAGGUAUCAUGGAGUAGAAUAUAAAAUCAUAAUUUUAUGAUUCAAUUCUCCACUUAUACCAAUUGAGAAUAUGCUUCAAAGUUUCUAAAAGUUACAAUUUUUUCAACAUUUUAUACAUCUACUUUAAAGGUAUAAUCAAGCCCAGCAGAGCCCGAAUAAUGACAAGCUUGAACUUGACUCAAACAUCACUUUUUAAGCUCAAUCUUGAUUCAAAACAUAAUUGAGCUGAUUAAGCUCGUUUAUCAAUUUUUAUAAUCAAACUCAUUUAUAAUUAAGCUCUUUUUAUAUAUCAAGGAUAAAAAUGUAAUUUUAUAAAUAAAAAAUAUUUAAAUGGAAUGCUUAAUUAGGUUUGUGGGCUACUUGAAUCAAGUAUUACAAUAUUUAAAUUCAGCUUAAUCAAUAGCUCGAGCUCUACUCAAUAAUUUUUGAUAAAAUUUUAAGAUUUUUUGAAUCCAAUUAGAAUAGCUUGCAAAUAUAAUGUAUCAUUGUACUCUUAAUUUUAAGUUUACAUUUUUAAUUCUUAAAAUAAUAUUAAAAAGUUCUUUCUUUCUAAAAAGAAACACCCAAUCAAUUGAAGGCUUUUUAGAAAGUGGUGGCAAAGUGCAUCCUUUACUUUAAGUCUCACUAUAUCUAAAAAGAAAUUAAUGCGAACUGUAGAAAGUGGUAGGAAUGUGCAUCAUUAUUGCUUUAAAAGAAUUUCAAUCUUUAAACGGAUAGAAUUAAAUUUUCAUAAUUUGGAAGAGUUAAAGUGUAAUUUUUUUAUUUUAAAAUUUUAAAAUUUUUUAAAGAGUUCAAAUAAUAAUUUUUUAUUUUAAGAGAGCCGGGCUCCUGUCAACUCCUGGAUUCGCCUCCGUAAUUUUCAAAAUUCAGUUAAAUUAUGUUAUUUUGAAUAAAAAGUUAAUUGAUAAAGAAAUUCUUUUAGUUUCGAAAAUUCAAUUUUUUUGUUUUAAAAAAAUAUUAAAAUUUAAAAAUUAAAAGAUUAAAGUAAUAAAAUUUCUCCCAAUAUCAAUGACUUUUUGAUACAUGCACGAAUGAAGUGAAAUUUAUUAGAUUCCAAUCAUCAAAACUACUAAUUUUCAGGCUUGGGAAAUUAGCAGACUUGCAAUGACUUUUUGGAUGGGAUUCUGGCAUUUUUGGGUUGAGAUGUCUCAUGGCAUUUGAAGAUCAAUCUCUUAGCUUUGAAACGCAUUUUGUAUCACUCGAUUUUGAGUUCGGGAGCUCAAGUUAUGACUGUUUUAGUGAAGAUUGCGCGAGCAAAAUUUCUGAACGAGAUUAUGACGGGAAUUACGAAUUUUGGGCUUUUAAUUCGUGUUUAAAUCAUAUUGAGUUCAGGUUUUAGACUUAAUUUUUAUUAUUAUAUAUGAGCCUAAUAUUAUAGUUGUUAGAUCUUAUUAUUUUAUUCCAAAAUUUUGAUAAUUAUUAAGUAUUUUAAGUUAUUUAGGAGUUUUAUAUUAACAAGAAAAUUCAAUUUAAAACUCCUUCUUAUUUAGAUUAAAUUAGAGUUCUAGUAUACUUAAAAGUUUUAUUUAGAUUUAUUUAGCUAGUCUAUAUGUAGGCCUUAUUCAUUAUUAUUCUAUUUCUCUUUUAAGUUAAUAAAUUCUCUCUGGGUUUUUUUUUUUCAAGAAUUUCUCUUGAGUUUCUUUUAGAAGAGUUUUAACAAUCAUUUUAGAUUGUGAGGAUCAUUUUCAAACUUUUUGUUGCCAAGGUUUCUAUCUUGAAGGGGAAAUUAGAGCCGCUUGAAGGAGGUUAUGAAUUAUUCGUGUUUCCAAGGCUUAUUAGGACUUCUACACGUCACGUUCUAUCUUUUCAUUUAUCUUCUUUAUUUGCUUCCUUAAUCUUUAAUUUAUUAUUUUAUUUUAGUUAUUUAUUUUAAUUGUUUUAUCUGACUUGGAUUCAAUUUCGUUUCAGGUUGUGUCAAAAUCAAAUUUCUUUUCGAACGUUUAGAACCCUAAGUCAAAUCCGUGAUUUUGACAAAUUUUAUGAUCCACUUUCGCGUUCAUCCUUCUCAUCCUUUAUCACUUUUGCUACUUUUCUUGCUUCUGUCGAUGCAUAUCCUGACAAGCCUUUAACUAUCAUGAGAAGCAAAGGAGAGAAGCAAAGGAUAAAUACACUACGUAUGAUAUAAAUAUGAUUAAUUUUCCUUGAAAUAUUAAUUAUUAAAUACAUAUUAAAAUAUAGAUAUGGGAAUACAAUCUUUUAUAAUAAUCACCCACUAUGACACCAUUUCGUUGUAAUUAUUAAUUUUUUACUAAAAUCGAUAUUAAUAUUUUAUUUUAAUCUUCUAUAACAACUUUUCACUUAUAAUAGCAAUAUCCAUAUACAUUCUUUAUUAAACUAUUUCUCUAUAACAUCGUAUUGUUUAAAUCUUUAAGUAAUAUAACGACCACCAUUUUAUAAAAGAUAAAAUCUAGACAGACAAGUUAAGUAAUUUUAGUUUAGUAAAUUGUAUUUUUUUUCUGAAUGAUUUAGAUUAAUUGCUUUUUUCCAACACCAUGAAAAGCUGAUUUCAAACACAAUAAUUGGCGAUAGUGUGUUCCUUCUUUUGUCACCUUUACCAAAAGGGAAAAUAAUUGGCGAUAGAGUGUUGCUUUCGUUUGUCAACUUUUCAGCUGUAGCCACCAAAUGAUAAGAAUCCAUGAAGCUCCACUCUCAAGUAUUUGUGUUUCUUUAGGAUUCUAUUGUUUACAUUUCAAAUUUUGUUUAGAUUGAGCUGCCCUUUGUCAAAUUACUUCUCGCAUUACUCCGUUAAGAAUAUUAUCUUUUCGCUCGUUCGUAACUGCGACAACUAAUCGCUGAAUCCUUCUCUUAUACGUUGGAAAGGUACGCCAUCUGCUUUCAUUUUGGUUGAUUUGGUCUUACUUCUUGGUUUACGGAAGCUUUACUUUUUGCUCGUUUUAUUUGUAACUUUUUCUUCUGAUUUUGUUUUGGUCUUUGUUGUCGCUGUGGUUAUUCAGUUUACUUCUUGUUUGAUCUCUCAAUGGAGUUUGUUACUACCCUAGUUGGCUCUAUUGUCACUAAAGCUGUAAAGUAUACGAUCUCUCCUAUCAAAAACCAUAUCAAAUACCUUUCCAAUCAUCAACAAUAUGUUGAGACCCUCAAGGACUAUAUGUUUAGUUGGUAAAAAAAGGAGAAAAAAAGAAGAAAGAAAACCACUUUGCUUAGUUGGUAAAAGCCAAAGUUGUGAGUAUUGAAUAAUCAGAUUCGGAAUUUAGAGUGAUAGCAUAUAGAAUAUUUUCCCAUUAAAAUAUGUUUUGGUAUACGACAUUUUAGGGUUGUUGGCUAGUCAUUACUGAGCUGCUUCCUUUCUUUUAAAGUAUGAUGAAGUCAUCUUUCUCAAAUCACUACUUUCUGGGUUUGCUCUGUUAAGAACAAGAAAAAAAGAAAAAAAUUGGAAGUUAUCGAUCACAGCCAAAAGGUACGCCAUCUGCUUUUCUUUUCCCUGCUUUGCUCUUACUCUUCUGAAAUACUUGUCGGUAUAAAUAAGCUUAGGCAGGCAGUUUUAACCAUGAAAAUGGACUUCUUUUAUGCUUUAAAUCUAUUUAGCCCUUCUAUUUUAGCUUUAGGAUUUCGAGUCCUGUACUUUUUCGAUUUAAAAUCUUCAUCUUUCCAUUCAAAUUUACCCUUAGUGUUGUUGACCUGACAUAUAUAAAAAGAUCAAAUAAAUUUUUUAGCCUUAAUUUGAUCUUUACUUUAUAAAAUUACAUAAAAAUUCAGAAUUAAAAAGAAAACAUAUUUCCACUAAAAUCCAUUAAAAAAUUGUGGAAAACACUCUUUAAAGUUCGUGGAAAAAAGGGAUAAGAAGGGGUGACUAUUAGGAAAGCUGCAUAAGCACUUUUGUUUGUGAUCUAUCAACAAAUUGUGGCUUCCACAUACUGCAAUAUGGUUAUUAAGAGGUUGAGUACUGCUUUAUCUUGUAGAAGGAGGAUUUGUAGUAGAUCUAAUCAUAAGUUGGGUUAAUAUAAAAAUUUUAGAUUUGUUUUUAGGGUCCGGAUCGCCUCAACUAAAAAAAUGCGCUAAAAUUUUAUUUAAGUUCAACCCAGAUAAAAAAUACUAAAUCUGAACCCGUCUGUAUUAGAUUAUUUUUAUAUAAAAAUAAAUUUAAAAAAUAUAAUACAUCAAAUACUCUAAAAAUAUUAAAAUAAAUGUUUCUCAACGAAUUGAAAAUAUAUUUAAAAAAAUUCUUUAUACUUAAAUAAAACUAACAUAGUUGCAACUUAGCAAACAAAUGUUUCUAAAAUAAUAGUAAAAUUAAAAAUAAAAUAAGAGUUAUACAAUAUCUAAAUAAUAGUAGUAAAAUAACAACAUAACAGCAAAAAACAACAACGUAAAAGCAGUAAACAGCAGCAAAAAAAUAGUUAAAUUUGGGUUAGGUCCAAACUAAAAAAAUCUUACCUGAAGCUCAGCCUGUUUAAAACGAGAAUUUAUUUUUUUCGAAGUUUAUUUUUUGGGUUUGUAUUAUUACCUAAAAUAUAAUGAUUGUAUUAUUAAAAUAUUAAUCAUAUAAAUAGUUACGGAAGUGUGUAAAAUUACUUUAAUUUUUACAUUGUGUAAGUAGAUCAUUCCCCUUAAUAUUAAUAAAUUUUCAUUUUGUUAUAACAUAAUAUUUAAAAUAUGAAUUAAGAUUAAAAAUUAAAUUAAAAAUAUGAAUAUAAAUAGGGUGAGGAUUUAAUACUUUUUGUUAUUCCACAAGUAACCUUAAAAAAUUGACAUGUCUCUCUUUCCUUUAAAUAUUUUAUUAUACUCUUAUAAAACACUUGUCAAUCCCUUGGUCCUGCUAGUGGAGUCUAAAAACUCCAUUGGCAGUGUACUAAGUGAUUUCUCAUAAUUUAUUAUUGAAUUUUUUAAAUUCCACAAGGAAAGUCAAGAAGUUGAUAAAUGUCUUUUUAGAAGUAUAGUAAAAUAUUUUAAAAAAAUUAAAGAUUUUAAUACUGCUUGUAGAAUAAAUAUGUACAAGCCCAAAUUUACCAGGGGCCCAAAAACCCAAUUACAACCAAAACCAAACCCAAAAGACCUAGCCCAAUACCCCUAACCCAACCCAAACAACAGACCCUAAACAUUUAAAAACCAAGCCCAAUUACAAUACCCGACCCAAUAACCCUAAGCCCGAUUAACAGUAGCCUAAAGCCUAACAUCAAAUCAGAAACAGACCCCCUGCUGCCGCUGCCGCGCCACUUGCUCUGCCACCGCCGCGCCUACUUCACCCACUUGCCUACAGAGAAAUGACAAGCAAAAAAUAUUGUAAAAAAUGGCUAUAAAGCCAUAACAACUAUUGUAAACGGGGUCUUCUUCCCCCCUUUUUUUCCACGAGCAUGAAAUAAAAAAACACAACACUUUCAAGGUUUUUUCUUUUUUCAUUUUAGGUACUUAUUUUGGUUAUAUAAUCCUUUUAUUUAUUUAUUUUACAUAUAUGAAAAUAUAAAAAAAAAGAGAGAAAAGGGAAAGAACCUACCGGAGUCAAUCCGCGUCUUUGUCGUCGGAGACCUCUUCUCUGGUGCCUAAAAUCAGUCGUUGAGAAUGUUGAUGGCCUCUUGCCCUUUGUUUUUUUGGUUGUUUUGAGGCCGGAUCCGAACUCAGUGGGUUAGUAUCUAAAAAAAGGACACUUUUUUACCCUCGUCGGCCUCCGUGCACGGUGGCAUCGAUGCUGGCGAUCGACGGCCGACACAGUGGCCUUUGAUUGAACGCUCGGCCGGAGUGUGGGGGAGUAGAGAGGAUUUUGCUUAGUUGUUUUAAGGGGGAGGGUGAAAAUGAAAAAAUUCUAAAAAUUUUGGCUUUUAUAGCCUAUGGGAAACGGCGCCGUUUCAUCCGGCCUCCACAGGCGCCAAAACGGUGUCGUUUUGGGGAGGCCGACCCGAACCUAACCUGUCUGCUCUAAGAUCCGCGCGUUUUAAGAUGGAAGGGCUAAUUGCACUUUUAGCCCUUCCGCCUUCUUUAUGUUUUUAAUUAAGUAUUUUUGUUUUUUCAAUUUUGCACAGUGAUUUUUUUGCGAUUUCGAUUUAGUCCUCGCUAAAACGAUGUCGUUUUGGGGGAAAGAGAAAAUUACCCUUUCAGUCCCUCCAUGUUAUUCGCGUGUUCAGAUUGGUCCUUUCCUUUUAUUUUACUUUUGAUUUUGCCCCAAAUCUUUUCCUUAUAAUUCAAAUUAGUCCUUUUUUGUUAUUUUAUUAUUUUAUUAAUUAACUCAAUUAUUUUAUUUAUUCCUCAUUAUUGUACUAUUAUGUUGUGUUAUUAUUGUUAUUAUAUUUCCAAUUUGUUUAUUGAUCUAAGUUUAAAUAUUUUUAAUCUCAUUAUUAUUAUUAUUAUUAUUAUUAGUUACUCAUUUGUACCUUUUUAAUUUUAGAUUUAAUUAUAUACAUACAUAUCUUUGAUUUAUAUAUAUAUAAAUACUUAUAUAUAUAUUUUUUACAUUUUAAAAUAUGUAUAUUUUUAUAUUUUUAUUUUUAUUUUUUUUAUGAUUCACAUAGAUAUAUAUUUAUAUUUUAUAAUUUUUAUCGAUAUUCUUUGUUGUUAUAAUUGCUUCACUUGGUGUUCACUUAUUUAUUUAUUUACAUGUCCAUUAUUAUUAUUAUUUUUAAAUGCUUUAGUUUUUAUUUGUUUAUUACUUGUUAUUGUGUAUACAUGAUUGAUUUUUUUAUAUAUAUAUUUGUCUUCUUAUUUAUUUAUCUUUUUGUUUUUGCUCGUAUUAUUUUUACUUACAUUAUCAUAAUUGUUAUUCCAUUACAUCAAUUUUUACCAGAUUUGUAAAAGAGAAAAUUUUGAAAAUAAAGGCAAUACUCAGUAUUUGGGAUCUUCGAGAGGAUUGAGCCCUAACGUAUUGGGAUCCAAUUUUCUUCGUUGAAUCUAAAUAAUCGAGAAUGCUCUUUAAUAAAAAACAUAAAUAAAAAGCUCAUUAUCGGGAAUUCAAUACGUUGUGUCCUAACACAUUGGAUAUGACAUGUUGUUUUCUCGAGAUGAGGAUUUUUCUAAAAAAAUAAUAAAGGCAAUAUUCAAUGUUUAGAAUUUUGAGAAAUUGUGCCCUAACGUAUUGGGCUGCGAUUUCUUCAUCUGACUUAAACAAUUGAAUAUCCUUUUAAAUUUUAUUGCACGAGUUUUUUGGACAAGCUCAUUUUUGAGGAGGUGAAAUGUCAUGCCCUAACUCAUUGGGUGUGACAUUUUAUCUCUCCGAAAUGAGAGGGUCUUAAUGGGUAAUUUGUUUUAUAUAAGUUUUUUUUUUACAAAAGAUCGUAUUUUUAAAUUUCUUUAAAGUUUUUAAUUCUCAACACUAAGACACUAAUUAAUCAACUAGGUACCAAUUUUAGGCGUUACGAGGGUGCUAAUCCUUUCUCGUACGUAACUGACUCCCGAGCCUAUUUUUUUGAAUUUCAUAGAACAAAAUCGUUGUUUUAAUAAAAUUAAAUUGUUUAUAAAAAACAACCAUUUUUCGAGGUGUCCCGAUCACACCUCAUCAAAAAGGAUUGGUGGCGACUCUAGUGUUCUUUUUGCAUUCAUUUCGUGCAUUUGCAUUACAUUACGUCAUGAACAUUAAAGUCCACCAAAGAGCCUAAUUGAUUAAAAUUAUUUCAGUUAAUAUGGAAAACCAACACCCUUGCGGUACCCGAACAGAAACUAAAGGAAUAGACCAAAGGUUGGAGAGGUUAGAGCAGAUGCAAAUAUAGAUGCUAGAGCAAUUGACCAAAUUUCAACAAGAUAUGAAGGAUCAGAUGCUAAAAGUCCAAAGAAAUCUGAUGAGCCAGUUAACCCAGUUAUUGGAUAAAGGGUUAGAAAAAGGAAAAAACCAAACGGUCUACUUUAGAGAUGAUAAUGAAGACCCUGCUCAUUUUCCAGACUUUACCCCAACAAACAUCCAAGCACAACCGAAUACAUAUCCACAAAGGGUAACUGUUAACAUCCGACCACAAUACCAGACUAGUACCUCGACACCGGUGAAUUUCGCGACAGGCUCAGGUUCCAACCUUAAGGGCAAUUUAACUAAUCCCGUUGUCCUUGAUGAUCUAGCGGGAGUAAAACAGGCGAGAGUGGAGUUCUCAAAACAAUUUGGAGAUAGUUACAAACAGAAAGGGCAAAAAUGGAGCCCCCAAAUCAAUACUUCGAAAGCACCGAAGAAGAGGAAAAAUGAGGUGAAUGAUGCGAGUAGGUAUAACGAGGGUUAUUCAAAGGCGAUUACUGCAAGCCAGCCAAGGACGGUUGCUUCUAGCCAUUAGAUCCCCCAGAGACAAGAAUCCGGCACAAAGCAAAACAUUGAGAAGUCCCAAUUUACACCAAUCCCAAUGUCAUAUCGGGAGCUGUAUCAGAGUUUAUUUGAUGCACACGUUAUUUCUCCUUUCUACGUGAAGCCUUUACAACCUCCGUACCCCAAAUGGUACGACAAAAAUGUGCAAUGUGACUACCAUGCGGGAAUUACGGAGCAUUCUAUAGAAAAUUUCCCUACCUUUAAAAGGUGGUUGAAAGGCUCAUCAGUAUGGGCAUUGUUAAGUUCGAUACAGAAAAUUUGUUGCCCAAUCAUAUUGAUAAUCGGGGUGAAUGCGAUGAAUGAAGAAAUGUUGGGAAAUGUUCACAUCAACGUCGUAUACAAAGAAACAACUGAAGAAGAGACCUUGUUAGAUAUCCACCUUUAUAAACUUGGGAGUCUUCUAAAUAAAUCGGACUGUAGAAGAAAUCUCUGUAUCAUUUAAAGCUUAUUUAGAGUAAUGUUCAAAACACUUUUGUUGCUUUUGGCCUAGAUGCAGUAAGAAUGUCUAUGUGAAAUAGGCUCAUGUCUGAAUAUUAUCAUUUUAAUGAAAUCCAUUAUUGUGAUUAUUUUGAGCUAGUAUUCUUUCAUUCUUUACAAAUAAUUAUGUUUGAUUCUUUCAUUCUUUUGGAUUUUCUUCCACAUCAUUCUUUCAUUUAUAAUUAUAUUGUACAAAUAAUUAUUCAUAAAUUCAUACAUUCUUUUUAUAUUCUUUUGUACCUACAAUGGGUCCCUAGAUAUCAAUGACAUGAGUGACGCUGCUACAGACUCAGAAUUUCCUUUUGAGCGAGACAUGUGUUUAAAGGGAUCUCAUUACUUUAUUAAAAUUUUUUUGGGUGCAGCCUGACCAAUGGGCAACACUAGACUAAAAUGUGAUGAUCUAAAAACUCUAGGGGCCUUAUAUGUCAAAUUUUCGUUUUUAUUGGCAAUUGAUUCAAAGGGUGUCGCAUGACAGGCGGCACCAAACUUUAAAAAGGAUAAAUUCACCCUAAAUCCCCCUUAUUUAUUAUUUUUCUUUAACACCAAAAAUAGAUUGCCUUUUAUAAAUUAGUCUAAAUUUUUUUUACCAAAAAGUAUUUUUGUAAGUAAACCGUUUCCAUUUGGAAAUAAUUUUAUUUCUUUUUAGAAAAUAUUUAUAAUUUUAUUAUCAAAUUGAUUUAUGUACACGGUAUAAAAUUAUAAUUAUAAAAGCUUUAGAAAAAUCUUAUUAUGUAUAAAUUAUAAUUAUUAGUUAAAUUUAUAGUUUCAAAUAUAAUGAGAGAAAAAGAAAACUACUAUAAAUAUAGUUAAUUGUAAUGUCAAACAUAAUGUGAAUUUUUUGUUUGAAAAAUAAAUAAAAGUUAUUUUGAGUUGGAAUCGACUUACUUUCAAAAAUACUUUUGGUAAAAAAAAAUUAGACUAAUUGAUAAGAGGCCAAUUUAUUAUUGGUGUUAAAAGAUAAUAAAAAUUAAUAAUAAAUAGGAGGUUUAGGGUGCAAUUUACCCUUUUAAAAUUUGGAGCCGUCAUACAGGCGGCACCCUUGAAGAGUUUUUCGACUGUCAAUUAAAAUGGAAAAUUUCCAUAUAAGGUCCCUGAAAUUUUUAGAUCAUCUCAUUUUAGCCUGGUGUGGCCGAUUGCUCAGGCUGCACCUGAAUUUUUUUUAAAUAAAGUGAUGCUGUCGAUUGGUUAGGCGGCACCGAUAUUUCACCGUUUCAUUUGACUAUUCUCAUAAAUAUUAAUCUCUUUAUCCUAUUUUGUAUUUAUUUAUUUAUUUUAUAUUAUUAACGUAAAAAACCCUAUAUUGUGACUUGCGGAAACGUGGAAUGAAAACCAAUUAGGUUUUUUUUUUAAGUUUUUCUUGAAUUAAAAUGCAACCAAUAAAAAUAAUUGAUAUUUUAAUUUAAUAAAAAUAAAAUUAAUUAAUAUUUGAGUAUUUAAUUUUAAAAAUUAUCAAGAUGUAAUUACAACAAUUAAUUUUAAAAGUUAUUAAAGAUAUUUAUAUAUGUCAAUUUUUUAUAAUUAUUAAUGACAUACAUAUAAAUUAAUCAAUUAAUAGUGUGUCUCUCAUAGAUGAUAUUGACAGUAGCGGAGUCAGAAAAUGUUUUUGAAAGACCGGAAUUAAUGUAAAAAUAUAUAAUUUAAAUAAUUUAAUAGCUUUUAUAAUAUUUAAAAUAUUAAAUCAAAAUUUUUUAUCAUUUUAAAGAAGAACAAAGUAUAAUUUUACUUUUAUUAAUUUAAAAUUUUAUAAAUUAUAAAAAUUAUAUAUGAAACCGGAUACUGUCAGCCCCUAUGACUAUGUAAGCCUUGAAAACAUCCUUCCUUAUUGAAUGUCUUUUUCUACUUUGGCAGUGGUGUGCUUUCUUUGAUUCUAGCAGCUCCUUUUAAAUAAAAUUUCCAAAAAUAAUAGAUAUUAUAUGAGGAAUAGUUGGUUGAAGAAAGAAACAGCAAAAAAAUAAAAAAAUUGGCAAAUGACCUUUCAAGAGCUGCAUUUAAUACAUGGAUACUUAAUAAUUCAUUUAUUUAAGGGUAAACUAUAAAAAUAGUCACUUUUGUUUACCUCAGAUUACAUUUUAGUCACUUAUGCUUGAAACGUUACGGUUUAGUCACUUACGUUUUCGUUUUGUUACGAAGCAGUCACUCUACCGUUAAGCUUUGUUACCUCCCUAACAGUGGUCCUACAUGGUAGUCCAAAUGAGUUUUAAAUGCCAACUUGAAUGUCCUACAUGACAGUCCAAAUUAAAUUUAUUUAAUUACAAACUUAUUUUCAUCCCAGCAAAUAGACAUCCAAGUUAACAUUUAAAACCCAUUUGGAUUGCCACGUAGGACUAACGUUAGGGAGGUAAUGGAGUUUAACGGUAGAGUGACCACUUCGUAACAAAACGAAAACGUAAGUGACUAAGACAUAACAUUUCAAACAUAAGUGACUAAAAUGUAAUCUGAGGCAAACAAAAAUGACUAUUUUUAUAAUUUACCCUUUAUUUAAUAAAUUAUUUUAGGGACCGAACAUAUAUCUUUUUCAUUUCGUCGAAAAUCAAUUUUACAGUAUAAACUCCUACGACCUCCCCUCCUAUACCAUGUAGUAAUGAUUCCUCUAACAAUUUCUCAAUUCAAUAAAAGAAAAAAGAAAAGAGGGUCUUAAAUAAUGAGAGAUAUGUAAAAAGGAACUCCUUUUUUACUUUCUAGUUUAUUUUCUAUUUUAGUAUUUUUUUUACAUCUAAAUUAUAUAGAAUUUUUUAUAUAGAUAUAAAUUUUAAAAUGAAUGAUUAAAAUAGGGAAAUGCUGUUGAGCAAAUAAAAUAUUUUAUGAUUGAAGUUAUUGAAUACUCAAGUAGUGUUACCUUAUAAAUCUCUCAUGUCUUCUGAGAAACAAAAUAACAAAUUAUAUUUCUAAUCUCAUUCCAAAGCAGUCUUAAUCAUAAACUUUGUUCCCACUUUGUUUGUUUUCUUUCAAAAGUUAGACAGAAACUAUGAACUUCUCCACUCUUCAUAAUUCACAAAACAAAUCCCAGUCUACCAUUAUUAACUAAAUCUGUAUUAACUAAUCUCAAUUUCCUAAUCCAACACUGUUUUCUCUUUUUUCAUUUCUUUAAAAACUGUUCCAUUUUUAUACUAUAUUACUCCAUUAUAUUGUGGUCAAGUGAAACAAAAGUAAAAUGUAGUGUAUUUUAAAAAUAAUAUAUAUUUAUUAUAAUUCGGGCCGGCCGGGCUGGGCCCAGGCCAAAAAAGUUUUGCUCAAGGCCCAGCUCAUUUUCUAAAUGGGCCCCUUUUUUUAUCCAAACUCAUACUUCGGGCCUAUAUUUUUACCCGAACCCUCCCAGAACACCUCUAAUUUGCACCAAUUCAUCCCAUUUAAUGCAAACAUAUUAAAUAUUUAUAUGUCCAUAAAAGAGUAUGGUUGGAAAGGCAUUUCGACUACUAGAAAGAAUGAAGGAGAAGAGGAUUCUGGUUGUGUUGGAUGAUAUUUGGGAAAAGUUAGAUAUUGAGGAAGUAGGGAUUCCUUUGGGAGAUGAACACAAGGGAUGCAAGUUGCUGUUAACUUCUAGAGAGCUCAAUGUUUUAGUAAAUGGGAUGGAUGCUCAGAAAAAUUUUCCCAUUGGGUUUUUAAACGAAAAGGAAGCCUGGGACCUGUUCAAGAAGAUGGCUGGAAACUGUGAUGAAAGUUGCGAUUUGAAGCCUAUAGCUAUGGAGAUAGCCAAAAAUGUGCAGGAUUGCCAAUAGCCAUUGCGACAGUUGCAGGGGCUUUGAGAAACAAAAGGUUGUUUGAAUGGAAGAAUGCUUUACGAGAACUGGAGAGGCCUUCUUCAAGCAACUUCACGGGGAUAACUGCGGCACAUUCAGCUAUAGAGUGGAGUUUUAAUUAUUUAGAAAGCGAGGAAGUUAAGCUGACUUUCUUGCACUGCAGUGUAAUAGGCCAUAAUGGUCUCGUUGAGGACUUGGUAAGAUAUACUCCAGGUUUGGGUUUAUUUGAUGGUCUCAAAACUAUGGAAGAAGCUAGAAAUAAAGUAUUGACGGUUGUGGCUAAUCUCAAAGCGUCUGCCUUGUUGCUUGAUAGUUAUGAUGAUGAGCGCUUUGAUAUCCAUGAUGUUGUUUGGGAUGCUGCUUUAGCUAUUGGAUUGAAGGACUAUCGUAUGAUUGUUUUGAGAGAUCAUGUUCCAAAGGAGUGGUCCGAUAAGGAGAAAAUGAAUAGGUGGAGUGUGAUCAGCUUACGUUGUCCUCGGAUUAUAGCUAACCUUCCAAAGGAGAUGGAGUGUUCAGGUCUUUCCUUCUUCCAUAUGGCCGGUGCAGUUAAAAUUCCUCCUAAGUUUUUCAAACAAACCGAAGGCCUCAAAGUCUUAGAUUUGUUCGGAAUGCAGUUUCCAUCCCUACCUGAAUCAAUUAUUCACCUCACGGACCUUCACAUGUUGUGUCUAAAAGAAUGUGCAGUUGAUGACAUAACCAUCCGUGGAGAGCUCAAGAAUUUAGAAAUCCUCGACCUUUCUAAGUCAGGUAUCAAAGAACUACCUAUGGAGAUGGCACAAUUGACUCAAUUAAGGUUGUUAGAUUUUAGUUGGUGUACAAAACUCGAAAUCAUCCCACCAAAUGUCUUAUCAAGUUUGUCUAAAUUAGAAGAAUUAUAUAUGGGUGGAAGCUUUGUUGAAUGGGAAAAGGAAUGAGUAGUUGAAACUGAGAGCAAAAAUGCAAGCCUUGACGAAUUAAACAAUUUGCCUUGUCUAACUACUUUAUAUGUUCAUAUUCUUGAUGCUUAAAUGAUUCCAAAGCAUCAAUUCGUUGAGACAUUGGACAAAUACAAUAUUUGUGUAGGUGAUUAUAAUAGGUUUGUAUGGGUCCAAAAUAAUGAAUUUUCAAGAACAUUGAAGCUCAAGUUAUGUACAAACAUUUAUUUGGAGAAUAGGUUGAAAAUGUUGCUGAUAAAAACAGAAGACUUGCGCCUAGAGGGACUUGAAGGCAUCAAAAAUGUAUUUGUGGAGUUAAAUAAUGAGAAAGAUCUUCCACAUUUAAAGCGACUUCAUGUCAAAAAUGGUAUGCAUGUCCAAUAUAUCAAAAUGGACAAAAUUGAGUUUUCUGAAUUAUACUUCAUCAAACUUAAAAAUCUACCGUAACUCAUUAGCUUUUGCUCUCAAGACGAAAGGUGUUCCAUGAGUUCCAAGUUACUACAACUUUUCAAUAAACAGGUAUUUGCUUGGCUUUAUUCAUAUUUUCUUAUACAAUUUUUAUUUAUAUGCCCAUUGUUUCAUAAUACUUCUAAUAAUAAAAAUAAAUAAUAUUAUGUAAUAGUUUUCGGGGCUCAAAAAUAAAUUUCAAACUCAAAACAUAUGGAAAUUUAAUUUCUAAUCCAAACUUAUUGAAAGUCCAAAAUCAAUUCAAUACUCAAAAUUUAAACCCAACAAUGUUUUUUUUUUAAAUUCUGAAAAUGAAAUUGGAACCCACAAUUCGAACUGAAAUUGUCUUUCAAAUCGAAAAUCAUAUUUCCAAAUUUAUGUUACUAUCUUUCCCUUUCCCCUCCUUUUAGAUUUUUAAGAGAAAAAAAGAAUUGUGUGUAAAUAUGUGCAAUUUGUUUUCCAUCACUUGGAAAGCUUGUAAUUGUGUUCCAUUAACACCAAAAUAAUAUGGCACAACCAGACAUGUCAUUUAUUGGAUUACGAAUUUGAGGAGCUUGAUCAUCAAAGGAUGCGGCAAGUUGGAGCAUCUGUUAUCACCCUCUCUUGCUAGAAGUCUGGUGCAGCUCCAAUGCUUUAAGAUAGAGGAUUGCAAGUGCUUAAGGGACAUAAUACUUAUAGAGGAAAUUGAAGAAGAAAGGAAAGAUGUGAUUUGUUUCCCUCGAUUAAACUCCCUGUGUAUAGAUGGUCUUCCAAACCUCAUCUUCUUCAGCUCAGGAAACCAUAAUAUCGAGUUCCCAUUGUUGGAAGAGCUAUGGAUUGAGCGUUGCCCCAAUUUUAUGGAAUUCAUUAGUCAGAGUAGCAAUGAGUCUGGCAUGCACGCUCUCUUCAGUGAGAAGGUGAUUUAUUUCAUUACUCUUAGGCUCUUAUAUAAUUCUGUUGAUUUGUCCUUGUUAUUUUGUCGGGCAUUAUAUGAGCUAACUUUUGUACCGGCACGAAUUAUAUGUAGGUUGCAUUUCCUAGGUUGGAAAAGAUAACAAUCAACAAGUUGAGAAAUGUGAAAAUGAUGUUUCAUAAUAACUUUGCACCAGGUUCUUUUCAAAAUCUACGAGAAAUAAGAGUUGAGGGAUGUGGGAGUCUGAAAAAUCUAUUUCUAGUGUCAAUAGCCAAAGAUCUUCCACAACUUGAAGAUUUAUGCAUCACUAAUUGUGGAGUGGAGGAGAUUGUAUCGAAAGGGGAAGGAGUGGAGGAGCAGCCUGUGAGGUUUUAAUUUCCGCUAGUGUCUUCCCUUGAGGAUACAUCCCUAAAAGAGCUCCAAUGUUUCUAUGAAGCGCAACAUACAAUAGUCUGGCCCAUGUUGAAAAAUUUGAAAACAGAUUGUUCUGCUUUGCUAAAGAUAGUGGCUUCGGAACAUCUUAGAUUAAUCCAAGGAAAUGAGCAGCCAGUUUUGUUGGUUGAAGAGGUAUGUAUAUCAUUACAACUAUAUUUCUUUUCAUGAUUUAAGCCACCGUCACAUCCAUCUCUUGUUGAUAUAUAUAUUAUUUGAAACGGUGGUUGCUUAUCCAUUUUAAUUCGGAUUUUUUAUGCACUUCUUUCAGCUUAUUUUUAUCAUUUUUUAUUUCUAAGGUAUUGUGUUUCUUAAAACAAAAUAUUCAUCUAUUUUGGAUUGGUUUGAUUUAAUAUUGAUUUUGUUGAGAUUUAAUCAUCGAUAUCAAACACCAAAAUUGUAGAUCUUAUGUUCUUUUUAAGCAUAUAGAUCAACAUUGUGCCUAACUUGUUUAUGUUUAAUUGGUUUCAAGGUCAUUCCCAAUUUAGAGGAACUUGAGUUAUUAAAUUUUGGUGAUAUGGACCAGUUUCCACCAGCCUUGGCAAACUCGACAGCAUGCAGGCCAUGAAGACCAAGUCAUGCAGGAGCUGCUGAUACAAGCUUAUUUUGUUUAUUUUGUAAUUCCCAGUCAAUGAAAUGUAAUCUUAGUUCAUUUCUAACUAAGUUAGAUUGUUGACUGAUGUAAUUAGCUUAUGUAUGAGCUGUAAACACAACUUUGUGUAAGUUUACAAGCCAAAAUUUCAAGUUUCCAUGUCAUUAGUGGAGGUAGGUGAUGUUUAGGUAAUUACUUACUGUUUUUGACAAGCUUAGUGCCUGUUUUAUGUAUUGGCAUUGUGCCAUUAUGCAUUUUAUGAAUGAAGUUCAGUUUGUUCAUCAAUUUCUCUAUUCAUUUUUCUUAGCUUUUCUUCCUUUCUCUUGCUCGAAUUCUCUUGUUUGCUCAGCAAGUCUCGAGACUUGCUUAACAAGUUUGCACUGAAUCUGUUAGUUUCAGUUACAGCACCAACAAUUGGUAUCUAAAGCCUAUUUUCUUAAGGGACCUGUUACACAAAUCCAUGGCUUCAUCAAGCUUUUCACCAGCUGCACCUCAAGUCUUCAAUGGAGAAGGCUAUCACAUAUGGGUGGUCAAAAUGAAGACCUACCUGCAGGCUUUCGAUCUGUGGGAGGUGGUCAACUCUGAUGUUGAACCAGAGCCACUUAGAGCUAAUCCAACAGUGGCUCAGAUCAGGCAGCAUGCUGAUGAAAGGACCAAGAGGCACAAGACUAUGUCUUGCAUCCAGAACUCAGUGUCUGAUGUGAUUUUCACAAGGAUUAUGGCCUGUGAAUCACCAAAACAGGCCUGGGACAAGUUGCAGGAAGAGUUUCAAGGGACAGAGAGGACAAGGCAGCAACAGUUGUUAAACUUGAGGAGAGAUUUCAAGAAUUUGAAGAUGAAGGAAGAAGAAACUGUCAAGCAAUAUUCUGACAGGAUUAUGGCUGUGGUUAACAGCAUCAGGCUCCUUGGAGAGCAGUUCAAUGAAGCUAGGAUAGUGGAGAAGGUUAUAGCAACUCUGCCUGAGAGGUAUGAGGCAAAAAUCUCAUCUCUCGAGGACUCAAGGGACCUGUCCACCAUCUCCCUGACAGAGUUUAUCAAUGCUCUAUAUGCUCAAGAGCAGAGGAGAGCAAGCAGACUGGAGGAGCACCAAGAAGGUGCCUUUCAGGCAAGAACAAAUACUACCUACAAAGGCAAGAAGGCCUGGAGAGACAAGCCAAAGAAUGAUGCUGCAAGGAAAGAAGGUCAGACUUGCAAGCACUGCAGAAAGGCUGGUCAUUCAGAAGAAAAAUGCUGGUUCAAUCCAGAUGCUGUGUGUCAGCAUUGUAAGAAGAAGGGUCAUGUUGAGAGAGUCUGUAAGAGCAAGGCCAAAUCAAGGCACAAUCAGUUUCAACAGAUGAAAGCUGAGGCUCGAGUAGCUAAGGAGGACAGUGACCAAGAGAAGCAAGUUUUUGCUGUGUCAUGCUCAGCUGCUCAGGAAAGGUCCUCAUCUGGUUGGCUCCUAGACAGUGGAUGCACCAACCACAUGACACCUGAUGCUGCAAUCUUCAAGUCUUUAGACAGAAGCUGCAGAACUAAGGUCAAGAUAGGAAAUGGUCAUUUUAUUCAAGCUGAAGGCAAGGGUGAUGUGCUAAUAUGCACCCUUACAGGUACCAAAGUGAUUUCAAAUGUGCUGUUGGUGCCUGAAAUUGACAGAAACCUGCUCAGCAUAGCUCAGUUGCUGGAAAAAGGUUAUUCAGUUGUGUUUAAAGACCACCAGUGCCAAAUCAGUGAUCCAAGUGGAUCCAAACUGAUGGCAGUCCCCAUGGCUGAUAAGAGCUUUGUGGUUGACUGGACAAAGAAGUCAGACAUUGCCUACACAGCCACUUCAGAUGAAUCCAAGCUGUGGCAUCAAAGACUGGGACAUACCAACUUCAUAUCGAUGGCCCGAAUGAUCAGAGAAGACCUGGCUGAAAACUUCAUCAACUCAGUGGACCAUGAUGAUGUAUGUGAAGUAUGUCAGCUAGGAAAGCAGGCCAGACUCCCAUUUCCCUCGAAUCAAGCCUGGAGAGCCUCUGAAAAACUCCAACUGGUGCAUACUGAUGUGUGUGGCCCUAUGAAGACUAAGUCAUUAAGUGGAAACAGGUAUUUCAUACUGUUCAUUGAUGAUUUCUCGAGAUAUUGCUGGAUUUACUUCUUAAAACAGAAAUCAGAGGUGGCCACUGUGUUUUGGAAGUUCAAAACUGCUGCUGAGACUGAAACAGGCUGCAAGGUAAAGUCCAUAAGGUCUGAUAAUGGGACUGAGUACACCUCAGCUCAGUUCCAAGCCUUCUGUGAUAAGGCAGGCAUCAAACAUCAACUUACCAACACAUAUACACCUCAGCAGAAUGGGGUAAGUGAAAGGAAGAAUAGGAGUUUGAUGGAUAUGGCCAGGUGCUUGAUGAUUCAGAAGAAUCUGCCUAAAGCACUAUGGGCAGAAGCAGUUAACACUGCAACAUACAUUCAAAAUAGACUUCCAACCAAGGCUUUGGAUCAAAAGACCCCAUUCGAGGCCUGGUUUAGCUUCAAGCCAUCACUGGCUCAUCUGAAGGUCUUUGGAUGCAUCUGUUAUGCACAUGUACCUGCUGUUAAAAGGGACAAAUUGUCUGAAAGGGCUCGACCUGGUGUUUUGGUGGGCUAUAGCACUGUUAAUAAGGGCUAUAGGAUUUUAGAUCCUUCAACAAACAAAGUGUCAGUAAGCAGGGAUGUGGUAUUUGAUGAGAGGUCAUGUUGGAACUGGGAAAGACAUGAACCUGAAGAAGUUUCUGAAGAACUUGCAACAGACCAAGCUGAGCCAGACCAAAAUGUCCCUGAAAUGGAUAUUGAUGAUGAACCAGUCAGAGGAACAAGGCCAUUGGCUGAAAUUUAUGAAAGGGCUCAUGUAGCCAUAGCUGAACCAAACAACUUUGAAGAGGCUGAGGCUCAGCAAGGGUGGAAGCAGGCAAUGGCUGAGGAGAUCAGCAUGAUUGAGAAGAACCAGACCUGGGAAUUGGUUGAAAGGCCAGUCAAAAGGAAGGUGAUUGGGGUGAAAUGGGUGUACAAAGCCAAGCAGAAUGCUGAUGGUACCUUGAACAAGCUGAAAGCAAGGCUAGUUGUCAAGGGGUUCAGUCAGAGGUAUGGCUUGGACUACCUGGAGACCUUUGCACCAGUGGCCAGGCUCGACACCAUCAGACUGCUGAUUGCCUUAGCAGCACAGCUCGAAUGGAAGAUCCAUCAACUUGAUGUGAAAUCAGCCUUUCUGAAUGGUUUCUUAGAUGAAGACAUCUAUGUUGAACAACCACAAGGGUUUGAAAUAGCUGGCAGAGAGCAUAUGGUCUACAAACUGAAGAAGGCCCUAUAUGGAUUAAAACAGGCUCCAAGGGCUUGGUAUAGCAGAAUCGAUGGCUACUUGACUGAUCUGGGAUUCGAUCGAAGCAAGAGUGAGCCAACAAUGUAUGUCAAGAAACAAGGGACACAAAUACAACUCAUUGUGUCCCUGUAUGUUGAUGAUCUUCUGGUGAUAGGAGGAGAUCGAGUAGUGCUGGCUGAUUUCAAGACCAAGAUGCAGGAAGUGUUUGAAAUGUUUGAUCUUGGGGAGAUGUCAUACUUUCUUGGAAUGGAAGUGUCUCAAGUACAGAAUGAGAUAUUUCUAAGCCAGAGAAGCUUUGCCACAAAGAUUCUGACCAAGUUCUCCAUGCAAAACAGCAAGGCAACUAAAACACCUGUUGCUGUUGGAGAAAAACUAUCGAGCCAAGGUGAUUUUAAGAAAGUUUAUGAAACAACCUACAGGAGUCUAGUUGGUUGCUUGCUAUACUUGACUGCCACUAGACCAGACAUCAUGUAUGCUGUAGGAUUACUCUCAAGGUUCUUGCAUUGCUGCAAUGAGAAGCAUUUCCAAGCUGCAAAAAGAGUGCUGAGAUAUGUCAAAGGCACUUUAAACUAUGGUUUGAAGUACAGCAAAGAAGGAAAUCUGAAGCUGGUUGGCUACACUAAUAGUGACUGGGCUGGCUCGAUAGAUGACAUUAAAAACACCUCAGGGUAUGCUUUUAACCUUGGUUCAGCCAUGUUUUGCUGGAGCUCAAAGAAGCAAAGUCUAGUAGCUCAAUCUACUGCUGAAGCAGAGUAUGUGGCAACAGCAAGUGCUGUCAACCAAGCCAUAUGGCUAAGGAAAAUAUUGGCUGACUUGAAUGUGCAUCAAGAGGAAGCUACUGAGAUCUUCUGUAACAACCAAUCUGCAGUAGCAAUUGCUAAAAAUCUAGUGUUCCAUGGAAGAACAAAACAUUUCAGCAUCAAGUUGCAUGUUGUUCGAGAAAUGGAGCAAGCUCAGGAAGUAAAGCUGAUCCACUGUAAUUCAGAGGAUCAACUUGCAGACAUUUUAACCAAAGCCCUUAGUGUCACAAGGUUCGAAUGUCUAAGAAAGAAGCUAGGUGUUUGCUCUAUGCAAACCAAGGAGGAGUGAUGAAGUUGGUUCAGCAUGCAGCAAACUCGACAGCAUGCAGGCCAUGAAGACCAAGUCAUGCAGGAGCUGCUGAUGCAAGCUUAUUUUGUUUAUUUUGUAAUUCCUAGUUAAUGAAAUGUAAUCUUAGUUCAUUUCUAACUAAUUUAGAUUGUUGACUGAUGUAAUUAGCUUAUGUAUGAGCUGUAAACACAACUUUGUGUAAGUUUACAAGCCAAAAUUUCAAGUUUCCAUGUCAUUAGUGGAGGUAGGUGAUGUUUAGGUAAUUACUUACUGUUUUUGACAAGCUUCGUGCCUGUUUUAUGUAUUGGCAUUGUGCCAUUAUGCAUUUUAUGAAUGAAGUUCAGUUUGUUCAUCAAUUUCUCUAUUCAUUUUUCUUAGCUUUUCUUCCUUUCUCUUGCUCGAAUUCUCUUGUUUGCUCAGCAAGUCUCGAGACUUGCUUAACAAGUUUGCACUGAAUCUGUUAGUUUCAGUUACAGCACCAACAGUUUUUGAAGUGCGUGGUGGUGGUGGCUCUCGAUCUUCUAUAUUUCCUUUCGUUCGAAGAUUUUACAAUUUGGAUAGUUUUAGGCUUCCUUCGAAGAUUUUACAGUUUGGAUAGUUUUAGGCUUCGUGAUUUUGAUUUCAAAUAUGUAGUCCCUUGUAAAGGACACGUUGGGACUCUCACACCAAUUAGAAAUCUGAUAUUGAAUCGUGCCAUAAAUCUUAAACAUAUAUGGAGGAAAGAUUCGGAGUUUGACUAUAUUCUUUCUAAUCUUCAAACACUCAAAGUUCAUAAUUGUGAUGAUUGGAUAAAUAUUACAGUCUCCUCAUCUUUACAAAAUCUCACGACUUUGAAUGUGUCAUUUUGUCAUUUUUUUUUAGGAUGAAUUCUAUGAGGGAGACUAUUUGAACAUCUCUGACACAUUUCCCAAGUCAAUAGAAAUAUGGAUUAGAAACCCUCAAGAAAUUUUGGAAUUCAAAAACCUUGUUUCGUUGCAUUUUUAUAAAUGUAGUAGCUUGAAGUACAUAUUUACUUCGUCUAUGCUUUUGAGCCUCAAUCAACUACAAGUGAUAAAAGUAAAAGAAUGCAGUUCAAUGGAACAAGUGGUUAGGGAGGAAGCAAUGACAGAUAAAUUCACAUUUCUUGCACUCUUCUCCAUAAGAAUUGAGUUGUGUUCCAACUUGACAAAUUUCUAUUUGGGAAGUCAAGCUCUUGAAUUUCCACAGCUGAGAAAUAUCACGAUAGCUGAGCGUCCAAAAAUGACUACAUUUUCUUUCUCAGUUUCAAGAGGAAGUGGUGAUGCAAGUGAAAACGUGGUUGGCGAGGGGGGCGCCUAUGAUAACCCUGCAAUAUUUUUCAGCAAUAAGGUAAGUUUAGUAUUCAAUAUUUAUCUGCACAACUUAUUUCACGUUUUCCUUUUAUUUGAUUAAUUUAUAUGAGUGUGUCUGGUCUAUAUAUAUAUUAGUAUUAAUGUCACGUGAUACGUGUUGUAAAAAAUUAAUAUAAUAAAAUCCAUAAAAAUAUUAAUAAAUAAGAUAAUGUUUUUUAAUUUGAAGUUUAAAGUAUAAAUAAAUAUAUAAAAUAAGAAUAAAGGAAAAACUUAAAAGUGAAAUACUAAUAAACAAUAAGAAUUUAAGAGAAGUUUUAAAGUUAAAUACUAAUGGACAAUAAAUAAUAAAAUAAUAAUAGAAAAUAAAAUAAAAAACUAAUCUUCAUAUAUUUUAAUUUGAAGAAUAUUUGAUGUACUAGCGGUACACAAGCUUCAUGUAUCAUCGGUGAAUAAGAACAUACAAUUAUCAUUAAAUACCACAAAAAUAUAGUAAAGGGUUUAUAAAUAAAUACUAAUAAAUUUAUCUAAACAUAAUUAAAUAAAAAUUAAUUGUAAUUAAAUAUCAAAACCCUAAAUCCUAAACUUGAAAUUCUAAGCCCUUAAACAUAAGAUCUUAAAUCCGAAAGUUAUUAAUAUUUAUUUAUAAUAGCUACGACUAAGGUUAAAUAAAUUUUUCAUCUCUUUUUGCUUUUGAACUUACAUUUUUAUCAAAUCACCUCAAAAUGAAAGAGAAAGUUUAUAUUUGUUAACUUCACUUAUGUGACAAUCCAUGUGUAUGCAAAGUUAGCAAUUAAUUAAUUUUUAAAAUAUUGUAUAUAUUUUUAAAUAUUUUUAUAAAAUUUUCAAAAUAAAAUAAAAAUUAAUUGUUGACAUGUCAUCUACAGCCAAUCCAGUGUAUAUAACAUCAGCAAAGUUAACAAAUGUCAAUUUUUUUUCUCUACUUUGAAUGAUUUGACAAAUAACACAAGUUCAAAGGAUAAAAGAAAUAAAAAUAAAAAUAGAGAGCUAAAAUGAAAAUUUUUUUUUUAUAAAGUUGGGGGUUAAAUAAAUUAUCUAUGCCUAAGUCUUUUUUAAGGUAACUCAUUAAAUAACUUAAGUAAUUAAUGUAAAUCAUUAAUGGAAACUACAUAAAUAUGUGAGUCCAACUUAGUUAGAAACAAGCAUAUUCCCCUAUUCAAUCGCAUCAAUAAUAAUCAUUCAACAAUCAUUAUAGUAUAUAUGAAAGCUCCAAGUUGUAUAGAAAAAGGCUUCUUUCUUUAAAAAAAAAUUUGCUUUAGGUUAGAUUUAUGCUGCUGAACAUUUCAACUAAACAAAAAAGGUCCACGUCUGCUAGCUAUAUUUAUCAGUUUAUAAAUCUUCAUACUCAUCUACUCUUUUUGAUUGUGUUUAUAAGUAAAGAAGGAAGAGUUAUGAUGUUAUCUUAUAAUGAAAUUUAUGUCAACAGGUUGUCAUUCCUCCUUUGCAGCAUCUGGAAUUGUCCGUCGUUAACAUUCAUGAGAUAUGGCACCACCCAUCCUCCCCAUCUGUCGGAUGUCUAAAUUCCUUGCAAGUGAAGAGGUGUCACAAUUUGAAAUACCUGUUCCCGUCUUUCUUGGUAAAAGAUCUUGUGCAACUCCGACGCCUUGAAAUUUUGGACUGUAAUAUGAUGGAACAAGUAAUAUUCACGGAUGGAUUGGUUGAAGAACAUCAAGGGAGGAAUCAGAUGUUUUUCUCUGAACUAGAAUUGCUGUGGCUAAAAGAACUUCCCAAACUCACAAGUUUAUGCUUUGGGAAUUGCUUUGAAUUCCAAUGUUUGACAGAUUUAGAACUAACAAAUUGUCCAUUGCUUAAAACAUUCAUCACUAAAUGUGUAUCUGAAGAUGAACCUAAAAUUGGCCAACAUGUACAAGCGAGUAACUUGGAGGUUCAUAACUCAUCUCUCCUCAAUGAAAAGGUCAUUUCUUUAUGGGUUCUCCUUUUAAUUUGUGUUGCUUCCAUUGCUCUUAUUCAUUUGAAGUUCUUUCUUUUCCAUGCAUAUUUCAGUUAUUAACCUAAUGAAAUGAUUUAGCAGGUUGUUUUCCCUAGUUUGGAGAAUGAUGAAGUUGGUUCAGCAUGCAGCAAACUCGACAGCAUGCAGGCCAUGAAGACCAAGUCAUGCAGGAGCUGCUGAUGCAAGCUUAUUUUGUUUAUUUUGUAAUUCCUAGUCAAUGAAAUGUAAUCUUAGUUCAUUUCUAACUAAGUUAGAUUGUUGACUGAUGUAAUUAGCUUAUGUAUGAGCUGUAAACACAACUUUGUGUAAGUUUACAAGCCAAAAUUUCAAGUUUCCAUGUCAUUAGUGGAGGUAGGUGAUGUUUAGGUAAUUACUUACUGUUUUUGACAAGCUUCGUGCCUGUUUUAUGUAUUGGCAUUGUGCCAUUAUGCAUUUUAUGAAUGAAGUUCAGUUUGUUCAUCAAUUUCUCUAUUCAUUUUUCUUAGCUUUUCUUCCUUUCUCUUGCUCGAAUUCUCUUGUUUGCUCAGCAAGUCUCGAGACUUGCUUAACAAGUUUGCACUGAAUCUGUUAGUUUCAGUUACAGCACCAACAAUUGGUAUCUAGAGCCUAUUUUCUUAAGGGACCUGUUACACAAAUCCAUGGCUUCAUCAAGCUUUUCACCAGCUGCACCUCAAGUCUUCAAUGGAGAAGGCUAUCACAUAUGGGUGGUCAAAAUGAAGACCUACCUGCAGGCUUUCGAUCUGUGGGAGGUGAUCAACUCUGAUGUUGAACCAGAGCCACUUAGAGCUAAUCCAACAGUGGCUCAGAUCAAGCAGCAUGCUGAUGAAAGGACCAAGAGGCACAAGACUAUGUCUUGCAUCCAAAACUUAGUGUCUAAUGUGAUUUUCACAAGGAUUAUGGCCUGUGAAUCACCAAAACAGGCCUGGGACAAGUUGCAGGAAGAGUUUCAAGGGACAGAGAGGACAAGGCAGCAACAGUUGUUAAACUUGAGGAGAGAUUUCGAGAAUUUGAAUAUGAAGGAAGAAGAAACUGUCAAGCAAUAUUCUGACAGGAUUAUAGCUGUGGUUAACAGCAUCAGGCUCCUUGGAGAGCAGUUCAAUGAAGCUAGGAUAGUGGAGAAGGUUAUAGCAACUCUGCCUGAGAGGUAUGAGGCAAAAAUCUCAUCUAUCGAGGACUCAAGGGACCUAUCCACCAUCUCCCUGACAGAGUUGAUCAAUGCUCUAUAUGCUCAAGAGGAGAGGAGAGUGAGAAGACUGGAGGAGCACCAAGAAGGUGCCUUUCAGGCAAGAACAAAUACUGCCUACAAAGGCAAGAAGGCCUGGAGAGACAAGCCAAAGAAUGAUGCUACAAAGAAAGAAGGUCAGACUUGCAAGCACUGCAGAAAGGCUGGUCAUUUAGAAGAAAAAUGCUGGUUCAAUCCAGAUGCUGUGUGUCAGCAUUGUAAGAAGUAGGGUCAUGUUGAGAGAGUCUGUAAGAGCAAGGCCAAAUCAAGGCACAAUCAGUUUCAACAGAUGAAAGCUGAGGCUCGAGUAGCUAAGGAGGAGUGUGACCAAGAGGAGCAAGUUUUUGCUGUGUCAUGCUCAGCUGCUCAGGAAAGGUCCUCAUCUGGUUGGCUCCUAGACAGUGGAUGCACCAACCACAUGACACCUGAUGCUGCAAUCUUCAAGUCUUUAGACAGAAGCUGCAGAACUAAGGUCAAGAUAGGAAAUGGUCAUUUUAUUCAAGCUGAAGGCAAGGGUGAUGUGCUAAUAUGCACCCUUACAGGUACCAAAGUGAUUUCAAAUGUGCUGUUGGUGCCUGAAAUUGACAGAAACCUGCUCAGCAUAGCUCAGUUGCUGGAAAAAGGUUAUUCAGUUGUGUUUAAAGACCACCAGUGCCAAAUCAGUGAUCCAAGUGGAUCCAAACUGAUGGCAGUCCCCAUGGCUGAUAAGAGCUUUGUGGUUGACUGGACAAAGAAGUCAGACAUUGCCUACACAGCCACUUCAGAUGAAUCCAAGCUGUGGCAUCAAAGACUGGGACAUGCCAACUUCAUAUCGAUGGCCCGAAUGAUCAGAGAAGACCUGGCUGAAAACUUCAUCAACUCAGUGGACCAUGAUGAUGUAUGUGAAGUAUGUCAGCUAGGAAAGCAGGCCAGACUCCCAUUUCCCUCGAAUCAAGCCUGGAGAGCCUCUGAAAAACUCCAACUGGUGCAUACUGAUGUGUGUGGCCCUAUGAAGACUAAGUCAUUAAGUGGAAACAGGUAUUUCAUACUGUUCAUUGAUGAUUUCUCGAGAUAUUGCUGGAUUUACUUCUUAAAACAGAAAUCAGAGGUGGCCACUGUGUUUUGGAAGUUCAAAACUGCUGCUGAGACUGAAACAGGCUGCAAGGUAAAGUCCAUAAGGUCUGAUAAUGGGACUGAGUACACCUCAGCUCAGUUCCAAGCCUUCUGUGAUAAGGCAGGCAUCAAACAUCAACUUACCAACACAUAUACACCUCAGCAGAAUGGGGUAAGUGAAAGGAAGAAUAGGAGUUUGAUGGAUAUGGCCAGGUGCUUGAUGAUUCAGAAGAAUCUGCCUAAAGCACUAUGGGCAGAAGCAGUUAACACUGCAACAUACAUUCAAAAUAGACUUCCAACCAAGGCUUUGGAUCAAAAGACCCCAUUCGAGGCCUGGUUUAGCUUCAAGCCAUCACUGGCUCAUCUGAAGGUCUUUGGAUGCAUCUGUUAUGCACAUGUACCUGCUGUUAAAAGGGACAAAUUGUCUGAAAGGGCUCGACCUGGUGUUUUGGUGGGCUAUAGCACUGUUAAUAAGGGCUAUAGGAUUUUAGAUCCUUCAACAAACAAAGUGUCAGUAAGCAGGGAUGUGGUAUUUGAUGAGAGGUCAUGUUGGAACUGGGAAAGACAUGAACCUGAAGAAGUUUCUGAAGAACUUGCAACAGACCAAGCUGAGCCAGACCAAAAUGUCCCUGAAAUGGAUAUUGAUGAUGAACCAGUCAGAGGAACAAGGCCAUUGGCUGAAAUUUAUGAAAGGGCUCAUGUAGCCAUAGCUGAACCAAACAACUUUGAAGAGGCUGAGGCUCAGCAAGGGUGGAAGCAGGCAAUGGCUGAGGAGAUCAGCAUGAUUGAGAAGAACCAGACCUGGGAAUUGGUUGAAAGGCCAGUCAAAAGGAAGGUGAUUGGGGUGAAAUGGGUGUACAAAGCCAAGCAGAAUGCUGAUGGUACCUUGAACAAGCUGAAAGCAAGGCUAGUUGUCAAGGGGUUCAGUCAGAGGUAUGGCUUGGACUACCUGGAGACCUUUGCACCAGUGGCCAGGCUCGACACCAUCAGACUGCUGAUUGCCUUAGCAGCACAGCUCGAAUGGAAGAUCCAUCAACUUGAUGUGAAAUCAGCCUUUCUGAAUGGUUUCUUAGAUGAAGACAUCUAUGUUGAACAACCACAAGGGUUUGAAAUAGCUGGCAGAGAGCAUAUGGUCUACAAACUGAAGAAGGCCCUAUAUGGAUUAAAACAGGCUCCAAGGGCUUGGUAUAGCAGAAUCGAUGGCUACUUGACUGAUCUGGGAUUCGAUCGAAGCAAGAGUGAGCCAACAAUGUAUGUCAAGAAACAAGGGACACAAAUACAACUCAUUGUGUCCCUGUAUGUUGAUGAUCUUCUGGUGACAGGAGGAGAUCGAGUAGUGCUGGCUGAUUUCAAGACCAAGAUGCAGGAAGUGUUUGAAAUGUCUGAUCUUGGGGAGAUGUCAUACUUUCUUGGAAUGGAAGUGUCUCAAGUACAGAAUGAGAUAUUUCUAAGCCAGAGAAGCUUUGCCACAAAGAUUCUGACCAAGUUCUCCAUGCAAAACAGCAAGGCAACUAAAACACCUGUUGCUGUUGGAGAAAAACUAUCGAGCCAAGGUGAUUUUAAGAAAGUUUGUGAAACAACCUACAGGAGUCUAGUUGGUUGCUUGCUAUACUUGACUGCCACUAGACCAGACAUCAUGUAUGCUGUAGGAUUACUCUCAAGGUUCUUGCAUUGCUGCAAUGAGAAGCAUUUCCAAGCUGCAAAAAGAGUGCUGAGAUAUGUCAAAGGCACUUUAAACUAUGGUUUGAAGUACAGCAAAGAAGGAAAUCUGAAGCUGGUUGGCUACACUGAUAGUGACUGGGCUGGCUCGAUAGAUGACGUGAAAAGCACCUCAGGGUAUGCUUUUAACCUUGGUUCAGCCAUGUUUUGCUGGAGCCCAAAGAAGCAAAGUCUAGUAGCUCAAUCUACUGCUGAAGCAGAGUAUGUGGCAACAGCAAGUGCUGUCAACCAAGCCAUAUGGCUAAGGAAAAUAUUGGCUGACUUGAAUGUGCAUCAAGAGGAAGCUACUGAGAUCUUCUGUGACAACAAAUCUGCAGUAGCAAUUGCUAAAAAUCCAGUGUUCCAUGGAAGAACAAAACAUUUCAGCAUCAAGUUGCAUGUUGUUCGAGAAAUGGAGCAAGCUCAGGAAGUAAAGCUGAUCCACUGUAAUUCAGAGGAUCAACUUGCAGACAUUUUAACCAAAGCCCUUAGUGUCACAAGGUUCGAAUGCCUAAGAAAGAAGCUAGGUGUUUGCUCUAUGCAAACCAAGGAGGAGUGAUGAAGUUGGUUCAGCAUGCAGCAAACUCGACAGCAUGCAGGCCAUGAAGACCAAGUCAUGCAGGAGCUGCUGAUGCAAGCUUAUUUUGUUUAUUUUGUAAUUCCUAGUCAAUGAAAUGUAAUCUUAGUUCAUUUCUAACUAAGUUAGAUUGUUGACUGAUGUAAUUAGCUUAUGUAUGAGCUGUAAACACAACUUUGUGUAAGUUUACAAGCCAAAAUUUCAAGUUUCCAUGUCAUUAGUGGAGGUAGGUGAUGUUUAGGUAAUUACUUACUGUUUUUGACAAGCUUAGUGCCUGUUUUAUGUAUUGGCAUUGUGCCAUUAUGCAUUUUAUGAAUGAAGUUCAGUUUGUUCAUCAAUUUCUCUAUUCAUUUUUCUUAGCUUUUCUUCCUUUCUCUUGCUCGAAUUCUCUUGUUUGCUCAGCAAGUCUCGAGACUUGCUUAACAAGUUUGCACUAAAUCUGUUAGUUUCAGUUACAGCACCAACAGAGAAGUUGCGGAUUCAGAAUUGUGAUUCGUUAGAACAAAUUAUUGAGCUGCAAGGAGUCAUUGCUGAUGAGUCACAGUCAACAUCAGCUGCUCAAUCUAUUAUGGCUGAAACAGAGACGACCAAGUUUGUAUUUCCCAAACUAAUAAACCUCGGAUUGGAUAAGGUGCCGAGAUUGAAAAGUUUCUACUCUAGGAUGCAUACCACCCAGUGGCCUUUAUUGAAACAAAUGGACAUUAUUGAAUGCCCCAAAGUACAGAUAUUUACUCCACAAUGUCCUGAGAGUCAGGUUGGAAUCUCAAACCAACAACCCUUGUUUUGCGUUAGCGAGGUGAGCUCACUAACAGUUUCAUACUCCAUGUUCAUUACUUGAGAUUACCUAUAAAAUGCCUUUUGAAAUAACUAAUAUUCUCACCUUCCUUUUAAAUUUAUGAGAAAGAAAAUGGAAAUUAUAUUCAUUCUGUAGUCUAGUUCUUACUAAUUGAAAACUCUUUGAUCAAUGUUUAAUAUAUUCGUUGCCAUCCAGGACACUUUCCCUGUAUUAGAAGAACUAACACUGAAGACGAAUGAUAUGGUGGAGGGGAUAUGUGAUGGACAACUCUCAUUGCAGUGUUUCCAAAACCUUAAGCAUCUUAACCUCCAGUUCUUUACUGAGACAUCCACUACUCUUCCGUAUUCCUUCAUUCGGUCUCUACCAAUGCUUCAUAAGCUUGUUAUAGACAAUGCUUCCAUUUGUCAAAUAGUACAAUCUGAAGGACUCAGCGACCAGGAAAGGCAUACAUCAGCAUUCUAUCAGCUAAAGGAAUUAAGUUUGUCUCAUCUUCCAGAGUUGACGUUAAAGACUUUUGAACCAUCUUUGCUGUCUUUCAAUAAUCUAACAACACUGGAAGUUUCAAGAUGCCAUGGGUUCAUCAAUUUAAUCGUAUGCUCAACAGCUAAGUGCCUGACGCUACUGGAAAGAUUGAGCAUAGAUGAUUGUGAGAUGAUAGAGGAAAUUAUAGCGUGUGAGGCUGAAGAAAUACAAGGCGGCAUUGUAUUUCCCAAACUGAAGUAUUUGCAACUAAGCUGUCUGCCACGUCUAGCAAGCUUUUCCUUGGCCCAUCACUCGUUGGAAUUCCCAGUCUUGCUAAUGGUGAAGGUGACAAAGUGUCCCAAAAUGAGGAAUUUCUUCCAAGGAGAUUUAAGCACACCAAGGCUGGAACAAAUGCACUUAACAAGAGAUGAGGAACGUGAACUACAGUGGGAAGGCGACCUUAACACUACCAUAAAACAUAUGUUCGAUGAAAUGGUACAAAUCAUUUAAAGGAUUUAAAUUCAUGUGUUUUUACAUACAUACAUAGUUAACUAAAUAAUUCUUGGUUUGUUAUGAUCAUGCACAGAAUGUGCAAAAUUCUGAGGUGACUGAGGUUACUGAUCGGUUGCCCAAGCUGGAAUAAGGAAAUAUGUUUGGGUGCUUAUGCGAAAAGCUCAAUUUCGUUUCAAACCAAAACGAAUGGUAAUUGACCCUUCUAUUUUCAUCAUGGCUUAACUAAAGAUUUAUAAAGUGACCAUAGAGACGCCCUUUUCAUUGUAGGUUGAGUUGCUCUACUGAAGCACAUGGCUGCAUCUGUUGGUAGAACGUGAAAGGUUAUUUCAGUUUUUGUAAAACUACUAUUUGAACUGUUCCAUUUCGCAUUAUAACCUCACAAUUGUAUUUCAAGUGCAUCAUGCAUGGCAUUGGGAACUACAAACAUGUAAACUUUUACUAGUAAGCAAAAUAAAUAAAAAAAUCAUAAAUUAGAGUAUGAAAGUAAACAUAUUAAAGCAUACUUUUUGGUUUCAGAAUUUAAAUGAUUUGAGUUAAUUUGAAGCCAUAAAAAAAGAUAAAUUCAAUUAUAAAUUCUGAUAUUUGAAAAUUUUACAAUAAUAAUAAAUAAAUGCUUAAUGAAAUAAUUAAGAUUAUAAGGCAACAAGCUUAAUUAAGAGGGGUAUUUGUAAAUAUUAGUAAAAUUUACGGUAAAUAUUAUAUGAAAUAAGCAAAUUUAUGUUAUUAAUUAACCAAAUAGUUGUUUUUGGGUAAAAAAAAUGUAGUAAUAUGUUACAAUUUUUAGGGUGUUAAAUUAAUAUGAUUUGUCUUGAUUAAAUGUAUUAAAUUUAAUGUAACUAUUUUGAAUUUUAUUUCGGGAAUUGAAUUGAUCCGCAAAUCAAUAUAUUAAAAAAAUAAUAUUUUAAAUUUGGGAAGGUUUACUAGUAAUAAUGCUAUCUAUCUAUUGAUAAAAAUAUAUUAUAAUCAAAAUAAUAUUUUCAUGGUAAGCUUAGCUAUCCUUUACCGUCAACAUCCUUUAUGGGUUGCUUAGAGUAUUAUAUAUAGAUGAAGCUUUAGUUCAACACUGAUCUUAAUUUAAUAUUUUGAUUUUACAUAUUGACAGAUUAAAAUUCUUUUUGAAGUUUUAUAAGUCAGAAAUUUUUUUAUUUUGAAUAGUCAACUUACAUUUUAAUUCAUUUAGGGUGAGUUUGGAUGGGCGGUGUAUUUACCUGCGGUUAGUGUAAAAACAACGGUGGCGGUGAGAUUAGAUACUGUAGUGAUACUGUAGCGUGAGACAAAAAGUAUGCUAAACACACCACACCGCACCCAAUCGCCCAUCCAAACCUACUCUUAGUAUGUUUAAUCACUUUAGGUACAAAUAUAUUUCGUGUACCAAUCUAAUCAUGCACUAUAAUAGCUAAUUUUAAUUAUAACUUGAUGGUUGGUGGUUGUUGUUGGAUUUGGUGAACUCUCAAGUGCUCGAGUCUGUUGAUCUAAAGGUUGUGGCCUUUCAUCUUUAAUUUCAGGGUCAGCAAAGGUUUGAGAAGGUUGCUAGUCAUCCUAAUUCCAAGUGUUCUCCCCAUCAAAAAUUACGUCUUGGGUAAUCACAAUUUCUUCGUUAAAGGAUUAAACAGUUUAUAUGCUUUAGAUGUUUCACUUGCACCUAGAAAGACACACUUUUCUCCCUUGUUAUCAAGCUUCUUUCUCUUUGCAUCUGGAAUACGUGCAUAAGCAAUGUAACCAAAAAUUUUGAAGUGAUCUACCGUUGGUGGUCUCCUUCGACACCAAGCUUCUUCAGGUGUCAUGUUUUGAACAACAAAAGUUGGGCUUCUGUUCAAAACAUGGAUGCUCCAAUUUACUACUUCUAGCCAAAAUCGUUUUGGGACCCUUCCACCAGAAAGCAUGCUCCUCACCAUAUUAAGUAUGGUUAUGUUUUUCCUCUUUGAUACGCCAUUUUGUUGGGGGGUAUAUGCAGUAGUAAGCUCUUUUCGAAUGCCAUGACUCUCACGAAAUGCUUCAAAUUCCUUGGAGCAAUAUUCUCCUCCACAUUAAGUGCAAAGAGCUUGAAUGGUUUUCCCGAUUUCAUUCUCAACAAAUGCCUUGAAGCUAGUAAAUGCACUAAAUGCUUCUAAUUUCUCCUGUAAGAACUAAACUCAUGUUUUCCGAGAAUAAUCAUGAAUGAAAGUAAGGAAAUAUUUUUUUUACCUCCAUUAGAUGAUGGUUUUAUUGGCCCUUAGAUAUUUGAAUGAACCAAUUCCAGCCACGUUUUGCUCUCAAAGACUUUCCUUUGGGAAAUUGUUCACGAUUUUGUUUGCUAACAACACAAUCUUCACACACAUGGGAAAGAAUGACAAUCUGAGGAAGGUCGCUGACCAUUUCUUUCUGUCUAAGAGUCUUCAAACCCCCAAAAUUAAGAUGACCAUAGUGGAAAUGACAAAACCACGAGUCAACCUUCACUUUAGCCAUCAAGCAAGGUUUUAAAAUAUCUUUGCUUCUUCCCAAAGGUCUCAAAGCAUGUUAUGGAGUUUGAGUCUGAUUCAAUGGUUGCGUUAUGUGGCUUGGCUGUAGUUUAUUGCACCUUUGUACUUCUUUCUUUUAUGAAUAAAAUCAAUGCUUAUUAGAAAAAAAGAAAACAAAAACAAAUAGUAGAUAGCAACAAACAAAGAAAAAAAAACCUUAUGCCCCACUAACAUUUUUUUUGUACGUUUAGUCAAAAUGAAUAUAAUUAAAAAUAUUAAAUAGAUGCCAAUUGAGUUUUAGUGUAGUUGGUAUUGGUAUUAUUAACUUUGCUUAGUCCAUAUCCCCAUAAUAUGCGAUGGUCAUAUGUGACUUUUAAUCCAUUUAAUCUAAUUUGUUGGCUUUAGUACUGAUUGUACUGACUUUUAUUCUUGUUGUGGUCUAAUGAUUUGAUUCUAUUUUGUAAUUCCUUAUAUCAUUCGUGUUGUAAUAGUUUGAUACUUGUAACAAACAAAUACAAUUUAAAAAAUGGCUAGUAUUUGGUACACUGUUAGAAUAUUAUUAUGAGAUAUUAUCUUUUUGGAAUAUCUAAAUAUAUUGUAUAUUAUUAUAUAUCUUUUAAGCAUAUAUUUAGGAAUAUAUUAUCUAUCUUUCCUAUUUCUACAUGACUAUUGUUAUAUAAAUAUUAUGUAUAUUCUUGAAGCUUAUCAAUAAGAUUGAAAUGAAUUACCCUAUUCUUGUCAUGGUAUCUAAGCUUGGUGUUUAACACAAAAAAAGAGAAAAAUUUAAUCGUUUUCAAUGGCUGGUAGUGAUUCUACUUCUCCACCACCAGGGGCAAGAUAAUCAUCAGGGGAAGGGCGACACUUCUUGGUUUUACUGCUGAGCAAUGACAAUCUCUUCUGGUGGUGUUUGGUAAUACACAAUCCACUACCAAUCAGUUGAAUGGACAUUCAUUUUGAGGGGGUUGAUUAGAGCGGGUGAGAGACGAGAUGGACUUUAUUACUCUGUUGGUUAAUAAGAAUGAAGUUUUCAAGCAGGGGAGAAGGUAGAAAAUUUUUCUAAGAGGGUCGAAAUUAAAUUGUAAUUUUUAAUAGUCUAUAUUUUUAUAAUUUUUAAAGGAUUAAAUCAAAUAUUAUCAUUUUAAGGGGACUAAAGUGUAAUUUUACCUUUACUAAUUUAAAAUGUUAAAAUUUCUAAAGAGCCUAAAUGGAUGAUUUUCCAUUUUAGGGGGAUUGGGGCCUUUGCCAACCCUUUAGAUCCGCCACAGUUUUCAAGAUUUUCAUGUCAUUUAUUACUAUGAUUCAUCGUCAUUUUUCUUAAUUAAUAGAUAAAGUUUGUUAGAAGUGAUAAUGAGACUGAAUUUAAUUGCCUUCGAGAUUAUUUUCUUACAAAUGACAUUAUUUUUUCAAACAUCUUAUGUUGGUACUCCUCAAAAAAAUGGGAGAGCGAAGAGGAAACAUCAACAAAUUUUAAACGUGGCUCGUGUUUUGCGUUUUCAAGGUAAUCUGUCUACAUUGUUUUUGGGGAGUGUGUUUUGCUGCAUAUAUUUAGGAAUAUAUUAUAUAUCUUUCCUAUUCCUACAUGACUACUGUUGUAUAAAUAUUAUGUAUAUUCUUGAAGCUUAUCAAUGAGAAUGAAAGGAAUUACCCUAUUCUUGUCAUGGUAUCUAAGCUUGGUGUUUAACACAAAACAAGAGAAAAAUUUAAUCGUUUUCAAUGGCUGGUAGUGAUUCUACUUCUCCACCACCAGGGGCAAGAUAAUCAUCAGGGGGAGGGCGACACUUCUUGGUUUUACCGCUGAGCAAUGACAAUUUCUUUUGGUGGCGUUUGGUAAUACAUAAUCCACUACCAAUCGGUUGAAUGGACAUUCAUUUCGAGGGAGUUGAUUAGAGCGGAUGAGAGACGAGAUGAACUUUAUUACUUCCGGCAAGUAUCAAUGGUCAAAGUGGUUUCGAUUAAAGCUUUAUCCUCUUUGGAACUUUGGCAUAGAAGAUUGGGUCACCCUUCCGAGAAAGUAGUAAAGUUAUUUCCUUACGUUAGUAACUCUAGAGAUUAUUUGAAUAAAGCAUGCAAAAUUUGACAUCGUGUUAAACAAACAAAAAAUAGUUUUCCAGUUAAUGAACAGAAAGCCACAUGUAUUCUUGAGUUAGUUUAUUGUGAUUUAUGGGGUUUUUAUGAUACUCUUUCAUAUUGUGGAUCUCAUUAUUCUUUUACAUUGGUUGAUGAUUUCUCUUGUGCUAUUUGGGUAUAUCUAUUGGUUAAUAAGAAUGAGGUUUUCAAGCAGGGGCGAAGGUAGAAAAUUUUUCUAGGAGGGUCGAAAUUAAAUUGUAAUUUUUAAUAGUGUAUAUCUUUACAAUUUUUAAAGGAUUAAAUCAAAUAUUAUCAUUUUUAAGGGGACUAAAUUGUAAUUUUACCUUUAUUAAUUUAAAUUUUUAAAAUUUCUAAAGAGCCUAAAUGGAUGAUUUUUCAUUUUAAGGGGCUGGGCCUUUGCUAGCCCCUUAGAUCUGCCACAAUUUUCAAGAUUUUCAUGUCAUUUAUUACUAUAAUUCAUCGUCAAUUUUAUGAAUAGAUAAAGUUUGUUAGAAGUGAUAAUGAGACUGAAUUUAAUUGCCUCCAAGAUUAUUUUCUUACAUAUGACAUUAUUUUUUCAAACAUCUUAUGUUGGUACACCUCAACAAAAUGGGAGAGUAGAGAGGAAACAUCAACAAAUUUUAAACGUGGCUAGUGUUGUGCAUUUUCAAGGAAAUCCGUCUAUAUUGCUUUUGGAGAGUGUGUUUUGCUACUUUUUAUCUUAUUGAUUGAACUCUUUCACCUCUUCUUCAUCAUAAAACACCCUAUGAAAUGUUGUUUGGUAGACUUCCUUUAAUUGAUGAUUUUUGUGUGUUUGGUUGCUUAUGUUUUGUUCAUAAUUAACAUUCUAAAGGUGAUAAGUUCAAUAGUCAGAGUAAAAAAGUAUGUUUUUGUUAGCUAUCAUUUUGUCAAAAAUAAAUAAAAUAUAUUUUAAGCUAUCAUUUUGUCAAAAAUAAAUAAAAUAUAUUUUAAUAUAAGACAUUUUGGGACUGUUGGCAUGUCAUUUCUGAGUUGUUUCCACGAAAUGCAAUCGAUACAUAAAUUAAUCAUUUUGUCAAAGAUGAUAUCUAAACCUUGAAAACAUUUCCUUAUUUCUUGUCUGUUUCUACUUUGGUGGUGAUGUGCUUUGUUUGAUUCUAACUACUCCAUUAAAUAAAUCAUCCAAAAACAUAUAUUAUAUGAGGAAUAGGUGGUUGAAGAAAGAGAAAGCAAAAAUAAUAAUAAAAGAAGGAAAUUAAUUAGGAAAAUGACGUUAUAUGAAAACACUCAUACAAUUGGAUAACUCACUCACUCGACCUUUAAGAGGAGAAAAAGAAAAACCUUGUUUAUGUAAUACAUGGAUACCUAAUAAUUCAUUUAUUUAAUAACUUAUUUAUACUUUGGUAUAAGACAUUUUGGGUUGUCAUUUCUGUGCUGUUUCCAUGAAAUACAAUCCAAACUUCCUUUCCUACUUUUAAAGUAAGUAAGAAGUCGUCUUUCUCAGUUUACUACUUUCUGGCUUUGCUCUGCUAAGAAGAAAAAAACAGAAGGGGGAAAACUAUCGGUUAUUGAUCAUAGCCAAAAGGUACGCCAUCUGCUUUUCCUUUCCCUGCUUUGCUCUUACUCUUUUGAAAUAAGCUUAGGCAGGCAGGUUUAACCAUGAGAAUAGACUUCUUUUAUGCUUUAAAUCUCUAAAAAGCUCUUUAAAAUUCGUAGAAAAAAAGGGGUGAGUAUUAGGAAAGCUGCAUAAGCAUUUGUGUUUGGGAUGUACCAACAACUUGUUGCUUCAUGGUUAUUCAGAGGUUGGGUGAUUUAUCUUGUAGUCGACCACCUUUUUUUUAUUCGAUGCUUUAUUUCCAUUCAAAACUAUAUGUGGUUGGAAAGCUGGUUUGAUAGUCCACUAAAAUUAUAUGAAAAAUCAUUUAAAAAACAGAUUAAAUAUAUAAUUUUUAUAUAUUUAAAAGUGUUUGUUUAUAUAUUAUUUAGAAAUUGCUUUUAUAACAUAAUUAUUAUUUUACUAUUUUAAAUUUUGAAAUUUCAAUAUUUAAAAAUUUAACUAAUUUAAAAAAUGUGCAGCGAACUAAAAAAAACAUUAAUAAACAAAAAAAUUAGCAUAUAUAAAAAUUUAAAAUAGGAUUUGAAAUAUAUUGUUAAUAUUUUCAAUCUAAAUUUUAAAAUAUUUAAAUUAUGAAAAUAUGUUGAUUUAAAAUUAUUAUAGAACUUAUAUUCCAAAAAAAACCAUUAUAAAAAGUAUUUAUUCAAGAAAAAACUUUUUGUUUUGGCCUAUUUAUAUAGUAUUAUAAAAUGUCGAUUUUAAAAAAUUAUUAAAAAGUAAUACUAAAUAACUAAUUUAUAUAUAAAGAAAUUAUAGUUUCUUAAAAUCUGAAUUAAAAUGCUUUAAACUAAAACUAAAACUAAAACCAAAAUUUUCUUGUAUUGUAAAAUUAUUGUUAGAAAUUUUUAGUAUAACAAAAAGAUAUUAUUGAUAUUAGUCACUUAAAAACUAAAACAGUUUUAUAGACUUUAGUAAUUAUUUAUAUGAUUAAUAUUUUAACGAUUUAACCGUUUAAUUUAUCAAUAUAAUUGUACUUGUAAUGCAUGUAAAUUUUCGAACCGAUUCGAUAUCUCUAUCGUAUCGAUCUAAAAUACUCUAUAUACUAAUAUAUAAUCAACGAUUGAAAUUUUUUUACAAAACGAAUAUAGUUAGAAGUUUUAAAUUUACAUUAAAUUUGACAUGUAUAAUCUGCAUGAAUAGACUAUAAAAUAUAACAGUUGGAUCGUUAAAAUAUUAAUUAUAUAAAUAGUUAGGUAAGUGUGUAAAAUUCCUUUAGCUUUUACAUAUAUAUAAGUGGAUCCUUCUCCUUAAUGUUAAUAAAUGUUAAUUUUGUUAUCACAUAAUAUUUUAAUUAUGAAUUAAUAUUAAAAAUAAAUAAUAAAAAAAAUAUAAAUAUAAAUAGGGCGAGUAUUUGGUACACUGACAAUGUACUUUUUUUAUUCCACGAGUAAUCUUAAAAAAUUGACAUAUUUCUCUCUUUUUUAAAUAUGUUACGACACUCUUAUAAGAUAUUUGUCAACCUCCUGACCCUACUUGUAGAGUCUAAAACCUCCACUUACUAAAUAAUUUCCACAAUUUAUUAUUAAUGUUUAUUAGACAAAACACGUUAGCGAACAAAAUAAAUAAAUUAUAAAUAAAUACAUAUGAAAUAAAAUAUAAAUAGAAUGAUUUAUAAUUAAUUUAUUAAAUAUGAAUCAAAUAAAAACAUAAGAAAAAGUUGAAAUAAAGAAGAAUUGAGAUUUUACGAAACGUUGAGGCCUUUGAAACACAGUUUCCUUAAAACAUAUUCGGCCGCUCCUACAGUACUUGGAGAAAUGUUAGUCGAAAUUCUCCCAGGAUACAACAACAAAAGUAAUCAAAGUAGUAGUACAUCUACAACAAUCAACGAACAAAUUUUGUUUUUUUUAUCACCGAUAUGUAUGAAAAAUGGAGAGAAAAAGGAAGAGUUUUGAAAUGAACAGAAUUUCAUUUGAAUAUGUGUUUAAUCCUUUAGAAUACACAGCCUUUUCUAGGCAUUUAGGAUAAGGAGCCAAAAAUCAAUUUGAUUUAAAAAUUAAAUCAAAUUAGAUACUGUCCAUAUAUAAGCAGAUUAUGUCUGCUGAGGAAAAAUAAAUUCGUGUUGAGCUUAAAAUAUUCACAUGGGCCAAACCAGUUUGAACAUUUUGUGUCACCCACGUCAUACAAGUGCGCCCAACCCAAUCAGAUUUAGACCUACACCACCCCUACGCAUGAGACAAGGUUGCAAGCAUAGUUAUUCAAUUAAUUUUAGAGAGAGUUUACAUAUAAAAGCACAUCUCACACUUGAUAUUUAACCAAUGUAGGAUCUAAGCCUUUACUUUUUCUCAACAAUAUUUUCAAGUAGCUUACUUUAAGCAUCAAUUUCUCAUUCACCACUAAACCAUUUUGAGCAUAUGAUAUACCAUUGUAAAAGUCUCAUGGGGUAGAAUAUGAAACCAUAAAAUUAUGAUUCAACUCUCCACUUUUACCUAUUAAGAAUAUGCCUCAAAGUUCCCAUAAAAGUAAUUUUUCAGACAAUGUUUUUAGACUCCAUCAGUAAAGUCAAGGGAUUAACAAGUGUCCUAUAGAAAUAUAGUAAAAUAUCAAAAAAUUAAAUAUUUUAAAAAAGAGACACAUAUAAGUUUUUUAAAACGACUUGUGGAGUAAAUAAAAUAUUGUUAGUAUACCAAAUAAUCACCCAUAAAUUAUUGCUUUAAUCAAAAUAUAAGAACUAGGUAUAAUUUUGAAUUAGUUUAAAUUAAUUUAAAAGAAAUUUAAUUUAAUGAUAAAAAAAUUAUAUUUCAAAAUAAUUAGAAAGAUUUUAUUUUUUGAAUAAUAAUUAAAAACAAAUUUUUAAAAGAUGUGUUGUAAAAAUAUUCAAAGUGUAAAAAGACAAUUUAUUCCUUCAAUGCUUAGCAAAAAAUAUUCCUUAAAAAAAGAUAAUUAUUAGAAAAUAUCAUUAGAUAUAUGUCUAUAUUAAUAAAAAGUUAUCUAUUAACAAAAUCACUUUAAUUGUCAUAAAACUAAAACAUUAAUCACAUAUUUAUAAUUUUAAAAUUUUAACUCUUCAAUGGUAGUUAAGAUUAUGCAAAUGAGUUCUUUUUAAAAAAUAUAUAAGAUAAUUCAAGUUUUGGUCUUUGUUAUCGCUGUGGUUAUUCAGUUUGCUCUCUCAAUGGAGUGUGUUAUUGCCAUCGUUGGUUCUAUUGUCGCUAAAGCUGUAGAGUAUACGAUCUCUCCUAUCAAAAACCAUGUCAAAUACCUUUCCAAUCAUCAGAAAUAUGUUGAGACCCUCAAGAACCGAGCUAAUAGGCUAAAAGAUGCAAGGGACGGAGUGCAGCAUUCUGUUGAUGCAGCUAAGCGAAACGGUGAAGAGAUCGAAGGUGAUGUUGACAAAUGGCUGUCUGCAGUCGACAAAAAGAUCCUUGAACAAGUAGAGAAAGUGAUGCAAGAUGAAGAAAAAGCAAAUAAAAAGUGUUUCAUUGGUUUGUGUCCUAAUUUCAGGACUCGUUACAAGCUUAGCCUGAAAGCUGAAAAGGAGGCAAAGGCUGUUGCCGAGCUACUUGAACAUGGAAACUUUGAAAGGGUUUCCUAUCGUGCAGCUCCGAAAGGUAUCGUGGUUGCACCAGUUAAAGGUUAUGAGGAAUUCGAGUCAAGAACGUCGAUUCUGAACGGAAUAAUGGAGGCACUAAAAGAUGAUAGCGUCAGCGUUGUUGGGGUGCAUGGUAUGGGUGGGAUUGGAAAAACAACGCUGGUCAAAGAAAUCGCUAGAAAGGUCAAGGGCAAGUUGUUUGAUUCGGUUGUCAUAGCAACCGUAACUCAAGCCAUCGAUAUUGAGAAGAUUCAGAACCAAAUUGCAGACUUCUUGGGCUUGAAAUUUGAGGAACAGAGUAUGGUUGGAAAGGCAUUUCGACUACGAGAAAGAUUGAAGAAAGAGGAGAGGAUUCUGGUUGUCUUGGAUGACAUUUGGGAAAAGGUUGAUAUUGAGGAAGUAGGGAUUCCUUUGGGAGAUGAACACAAGGGCUGCAAAUUACUAUUAACUUCUAGAGAGCUCAAUGUUUUAUCAAAUGGGAUGGAUGCUCAGAAAAAUUUUCCCAUUGGGUUUUUAAAUGAAAAGGAAGCCUGGGACCUGUUCAAGAAGAAGGCUGGCGACUGUGAUGAAAGUUGCGGUUUGAAGCCUAUAGCUAUGGAGGUAGCCAAAAAAUGUGCAGGACUGCCGAUAGCCAUUGCGACAGUUGCAGGGGCUUUGAGAAACAAAAGAUUGUUUGAAUGGAAGAAUGCUUUACGAGAACUGGAGAGGCCUUCGUCAAGCAACUUCACGGGGAUAGCUGUGGCAUAUUCAGCUAUAGAGUGGAGUUUUAAUUAUUUAGAAAGCGAGGAAGUUAAGCUGACUUUCUUGCUUUGCUGUGUAAUAGGCCAUAAUGGUCUCGUUGAGAACUUGGCAAGAUAUACUUUAGGUUUGGGUUUAUUUGAUGGUGUCCACACUAUGGAAGAAGCUAGAAAUAAAGUAUUGACGGUUGUGGCUAAUCUCAAAGCGUCUGCCUUGUUGCUUGAUGGUUAUAAUGAUAAGCGCUUUGAUAUCCAUGAUGUUGUUUGGGAUGCUGCUAUAGCUAUUGCAUUGAAGGACUACCGUAUGCUUGUUUUGAGAGAUCAUGCUCCAAAGGAGUGGUCCGAUAAGGAGAAAAUGAAGAUGUGGAGUGUGAUCAGCUUACGGUGUCCUCAGAUUAUAGCUAACCUUCCUAAGGAGAUGGAGUGUUCAGGACUUUCCUUUUUCCAUAUGGCCUAUGAUGGCGCGGUUAAAAUUCCUCUCACUUUUUUCAAACAAACCGAAGGCCUCAAAGCCUUGGAUUUGGUCGGAAUGCAGUUUCCAUCCCUCCCUGAAUCAAUUAUUCACCUUGCAGACCUUCGCAUGUUGUGUCUGAAAAAAUGUGCAGUUGAUAACAUAACUAUCCUUGGAGAGCUCAAGAGUUUACAAGUACUCAACCUUUCUCAGUCAGGUAUCAAAGAACUACCUAAGGAGAUGGCACAAUUGACUCAAUUAAGGUUGUUAGAUUUGCGCUCGUGUAGAGAACUCAAAAUCAUCCCGCCGAAUGUCUUAUCAGGUUUGUCUAAAUUAGAAGAAUUAUAUAUGAGUGGGAGCUUUGUUGAAUGGGAAAAGGGAGGAGUAGUUGAAAAUGAGAGGAAAAAUGCAAGCCUUGAUGAAUUAAACAAUUUGCCUUGUCUAACUACUUUAUAUGUUCAUAUUCUUGAUGUCCAAAUGAUACCAAAACACCGGUUUGUUGAAACAUUGGACAGAUUCAGGAUUUUCGUAGGUAAUUAUGGUGAAUAUAAUUGUUUCCACAAUUAUGAAAUAUCUCCGAAAGCAUUGAAGCUCAUGUUAUAUAUAAACAAUGAAUUGGACAAUGGGAUGAAAAUGUUGUUGAUAAAGACAGAAGAUUUGUGCCUAGAGGGACUUGAAGGCGUCAAGAAUGUACUUGUGGAGUUAAAUAAUGGGAAAGAUCUUCCAAAUUUAAAGAGACUUCAUGUCAAAAAUGGUAGGCAUGUCCAACAUAUUAAAACGAACAAAAUUGGAUUUUCUGAAUUAUGCUUUAUCACACUUGAAAAUCUACCGCAACUCGUUAGCUUUUGCUCUCCAGACGAAAGGUGUUCUACUAAGCCCUUUCUACUUUUCAAUAAACAGGUAUUUGUUUGGCUUUACUUAUAUUUUCUUAUACAACUUUUAUUCCCAUUAAUACAACUUUUAUUCCCAUUAUAUUUUUGGAGCUCAAAAAUAAAUUUCAAAUCCAAAACAAAUGAAAAUUUAAUUUUUAAUCUAAACCGAUUGAAAGUAUAAAGUCAAUUCAAUAAUCUAAAUUUAAACCCAACAAAGAUUUUUUUUUUAAUUUUGAAAAUGAAAUUUGAACCCACAAAUCGAACUAAAAUUAUCUUUAAAAUCGAAAAUCAUAUUUUCAAAUUAUGUUUCCCUAUCGAAAAAGAAUUGUGUGUAAAUAUGUGCAAUUUAUUUUCCCUCACUUGGAAAGCUUGCAAUUGUGUUCCAUUAACACCAAAAUAAUAUGGCACAACCAGAUAUGUCAUUGGAUUACGAAUUUGAGGAGCUUGAUCAUCAAAGGAUGCGGCAAGUUGGAGCAUCUGUUAUCACCCUCUCUCGCUAGAAGUCUGGUGCAGCUCCAAUGCUUUAAGAUAGAGGAUUGCAAGUGCUUAAGGGACAUAAUACUUACAGAUGAAAUUGAAGAAGAAAGGAAAGAUGUGAUUUGUUUCCCUCGAUUAAACUCCCUGUAUAUAGAUGGUCUUACAAACCUCAUCUUCUUCAGCUCAGGAAACCACAAUAUUGAGUUCCCAUUGUUGAAAGAGCUAACGAUUUGGCGUUGCCCCAAGUUAAUAGAAUUCAUUAGUCAGAAUAGUAAUCAGUCCGGCAUGCACGCUCUCUUCAGUGAGAAGGUGAUUUAUUUCAUUAGUCUUACACUCUUGCAUAAAUCUGUUGAUUUGUCCUUGUUUUUUUUUCUGCCUUCAUUAUUUGAGCUAAUUAACCUUAUUAUGGGCAUGGAUUAUAUAUAUAUGAAUAGGUUGCAAUUCCUAGCUUGGAAGACAUGAGUAUCUUCGACUUGAGUAAUCUGAAGAUGAUAUUUUAUAAUGACCUAGCAGCAGGUUCCUUUAAAAAUCUUCGAAAAGUGUGUGUUUGGCGAUGUGAGAGUUUGAAAAAUCUAUUUCCAGUAUCAAUAGCCAAAGAUCUUCCACAACUUGAACAUUUACGCAUCACUGAUUGUGGAGUUGAGGAGAUUGUAUCGAAAGCGGAUGGAGUGGAGGAGCAGCCUGUGAGGUUUGAGUUUCCGCAAGUAUCUUACCUUGAGGUUGCAUUGGUAGAAAAGCUCAAAUGUUUCUAUGAACGGCAACAUACAAUAGUCUGGCCGAUGUUGAAAAAAUUGAAAACAGAUAGUUCUGCUUUGCGAAAGAUAGUGGCAUCGGAACAUCUUAGAUUAAUCCAAGGAAAUGAGCAGCCAGUUUUGUUGGGUGAAGAGGUAUGUAUAUCAUUACAACUAUAUUUCUUUUUAUGAUUUAAACCACUGCAACAAGCAUCUCAAGUUGAAAUAUGCCACGAUAAUACAUUUCUAAUUAUUAUAUUUUGUUUGAUUUGAAUUUUUUCUUGUAUUUUUGAAUUUUUAAUAUAUAUUUUAAAUUUUUUGUUACACUUAUAAUUAUUUUUUCAAUUUUUAAAAACAAGACUGAAUAAACAUAAUAGGUAAAUAUUGAGUGUUAAUCUUGACUUUUUAGAAUGUAGUUCAAUUUGAUAAAAUGUAUAAAUGUUGAGGGUUAAAUUUAUUAUUAUGCGAAAAAAAAUGCAACAUUAGCAUCCCGUUAGGGACUUUGUAGCAUAGCAAUUAAGAUAUUCAAUUUCUCUAACGACAGUGAUUAAAUUGAAAUUUUAUUUGUUUUUAUGUGACCAUAAUAAAAAUAUUUUAACACUUAAGUGGCUAUAUAUGUAAUUUACCCUGUAUUUAAGUAGUGGGUCGAAACUAAAUAGAAAGUUUACCUUGCUAAAAAAAAUCGCCACUCAAUAAAAAGUCAAAAUUUUAAAAGUUAAUUACACUAGACAUAUCAAACUAUAACCUUCAUUUUAAAUUAGUCCCAAAAUUUAAAAUAUUCAAAUUACAUUCUUAAACUAUUGAGGUUAUAUCAAUUAGGUCUUUCUGUUAUUUAAUUCAUUAAUUUAACCAUCAAAUUAUAUUAGUGUAAUAUUUUAAAAUCUUGGUGUUUUAUCUACACUGUUCUGCUUAUAUUUUUUAUCAUAGAAAUAUAUAUAUAUAUAACAAUGGUUGUUUCUCUAUUGUAAUCUAAAUUUGCUACUCUUCUUUCGGUUUUCAUGUUGUGUAAUUUUUAUCGGUUCUUAUUCUCAAGGUAUUGUGUUUUCUUAAAACAAAAAAUUCAUCUGGUUUGAUUUAAUAUUGAUUUUGUUGGGAUUUAAUCAUCAUAAUCAAACACUAAAAUUGUAACUCUUUUGUUUGUUUGUUUGUUUUUUUAAAGCAUAUACAUCAAUAUUGAGCCUAACUUGUAUAUAUUUAAUUGGUUUCCAAGGUCAUUCCCAAAUUAGAGGAACUUGAGUUACGAACUUUUGGUGAUAUGGACCAAUUCCCACCAGACUUGUUUCAACAUAUUAAAGUUUUUGCACUGAGAGCUGGCUCUCGAUUUUCUUUAUUUCCUUUCGUCCGAAGAUUCUACAAUCUGGAAAGACUUGAGUUGUCUUAUUUUGAUUUCAAACAUUUAGUCCCUUGUAAAGGAGAUGCCGGGACUCUCCCACCAAUUAGAAAUCUGAAAUUGGUUUCUGCCAGAAAUCUUAAGCAUAUUUGGAGGAAAGAUUCGGAGCUUGACCAUAUUCUUUCUAAUCUUCAAACACUCACAGUUCAGAAUUGUGAUGAUUGGAUAAAUAUUAGAGCCUUCUCAUCGUCUUUACAAAAUCUCACAAUUUUGAAUGUGUCACGUUGUGAAAUGAUGACAAACUUAGUUACACCCUCAGUACUUAAGAAUCUUGUGCAAUUAACGACAAUAAAGGUAGAAGACUGCACUAAAAUGACAGAAAUAGUGGGAAACGAGGGAGACUGUCAUCAGACAAUAGUUGUUAGUAAAUUGAAAUGUUUACAACUAUGCAAUUUGAAUAGCCUCACAAGCUUUUGUCCAUGGUAUUACAACUUCGAGUUUCCUUGUUUGGAAGAAUUAGUUGUGGAACAUUGUCCUAGGUUAAAGAUCUUUUCUGAUGGAGUUUUAAGCACCCCACAAUUACAGAGAAUAAAACAGUCGCGUUUCCGUGGGAAAUGGAGGUGGACAAGUGACCUUAAUACCACCAUACAACAGCUCUACACAAAAAAGGUACAAAGUUAAUAAGUUCAUAAUGCUAGCUAGAUUUCUCGUGUCCUAAUACAAUUAAUUUUAUUGCUACUUCAAUAACCAUUGAAGAGUGUUAAUCGUUAUUUUGUUAUUGUCUGCAGUUUCUAUUUAUGAUCCUUAUCUAGUGGAAUAAUAUCAGAUUAAUUUUUAGGAUGGACUCCAUGACCCAUAUGAUUUCAACAUCUCUGAAACAUUUCCGGAAUCGAUAGAAAUAUGGACUAGAAACCCUCAAGAAAUUUUGGGCUUCAAAAACCUUAGCAGCCUGCAGUUUUAUAAAUGUAGCAGCCUGAAGUACAUAUUUACUCCGUCUAUGCUUUUGAGCCUCAAUCGACUACAAAGGAUAGAAGUGGAAGAAUGCAGUUCAAUGGAACAAGUAGUUAGGGAGGAGGAGGAAGCAAUGACACAUAAAUUUACAUUUCUUUCGCUACUCUCCUUAAAAAUUGAGUCGUGUUCCAACUUGACAAAUUUCCAUUUGGGAAGUCAAGCUCUUGAAUUUCCACAGCUGAGUGAUAUCACGAUAGCUGAGUGUCCAAAAAUGACUGCAUUUUCUUCCUCAGUUUCAAGAGAAAGUGGUGAUGCAAGUGAAAACGUGGUUGGCAAAGGGGGCAUCUAUGAUAACACUGCAACUUUUUUCAGCAAUAAGGUAAGUUCGGUAUUCAAUAUUUAUCUGCACAACUCAUUUCACAUUUUCUUUUGAUUUGAUCAACAUGAGUGUGUCUGGUCUAUAUAUACAUACUAGUAGUGCUACACCUUGUCAAAAUUUAAUAUAAUAAAAUCCAUGUAUUAAUAAAUAAGAUAAUAUUUAAAAAAAAUUGGAGUUUAAAGUAUAAAUAAAUAUAUAAAAUACGAAUUGAAAGGAAAACUUAAAGUGAAAUACUAAUAAACAAUAAGAAGUUUAAAAUUAAAUAGUAAUAGACAAUAAAUAAUAAAAGAAAAACGAAAACUAAUCUUCCUUUAUUUUAAUUUGUGGGUGUAUAAGAAGGACAUAAUUGUGGAAGACCUUCACAAAGGUCAUUUGAGAUCAAAGGAGAAGAAGCAAGAAAACAAAACGUGAGGAGUUUGAAGGAGAAUUGAAGUGAGAGAGUGGAUGGGUUUUAUUUAAAGAUUUAAUGCUUUUUUUUAAUCUCAUAUAUAGAAAAAAUCAUUGAAAGAAAAAAAAUUUAAUAUAAUUAUUUCAAUUUACAUGUCGGGUUUUUAUAAAAGUAACUCAAAUUUUUUAUUAAUUAUGAAAAUGACUCAAUUUAAAAAUUAUGUACAUAAAUUAUUCGACUUCUAUAGUAUUUGUUGGUGCCGCUAGACACAAUGGCGGCACCUACCUACCAUCAUCGACAAAUGAUUGUAUUUUAUUUCAAAAAUAGUAGUCUUGUAAUAGUGUCGUUGGAAAAAUUGGCGAUAUCGAACUGAAGUGUGAUUCUAUAAAAUGUUCAUGGACUUGACGAAGUAAUUAUCCUUUUUUAAUUAGCGGAAAAAGGGGUCUUCCCGUGAAUUUGGGGCACCAAAUUAAAUGCUUUUUAUCUUUUAGUCUAUUUGCAUGUUAAGUCUAUCCUCUUUUGAAAUUAAAUUUAAAUAACCCCUUAAGAAAUAUAAGAAUAACAAAAAUAAAUCAUAAUCAUUUAUUUUAUUUUAUUUUUAAAAAAUAAACUUAAAAAAUUAUAUAAAAUUCUUAUUUAAAUUACCUAAAUAUAUCCCUCACAAAAUUUCCUCAAGUUUAUCUAAAUUCAAGCAUUUUCAAUUCAUUCCCUAGCAUAUUUAAAUUUAGAUAAACUUAAAGGAAAUUUUUUGAGGAAUAUGUUUGGGUUGUUUGAAUAAGAAUUUUAAAUAAUUUUUUAAGUAUUUUUUCAAAAAAAUGAAAAUGGUUUUUUUUUUGUUAUUCUUAUAUUUUUUUAAGUGCUAUUUAAAUCUAAUUUUAAAAAAGGAUAAACGUAACAUGCAAAUAGGUCAAAAGUUGAAAAACAUUUAAUUUGGUUUAGAUACCAACGACACCCCUUUUUCAACUAAUCUAAAAUGUUAACCGCUUCAAAGGAUCCCUGCACGUUUUAUAUAAUCACAUUCAGUCUGGUUCCGUCAAUUUAUUAAGCAGCACUACUACAUUUUUUUUUAAAAAGCAAUUAUUGGAGGAUGAUGGUGGCCGGUGUAGUAAGCACUGUAGAAAUUAGGUCAUUUAUGUACAUUAUUUUUGGAAAAUUUUUUUAAUUAACCAAAAAAUUUUGGUUACUUUUAACUGUCUAGUUGAUGUAUUAACCUUUAGAUAAGUUUAUAAAUCUUCAUACUCAUUUUGAUUGUCUUUCAAAGUAAAGAAGGAAGAGUGAUACUAUCUUAUAAUGAUAUUUAUGUCAACAGGUUGUCAUUCCUCGUUUGAAGCGUCUGGAUUUGUCCUCCACCAACAGUCAUAAGAUAUGGCACCACUCAUCCUCCCCAUCUAUCGGAUACCUAAAUUUCUUGCAGGUGAAGAGGUGUCACAAUUUGAAAUACCUGUUCCCGUCUUUCUUAGCAAAAGAUCUUGUGCAACUCCAAGUCCUUGGAAUUUCGGACUGUAAUAUGAUGGAACAAGUAAUAUUCACGGAUGGAUUGGUUGAGGAACAUCAAGGGAGGAAUCAGAUGUUUUUCUUUAAUCUACAUUCGCUGUGGCUAAAAGACCUUCCCAAACUCACAAGUUUGUGCUUUGAUAAUUACUUUGAAUUUCACUGUUUGGCAUAUUUAGCACUAAUAAAUUGUCCAUUGCUAAAAACAUUCAUCUCUAAACGUGUACCCGGAGAUGAACCUCAAAUUGGCCAACAUGUACAGGCAAGUAACUUGGAGGUUCAUAACUCAUCUCUCCUCGAUGAAAAGGUCAUUUCUUCAUGGAUCCUCCUUUUAAUUUAUGUUACUUCGAUUUAUCUUAUUCAUUUGAGGUUCUUUCUUUUUCAUACAUAUUUCAGUUACUAACCUAAUGAAAUGAUUUAUUAGGUUGUUUUCCCUAGUUUGAAGACGUUGCGGAUUACGGGUUGUGAUUCGUUAGAAGAAAUUAUUGAGCUGCAAGGACUCAUUGCUGAUGAGUCACAGUCAACAUCAGCUGCUCAAUCUAUUGUGGCUGAAACAGUGACGACCAAGUUUGUAUUUCCCAAACUAAUAAACCUUGGAUUGUAUAAGGUACCGAGAUUGAAAAGUUUCUACUCUAGGAUGCAUAUCACCCAGUGGCCUUCAUUGAAAAAAAUGGACAUUAUUGGAUGCCCCAAAGUACAUAUAUUUACUCCACAAUGUCCUGAGAGUCAGGUUGGAAUCUCAAACCAACAACCCUUGUUUUGCGUCAACGAGGUAAGCUCACUAGCAGUUUCAUAUUCCAUGUUCAUUACUUGAGAUUACCUAUAAAAUGCUUUUUGAAAAAACUAAUAUUCUCUCCUCUUUUAAUUUUAUGAGAGUCUAGUUCUUACUAAUUUAAAACUUUUUCAUCGAUGUCUAAUAUAUUCAUUGCCAUCCAGGACACUUUCCCUGAAUUAGAAGAACUAACACUGAACACGAAUGAUGUGGUGAAGGAGAUAUGUGAUGGACAGCUCUCAUUGCAGUGUUUCCAAAACCUUAAACUUCUUAACCUCCGAUUCUUUCCUGAGACAUCCACUACUCUUCCAUAUUCCUUCAUUCGUUCGCUACCAAAGCUUCAGAAGCUUGUUAUAAACAAUGCUUCCAUUUCUGAAAUAGUCCGAUCUGAAGGACUUAGCGAAGAGGAAAGGCACACAUCGGUAUUCUAUCAGUUAAAGGACUUAAGGUUGUCUCAACUUCCAGAGUUGACGUUAAAGACUUUUAAACCAUCUUUGCUGUCUUUCAAAAAUCUAACAACACUGGAAGUUUCAAGCUGCCAUGGGUUCAUCAAUUUAAUCGCAUGCUCAACAGCUAAGUGCCUGACGCUACUGGAAAGAUUGAUCAUAGAUGAUUGUGAGAUGAUAGAGGAAAUCAUAGCGUGUGAGGCUGAAGAAAUACAAGGCGGCAUUGUAUUUCCCAAAUUGCAGUAUUUGCAACUAAGUUGUCUUCCAUGUCUAGCAAGCUUUUCCUUGGCCCCUCACUCGUUGGAAUUCCCAGUCUUGCUAAUGGUGAUAGUGACAAAGUGCCCCCAAAUGAGGAAUUUCUGCCAAGGAGAUUUAAGCACACCAAGGCUGGAACAAAUGCACUUAACAAGAGAUGAGGAAGGUGAACUGCAGUGGGAAGGCGACCUUAACACUACCAUAAAACAUAUGUUCGAUGAAAUAGUACAAAUCAUUUAAAGGAUUUAAAUUCAUGUGUUUUUACAUACAUACAUACAUACAUACAUACAUAGUUAAUUGAACAAUUCUUGGUUUGUUAUGACCAUGCACAGAAUGUGCAAAAUUCUGAGCCGACGGAGGUUACUAAUCAGUUGCCCAAGCUGGAAUAAGGAAAUAUGUUUGGGUGCUUAUGCGAAAAGCUCAAUUUCGUUUGAAUUCAAAACAAAUGGUAAUUGACUCCUCUAUUUUCAUCAUGGUUUAACUAAUGCUUUAUAAAGUGACCAUAGAGACGCCCUUUUCAUUAUAGGUUGAGUUGCUCUACUGAAGUACGAGGCAGCAACUUUUGGUAAAAUGUGAAAGGUUAUUUCAGUUUUUGUAAAACUACUGUUUGGACUGUUCCAUUUCACAUUAUACCCUCAAAAUUGAACUUCAAGUGUAUCAUGAAUGGCAUUGGGCUACAAACAUGUAAACUUUUACUAGUAAGGUUGACCCCUGUUUUAAGGAUUUGCCAACUUUUGAUGGUUACCAUAUCAAUGUCAACUUAAAGCUAUCAAGUAUCUUCACAAAUAUUGUUGACACCAUUUUUUGGAUGAAAAAAAAACGGGGUCGACUUGGGUUUUGACAAAAACGAAAAAACGGGAGUCGCCACCAAUCCUUUUUAAUGAGGUGUGAUUGGAUCACCUCAAAAACUAGUUGUUUCUAAUAAACGGUUUAAUUUUAUUAAAACAACGAUUUUGGUCCACGAAAUUCAGAAAACGGGUUCGGGAGUCGGUUACGUACGAGGAAGGAUUAGCACCCUCGUAACGCCCAAAAUUGGUACCUAGUUGAUUAGUUAAUGUCUUGAUGUCGAAAAUUGAUAACUUAAAAGAAUUUUAAAAAAUACGAUCCUUGAUUAAAACGUUAAGAGAAAAUUUUUUUGAGAAAAGAAGCACAUUUCACGUUAAUUGAGAAAUAUACGUCAUAUCCAGUGAGUUAGGAUACAAUGUCUCGAAUUCUCGAUGCGUAAAAAUGCUUGUUUAAAAGACAUUUUAGCUAUCUCGGAUUUAAAAAAGGAGAUCACGACCAGUAAGUUAGGACGCGAUUUUUUUUUUAAUUCCCGAUAUCAUUUAAAACUUGAGUUUAAAAAAAAUCGUGUAAUAAAGUUUAAAAGAAUAUUCAAUUGUUUAAAUCAAAUGAAGAAAUCGCAACCCAAUACGUUAAGGCACAAUUUCUCAAAAUAUUAAACAUUGAAUACUGCAUUUAUUUCGGAAAAAAAAAACCUCGUCUCGAGAAAACAACGUGUCACAUCCAAUGCGUUAGGACACAACGUAUUGAAUUCUCGAUAACGAGCUUUUUAUCAUUUUUAAAAGAGUAAUCUCGAUUAUUUAAAUUCAACGAAGAAAAUCAGAACCCAUUAUGUUAGGGCUCGAUUCUCUCGAAGUUCCAAAUACCGAGUAUUACUCAUAUUUUUAAAUUUUCUUCUUUUUUGAAAUCUAGAUAAAAAUAGGUGUAAUGGAAUAACAAUAAUGAUGAUGUAAUUAAAAUAAUACAAGCAAAGGCUACGAAGUAAAAUAAAUACAGAGACGAACUAAUAUAAUAUACAAUCACAAGCAUAUAAGCAAUAAAAUUAAAACAUUCAUUCUAAAUAAUGAAAAUGUAAAUGAAGAAAUGAACAAAGAAAAUGUAUAAAACUAUAAAAAAAUAAAACAUACAUAUGUGUAUAUACAUAAAAUUAUGGAAAUAUAAAAAAUAUAUGUAUGUACAUAUUUUAAAAUCAUUAUAAAAUAUAUAUAAGUAAACAUAUACAUAUAUACGUAUGUAACUAUCAUAAAAUAUAAAAAGUAUAUAUAUAGAUACAUAUAUAUAUAUGAGUCAUAGAAUAUAAAUAACAUAUAUAAGAUACAUAUUUAAAAUAUGAAGAAUGUAAGUAUAAAUAUAUUUAUGAAAAUAGAAUACAUAUAUAGACAUGUAUAUAGAUGUGUAUAAAAUUACGAAAUAUAAAAUAUAAGGGUAUUAGUAUGUGUAUAUAUAUAUAGACAGAUAGAUAGAUCAUAAAAAAAAUAUGGAUAUUAUAUAUAUAUAACAUGAAAACGCAUAUAUGUAUAUAUAACAAAGAUUCCAAAUAAAAAAUAAAUGAACAACUUAAUAAUAACAGUAAUAAUAUUAUUUUAUAAAAAAGGGAAAUAAACAAUAACAAAAGGACUAAAUUAAACAUUGAAACAAGAUUUGGGGUUUAAAAUUGCAAAUAAAAGGUUCAAGGGCUGGAAUGAAUCACGCACAAAGUGCAAAGGACUGAUCGGACAAUAUGCCCAAGUCCUGAAGGCACAACAUUCGUGCGCUGAUUAAAUUGAAUCAUAAAGAAAUUUCGUGGGGCCAAAUUAAAGAAAAUAAAUAAACAAGCAAAAGGACUAAAUUAAAACAAUCAACAACGAGGAAGGGCCAAGGGCAUAAAUAGCCCACUUCAUGAAAACGCGCGGAUCCCCUCCUACCGGGUCGGGUCGCACGCGGGUCCAGAGGCAGAACGAUGUCGUUUCGACGCCCAUAUGCAGUCACAAAACGGCGCCGUUUCUAUUAUGGUAUUUAAGCCCAAUUUUCUACAAAAAAAAUUUCAGCAACUGUUUGUUUUAAGAAAAAUCCAAAAAAAAAAACCUUUCCUCCUCCCCUCUCAAACAUCCGGCCUUUAGGUCUCCUUAGCGCCGCCAUUGCGCCACCGUGGACGGUGGCCGGCGUUGCGCAAAAGGGGCAUUCUAGUCUCGGUUUUGAGACCCGAUCGAAGGCUUUACUCGCAUAGCCUGAAGAUCAAGAGGCAGGACCCCCUAACUCAAACUUUCGGGGCCGAUUUCAACGACGGGCAGACCCCGACGGCAACGCAACCGAAAGACGAAACGGGUAAGUCCUCCUCUUCCUUUUUAUUUACUAUCUUUAUAUAUAUAUGUAUGUAAACAAAAAGAAAAGAGAACAAAAAAAUAACUUCAAAACUGAAAAGAAAAGAAAAGAAACCUUGAAUCUGUUUUUGUUUCCUUUUUCUCUAUUAAUGCCUUUUUUCUUUACAAAAAUCGAAACCCCCUUUACAAAGGUUUUUCAAUCGGUUUUUGAACCAAAAAUAAUACCCCCCGUUGCUUGUUGUUGUUGUUCUCUUUAUUAUUUACAGGUGAAGCAGGUGGCGAUGGGAUAAGGUGAACGGCGGUGGCAGAAGGCUAGGCUGCAAAAGGCGUACGGUGCUGAGCAAGGCAGGGAACCCUAGGGUUCCUUGAUGCUUGUUUAAUUUUUGUGCCCAAUUGGGCCAAUUUAGAUUUUGGGCAUUGGGCCUUGUGUUUUGGGUUGAAUUUAGCUUGUUAGGCUGGGGUAUUUUGGGUUAAUGGGCCCCGGGAAAAUUUAGGCUUCUACAGCUGCCUCUCUUUGCUCGUUGUCGUGUAACGAGAACAGAGCAAAGACUAAGAAAGACCAAAUUUGCCCAGUCUUGCCGAGUCUUGACUUCUCUUGACGCUUCUCUUCUUCACGUAGCCUCAUUCCAGUCUACUGUGUCUUGUCGUUUCGAUCCACUCCACUGCACCUCAGAAAGAUCUGACUUGUAGCUUCAAUCUUCUUCGCAACAACUUCAGAGAGAGAAGAUCGGUGGUUUUGAUCCGCUCCACUGCAACUUCAUAGAGAUAAGACUGGAUGCGGUCUGCUCUACUGCAACUUUAGAGAGAUAAGAUCUGUGGUUUUGAUCCGCUCCACUACUGCUUAAGGAGGAUAAGAUUGAUUUCUUCAAUCUGCUCCACUGCAACCUCAGGGAGAUAAGAUUGGAUGUGAUCUGCCCUACUGCAACUUCAGAGAGAUAAGAUCUGUGGUUUUAAUCCGCUCCACUGCAACUUCAGGGAGAUAGGAUUGGCUUCUUCAAUCUGUUUAACUGCAAUGUCGGGGAAGUAAGACUCGCCGUCGUAGCUUCAAUGUAUUCCACUACACCGUCAGGGAAAGUAAGAUUCGUCAUUGUGGCCUUGAUCUUUUAAUUGCAAUGUUGGGGAAGCAAGAUUCGCCGUUGUAGCUUCAAUGUAUUCCACUACACCGUCAGGAAAAGUAAGAUUCGCCGUUGUGGCCUCAAUAUUUUAAUUGCAAUGUCGGGGAAGCGAGAUUCGCUGUCGUAGCUUCAAUCUGUUCCGCUGCAUCACCUGGGAAGUAAGAUUUGCCUUUGUGGCUUCAAUCUUUUAAUUGUAAUGUCGGGGAAGCAAGAUUCGCCGUUGCAGCUUCAAUCUAUUCCGCUGCAUCCCCUGGAAAGUAAGAUUCGCCGUUGUGGCUUCAAUCUUUUUAACUGCCGGGGAAGCAAGAUCCGCUGUUGUAGCUUCAAUCUGUUCCACUGCAACGCUAGGAAAGUAAGAUCCGCUGUUGUAGCUUCAAUCUUUUUAAUUGCCGGGGAAGCAAGAUCCGCUGUUGUAGCUUCAAUCUGUUCCACUGCAACGCUAGGAAAGUAAGAUCCGCUGUUGUAGCUUCAAUCUUCUUAAUUGCAAUGUCAGGAAGCGAGAUUCGCUGUCGUAGCUUCAAUCUGUUCCGCUGCAUCACCUGGGAAGUAAGAUUUGCCUUUGUGGCUUCAAUCUUUUAAUUGUAAUGUCGGGGAAGCAAGAUUCACCGUUGUAGCUUCAAUCUGUUCCGCUGCAUCGCCUGGAAAGUAAGAUUCGCCGUUGUGGCUUCAAUCUUUUUAACUACCGGGGAAGCAAGAUCCGCUGUUGUAACUUCAAUCCGUUCCAUUACAACGCUAGGAAAGUAAGAUCCACUGUUGUAGCUUCAAUCUUUUUAAUUGCCGGGGAAGCAAGAUCCGCUGUUGUAGCUUCAAUCUGUUCCACUGCAAUGCUAGGAAAGUAAGAUCCGCUGUUGUAGCUUCAAUCUUUUUAAAUGCAAUGUCAGGGAAGUAAAAUCUGCUGUUGUAGCUUCAAUCUAUUCUGCUGCAUCGCUAGGAAAGUAAGAUCCGCUGUUGUAGCUUCAAUCUUUUUAAAAGCAAUGUCAGGGAAGUAAGAUCCACUAUUGUAGCUUCAAUCUGUUCCACUGCAACACUAGGAAAGUAAGAUCCGCUGUUAUAGCUUCAAUCUUUUUAAUUGCAAUGUCAAGGGAGUAAGAUCCGCUGUUGUAGCUUCAAUUUGUUCCACUGCAACGCUAGGAAAGUAAGAUCCGCUGUUGUAGCUUCAAUCUUCUUAAUUGCAAUGUCAAGAAAGUAAGAUCCGCUGUUGUAGCUUCAAUCUGUUCCACUGCAACGCUAGGAAAGUAAGAUCUGAUGUUGUAGCUUCAAUCUUCUUAAUUGCAAUGUCAGGGAAGUAAGAUCCGCUGUUGUAGCUUCAAUCUGUUCCACUGCAAUGCUAGGAAAGUAAGAUCCGCUAUUGUAGCUUCAAUCUUUUUAAUUGCAAACUAUGGUUUCUUCUAUCUGUUUCGCUGUCAGUACAGGAAUGCAAGAUUUGCUAUCUUCAUUCUGCUCCGCUGUCAGUACAGGAAAACAAGGCUGGUGUCUUCGAUUUACUUCACUGCCAGUACAGGAAGGCAUGAUCUGCUAUCUUCAUUGAUCUGUUCUCUGGUGAACAUGACCUUUAUGUUCUAUUUUAUAAACCUAAUUGUGCCUAGUGAUUAGGAUGACAUGAUCAGAACGAAACAAAUGCUCCUAACUAGAUGUGUAUGAAUGACAUUUGAAUGAAUGCAAAAUGUCAUGAAAAUGAUUCUUUAAUGCUUAGGUUAUCAUCACGCAAAAGCUUAUUAAGGUUAUAUCACUGACGUGCUACAAUGCCUUCUUGCUCAGCUAACAUAUCCAAAGAAACACUUAAUCUGAUUGCCCCCCACUGUGAACGUCAAAGUUCAAUCCACAGGGACAUAAAAUUUGUACCAUCAAUCUCCCACUAUAACCCAAGGGUAGAAAGAUAUGGCUUUUCUCAAUCUUCUCCUAUCGCAAUUCAAGGAUACAAGAUCUAAAUCCUUCUGGUCCCUUACACCAUUCCGAGGGUGUCGUAUCAAAGACUCAUGUGCAAAUGAGGGUUCUCUUCCCCGAGGUAACCUCUUCCUAUUGCCUGAUGAUCAUUGCUUUCUUGUUUAUUCAAGCUUUGUCACCAACAUGGCGUCUUGUCAAUCAACGCAUUUGACAACAAAAAAUCUAAAGAAAGUCUAAAUUUAGACUAUUCCUUCCCAAAUUUCCAACUUUAAAUUUGGUGUGUUAUAAACAAUAGUCAUGCUUUAGGCUCCAAUAUUAUUUAGAAACUUUUCAGAGUAAUAUGCAAAACUUCCUUUGUGAAAGUUUUAUUAGUCCAUUAAUCAUUAUUCUAAUACAACAUGCUUUGCAAAAAGGGUCUUAACAAUGAAUAAGAAUAAAAUUGGUUCUGAGCAUAGCUCGAAAAGAAUAAAUUACCAAAAAUAAUAAAGAAGGAUAAUGAAGAAAUUGAUCGGGAAUGUAUAUCUUGGAAAAGAAAAAGGUAUUCCAAGAACAACAAAUUUAAUAUAGAUAAUAUGAUAAUUGGGUGCCCAGACAUCGCAGCUUGAACUUCUCUGUACGAACUUUCUGAAGACCAUUUUGAGUUGGACAUGUGCUUAGGAGAUCUACAAUGCUCUGUCGAUACCCAAGAUGUCGCCUAUCCUUUCUUGUUGAUUCAGGCACAGCAAGAUCACCACAUGCCCCAAUAUGAUCAAAAUUCGAAUCGCUCUGAUCGCCUCAUGCCCCAUUCUGAACAAAUAUUUGAGCCGCCCUUUUCGGGUUUUCAACUCAAAUCCCCUUUGGCCUAAGGCGCCCUUUUUCGGGUUUUCCCCUUAGCCUCUCCAUUUUUCAUUUUCAUUUUUCAUUUUUCAUUUUUCAUUUUUCAUUUUUCAUUUUUCAUUCUCAUUUUUCAUUUUUCAUUUUUCAUUUUUCAUUCUCAUUUUUCAUUUUUCAUUUUUUUUACUUAGAGUGCUCUUUGCAGGCUUUCACAUUAGUCAUCUCUCCUUCUUUAAACGAAGUAUUUCUUGACUAGAUCUGAGUUUAUAGGACUAGAAAUCUCACUCAGGAUCAACGCUCUUCUGAGGAAUGUCUUCUUUACAACGUAGGGACAUUCCCAGUUUGGCAUUCAUUUCCCUCUGGAAUCCUUUUGGAGAGGAAUGAUCUUUUGACAUCCAACCCUCUCGUGGAAUUCUCUGAGAUGACACUGUUCGUUAUGGGCUCGUAUCAUUUGUUUCCGGUACAUCCAACCCUGAAGAAUAGCUUUUAACCUUUUUCCUAGGUUCAACUGAUCGCAUCGCGAUUGAAUCCAUUCUGCUUCAUCCAAUUCUAGCUCAACUAAUACUCGGAGAGAAAGGAUUUCAAUAGGUAAAACUACCUAAACCCUGCAAACCAAAGAGAAAGGUAUUGCCUCGGUAUAGAUGCUCGACAAGCAAGGAAGACAAAUAGUAAUUUCUCAUGCCAGUCUCUGUCAUUUUCCUUCAAUUUUCGAUGUUAAACUCUAGGCAAUUCAGUGGCGAAUCGUGGAGUCCACUUCUGAGUUGAUUUGAGAACUCAGCUAUCGUGAUAUUGUUUAAGCUCAAUGCAUUCUCCAAUACCCUUUUCUCUGAAAUUUUGUAUCGGAAUACGAUGACUUUUGAUCAUGAAGUAGCCUCUCAAAAUGAAGCAAUGCCCAUUAGAAGUCUUCGAUAAUGGUGAUGUCCAUGCCCCAUUGUGCUCGAAAUUUGAGUCGCCUUUUUUGGGUUUUCAACUCAAAACCACAUUUGGUCACAAAGCGCCCUUUACAGGUUUUCGCUUUGGCCUCUCCUUUUUUCUUUUUUAUUCUGAUUUUUUCAUCCAGAUUUCUCUUUUUCAUUCUUCUUUCUUUUUCUCAUUUUCAUUUUGAUCUUGAUUUUGAUUUUUUUCUUUCUUCUUUUUUUUUGAUUUUUUUCAUUUUCAUUUUCAUUUUCAUUUUGACUUUGACUUUGAUUUUGAUUUUUCUUUUUCUUCCCUUUUUGAUCUGAGCCUUUUGGUGGGCAACUUCGACAGAAAACUUUGGAUCUUCCUCUUUAAUCAGGAUGGACCCAACAACAACUUGAAGAGAUAGAAAUUUGACUUCAAAUGGGCAAAGCUAUGCUGACUCCACGUGAAAGGCAUUGCCCCGGCAAAGAAUUACAUCGUUCAUACUGCAAAUUUCUGACAUCGUGCUGUUGUGCAGAUUUCAUUAUCGGCGUUUAACCCGGGGCAUAUCCUGGUAUGAUCAUACGAAGACAUCUAUGAACCUUAGAGGUCACUCAAUAAGGUGUUGCUUCGUCUUUGCGGUCAAGUUAAUUCUAAUCUUCACCAAGUCCACAAUUCCUUAUGAGGUAGGAUCUGUCUAUCCUCUUAUUCUACCAUCCUCAACAAGUUCGGAGCUAAGCUACGAUCUAUGUCAUUUCCAAAGUCGUGAGAUCCGUCUAAACACAUACCUCUCUCAAGAGGAAAAUCUGAGUCUGUAGCAGUAUCACUCAUGUCAUUGAUAUCUGGGAACUCAUUGUAAGUACAAAAGGAUAUACAAAGAAUAUAUGAAGUUGUACAAUAUGUUUAUGAAUGCAAUAGUGAUUUGGAAGAAAGAAUAAAAGAAUACAAAUAAUCAUUGAUAAGAAAUGAAGAAUAUUGAUUCAAAAAAGAUCGCAAAGAUGCAUUCCAUUAAAAUAAUGACAUUCAGACUGAGCCUAUUUCACAAAAGAGUUCUUAUUGCCUCUAGGCUAAAAGCAACAAGUGUGUUCUGAAUAUUACUCUGAGUAAACUCUAAAUACUACAGGGGUCUCUUCUGCAGUCUAAUUAUUCAGAACACUCUCAAGUUUAGAAGGGCGAACAUCUAAUAAGAUAUCUUCUCCAAUUGUUUCUUCAUAUUCGGCACGGAUGUGAACAUUUCCUAACAUUUCUUCAUUCAUCGCAUUCCCUUCAUUAUCCAUAUGAUUGAGCAGCGGGUUUUCUGUACUGAGUGAAUCCUCAAAUUUAACAAUGCCCAUAUUGAUAAACCUUUCGACCAGCUUUUUAAAGGCAGUGCAUUUUUCUAUAGAAUGCCCUGUAAUUCCCGCAUGAUAGUCACAUCGCGCAUUUGUGUCGUACCAUUUGGGAUACGGAGGUUGUAAAGGCUUCAAGUAGAAAUGGGAGACAACAUGUGCGUCAAAUAAACUAUGAUACAACUCCUGGUACGACAUUGGGAUUGGUGCAAAUUGUGACUUUUCAGUACCUGGUUUCACUCCAGAUUCUUGCUUUAAAGGGCUCUGAUGGCUAGUGGUCUUCGUCUUUGGUUUGCCCACAGUGAUUAGUUUUGAGUGGCCCUUGUUAUAUUCGCCUGCGUUUUCCUUUUUAUUCCCCUUCUUCCUUGGGGCCUUUAUAGUAUCUGGGUACUCUACCCCCAUCUGCUUUAUUUCGGCUAGAUUAGCAAUAGGAUUAGCUAAAUCGUUCCUCAAAUUGGAUCCUAAGCCUGUCAGGCAAUUCACUGGUGUCGAUGUACUAGUCUGAUAAUAUUGGGAUCCGAUAGUAAAGAGUGCCCCUUGUGGGCGCCUAUCUGGCUGGACCUGGACACUUGUCGGAGUACAAUCUAAGGAAUAGACAAGAUCAUCAUUAUUAACCCUAAAGUAAACCACUGGGUCUUGCACUUCUUUUGACUUUCCAGCUAGCAAUCGGUUGAACUGGUUUAUCAUAGUUCUCCGUAAUUCUAGCAUCUGAUCUCUCAUCUCUUUUUGAAAUUUAGUCAUUUGCUCCUGCAUCUGGAUCUACAUUCGCUCUAAUUUUUCCAACCUUCGUUCCAUUUCUCUAGCCUUUGCUUGGAUAUCGUAAUGGUGUUUGGUUGUUUGGUUUUCCAAGUUAGCUGAAAUAAAUUUACUCAUUUAGACUCUUUCAAUGGAUUUUAAUGCAUGUAAUGCAAUGUGAUGCAAAUGCAUGAAAUGAAUGCCUAAAGAGACGUUGAUUCUGAUUCAAUUACAUUUAGAAAACUUUUCUAGAAAGCAAAUUCCCUUACAUAAAACAGAUACAUGUACGGCCUCACCCUCAUACUCCAAGAAACAACAUCGGUCUUUUUCUUCAUCCGCUUGUUUGAGGUAAUCUCGCCAAUAGAUGCCAUUGCUAGCUCCUUUUGAUCUUGGUCGUGAUCCAUCAUCUGCCCAUCUUCAUAAGGCUCGUCUGCUUCUUGGAACGUCGAAGGCUCUUAGACAAUCGCUUUGAAUCCUCAGGCCACGAAGCAGGGUCACGAACUCUUCCAUCGCCCUUCUUGCGUUCUUCAGAAUAUAUUUGGGAAGUUGUAUUAUUUUCCACCUUAUCAAGGAAUUCGUAUUCCAUGACAAGCUUUCUAAUUUAGUAAUCGAACUUGAAUCCAUAUCUCUUUCCUAAGAUGCAAAUGCAAUGUAAUGCAAUCAUAAUCAAAACACAACAAUAGGGGUUAGUACAAAACAUAAGCAAGCACAGAAAACAAAAAGUACCUAAUCAGGUAGAUACUAGGGGUUUGGAGUGGCUCUACCUAGGUUAAGUUCCUAAGUCUACUAUAUGAGGGUUGGUUCUAAAGUCAAGGUACCCGAACCAACAGAUUCCUCGAUCUUCACCCAUUAUAGGCUCAUACAGACAGAGUUCGGUUCAAGGGAAUACAUUUCCCGAUGGCUGCACGGAGAUGAAAAUCUCACGAAAGCAUAGGUACAGAUGUAUUCCGGAAGCGAUCCACUAUCCUGCACGAAGGUGAAAACCUCAAGAAGGACUAGUUUCUCACUCCCACCUAAAAGGUAAUAAUCGAGCGAUAAUGUAAUGCAACAUGCAGAAAUAUAUCAAAAUUCAAACCAAUAGAGCAAAUACAAACUGAAGUAAGGAUAAUCGUAACAAAAACGGACAAACAUACAACAAAAUGACCGUAGAUUUGAACCAAGCUUUCGGGUGACCUCUAGGCAUUUGGUGUGGUUCUACCUAGGGUAGGCUCUUAAGGCUCAUUAUAUGCGGUUCGGUUCUAAAGUAAGGGUACCUGAACCAGCAGAUUCCUCGAUCCUCACCCAUUAUAGGCCCAUACGGACUGAGUUCAGUUCAGGGGGAUACAUUUCCCUAUGGCCAUGCGGAGAUGAAAAUCUCACAAAUACAUAGGUACAGAUGUAUCCCGGAAGCGAUUUACUAUCCCAUGCGGAGGUGAAAACCUCACGAAGGCGUAGUUUUUCAUUCCCACUUAAAAGGGUGUGACCAACGGUCAUACAAUGCAAUGUGCUAAAAUAUACAUCUAAACGCAGUAAUUAUAAACAAAAUUAUAAAGACUGAAAUAAAAACGAAUGAAAUGCAACACAAGGAUCGUGUGAAGUUUUCAAUCUUUGACAAAAGACAAAAAGUAAUCAACACAUGGCUUGACUCUCGUAUUUUUCCCCAGCGGAGUUGCCAAGCUGUUGACACCAUUUUUUGGAUGAAAAAAAACGGGAUCGACUUGGGUUUUGACGAAAACGAAAAAACGGGAGUCGCCACCAAUCCUUUUUAAUGAGGUGUGAUUGGAUCACCUCAAAAAUUGGUUGUUUCUAAUAAACAGUUUAAUUUUAUUAAAACAACGCUUUUGGUCCAUGAAAUUCAGAAAACGAGUUCGGGAGUCGAUUACGUAUGAGGAAGGAUUAACACCCUCAUAACGCCCAAAAUUGGUACCUAGUUGAUUAGUUAAUGUCUUGAUGUCGAAAAUUGAUAACUUAAAAGAAUUUUAAAAAAUACGAUCCUUGAUUAAAACAUUAAGAGAAUUUUUUUGAGAAAAGAAGCACAUUUCACGUUAAUUGAGAAAUAUACGUCAUAUCCAGUGAAUUAGGAUACAAUGUAUCGAAUUCUCGAUGCGUAAAAAUGCUUGUUUAAAAGACAUUUUAGCUAUCUCGGAUUUAAAAAAAAUAGAUCACGACCAGUAAGUUAGGACGCGAUUUUUUUUUAAUUCCCGAUAUCAUUUAAAACUUGAGUUUAAAAAAAUUCGUGUAAUAAAGUUUAAAAGAAUAUUCAAUUGUUUAAAUCAAAUGAAGAAAUCGCAACCCAAUACGUUAAGGCACAAUUUCUCAAAAUAUUAAACAUUGAAUACUGCAUUUAUUUCGGAAAAAAAAACCUCAUCUCGAGAAAACAACGUGUCACAUCCAAUGCGUUAGGACACAACAUAUUGAAUUCUCGAUAACGAGCUUUUUAUCAUUUUUAAAAGAGUAAUCUCGAUUAUUUAAAUUCAACGAAGAAAAUCAGAACCCAAUAUGUUAGGGCUCGAUUCUCUCGAAGUUCCAAAUACCAAGUAUUAUUCAUAUUUUUAAAAUUUCUUCUUUUUUGAAAUCUAGAUAAAAAUAGGUGUAAUGGAAUAACAAUAAUGAUGAUGUAAUUAAAAUAAUACAAGCAAAGGCUACGAAGUAAAAUAAAUACAGAGACGAACUAAUAUAAUAUACAAUCACAAGCAUAUAAGCAAUAAAAUUAAAACAUUCAUUCUAAAUAAUGAAAAUGUAAAUGAAGAAAUGAACAAAGAAAAUGUAUAAAACUAUAAAAAAAUAAAACAUACAUAUAUGUGUAUAUACAUAAAAUUAUGAAAAUAUAAAAAAUAUAUGUAUGUACAUAUUUUAAAAUCAUUAUAAAAUAUAUAUAUAAGUAAACAUAUACAUAUAUACGUAUGUAACUAUCAUAAAAUAUAAAAAGUAUAUAUAUAGAUACAUAUAUAUAUAUGAGUCAUAGAAUAUAAAUAACAUAUAUAAGAUACAUAUUUAAAAUAUGAAGAAUGUAAGUAUAUUUAUAUUUAUGAAAAUAGAAUACAUAUAUAGACAUGUAUAUAGAUAUGUAUAAAAUUACGAAAUAUAAAAUAUAAGGGUAUUAGUAUGUGUAUAUAUAUAUAUAGACAGAUAGAUAGAUCAUAAAAAAAAUAUGGAUAUUAUAUAUAUAUAUAACAUGAAAACGCAUAUAUGUAUAUAUAACAAAGAUUCCAAAUAAAAAAUAAAUGAACAACUUAAUAAUAACAGUAAUAAUAUUAUUUUAUAAAAAAGGGAAAUAAACAAUAACAAAAGGACUAAAUUAAACAUUGAAACAAGAUUUGGGGUUUAAAAUUACAAAUAAAAGGUUCAAGGGCUGGAAUGAAUCACGCACAAAGUGCAAAGGACUGAUCGGACAAUAUGCCCAAGUCCUGAGGCACAACAUUCGUGCGCUGAUUAAAUUGAAUCAUGAAGAAAUUUCGUGGGGCCAAAUUAAAGAAAAUAAAUAAACAAGCAAAAGGACUAAAUUAAAACAAUCAACAACGAGGAAGGGCCAAGGGCAUAAAUAGCCCACUUCAUGAAAACGCGCGGAUCCCCUCCUACCGGGUCGGGUCGCACGCGGGUCCAGAGGCAGAACGACGUCGUUUCGACGCCCAUAUGCAGUCACAAAACGGCGCCGUUUCUAUUAUGGUAUUUAAGCCCAAUUUUCUACAAAAAAAAAAUUUCAGCAGCUGUUUGUUUUAAGAAAAAUCCAAAAAAAAAAAACUUUCCUCCCCUCUCAAACAUCCGGCCUUUAGGUCUCCUUAGCGCCGCCAUUGCGCCACUGUGGACGGUGGCCGGCAUUGCGCAAAAGGGGCGUUCUAGUCCCGGUUUUGAGACCCGAUCGAAGGCUUUACUCGCAUAGCCUGAAGAUCAAGAGGCAGGACCCCCUAACUCAAACUUUCGGGGCCGAUUUCAACGACGGGCAGACCCCGACGGCAGCGCAACCGAAAGACGAAACGGGUAAGUCCUCCUCUUCCUUUUUAUUUACUAUCUUUAUAUAUAUAUGUAUGUAAACAAAAAGAAAAGAGAACAGAAAAAGAACUUCAAAACUGAAAAGAAAAGAAAAGAAACCUUGAAUCUGUAUUUGUUUCUUUUUUCUCUAUUAAUGCCUUUUUUCUUUACAAAAAUCGGAACCCCCUUUACAAAGGUUUUUCAAUCGGUUUUUGAACCAAAAAUAAUACCCCCCAUUGCUUGUUGCUGUUGUUCUCUUUAUUAUUUGCAGGUGAAGCAGGUGGCGAUGGGACAAGGUGAACGGCGGUGGCAGAAGGCUAGGCUGCAGGAGGCGUACGGCGCUGAGCAAGGCAGGGAACCCUAGGGUUCCCUGAUGCUUGUUUAAUUUUUGGGCCCAAUUGGGCCAAUUUAGAUUUUGGGCAUUGGGCCUUGUGUUUUGGGUUGAAUUUAGCUUGUUAGGCUGGGGUAUUUUGGGUUAAUGGGCCCGGGCAAAUUUGGGCUUCUACAAAUAUAAUAUAUAUAUUAUUCCUUAAUGUGGGAUAAAAGUAGGCAGCUAUCUAUUAAUGAUACGGCUGAUUCUGAAAAGACGGCUGAAAUUGAAUCAAUGAGUUGUUGGUAUUUGCCUGAUGGAAGAACAGGGCCUAAUGUUACGUGGAUUCUGAUCAAGUUUUAAUUUUUCAGUUGUGGGCAUGACUGAUUGUUGCCAUUUGGUUGUUGAUCCUCUGAUUUUACGGUUGACUAUCUUGCUUAUACGUUGCUAUUGGUUGGCGGGUCUCAAGUAUGAAUUUCCAAGCCGGCUUUCAUCCAUAAUUAACUAGGUGUUCCAAUCCAUGGAGUUUAUGGUUUAUUAGUGUAACUGUCCAUUUGGUUAUGGAUUGGUUCUUAAGGUGUUUUGAUGCUUUGUAUGUUACAGUGUUUGCUCAACACCCUUUAAUUCUAAGGAAUUUUAUUCGUUGAGGAAAAAAAAAAUGAGGAUUACUCUGAUAUUUUAUGUUUGGGUUUAUGAAGAUUUUUGUAUGUUUAAUGAAAGAAAGCAAAUUAAAUAGAGACGUACAAGAUCACAUCCAUAGAUCAACAAAAGGGUUUAAUAUUUCCAUAAAAUAUUGUCCCAAAAAGGCCUUUUAAUGAGAAUUGAUCAUAUAAACUAAUGAAGGCCAUUGAAAAUAAAGCUUGUAAAAAAUUACAAAAGGAAUUGAUGAGAAUUUGUUGUGAUAAGAGUUUAUGGCCCUGUAGGAGCCUCUCCCCAAAUCGCUAGCAAAUGAAACAAAAGGAUUAAUGCACUUCGAUAAUGGCAGAUUUAUAUUUGUUACGAAAGGUCAAGAGCCCAAGCCAUCUCAUGCCACAGCUUUCCCUUAAAGCAUUCGUGGCUGAGUCUAGUAUUAAUUUUUAUUUGUAUCUUUUAUAUCCGUUUUAUAAUUCAUAUUUGGGAUUUGUAUUAUGCACUUAAUAUUUCAUUAUUUAUUGUCUAUGUUGCUCAUUGUUGCAAAAAGAAGAACCAAACACAAUGCAUGCAUAAACCAUAAAAAAGAGAAAAAAACAACAUAAGCAACUAAUAAUGAAAUAUAUUAAAAUGAAGAAUGGCAAUUGAUUUCAGAAUUACCCCAAUUUCGGUAAAUAUAUUAAAACAUGUGUCUCUAAUCUUUUUCAAUUUUGAUAUUGAAAAAAUUGGUAUUUCUAAAAAUAUCAGAGUUAUUCAAUCAUUUUCAUUUUUGAAAGUGAUAAGUCAAAGACAAUUAAUUACAACAUUAAUGUUUUUCAUCAAUUAUACAUAAUUUUCUUGGUAUAAUAAUAAAUUUAGCCCUCAAAGUUGACACAUCCUAUCAAUUUGUUAUUGAUUUAACUAAUUUAACCCACAAUAUUUACACAUUUUGUCAAUUUGAUCAUGAUUUAACAUAUUUAACCCGUAAUAAUUACACAUUCUAUCAACAUUUACACAAAAUAUAUAAUCAUCAAUGAUUAAAUUUAUUUUUCUACUAAUCAAAAUUAUGUAUAAUUAACAGAAACUACUAGCGCUUGAUUAAUUGUUCAUGGUUACUUUCAAAAUUGAUAAGGAUUAAAUUACUCUAUUUCUUUUAGAGUGACCAAUUUGUUCAAUAUCAAAAAGAUAUUUUUUAUUUAUUUUAAUUUCAUAGGUAAGAAAAUCUCAAAAAAGAAAAUCUUUGAAAUAAAAAAAAGUAUGUUUUAUAUAAUUAUUUAAAGUUACUCUCACAUUAUUUUUUACCCAUUCAAAGCUAGCAAGUCUUUUAUGUACAAAUGGUGUAGCUCUGCAAUUUGGAUUAACAUGUUGGUGACCUCCAUGUGAAGUGAAAGAAAAUAGACAAUGUCACACAAUUAUUAUUUUUCCCUCCGUACCCCUAUGCCACCAAAGAAAGUUGAAUUAUCAAGGCACAAAAGCACUAAGGAGUAGGAGCUAGAAAAAGAGGGGCAUGAAAAUAAAAAGAGUCAAAUUAUUAUUUGACGGAAACGUUAAAUUUUGAAAUACAUAUAACAAUCCACGUGUGUUUCAUAUAUAUCUUUUUAAUUUUUAUGAUUUUUUUUGAAAUUUUGAUUUUUGAAUACUAUUAGAAAAUUAUUUGGUACAUUGUUAGUGGAGUUUUUAAACUCCACCAACAAAAUCAAUGGGUUGACAAGUGUCUUACAGAGGUAAAUAAAAUAUUAAAAAAUAAAUAUUUUAAAAAAAAGAUAUAUGUCAAUUUUUUAAAGUUACUUGUGAAAUAAAAAUAAUAUAUUAUCAGCGUACCAAAUACUCACAUUUUUAAUUAAGAUUUAAAAAUAAAAAAUAUAUAGUUACUAAAAUGAAUGGGUUGCAAAUUGAGAAAUUUGAUAUUGAAUAUUAAAAUUUUCUUAAAAAGAAGACAAGAUACAAAAGUUAGUGACUUAUUUGAUUUUAUUUUAAUUUUUAAAUUUAUGCAUUUUAUUAUGAAUUUUUAUUCUUUGUGUACUCUGUAAAAUUUGUCUGAAAUUUCUAAUUUUUAAUUUUUCACAUGAGUUUAAGAUAGAAAAAAUUUACUCUUAGGAUUGGUGAAACAAGGGUUACAAUCGAUACAAGAGUUCAGUUUACGAUAUGUAGAUGAUUUUGUUCUUCGAAAUAUUGUCUACAGGUAGGAUAUCGGAAAUCUAUUAUCAUAGUUUUGUUAAAAGGUCGAGAGUUCUAUUUUGGCCUAAGACUCUAGGAAUUCUAUUAUCGAUAUUCUAAUUAUGAUCAUGAUCUGUAAAAGAUAUGAGUAACAUGUGAUAUGUAAAUGAAGAGUUUUAUGGUAUGAUAAGCCAUAAAUUAAGUGAAAAUGUAAGGAAGUGUAUGAUUAUAUGAAAGACAAAAAUAAUUAAUUUAGUUUAAUGAUCUGUAAAAUUGAAAAGUGAAAUACAUGAAUUAUAUAAGAGAAUGUUCAUGAUCGACAUGCGGUGUGUAAAUGAUAAGGAAAAAAUUAUAUGACCAAAAUAGUAGAAAUGAAUAAUGAAAUUAGUUAAAUACUUUGUAAGUUCAAAAGUAGGUUGCAUUAAAUAAAUAGAUUUAUUAGUCAGAAUAGUAAUCAGUCCGGCAUGCACGCUCUCUUCAGUGAGAAGGUGAUUUAUUUCAUUACUCUUACACUCUUGCAUAAAUCUGUUGAUUUGUCCUUGUUUUUUUUUCUGCCUUCAUUACUUGAGCUAACCUUAUUAUGGGCAUGGAUUAUAUAUAUAUAUGAAUAGGUUGCAGUUCCUAGCUUGGAAAAGCUGAAUAUCUGGGACUUGAAUGUGAAGAUGAUAUUUUAUAAUGACCUAGCACCAGGUUCCUUUAAAAAUCUACGAGAAAUAAUCGUUUGUGGAUGUGGGAGCUUGAAAAAUCUAUUUCCAGUAUGAAUAGCCAAAGAUCUUCCACAACUUGAACUUUUAUGCAUCAGGGGUUGUCGAGUUGAGGAGAUUGUAUCGAAAGGGGAUGGAGUGGAGGAGCAGCCUGUGAGGUUUGAGUUUCCGCAAGUAUCUUUCCUUGAGGUUAGAUGGGUAGCAAAGCUCAAAUGUUUCUAUGAAGGGCAACAUACAAUAGUCUGGCCGAUGUUGAAAAAAUUGGAAACAGAUAGUUCUGCUUUGCUAAAGAUAGUGGCAUGGGAACAUCUUAGAUUAAUCCAAGGAAAUGAGGAGCCAGUUUUGUUGGGUGAAGAGGUAUGUAUAUCAUUACAAAUAUAUUUCAUUUUAUGAUUUAAACCACUGCCACAAGCAUCUCAAGUUGAAAUAUGCCACGAUCAUGCAUUUCUAAUUAUUAUAUUUUGUUUGAUUUUUUUUUUUUGAAUUUUUUGUUACAUUUAUAAUUAUUUUUUCAAUUUUUUUAAAAACAAGACUGAAUAAACAUAAUAGGUAAAUAUUGAGUGAAUGCAGUUCAAUUUGAUAAAAUGUAUAAAUAUUGAGGGUUAAUUUUAUUAUUAUGUAAAAAAAAUACUAAAAAUAAAAAUAAAAAUAUUUUAUCUGUUUUUAAGUAACCAAAAUGAAAAUAUUUUAACACUAAGUGACUAUAUAUGUAAUUUACCCUGCAUUUAAGUAGUGGAUCGAAACUAAAUAGGACCUUUAAUUUGCUAAAAAAAAAUUGCCACUCAAUAAAAAAAUCAAAACUUUAAAAGUUAAUUACACUAGACAUCUCAAACUAUGACCUUCAUUUUAAAUUAGUCCUAAAAUUUAAAACUAUUGAGGUUAUAUCAAUUACGUCUUUCUGUUAUUAAAUUCGUUAAUUUAACCAUCAAAUUAAAUCAGUGUAAUAUUUUAAAACCUUGGUGUUUUAUCUCCACUGUUCUGCUUAUAUUUUUUAUCAUAGAAAAUAAAUAUAUAUAUAUAUAACAAUGGUUGUUUAUCUAUUUUAAUCUAGAUUUGCUACUCUUCUUUCGGCUUUUAUGUUCUGUAAUUUUUAUCAGUUUUAAUUCUCAAUGUAUUGUGUUUUCUUAAAACAAAAAAUUCAUCUAUUCUGGAUUUGUUUGAUUUAAUAUUGAUUUUGUUGGGAUUUAAUCAUCAAAAUCAAACACUAAAAUUGUAAAUUUUUUUUUGUUUGUUUGUUUGUUUAAAGCAUAUACAUCAACAUUGAGCCUAACUUGUUUAUAUUUAAUUGGUUUCCAAGGUCAUUCCCAAAUUAGAGGAACUUGAGUUACUAAAUUUUGGUGAUAUGGACCAAUUUCCACCAAACUUGUUUCAACAUAUUAAAGUUUUUGCAGCGAGUGAUGGCUCUCCAUUUUCUAUAUUUCCUUUCGUCCGAAGAUUCUACAAUCUGGAAAGACUUGAGUUCACUUGUUUAGAUUUCAAACAUGUAGUCCCUUGUAAAGGAGACGCCGGGACUCUCCCACCAAUUAGAAAUCUGGAAUUGUUUUCUGCCAGAAAUCUUAAUCAUAUUUGGAGGAAAGAUUCGGAGCUUGACCAUAUUCUUUCUAAUCUUCAAACACUCACAGUUCAUAGUUGUGAUGAUUGGAUAAAUAUUAGAGUCUUCUCAUCAUCUUUGCAAAAUCUCACAAUUGAAUGUGUCAUUUUGUAAAAUGAUGACAAACUUAGUCACACCCUCAGUACUUAAGAAUCUUGUGCAAUUAACGACAAUAAAGGUAGAAUACCGCACUAAAAUGACAGAAGUAGUGGGAAACGAGGGAGACUGUCAUCAGACAAUAGUUGUUAGUAAAUUGAAAUGUUUACAACUAUGCAAUUUGAAGAGCCUCACAAGCUUUUGUCCACGGUAUUACAGCUUCGAGUUUCCUUGUUUGGAAGAAUUAGUUGUGGAAGAUUGUCCUAAGUUAAAGAUCUUUUCUGAGGGAGUUUUAAGCACCCCACAAUUACAGAGAAUAAAACAGUCGAGUUACCGUGAGAAAUGGAGUUGGACAAGUGACCUUAAUACCACCAUAAAACAGUUAUACACAGAAAAGGUACAAAGUUAAUAAGUUCAUAAUGCUACCUAGAUUCCUCGUGUCCUAAUACAAUUAAUUUUAUUACUACUUCAAUAACCAUUGAAGAGUGUUAAUCGUUACUUUGUUAUUGUCUGCAUUUUCUAUUUAUGAUUGCUAUCUAGUGGAAUAAUAUCAGAUUAAUUUUUAGGAUGGACUCUAUAACCCAUAUGAUUUCAACAUCUCUGACACAUUUCCGGAGUCGAUAGAAAUAUGGACUAGAAACCCUCAAGAAAUUUUGGGCAUCAAAAACCUUAGCAGCCUGCAGUUUAUAAAUGUAGCAGCUUUAAGUACAUAUUUACUCCGUCUAUGCUUUUGGGCCUCAAUCUACUACGAAGGAUAAAAGUGAGAGAAUGCAGUUCAAUGGAACAAGUAGUUAGGGAGGUGGAGGAAGCAAUGACACAUAAAUUUACAUUUCUUUCGCUACGCUCCGUAACAAUUGAGUCGUGUUCCAACUUGACAAAUUUCCAUUUGGGAAGUCAAGCUCUUGAAUUUCCACAGCUGUUGAAAAUCACGAUAGCUGAGUGUCCAAAAAUGACUGCAUUUUCUUCCUCAGUUUCAAGAGAGAGUGGUGAUGCAAGCGAAAACGUGGUUGGCAAAGGGGGCAUCUAUGAUAACACUGCAACUUUUUUCAGCAAUAAGGUAAGUUUGGUAUUCAAUAUUUAUCUGCACAACUUAUUUCACAUUUUCUUUUGAUUUGAUCAACAUGAGUGUGUCUGGUCUACAUAUCCAUACUAGUGCUACACCUUGUCAAAAUUUAAUAUAAUAAAAUCCAUAAAAAUAUUAAUAAAUAAGAUGAUGUUUAAAAAAAAAUUGGAGUUUAAAGUAUAAAUAAAUAUAUAAAAUAAGAAUUGAAGGAAAAACUUAAAGUGAAAUACUAAAAAACAAUAAGAAUUUAAGAGAAGUUUAAAAUUAAAUAGUAAUAGACAAUAAAUAAUAAAAUAAUAAUAGAAAAAAGAAAACUAAUCUUCCUUCAUUUUAAUUUGUGGGUGUAUAAGAAGGAGAUAAUUGUGGAAGACCUUCACAAAGGUCAUUUGAGAUCAAAGGAGAAGAAGCCUGAAAACAAAACGUGAGGAGUUUGAAGAAGAAAGAACCAAAUAUAUAGAGGAGAAUUGAAGUGAGAGAGUGGAUGGGUUUUAUUUAAAGAUUUAUUGCUUUUUUUUUAAUUUCAUAUAUAGAAAAAAUCAUUGAAAGAAAAAAAAGUUUAAUAUAAUUAUUUAAAUUUACUUGUCGGGUUUUUAUAAAAGUAACUCAAUUUUUUGAUUAAUUAUGAAAAUGACUCAAUUUAAAAAUAAUGUACAUAAAUUAUUCGAUUUCUAUAGUGUUUGUCGGUGCCUCCAAACACAAUGGCGGCACCGACCUACCAUCAUCGAUCAAUGAUUGUAUUUUAUUUAAAAAAUAAUAGUUUUUUAGUAGUGUUGUUGGAAAAAUUGGCGAAAUCAGACUGAAGUGUGAUUAUAUAAAAUGUUCAUGGACUUAAUGAAGUAAUUACCCUUUUUUAAUUAGCGGAAAAAGGGAUCUUCCCGUGAAUAUGUGGCACCAAAUUAAAUGAUUUUCAUCUUUUGGUCUAUUUGCAUGUUAGGUCUAUCCCCUUUUGAAAUUAAAUUUAAAUAACCCUUAAGAAAUAUAAGAAUAACAAAAAUAAAUCAUUCUCAUUUAUUUUAUUUUAUUUUAAAAAAAUAAACUUAAAAAAUUAUAUAAAAUUCUUAUUUAAAUUACCCAAAUAUAUCCCUCACACAAUUUCCUCAAGUUUAUCUAAAUUCAAGCAUUUUCAAUUUAUUCCCUAGCAUAUUUAAAUUUAGAUAAACUUAAGGAAAUUUUUUAAGAAAUAUAUUUGGGUAAUUUGAAUUAGAAUUUUAUAUAAUUUUUUAAGUAUUUUUUCAAAAAAAAAAAGGGAGGAAUUGGUUGAAGAACAUCAAGGGAGGAGUCAGAUGUUUUUCUCUGAACUAGAAUUGCUGUGGCUAAAAGACCUUCCCAAACUCACAAGUUUCUGCUUUGAGAAUUGCUUUGAAUUCCAAUGUUUGACAGUUUUGGAACUAACAAAUUGUCCAUUGCUAAAAACAUUCAUCUCUAAAUGUGUACCCGGAGAUGAACCUCAAAUUGGCCAACAUUUACGAGCAAGUAACUUGGAGGUUCAUAACUCAUCUCUCCUCAAUGAAAAGGUAAUUUCUUCAAGGAUCCUCCUUUUAAUUUAUGUUACUUCGAUUGAUUUUAUUCAUUUGAAAUUCUUUCUUUUUCAUACAUAUUUCAGUUAUUAACCUAAUGAAAUGAUUUAUUAGGUUGUUUUCCCUAGUUUGGCGAAGCUGCAGAUUCAAAAUUGUGAUUCGUUAGAAGAAAUUAUUGAGCUGCAAGGACUCAUUGCUGAUGAGUCACAGUCAACAUCAGCUGCUCAAUCUAUUGUGGCUGAAGCAGUGACGACCAAGUUUGUAUUUCCCAAACUACAAAACCUUGGAUUGGAUAAGGUGCCAAGAUUGAAAAGUUUCUACUCUAGGAUGCAUACCACCCAGUGGCCUUCAGUGAAACAAAUGAGCAUUAUUGAAUGCCCCAAAGUACAGAUAUUUACUCGACAAUGUCCUGUGAGUCAGGUUGGAAUCUCAAACCAACAACCCUUGUUUUUCGUCAACGAGGUAAACUCACUAGCAGUUUCAUAUUCCAUGUUCAUUACUGGAGAUUACUUAUAAAAUGCCUUUUAAAUUUAUGAGAAAGAAAAUGGAAAUUAUAUUAAUUUUGUAGUCUAGUUCUUACGAAUUGAAAACUCUUUGAUCGAUGUUUAAUAUAUUCGUUCCCAUCCAGGACACUUUCCCUGUAUUAGAAGAACUAACACUGAAGACGAAUGAUAUGGUGAGGGGGAUAUGUGAUGGACAACUCUCAUUGCAGUGUUUCCAAAACCUUAAGCAUCAUAACCUCCAUUUCUUUCCCGAGACAUCCACUACUCUUCCGUAUUCCUUCAUUCGGUCUCUACCAAUCCUUCAUAAGCUUGUUAUAGACAAUGCAAGAAACUUAAAACAAUUGAGCCGUGUUCCAACUUGACAAAUUUUGUUGAAAAUGGACUGUAAAGCAACAAAGGAGCAGCUUGGUGCAUUUUUGUUUCUUUAUUUUGUUUAUUUUGUUUACUUUUAAUAUUUGUAAUCUUUUGUAAUUGAAACAAGUUGGUGUGCAACUUGGUUUCAUAAUGAUAGCUAUAAUUGAAACAACAUAAUGAUAGCUAAUAUGCUUUCAUAAUGAUAGCUAAUAUGCUUUCAUCUUUUUAAUUAUUAAUUGGCAAGUUGCCAAAUUUAGUGGAAAUUGUUAGGUAAACAUUCCACUUUUGUAACUCUAUAUUUUGAAAUGAAAUGAAAAUGGUAUUAUCAUUCGGUUUCAAUCAAACAUAUUUUUUUUCCUUUUGCUUGUUAACCGAGAGCUUAUGCUCUUGAUGCUUUGUGUUUUUCUGCUUGCUGUUUGAAGAGCUUAUGCUCUUAGUGUUUCAUUGUUUGGUUGUUGCUGCCAUUUUAUCCAACAAAUGGUAAUCAGAGCAUCCUAUCUUUGAGGACCUUUGUGGUUUUGUUUUAGUUUUCAAAACAAAGUCAGUUUUGUUUUUGCAAAAUCAGUUUUCAGCAGCAUGAGUUUUUCUCCUCCUCCACCACCAGUUUUUGUUGGAGACAACUACCAUAUUUGGAUUGUCAAGAUGAAGACAUAUCUUCAAGCACUUGACCUCUGGAGUGCAGUUGAGAGUAAUGUUGAGCCAAAACCAUUAAGAGCAAAUCCUACCAUUGCUCAGAUCAAGCAACAUGGGGAGGAACGAGCCAAGAAACACAAAGCAAUAGCCUGUUUGUAGAAUGGAGUGUCAGAUGUUAUCUUCACUCGCAUUAUGGCCUGUGAUUCCCCUAAGCAGGCAUGGGACAGGCUUAAAGAGGAAUUUAUGGGAUCGGAUAAGACCAGGCAGCAACAGGUCAUUAACCUGAUAAGGGAAUUUGAAAACUUAAAAAUGAAAGAGUCAGAAACUAUUAAGCAAUAUUCUGACAGAAUUAUGGCAACAGUGAACAAUAUAAGACUCCUAGGAGAAGAUUUCAAUGACAGCAGAGUGGUUGAGAAGGUGAUUACAACUCUUCCAGAGAGGUUUGAAUUAAAAAUCUCCUCAUUGGAGGACUCAAGGGACCUUACAAAGAUUUCUUUGUCUGAAUUGGUCAAUUCUCUCUAUGCACUCGAGCAGAGGAGAUCUACCAGACAGGAGGAGAACCCUGAAGGAGCUUUCCAAGCAAGGACCAGAGAAGGAUCUAGCUUAAACUAGAGAGCUAAGAAACCUUGGCUUGAAAGAAAGGACAAAGCAAGGAGAGAAGCAUAUAGAGAAGCAGGCAGAAGGAGGUUUCCACCAUGUUUUCACUGCAAAAAGACCAAUCACCUGGAGAAGUUUUGCUGGACCAGACCAGACAUACAGUGCAAAAGCUGUAAAAAGUAUGGCCAUCAUGAGAAAAUUUGCAGGAGUCAUGAUAAGGCACAAGUACAGCCAGUUCAAGCCAAAACUACUGAGGAUGUGCAAGCUCAGGAGGAGCAUGUGUUUACUGCUUCAUGUUUUGCAGUUAACAGCAAGUGCAGCUGGCUUGUGGAUAGUGGUUGCUCACACCACAUGGCUGAAAAUGUAAGCCUUUUCAAGAACCUUGACAGGAGCUAUGUCUCAAAAGUCAGGAUAGGUAAUGGCAACCUGAUUGAGGCAAAAGGCAAAGGUGAUGUGGUGAUUCACACUGGUUCAGGUAACAAAGUUAUUUCUGAUGUACUCUAUGUGCCAGAAAUAGACCAAAAUUUGCUAAGUGUAGGCCAGUUAGUUAGGAAAGGCUAUUCACUAGUUUUCAAGAAUGAUUCUUGUGUUAUAAGUGAUGCCUAUGGUAGGGAGAUAGUCUCGGCACCUAUGGCAGACAAAUGCUUCAUGUUGGAUGUUAGUCAACUUGACAAAAGAGCUUACACAAGCUCAGUGGAUGAUACUGAUCUUUGGCAUAAGAGAUUUGGCCAUGUUAACCUCAAAUCACUUGAUUUGCUGCACAAAAUGAAUAUGACAGAGGACAUGGUGAAGGUAGACACAAGUGAAGGUGUUUGUGAGGUGUGUCAGCUUGGUAAGCAGACCAGGCUACCAUUUUUAGCUAACCAGGCAAGGAGGGCUCGAGACAGACUUGAGCUGGUGUACUCAGAUGUCUGUGGACCAAUGAAGACACCUUCAUUGAAUGGCAGUAAGUACUUUGUUUUGUUUAUUGAUGAUUUGACCAGAUGUUGUUGGGUGUAUUUCAUGAAACAGAAGUCGGAAGUGUUUGACAUGUUUGUGAAGUUCAAGGCUUGGGCAGAAAAUCAAGCAGGCUGCAAGAUUAAGGCUCUAAGGACAGACAAUGGCACAAAAUACUUGUCUGAGAAAUUCCAGAAGCUAUGUGAGCAGGCUGGAAUCCAUCAUCAGUUGACUACAGUCUACAUUCCUCAACAAAAUGGAGUGAGUGAGAGAAAGAACAGGACUGUGAUGAAUAUGACAAGGUGCUUGCUGUUCCAAAGCAAACUNNNNNNNNNNNNNNNNNNNNNNNNNNNNNNNNNNNNNNNNNNNNNNNNNNNNNNNNNNNNNNNNNNNNNNNNNNNNNNNNNNNNNNNNNNNNNNNNNNNNNNNNNNNNNNNNNNNNNNNNNNNNNNNNNNNNNNNNNNNNNNNNNNNNNNNNNNNNNNNNNNNNNNNNNNNNNNNNNNNNNNNNNNNNNNNNNNNNNNNNNNNNNNNNNNNNNNNNNNNNNNNNNNNNNNNNNNNNNNNNNNNNNNNNNNNNNNNNNNNNNNNNNNNNNNNNNNNNNNNNNNNNNNNNNNNNNNNNNNNNNNNNNNNNNNNNNNNNNNNNNNNNNNNNNNNNNNNNNNNNNNNNNNNNNNNNNNNNNNNNNNNNNNNNNNNNNNNNNNNNNNNNNNNNNNNNNNNNNNNNNNNNNNNNNNNNNNNNNNNNNNNNNNNNNNNNNNNNNNNNNNNNNNNNNNNNNNNNNNNNNNNNNNNNNNNNNNNNNNNNNNNNNNNNNNNNNNNNNNNNGCUAGAUAAAAGAGCUCAAGCAGGGAUCCUGAUCGGCUAUAGCUUGGUUAAAAAGGGCUACAGAAUCCUAGAACCUGCUACAAACAAGAUAUUGGUUAGUAGGGAUGUUGUUUUCAAUGAAAAAGGACACUGGAAUUGGGAGAAGGCUGAACCAGAGGCAGUGGCUGAAGAUCUGGCAUUGGACCAAGUUGAAAAUGAUAAAAACACACCUGAAAUGGAUGUAGAUGAUGUUCUAAUCAGAGGCACUCGAUCACUGGCUGAUGUUUAUGAAAGAGCACAAGUGGCUACUGUUGAACCAAGUUGCUUUGAAGAAGCAGAAAGACAGAAGGACUGGAAGCAAGCUAUGAUUGAAGAAAUCAGGAUGAUUGAAGAAAUCAGGAUGAUUGAAAAGAAUCAGACCUGGAGUCUGGUUGAUAGACCAACAAACAGGAAGAUUAUUGGUGUCAAAUGGGUUUAUCGAGUAAAGAACAAUGCUGAUGGUAGCCUAAACAAGUUAAAGGCUAGAUUGGUUGUGAAAGGCUUCAGUCAAAGGUAUGGAUCAGACUACCUGGAAACCUUUGCACCAGUGGCUAGGCUAGACACUAUUAAACUGCUAGUUGCCUUAGCAGCACAAAAAUAGUGGCUGAUACACCAACUUGAUGUAAAAUCAGCAUUUCUGAAUGGAUUCCUUGAAGAGGAGAUUUAUGUGGAGCAACCUCAAGGUUUCAAGGUGUCUGGCAAGGAACAAAUGGUGUACAAACUCAACAAAGCCUUGUAUGGCUUGAAACAGGCUCCAAGGGCCUGGUAUAGCAGAAUUGAUGGAUAUCUGACCAGUUUGGGAUUCGAGAGAAGUCUAAGUGAGCCAACUCUCUAUGUUAAAUUGACUAGUACUGAAAUUUAGCUCAUUGUGUCAAUAUAUGUCGAUGACUUACUGGUGACAGGAGGAGAUCGAGAGAUGCUAAUCAGCUUUAAAGCUAAAAUGCAAUAGCACUUUGAGAUGUCUGACUUGGGAUUGAUGUCUUACUUCUUAGGCAUGGAAGUAACUCAAGCUGAAAAUGGAAUUUGGCUUAGUCAAAAGACCUUUGCUAUAAAGGUUCUCAACAAAUUCUCAAUGGAGAAUUGCAAAGCAACUAGCAUACCAAUUGCUGUUGGAGAAAAACUCUCGAGCCAAGAUAAGCAUGAAAAGGUCUGUGAAACAACCUAUCGAAGUCUAGUUGGAUGUUUGUUGUAUUUGACUGCUACCAGACCUGAUAUAAUGUAUGCUGUGAGUCUACUCUCAAGGUUCAUGCAUUGCCCAAAUGAAAGUCACUUUAGAGCUGCAAAAAGAGUUCUAAGAUACAUCAAGGGAACUUUGUCCUAUGGAAUGCAAUUUACCAAGGCUGAGAACUUAAAGUUAGUUGGCUAUUGUGAUAGUGAUUGGGCAGGUUCUUUGGAUGAUAUGAAGAGCACAACAGGUUAUGCAUUCAACCUAGGCUCUGGUAUGAUUUGCUAGAGUUCAAAGAAACAGGCAGUAGUAGCACAAUCUACUGCAGAGGCUGAAUAUAUAGCUGCUGCAGCAGUUAAUCAAGCCAUAUGGCUUAGAAAAAUCUUAGCUGAUCUUAACCAUGAGCAGAAUGAAGCAACAGAGAUAAUGUGUGACAACCUAUCUGCUGUUGCAAUUGCAAAGAACCCUGUCUUUCAUGGAAGGACCAAGCAUUUCAACAUCAAACUUCAUGCAGUUCGAGAAAUGGAGCAAGCUCAUGUUAUCAAAUUAGUUCAUUGUAGUUCUGAAGAGCAAACUGCUGACAUUUUGACAAAGGCACUCAGUGUUUCCAAGUUUCAACACCUAAGAACUAAGAUGGGAGUUUGCAACAUGCUAACCAAGGAGGAGUGUUGAAGCAAUGGUCAGCAUGCAGCAACCAAGACUGUCGAGGGCACUACAUGCAGAAGCUGCAAGUUCAUCAAGUCAGCAAGCUGUGUUUUUACUUAUUUUGUAUUUUUAAGUUAAUGCAAUGUAACUUAGUUGUAUUUCAACUAUGUUAGGUUUAUAUUUAAUGUAAAACUGAUGGUGAUUGAGCUGAUUAAUCAGCUUUGUUGAUUUGUACAAGUUAAUUAGCUCAAGUUACUAAGUUUGUUAGUGGUAGUAGGUGAAGUUUAGGUUAACCUACUGUUUUGUCAAGUUGUAAGCUUGUUUAUGUAUUGGCUUUGAGCCAUAUUCAGUUUUUUGAAUGAAUUCAACAAGUUUUCAUCCAUAUGCUCUCCGUUUUUAGUUUUGCUUCAAAAUCUAUUUGAGUUUUCUGCAUUGUUUCUGCUGCAAGUCACGAGACUUGCUCAACAAGCAUUCUGUUGAAGCUUGCUGCUGUUGCACUUAGAUCCAACAAAACUACAUAAAUAUGUGAGUCCAACUUAAUUAGAAACAAGCAUAUUCCCCUGUCCAAUCGCAUCAAUAAUAAUCAUUCAACAAUCAUUAUAGUAUAUAUGAAAGCUCCAAGUUGUAUAGAAAAAGGCUUUUUUCUUUAAAAAAAAAAACAAAUUUUGCUUUAGGUUAGAUUUAUGCUGCUGAACAUUUCAUCUAAGUAAAAAUGGUCCACGUCUGCUAGCUAUAUUUAUCAGUUUAUAAAUCUUCAUACUCAUCUACUCUUUUUGAUUGUGUUUGUAAGUAAAGAAGGAAGAGUUAUGAUGUUAUCUUGUAAUGAAAUUUAUGUCAACAGGUUGUCAUUCCUCGUUUGGAGGAUCUGGAAUUGUCCUCCAUUAACAUUCAUAAGAUAUGGCACCACCCAUCUUCCCCAUCUGUCGGAUGCCUAAAUUCCUUGCAAGUGAAGAGGUGUCACAAUUUGAAAUACCUGUUCCCGUCUUUCUUGGUAAAAGAUCUUGUGCAACUCCGACGCCUUGAAAUUUUGGACUGUAAUAUGAUGGAACAAGUAAUAUUCACGGAUGGAUUGGUUGAAGAACAUCAAGGGAGGAAUCAGAUGCUUUUCUUUGAACUAGAAUUGCUGUGGUUAAAAGACCUUCCCAAACUCACAAGUUUCUGCUUUGAAAUUUGCUUUGAAUUCCAAUGUUUGACAGAUUUAGAACUAACAAAUUGUCCAUUGCUAAAAACAUUCAUCACUAAAUGUGUAUCCGAAGGUGAACCUGAAAUUGGCCAACAUGUACAAGCGAGUAACUUGGAGGUUCAUAACUCAUCUCUCCUCAAUGAAAAGGUCAUUUCUUUACGGGUUCUCCUUUUAAUUUAUGUUGCUUCGAUUGAUCUUAUUCAUUUGAAGUUCUUUCUUUUCCAUGCAUAUUUCAGUUAUUAACCUAAUGAAAUGAUUUAGCAGGUUGUUUUCCCUAGUUUGGAGAAGUUGCGGAUUCAGAAUUGUGAUUCGUUAGAACAAAUUAUUGAGCUGCAAGGAGUCAUUGCUGAUGAGUCACAGUCAACAUCAGCUGCUCAGUCUAUUAUGGCUGAAACAGAGACGACCAAGUUUGUAUUUCCCAAACUAAUAAACCUCGGAUUGGAUAAGGUGCCGAGAUUGAAAAGUUUCUACUCUAGGAUGCAUACCACCCAGUGGCCUUCAUUGAAACAAAUGGACAUUAUUGAAUGCCCCAAAGUACAGCUAUUUACUCCACAAUGUCCUGAGAGUCAGGUUGGAAUCUCAAACCAACAACCCUUGUUUUGCGUCAACGAGGUGAGCUCACUAACAGUUUCAUACUCCGUGUUCAUUACUUGAGAUUACCUAUAAAAUGCCUUUUGAAAUAACUAAUAUUCUUACCUUCCUUUUAAAUUUAUGAGAAAGAAAAUGGAAAUGAUAUUCAUUCUGUAGUCUAGUUCUUACCAAUUCAAAACUCUUUGAUCAAUGUUUAAUAUAUUCGUUGCCAUCCAGGACACUUUCCCUGUAUUAGAAGAACUGACACUGAAGACGAAUGAUAUGGUGAAGGGGAUAUGUGAUGGACAGCUCUCAUUGCAGUGUUUCCAAAACCUUAAACUUCUUAACCUCCAAUUCUUUCGUGAGGCAUCCACUACUCUUCCAUAUUCAUUCAUUCGGUCACUACCAAUGCUUCAUAAGCUUGUUAUAGACAAUGCUUCCAUUUGUCAAAUAGUACAAUCUGAAGGACUCAGCGACGAGGAAAGGCAUACAUCAGCAUUCUAUCAGCUAAAGGAAUUAAGUUUGUUUCAACUUCCAGAGUUGACGUUAAAGACUUUUGAACCAUCUUUGCUGUCUUUCAAAAAUCUAACAACACUGGAAGUUUCAAGAUGCCAUGGGUUCAUCAAUUUAGUCGCAUGCUCUACAGCUAAGUGCCUGAGGCUACUAGAAAGAUUGAGUAUAGAUGAUUGUGAGAAGAUAGAGGAAAUCAUAGCGUGUGAGGCUGAAGAAAUUCAAGGCGGCAUUGUAUUUCCCAAACUGAAGUAUUUGCAGCUAAGUUGUCUGCCAUGUCUAGCAAACUUUUCCUUGGCCCAUCACUCGUUGGAAUUCCCAGUCUUGCUAAUGGUGAUGGUGACAAAGUGCCCCCAAAUGAGGAGUUUCUGCCAAGGAGAUUUAAGCACACCAAGGCUGGAACAAAUGCACUUAACAAGAGAUGAGGAAGGUGAACUGCAGUGGAAGGGCGACCUUAACACUACCAUAAAACAUAUGUUCGAUGAAAUGGUACAAAUCAUUUAAAGGAUUUAAAUUCAUGUGUUUUUACAUACAUACAUACAUACAUACAUACAUACAUACAUACAUACAUACAUACAUACAUACAUACAUACAUACAUACAUACAUACAUACAUACAUACAUACAUAGUUAAUUGAACAAUUCUUGGUUUGUUAUGAUCAUGCACAGAAUGUGCAAAAUUCUGAGGUGACGGAGGUUACUGAUCGGUCGCCCAAGCUGGAAUAAGGAAAUAAGUUUGGGUGCGUAUGCGAAAUGCUCAAUUUCGUUUGAAUUCAAAACAAAUGGUAAUUCAUCUUCUAUUUUCAUCAUGGCUUAACUAAUGCUUUAUAAAGUGACCAUAGAGACGCCCUUUUCAUUGUAGGUUGAGUUGCUCUACUGAAGUACGAGGCUGCAACUUUUGGUAAAAUGUGAAAGGUUAUUUCAGUUUUUGUAAAACUACUAUUUGAACUGUUCCAUUUCACAUUAUACCCUCAAAAUUGAAUUUCAAGUGCAUCAUGCAUGGCAUUGGGCUACAAACAUGUAAACUUUUACUAGUAAGGUUGACCCCUGUUUUAAGGAUUUGCCAACUUUUGAUGGUUACCAUAUCAAUGUCAGCUUAAAGCUAUCAAGUAUCUUUACAAAUAUAAUAUAUAUUAUUCCUUAAUGAGGGAUAAAAGUAGGCAAUUAUCUACUAAUGAUACGGCUGAUUCUGAAAAGACGGCCGAAAUUGAAUCAAUGGGUUGUUGGUAUUUGCCUGAUGGAAGAACAGGGCCUAAUGUUAAGUGGAUUCUGAUCAAGUUUUAAAUUUUCAGUUGUAGGCUUUAUUGAUUGUUGCCAUUUGGUUGUUGAUCCUCUGAUUUUACGAUUGACUGUCUCGCUUAUACGUUGCAAGGUUGGCAGGUCUCAAGUAUGAAUUUCCAAGCCGGCCUUCAUCCAUAAUUAACCAAGUGUUCCAAUCCAUGGAGUUUAUGGUUUAUGGUUUAUUAGUGUAACUGUCCAUUUGGUUAUGGAUUGGUUCUUAAGGUGUUUUGAUGCUUUGUAUGUUACAGUGUUUGCUCCAAGCAACACGCUUUAAUUUCUAAUGAAUUUUAUUUGUUGAGGGAAAAAAAUAUGAGGAUUAAUCUGAUAUUUUUAUUUGUAUAUUUUAUAUCCAUUUUAUAAUUCAUAUUUGAGAUUUGUAUUAUGCCCUUAAUAUUUCAUUAUUUAUUGUCUAUGUUACUCAUUGUUGCAAAAAAGAAAAAAAAACAAACACAGUGCAUGCAUAAACCAUAAAAAAAAACAUAAGCAACUAAUAAUGAAAUAUAUUAAAAUGAAGAAUGGCAAUUGAUUUCAGAAUUACCCCAAUUUCGGUAAAUACAUUAAAACAUAUGUCUCUACUCGAUUUCAAUUUCGAAAUUGAAAAAAUUGGUAUUUCUAAAAAUAUCUAAGUUAUUCAAUUAUUUCUAUUUUUGAAAGUGAUAAAUUAAGGACAAUUAAUCACAACGUUAAUAUUUUUCAUCAAUUAUACAUAGUUUUCUUGGUAUAAUGAUAAAUUUAGCCCUCAAAGUUUACACAUUCUAUCAAAUUGUCAUCGAUUUAAAAAAUUUAACCCACAACAUUUACACAUUUCGUCAAUUUAAUCAUGAUUUAACAUAUUUAACCCGUAAUAAUUACACAUUCUAUCAACAUUUACGCAAAAUAUACAAUCAUCAAGGAUUAAAUUUAUUUUUAUACUAAUAAAAAAUAUGUAUAAUUAACAUAAACUAUUGGCGCUUGAUUAAUUGUUCGUGGUUACUUUCAAAAUUGAUAAGGAUUAAUUGUUCGUGGUUACUUUCAAAAUUGAUAAGGAUUAAACUAUUCUAUUUCUUUUAGAGUGACCAAUUUGUUCAAUAUCAAAAAAAUAUUUUUUAUUUUUUUUAAUUUCAUAGGUAAGAAAAUCUCAAAUCACACAAUUAUUAUUUUUCCUUCCAUACCCCUAUGCCACCGAAGAAAAUUUACAAUGUCACACAAUUUGGCUUUAAACCCUUAAAAAAGAGUUGAAUUUAAUCAUCAAUUUUUUAAAAAGAAUUAAAUUAUUAUUUAACGGAAACAAUAAAUUUUGAAAUACAUAUAAUAAUUCACGCGUAUUUCAUAUAUAUUUUUAAUUUUUAUGAUUGUAAUACCAAUUUUUUCUGCCCGGGCCUAUACAAAAUAAAAUACAGCAGGCCCAUCUACAGACCAAACCCAUAUUCAAAAAAAACCUAGCCUAAGAAGCAGCAAGCUUCAGCCGCAUGCCCAACAGCAGCCUCCCUAACUGCCGUCGCAUCCUCCGCGCACGUACACCUCUUCCACGGCCUCCAUACCUACGAGAAAAGCGGAUCCAAACAGCAAUAGACGCAACAAAUAAUGAAAUAGGAUUUUUUACUUUUAUUUUGCUGUAAUUUUGGCUAUAAAAAGCCAUCAAAAAUCUGUAAAAUGGGGGGAACCAAUAUUGUAUUGAGAGAAUACUGAAAUACAAAAAUAGGGAGAAAAUAUUGAGAUUACAAAGAGAUUUUUGAAGGUGAAUCGUGUUUAUUUUUUUCCAUUUUUUCCAUUCUUUUUUAUUUUAUUUUUUAUUUAUUUUUAAUUUAAAAUAUAAAGAAGGGAGGAAGGACUUACCUCUCUCGCCGGAUUCGUAUAUAUAUUUAUAUAUAUAAAAAAUAUUUCUCUAAUACAUAUACAUAUUUUUAUAUAUAUAUUGUUAUUAUUUCUUUUUUAGCUUUUAUAUACAUAUAUACGUAUAUACAUUUAUAUUUCUAUUAUAUUUAUAUAUACAUUCUUUUAAAAUUAUUAUAAACAUUUUAUUGUUCUACACAUUCCAUUAUUUUCAUAUUGCACCUAUAUAUAUAAGUAUCUAAAUAAGUACAUAUUUUCAUGAUUGACCUACUUAUAUACUCAUACAUUUUUAUUUUGUAAAUAUAUGCACGUAUACAUAUGUUUUUUUAUUUUUAUCUUCACAAUUUUCACAUACAUAUGUACAUGCAUAUUAUUAUAAGUUUUGUUUUGUAUAUUUCAUUCCCUUUUAUGUACACUUAUAUUUUUUAAAAUGUAUGCAUAUACAUGUUUUCAAAAUUCAUUUAUGCUUUAUACUUAUAUUUUGAAAACACAUAUAUACAUAUAAUUUAAAUUAAAAUAUUUGUAUCAUAUUGUACAUUACCUUUUUAACGUACCCUUUUUGAAAAUAUGUUUUGGUUUUAACCAUACAUCAAAGUUAUUUUCUCGCUCCAAAGGUUUUUUUUUUUGAAUAAAAGCAAUGUUCGAAGCUUGAGAUUUUCGAGGGAAAUUGAGCCCUAACGUAUUGGGUUCAGAUUUUCUUUGUUAAUCUUAAAUAACCGAGGAUAUUCUUUAUUCAAAAUGCAUGAGCAUAAAAAUCAUUUUUGGGAACUUAACUUGUCGUGCCCUAACGUAUUGGGUGUGGCAUGUUACUUUCUCGAAAUAAAUAUUUUCGCAUGAAAUAAAAGUGAUAUUCAAAGUUCGGGGAUUAUGAGGAAUUGUACCCUAACGUAUUGGGACUCGAUUUCUUUACAUGACUUGAACAAUUUGUUAUCCUUUUACAAAUUUCAUCAUUCAAGCUUAUUUUAAAAUCUUUUUAACUUUCGACACUAAGACAUUAAAUGAUCAAUUUGGUACCGAUUUUGGGCGUCACGAGGGUGCUAACCCUUCCUCGUGCGUAACCGACUCCCGAACUCGUUUUCUCAAAAUUCGUAGACCAAAAUAAUUUUUAAGGUGACCCGAUCACACCUUAAUAAAAGAUCGGUGGCGACUCCAGUUUUGUUUUAAAAGUCGACAACUAAAAUUUUUGUUUUUCAAAAAACGGUUUCGACAGCUUGGCGACUCCACUGGGGACACUAAAGAGUCGAGCCAUAAAUUGGUUAUUUGUUCGUCUUGUGAUCGAAAAUCAAAUUUGGGUUUUAAAAUCAUGAUUUCCCUUCAUUUUUUUUACCAUGGAAUGUUGGUAACCUUGCAUUUGCAUUUUGCAUUUUACCCUUAAGUGGGAGCGAGAAACUAGUCCUUCGUGAGGUUUUCACCUCCGUGCAGGGUAAUGGACCGCUUCCGGGAUACAUCCGUACCUAUGUCUUCGUGAGAUUUUCAUCUCCGUGUAGCCAUAGGGAAAUGUGUCCCCCUGAACCGAACUCGAUCCACAUGAGCCUAUAAUGGGUGAGGAUCGAGGAAUCUGCUGGUCGGGUACCUUUACUCUAGAAACUAAACCUCAUAUAGUGAGCUUUAGGAACUUACCUUAGGUAGAAGUACUCUAAACCUUAGGAGAUACCUGACUAGGAGUUUUUAUUAUUUCUUGCUUAUAUUGGAUUUAAUGUUUAUACCCGAUACUAACUCGUUGCAUUUUGUUUUGAUUGCAUGACAUCAUGAUCGCAUUGCAUUUUCAUCAUAAAAGAGGUGUUGAUUCACGUUCGGUUGUUAAUAGAGAGCUUGUCAUAAGGAAAUGGGUUUCUUGAUAAAAUAGAAAAUAAUACGGUUGCCCGAAUAUGUUCCGAGAAAACACAACAAGAGAAAGAUGAUAGUUUAAUGGAGGACUACAUAACCAUUGCUUCGUUGCCCGAAGACUCAAGCUGAUGAAGGCUAUUCGAGAGCCGCUGAACUUUUUGUUUAAGGGAAGCCAACGAGCAUCACGACGAUAAAGGAGCAACGAAGAACAGUCCGGAUCAAGUAAAAUGGAGAUAGAAGAGACAUCUAUUUUGAAGAAUUCACAAGAUUUAUCUUAGCAUCCAGAUGAAGAAGGAGAAGAUGUCCUCGCUUGGAGCAUGAGGGCAAAGCCGUAUAUAUAUAUCUGCUUUAUGUAAAGAAAUUUAUCUUCUAGAAAAGUUUUCUAAAUAGAAUUGAAUCAGAAUCAACGUCUCUUUUUGCAUUCAUCAAAUGCAUUUGCAUUACAUAGCAUCAUAUGCAUUAAAAUCCAUUGAAAGAGCCUAAUUAAUUAAAAUUAUUGCUUAGUUAACCUGGAAACCAACCAACCAACCCGACACCGAUACGGCACUCGAGCAAAGACAAAAGAUAUGGAUCAGAGAUUAGAGAAGCUCGAACAGUACCAGAAGGAGAUGCAAGACCGGCUUCAGCUACAAAUGCAGGAACGGUUAGACAAGAUGAAACAGGAGAUGUCUGAGAAGAUGCGGAAUCUCAAGAGGACAUAGUGGCAAAGUUAACCCGAUUGAUAACUAAAGGAGGUGAUAAAGGAAAGGGCCCCAUGGCAGAUGUCGAUGAGGGAAAUGAUGAUGAACUUUUCUAUCCUCCAGGUUUCAUCCCUCCACAUGAGCGAACUCAAGCUGAAUACCCGUGCAAAUCUACUGUCACCAUCAUGCCUCAGCAAUUUCGAGCUGGUAUUUCGAACCACCAAACUGGGCCGAGCUUUAAUCCUGAAAAUAAUCCUAUUAACUCUGCCAUUCCUGACUUUGAUGAAGUGGUUGAGAAGGAAAGAAUGAAGGAAAAGUUACCGAAACAGUUGGAAGAAAGAUACAGGUGGCUCGAAGAGAAGUUCAAGGCGAUGGAAGUCACUGAAAGUUAUCGAGGCAUUGACGCAAAAAAGCUGAGUUUAGUGCCAAAUUUAGUACUCUCUCAUAAAUUUAAGAUGCCUGAAUUUGAAAAGUACAAUGGGACAAGCUGCCCAGCAGCUCACAUCACCAUGUUCUACAGGCAAAUGGCUGGAUACGUUAACAAUGACCAACUAUUGAUACACUGUUUCUAAGAUAGCCUAGCAGGGGCAGCAUCUAAGUGGUACAAUCAGUUGAGUCGUGCCACGGUUGGUUCAUGGAGGGACUUGGCGCAAGCAUUCAUGAAACAAUAUAGUCAUGUGACAGAUAUGGCUCCUGAUAGAAUCACCCUUCAGAAUAUGGAGAAGAAGCCGAGCGAAAGCUUUAGGCAGUAUGCACAGAGAUGGAGGAAGGUCGCAGUCCAAGUUCAGCCACCACUCUUGGAAACGGAAAUGGCCAUGCUAUUCAUUAACACCCUAAAAGCACCUUUCAUCACACAUAUGUUAGGAAGUGCCACAAAAAGCUUUCCUGACAUAGUCAUGAAUGGUGAAAUGAUUGAGAGCGCUAUAAGGAGCGGGAAAAUUGAGACAGAUGAGAGUAAUAAGAGGUCAAUCUCAAGAAGAAGAGAAAAUGAGGUGGACAACACGGGUUACUCUAAAUCAGUUACUGUGAGUCAAACAAGAAAGGUGGUUGGUAAUCAACAGAAUUCAUCGAGGCAAGAUUCCGGCAUAAAGACUGAGAGGCCCCAAUUCACGCCAAUUCUGGUACCGUAUAAGGAACUGUAUCAAAAUUUGUUUGAUGCACAUGUUGUUUCCCCUUUUCAUGUGAAGCCUCUACAACCGCCGUAUCCUGAAUGGUAUGAUACGAACACACAAUGUGAAUAUCAUGCGGGAAUUACGGGACACUCGAUUGAGAAUUGCACUGCCUUCAAGAAGCAAGUUGAAAGACUUAUCAACAUGGGUAUUGUCAAGUUUGGUGACUCGUCCAGCGCAGGAAAUCCGCUACCCAAUCAUGAUUGAGGAUGGAGGGACUGCAAUAUAUGAAGAAGUGGUGAGAAAUUUGCACAUCGAUGCGGACACAAUUAAAAGGGUCCUUGUUAGAUAUUCGCCUUAGAGGUGUUCUAAAUAAUGGGACUGCAAAGGAAACCCCUAAAAUAUUUAGAGUCUGUUAGAGUAAUGUUAAGAACACACUUGUUGCUUUCAGCCUAGAAGCAAUAGGAGUUUCUUUGUGAAAUAGGCUCACGUCUGAACAUUAUUAUUUUAAUGAAAUACAUUAUUGCAAUCAUCUUUGAGCAAAUGUUCUUUCAUUCUUUACGAUUUCUUUAUUUUUUUUCCUUUCAGAUUUUUUCUGCCAAAUUAUUCGUUCAUUCGUUCAUAUUAUUCAUACAUUCUUUUGUAUAUUCUUUGGUACCCACUAUGGGUCCCCAAAUAUCAAUGACAUGAGUGACGCUGCUACAGACUCAAAUCGCCUUUUGAGUGAGACAUGUGUUUAGAGGGAUCUCAUGGCUUUGAAGAUGUCAUAAAUUGCAGCUUAUCUCCUAACUUGUUGAGGAUGGUAAAGCAAUAAGAGAAACAAAUGAGACAGCAGAGACUACGACCUUGAGAAAACAUGCAUGACCGAAGAAUAAAGCAAGACGUUGCUGAGUUACUUCAAGCAUCCAAAGAUGCCUUCGCAGGGUCAUACCAGAAUGUGCCCGGUUUAAGCGAGGUCAUUACAAUCUGAACAACAGCACGAUAUCAAAAGUUUGCAACAUGUUCAAGGUGAAUAUCAUGAAUGGUGCAAUGAAAACUCUACCGGGGCAAUGCCACUCUUUCCAGUUUAUCACGUUUUUUCAUUGAAGUUGAAAUUCUUUCUAUUCGAGUUUUGGCUGAGCUAAGGUAGGAUGAAGAUCCAAUCCCGAUACGAUUAGUUGAACUUAGUUGAAGAAAAAGGCUAGAAACUAUUCAUCAGGCUCAGAUGCACCAAGAAAUGAAUGAUGCGAGCCUAUAGCAAAAGGUUUGUCCCAGAGAAUUCCACGAUGGCAACCUAAUGCUAAAGAAGAUCCUCACUCUACAAAAAAAUAUAACGGAUGCCAAAUUGGGAAAAAAAUUAUGUUAUAGAGAAGGUCUUUUCCAAAGGAGUUUUGAUUUUGGGCGAGAUGGAUGAUAAACCUGCAAAGUCCUGUAAACUCAGGUUCAGUCAGGAAAUACUCCGCUUAAAGAAUGAGAUGACCAAGGUGAAAACCCACAAAGGGUGCUUUGAGUCCAAAAAAAUAAAAAUAAAAAAAGAGAAAAAGAGGAAAAUGGAGAGGCUAAGGUGAAAACCCGUAAAGGGCGCCUUAGACCAAAGGGGAUUUGAGUUGAAAACCCGAAAAGGGCGGCUCAAAUAUUGAUUAGAAUGGGGCACGAGAUUAUCGGAGUAGCUCAAAUACUGAUCAGAAUGGGGCAUGCAAUGGUCUUGCUAUACCUAAAUCAACAAGAAAUGGUAGGCGACAUCUUGGGGCAUCGACAAAGUAUUCCUAAACGCAUGUCAAACUCAGAAUGAUCUUCAGAAAGUCUGUACAGCAAAGUUCAAGCUGCGAUAUUUGGGGCACCUAAUUCUUAUAUUAUUUUUUGUUAUUCUUGGAACACUUCAUUCAUUUCCAAAAUACGCAUUCCUAAAUCAAUUUCUUUAUUAUCCAUCUUUAUUAUAUUUGACAAUUUAUUCAUUUCGAGCUUUGCUCAGAACCAACUCUAUUCUUAUCCAUGGUCUUUUUGCAAGCAUGUUUCAUUAGAAUAAUGAUUCAUAGACUAAUAAAACUUUCACAAGGGAAGUUUUGCAUAUUACUCUAGAAGUUUCUAAAUAAUAUAGGAUCCUCAAACAGGACUAUUGUUUAGAAUGCACUAGGUUGGAAAUCUGAUAAGGAAAAGUCUAAAUUAAGACUAUCCCUUUGAAUUUUCUUGUCUAAAGUAUUAAUUGAACAAAAUGGCAAGAUGUCGUGUUGGUGACAAAGCUUCAAUGAACAAGCAAGCAAUGAUCACCGGAUAAUAAUAAGAAGUUGUUCUUGGAGAAGAUUACUUUAUUUGUGCAUGAGCAUUUGGUACAACACCCUGGGAAUGGUGUAAGAGACCAAAGAGUUUCACAUCCUUGAAUUGUGAUAGUGGAGGAUUAAGAAAAGGCCAAAACUUUUUACUCUCGGGUUACAACGGGAGGAAGAUGGUACAAAUUUUCGCAUACCAUUGAAUCAAACUUGGAGGUUUACAGUGGGGGCAACCUGGUCAAGUGUUUCUUUGGAGACGCCAGCCGAGCAAAAGGUGCUAUAGCACAUUAGCGAUGAAACUUUAAAUAAACUUUGAGUAAUGAUAACCUAAGUGAAAAUGAGGGAUCAUUCUCGAAAAAAUGACAUUCUGCAUUCAUUCAAAUGUCAUUCAUACACGCCUAGUUAGGAGCAUUUGAUUCAUUUGAUCAUGACAUCCUAAUCAUUAGGCAUAGUUAGGUUCAUAAAGUGAAUUAUACAGGUCAUGUUCCCUAGAGAACAGAUCGGUGAAAUCAUAAAGCCUUAUCUCCCUGAACAAUAGUGGAGCAGGUUGAAAAGCAGCAGGUCUUGUCUUCCUAUAUUGGUAGCGAAGUGGAUCGAAUAUACAGAUCUCGCCUUCCCAUACUGGUGGCGAAGCAGAUCGAAGGAAAAAACAGAUCUUGUCUUAUGGCGUGAAGUAGAUCAAAGAUAACAGAUCUCGCCUUCCCAUACUGGUGGCGAAGCAGAUCGAAGGAAUACAGAUCUUGUCUUCAUGUACUAGCGUGAAGUAGAUCGAAUAUACAGAGCUCGCCUUCUCAUACUGGUGGCGAAGCAGAUCGAAAGAAAGUAGAUAUUGUCUUCAUGUAUCAGCGUGAAGUAGAUCAAAGUCAACAGAUCUUGUCUCCCCAUACUGGUGGUGGAGUAGAUCAAAGAAAGUAGAUCUUGUCUUCAUGUAUCGGCAUGAAGUAGAUCAAAGUCAACAGAUCUUGUCUCCCUAUACUGGUGGUGGAGUAGAUCAAAGAAAGCAGAUCUUGUCUUCAUGUACUGCAUGAAGUAGAUCAAAGAAACAAAUAUUGUCUCCCCAUACUGGUGGUGGAGUAGGUCGAAGAAAACAGAUCGUGUCUUCAUGUACUGGCGUGAAGUAGAUCAAAGAUAGUAGGUCCCGUCUUCCUAUAUUGGUAGCGAAGUGGAUCGAAUAUACAUCUUCCCAUACCGGUGGCAAAGUAGAUUGAAGAUUACAGAUUUUGCCUCCCUAAGCAGUAGUGGAGCAGAUCGAAGAUGGCGGAUUUUACCUCCCUGAAGUUGCAGUGGAGUAUAUUGAAGCCAGUAAUUCUACCUCCCCGGUCGGCAGUGGAAUCGAUUGAAAAAGCAGAUCUUGUCUUCAUGUAUUGGCGUGAAGUAGAUCGAAGAAAGUAGAUCGAAGAAAGCAUAUCUUGUCUUCCCAUACUGGUGGUGAAGUAGAUCGAAGAUACAAGUCUUAUCUCCCUGAAGUUGCAGUGGAGCAGACUGAAGUAACCAAUCCUAUCUCAUUGAAGUUGCAAUGGAGUUGAUUAAAACCGCAGAUCUCAUCUCUCUGAAGUUGCAGUGGAGCAGAUCGCGCCAGAUUUAUCUUUAAGUUGCAGCAGACCAAAUUGAAACUAUAAGUCUUGUCUCCCUGAAGUUGUAGUGGAGCAGAUUAAAGAUAGCAAAUUUAGUUCUUUUGAGAAGCUACAAUGUAUGAAUCCUAUCUCUUCGACAUUACAGUAGGAGUGGAUUGAAGCACCAGUUCCUAUACCUCUGGAGAUGUAGUGGGAAGGAACGAGGCUACUAACGCUAAGGUCCAUAUGGCCGGGCAAAAAUUGGUCUUUUUAAGUCAUUGCUCUAUUCUCGUCACACGAUAACGAGCAAAGAGGGGCAGCUGUAAUACCAAUUUUUUCUGCCCGGGCCUAUACAAAAUAAAAUACAGCAGGCCCAUCUACAGACCAAACCCAUAUUCAAAAAAAACCUAGCCUAAGAAGCAGCAAGCUUCAGCCGCAUGCCCAACAGCAGCCUCCCUAACUGCCGUCGCAUCCUCCGCGCACGUACACCUCUUCCACGGCCUCCAUACCUACGAGAAAAGCGGAUCCAAACAGCAAUAGACGCAACAAAUAAUGAAAUAGGAUUUUUUACUUUUAUUUUGCUGUAAUUUUGGCUAUAAAAAGCCAUCAAAAAUCUGUAAAAUGGGGGGAACCAAUAUUGUAUUGAGAGAAUACUGAAAUACAAAAAUAGGGAGAAAAUAUUGAGAUUACAAAGAGAUUUUUGAAGGUGAAUCGUGUUUAUUUUUUUCCAUUUUUUCCAUUCUUUUUUAUUUUAUUUUUUAUUUAUUUUUAAUUUAAAAUAUAAAGAAGGGAGGAAGGACUUACCUCUCUCGCCGGAUUCGUCGAGUCGGCGCUAUCUCCGUCACAGUCGGAGCCUUGGCGCGAGGCUGAGCGACGGCGUUCGAGGGUUGAGGAAACCCUAAAAGGGUCUGGUUUCUCCUCUGGAAAGGGAAACCCAAAAGAACAAAUAAAUGUUCUUGUUUAAUUUUCUUUUGUUCUUUUAGAAGCUAAAAGAUGGACAAAGCAGGCCGUUUGGUUUUUGGGGUGGGGUCCGCGCAUAUCAACCUUAAAUGGGAGAUUUGCGCUACUAAUCCCUCUUUUUUUUGUGACGUGUUUUAAUCAAGUCCACUGUUUUUUAAAAUUUGGCCCAAAUAUUUUGCUCGCGUGACGAUUUAAUCCAUGUCACUGCACAGUGCUUCAGCGAUUUGGGAAAAUUACUUUUUAAGUCCUCCUCUCAUGGCGCGCGUAUCAUUUUGGUCCUUCCUGGUGUUUUCUAUUUUUAAAUUUGGCCUUUUAACUUCGUUUAGCUCUCAGUUUAAUCCUUAAUGGUGCUUUUUAAGGUUUUUUUUUGUAGUUUAUUUUUUUAGUUUUUGUUAUUAUUAUUAUUAUUAUAUUAUAUAGUAUUAUAAUUAUACUUACAUAUAUACGCAUAUGUAUGCUAAUAGAUAUAUAUAUAUAUAUAAAAUAUUUCUCUAAUACAUAUACAUAUUUUUAUAUAUAUAUUGUUAUUAUUUCUUUUUUAGCUUUUAUAUACAUAUAUACGUAUAUACAUUUAUAUUUCUAUUAUAUUUAUAUUUUUUUUUUCAUAUUUUAUAAUAUAUAUACAUUCUUUUAAAAUUAUUAUAAACAUUUUAUUGUUCUACACAUUCCAUUAUUUUCAUAUUGCACCUAUAUAUAUAAGUAUCUAAAUAUGUACAUAUUUUCAUGAUUGACCUACUUAUAUACUCAUACAUUUUUAUUUUGUAAAUAUAUGCACGUAUACAUAUGUUUUUUUAUUUUUAUCUUCACAAUUUUCACAUACAUAUGUACAUGCAUAUUAUUAUAAGUUUUGUUUUGUAUAUUUCAUUCCCUUUUAGGUACACUUAUAUUUUUUAAAAUGUAUGCAUAUACAUGUUUUCAAAAUUCAUUUAUGCUUUAUACUUAUAUUUUGAAAACACAUAUAUACAUAUAAUUUAAAUUAAAAUAUUUGUAUCAUAUUGUACAUUACCUUUUUAACGUACCCUUUUUGAAAAUAUGUUUUGGUUUUAACCAUACAUCAAAGUUAUUUUCUCGCUCCAAAGGUUUUUUUUUUUUGAAUAAAAGCAAUGUUCGAAGCUUGAGAUUUUCGAGGGAAAUUGAGCCCUAACGUAUUGGGUUCAGAUUUUCUUUGUUAAUCUUAAAUAACCGAGGAUAUUCUUUAUUCAAAAUGCAUGAGCAUAAAAAUCAUUUUUGGGAACUUAACUUGUCGUGCCCUAACGUAUUGGGUGUGGCAUGUUACUUUCUCGAAAUAAAUAUUUUCGCAUGAAAUAAAAGUGAUAUUCAAAGUUCGGGGAUUAUGAGGAAUUGUACCCUAACGUAUUGGGACUCGAUUUCUUUACAUGACUUGAACAAUUUGUUAUCCUUUUACAAAUUUCAUCAUUCAAGCUUAUUUUAAAAUCUUUUUAACUUUCGACACUAAGACAUUAAAUGAUCAAUUCGGUACCGAUUUUGGGCGUCACGAGGGUGCUAACCCUUCCUCGUGCGUAACCGACUCCCGAACUCGUUUUCUCAAAAUUCGUAGACCAAAAUAAUUUUUAAGGUGACCCGAUCACACCUUAAUAAAAGAUCGGUGGCGACUCCAGUUUUGUUUUAAAAGUCGACAACUAAAAUUUUUGUUUUUCAAAAAACGGUUUCAACAAUGAUUUUUUUUCAAAAUUUUGAUUUUUGAAUAUUAUUAGAAAAUUAUUUGGUACAUUGUUCGUGGAGUUUUUAAACUCCAACAAAAUUAAUAGGUUAACAAGUGUCUUACAGGGGUAUAAUAAAAUAUUAAAAAAUAAAUAUUUAAAAAAAAGAUAUAUAUCAAUUUUUUAAAGUUACUUGUGGAAUAAAAAUAAUAUAUUAUCGGCGUACCAAAUACUCGCCUUUUUAAUUAAGAUUCAAAAAUAAAAAAAAGUUAGUAAAAUGAAUGGAUUGCAAAUUGAGAAAUUUGAUAUUGAAUACUAAAAUUUUCUUAAAAGAAGACAUAACAAGAUACGAAAGUUAGUGACUUAUUUGAUUUAAUUUUAAUUUUUAAAUUUAUGCAUUUUAUUAUGAAUUUUUAUUCUUUGUUGACUUUGUAAAAUUUGUCUGCAAUUUCCAAUUUUCAUUUCUCAUAUGAGUUUGAGAUAUAAAAAAAAUUACUCUUAAGAUUGGUGAAAUAGGGGUUACAGUCGAUACAAGAGUUCACUUUAUGAUAUGUGUAAUGAUUGUGUUCUUCGAAAUAUUGUUUACAGGUAGGAUAUUGAAGUUUUAUUAUUAGAGUUUCGUUAAAAGGUCAAGUGUUCUAUUUUGGCCUAAGACUCUAGGAGUUCUGUUAUCAAUAUUCUAAUUAUAAUCACGAUCUGUAAAAAAUAUAAGUAACAUGUGACAUGUAAAUGAAAAGUUUUAUGGUAUGAUAAGCCAUAAAUUAAGUGAAAAUGUUAGAAAGCGUAUGAUUAUAUUAAAGACAAAAAUAAUUAAUUUAGUUUAAUGAUUUGUAAAAUUGAAAAGUGAAAUGCAUGAAUUAUGUAAGAGAAUGUUCAUGAUCGAUAUGUGGUAUGUAAAUGACAAGGAAAAAAUUAUAUGACCAAAUAGUAGAAGUGAAUAAUGACAUUAGCUAAAUACUUUGUAUGUUCAAUAGUAGGUUGCGUUAACAGGCCUGCCCUCUAUGUGGCUUGGCUGUAGUUUAUUGCACCUUUGUACUUCUUUCUUUUAUGAAUAAAAUCAAUGUUGAUUAGAAAAAAAAGAAAACAAAAACAAAAACAAAUAGUAGAUAGCAACAAACAAAGAAAAAGAAUCUCAUGCCCCACUAACAUUUUUUUUUGUACGUUUAGUCAAAAUGAAUAUAAUUAAAAAUAUUAAAUAGAUGCCAAUUGAGGUUUAGUGUAGUUGAUAUUGGUAUUAUUAACUUUGCUCAGUCCAUAUUCCCAUAAUAUACGAUGGUCAUAUGUGAGUUUUAAUCUAGUUAAUUUAAUUUGUUGGCUUUAGUUUUGAUUGUACCGACUUUUAUUCUCGUUCUGCUCUAAUAAUUUGAUUCUAUUUUGUAAUUCUUUAUAUAAUUCGUGCUGUAAUGUUUGAUACUUGUAACAAACAAAUACAAUUUAAAAAAUAGCUAGUAUUUGGUACACUGUUAGAAUAUUAUUAUGAGAAAUUAUCUUUUAGGAAUAUCUAAAUGUAUUGUAUAUUAUUAUAUAUCUUUUAAGCAUAUAUUUAGGAAUAUAUUAUAUAUCUUUUCUAUUCCUACAUGACUACUGUUGUAUAAAUAUUAUGUAUAUUCUUGAAGCUUAUCAAUAAGAUUGAAAGGAAUUAUUACCCUAUUCUUAUCAUGGUAUCUAAGCUUGAUGUUUAACAAAAAAAAAAAAUCGUUGUUUGGUAGACUUCCUUUAAUUGAUGAUCUUUGUGUGUUUGGUUGCGUAUGUUUUGUUCAUAAUCAACAUUCUAAAGGUGAUAAGUUUAUUAGUCAAAGUCAAAAGCGUGUUUUUGUUAGCUACCAUUUUGUCAAAAAUAAAUAAAAAUAUAUUUUAAUAUAAGACAUUUUGGGACUGUUGACAUGUCAUUUCUGAGUUGUUUCCACGAAAUGCAAUCGAUACAUAAAUUAAUCAAUAGAAUAGCAUCGACUCUCAAAGACGAUAUCUAAACCUUGGAAACAUUCUUCCUUAUUUCUUGUCUUUUUCUACUUUGAUUGUGAUGUGAUUUGUUUGAUUCUAACCACUCCAUUAAAUAAAUCAUCCAAAAACAUAUAUUAAUGCGAGGAAUAGGUGGUUGAAGAAAGAGAAAGCAAAAAUAAUAAUAAUAAAAGGAAAUUAAUUAGGAAAAUGACCUUAUAUGAAAACACUCAUACAAUUGGAUAACUCAUUCACUCCACCUUUAAGAGGAGAAAAAGAAAAACCUUGUUUAUGUAAUACAUGGAUACCUAAUAAUUCAUUUAUACUUUGGUAUAAGACAUUUUGGGUUGUUAUUUCUGGGCUGUUUCCAUGAAAUAGAAUCGAAACUUGCUUUCCUACUUUUAAAGCAACUAAGAAGUCGUCUUUCUCAAUUUAUUACUUUCUGGCUAUGCUCUGUUAAGAAGAAAAACACAGAAGGGGGAAAACUAUCGGUUAUUGAUCAAAGCCAAAAGGUACUCCAUCUGCUUUUCUUUUCCCUGCUUUGCUCUUACUCUUUUGAAAUAAGCUUAGGCAGGCAGGUUUAACCAUGAGAAUAGACUUCUUUUAUGCUUUAAAUCUCUAAAAAGGGAUGAGUAUUAGGAAUGCUGCAUAAGCACUUGUGUUUGGGAUGUAUCAACAACUUGCUGCUUCAUGGUUAUUCAGAGGUUGGGUGAUUUCUCUUGUAGUCGACCACCUUUUUUUUAUUCGAUGCUUUAUUUCCAUUCAAAACUAUGUAUGGUUGGAAAGCUGGUUUGAUAGUCCACUAAAAUUAUAUGAAGAAUCAUUUAAAAAAACAAAUUAAAUAUAUAUUUUUUAUAUAUUUAAAAGUGUUUGUUUAUAUAUUAUUUAGAAAUUGCUUUUAUAACAUAAUAUACUAUUUUGAAAUUUGGAAUUUAAUAUUUAAAGAAUUAACUAAUUUAAAAAAUGUGCAGCGAACUAAAAAAAAAGAACAUUAAUGAACAAAAAAUUUUUUCUUAUAUAUUGUAAAAUUAUUGUUAGAAAUUUUUAGUAUAACAAAAAGAUAUUAUUGAUAUUAGUCACUCUUAUAUAAUGUAAAAACUAAAAUCAAACUUCCGUAAUUAUUUAUAUGAUUAAUAUUUUAACGAUUUAACCGUUUAAUUUAUCAAUAUAUAUAUAAUUGUACUUGUAAUGCAUGUAAAUUUUUGAACUGAUUCGAUAUCUCUAUCGUAUCGAUCUAAAAUAAUCUAUACACUAAUAUAUAAUCAACGAUUGAAUUUUUUUUACAAAAAUAAAAUAGUUAGAAGUUUUAAAUUUACAUCAAAUUUGACAUGUAUAACCUAUAUGAAUAGACCAUAAAAUAUAACAGUUGGAUCGUUAAAAUAUUAAUUAUAUAAAUAGUUACGGAAGUGUGUAAAAUUCCUUUAGCUUUUACAUAUAUAAGUGGAUCCUUCUCCUUAAUGUUAAUAAAUUUUAAUUUUGUUAUCACAUAAUAUUAAAAAUAUGAAUUAAUAUUAAAAAAUAAAUAAAAAAUAUAAAUAUAAAUAAAGUGAGUAUUUGGUACACUGACAAUGUACUUUUUUUAUUCCAUAAGUAGUCUUAAAAUAUUGACAUAUGUCUCUAUCUUUUAAAUAUAUUACUAUACAUUUGUAAGAUACUUGUCAACCUCCUGACCCUACUUGUAGAGUCUAAAACCUCCACUUACUAAAUAAGUUCCACAAUUUAUUAUUAAUAUUUAUUAGACAAAACAUGUUAUCGAACAAAAUAAAUUAAUUAUUAAUAAACACAUAUGAAAUAAAAUAUAAAUAGAAUGAUUUAUAAUUAAUUUAUUAAAUAUGAAUCAAAUAAAAACAUAAGAAAAAGUUGAAAUAAAUAAGAAUUGAGAUUUUACGAAACAUUGAGGCCUGUGAAACACAGUUUCCUUAAGAUAGAUUUGGCCGCUCCUACGGUACUUGGAGAAAUGUUAGUCGAAAGUCUCCCAGGAAACAAUAACAAAAGUGAUCAAAGUAGUAAACGAACGAAUUUUGCCUUUUUCUAUCACAAGAAUGUUUGAAAACAGAGAGGAAAAGGAAGAGUUUUUAAAUGAACAGAAUUUUGGCAUAAAAAAUUAUUUGACUGUGUUUAAUCCUCCAGAAUACACAACCUUUUAUAGGCAUUUAGGAUAACGAGCAAAAAAUCAAUUUGAUUUAAAAAUUAAAUCAAAUCAGAUACUGUCCAUAUAUAAGCAGAUUAUGUCUACUGAGGAAAAAUAAAUUCGUGUUGGGCAUAAAAUAUCCGCAAGGGUUAAAAUAUCCGCAUGGGCCCGACCGGUCCAAACAUUUCGCGUUGCCCACGUCAUGCAGGUGCACUCAACCCCAUUAGAUUUGGACCUACACCCCCCUUACGCUUGAGACAAUGUUACAAGCUUCGUUAUUCAAUUAUUUUUAAAGAGAGUUCACAUACAUAAGCACAUUGGUAUUUAACCAAUGUGGGAUCUGAGCCUUUACUUUUUCUCAACAAUAUUUUCAAGUAGCUUACUUUGAGCAUCAAUUUCUCAUUCACCACUCAACCAUUUUGAGCAUAUGAUAUACCAUUGUAAAGGUCUCAUGGAGUAGAAUAGAAACCGUAAAAUUAUGAUUCAACUCUCCACUUUUAACUAUUGAGAAUAUGCCUCAAAGUUUCCAUAAAAGUAAUUCUUCCAACAAUAUUUUUAAACUCCAUCAAUAAGGUCAAGAGAUUGACAAGUGUUUUAUAAGAGUAUAGUAAAAUAUAAAAAAAAUUAAAAAUUUUAAAAAAGAGACACUUAAACUUUUUAAAAUGGCUUGUGGAAUAAAAAAAUAUUGCUAGUAUACCAAAUAAUCACCCAUAAAUUAUUGCUUUAAUCAAAAUAUAAGAAAUAGGUAUAAUUUUGAAUUAGUUUAAAUUAAUUUAAAAGAAAUUUAAUUUCAUGAUAAAAAAUUUAUAUUUCAAAAUAAUUAGAAAGAUUUAAUUUUUAAAUAAUAAUUAAAAAAAUUUAAAAGAUGUGUUGUAAAAAUAUUCAAAGUGUAAAAAGGCAAUUUAUUCCUUCAAUGCUUAGGAAAAAGUAUUCCUUAAAAAAAGAUAAUUAUUAGAAAAUAUCAUUAGAUAUAUGUCUAUAUUAAUAAAUAGUUAUCUAUUAACAAAAUCACUUUAUUUGUCAUAAAAGUAACAUUAAGCACAUAUUUAUAAUUUUAAAAUUUUAACCCUUCAAUGGUAGUUAAGAUUAUGCAAAUGAGUUUUCUUUUUCUUUCUUUUUUUUAAAAUAUAAGAUAAUUCAAGUUUUGGUCUUCGUUGUCGCUGUGGUUAUUCAGUUUGCUCUCUCAAUGGAGUUUGUUAUUGCCAUCGUUGGCUCUAUUGUCGCUAAAGCUGUAGAGAAUACGAUCUCUCCUAUCAAAAACCAUGUCAAAUACCUUUCCAAUCAUCAGAAAUAUGUUGAGACCCUCAAGAACCGAGCUAAUAGGCUGAAAGAUGCAAGGGACGGAGUACAGAAUUCUGUUGAUACAGCUAAACGAAACGGUGAGGAGAUCGCAGGUGAUGUUGACAAAUGGCUGUCUGCAGUCGACGAAAAGAUCCUUGAACAAGUAGAGAAAGUGAUGCAAGAUGAAGAAAAAGCAAAGAAAAAGUGUUUCAUUGGUUUGUGUCCCAAUUUCAGGACUCGUUACAAGCUUAGCCUGAAAGCUGAAGAGGAGGCAAAGGCUGUUGCCGAGCUACUUGAACAUGGCAAGUUUGAAAGGGUUUCCUAUCGUGCAGCUCCGCAAGGUAUCGUGGUUGCACCAGUUAAAGGUUAUGAGGAAUUCGAGUCAAGAACGUCGAUUUUGAACGGAAUAAUGGAGGCACUAAAAGAUGAUAGCGUCAGCGUUGUUGGGGUGCAUGGUACGGGUGGGAUUGGAAAAACAACGCUGGUCAAAGAAAUCGCUAGAAAGGUAAAGGGCAAGUUGUUUGAUUCGGUUGUCAUAGCAACCGUAACUCAAGCCAUCGAUAUUGAGAAGAUUCAGAACCAAAUUGUAGACUUCUUGGGCUUGCAAUUUGAGGAACAGAGUAUGGUUGGAAAGGCAUUUCGACUACGAGAAAGAUUGAAGGAAGAGGAGAGGAUUCUUGUUGUCUUGGAUGACAUUUGGGGAAAGGUUGAUAUUGAGGAAGUAGGGAUUCCUUUGGGAGAUGAACACAAGGGCUGCAAAUUACUAUUAACUUCUAGAGAGCUCAAUGUUUUAUCAAAUGGGAUGGAUGCUCAGAAAAAAUUUCCCAUUGGGUUUUUAAAUGAAAAGGAAGCCUGGGACCUGUUCAAGAAGAAGGCUGGCGACUGUGAUGAAAGUUGCGAUUUGAAGCCUAUAGCUAUGGAGGUAGCCAACAAAUGUGCAGGACUACCGAUAGCCAUUGCGACAGUUGCAGGGGCUUUGAGAAACAAAAGAUUGUUUGAAUGGAAGAAUGCUUUACGAGAACUGGAGAGGCAUUCGUCAAGCAACUUCAUGGGGAUAGCUGCGGCAUAUUCAGCUAUAGAGUGGAGUUUUAAUUAUUUAGAAAGCGAGGAAGUUAAGCUGACUUUCUUGCUUUGCAGUGUAAUAGGCCAUAAUGGUCUCGUUGAGGACUUGGUAAGAUAUACUCUAGGUUUGGGUUUAUUUGAUGGUGUCCUCACUAUGGAAGAAGCUAGAAAUAAAGUAUUGACGGUUGUGGCUAAUCUCAAAGCGUCUGCCUUGUUGCUUGAUAGUUAUAAUGAUAAGCGCUUUGAUAUCCAUGAUGUUGUUUGGGAUGCUGCUAUAGCUAUCGCAUUGAAGGACUACCGUAUGCUUGUUUUGAGAGAUCAUGCUCCAAAGGAGUGGUCCGAUAAGGAGAAAAUGAAGACGUGGAAUGUGAUCAGCUUACGUUGUCCUCAGAUUAUAGCUAACCUUCCUAAGGAGAUGGAGUGUUCAGGACUUUCCUUUUUCCGUAUGGCCUAUGAUGGCGCGGUUAAAAUUCCUCCCAAUUUUUUCAAACAAACCGAAGACCUCAAAGUCUUAGAUUUGUUCGGAAUGCAGUUUCCAUCCCUACCUGAAUCAAUUAUUCACCUCACGGACCUUCGCAUGUUGUGUCUAAAAGAAUGUGCAGUUGAUGACAUCACCAUCCUUGGAGAGC